rnacentral:lncRNA from 1 species
GCAGAACUAUCCCUAUGCUGUGUUUUUCUGCCAUGCAAUAAAACAUACAGCAGCUUAUGCUCUCUCCCUGAAAGGCGAUGAUGGGGAGAAGGUUAAAGCAGUAACCAUCUGCCAUCUAGACACAUCAGAAUGGGACCCAGAGCAUAUGUCCUUCCAAAUCGUCAACGUUAAGCCCGGAACCAUUCCCAUCUGCCAUUUCAUUUCCACUGAUGCUAUUGCCUGGGUUCCGAACCACAAAUCUGCAUGAUCAUCACUUAGCACUGUACGUAUAAUUAUCUCCUUACUUAUUUCUGCCUCUUCAUCAUGUGGUGUAAGAUAUAUGAUGAGAUGAAGUUUUUGGGAUUAGUGGUUGGGUUGCCUGAAAAACACAGAUUACAGAAACUGCUUGAAAUUAACCCGAUCAUGUUUUCUCUUGUAACUAUAUAGACUUCAACUUGUACUCAUAAUAAAGCAUGCUAUAUUUAUGAAGAGAUAUUAAUCUAUAUAUAUUUUUUAUAUAUGCUUUGGCUUUGUGGUUCUACCCAAUGUUUGAGUGUUGAAUUGUUACGUUGGAAUAGGCUGCUAAUGCAUGUAGUUAGAGAAGCCUUCAUUUAUAUCAAAGUCCUCAAACUAUCAAGAACUAAUGUAUCCAGAAACAUAUACCAAGACGCAAAACAACAUAUUUUCCAUGCUCUGUCUGUAACACCAAAGCAAACUUCCUUGAUCACAAAAGGAUCAAAUUCCAGUACUAAUCUAAUCCAUCAUGUAAAGCAUACAAGUGCCUCCCUAAAUACUAUACUCUUUUUGUUAUUUCCUACUAUACUAUUUAAGUUUGCAUACUCAUAUAGCAUAUGCAAACACAAUUAGAAAUUCUACAAGAUACAAACAACCCCCUCAACUUUGACCAGUGUGUCAAUUUAGUUCUUGAAAUUUAGAUUACAAAGCAAAAUCAAAUCAUACCAUGAAACACAAGCGACUUAAACCUCCAGGCAAAUAGAUAUUAUGAACAUAUAUAGCAAUUUAUAGAACAAUACAUUAAUCCAGAAGAAAUAUUAUGAAAUGAAAAGAAUAAAAAGUAGAAAAACACAAGGAAAGGAAUUUGCACCUGCUCACUUGCAGAUUGCUUUCUCCGGCCGUAGAUGUAACAGAAAUUUUCUCUUAAUAAUACCACAAUGAUCGGGUAAUUGUAAGAACAAGUUGAUUUAAAAUUCCUUGACCCAAAAAAAAAAAAAGUUGAUUUAAAAUUCAGGUCAACCCAUAGAUUUCUCCCCUUUUUCUUCUUCAUCUCGUGGGGCUUGUCUUCUUCUUGAGGAUUGUAUAGGCCAAGGAAAUGCUUUGAGUUAGUUUUUACGCUUUUGCGUUUUGGGCCUUGGAAGUUGGGACCCAAACCAACUUCACAAAAAGAAAACGCUCAGACUAUAAUGAAUGGAAAGUUAUAAGGGGUAAGUUAUAAGGGGUUCACUUUAUAGCCAUCAGAUCAAUCCAAGGGCUGGGGAGAAUUGAGAUAAAGUUUUAAAAUCGGGUAGGUGAGGAACCCAAACCCGAAUUGAAUAUCCAGCACGUCCGAAAAAGAAGAAGAAGAGGCAAGCACGUCCGAAAAAGAAGAAGAAGAGGCAAGUUCGAAGUUUGAACAGAAAAAACUCAUCUCUUUAAAACCCAUAGCUCUGAGAAACGGUUGAAGGCAACGGUUAACGACGGUUAAAGGCAACGGUUGAAGCCACUCCGUUCUCCAGACCCUGAAAAAGUAUUUAUUUUGAGUAGAAGGGGCAAAGGUGUGGAUUCCGAAACAGUGAAGGGGCGAAGCAGUGGAAGGGGGAGGAGAGAAGCCGUAUUCGUUGGAAGUGGUAGGUUCCAUUUGUGGAGCAAAGCAACACAAAGACCCCGCACAGACACCUUGCGAUUGUUCAAUAACCAGCAUUUGGUGAGUAAUUUAUGGAAUUUGAGUUUAGGGUUAGAGUAAUGGUUUUCCCCAAUUUGUACCAUCAAUUUUGUUGGAUUUGGCAUCUCUUCUUUGUGCUUCAGUUGCAUGUUAAUUUUUGCUUGGGUAUAUGUUAAAAAAAGAAUGAAAAUCAAGUCAAUAACAAGUGAAUAACAUGUCAAUAAUGAUAUGAAUAAGAUAAUGGUGUUGAAUUGGAGGAGGCCCUCAAAACAUUCCACAUUUGAAGCAGUGCAUAGUGCAGAUUAUCUCUCUGGCGCUAGAAUAUAUAUAUAUUUUGAAAUAAAUAUGAUUUCCUUUGUUACUAAAUUUGCCUGAGAAACAUGAGAACAGAUAAUAAUAAACUCAUGAAUAGAAGUGCAAAGCAUUUGAUGAGUAAUUUAUGGAAUUUGAGUUUAGGGUUAGAGUAACGGUUUUUCCCAAUUUGUACCAUCAAUGUUGUUGGAUUUGGCAUCUCUUCUUUGUGCUUCAAUUGCAUGUUAAUUUUUACUUGGGUAUAUGUUAAAAAACAAAUAAAAAUCAAGUCAAUCACAUGUCAAUAACAUCUCAAUAACAUGUUAGUAAUGAUAUGAAUAAGAUAUAAUGGUGUUGAAUUGGAGGAGGCCCUCAAAACCUUCCACAUUUGAAGCAGUGCAGAGUACCUCUCUGGCACUAGAAUUUAUAUAUUUUUUUAAAUAAAUAUUAUUUCAUUUGUUACUAAAUUUGCCUAUGAGAAAUGAGAACAGAUAAUAAUAAACUCAUGAAUAAAAGUGCAAAGCAUUUGAAAUAAAGGUUGAUCUAUGACAAUUGUGGCUGACAGAAGAAAAAGCUAGAAAGAAAGAAGGAUGUGGCAAUUGCUUAGCAAGCAGAUAGCAGAGUAGAUGCUUUGCUUUGCUUCCUUCCACUAUAUUAUUUAUUUAUUUAUUUUGUGUUGUGUAUGAGAUGACAAUAAUUGUCAUGUGUGUGAAGUGCAGAACUUGCCUAGAUUGCACUCACACUCACUCAUGCAUCAACCAUUGAUUCGAAUUUGGAUCCAUGAAUAAAACACAUGAAAUUGUUUGUAAUUCACAUAAUCAUUGCAUUAACAGGUAUUUGCACAAAAUUUUUCAUAUUGCUUUGAUGAUGUUAAAGCCUGUGAUCAGUAAUCCCUAUGCUUAUGUACUUUGUAAAAUUUGUAAUGUGCCUGGUUGACUAGUUGUGUAAAUACCAAUGUGAUUGUGCAAAUACGUGGUAGUAUAUGUGUUCAUGUUAUUUCAUCUUGUAUUUCAGGAAAUGGGAUCCAAUGUGGAGCUGGUAUGGCCAGAGUCAGAGGCAUAUUCGUCACGGGUGAACAACUGCUCACAUGCAAAUUCAUCUCUAGCUGCAAUUCGAGCGAAGUUGAGUGCGGAACAAUUAGAACAAUUCAAGACAUCAUGCUUUGGCCAUCUUCUGAAUAUAGAUAAGAUUCAGUUUAGCGGGCAGAUUGUGCAUGGGGUUGUGUUGCGUAGAGUAGCGGGGCAGGGUGUGAAAGACUUGGAUGGACUGAGUUUCUUAAUAGGGUGUGACGUUGCUCAGUUCACUCGUCAAGAUUUCUGUUUGAUCACAGGGCUUCGUUUUGGGGAAGUGCCUGAAGUUUCCAGUGGAGAGAGUGAUGAAAUUAGACUUCAGAAAAGAUAUUUUAUAGACGAAUGAAUUACAUGCAAUGCUUUAGAAUAAACAUUUUUGAGGUGCACAGAGGAAGAUGACAUCUACAAGCUAGCUCUUGUUUACUUUGCUGAGUUAGUGGUUUUGGGAAGGGACAAACAUUUGAACAUCAAUCUAAAUUACCUGACCCUUGUAGAGGACUUAGAUGCGUUCAACAGGUAUCCGUGGGGUUCGGUGUCCUUUGACAAAACCAAAGACAGUCUAUUUUCUGCACCAACAAAGUAUGUGAAAAGCUUUGAAAAUGAAGAGGGAAGAGGGAAGGGGAAAAGUAAGGUAACAGGAACAAGCCGGAGAAAUGAAAAGGGCAAGAAGGAUAAGCAUGGUGAAGUGCAAAGGGGUGGUUGGAGUUUUAAAGGUUUCACGUAUGCUUUCCAGGUACAUGGUAAUAAUGUUCAUGUCAGUUAUGUCUUGUUUUUCUUUAAAACUUAAAUAAUGACUUUUGUCCUGUGAAUUGUGUAGAUUUGGGUAUAUGAAUUAAUUGCUAGAAUGGCAGACCUGAAUUACUGCAAGGUUGUUGAUCCGACAGCUGUCCCGCGUAUUUUGCGAUGGAGAACUACUACGUCUGUUCCUGAGAUGAGAAAGUUGAACAAUUAUUUUUUCCAGAGCAAAGAGGUUUGGUUUGCAGCCCUUAGAACUAUUUAUAAGAUUUAAUGAAAUUAUGAAGUAGAAUGAUUGAAUAUGACUCUUGUCUGUAUUCUGAAACAGUCAGUUCAGUUGCGGGCGCUAUGUCCGAGUGAAGAGGAAAUGAGACAACCAUAUUGGAGUUGGCCACAGGAUCGCCCUGCUGUUGUCUCGGCAGAGUCAAUUCCUUCUUCAUGUGCUGACCUUGAUGAGUUGAACAAGGUGGUAAGCUUGUUGAGGUCCGAGUUGUUUCAAGUAAAGUUGGAAAAAGACGUCCUUGAGUUAAAGGUCAUACGGAUGGAAAAACUUUUGGACCACUGUUUAGGUCCUCAAUUUGAGCAGGAAGUAAGGAGGGACCUAGCUUUACUGAAAGAGAGGACGAAUCUUUGUGUCAUCUCACAUCUAUUUAAGGGAAGUGAGGAAAUGGAUGACAUUCAAUGGGAUGAAGGGCCAAGUAACAGAAAUGAGGGAGAGGAAAAGGAAGAUGAAGGGAUUGAAGGGGGUGAAGGGCCAAGUAAUAGAAUUGAGGGAGAGGAAAAGGAAGAGGAGGGGAUUGAAGGGGGUGAAGUGCAAGGAAAACCAAGUGAGGUAGAGGAAGCUCAAAGGAAAAGAAGUGAAGGAGAGCAAGUGAAAAUAAAAAGCAGUAAGGGAGAGAAAACGCAAAGAAAGAGCAGUGAGGGAGAGGAAGUGAAAAGAAAAAGCAGUAAGGGAGAGGAACUGCAAAGGAAAAGCAGUGAGGGAGAUGAUCCGCAAAGAAAAAGAAGGGAGGGCAAGGAAGUGAAAAGACAAAGAAGUGAGGAAAAGGAAGUGUAAAGAAACCAAUGUGAGAAAGAAGAUAAUGAAGUUAUGUUGCUUGGCGAUGACAUUGGCGAGAGCACAGAGGGGACAAAGGUUGAGUUUAGUCUCGGGGACAUUGAUUUGGAUCAACCUACAGCUGUGCUAUCUCAGUUGAAUGUUUGGUUGAAUGAUAAAGGUAAAGCUGUGGAACAAGGGGUCCAAUUACGGAAGAGGAAGAUGAUCAUUCCUAUGUGGAAGAUCAUUGAAGGUAGUGAAUUGGUUUCAAAAACUUUGGCAGAGACAACCGGACUUCAGAUGUUAGACCCAACGAAGGCGAUUCUGUAUGAUGAUCUGGUGAAAUUGCUGAAACUUUGUUGGGAAUGGCGCCAUAACCCAAAGUAAGUCCCUUGUUUUUUGAGAUAAAAGGCAUGAGUGUAUAUAUUUUUUAAUUGUUGUGUUCUAAAACUUUUUUAUAUUCAUAGUUUGGUGAUGCAAUUUGGCAACAUGGAAGCUGAGAUUGAAUUCUUCGCUUCCCUCAUCAAAGCUGAUGGUUGGCUGAAAGGAGAUGUAAGUUUAAUUGAUUAUGCAUUUGUUUUAAUGUACAUAGAUUAUGAGAUUGACAAGAAAAACAUGUUGCAGCACAUUGAUUUGGGGUUGUAUCUCAUCCGGAAGCGACAACAAGAGUUGGAGGAAGUAGAAAUAUCGGACUGGACAAUGACCGAUGUAUUUUUUAUGGUAUGUCAUGGGCCUUGACCAAGUGCUGUUAAUAAUUACAAAUUAUCCAUACUUGUUUUGUGGAGGUGUUUAACCAUUGAUUGUUUUCUAUUUCACAGAAUCACAUUCGUACUUGCUUUGCGGAUAAUAAAAGAAAAAAAGAGCAGGUUUGGUGGAAAAUUAGAAACAGUUUACUGAACGUUGUAAAUGGCAAGGUUCCGGCGUGUGAGAUGGAUUGGCAGAACAUAUAUAAGGUGUAUGCCCCUUGUAUGUUGACGAAGUACAAGCAUUGGGUGGCUGUAAUGAUUGAUCUAGUUUUGUGUGAAAUCCAAGUGUACGAUUCAAAGGUUUCACUUAUUCCAGAUGAGAUCUUAAAGGAAGAACUCGCCCCGCUUUCAAUUACGAUUCCAAAUCUUCUCAACACCAUCGACUUUUAUGAAGAAGGUGUUUACGUAAACAAUUGCAGCCGAGAUUGGUGGUGUCCGUGGCCAAUAGAGCGUGUGGAUGUUCCACAACAGUCUAAUCAGUAAGCACAACUUUUUAUUUAAUUUUAUUACUUUAAAUUGUCAAUUACGUUAGAAUGUCAUUAGUUGAAUUGAUCGAGUUCUUGUUUUGCUUCAGAGGCGAUUGUGGCAUGUUCGUGUUGAAGUACAUUGAGCUUUUGGGCGCUGAGAUUCCGUUAGCUACUUGCACCUCGGAGAACAUGCCCUUUUUUCGGUUGAAAUUGGCUGCAAAGAUAACACGGGGAGAUGCUUACAUGCCAUGAUAUUGGUUGAACUUGGUUUAGGUACAUGAUGAUUAAAUAGGUUUUGGGAAUGUCCAAUUUCAAACUCAUGUAAAUACACAAUAGAGACCUACGGGUCCUUUUCGAAUUCUACCUCUGCUCCUCUAUUCUUCUUCGUCUUUCUCAAUCUUAGUGUAUUUUUGUACAUAAUUUGAGGUUUAAGUUAUUGGACGAUAACAAUUAGAACCAAAAUAGUGGCAAAUAUUAUAGCGGAUGCAUGCUUUCAUUUUGAUUAGUGUGAUACUACGCUACAUUUAUUCUCAUAUUGUGCUAAAUGUAUAUGGAGUUGGAUGCAGAGCAUAGACAGAAAAAUGAAGAAACUGAAAUGGAGAUGCUGAGGCUUGGUGAGGAGAAAAGUAAAUGGAUCUGUAAAUCUAUUGCACGUAGGCAAUCUAAAUGGAUAGGCAGAUGAGUUUUUGAAGUUAGACACUUGUCAUUCCCAUACAUAGAAUGUGCCUAUGGAGUGUAAAGUAUUUUUGGAUUUAAUGAAACAAACUUCUGUGUAAUAUUAGCCUAACUCCUUCACGACAUUUACAUAACCUUAACCAACUGCAUUGAAUUGGGAUUUAAAGACUGCAUAUGUGAAUUGGGAUUUGAAGAUGGCUUUUUAAGUGUAUUACAUCAUUGCAAAGUGAUAUGUCAUCGUUUAUGCAAGCCACCAUUAAUCGCAAUAGGUUGCAUCUUAAUAAGGUAAUUCUGUAAGGGGAAUAAGCGGCUAUGGCCUCGCCUCUAAUGUUUUAUUCAACCAUGCCCUCUUUAUAGAAACACAUGAAAAAAUGUCCCCAGGUGCAAUGCUAUAAAAACUUCCAGUUGGUUCUGUACCGCCCCUCGGGUUUGAAUCCCUCUCUCCUUUAUAAUCGGUUAAUAAAUUCAUUGAUUUUCUUUUUUUUAUUGGUUUUGGGCAGCUCAGUAGCAUAAAAGUAAUGUAUAUUGGUGCGUCUAUAUUGCAUGUCUGUUGCGUCUAUAUUGCUUCUCUAUUGUGUGUAUAUCUUACAUUUAUUGUAUGUGUAUUGAUUGUUUAUUGCUUACGAAGGAAAUAAACAACAAUACACAGGCAACAGACAAACAAUAUAUACACAACAGACAAACAAUAUACACACAAUAGAUACGCAAUAUACAUACAAUAGACAUGCAAUAUACACACAAUAGACAUGCAAUAUACAUCCGUCCCCAAUUACACAAACCAUAAGGAAGUCGUAUUGAAUAGGAAAUUAAACUUAACAGUUGUUCUUCCUACUAAAAGAAAGAAUAAGGUCCGUUUUCCCCCUUAAAUCUUACUUGAGUGGUACUUGUGCCCCCAAUAAACAUCCAAUAUUGGAGCAAUAACAUUCGAUAUACAUGCAGCAAACAAUCAAUAAACCUUUAAUAAACAUUCAAUAUCGGUUCAAUAACAUGCGAAAUACAUGCAGUUAAUAAUCAAUAAACCUUCAAUAAACAUGUAAACAAUCAAUAAACUUUCAAUAAACAUUCAAUAUCGGAGCAAUAACAUGCGAAAUACAUACAGUAAACAAUCAAUAAACCUUCAAUAAACAUUCAAUAUCAUGCGAUUUAUAUGCAGUAAACAAUCAAUAAACUUUAAGUAUACGCAAAUAAACAAUCUAUAUACACUAAAUAAUUAUGCAAUUUUCAAAAAAAAAAAUGUAUUGUCUUGUUAUUGCAUCGUAUUGGCCCUGUAUUGUGAUUUUAUCGUCUUCGUAUGAUUUUAUUUUUUUAAAGUAAGUCUUGGAAAGUUUUUGCUGGGUUUCAAACAAAUAAAUGCUUUUGUUUAAAUUCAAUGCCAAUCCACUUAUUUCAAGAACAAAAAUUACAAAAUGGGUUUGAAAACUCAUUGGUGGUGCGUGCAACAUGUCUUUUUGGGGAGAAAUUUCACAAUCCUUGAAACCGUGCACUUAAUUGAUCAUUAAAAGAACAAAUAAUAUGACAAUUGAUACAACUAAUAAAACUAAUACCAAGUCCUUAAUGGACUUCAGCAUAUUCAGCACUGUAGCAUCAUACGUGUCAUCUUGAUGUUCUGCUUCAGCGGAGGUUACAUCAACCCAUUCGAAUCCAUUGCAACUGGUGGAUCCCUAAUUGCAGGCAUCAUAUAUGCAAAAUAAUUCUGUCAGAGUUAGACAUAGGUUUUUUUUCCCCCACACACAUAUUCUUGAAAUGAAAACUUACAUAGGAGGUUAGACACUUCCAAAAUGGCUUCCCUCGAUUUUUAUCUGAUUUUGAAACCCGAACCACCAUUGUAGCUCCACAAUACUGACACCUUUUUGUUUGAGCAGGAGAUGAAGACGAAGACAUGUUGAAUCUUCUCACUUGUACCUCUUCUCACUCAGAUCUUCUCACUGAAACCUCUUCGGACUCAUACCUUCUCACUCAUAGUUCUCAGUCAUACCCCUUCACUCAUAACCCUAAAUUUCUCACUCAGCUCUCUCUCAUCUCUGCCCAAAUCAAAUUAUAUCCUUCUUUGCUGUGUGUGGGUGGGUUGGUCACGAUCUGGACACCUGUACCGUCAGAAUUGUGACAUCUUUUACCCCGAAAAGCAAUAUAAUAUUUCACUACCAAAUAUUAAUCUGAAAAUUGAGGGGACACUGCUUGAAAUAUAUUAUUUUAUUUAUAUUUCAUUAAGACAACUAGUUGGAUAAGAAUCCAUCAUCAUUGGUUUCAUUUUAAUAACAUUACUAGUGGUAGUUUGGUGUGGGAAAAUGAAAAAGUAUAUGAUGGGACCUUCUGUGACUAGUCAGUAAUCCAUCACAUUUGUAUCAAUGAAUUUGAUGGUGGGAAAAUCCUAAAAAUGGCUAUGCAAAUAGGUUAUUAAUUGAAUUUUUGACUGUCUGACUCUCUAUGCAAUUUUAUGACGUUUUCCCUUCUUUUGUCUCGAGUUUUAGGGUGUCGGGUUCAGUUUCUUUAAAAACGGUCAACUUGGAAAAACCCCAAGUGGAAACACCUUUUAAAAACACUAUAAACAGAGGCUAAAACAAAACCAAAACCCCAUAUAUUCUCAUUUCUGCCCUCUUCCACUCCUCAAAUCGUUCCAUUCCAAAAACAUUUCAAUGAAUUCGAAACAUUUCACUACACUCGGAGGAAAGAGAAGGAAGCAUCUCCAUUUGGAUAUGCCCCAAGCCUUCAUCCCGGAGUUAGCUUGGUUUAAAGUGAUGUUAUACGUGGCAACCCAAUCAUCGGAAGAUCUCUUCCGUAUGGCAUCUGUGUGCCCAUUGUUCCAUACUUUGGCAAACACUCCACAAGUGUGGAACACCAUUUCAGUGGCAAAGUACCCAAACCAUCCUAGCUGGUACCGUGCCAAUCCUGCGGUCCAGCAUUUCUUGCAACAAUGCAGGGCUUGCGAUAACCCUAAGUCGAUAUUUAGAGAAGCAUUCGAAGUGUUUUUUAAGCAGGGUAACGUGGAAGCAUUGUAUGGGAUGCGCAUUACAGCCACGGCAGGCCAUAUAGAAGCGGCAUAUCUAGUUGGACUACUUGACAUGUCCGGAAUUGGUCAGUCAAAAGAGGAUGCAUUAGAAUUCUUGUGUUCUUUGAAUCAAUGUAACAACAUUGAUAUGAAAGGAACCAGGGAUGCUUUGAGACAAAGAUUAAGCCGACCAACAGUUGCAAGACAUAUCCUAGAUAUGUUUGACUAUGGGAAGAUUAAGUUCAAUCACUGCAGCCCUUGUAACAACAAUGAAUGGUGUUUUGUUAUUCAAGGCUGGCCUACUGAAGAAAAGAUAAAUCCUGCCUUCUGGACUUGUUGCAAUCGAUGCAAAUGGCACCGUGAGAGUAUUUUUUGGUUCAAGGUGAUGCGUGUGUAUGUUGUGCGAGGGAAUCCAUACCCUUAUAAUUAGUUGUAGUAUGUUUUUACGGUUUUUAUGCAUUGUGGACUUGCUUCUCUUCAGUUCUAGGUUCGCUGGCUACGUUGUACAAAUGUUGUUUAAAUGUGGGGUUUUAAUCUAUUUUGUCUGGUAUUUGUGCUGUCAUAAACCGUUUUAUAUAUAAAUGUAUAAUAUAUAUUAUAUAGCGGAAUUAUUACUGACAUCAUAGACGGCUACGAAUGACAUUUUACUGACACAGAUAUUUUGCACAACUGCAAUCUUAAUAUUUGGUAAACGAAAAGGCAUGCAUGGAGUAAAUAGGUGUCUUUUCACCAGUGCUUGGGAAUGACAUUUUCCCACUGAGCAUAUCCCAAAUGAUUUGGUUACAAGUUUCUUAAGCAAAACUUGAAUAGUGAAUGACGUUGAAUAAUUUUUUCCUAAUGUUGUAGAAUAGAUGACUUGUAUAUUUCCAUUUUAUUUUUCAAAACAUCCCUUAAACCUAAAAAAUAAAAAAAUUAACAAAUUGAAGAAGAGAGAAACCGAUUAGCACCAGAAAUGGCCUAUUCGCACGGAAAAUAAAAAUUAAAAAAAAAAGUUGGAGUAAAUAUAAUUAACAAAUGGACAGGCUAAAAAGUAAUAUAAUAAUAAUAAAAAUAAUUUAGGAUAAUAAUAAAAUACUAAUGUAACAUAACCAUGAAACAGGGAAUUCAGUAGGAAGAUGAAAUCUCAAUAAGUUCGUAGCAAUUUUCGAAACAUUAUUGGGAUUUUUGUGUAUUUAGUUAUGAAUUUUCCAAGAAAAAGUAAUAAAAUAAUAAUUUAGGGUAAAAUGCAAGGAUGUGGCCAUGUUGACUGACGUACACUUGUGCAAGUGAUGAAAGUUGACGGGCUGAGAUCGUGCCAGGUGUCCUCUUGCAAUUAUUUUGGCUUUUUUAGUGCAAAAAUCUUUGAAAAAAGGUAAUAAAUAGUAGGUCUUGUGACGUUAUAAAACUAGGGGAACCUAUAAAUCAUCCGUCUCGCAAUGAAAAAAUCCAAAUUAUUUUAGAUAACUCACUUUCCUCUUAACCCUAAGUAUUUAUGUUUGUUAACUUUAACUUCAAUAACCUACUUGAACAAUCAUCUCCCGUUAAUGUUCGGAAUUAUUUUUUUAAAAUGUGUAACCAUGUAUCGGGGAAUUCAACAAGGGAGAUUGAGUGUCAAUGAGUUCGUAGCAAUUUUCGGAUCAUUUUUCUAAUUUUUGUGUAUUUAGUUAUGAAUUUUCUAAGAAAAAGUAAUAAAAUAAUAAUUUAGGGUAAAAGGCAAGGAUGUGGCCAUGUUGACUGACGUACACUAGUGCAAGUGGUGAAAGGUGAUGGGCUGAGAUCGCGCCAGGUGUCCUCUUGCAAUUAUUUUGACUUUUUUAGUGCAAAAAUCUUUGAAAAAAGGUAAUAAAUAGUAGGAAAAUCCUAAAAAUGCCCCGAAAAUUACUCGGACCUCCUUGUGAUGUUAUAAAACUAGAGGAACCUAUAAAUCAUCCGUUUCGCAAUGAAAAAAUCCAAAUUAUUUUUACAUAACUCACUUUCCUCUUAACCCUAAGUAUAUAUUUUUGUUCACUUUAACAAUUAUAUUUCCUUAAUAUUCGUUAUAUAAUUUGUAAUAAUACAAGAAUUAGUUUCCUUUCAUAUAUAAGGAUGUAAAAUAAUUUGUUUUGUUAUAAUAAUGUACAUAUAUAAUAAUUGCACAUGCUUUGAAGCCAUCAUUGCAACUACGCCUAGAGCUUUGAACACGUCAGAGGUAUUCAAUAAGUUGUCCAUAUGACGCCGCAUUGGGAAUCAGUAAUAUAUUUUCUAUCAUGUCCAAUCACAUAAAAUAAUGCCAUACUUUUUCUGAAAAACCUCACACAAGUCAAGCAAUUUUAAAAUAUUAGUGAAUAUUUGUCCUAGUCUAUAUGAGUGAUUAUAUAUUCAGUCUGCAUUUUUUCACAGUAUAUGUUAACUUUCAGAGGGAUUCCACAAACAUAUAAUAUAAAGAAAGAAAGAAAUAGUAGGAGAUGAACCAGUACAAAAAACAAUAUAUAAAUGGUACAUAAUAAUUCCAUAACCUUGUCACAAACGCACUCACAAAUGCUUUUCCAUAAACCUUGUCCUAACAUAUAAUAAAUAAAGGCAACAUUGCAUAUGAUGCAACCAUGUCCAAAUCUGAUACGUGAUCACAAAAAAAUGGACAUGGCAGCAACAUAUGACUGAAGUAGAUGAGCUCUUUGCAUCUUGUGUUAUCGUAAUUAAAGACAUCAAAAGAUUAAGGUUGAAAUCUUCCAUAGUAGUAAGCAUCAAAAUAGGUUUGAAGCAGAGUUUAACGAAAAUUCCAAUUCCACUUAUUGGCCUCUGCUCAAACACGAGAACCAAAAUGGUUACUUCCCUUGCUGAGUAUAUUUGUUAACGUCGGAAACAGUAACAGAUGACCAAUCAAACCCGGGUACGACGAGUUUUGCAUAGGAUCGGAAGUAGUCGAAUCCAGCUUGCAUCACACGCUUCUUUGACUCCACUGCAUUAGAUGAGUUCUUGUAUUUUUGAACAGCUACACUCCGAAGUCGUUUGUGUCUACGCUUCAUGCACUGCAAAUUCGCCCUAUCCAGAUUGGCCUGCCUUUUGUCAUCUUCAAUUUGGCCUUCAACAAAUUCCAAACGUGCCCUUGGCCUUUGGAUUUCAUCACCAAGUUGAAGAUGCCUCUCCUUCCAAAAAGCAAGAACUCUUUCAGAUUCAAAACUUCCAACAAAAUGGUCAUUCUGUCUAGGAAUGUGACAUUGCUUGUCUAGUGACUCACUUGCGUUUCGAAGGCAGUCUUUGUUUGGAGGGGUGUUUAUUAUGCUCACAUCAAACUUGGUUAGUAAAUCCAUUUUAUGGGGGGAGUGAGUUUCUAUGGAGGAGAGAGUUUUAGUAGAUGGAGACAGAUUCGGUGAAGGAGUGAGUUUUGUGUGGAGGGAGAAUUUCUAUGAAAGGAGUGAUAGUAAUAGCAAUAAAAGGGUUCCCGCCAAAAAAUAUUUGGUUGACAAUGUAUAAAUUAAUUUUUGGUCUGAUACAAUCUAAGUUUAAUCCUAACUAGUUUGGUUGAGUUCACUAACUAGAUGUCACUUCCAUUGAGUUUCUUUCAACCACUAUCAGUGGUGUAAGGAGAGUGUGAGGUUGACAUGCUUGAAAAGCAAAACCUGACACCUCUUUUUUUAAAAAUUGAAAGAAAGUACAUAUGUUGACUACACACAACCUUUGGUAUGUUGGUCUAUAAACCUAUGUUCCCUUUCUCAAAUGAAAUUGCAUAUGCAAUCCUCAUCCUCCCAAAACAAAUAGGAUUAUUCAAGCAUGUCAACCUCUUCAGGCGCCAACAACACAAUCGAAGAUGACAAAUUGGAGUCGCAGGUUCUAUUUCCACAUUGUACUCACCGACCCCUUCCUUUUUCAACAUCAUUUGGGAGUGAGGGGGACUCCGAUGAUCCAUUAGAGGCAAUACAUGCAGUCAGUAGCAAGCUGGAUUAUAAUUCCAAACUGAUCAAUUCAUGGCACGAGAAAUGUGUUGAAGACGAGGCCAUUUUGGCUGAUCUUAACAUUAGAGUGAACAAAGGGUUCUCCCAAAAGAACAAGUACUUGAAGCUGAGUCAUAAAAGGAAGCUGAAAGCUGAGGAGUUGGAUACAGUAAUAAAUGAUGAAAUUAAAGGUUGUUUGAUGAACCAUAUGCGAUGCAAAGAGCAUCAUAGUGAACUGGAGUUGGCAUUCAACGAAGGAUUUUUAAAAUUUCAAGCAUUUGCGGCAACUACUCAUACAAGUUAUAAUUGGGACUAUGUGUCCCCUGAUGCUGUGAGAGAGAUACUAGACGAUGAUGGUGACAUGAAUGAGCAUAAGCACGUCAAAGCUGCUCGGAAGAAGCCGACCGAUACGACUAAGUGAUUGCGGCUACCGUUGUUCAGUUGGUUGAGGGUGAUCAUGGUAUUGCACAAAUUAGAAGUAUAUUCCCUUAAUGUCAUUAUCUAAUUUAAAAUAACACAAAUAUCAGUUUCAUUUGCUUCAUAUAUAAUUAUUGGGACUAUGUAUUGCAAGUCAUCAUGUGUUCCUUCUGUCUAACAUUAUAUUUUGCAAAUAUCGAAAUAUUAUUCAAUAAGCAGUCAAUAUCACAGCAAGUUGGGAAUCAGUAAACCCCCAUUAUCAUGUACAUUCACAUUAAAGAGCUGGUGUACUUUUUCUCAAAAAACUGACACGUGAGUCAUAAGUAACAUAACAUGUGCUAUACAUUGUUUAGUGAAUGGUUUAUGAUUUAUUUAUAUAUAAUAAAAUUCCAAAUAUUGCUGAAUAUUUAUUUCGUCUAUAUCACUGGGGACAUGAGUGAACAUACGCAUGUGAGACCUGCUAAGAAGAAGCUGACCAAUACGACCGAGGGAUUGUGGCUACCAUUGUUCCGUUGGUUGGGGAGAUCGUGGUAUUGCUAAGAGGGAGCACAUAAUAUGUUUUGCAAUCAAAUUUUCUUUUGUGUGUGGAAUUUUCUUUUAUGUGUGGAAUUAUGAGUAGUUCAAAUGUUAGUGUACCCUUUAAUAUUCUCCAACAGUUCAAAAUGUGAUUAGCUGAAUGUACUUUUUUACACGCUGCUUUCUAAUCACUCUGUUCCAACAAAAGGCUUUAAGUAUCCUUCAGUUACAAAUGUUUACAAAAUCGUGCCCCUAAUAACCAGUCGAGCUUAGAUCUUAAUAACCAGUAAAACACUAGAACAUAACAUUCGGAAAAAGUGAGUACUGUUGGAAAUCAUUACUGGUAAUGGAAACAACAGCUGGCUGCUGGAAAUGCUGCAUUAGCAUGUGAUAUAAUCAAUGAAUCUCUGUUAAAACAUAAUUCACCAUAAACUACCCAUUUUACAUGGUAAAAGUCAUUGCUUCUUCACAUAACUCAAAAUUUGAUACUUUAUCAAAUGUCUAUGAAAAUUUCUAAAUAGGGAGAAGACGUAAAAUUAACAUGUGUCCAAAUUUCAUGCAAGAAUGAAACCAAGCAAAUUUUCAUUUCAAUUACCAGUGGACAUAGUAAGAGCUCAUGGGUGGACAUGAACAAAAUAAUAAUAAUAAUAAAAACUGAAUCUAGAAAACUUCACCUGAUCAUUAGUCUUCAUAACAACCGGAUUUCGUCUAAUAGAAACAUAAAUCAUUCAGUUGGUCCGUGCAUCCUGUCAAAUUCGUCGAAUAAUGGGUCACUACGAUCUAUUGGAGUUGAUUCGUCAUUGUUCGAUGGUGAUGUCCUGCAUAAACAUCAAACAAAAGCACAUAAAAAAUUUACCUAUUCAAAUUUUAGGUGUUAUUAUAAAUAGUGUUAGCAUCUUACGGUGUGUUCAAAUUUCUUGAGCAUUGUCUUCUAUCAUGGCCAAUGUGUCCACACUCCCGACAGUGUCUAAUCCUUCGCUUCAUUGCCUUUUCCUUUGCUCCCGUUACUCGUUUCGACCUUCCUUUGCACCUCACUCUCUUAGGGUCUUUCAUAUAUUGUGUUUGAGAGCUGGACUCUCCAACUUCGUUAUUACUUGGUCCAUCCUUCAACAACUUCAACUUCACCUACAAACUUUUUAGAGUCUCUGACAGUAGCUCACAUCCUUCUUCACUCAUUAAUGCAUCCUCAACCACAUCUGAAGCAAGUCGAGACAUUGUACUCCGCUUUAUUAAAAGACCAGGAUUUGCAGAGUCUUUAAUUUCGUUGCCAUUUGCAUCUGACACCAAUCCAGAUUUCGCAGUUUUCUUCCACCUCUUCAAAAUAUAUUUAUCGGGCAUAUAUUCAAUCUGGUCCCUUCUGAACAAUGCUAAGAUGUGCUUGCAAAUAAUUCCAACAAAUUCAAAUCUUUUGCAGCUACACGAUGCGUGGUCAGAAUCUUUGACAUAUACAACUUCUGCCACUCUUGUUUCCCAAUUUUUCCUUUCGCUCACGUUAAAGACAACUUUAGAAGCAUCCUCUGUUUUGAGCUCUAGGAAACAUGCUGUACUUUGUAUUAGUUCUUGCUCAAACUUUUGAAACAUUGUCCUUGUGUACAAGGUAGCCAUUUGUUUGUUUAUUGGCAUCGGUAGAAUACAUUGAGCCACUUCAAAUGCAUCUAUGUGAUCAGCAACUAACUCUUUUUGACGUUGAUGAGAAAGUGCCCUCUCAAAUCGUAUUAUGAAAUCCAUCAACGAAUUUCUCUUUGAUAUGUAUUGCUUGAAAAAACCAUGAGAACCUUCCGCUAUUUGGCUGCUUGAUAUUCCAGCGGCAAAAAAUUGUCGUGCGUAGGCUGGAACCCAAGAUUCCCUUAAAUCAAACAUUGAACUUAGCCAUGGAUGGUCAGUCAAACCAGCCUUUGUAACCACAAUAUUCCAUUUUGCAUCAAACUCAUCCUUAUUGUCAGUAUCCCAUAUGACUUUCUGAAAUUCACUCCAAUACUCCUUAUAAGCAGAAUGUGGUAACUUAACAGAGAACUUUGAUGUGAUGUGCCAUAUGCAAAGUCGAUGAAAUGUAGUCGGGAAGGCUAUUGAAAUCACUCUGGUCAUUGCCGCAUCUUGAUCUGUAAUGAUCAUUUUAGGUUCGCCACCUGGCAUGGGUUUCUUAAACUCCUCAAACAUCCAAAUAAACGACUCAGUCGUUUCCUUGCUAAAAAAUGCACAUGCUAAGACAAUUGUCUGACCAUGGUUAUUAACUCCCAACAUUGGUGCAAAUGUCAAGUCGUAUCGAUUCGUGUUGAAUGUGGUAUCGAAUACAACAACAUCUCCAUAAAACCCGUACGCCCGUCUAGAAGUUGCAUCUGCCCAAAAAAAUCGACUAAACUUGUCAUGGCCAUCUCCCUCAAUCUUGAAAUAAAAAGCCUCAUUUUUUUCUGUUCAGCCAUAAAAUACUCGGUCACUAGUUCAACAUCGUGGUUCCUCAGCUUCCCAUUCACACUACAUUCAAGAUUGUAGAUAUCUUUUUUGAUAAAUCUGAUUUUAUCCAUUCCUCCGGAUUGCACCUCGAAAAUACUUACCUUCUGAUGAAUGAGAAUAUUAACUGAACCCAACUGUUUUGUGAGUACUUUUGUAGAAUCUGAAAUACGACGGUGUGAUCUUAAUAAAUGCAUUCUUUCUGAGGGUGUCAUCUUAUGAUUGUGUCCCUCUGCAAAAAGAGAGAUGGUAUACUUCUUGCUCCCAUUUGCCUUCACAACUACAAUCUUAGCUUUGCAAUUGCAUCUACUUAUUCCCCGUUGUCUUUUUCUCUCUCAAGUUUCAUCUCUCAUGUAUGCACCUUGUUUGCAACAUACAAAUUCUUUCCUCAAAAUCUCUUUCUUAUUUUUCCCCCAAAAGCUGGAAUGAAGUCGAAUACCAAAGCCAGCCAAGAAUGCAUAUCUAUUAUAGAAAUUGUAAACGAGGUCAAGCGAGUCGAACUUCAUCCCAACUGCUGGUGUUUCCUCAUUUCUUACUUCAGGAAUAUAAACCCUCCCAUUAGCUGUUACACAGUCAUCACUCUCUGAGCCCCCAGACAUUUUAUCUACAUAUAUUAUUGAUCCACUUCUAUAUUACUGCAUAGCAAAUAUUAAUUCAUUAAUCAGUCAUUACUGCAUCACAACAUAUCAAUGCAUUCCACUUACACAAAACAUUGCCCAAAUUGACACAAAACACACAUAGCCUAACUUGUUGGAUUCCGAUUACACAAAACGCAAGCAAAAUUUAAUAAUAGUUACGUCAUCUCUUGUGAAAUAAUCUGGAAAAAAUAACAUUAGAACCAACAUGUUCAACUAAGAACACAAAUGUAAUUCAAACCACCAAUUACAGAACUUCACCCAAUAUCCUCUCCAAAUGCUUACUCCUAAUGUCAUUAAGCCUAAAUUUAGGAUCUUUUACCUACAUUUCAUAAUUUUCCACCCCCACCAAAAACAAUCAACUAAGUAUAUUGAAUAUUCAUAAAGAAAGGACACAUUAUUGACUCCACCAAUGACGCAUUAUUGAUGCCACAAAUGACGAAUUUCCCACCCUCACAAAAAAUAAACCAAAGCCAAUAAAAUCAAUCCAGCAAGUGAACUUACCUCUCAAAAUCAAUCGGGAGCUCCGAAGUCAGUCAGCUUGAGAGAAUGUGGUGGACAUUAGAGAAGACUCUUUGGUAUUUGAGACUCCAUCUCUACCAAAAUUGAGGAACAACUGCUGCUGCGGCAUCUAGCUACAAAAAGAGAUAUGCUACUUUACUUUCAUCUGGAAUCUUGUCUGCUGAAUGAAAAAGAGAAGGGGUUUUCACUUGAGCCAUAAAAUCAAAACAGGGCAACAGCUAGGUAAGAGCCAUUAAUCGCAAUACCGAGGAUACCAUAGAUCGCAGGCCUCCCAAGAAGCUGAUGACAAUGGAGUGACUAUAGGGUUUGGGAGCUUUGGAUCCUUCUAAUUGUGGGUUUUCUUUACAUUCAAAAAGAGAGGAUUAUGUUCUUGAGUUUUUCACAAAGAGGGAAAGAGGGAAAGAUGAGACUGAAGUUGGGUUUCUAACGGGUUAGAUUUCAACCCGAUUCUACAUGCACCCUUUUUAAAAACUCACCGUUGGAUGAAAUCCAACGGCUCUUACAUACCCCUCAAAAACACCCCUUAUAACUUUCCACUCACUAUAGAAGCUCCCAAAAGAAAACAGAUUUGCCAAAAAUCAAAUUUUAAGUCUCUCCUACGAUCGAAAUUUGGAUUUGAUGAACUAAAGUGGUUUUACUUUCUCCAUCAGUGUUUGAUGACUUAAUUUGUUAUUUACUUUUUUUAAAAAAACUUUAUCUUAUAUAUAUUAGUUUUCUUUUUUCCUUCAUAUUCACCACCUUUAUGUUGCUUAAGUAUUUCAGUCUUAACGGGUUUCCAUCUACCACUCAUCUUUGCUCUUCUCAGUGUAAGCCUUUUUUUUAAGCAUAAGAUUAGAGGGGAGGGGGGGGAGGGGGAUUUCUUAAUGUAAGCUUUGCAGUUUCAUAAUUAAUAUUUCCAAUAUCUCACUGUUAGUAAAAUACAAAACAUGAAAAGUAUGAAUAAAAUACGCACAUGUUACUAAUUUAUUGAGAUAAAAUACCAUUUUGCCCCUAGAAUAUUUUAUUAGGUUUAAAGUUGACUUUUUGACCAGGAAGGAAUUUGGGUAUUUCGACUAUAUCGUUGCAUAGAGCACGACGAGGUGAUUCCAUAGACACGUGGUAGGCUCGAAUCGGAGUUGUAAUGAGAGACAUACGAUCAAAAUACCUUCAGUGGCAUAAUCGUAAUUUUGGCUUAAAGGGUUUGAUAAAAUAUGAUUUUUCUUUCUUUCUCUCUCUCUCUCUCCCCGCCCAGUCUCUCUCUCGUGACGGCAGUGAUAGCCGGCCACAUUUUGGCCAGCCGUGCUCUCGUCCGGCCACCAAAGCUGAUGGGGCCGGUACCAAAAUGAUCAGGCCACCAUCCUUUUCCAACCUCAGCCAGGCCCCGCCGCCAGCAGUCGUGGUUUUGCCGGAAAAUGGAGAAGAAGCGGCCGGUUUUGUUCGAACUUCUCCGACUUCGUUCUCCCUCCUCUGGCCACCGAUUCCGAUGAAUGAGGUAUGGUUUCUCACCUACUUUUCAUGCUCUAGCUGCCUGUUGGGUAGGAUUCGAUCAAUCCCUAGUGUAGGUGGCUUGAUUUUCGAAUUGGGUUUCAGCCGAUUUUGGGAUCUCGAUUCCAGCCCCUUUCGAUCAGUUUUUAGGGUAGGUCCCAGAACAAAAGUGGUUCCAAAUAGGGUGUUAUACCUAGGUAGGAACCUUGAGCCGUGAUUUUGAGAAUUUUCUACGAUGCCUAAUCGCUUUGGACACCCACGCGCUACCGGCACGUGGGCACUGUAGAAAAAGGGCAUUGUGUCCCGAUGCGAUCCCCUUGUUGUCUUGAGUGCAUAGGUGUGCUCGGAUUUCAAUUGAAUACCGUUUGAGUCUCGAACGAAUAUCACAUAUUGUGCGUUAUCCGGAGUCGAUAGGUUUGAACCGUUGGAUAGUCUUAGAUUUAUAAUAUGUUAAUCUAGAUAUUCUUAGGAUCAAAAAGGAUUUGACGGAUCGUAAAAUGGAGUCCCGGAUACUCCGAAAAUGCCAACCCUAGGGCUAGGUUCCUAGUAACCGUCCGAUCGUGCAAUCAUGAGCAAUCCGACAGUCCGAUCCGGACCAAACUUGCAGGACGUGUAUCCUAAACCUUGUAGAACCCAUAGGAACUUUCAGAUUAGAAUUUGGAGGUCGUGGGCCCCUUGGGCCCGUUUGACUAAGUUUGGGUAGUUUGACCAUUGGCUGAUCGUGAGUCUUCAAAGGUAGUUUUACCUUCCUAGGAGGAUUAUAAAGACCCUAGUGACAGGUCUUGAGCGUUGUUGAGCUAUGUUGACUAGGUUUAGACUUUUAGAGUGUUUAUUAUUAUCGUAGGAAACUCUUGGAUAUUAUUUUAAUAAUUGAAAUUAUGAAAUUUAUGUUUAUGUGCAUGAUCGUUGGUCUAAAAAUAGCAUUAUUUUCCUGAUAAAAUUACGUUGCAGUAUACUAUAGAAUGGUAUCACUAAAUGGGGAUUACCUCUAUUAUUAGUUUAGAUAAUUAUGAGUAUGUCAGUUUGAAGUGCUAUACGCACUACCCUAAGUACCACCCUGUGAUUGUUAGGUCCCAUGUGGUGUAGGUUAUCCAGUGUAAGGACAGACCCCAUACGUGGCUUCAGAUGUUCUGAAGUAUUGGGGAGAUUAUGUGAUGGUUUUGUCACACGUGGCGUAGGUUAUCCGGCGUGUUGACAGACCAUAUACAUGGAGUUGGAUGUUCCGGCAUAUGGAGAGAUUUUGUGAUUGUUAGGUCCCACGUGGCGUAGGUUAUUCGGCGCGAGGACAAACCCUAUAUGUGGCUUUAGAAGUUCCGGCGUAUGAGGGAGAUUAUGUGAUGGUUAGGUCACACGUGGCGUAGGUUAUCCGGCGUGUUGACAAACCUCAUACGUGGUGUUGGAUGUUCCAGCGUAUGAGGAGAUUUUGUGAUUGUUAGGUCCCACGUGGCGUGGGUUAUCCGGCGUAAGGACAGACCCCAUACGUGGCUUUGGAUGUUCCGGCGUAUGGGGGAGAUCAUGUGAUGGUUAGGUCACACAUGGUGUAGGUUAUCCGGCGUGCUGACAGACCCCAUACGUGGCGUUGGAUGUAACGACCCGGUCCUAAAUAAAUUAGUAAAUAUUAAUUUAUUCAAAGAAAAUACCAUUUUGCCCAUAGAAUAUCUUAUUAGGUUUAAAGUUGAUUUUGUGAUCGGAAAGGAAUUUCAGAAUUUCGACUAUACCGUUGCGUAGAGCACGACGAGAUGAGUCCGUAGACACAUAGUGGGCUCGAAUCGGAGUUGUAACAAGAGAGAUACGAUCAAAAUACCCUCAGUGGCAUAACCGUAAUUUUGGCGAAAAGGGUUGAUAAAAUCAUAUUUCUCUCUCUCGGCCGGAAAUCCCAGUUGACAAAAUCCCGGCCGGAAACCUUGAAUUUCAGCCACAGCUUCGACUGGUUUGAACAGGGUUUUUCCCGGCUUUGCCCCAUCGCCUCCGCCGCCCAAUUCUGGUGAAACAGGUAUGGUUCCUCACCUAUUUUCCGAGAUCUAGCUGCUGUUGUGUAGGAAUUGGACAAUUUUCGUGUUUAGGAACUCGAUUUAGAAUUUUGGUUUUGCCCGAAUUUUCAAAGUGAAAUUUCGGCCACUUCUGCUAGUUUUUGGGGUAUGUCCAAGAACAAAAGUGGUUCCAAAUAGGGUGUUAUACCUAGAGUAGGAACCUUGAGCCAUGAUUUUGAGAAUUUUCGGCGAUGCGUAAUCGCUUUGGAAGCGCGUGGGCACUGUUGAAAAGGGGCAUUGUGUCCCGAUGAGAUUCCCCUGUUGUCUUUAGCGCGUAGGUGUGCUCGGAUUUCAAUUUGGAUACCGUUUGUGUCUUGAACGGAUAUCACAUAGUGUGCGUUAUCCGGGUUCGAUAGGUUUGAACCGUUGGAUAGUUUUGAAUUUGAUAUAUGUUAAUCUAGGCAUUUCUAAGAUCGUGUAGGAAUUCACGGAUCUUGAAUCGGAGCCCUGGAUGUUCCGAUUUAAUAACUUAAAGUUUAUGUUUAUAAUAACCGUCAGAUCGUGCAAUUGUGAGCGAUCCGACCGCCCGAUCCAGACCAAACUUGUUGGACGUAUAUCCUAAACCUUGUGGAACCUAUAGAAAUUUUCGGAUUAGAAUUUGGAGGUCGUGUGCCCCAUGGGCCCGUUUUACCAAGUAUGGGUAGUUUGACCCUUAGUUGACCAUGAGUCUUCCGAGGUAGUUUUACCUUCCUAGGAGGAUUAUAAUGACCCUAGUGACAGGUCUUAACCGUUGUUGAGCUAUGUUGACUAGGUUGAGACUUCUAGAGUGUUUAUUAUUAUUGUAGGAAAUUCUUAGAUAUUAUUUUAAUAAUUGAAAUUAUGAAAUUUAUGUUUAUGUGCAUGAUCGUUGGUCUAAAAAUAAUAUUAUUUUCCUGAUUAAAUUACGUUACAGUCUACUAUAGACUGGUAUCACUGAAGUGGGAAUACCUCUAUUAUUAGUUUAGAUAAUUGAGAGUAUGUCAGUUUGAAAUGCUAUACGCACUACCCUAAGUACCACCCUAUGAUUGUCAGGUCACCCGUAGCGUAGGAUUUUCUGGCGAGAUGACAUACCCCAAUUGUGGCGUUGGAAUUUCCGGCGUAUGGAGAGAUUAUAUGAUUGUCAGGUUACGCGUGGCGUAAGAGUUUUCGGCAUUAUGACAGACCUCAUACGUUGCGUUGGAAUUUCCGGCGUAUAAGGAGAUUAUUUGAUUGUCAAGUCACCCGUGGCGUAGGAUUUUUCGGCGGGAUGACAGACCUCAUACGUGGUGUUGGAAUUUUUGGCGUAUGGGGAGAUGAUAUGAUUGUUACGUCACAUGUGGCGUAAGUUAUUCGACGUGCUGACAGACCCCAUAGGUGGCGUUGAAAUUUCCGGCAUAUGGGGAGAUGAUAUGAUUGUUAGGUCACACGUGGCGUAAGUUAUCCGGCGUGCUGACAGACCCCAUACGUGGCGUUGGAAUUUCCGGCGUAUGAGGAGAUUAUGUGAUUGACAGGGAGAUGAAUAAAGGUAUUGUAUGUGUUUGGAAUGGGGAUUUAGUAGGAAGAACUACGUGUGGCUUGAUCCCUCAGUGAGGGUAUGUAGGUAGCCUAAGGUUAUUAGGUGCAGCCGCGGACAUAGAUGUGAUUGUGUUAGGAGGUUAAAACCUCGUAUGUUGGAAUUGGAAAAGUUAGAUGAUGUAUGUUGUAUUUAGUAUUCAUAAUUCAUAUUUGAGUUUAUUAUUUGCCUUGCUGAAAGCAAUAUGUGACUCAAGAGCUUUGUGGGUAGUUUGGGAUAUUAAAUGUGUUUUAUGCAGGUUGAAAAAUUUGGGGAAUGAUCAAUUUACAGGGGAGACUUUGCCGAAAUUUCGACAGAAAGUCCCGGUCUUUAGUAAGUGGGCCCGGCAUCGGGGUGAUGUCGAGAAUUCCAUAGGAUUCGUAUCGGGUUUCGGGAAAUCUGGGGCUAGUCUUGUCAUUGGAUGUUCCGGCGUAUGGGGAGAUUUUGUGAUUGUUAGGUCCCACGUGACGUAGGUUAUACGACGUGAGGACAGACCCCAUACGUGGCUUUGGAUGUUCCGGUGUUUGGGGAGAUUAUGUGAUUACUAGUGAGAUGAAUAAAGGAUUGUUUAUAUUGGGAAAAAUGUGUUUGUAGAAAGAAUUACGUGUGGCUUGAUCCCUCAGUAAGGGUACGUAGGCAGCCUAGGGUAGUGGUUAGGUGCAGCCGCUGACUAAACGUUAUAAUGUUGUUUUUAGGUUUGAUUAUAUGGUAUUAUGGGCCGAGGCCCCUGGGACUAUUGGUUAUAAUUCAUAGAUGGUAGUUGAUGCAUGCUAGAAAUUUGUAGGAAGUUAUUUCAUGUGGAUUGCAGUGGUACUCGUAAAAUUUAUUUGAGUUCCUGAAUUGCAUUGUUAGUAUAUUAAUUGACUUAAGAGUACUGCUAGUAGUUCUGCCUUGAUUUAUUUGAAGGUUGGAGGCCUUGUCUGUAAACUGUGUGCAAUUACAUUGUGUGUGCUGGCAGUUGGCUUUUUAAAUUGUGAAUUUUGUGCAUGUUGAAAUUUGGGAAAUGUUCAAUUUACAAGGGAGACUCUGUCAAAAUUUCGAUAGAAAGUCUUGUGCCCUUAUUCCUUUUUCGGAAAAAGGAUAUAUAGCUUUAGAAGUGGGCCCGACAUCGGGAUGAUGUCGGGAAUUUCGACAGAAUUCGUCUUAGGUUUCGGAAAAUUCGGGGCGGGUCCGAAAAAGUUGCUUCAGUUUUGGCAAGUAUCGGAAAAGACCAAAAUUUUCCGACUUUAUUAUUACUAGAAACAAAGUCGAAGUAUUCACCAAUCAUGUGGCCUUCCAAGUGCUCAAGGUUAAGCCAGGAACCGUUCCUAUCUGCCGUUUCCUUCCCAACUAUGAUCAUGUUGUCUAGGUUCCAACCCACAAAUCUACAUUGGGCUAUGUAUUUGAAUUUGUACUAAAGCGUGAUCUAUAGUAUGCAUUUAUUAGAUAAGUUUGAGAUGGCAGUGGCUUGGGUGUCCGCCGAGCUUGAACAAGUUUGGGUGUGCUGAGUGUUUCCAUGGGUGCGUUGAUGAUCAUGGUUAUUAGAUUUGUGAUAGUUUGGGCUCAAUUUCAACAGAACUUAUCUCAAGCCUAGUUAGUUGAUUCAUAAGUUUAUCAGGAAAAAAAAAUGAAAAAUGAAAAAUGAAAAAUGAAAAAAUCUUAAGUUAAGCCCAAGGACUUCUCACCAAAGUGUGCAUAAAUUGAAAUAUUUAAUAGAAGCCCAAGAUUUCUGAAGCACAUAAUAUCUACUAAAUUCUACAAAGUGUUAUACUUUACAAACUUCCUAUGUGUACCAAUUUUUACUAAAAUUAAUUUCUCUGCGGUGUUGAGAUUCAUCAUAAUUUUAGUAGAAAUUGGAAGUUUUCAUCAUUUUUGCUUUAAGUCUCUCCUCCACUCACUAAUAAAGAUUACUCAAGUGAGUUUACAAAACAUUUUUUUCUACUCUCUCCUGAAAACUACACUUCUUCUCAAAAGAUUAGAUCACUUCACAUCUUGCAUAUGUGAAAACUAAUGUAAAAAGUUGAAACUUUAUCAUAAAACCUCGACAAAAAUUAGCUCUACUUAAAACGUUAAAUUUGGAUUCGUUGAUUUAAAUGGCAAUUUGACACUUCAUAGAAAUUUUUACAUACAUGUGUUAGUGUUUGAUCACUUCACUUGUUACUUACUAUAUUUAUUCCAUGAUUCUCCCUCAAGUUAGGUAAAUAUUAUUAUCAAACAUUUCAAUUCAUUUGUGAUCUUUCUUGUCCAUCUUUUAAUGUACCCUGAAAUCCAUUAGCCACAUAUGAUGACCAAAAUCCAUACGUUCCUAUUUUUAAUGUAUGUUUACUCCCUAUAAUGUUCCAGUCUAGGGUAAUAACACUGCUAGUUUCAUAUGACAUCCUAUUUCUAAUGUGUAUCUACCCUUGUAAUGUUCCAGUUUAGGGUAAUAACACUGCUAGUUUACUAUCAUGUUGAUUAAUGCUUGUCAUGUUGCUAUUUCUAAUACAUGUCCAACAAAGAAAAGAUGAAGAAAGAACAAACCAGACCAACUCAAAAUAAGUUGAGUCCAAAUAGUUAAUACUAUUAUGUCGUAGAAGUACGUUGUUAAUACUCUGUAAUAGAAGUACAUGGUUAAUACUCUGUCAUAGAAUUACAUUGUUAAACAAAAAUAAGAUCCAUAACUGAAAUAGUAAUAAAAGAUAAGUCGAUCAUCAAAUCUUAAAAUACAUUUCGAAAAUCAACUAAAAUCCGAAGAGAAACACAUAAUUGAAGCAAAAGAUCAAAAAUCUCAAGUCCAAACCAAACAACGACGACGACGACAAUGAUGACGACAAUGACGUGGCGAAGAGGAGUAGAGCUCGAAGAUGAGGAGUAGAGCUAAGAGCAUUUGAUCAAGGUUCGUUUGAGGUCUCGAACAAUCCGAAAAAAAAAAAUCAAUAGAAGCAAGAUUUUAAAACAAGAAUCGAAUGUGAAAUAUUGAAAAUUGUAGAUUAAAGAUGAAGAAUAUAGUUGGACCUGAGACUGAGCUCCAAUGGAAGCUCCUCUUGCUCCAACACCAGAGAAAGCACCAACAAGAAAAGAGAAAAUAAAUAUGAUUUGGAUUUUUGGCAGAUUUGAAUUUUUGGCAGAUCUGGUUUUUUUGGCAAAUUUGAAUUUUUGGCAGAUCUGUGCAGAUUUGUUUUUUUGGCAGAUCUGAUUUUUCUCUCUCAAAUCCAUAUUGCAAGGGCAAUAUAGGUAUUUAACACACACAAAUAAACUAAAAAACAGCUAUUAAAUUGAAAAAUUUGACAGCUAUCAAUUUUGGGUGUGUUUGUAGUUUUUAAAUAGUAUAGGGUUUCUUUAUUAGACUAUGUCUACGAUUGGGUAUAUAAUUAAAUUUCUAUUAUUAAAAAAAAAGGACCCUAGUAAAGCCAUGGGACGAUACUCCUUUUAUAUAUAUUAUAUGAUAUAAAUAUUAUAAUAUAUUAUCUAAUAUUUGGAAUAUUUACUCUAAAAUAAACAAUAUAUUAGGUUCUUUUUGUCUACAAAUUGACCAUUAAACUUCUUAAUCACUCUUAUACUUUUAAUUAAAUCUACUAGGCUAGGUUACGAUAUUUGCACUAAAAACUCCUAAUUGUUUUUUCUUCUCUUUCUCUUGCUCUUUUUUUAACUUAAGCUGAAGUUUUGUAAUUUUUUUUCCCUCCCUUUUUACAUGUAUGAGUAGGGUACUUUAAUAUUGGGAUUUAUGAACUUUUUUUGUAUUUCUUCUCUAUGUUGGAAUAUAAAUUAGAGAUAUUUAGUCAUAUACCCAUUCUUAGCACUAAUAUUAUAAAUAAACCUUACAUCAUUCAAUUCCUAUAAACAAACCCAAAAAAUAAUAGCUGGCCCUAUUGAAUUUAAUUUUGACUAUUAAAUUACUUUGAUGCCCUAUUGAGUGUUUUGGGCUUUUUUUUAUGAGAUUUUGGAGUUGAGUUUGUUUUAAGAAAUCAAUGGCAAUUUUGUAAUUUAAAAAAAAUUAAAAGGCUUUUUGUUAUGUUGUAAAUAGGUUUCGAGUGUGUUUCUAAAGUCCAUUUCAUAUAGGUUUUUUAUAUAUAAUAAUUUGAACUCCUAUAUUGGGUAUAAUAGUGAAUCUCCAUUUAUUAACUUUUGAGUCUUUAAUAGUGUAGAUGAUGAGAUUAAUAUUCAACCAUUUUAUAAUAUGAAAUUAAGGACAAUCAUGAUUGUAAUGAAUGGAUUAUUAAUCAAUAUGAAAUGAUAUUAUGAAGUAGGCUAAAUGGAGUAGUUAGUAUCGUAUUAACUUAUUAACCGGUUAGCGCUUGAGCCCUCUAAUUCAAAUUAUUUUAUAAAAUUUUGUGAAGGGCCCCUUCUAAUGCAAAUUCCUGGCUGCGCCACUGCCUAUAGCAACUUGGUAAUGUGUGUGAAACAUCCCCUCCUUUUGUCGUUUAAACUAUCGGUUCGCUUGUAUUAAUAAAACAAAAAAUAAAAUAAAAGAUAAAAUUAUAAAUAAAACAAAACACAUAUUAAAGCCUAACUGUUAAUAAUGGAUCCAACAUAAGAUCCAGCCCAAGCCCAUGAAUAAAGCCCCCGAAAACGGUUGGUCCCUCAAUUAAAUUAUUCGUUCAAAUGGUCCAUCAACUCUAUAUUAUUCGCUCCAUUGGUCCUACCGUUAUAUUUUGUCAAUAUUUCUGUUAAAUAUGAGGGCAAAUUGGUCAUUAUUUAUCCUAAAAUUAGGUUAAAUCUAACAUAAAAUUAGACGGUAGGAAUUCGGGGCAGGUCAUGUCAAAAAGCUAAUUAGAGGGGCGAAAUUGACAAAUAAAUUUAAUACAAUAGCUAAAUUGGUUGAAAGAUUAAUUCAAGAUGUAGAUUUCAACAAGUGUGAUAAUUCAUGGGGUAUUCGGUAAUUUACUCCUUUUUUUCCCCUUGAUCUUCUAUAUUCAAGUAAUGGAAAUGUGUUCCACAUUUUCCAUUUAGUUGAUUAUAGAAAAGGAAGAGCAAACAUGAGUUAAGCCCAAGGCACCGAACUUAGGGUCAGUUUGGCAUUGUUAUGCUGUGAAAAUAAUCGUUGUCAGAUUUGCUGUGAGAGAAAAUAGUUUGGCGUUUGGUAAAAUUUUUGUUAAAAGUAUUAUUAGUAUUUAUUUUACGCAUAAUCAGAAAAUGAUUGCUGCAUAAUCAUUAAAUCCAGCGCCUUUUCGAAACUGAUUUUUGCAUAAUCAGAAAAUGAAAGCACAUCAUUAGCUGCUUUCCUUUAUAGCUUUCUCUCACAUCAAUUUUUAACAAUAAGUGAUUUUCUCACAGUUUACCAAAUGGAUUGGGCUUCUCAAAAUUUUAAAAAAAUCACUUAUCACCCCAAAUAAGUAAUGCCAAACGGGCACUUAGACUUCUCACCAACGUGAGGAAGAAAAAUAUGACAAAUUGAUAUAUUUAAUACAAGCUCAAACUGUGCACAAAUUAAUAUAUGCAACGGAAGCCCAAGAUUAUUUCUGAAGCACAUAAUUUCCGCAAAAUCUACAAAGUGGUGGGAGGCAGACCAACAAAAAAAAGUAGCGAAGGCUUAUAACUCUGGUAAAACAAGAGUGACUUGGACAGAAUAAUGUUAUGUCGUACUGAAGAUUUUUGGGUUUCUUUAAUUGGUUAAGUUUAUAUACCUUCAUUUGAAGAUUCUUUAUUUGGGUUGCUUUCAAGAUGAAAACCAUAUCCACAACCACAACCACAACUGGCAGACAAUCUUUGGCUGUUCAUCACAAUUGGGCGACAAUGAAGAAGACAGAAAUUGGAGUAAUGUAUGUUACCAGCAAUCCACGAGAAACUGACAUCUGCAAGCUUUCGUAAUAUAAGGAGGAUGGGGAGGCCGUGCAAUACUUAUCACCUUAGCCACCACCUACACCACAAGACCAAUAUGUUGUAGGCCAGGAGGCUUUCCAAUUUUAAUAUAUAUAUAUAUAUAUAUAUAAAAGUAAAGUGACAAAGAAAUUAAUGUAGGGUAAAGGUAGAAUAGAAAAGAGAAUGAACAAAAUUAAUAAAAAAAAGUUUUAAAAAGUAAAAGGGAGUGUAGAUGGAGAAAAGAGGAAUGGGGAAAUUAGCUCCCUAUAUAUAUAUAGAUUGAAAAAUUAAAAUUAAAAUCAAUCUAUUAUCUUAUAUAUUAUAAAAUAAAGAUUAUUGCUCCAAGGAAAUGAGAUCUUUUGUUUUCUGGGAAUUUUCUGAACCAAGAAGAAUCAAGUAAAAUUAAUAAAGCAUAAAUUGGAAAGGGAAAAGAUCCAGAGGAUGCAUUGUAAGAUUGCUGAUGCCAAUAAUUGUACCCUCUAAUUUUAUACAUGGACGGGCAUUCAAAUCGGCAAAUCAGAAAUCCAAGCCAAAUCGCACAGGAAAAAAUCGAGUUGACCAAAUAGUCAACAACCAAUCAAAAACCAUACCGGACCAGUUUGGACCGGUUUUGGAUCCAAUUCUAUGUCUUCAAAAACUGAACCAAGCGGAACCGAACCAGUCAAAUUAAAAAAUAUAUAAUUUCAAUAUAUAUUUAUAUUCAAUGCUAUAUUUUUAGUCUCAUAACUAAUAUUUAUGCAAGUUCAAUUUCAAAACAUCUCUCUUUUCUGGCUUUAAUAUUUAUUUUUAUAUAAAAUUAAAUAAUUUAUUAAUUUUCAAGUCAAAAAAAUAAAAUUUUAGUUGAAAUUUGUAUUAAAAAAUUAUUUGAAAAAAAUUAAUUUUAAUAAUCCAGUUCAAAACCAAAUCGGACCGGAACCUAAUCAAAAUCGGUUCAACCUGAACCGGACAGUUUUUGAAUUUUUUUUGUUAAAACCGAACCAAACCAAACCGGACAAAUAGUAUCGGAUUCGGUUCUAAUUUGAGACAAAAACCAGUCCAAACCGGACCGUGCCCACCCUAUUUUUUUUGUUUUCAAGUCUUAGAUGACAUGUCGACCUAAAAUUAUUGUUCCUAGCGGGCUCUCCACCCCCACUCAACCUAUUGUGUAUUAUUAUUUUCAAUAUUAUCUUAAAUUUAACUACUUAUGUCCAUUAUGAUUAGUCAUGUAUUUUAUGGACCAUCCAGCUGUGAGGCUUUAUCUCAAAAACAUUCAGUACCUUUUUCCCGCUUGCAACAAUUGUAUUUGAUUCAGAAUUAUGUCCUAUAUUGGUGGGUGGAGUGUUACUUCUGGGUACCCCUCAUCAUUCGUCUAUAAAAUGGUGAAGCCAGUUGCUACUGUUACCAUAAGAGCCAUCUCCGACUUUCUUUAAUUUCUUGCUUCAUAUCCACUAGCUACAUCUGUUGCCAAGUUAAUUUCAGUCCUAAUGGGGUUUCAUCUCCCACUCAUCUUUGCUCUUCUCAGUGUAAGCUCUGCAAUUUGAUUAACAUUUCCAUUAUCUCUCAUUGUACUCUAUAUAAACGAAAGUUUUGCAUUCCUAUAAUCCUCUCUGAUUUUAUUUACCACAUAAGUGUCGUCCACUAAUUAAUUACACUUUGUGAUUUGAUUUUAAUUAGAGUUCGAAUUAAUGUUGCAGCUAGCAGCGGUGGCACUGGCAAACCAUGCUGCUCAACCAGCAGCUCAACUUUACUGGAACUCCGUCCUGCCGAACACACAGAUGCCAAGAACUAUCAGUGAACUUCUGCAUCUUGGUUUGUGUUAAUCACUUUAGAAUCUUAGAUAUUUUUUCUACCUGCCAUUUUACUAAAAUUUGUUUGACCACAUAUUUAUCGGUUAACUACUGUUUUCCAAUUUAUUAUUAACCUCUACAUGAGUAAUUAUAGUAUGGUACUAGAGUACGUACGGCAACAUAUUCACAAAUGUCUCACUGAAUCUUCAAUCGGCUGAUCACUUAUUUUCCAUUAUGACGUUGAUAUAUAAUUUGCCGACUCCACAAAUGAAGAAAAGAGCACAAAUAUCAUGAAUGCUGUUGGGAAUGGAAAGCCAACUGACCACAAGGGAAAACCUGAAAUAAACGCAUUGUUUAGCGGAUACACAAUUCAAGUACAGUAUGCAGGAGUUCCUAAUUCUGACAAUCAACUCCAGUAUUAUAAAAACAUAACUAUUUUCUUCUUGGGGAAGGACAUGCGCCUUGGCGCAACAAUGAACUUCCAAUUCCCUAGAAAUUCAAACACGGCUACUUUCCUGCCACGCGAAAGUGCUCAAUCAAUCCCCUUCUCCUCUAACAAACUAUCAGAAAUUUUCAAACAUUUUUCAGUGAAGCCAACAUCUGUGGAAGCCAAAACAAUUAAGAAAACAAUCGAAGAGUGUGAAGCUCCAGGCAUUAAGGGAGGGGAAAGAUAUUGCGCCACAUCUUUAGAAUCAAUGGUUGAUUUUAGCACUUCCAAGCUUAGAACAAGAAACGUUCAAGCAAUCUCGACUGAGGUAUUGGAAAAAGGAACUGCCAUGUCCAUGCACAAGUAUACAACAAUGCCGGGACUGAAGAAGUUGGCAGGUGACAAAGUCGUUGUGUGUCAUAAGGAGAACUAUCCCUAUGCUGUGUUUUUCUGCCAUGCAAUAAAACAAACAGCAGCUUAUGUUCUCUCCCUGAAAGGCGAUGAUGGGGUGAAGGUUAAAGCAGUAACCAUCUGCCAUCUAGACACAUCAGAAUGGAACCCAAAGCAUUUGGCCUUCCAAAUCCUCAAAGUUAAGCCCGGAACCAUUCCCAUCUGCCAUUUCCUUUCCACAGAUGCUAUUGCAUGAACAUCACUUAGCACUGUACGUAUAAUAAGCUUGCACCCCUGUAUAAUUAUCUCCCUACUCUACUUAUUUCUGCCUCUUCUGUUGAGAUUUCAAUCAGAACUUGCACACACAAUGCAUCAGCUCACACAAAACCAGAUGAAUUUAAGAAAACAGAAAAAUGCAGAGAAAGAAUGGAUUGGCUACUCAGUAAUGCUCAAAGGUUCGUUGCUAUGCACAAAACAUGGCAGUGCACAAUACUCUCAUUUCUAACGGAACCAUUCCUUUUUACAAUGCUGAGAAUGUGAUCUCAGCCUUACAAUUGAUCCAGCAAUGUAAGCUGGACACUUGUCUUAAAUCUGAGUCAUAUAAGUUUCAUCCAACCAAAAUAUUACAUCUGUGAAAUAAAACUUAAACCAGCAGGAAUUUAUAAUUCGACAUUCCCUUCUAAAUUGUUGACUGGUUUAACACCAAGUAGACCUCUUAAGUAAUUGAAUCGAUCCUUAGACAAAGCUUUAGUGAAUAUGUCAGCUGCUUGCUCUUCGGACUUGCAGUAUCUUAGAUCCACCACACCUUCUUGCAAAGCAUCUCGAAUGAAAUGGUAUAUGCGGUUAAUGUGUUUGGUCUUUUGAUGGAAAACUGGAUUCCUUGUCAUUGCAAUGGCAGAGGUGUUAUCUACCAUUAAUGGAGUUGCCUCUGUUUGCUAUUCUCCAAAGUCUUCAAGCACAAACUUCAACCAUAUAGCUUGAGUAGUAGCUUCACUUACACUAACAUAUUCAACUUCAGUUGUGGAGAGAGCAACACUGGGUUGCUUGACAGAUGCCCAAGAUGACACGCCACUUCCAAAUGAGAAAGCAUAUCUAGAAGUGCUCUUCAUGUCAUCUUGACUCCCACUCCAGUCACUGUCACAGUAUCCAAUUAAUACAACUUCUUUUCCCUUCUGGUAUUCAAUACCAUAAUCAAUUGUGCCUUUGAUAUACCUCAACACCCUCUUAGUUGUUCCAUAGUGUUUCUUUUAGGACAAUGCAUGAAUCUAGCUAAUAAGCUAGCUGCAAACAUUAUGCCAGGCCUUGUAGCUGUUAAGUACAACAAACUUCCCACAAUCUGCCUAUAUUCAUUCUCAUCUGCUGGAUCACUUCCAUCUGCUUUGCAUAAUUUCUCACUUGCCACCAGAGGAGUGCUAACAGGUUUACAUUGUUUUAAGCCAAACUUGCUUAACAGAGUCAAAGCAUAUUUCUUUUGACUUAUGAAAAUACUCUUUUCAGUUUGAAUCACAGCCAUACCAAGAAAAUGAUACAAAAGACCUAAGUUAGUCAUUUCAUACCUUCUCAUCAUCUUAGACUAAAAAUCUGCAAUCAAUUCUUCACUGCUUCCUGUAUACACUAUAUCAUCAACAUAUAUCGAUACAAUGAGUGUUCUAGAGUUUUCCUUGGUCUUGCAAUACAGAGUUGCUUCACUAGAGCUCCUUGUAUAACCGCAGUCAAUAAGAUACGAGUUUAUUUCCUCAUCCCAUGCUCUUGGCGCCUGUUUUAGACCAUACAGAGCUUUCUUUAGUUUGUACACUUUGUCUUUAGAGUUCUUAAUCACAAAACCAUCUGGCUGGUCCACAUAUACUUCUUCCUUAAGCACACCAUUCAGAAAAGCAGACUUGACAUCCAAUUGAUACAACUUCCACCCCUUUUGAGCUGCCAAUGCAAUAAAAGUUCUAAUGGUGUCUAAUCGGACUCUGCACCCCUCUCGAUUGAAAACCUAUUGUGUAAAUCUUCAAUCCUAAACGAUGCACCUAAAACACAUGUUGCAAUACACAUCCACCCAUUCUCAGGCCAAUUAUUGCUCAUAGUGGGCUCCCGACCCCCUCUCAAAUUUAAGUGGUCCAUUAUUCUUAACCACAUAUUUUAUGGACCAUCCAGCUGUGAGGUUUUGUCUCAAAAACCUUCGGUACAUUUCUCCCACAUGCCACAAUUGUAUAUUCACAAUUACGUCUGAUACAUCACAUCAUGCCACUUGCCUCAAAUGAAUUUAAGUGAGUGAGGCAGUUGGAAGUAAUUAAGCUCUAUAUUGGUGGGUGGAGUGUUACUUCUGGGUACCCCUCAUCAUUUGUCUAUAAAAUGGUGAAGUCAGUUGCUACUGUUACCAUAAGAGCCAGCUCCGACUUUCUUUAAUUUCUUGCUUCAUAUCCACUAGCUACAUCUGUUGCCAAGUUAAUUUCAGUCCUAAUGGGGUUUCAUCCCCCACUCAUCUUUGCUAUUCUCAGUGUAAGCUCUGCAAUUUGAUUAACUUUUCCAUGCUCUCUCAUUGUACUCUAUAUAAACGAAAGUUUUGUGGUCCUAUAAUUCUCUCUCGAUUUUAUUUAGUACGUACUUAAGUGUUGUCCACUAAUUAAUUACACUUUGUGAGAUUUGAUUUUAAUUAGAGUUCGAAUUAAUGUUGCAGCUAGCAGCGGUUGCACAGGCAAACAAUGCUGCUCAACCAGCACCUCAACUUUACUGGAACUCCGUCCUGCCAAACACACAGAUGCCAAGAUCUAUCAGUGAACUUCUGCAUCCUGGUUUGUGUUGAGCUCUUUAGAAUCUUAGAUAUCUCUUCUACCUGCCAUUUUACUUAAAUAUGUUCGACCACAUAUUUAUCAGUUAACUACUGUCAUUACAUGAGUGACACAUAUUCACAAAUCGGCUGAUCACUUAUUUUCCAUUAUGACGUUGAUAUAUAAUUUGCAGACUCCACAAAUGAAGAAAAGAGCACAAAUGACGUUGGCAAACCUGAAACUUUCCCAUUGGGCAAUCAAAAUUACUCCAGUCAAAAAAAUUAUGGAACAGGCAAUAAACGUUACUGCAGUCAAAAAAGGUAUGGAAGAGGCAAGAAACGUUACUGCGAUCAAAAAAAGUAUGGAAGAGGUGCUUCUCCAUCUGACAAUCAACUACUCCAUUAUAAAGACUUAGCUAUUUUCUUCUUGGAGAAGGACAUGCGCCCUGGCACAACAAUGAAGUUCCAAUUCUCUAGAAAUUCAAACACGGCUACUUUCUUGCCACGAGAAAGCGCUCAAUCGAUCCCCUUCUCCUCUAACAAACUACCAGAAAUUUUCAACCAUUUUUCAGUGAAGCCAACAUCUGAGGAAGCCAAAACAAUUAAGCAAACAAUCGAAGAGUGUGAAGCUCCCGGCCUUAAGGGAGAGGAAAUAUAUUGCGCCACAUCUUUAGAAUCAAUGGUUGAUUUUAGCACUUCGAAGCUUGGAACAAGAAACGUUGAAGCAAUCUCGACGGAGGUAUUGGAAAAAGGAGCCACCAUGUCCAUGCACAACUAUACAACAAUGCCGGGACUGAAGAAGUUGGCCAGUGACAAAGUCGUUGUGUGUCAUAAGCAGAACUAUCCCUAUGCUGUGUUUUUCUGCCAUGCAAUAAAACAUACAGCAGCUUAUGUUCUCUUCCUGAAAGGCGAUGAUGGGGAGAAGGUUAAAGCAGUAACCAUCUGUCAUCUAGACACAUCAGAAUGGAACCCAGAGCAUAUGUCCUUCCAAAUCGUCAACGUUAAGCCCGGAACCAUUCCCAUCUGCCAUUUCAUUUCCACUGAUGCUAUUGCCUGGGUUCCGAACCACAAAUCUGCAUGAUCAUCACUUAGCACUGUACGUAUAAUUAUCUCCUUACUUAUUUCUGCCUCUUCAUCAUGUGGUGUAAGAUAUAUGAUGAGAUGAAGUUUUUGGGAUUAGUGGUUGGGUUGCCUGAAAAACACAGAUUACAGAAACUGCUUGAAAUUAACCCGAUCAUGUUUUCUCUUGUAACUAUAUAGACUUCAACUUGUACUCAUAAUAAAGCAUGCUAUAUUUAUGAAGAGAUAUUAAUCUAUAUAUAUUUUUUAUAUAUGCUUUGGCUUUGUGGUUCUACCCAAUGUUUGAGUGUUGAAUUGUUACGUUGGAAUAGGCUGCUAAUGCAUGUAGUUAGAGAAGCCUUCAUUUAUAUCAAAGUCCUCAAACUAUCAAGAACUAAUGUAUCCAGAAACAUAUACCAAGACGCAAAACAACAUAUUUUCCAUGCUCUGUCUGUAACACCAAAGCAAACUUCCUUGAUCACAAAAGGAUCAAAUUCCAGUACUAAUCUAAUCCAUCAUGUAAAGCAUACAAGUGCCUCCCUAAAUACUAUACUCUUUUUGUUAUUUCCUACUAUACUAUUUAAGAUUUAAAAUUCAGGUCAACCCAUAGAUUUCUCGCCUUUUUCUUCUUCAUCUCGUCGGGCUUGUCUUCUUCUUGAGGAUUGUAUAGGCCAAGGAAAUGCUUUGAGUUAGUUUUUGCGCUUUUGCGUUUUGGGCCUUGGAAGUUGGGACCCAAACCAACUUCACAAAAAGAAAACGCUCAGACUAUAAUGAGUGGAAAGUUAUAAGGGGUAAGUUAUAAGGAGUUCACUUUAUAGCCAUCAGAUCAAUCUAAGGGCUGGGGAGAAUUGAGAUAAAGUUUUAAAAUCGGGUAGGUGAGGAACCCAAACCCGAAUUGAAUAUCCAGCACGUCCGAAAAAGAAGAAGAAGAGGCAAGCACGUCCGAAAAAGAAGAAGAAGAGGCAAGGUCGAAGUUUGAACAGAAAAAACUCAUCUCUUUAAAACCCAUAGCUCUGAGAAACGGUUGAAGGCAACGGUUAACGACGGUUGUUGAAGCCACUCCGUUCUCCAGACCCUGAAAAAGUAUUUAUUUUGAGUAGAAGGGGCAAAUGUGUGGAUUCCGAAACAGUGAAGGGGCGAAGCAGUGGAAGGGGAAGGAGAGAAGCCGUAUUCGUUGGAAGUGGUAGGUUCCAUUUGUGGAGCAAAGCAACACAAAGACCCCGCACAGACACCUUGCGAUUGUUCAAUAACCAGCAUUUGGUGAGUAAUUUAUGGAAUUUGAGUUUAGGGUUAGAGUAAUGGUUUUCCCCAAUUUGUACCAUCAAUUUUGUUGGAUUUGGCAUCUCUUCUUUGUGCUUCAGUUGCAUGUUAAUUUUUGCUUGGGUAUAUGUUAAAAAAAGAAUGAAAAUCAAGUCAAUAACAAGUGAAUAACAUGUCAAUAAUGAUAUGAAUAAGAUAAUGGUGUUGAAUUGGAGGAGGCCCUCAAAACAUUCCACAUUUGAAGCAGUGCAUAGUGCAGAUUAUCUCUCUGGCGCUAGAAUAUAUAUAUAUUUUGAAAUAAAUAUGAUUUCCUUUGUUACUAAAUUUGCCUGAGAAACAUGAGAACAGAUAAUAAUAAACUCAUGAAUAGAAGUGCAAAGCAUUUGAUGAGUAAUUUAUGGAAUUUGAGUUUAGGCCCAGGAAAUUCCUUGACCCCAAAAAAAAAAAAAAAGUUGAUUUAAAAUUCAGGUCAACCCAUAGAUUUCUCGCCUUUUUCUUCUUCAUCUCGUCGGGCUUGUCUUCUUCUUGAGGAUUGUAUAGGCCCAGGAAAUGCUUUGAGUUAAUUUUUGCAUUUUUGCGUUUUGGGCCUUGGAAGUUGGGACCCAACCCAACUUCACAAAAAGAAAACAGAUUUGCCAAAAAUCAAAUUUCAAGUCUCUCCUCCGAUCGAAAUUUGGAUUUGAUGAACUAAAGUGGUUUUACUUUCUCCAUCAGUGUUUGAUAACUUAAUUUGUUAUUUACUUUUUUUUUAAAAAACUUUGGCUUAUAUAUAUUAGUUUUCUUUUUUCCUUCAUAUUCACCACCUUUAUGUUGCAUAAGUAUUUCAGUCUUAAUGGGUUUCCAUCUACCACUCAUCUUUGCUCUUCUCAGUGUAAGCCUUUUUUUUUUUUUAAAGCACAAGAUUAGAGGGGAGGGGGAUUUCUCAAUGUAAGCUUUGCAGUUUCAUAAUUAAUAUUUCCAAUAUCUCACUGUUAGUAAAAUACAGAAAAAGUACUAAUAACAUAUGCACAUGUUACUAAUUUAUUGAGAUAAAACACCAUUUUGCCCCUAGAAUAUUUUAUUAGGUUUAAAGUUGACUUUUUGACCAGGAAGGAAUUUGGGUAUUUAGACUAUAUCGUUGCGUAGAGCAUGGCGAGAUGAGUCCGUAGACACAUGAUUGGCUCGAAUCAGAGUUAUAAUGAGAGAGAUACGAUCAAAAUACCCUCAGUGGUAUAACCGUAAUUUUGGCUUAAAGGGUUUGAUAAAAUAUAAUUUUUCUUUCUUUCUUUCUCUCUCUCUCUCUCUCUCUCUCUCUCUCCUCUCUCUCACGACGGCAGUGAUAGCCGGCCACUUUUUGGCCAGCCAUGCUCUCGUCCGGCCACUAAAGUUGACGGGGCCGGUACCAAAAUGACCGGGCCACCAUCCUUUUCCAACCCCAGCCAGGCCCCACUGCCAGCAGUCGUGAUUUUGCUGAAAAAUGGAGAAGAAGCGGCCGAUUUCGUUCGAACUUCUCCGACUUCGUUCUCUCUCCUCCGGCCACCGAUUUCGAUGAAUGAGGUAUGGUUUCUCACCUACUUUUUAUGCUCUAGCUGCCUGUUGGGUAGGAUUCGAUCAAUUCCUUGCGUAGGUAGCUUGAUUUUCGAAUUGGAUUUCGGCCGGUUUUGGGAUCUCGAUUCCGGCCACUUCCGGUCAGUUUUUGGGGUACAUCCCAAAACAAAAGUGGUUCUAAAUAGGGUGUUAUACCUAGGGUAGGAACCUUGAACCGUAAUUUUGAGAAUUUUCGGUGAUGCCUAAUCGCUUUGGACACCUACGCUAUGCCUGCGUGUGGGCACUAUAGAAAAAGGGCAUUGUGUCCCGAUGCAAUCCCCUUGUUGUCUUGAGCGCGUAGGUGUGCUCGGAUUUCAAUUUGGAUACCGUUUGAAUCUCGAACGAAUAUCGCAUAUUGUGCGUUAUUCGGGGUCGAUAGGUUUGAACUGUUGGAUAGUCUUAGAUUUAUAAUAUGUUAAUCUAGACAUUCUUAGGAUCGAAUGGGAUUAAACGGAUCGUAAAACGGAGUCCCGGAUACUCCAAAAAUGCCAACCCUAGGGCUAGGUUCCUAGUAACCGUCCGAUCGUGCGAUCGUGAGCGAUCCGACCGUUUGAUCCGAACCAAACUUGCAGGACGUGUAUCCUAAACCUUGUAGAACCCAUAGGAACUUUCGGAUUAGAAUUUGGAGGUCGUGGGCCCCUUGGGCCGUUUGACUAAGUUUGGGUAGUUUGACCCUUGGCUGAUCGUGAGUCUUCAGAGGUCUUGAGCGUUGUUGAGCUAUGUUGACUAGGUUUAGACUUUUAGAGUGUUUAUUAUUAUCAUAGGAAACUAUUAGAUAUUAUUUUAAUAAUUGAAAUUAUCAAAUUUAUGUUUAUGUGCAUGAUUGUUGGUCUAAAAAUAACAUUGUUUUCUUGAUAAAAUUACGUUGCAGUCUACUAUAGACUGGUAUCACUAAAUGGAGAUUACCUCUAUUAUUAGUUUAGAUAAUUAAGAGUAUGUCAGUUUGAAGUGCUAUAUGCACUACCCUAAGUACCACCCUGUGAUUGUUAGGUCCCAUGUGGUGUAGAUUAUACAGCGUCAGGACAGACCCCAUACGUGGCUUUGGAUGUUCUGGCGCAUGGGGGAGAUUAUGUAAUGGUUAGGUCAUACGUGGCGUAGGUUAUUCAGCGUGUUGACAGACCCUAUACGUGGCGUUGGAUGUUCCAGUAUGGAAAGAUUUUGUGAUUGUUAGGUCCCACGUGGCGUAGAUUAUCCGGCGUGAGGACAAACCCCAUUCGUGGCUUUGGAUGUUCCUGCGUAUGGGGGAGAUUAUGUGAUGGUUAGGUCACACGUGGCGUAGGUUAUUCGGCGUGUUGGCUAACCCCAUAAGUGCCGUUGGAUGUAACGACCGGUCCUAAAUAAAUUAGUGAAUAUUAAUUUAUUCAGAGAAAAUACCAUUUUGCCCAUAGAGUAUUUUAUUAGGUUCAAAGUUGACUUUUUGAUCAGAAAGGAAUUUGAGAAUUUCGAUUAUACCGUUGCAUAGAGCACGGCGAGAUGAGUCCGUAGACACGUGGUAUGCUCGAAUCGAAGUUGUAACGAGAGAGAUACGAUCAAAAUACCCUCAGUGGCAUAACCGUAAUUUUGGCAAAAAGGGUCGAUAAAAUCAUAUAUAUAUAUUUUCUCUCUCUCUCUCUCUCUCUCUCUCUCUCUCUCUGCGAUAUUGUCCCUCUCUCUCUUUGAUUCACUGCCAUCUGCCCACGGCAGGACUUGAGACUGGUCACGUUUGAACCGGCUCGAUGUCCCGAUCACGUCGCACCCAAAAUGCAAAUGGAAACCUUGAAUUCCAGCCACGGCUUCGACUGGUUUGAACUGGGUUUUUCCCGGCGUUGCGCCACCGCCUCCGCCGCCCAAUUCCGGUGAAACAGGUAUAAUUCCUCACCUAUUUUUCGAGAUCCAGCUGUUGUUGUGUAGGAAUUAGACGAUUUUCAUGUUUAGGAACUCGAUUUAGAAUUUAGGUUUUGGUCGAAUUUUCAAAGUGAAAUUUCGGCCACUUCCGCUGGUUUUUCGGGGUAUGUCUAAGAACAAAAGUGGUUCCAAAUAGGGUGUUAUACCUAGGGUAGGAACCUUGAGCUGUGAUUUUGAGAAUUUCCGGCGAUGCGUAUUCGCUUUGGACACCCACGCGCCGACAGCGCGUGGGCACUGUAGAAAAGGGGCAUUGUGUCUCAAUGCGAUCUGCUUGUUGUCUUGAGCUCGUAGGUAUGCUCGAAUUUCAAUUUGGAUACUGUUUGAGUCUCGAACGGAUAUCGCAUAGUGUACGUUAUCCGGGUUUGAUAGGUUUGAACCAUUGGAUAGUUUUGAAUUUGAUAUAUGUUAAUCUAGGCAUUUCUAGGAUCAUGUAGGAAUUCAGGGAUCAUGAAUCAGAGCCCCGGAUGUUCCGAUUUAAUAACUUAAAGUUUAUGUUUAUAAUAACUAUCAGAUCGUGCGAUCGUGAGCGAUCCGACUGUCUGAUCUGGACCAAACUUGCAGCACGUAUAUCCUAAACCUUGUGGAACAUAAAAAAAUUUCGGAUUAGAAUUUGGAGGUCGUGGGCCCCGUGGGCCCAUUUAACCAAUUAUGGGUAGUUUGAUCCUUGGUUGACCGUGAGUCUUCCGAGAUAGUUUUACCUUCCUAGGAGGAUUAUAAUGACCCUAGUGAUAGGUCUUGACCGUUGUUCAGCUAUGUUGACUAGGUUGAGACUUCUAGAGUGUUUAUUAUAUUAUUGUAGGAAACUCUUAGAUAUUAUUUUAAUAAUUGAAAUUAUGAAAUUUAUGUUUAUGUGCAUGAUCGUUGGUCUAAAAAUAAUAUUAUUUUCCUGAUAAAAUUACGUUGCAGUCUACUAUAGACUAGUAUCACUAAAGUGGGAAUACCUCUAUUAUUAGUUGAGAUAAUUGGGAGUAUGUCAGUUUGAAAUGUUAUACCCUAAGUACUACUCUAUGAUUGUCAGGUCACCCGUGGCGUAGGAUUUUCCGGUGAGAUGACAGACCCCAUACGUGGCGUUGGAAUUUCCAACGUAUGGAGAGAUUAUAUGAUUGUUAGGUUUCACGUGGCGUAGGAUUUUUCAGCGGGAUGACAAACCCCAUACGUGGCAUUGGAAGUUUCAGCGUAUGGGGAGAUGAUAUGAUUGUUAAGUCACACGUGGCGUAGGUUAUUUGGAGUGCUGACAGACCCCAUACGUGGCGUUGAAAUUUCUGGCGUAUGGAGAGAUGAUAUGAUUGUUAGGUCACUUUGGAUGUUCUAGCGUAUUGGGAGAUUAUGUGAUUACCAGUGAGAUGAAUAAAGGAUUGUUAUGUUAUAUUGGGAAAAACAUGUUUGUAGAAAGAAUUACGUGUGGCUUGAUCCCUCAGUAAGGGUACGUAGGCAGCCUAGGGUAGUGCCUUGGUGCAGUCGCUGACUAAACAUUAUAAUGUUGUUUUUAGGUUUGAUUAUAUGGUAUUAUGGGGCAAGGCCCCUAGGACUAUUGGUGAUAAUUCAUAGAUGGUAGUGGAUGCAUGCUAGAAAUUUGUAGGAAGUUAUUUCAUGUGGAUUGCAGUGGUACUCGUAAAAUUUAUUUGAGUUCCUUAAUUGCAUUGUUAAUAUAUUAAUUUACUUAAGAGUACUGCUAGUAGUUCUGCCUUGAUUUAUUUGAAGGCUGGAGGCCUUGUCUGGAAACUGUGUGCAAUUAGAUUGUGUGUGCUGGCAGUUGACUUUUUAAAUUGUGAAUUUUGUGCAGGUUGAAAUUUGGGAAAUGUUCAAUUUACAGGGGAGACUCUGCUGAAAUUUCGGUAGAAAGUCUUGUGCCCUUAUUCCUUUUUGGGGAAAAGGAUAUAGUUUUAGAAGUGGCGAUGUCGGGAAUUUCCACAGGAUUCGUCUCGGGUUUCGGGAAAUUCGGGGCGGGUCUGAAAAAGUUGUUUCAGUUUUGGCAAGUAUCGGAAAAGACCAAAAUUUUCCGACUUUAUUAUUACUAGAAACAAGGUCGAAGUAUUUACCAAUCAUGUGGCCUUCCAAGUGCUCUAGGUUAAGCCAGGAACCGUUCCUAUCUGCCGUUUCCUUCCCAACUAUGAUCAUGUUGUCUGGGUUCCAACCCACAAAUCUACAUUGGGCUACGUAUUUGAAUUUGUACUAAAGCGUGAUCUAUAGUAUGCAUAUAUUGGAUAAGUUUGAGAUCAGUGGCUUGGGUGUCCGCUGAGCUUGAACAAGUUUGGGUGUGCUGAGUGUUUCCAUGGGUGUGUUGAUGAUCAUGGUUAUUAGAUUUGUGAUAGUUUGGGCUCAAUUUCAACAGAACUCAUCUCAAGCCUAGAUAGUUGAUUCUUAAGUUUAUCAGGAAAAAAAAUUAAAAAUUAAAAAAUCUAAAGUUAAGCCCAAGGCGCCGAACUUGGACUUCUCACCAAACUGUGCAUAAAUUGAAAUAUUUAAUAGAAGCCCAAGAUUUUUGAAGCACAUAAUAUCUACAAAAAUCUACAAAGUGUAAUACUUUACAAACUUCUUAUGUGUACCAAUUUCUGCUCAAAUUAAUUUCUCUGUGGUGCUGAGAUUCAUCAUAAUUUUAGUAGAAAUUGGAAGUUUUCAUCAUUUUUGCUUUAAGUCUCUCCUCCACUCACUAAUAAAGAUUACUCAAGUGAGUUUACAAAACAUUUUUUUUCUACUCUCUCCUGAAGACUACACAUCUUCUCAAAAGAUUAGAUCACUUCACAUCUUGUAUAUGUGAAAACUAAUGCAAAAAGUUGAAACUUUAUCAUAAAACCUCGACAAAAAUUAGCUCUACUUAGAACAUUAAAUUUGGAUUCGUUGAUUUAAAUGGCAAUUUGACACUUCAUAGAAAUUUUUACAUACAUGUGUUAGUGUUUGAUCACUUCACUUAUUACUUACUAUAUUUAUUCCAUGAUUCUCCCUCAAGUUAUGUAAAUAUUAUUAUCAAACAUUUCAAUUCAUUUGUGAUAUUUCUUGUCCAUCUUUCAAUGUACCCUGAAAUCCAUUAGCCACAUAUGAUGACCAAAAUCCACACUCUGUUGUUUGCAAACGUUCAAUAUACGACUUGCAUCCACAGUCCUGACCCAAAUGAAAUGCGGAAACUGUCAAGCUAACUGUAGGGAGGACUAUAUUUGAUUUUACCUUAAAGACUGAUCCGAAACCACCUUCUCCAAGUUUAUUGUUGUUUGAAUAGUUUUUGGUUGCACAAACAACAGCGGCCAAGUCAAAUAAUGGCAAUUCCAGAUCUUCCUUUUGGCCGGGCUUCAGUUCUCCUGUGAAGUACGUAGUGAAGUAAAUAAUGUAGCAUGGAACCUUAGCUUAGAAACCAGAGAGGCAACAGCAAAAAUUUUCUAUAGAACUGAACCUACCUAUCUUAGAAAAUGAAGGGGCAGAAGAGUAGAAAAUCAAAUAGCUUACCAUAUUUUUGUUGCUGGUUCUUCCUCACAUAUAAUAGCAGGGUAAGGCCCAGGGUCAGCAGUCCAGUAGACAACACAGUACUGGUUACUAUGAUCUUUGUAUUGUGUCCUUGAUCUAGGAAUGAAGUAUUUGAAAGCAGAAGAUUGAGGAGUCAGAAAUUCAUAAAGAAAAAAUCUCUACUUUUUAUCAUCCAACGAACAAUUAAUGCUAGUUUCUGAGACAGUUCUAAAGAAAUAUUUUUCUAACAAUGUCAAAAGUUUUCUGGCUCUAUCUUGUUUCUAAUCAUGUCACUGUUGGAAGAUUUCUUUCUUCUUUUUUCCUUGGUGGCUUUUAUUUUUCUUUCAAACUUUGUUUUAAACAGCAAGAUGAUUCCAUACCUAGUUCUGACGAAGCCAUUCUUAUGUAAAUAUCUUGCCCAUUUAUAUUGGAAUAUCUUAUAUCAACCAGAUCGCUGAACCACAGCAAGGACCCCCUUCCUCCAUCUCGGAUAUCCAAAUUUGAAAAAGCGGCGCAGGAGCAGUUGUUCAUGCACAUCAUCUCACAUUCCUUGAGGUUCAUAAUUGUGUUAUACUAGGAUUGUUCUGUACUUUAUUUCACCCCAGUGUACUUCUUAAAGAUGUCUCCACUGCAAUUCAGUUGGCUCUUUCUCACAGAUCUAUAUGACCAAUCCACCAAGUCCCAGUCUUGUUGAAAGUCGGUAUAAAUCCUUUCAAGCAGCUACGUACUGGGGACUUGUCAAUACAACAUGCACCAUUCGGACCACAUAUUCCAUAUUUGUCGCAGAUAUCAGUCGUUGCUCUUAGAUAAACAACCCAACCUUGGUUUCCAUCACUCCCGAUGUAGCUCAGCCCAAAUCCAUCUUGAGUUAACGCCAGCCUGAAAAGAGUUGAGCUGUUGAGAAGCUUAUAACCAUAAUAUACUUCAUCAUCAUUAUCCAACACAAAAUCAUAUGUUGGAUUUAAAUUAUGCAUCCCACUAAAUUGGAUUCCAUUCCAUGGUGCAGUCCGAUAUUUUAUAACAGAACCCUCCCUCAGAAUUAAUUCAUGGUACCCAUAAGGACCAAGUUGAUAUGGGUAAUGUCCUUGAGAAGGAUCCUGGGGGCUUUUCCAGGGUGUAAGAUGCCAAUUAAAACCUGUGAUUUUGUUCCUAACAAGCUUCAUACCUGGUAUUAAUGUAUCUCCUGGGUAAUCAAAACUCUGCCAUAAAAUAUUAUCAGAGUCAUUACGACCAUUGCCAUCUAUCACAACAAGAUUUCCGGAAUCCAAAAUCUGUGCCACUGGAUUCUAUGAAGAACUUGAUGUGUUGGAAGACCUGUAGUGUUCUUUGUUGAAUAUUUGGAUUGCAAAGGGAGCAAGAAAUGUACUGAGAGAGAAAGAGAGAGAGAGAGAGAGAGAGAGAGAGAGAGAGAGAGCAGUGAGCCUUAGAUUGUUCUAACAGUUUUCUUACUCUGCAUGAACAUAGCAGCAGAGCUUAUAUUCCUUCAUGACUGUUACAUGUUCUCUCUUACAUCAGUAGAUUCAAAUCUAACGGUUUGUAAUAGUAAGCCAAUGUGAGUAUGACACAUGGCAAUACACAGCUGUCCUAACAGCUGGGAAUUCAAAACAGACUCUAGCAUUGCACCUGGCAUAUAAGCACAAGGCACUCAGCUAACACAAAGAUUAAAAACAGAUUGAAUAUAAACUGACAUAGAACUUACUAACUAAUCUGAAAUUAGCUAGACAGUUUACAUUUUAACACUCCCUUCUAAAGUGCUAGCUGAUUUCACUCCAAGCAUUCUCCUCAAAUAGUCAAACCUGUCUUUGGGAAGAGCUUUGGUGAAGAUAUCAGCAAUCUGCUCUUCUCCUUUGCAGUAGAGCAGUUCAAUCACUUCUUCUUGUAUUGCAUCUCUAAUAAAAUGAAACUUCCUUUUAAUAUGCUUGCUCCGUUGAUGAAAAACAGGAUUUUUAGCCAUUGCUAUGGCUGAAGUGUUGUCACAAAACACAGUUGUUGCAGUGGUCUGUUCUUCCCCAAAAUCUUCAAGAACAAACCUGAGCCAAAUGGCUUGUGAUGUAGCUUCUGCUGCACUCACAUACUCUGCCUCUGCAGUAGAGAGAGCCACACUGUGUUGUUUGACUGAUGCCCAUGAAAAAGCACCACUUCCAAAUGAAAAUGCAUAUCCAGAAGUGCUUUUCAUAUCUUCCUCAGAUCCACUCCAGUCACUGUCACAGUAACCAACUAAGAGUGCAGAUUUUCCUGUCACAUACUCAAUUCCAUAGUCAAUUGUGCCUUGUAUGUACCUUAGAACCCUUUUAGCUGCCCCAUAGUGCAUCUUAGAAGGGUUAUGCAUGAAUCUUGCAAGCAGGCAGGCAGAGAACAUGAUAUCUGGCCUGGUUGCAGUAAGGUACAGCAGGCUGCCUACAAUUUUUCUGAACAAACUUUCAUCUGCAGCAUCACUUCCAUCCUCUCUUUUCAAUUUAUCAGUAGCCACUAAUGGAGUGCUUACUGACUUGCAGUCUUUGAGUCCAAACUUAUCCAAGAGAGUGAGAGCAUACUUCUUUUGAUGAAUGAAGAUGCUCCCUUCAGUUUGUGUUACUCCCAUACCAAGAAAAUGGUGGAGUAAACCCAAAUCAGACAUCUCAUACUUGCACAUCAUUUCAGCUUUGAAUUCUUUCAUCAUUUCAUCUCUACUUCCUGUGUACACUACGUCAUCUACAUAGAUUGACACUAUUAGUGUUCCCACCUUCCUUUGUUCUCACAUAGAGAGUGGCUUCACUUGGACUUCUGUGAAAACCACACUGAUUCGAGUAGGUGUCAAUUUCACUAUACCAGGCCCUUGGAGCCUGCUUCAACCCAUAGAGGGCUUUUCUUAACCUAUACACCUUAUCCUCAUCAUCUUUAACCACAAAACCAUCCGGUUGAUCAAUAUAAACUUCUUCUUCAAGGACACCAUUUAGGAAGGCUGACUUGACAUCCAAUUGCCAUAGUUUCCAGCCUUUCUGAGCAGCAAGAGCUAUGAGAGUUCUAAUGGUGUCUAACCUUGCUACAGGAGCAAAGGUUUCAUUGAAAUCAAUCCCUGGUUUUUGUGUGUAUCCCUUGGCAACAAGUCUUGCUUUAUGUUUUUGAAUGGAGCCAUCAAGAUUAAGCUUAAUUUUGAAUAUCCACUUCACUCCCACAAUUGGUUUACUACUUGGCCUGUCAACCAAUUCCCAACUGGAGUUUUUCUCUAUCAUAAGUAUCUCCUCAGUCAUAGCCUUCCCCCAAGCUUCAUCUUUGACUGCUUCUUCAAAAUUUUCAGGUUCAAUGAUGCUCAUCUUGCAUUGAGCAUACACUUCACUCAAACUCUUCCAUUUCUUUGGGGUGUUAUCAUAAGUUUCUAAUGGAGCAGAGUCUUGAGUAGCAUGCACAUCAUUACUUGUUUGUGUUUCCAUAGGAGACUGUACAAUCUGUUGCUGUAACAGAUUUGGUUAUGAAUCCAAAUCUGAUACAAUUGAACUUACUCCAUCACCCCAAGACAUAGGGAUUUGCAAUGCCUCAUUGGUUUCCCAAUUCCACAUUGCUUCUUCAUCAAAAAUAACACUCCUAGACAGCUCAAUCUUUUGAGUUCUCAAGUUGAGCACUCUAUACCCCUUUUCACAUACACCAUAUCUUACAAAUACUCCCUUCUCACCUGUGUCUUCCAGCUUGUGCCUUUUCUGUGUGGGGAUGUGAAUAUAGCAUAGAGAACCAAAUAUUCUCAAAUGCUUGACACCUGGUUUUCUUCCACCGAACUUUUCAAAUGGAGUGGAAUUGUCCAGUGCACUUGUAGGACAUCUGUUCUGCAAAUAUACAGCUGUAUUGACAGCUUCUGCCCAAAACUUCAAAGGGAUUUUCUUCUCAUACAUCAUGGCUCUUGCCAUUUCCAUCACAGUACGAUUCUUUCUCUCUGUAACUCCAUUCUGUUGUGGAGAGUAGCCUACUGNNNNNNNNNNNNNNNNNNNNNNNNNNNNNNNNNNNNNNNNNNNNNNNNNNNNNNNNNNNNNNNNNNNNNNNNNNNNNNNNNNNNNNNNNNNNNNNNNNNNNNNNNNNNNNNNNNNNNNNNNNNNNNNNNNNNNNNNNNNNNNNNNNNNNNNNNNNNNNNNNNNNNNNNNNNNNNNNNNNNNNNNNNNGGUGUGGUCAUCAAUGAAGGUGAGGAAAUAUCUGUUCCCUCCAAGAGUGAUGGUCUGCAUUGGACCACAAAUGUCUGAGUGAAUCAGUUCUAGAGGUUGAGUGGCUCUCCAAGCUCCUUCCUUAUCAAAAGAGCUUCUGUGAUUCUUGCUUUCAGCACAACCUGAGCAGACCUUCUCAUGUUCUUGUAAAUUAGGCAUUCCCUGAACCAUAUCUCUCUCUUGUAACAACUUCAAACUAAUAUAGUUUAGGUGCCCAAAUCUUCUGUGCCACAGCCAGGAUGUUUCUCCAACUGUUGCUCUGUUUGCCAUAGGAGGAUUAACAUAGUCAAGAUUUAAAGGAAAACAUUUGUUUCCCUUCAUUGGCACUCUUGCAAUGCAAUCUUCCAACUGCCUAUCUCCAUAGAUAUCAACUGCAUUAUCACCAAAUACAAGCCAAUGCCCAUGUUCUAUCAUUUGACCUACACUUAGCAAAUUUUCAUCUAAACUUGGUACAAUCAUGAUUUCUUUGAUAUAUCUAGUCACACCCUUCAUUUCUAUAGCCAAAGUCCCUUUGCCUAUUAACUGCACUAGAUCACCAGUCCCCAUUUUGACUUUACUCUUCAUACUUUUAUCAACAUUUACAAGUAAUGACUCAUGGGAAGUCAUGUGAUUGCUGCAUGCACUAUCAACAUACCACAUAUUCACAUUCUUUCCAAUUGUUGCAGCAUGACAUGCAUAGAACAUAAUGGCAGGUUCAGUUACCUGAUUUGCAAUGUUAGCAAGUUUCCCUGCCUUGUUUGCUUGGUCACAGUCCUUAACAAAAUGACCAAAUCGAUUGCAGCCAUGACACUUUGGUUUUCCUUUAAACCAACACUCACCAUAGUGUAACUUCUCACAAUGUUUGCAUUUUCCAGAUUUGUCUCCUUGACUUGGUUUUCCCCCUUGAUUGGCACUGUUUUGGGGUUUAGAAUCCCAUUUCUUAUCCUUGGACUUCCAAUUCUUCUUUGAUUUAUUAGAGCCAGAACUAGAACUUGAUUGAGAUCCUUUUGAGUUUAUGCUCAUGCUGCUGAAAGCUUUCUCAGUGGUGCUUUCUGCAUGUCUGUCAAGGCGCUGAGCAAAACCUCUUAAUGCUGCAAUUACCUCCUGCACUUCAAUGGUUUCAAUGUCUCUAGUUUGCUCAAUCACAUAGCAGACUGGAUCAAAUUCCUUGGUUAAGCUUAUUAGCAGUUUUUGAACUAUCCUCCCUUUGGUCAGAUCUUCCCCAUAUCCCUUCAUCUGAUUUACAAGCUCAAGUAACCGAGUGAUGUAUCCAGACAAGAUCUCAUCAUCCUUCAUCCUGGUGUACUCAAAAUCUCGACGCAGACCCUGCAACAUGAUGGAUCUGACUUGCUUAUCACCAUGAAACUCCUGAUGCAAGAUAUCCCAAACACCUUUUGAGGUUUCUUCAUUUGAGAUUCUGGGAAAGAUGUCAUCUGAAACAGCACCUUGGAUAAUACCAAGAGCCUUAGCAUCUUUCAUCAACAAGGACACCAUCUCUGAAUCUGAUGACCCUUCUUUAUCAGCUUUUGAAUCUGGAACUUGAAGGCCUUUCUCAACCAAAUUCCAGAUUCCAUGAGAUUUGAAAAUUGUUCUCAUUCGAAUCUUCCAAAACUCAUAGUUCUCCCCAUUGAAUAUUGGAGCUCUAAGAUCACUCCCUCCUGACCCAGCCAUCUGAGACCAGACUCAAUGAGUUGAGAGUAGGAAAUUUCCCGUUGGAUUUCCAGACUCAGCUCCCACAGCUUCAACGCCCUCUAUCCAGAUCCAACCUGCGCACCUGAUACCAUGUUGAAUAUUUGGAUUGCAAAGGGAGCAAGAAAUGUACUGAGAGAGAGAGAGAGAGAGAGAGAGAGAGAGAGAGAGCAGUGAGCCUUAGAUUGUUCUAACAGUUUUCUUACUCUGCAUGAACAUAGCAGCAGAGCUUAUAUUCCUUCAUGACUGUUACAUGUUCUCUCUUACAUCAGUAGAUUCAAAUCUAACGGUUUGUAAUAGUAAGCCAAUGUGAGUAUGACACAUGGCAAUACACAGCUGUCCUAACAGCUGGGAAUUCAAAACAGACUCUAGCAUUGCACCUGGCAUAUAAGCACAAGGCACUCAGCUAACACAAAGAUUAAAAACAGAUUGAAUAUAAACUGACAUAGAACUUACUAACUAAUCUGAAAUUAGCUAGACAGUUCACAUUUUAACAUUCUUAUGGUCGGCAGGGACAAGAAUUCCAGGGCUGCUCAACUUGAAUACACCUGAUGAACCAGUGAGGGGUGUGUUUCUUUUAGUCUGCACUAUAUAUGCAGGGUCUGACUCUAAUUAGAAGAUAAUUGUAUUAAUUUGGUAAAGCUUUGUCUGUAACUGUCUCGCACCUUAAAAAAAUUUCACAAUUAGCAGCAUUGGCAAUACUUGAUUAGAAAGCAGAAACCCUACAGUAUAUAGUUAAGUUGAGUAGCUGGGAAGACAAUUAGUAAGCUUUCAAUACUAAAGUUGAAUAUUGGGGAGACAAAUUACUAGAGCUUCAAGUUCAGAUAAAUAGGAUGAAUUUCUCUUAAGGGAUCCCCUUUCACUGUAGCUUGGAGUAGAAUUCAUUUUGACACAAUAUCAAUUAUCAAUGUAAACACGUUACUGAUGCACUAUUGACAAUAUCGAUGCACGUCAUAUCAUAUUUGUGGGAGUAAAUUUCCUCACGAGAAUAUUUGGUUCAAAAGAUUCCCCUUUUUUUUUUUUUUGCCGCCUCUUUCUCCUUGCAAAAUAGAACAAAUAAGAGGACCACACCCGGGGGGUGUUGGCCAAAGGCCCUCCGAUGCUAAAUUAGUUCAAGUAUUUGUAAGAAAAAUACUAGCUAACUAGGGUACAGAGGUGUAUUUAAGGUGUAAACCGGGCAGCCGAAGUCUUAUGUAAAAGAGAGAGAGAAAGGAGGUGGCUAGCGUUUGAGAGGAAUUUUCUGCAGAGUUUUUAGUAGAGAUUUCAGACGUACCUCAACCAUUGUGUGUGGCCAUCUUUUUAUAGUGGUCUUGGAGGCUAGGGUUUCAGAGGAAUAAUUCCGUAGAUGGAAAGGAAUUAUUCCUCCCCUAUUUGGAAUUGAUUUGAUUAAUUAGGGAUUUGAUUUAUUAGGGUAAAUCAAAUCCCUAAUUGUGGUAGGUAUCAAAUCAAAUCCUUUUUUAAUUAGGUAACUCCUCAUUUAAUUGGGAAUUGUGGUAGGAAUCAAAUCAAUUCUCAACCUAAUUAGGUAACGUUCAAUUUAAUUGGGUAAUUCCCAAUUAAAUUGAGUAACUCCCAAUUAGGUUGAUUAAUUCCCAAUUAGAUCAAAUAAUCCCCUAAUUGAAGGAAUUAUUUGACCUAGGGUCUGAUUUAAUUCGAUUCCCACAAAUGCCCCCCAGCUUCUGCAUGGUGCAUGGUGGCACGUAGGAGAUGUAAAUUAUCUGUUGGGCUGUCCAGCUGUAACUGGGCUUCCUUCGUGGACCUGGGCUCCCGAGUAGAGGAGGUGUUUGACUUGCCAAUUUUAUGAACACCCAAUUGGAAAGGGUUUGAGAUUCCUUGUAGGUCAAGGAAUUUUGCUCCUUAUAAAUGUAGGGCUCCUCCAAAUUAUUCUCGACAUCAGAAAUCUACUCCUCCAAAUUUGUUAGUGAGAGAGAGAAGACUUUGGAGAAUUUUUCAGCGUGCUUGAGACUUCAUCUUUGCAGCCCAUCCAAGGUAAUUUGAUAGGAAGAAUUUUAUUUUGAGUUGCUAUGACUUUUGGCAGCAAGCUGUGAGACUAAGGGCAUGUCUUGAGGUGCGCGCUAGGGCUUUAGGCAUGGCAAGAGACUCGGAAAGGCUAGCAGGUUCGUUUCCACCUACGCUGGGCUCAAGGAGAAGGCAACAGGGCUUCAGGCCUUGUGGAUGAAGUGGGCUUUCGCUGGGAGCAAGAGGCCUGGAGCUGAGGCAAGGAGACAAUGGGCCUGGUACGAGGUGUGGGCUGAGCAUGCCAGCUUUGGAGCAAGGGGGCCAGGACGACUGCUGGGCAGGAGGUGCGCUGGGCUGCAUGCGCGAGCUGCGCCGAGUGCUGGCUGGAGGAGCGAGCUGGGCUGCGCGCUAGGCCAUUCAUGCUGGGCUACUUCCGUUUUUUUUUUGUUUUUUUUUAAAUUUUAUUUGCUGUUGCUGCUUUUUUUUUUGUUUUUUUGUUUUUUUUUUGUUUGGUAUUCUAACUCGUAAUUUUUUUUUUCUUCUUACAGCUACUUGUUGAUCAACCAUGUCUUCCGGAGAUGGUAGCAAGGCUCCAAGCUCUUAGGUCCUUUUGUAUUUAUGGGGAGGCUCCAUAGUGCAUGGCAAGAAGUUUGUGGUCAACUUGCAUCGCGUCACGACUUAUGCUCAGUUCCAGAAGUGGCGGGCCACUUAUGCGUCUGCCAUUCCAGAUGACGUGCUGGUCAAGCUAUUGAAAUCUCAAACUGAUAACGAGCCUUUGGUGGACGUGAGUGAUCAUGAUGCUAGGAUCAUUACCUUCCGUCCUUUUUACUUCUCUUUAGGCUUCAAAUUCCCGUUGUCAAAGCUCUUCAAGAAGGUGUUCUGUGCCAUGGGGUGUGCUCCGAGCCACUGUACUCAUGUGCUUCAAGAAUUUGAGUCGUUUCUUCAUGUUGGAGCUGACGAUGCGAGAGUUCUUUUAUUUUUUUCGAAGUGAGGCACUUUGAGCGGUACGCCCAAGUUCGUAUCUACAAGGCCAAGCUGUUCCACGGUCUCAGUCAAGGAGAUCACGCUUGACAUGAAGAUGUGUUGGAGGUCAGCAGACGGUGGGAGGGUGACGUCGGUGACGGCCCACCUGUUCCCAUCACCUAUUGUGAUGGUAUGUCUCUUUACGAUUUUUGAUAUGCUCCUUUUAUUUGAAUUUCUUGAAGUGUGGCAGACUAACUUCUAUCUUCUGCUCGUAGUGAGUGACAUUAGCAAGCAAUUGGAGCUCCGACCAGACAUGGCUAAGGUCCGUCGUGCUUUGAACAUCCCUCUAAGGUUUCACGAGUGGCGCUGGCUGUUGAGUGAGUACCGGGAGGAAGACGGUGGUUUUCUCCUUGCCGAGGAUGUCGAAAGGUGGAAGCAGAACGAUCCUGACCCUGAUGAUCUGCUUGGCAGACAGGAAGAAUGUUCUGCUUAAUCGCUCUUAAAGAGAAAGGCUGCUGCCAAAUCUUUGAGAUGUGAAGCUACUUCUUCGCAUGCAAAGGAUGGGUCUCCAUCGAGGAAGAAACCAAGGCUCCCUUCUGCUGAGAAGACUCAAGUGGGGUCUGCUCCCUCAUCAUCUGCCAGGGUUAAGCAUCUCGUGGGUGCAGAUAGCAAGAAGGUUGGUGGUAUGCAUGGUACUCGGGGUGUUCUGCCCAAGCUUCCUGCUGACACGCUCGAAAACCAUGAUAUACUUCGUGAAGUGGCUCGUGCCCAACCUAGUUCUGCCAAGCGUCAAAGAGAUGUAGACAUUCCUCCUAGAAGUUCGAGUUGUCUGCAUCGGUCAAAAGAUGGAGACCGAAGCGGGAGGUCUGCUUAUGAUCCAGCAUUAUUGACUCAUUUGGAGAUGAGGUUGGCGAAGGCUAAGAAGGUGAAAGAGUCAUCUGCCCGGGUUAAGGGUUCUUCCUCGGCGUUGGUAGUUGGUCCCAAGAUGAACAAGUCUAGCUCUGUAGGGGAUGCAUGCGUAUCUGAUCUGCUCAAGAUGAACUUCCUAUCAAACCCGUCCUCUUGUGUUGAGUUGGUUGAUCACAUCCCUCAAGCGGGCGAUCUAGGCACUUUCUCGUGCCUUUCCUUAGAAAAAUGAAGGAAAAUGACAUUCCAUCUGAUUCAAAAAGGACUGGUUUUUGCUACUGAGACUAUUUGGAACUCAUCUGCUAUUGCCCCUCUUCUGUCCAACUCAGCGAGUUGGAGAAGAAGAAUGCUGAUUGGCUAGACAGCUUUCCGCCGAGCAGGCCCGUUACGAGAAGAAGAUGUCUGAUUUGAGGGCGAUGAUAUCUGAGCUGAAAAGCUCCCUUACCGAGAAGGAUUUCGAGCUCAACUCUUCUGCUGCUGAUUUGGCUAGUCGAAAAGAUACCUUCUUUCGUCUUGAGCAUAAGAAUGCUGACAUCUUCCUUAGCUAUAACAAACUCCUGGCUAGAUUUCAUGCCUACCAUAAGUCUGCUAAAGAAUCCAAGACAGAUGGAGCUGCUGAAGGCGUAGCCGGUCAGGUGGAUGCCGAAGAGGCUGCAGCUUAAAAGUCUUCUGCUGGCGUCUCAGAGUAGAUGAAGACUCUUUUUUGUUUCUUUUCAGCUUUUGUAGUUUGCUUUAUUGUUUAGAAUAACUGGUCUUAUUUGACCAUCUUCUUUUUGUUGAACUUGGCUGGUUGGUCUGUUUGUUAGGGAAAUUUCAGUUACAUUUUCCAACUUCAAUUUGCAUAUUUGACUUGUGAACUGCUUAAGUAACCAGCCUGUGUUUUGAUUGCACAUCCCCCUUUAGAGAUUUGUGAGUACCAGGGUCCCCCUUGGAGGACUCCGGCCAUGCACAGUAUAUCUCGUAGGAUGGUUCCCCUUAGGAAGUUGGCGAGUACCAGGGUCCUCUUUGAGAGACUCCGGGUGUGUUCUGCACAUCCCGUAUGAUGCCUUAAUCGUCGCCUUGCUUCUCCCGUAGGACGCUGCUUAUAGGCAACUAUAUGACUAUCCUGCCUUUCUUAGGAAACGGAUAGGAACCUGGAUAUUUCCCGCAUGAAGCAUGGAGACCUCCUUUUAAGAAAUUUUUGGUGCACCAUGCUUCUCCCUUAGGACGCUUUUUUCGCAGGCUGGGUCUCCAAAUGGACGCUUUUAGUCGUUGCCCUGCGUCUCCCUUAGGACGCUCCUUAUGGGCAACUGUGUGACUAUCCUGCCUCCCUUAGGAAAUGGAUAAGACUUGAAUAUUUCCCGCAGUAAGCAUGGCGACCCCCUUUUAAGAAACUCCUGGCGUACCCUGCAUCUCCCUUAGGAUGCUUUUUAAGAGGGCUGCUUCUCCAAACGGACGCUUUUAGUCGUUGCCUAUGUCUCCCCUAGGAUGCUCCUUAUGGGCAACUGUGUGACUAUCCUGCCUCCCUUAGGAAACAGAUAGGAAACUAGAUAUCUCCCUUAGGAAAUUCCUAGCGCACCUUGCGUCUCCCGAAGGACGCUUUUUUAGCUGGCUACGUCCCGAAACGGACACUUUUAGUCGUCGCCCUGCGUCUCCCUUAGAAUGCGCCUUAUAGGCAACUGUGUGACUAUCCUGCCUCCCUUAGGAAACGGAUAGGAACCUGGAUAUCUCUCUUAGGAAAUUCCUGGGGCACCUUGCGUCUCCCGAAGGACGCUGCUUAUGGGAAAAUAUUGUGUUUCGUGGGCAGAUGAGACAUUUUGGAAUGAGAAACUGAACUUAUAUUGAUAUUCAUAAGAUUACAGUCCUUUAUUUGAAAAUGGAAAUAACUUGGUUCAAAAACUUAGAACUUCUAGCAGCUACGAGGAAGCACUAUGGAUAAUACUUUCGGAGAUGGUGAGCAUUCCAUUGUCGUGGUAUUUCCUUCCUAUCCAUGGUGUCCAGUGUGUUGCUUCCUCUGCCCCGGACCUGCUGAUCACAUAAACGCCCUCCCAGUUAGGAUUCACUUUUUUUGACCCGUGUCUUGGUGCAGUAAUGAAAGCCUUAGCACGAGGUCGCCUGGUUGAAACUGUUUGACCUUAGCUCUUUUGUCGUAGUAAGACUUCAACUGCUAGUGAUAGGAGGCGACCCGAAUAAUGGUCUUCUCACGCCUGCCCUCAAGUAAGUUGAGGUUGAGCCUCAUCUGCUCGGAGUUCUGAUCAACACUGCCUACCUUAAGACUUAUAGAGAGGACAGUGAUGUGAGGUGGUAUGAUCACUUCUGUUCCAUAGGCGAGAGAGAAUGGGGUUUCACCAGUCGAUCUUCGCUUGGUGGUGUGAUAAACCCAUGGUACUCUGGGGAGUUCAUCCACUCAUUUCCCUUCAGCGCCUUCCAGCCUUUUCUUUAAGCAGUCCAAUAUGACUUUGUUGGAUGCCUUGGCUUGUCCAUUUCCUUGUGGAUACCUCGGGGUGGACAAGUGUUGUUUGAUCUUGUAUUUCACAAAAAAAGCGGUGAUCUGCUUGCCAAUGAACUGUGAGCCAUUGUCGGUAACCAACGACUGUGGGCAGCCAAACCGGCAUAUGAUGUUUCUCCAGAUGAAUCACUCCACAUCGGCUUCUUUAGUAAAUGAUAGAGCUUCGGCCUCGAUUCAUUUAGUAAAGUAGUCGGUGGGGACGAUCAUCAUUUCUUUCUUGGCGGGCGCUAGUGGCAAGGGAUCCACUAGGUCGAUGGCCCAUUGCAUGAACAGCCAUGGACUGUUUUGCGGAUGAUAGACUUCGGCAGGCAAGUUAGGGAUCGGCUUGUAUUGCUGACAGCGUCACAUUUCUUGGCACAUUCAGCACAGUCGUGACGUAUGGUAGGCCAGAAGUAGCCUAUGUUUAGAACUUUCUGGGCGAGUGACCUGCCCCAGAAUGGUUGCCAUACUCGUCGUCGUGAAUUUUACAGAUAAUCUCAAGUGUUUGAUGGUACUUUAUGCAGGUGAGAUGAAGGCCGGAGUAUGAUCUGUGGAUGAGCUUGUUGCCGUGCAUGUAGUAUCUCUCGGCCUUUUGCUGGACUUUUCUAGCUUCGGACUUGUCCGUUGGCAGGUUUCCAUUCGUGAAAUAGUCGAUGAUGAGGUCUUGCUAGCUGGGGUCCUCGUCAAUCUGCAUGGUAUUAAUCGGCUCUAUUUCUUCAAUGCUUGGUCGGUCAAGGUGUUCGACCUAGAUGGAGUGUUUGAACUGGGUAUCCAGCGUUGAACCUUGGCUUGCCAGUGCGUCUGCAUGCGCGUUCUUUGCCCGGGACACUUGUUGGAUAGUGAAGGUAGGAAAUGCCUUCAACAGCUCUUGGACUCUAUCAAGGUAUAAGAUCAUCCUUGGGUGCUUUGCCAUAUAUUCACCUGAGGCUUGAUUCGUGAUCAACUGUGAGUUUGAGUAGAUGGCUAGCUUUUUGAUUGCGAGCUCCUUUGCCAAGCGUAAGUCGGCGAGUAAUGCCUCGUAUUCUACCUCGUUGUUCGAGACCGAGAAGCCAAGCGUAAUAGCUUGCUCUAACAGGGUUCUAUCCAGGGUGGUGAUAACGACCCCUGCUCCAGCUCCUUUUUGGUUCGACGCUCCGUCUACACGCAACUGCCACAUGUCUCUGGGAUGGCUUGGUUCUGCGGAGGUCCUGUCUGCUUUUGAACUUCCCUCCUUUUGGUUGACUAACUUCUCUUUUUUGGCUGAUGGGGUGAAUUCUGCGACGAAGUAUGCUAAAGCCUGGGCUUUUAUUGCAGUUUUUGGCCCGUAGAGGAGGUCAUAUUGGCUUAGCUCUAUAGCCCACUUCAUGAGUCGCUGAGAAGCAUCAGGGCUGUGGAGGAUUGAUCUCAAAAGAAAGUCAGUCAUGACUAUGACUCGAUGAGCUUAGUAGUAGGGUCGCAGCUUUCUCGCAGAAACUACAAGAGCCAAAAUAAGUUUCUCCAAUUUCGGGUAACGAGUCUCUGCAUCGAGGAGAGCUUUUGACGUGUAGAAUACCGGAUAUUGGGCCCCUAUCUCUUCUCGGAUGAGAGCUGAACUGACAGCUGAGUUGGACUUACCUCACUAGGGACUGGAUUUGAGAGCAUGGAAGGUGAGGUGAGGUAAGUCUUCAGAUUAUGGAAAGCUACUUUGCAGUCCUCAUCCCAUUUCUCUCUUUGUCCUUUCUUCAAAGCUUUGAAGAGUGGUCUGCACUUGUCGGUUGAUCUCGAGAGGAAUCGGUUGAGAACCGCUGCUUUGUCCGUCAGACUUUAUAUCUCUUUCACCGUGGAAGGCGACUUCAUCUCUAGAAUGGCUUUGAUUUGACGUGGAUGUGCCUCGACACCUCGUUGCGUGGCUAGGUAUCCCAAGAAUCGGCCGGAGGAUACACCAAACAGGCAUUUACUUGGAUUCAACUUCAUGCGAUACUGGCGGAGCAAGCUGAAUGAUUGGGUAAGACUUCCGAUGUGAUCUGCACGUUUUGGGGCUUUGACCAGCAUGUCAUCCACGUAGACCUUCAUAGUUUUGCCGAUCUGCUUAUUGAAGAUUUUAUUCCCGAGCCUUUGAUAGGUUGCUUUGGCGUUCUUCAGCCCAAAGGGCAUGACCUUAUAGCAGCAGGUCCCUCUCUCGAUGAUGAAAAAAGUUUUUGCCUUGUCAUCCUCGUGCAUCAGGAUUUGUUUAUAGCUGGACUAGGCGUCCAUGAAGCUAAGCAGUUGAUUGCCAGAAGUGGAAUCCACGAGUUGGUCGAUUCUCGGCAAUGAGAAGUUGUCUUUAGGGCAUGCUUUGUUGAGGUCUGUGUAAUCGACACAAACUCUCCAUUUGCCAUUUUCUUGUUUUGCCACCAAAACAACGUUGGCAAGCCACUCUGAGUAGGAGGCCUCUUCGAUGAAGCCGACAGCUAGGAGUUUGUCAAUCUCGGCCUCGAUGAUAGCAAGUCGCUGGGGUGCGAAGUUGCGUCUCUUCUGCGCCACUGGCUUGCAGGCAGGGUUGAAGUGGAGUCAGUGACAGAUGAUGUUCUUGUCGAUGCCAGACUUGUCUGACGGCAACCAUGCGAACAUGUCUCUGUUGCUCUGGAGGAAGGUGGUAAGCUCCACAUUCUCUUCUGGCCUUAGGCGCGAACCGAUCCACUCUUUCCUAUCUGGUUGGUCAGGAUCCAAGGGUAUUAACUCGACGUCCUCCUUGGGUUUCCAUCCUUCUUCAGGAAAGACCUAUGGACGGAUUUCCUCGACUUGGUCCUGACGCUUUAAUUGCUAUAAGAUAGCAAGAUCCAGUUGCUCAACCUCCUCCAGAUCUGCCUGGCUCACAGGGAGAAACUGCGCUUGUUUACCUUUCUUUAGCCCUUGGGCGGAGCAUUUCCUCGCCAUUGCCUAAUCGUUGUUGAUUUGGCCGACACCGCCCCCAAGGAUUGGGUACCGAAUUUUCUAAUGUGUGGCGGAGGUGAUUGCAUUAAUUUUGCCAAUCGAUGGUCUGCCCAGAAUGCCGUUGUAGGGUAAGACCUUAUUAAUGACCAUGAAGGUUAUGAGCUGAUUAUAAGUGGGGAGUAGACGUCGAGGUCUAUCAUGCCCACGGUAACCGUUGUUGCACCAUUAAAAUCGCUCAGCAACCUAGCUAAUUUGUAAAUCUUUGUCUCCAAUCCCAUCUGUUGAAUGACCUCCAGUUGCAGGAUAUUGGCUGCGCUGCCCUCGUCUGUGUGGAUUCAGUCUACCAUGACCUGAGCAAUUUGAAUGCUGAUGACAAGGGCUUCGUUAUGUGGCAUGUAGAGGCCGAUCAGAUCUUUCUUUUGGAAGCCGAUUACAGGAUCGUCUUCUGCUGGUGGAAGGUCGGUCGAGAUUUGGGAGAUCACAGUGGUCUGUUUGAUCUUCCUCUUUUUUUCCUUUCUGGUCAGCCCAGACUCCUCGGAGUCAGCUAGGAUUGUGUUAAUUCUUAUGACCUUCUGAGGCGGCUCCUUGGCGAUGUCACGAUCUUCUAUCCGCUGGAUGACCUUCUUUGCAAUGAAUUCUGUGCAGUGACCUUCUCUCACGAGUUCUUCAAGAUGUGCUUUCCAAGCGAAGCAGUUGUUCAUAGUGUGUCCGUGCAUUUCAUGGACGGCACAGUAUUUGCUAGUAUUCCUUUUGUCCGGAUCUUCUUUCAAGGGUGGUGGUCUUCUUACCCAAGGUUGUUCUUCACUUGGGCUAAGAUUUGAUGUAUGGAGAUGGUGAACUUGGUGUAGUUCUCUCCUGCCGUAGCAUCCCCUUAUGGGUGCGACCUGCGCUUGUCCUUGUCCCUGUUGCUAAAUCCGUCGCUUCUUUGGCCUGCCCCCUUAGUCGGCUGAUCUUCCUGCUUAGUAGAGUUCUUUGCGGCGAUUCGAUCGUCAUCCCAAAGCGCAUAGCUUUCCGCGGUCUCGUAGACCUCUGCCAAAGUUUGGCUGGGAGUGAUGGUCAGCUCGUGGUACAAGUCGUGCUCAGUCGAAAGGUCUUUCUUGAAAGCAGAGGACGCAAUUUGGUCAUCACAUCCUACAAUGUUGGCCUUUUCUACUUUGAAUCUCUUGAUGUAAUCUCUAAAGGAUUCGUCGAACUUCUUGCGCAGGUUAUACAGGUGGUCAGGGUUCUUCUUGAUUGUUCGGUAAGAGGUGUAUUCUUUGGUGAAUAAGUAAGUCAGCUCCUUGAAGCUGCUGAUCGACCUGGAUGGCAGAGUAUGGAACGAGUCUUGGGCUUCCUCACAAGGUCAUUGCAAACACCUUGCACAUCAGCGCGUCGUCAACCUUGUGGAGGAUCAUGACACUUUUGAAGUGUUUUAGAUGGCUCUCAGGAUCGGAAUCCCCCUUGAAGUGUGUGAAUGUGGGCGUUGAGAAUCGCUUCAGGAGAGCAGCCUGCUCGAUUUUGGCAGUGAAAGGUGUAGAGUAUGCCUGGUCUACCUCAUUUCGUACAUCUUCGAAAUUUCCACCGGUCUUCAAGUCUCGAAGUUGGUCAUUCACAAGCUUCUCUACGUCUUCCGCACACAUUGCUUGUCGGCCACAUUGGCGACCUUCACGAAUUGUUCGAUGCUGACUGACUUCCUCGUUGAUUUCCGAGGAUCGACCUUCUUGUCUGCAUUGCCUAGGUGGAGUGUUGGUGGAUUGCGCCUACGAAAGAUUCUCUGUGGCUUGUCAAUGAGAAUCGGUUCUUCGAGAGUGAGUAACGAAGUGCCUUUCCUCAUGGUCCUUAUUGUGAGGGUUAUCCAGCUGACCUCCCUGGGGCCUAGCCUUUCCUGAAUGCUUCUCUGCGAGUAGACAGUUGAAUGCUUUUCUUCACGAUCCUCGUUGUGAUGGUUGUUUGGCUGACCUCCUUAGGGUCUUAGCCUUUGAUGUACAUUUCCCUGCCUGCCCAAGUAGGUGCGGACGUCGAGUCGUGGGCCCAGCCUUUCGUGCACGUCGUUCCUUAAACUCAAUCUGCUCUGAGUGUGGCUUGCAGAUGCUUGCGACAUGUCGGCAGGUCGAUCACGUUGUUGUCCCUCGACUUGUCUGCCCACUCUUGCUUGACCUGCUUGGUACUCGUUGAGCUGUCUACCGGCCCGUUCAUCCUUCCUUCUUUCCUCGCCUGGUUGUCCAAGGCCAAGGUUUUGAGCAAAGCUUAUUUGGUUGAGGAGCUGCCUCAUUAGAUUGUUUUGGUCGUCCAUUCUUUAAGCUAGCUGGUCAACUCUCAGAUUAAGGUCUGCUUGAUUUCAUGGAUCAGGAGGAGAGAAGUGUGUGGAGCUCAACUGCACAUAGGCUAGGGUUUCAUUAGAGGUGUAUGCGGGAGCGUGUGUCGAGCGUGGAGGCAAUAGAGGGAAUGCUUGGAGUUGCUCCAAGACCGGCCCUAGGUCGGCGGUGGUAACGAGUCCACCUUGAUGGGAAGUUCCACCAUGUUUGGCGGCAGUGACCGAUGCAGUGGUGAGAGGUGGUGGUGCCACCAUGUCGAUCGCGGGAUCGUUGGUGGAGUGGCUUUGGGCCGUCGCAAAUCUAGCCAUCAUGGCGGCUUUGCCUCUCGUGUUCAUGCUUCCAACCAUGGUUGUUUGGAAGGCUUAGGUGGAUUGGAAAAUUAGAGGAACGGAUUCCUUGAGCACGCAUUGAGUAUAACUCGUGCUCUCAAUGAAAGCACCAAUUUGUGGGAGCAAAUUUCCCCACGAGAAUAUUCGGUUCGAAAGAUUCCCCUUUCUUAUUCGCCGCCUCUUUCUCCUCGCAAAAUAGAACAAAUAAGAGGACCACACCCGAGGGGUGUUGGCCAAAGGCCCUCCGAUGCCUAAAUUAGUUCAAGUAUUUGUAAGAAAAACACUAGCUAACUAGGGUAUGGAGAUGUGUUUAAGGUGUAAACCGGGCGGCCGGAACCUUAUGUAAAAGAGAGAGAGAAAUGAGGUGGCUAGGGUUUGAGAGGAAUUUUCUGCAGAGUUUUUAGUAGAGAUUUCAGACGUACCUCAACCAUUGUGUGUGGCCAUCUUUUUAUAGUGGUCUUGGAGGCUAGAGUUUCAGAGAAAUAAUUUCGUAGAUGGAAAGGAAUUAUUCCUCCCCUAUUUAGAAUUGAUUUGAUUAAUUACGGAUUUGAUUUAUUAGGGUAAAUCAAAUCCCUAAUUGUGGUAAGUAUCAAAUCAAAUCCUUUUUUAAUUAGGUAACUGCUCAUUUAAUUGACAAUUGUGGUAGGAAUCAAAUCAAUUCUCAACCUAAUUGGUAACGUUCAAUUUAAUUGGGUAAUUCCCAAUUAAAUUGAGUAACUCCCAAUUAGGUUGAUUAAUUCACACUUAGAUCAAAUAAUCCCCAAAUGGAAAGAAUUAUUUGACCUAAGGUAUGAUUUAAUUCGAUUCCCACAAUAUUUAGAUGCAUAAUUGAAUGCGAAUAAACAUCACUCUCUCCAGUGUGAAAUGGCGAAAAUUCUCUUCAAUCAAAAGUGGGCUUACUUCAAAUUUAGUUGAAGAAUGAUGGUGUGUCUUGCCUGACAAUUGACAAUUAGGUUUAGGAGCGUUCCUCUAGUAGAAAAAUCUAAAUCAUUUGUGGUCAUCCACUCACUUGGUUAGUCUUCCAGAAUCAAAUACCAAAUCAACCCAAAGGAAGCUGCAAUUUUCUGAAUUGUAUACUUGUUUUAAUUCUUCCUAUCUUUUUCUCUCUUUCAUUUUUUUUGUCUCCCUCAAGUUAAUACUUAAGUGAGUUGCCAAAUGGGGGUAAAAAAGAGAGUAGAAGAGAUGAACCCCACAUUUGACUUUAAUAGACAAAUGCCCAAGAGAAGUACCAGUAAGAGCAUCUCCAAUUGGGAGGUGCUAUCCUAUAAUUUGACACACAUUUCUUUUUUCUUUUUUUUCAAUUCUAACAACAUGUCAUCUAUAUCGCAAUAGGCCGUUGUAGUUAAAUUUUCAAAUAACCAAGUUGCUCUCUAUUUUCCAAAGAAGACUAGAAAACAACUUACCAUCUAUCUGGUGCUGCUUCUUCCAAACAUUAGAAAAAACAGAGCUACACCCAGGAGGAGCCCAGGAGAUGACACAAUACUGCCUACUAUGAUUCUUACUUUCUUCACAUUCAAUGAGACUAUAAAAUAUAACCCAAGUGGUCUAACCCCCCAGGGCGGAAAUUGGGUUUAGCAAGUUUAGCACUGAUUGUUGUAUAGUCUUAAACAGUCCUGAUCUCUUGGACCCCUGUAGUCCAAGAGAUUUAUGGUCACCCACCGUUGGAUGUAAAUUCAACGGUUGACUUGAAUCGGGUAAUAAUAAUUUAUGUCAUAUUGCAUUUAUAUAUAUCAUUUUGAACCAUUGGAUUAAUAUCCAACGGUGGGUGACCACAAUCUCUUGGACUCCUGUGGUCCAAGAGAUCGGGACUGUAGUCUUAAAAUAAGUAGUUUAGCGAGUGCAAACUUCGACUUAAAAAAACUCUCAUGUAUAGCCGCGCGGCUAUACUAUUUACAUAUAAAUAUAUAAAAAAGCACCCCCUAGUCACGUGUCACAAAUAGUAUAGUCGAAAACAGUAGAGCCGCGCGGCUAUACUGUUUUUAAAAUAAAAAAAACCAUAUUCGAUUCUCCUUAUAUUUAAAAGGGGUAUAGCCGCAUGGCGAUACUAAUUUUUUUUUUUCAAAAAAAGGGACCCCAGUACUCCUUUUAUAUAUUAUAAUAUAUUGUCUAAUAUUUGGAAUAUUUACUCUAAAAUAAACAAUAUAUUAGGUUCUUUUUGUCUACAAAUUGACCAUUAAACUUCUUAAUCACUCUUAUACUUUCAAUUAAAUCUACUAGGCUAGGUUAUGAUAUUUUCACUAAAAAACUCCUCCUUUUUUUCUUCUCUUUCUCUUCCUGUUUUGUUUAACUUAAGCUUAAGUUUUGUAAUUUUUUUUCCCGCCCUUUUUACAUGUUUGAGUAGGGUACUUUAAUAUUGGGAUUUAUGAACUUUUUUUGUAUUUCUUCUUUAUAUUGGAAUAUAAAUUAUUAACUUUUGAGUCUUUAAUAGUGUAGAUGAUGAGAUUAUUAUUCAACCAUUUUAUAAUAUGAAAUGAAGGACAAUCAUGAUUGUGAUGAAUGGAUUAUUAAUCAAUAUGAAAUGAUAUUAUGAAGUGGGCUAAAUCGAGUAGUUAGUAUCGUAUUGUUGAGACCCAAAAAAUCCAAGGCUAGGCCCAAAUAUAUUAUGAAGUGGGCUAAAUCGAGUAGUUAGUAUCGUAUUGUUGAGACCCAAAAAAUUCAAGGCUAGGCCCAAAUAUAUUUCCGGUCCAAUGCGAUACCUUACCGAGAAGAAACCUUAUUUGGGCACGCGAAAGUUCGUCAUAUGCUCUUGCACACAUGCCAUGCCAAGCAAAUAAGCAACAUGCCACGCUACAAGCUUAAGUGGGCCCAAGCCACGUGAAUGCCUAGGGCCUGCUGAGUGGGUUGUGGUAUGGAUGGUUAUGAGUAUUCACGAGGCCCAUUGAUGGUCUAAGGAGUGGAAGUUUUGGGCUACUUGGGAGCACCAAAACUCAAGCCCAUUCAUUGAGCCCAAACAUAUGGGUAAGCAUGAGAUAAAACCUAGUAGCCCAUCACCUUAAGAAAUCCUAAUAGCCCAUAACAUGUGAGAAAAUCCCACAUCAACCAAAGCUUCCAGCAGUCUGACGAAAUCAAAGGGAACUCACAAGCCGUUGGAAACAAAACAACCCAACACUGUAACACCCCGACCCCAAAUUUCCCCAAAUUUAACCCUUAUUUAAUUAUUUAAGGGUAUUUUAGUCAUAUUUUUAACCGGAGAGAGUUUGGGGCAAUGACUAGUAUUUUUGGAUAGGUCGUACUGAGACGAGUUUAUGGACACGCAGUGAGCUCGAAUCGGAGUUGUAACGAGAGAGAUAUGGUCAAAAGAAGCCCAGUGGCACAAUCGUAAAUAUUUUGAAAUGAGAUUUUUUAUAAAAAUCUGGUUUUCUCUCUCUCUCUCUCUCUCUCUCUCUCUCUCUCUCUCUCUCUCUCUCUCUCGCUAGCGACCUCUCUCUCUCUCCCCCGUCGGUCUCUCCCCUCUUUCUCCUCGUAACUCCGGCCACCGGCCCCGGCUGUGGACGGGGCCGGUACCAAAAUGACCGAGGCGUCGUCCUCUUCCUACCCCAGCCACCUCCCACCGCCAGCCGUCGCGGAUUCGCCGGAAUCUGGAGAUGAAGCGGCCUACGUCGUCCAAAUUUCAAAGCUGCCGAUCUCCCUCCUCCGGCCACCAAUUCCGUCGACCCAGGUAUGGAUUUUGAACUUCUCGAGCUGCUCUAGCUGAUGGUUGGGUAGGAUUAGAUCGAUUCUUAGCUUAGACAACUCGAUUUUCAAAUUGAAAAUCGGCCGAACUUCGGCUGCCGUGAUCGGCCAUUUCCGGCCACUUUUUGGGGUAGGUCCAAGAACAAAAGUGGCUCCAAAUAGGGUGUUAUACCUAGGGUAGGAGUUUGGAGCCGUGGUUUUGAGAUUUUCCGGCGAAGCGUUAUCGCUUUGGGCACCCACGCGCUGCCGGUGCGUGCGGCGGCGCGUGGGCACUGUAGAAAAAGUAGCACUGUGUUCCGAUGAGAUCCUUAGGUUGUCACGAGUGCGUAGGAUUUUGCGGAUCUCAAUUCGGACGUCGUUUGACUAUCGAACGGAUAUUCGCAUAUUGCGCGUUAUUCGGGUUCGAUAGGUUGGGACCGUUGGAUGGACCCAAAUUUAAUAUAUGUUAAUCUAAUUAAUUCUAGGAUCGUGUAGGAAUUCACGGAUUGUGAAUCGGAGCCCCGGAUGUUCCGAAUAAUAAUUUUAAAGUUUGUAUUUUAUAUUAAUUGUCAGAUCGUGCGAUCGUGAGCAAUCUGACCGUUCGAUCUGAACCAAACUUGCAGGACAAGUGUCCUAUACCUUGUAGAACCCAUAGGGACCUUCGGAUCGGAAAUUGGAGGUCGUGGGUUCCGCAAGUCGGUUUGACCAGGGUUAGAGAAGUUUGACCCUUGGUUGACCGUGAGUCUCCCGGAGUAAUCUCACCUUUCUAGGGGAGAUUAUCGGGUACUAGAUGAUUGUGGACACAAUAUUAGAAUUAAUUUAUAUAAUUAUAAUUAUAUAUGGUUGUACAAGGGUACAACAGAGUCUAGAAUGUCAGUUUGGAGUGCUAUACGCACUACUUUAGGUACCUCCCCGGAUGUUGGGAUUUACUACAAGUACCACCAAGUGAAAUUGAGGUCCCGCGUGGCGUAGGUUAUCCAGCGUUGGGAUAGGUCUCAUACGUGGGGUUGGUUGUACCGGCGUAUGGGGAGAUUUGUGAUAUUAUGUUCAGGUCUCACGUGGCGUAGGUUAUCCGGCGUUGAGACAGGCCCCAUACGUGGUGUUGGUUGUACCAGCGUAUGGGGAGCUAUGUGAUAUUGUGUUGAGGUCGCACGUGGCGUAGGUUAUCGGGCGUGUCGACAGACCCCAUACGUGGCGUUGGUUGUACCGGCGUAUGGGGAGAUUUGUGAUAUGAAAUUGAGGUCCCACGUGGCGUAGGUUAUCCGGCGUUGGGACAGGCCCCAUACGUGGCGUUGGUUGUACCGGCGUAUGGGGAAAUAUGUGAUAUGAUGGCAUGGUCGCACGUGGCAUAGGUUAUUCGGCUUGUUGACAGGCCCCAUACGUGGCGUUGGUUGUACCGGCGUAUGGGGAGAUUAUUUGAAAUGCAGAGAAACGAAAUAUGGUAUCGCCCAAAUGUGGAAUUGGGUUUUAGGGAAGAACUACGUGUGGCUUGAUCCCUCAAGGAGGGUACGUAGGCAGCCUAAGGUUAAUAGGUGCAGCCGCAGACUAAAUGUUAGUCAUAAUUGAUAUUUGAAUUGUUUGGUAGUUGGUUAAGAAUUAUUGGAAGGCCGAAGGCCAUUUGUGUGAAUUGCAUGAAAUUAUAUUGUGCAUGCUGCCAGUUGGGAAUAUUAAAUGCGUUUUUAUGCAGGUAUAAAUUUUAGGAAAUGUCCAAUUUAUAGGGGAGACUCUGCCGAAUUUUCGGCAGGAAGUCUCAGUUUUUAGUAUCUGGGCCUGGCAUCGGGAGGAUGUCGGGAAUUCCAAAGGGUCGUCUCGAGUUCUGAAAAAUUCGGUGCGGGUCCUUUCAAACACCUUAUAAAAUAUCCAACGCCGUGCAUCUCUGUUAAAACCAGAUCACAGCCAAACCACCAAAACCAUGCAAACCCAUAUGCUGAUCACCAUUUUUACUAGCACCCUUACCCAUUCUUUCCUCUUCAAGCUUUGGUGAGAAAACAAGAAACAAAAGUGGGCGGAUCUUCACCCACAUGGAGAAAUCCAGCUGCCUGAGGGCCCUGGAACUCCAAAAAACUUCUUACCUACAUGCUCAGGCUAGGGAAGUUUCACCAAAUAAGCAAGAAUGGAAGAAAGUGAAGGAAAAGGGGAAAGGGUGGCUUGACGAAAUUAAGGUUUUCAGCACUUAUAAAAGGAAACACUUUCUAUCCAGCAAAAACAACUCACCCUGGUUGCUGCAAGCCUCCUAGCAACCAUGAGAAUUCAUUGAAGGCAAGCAUCCCCUUUGGAACCCUUCAAUUUCAUGCUUUGUUCUUCCAUCUUCCUCCUUUCUCUCUCUCUCAAAACCCACAUCCAGAGAGAGCAAGCAUCAUCUCUCAUCUUUGGAACCCUUCGAUUUGAAGCCUUGUUCUUCCAUUGCUUCCCAUUUUCUCUUCUGUCAAAUCACCUAGGAGCUUGACGAAACUUUCGUCAAGCUGCUGGAAAUAUGGUAAAGCCACCCAUGCUUCCAUCUUCUUCCUCUCUUUCCAUAAACACACAUCCAAAGAGCAAGCUUCAUCUCUCAUCCUCUAAACCUCUGCAAUUUCAAGCCUCAUUCCUCUAUCUUCUCCCAUUUUCAGCGGUAGUGAGAAUGAUUUCUGCGUGUGCAUGGGAAGGAUUGUAACUCAGAUGAGGAGGAGAUGGUUUGGAGUGGGGUGAGGCAGUUGGAUAGAGCUCUUGGCCUUUUCAAGUUUGGAUGGGAAAGAGCAGGGAUGAAAGAAGCUUUACAACUGCAAGGGCAUAUAUGGUGCGUAGGGGCUGAAGGCAGAACACUUACAUAUAGAGGAAACACAUUUUUUGUCCAUGGGAUUCAUGUUUGACAAACACUUGUCUUAGACUAUGAGUUCAAAUUUCAAAACCUUUUUUUUUUCUUUCUGAAAUCAGGACCAGUGUGGAGAACUAGCAAGGAUUGGAGAAACAGAUUUUUGGGCGUCACUUGACCACAGAUUGUUGAUUGCUCAAAUGUGUAGAAUUGGCCAUCUUAAAUGUCAAAAUGAUUUAUCAAUUGGGGUUUUUUUAGAAACGUUUAUGUUUGUCAAUAGAGACAGAAGUCAGAGAACAUAAACCUUUCUCAGCAAAUUGAAAUUCUCAGUGCAUGCUCUGUUCUUCCAUGGCUUUCAAACCUUCUCUGCCACGGUGAAAUGGAUCGAUAGAGAUAGUUUAGGCCGUUCCAUUUGUUUGAUGAAGCAUUCGUUCUAGGGAUUCUGUAUAUUCAUAACAAAAUCACUAGAAUGAUUCUUAGAAAUUCAUCACUGCUAAAGGCAAUGGGUUCAGCAUAAUAACUUCUUAGUCUUGCUUCUUGGUCCUUUAUUUUCUUUGCAUAAUACUCCAAGUUUACCUGGGUUCUACAGAGAAAAUCUCGUAGAUACCUCUUUUUGUGGUCUUCCAUGGCAUUUAAGUGCUGCUUUCCAUGGUGAAGUGGGCCUAUAGAGACUACCUGAGGUGUGUAGGCUUUGUCAUUUCCACGCCGUAAUCGCUCAGGAACUCUGUAGAUACACCUUCAAGGGGGACAAGGGAGACAAACUAUCCAAUUCCUUGCGCCUUACAAAUAGAUCGCAUGGGUUUUCUAUUUCAUCUGCAGCUUCAUCAAUUCCUUCCAUUUUUCUCCUGAUCAUCAUGCGCGGUGAUUCAAAUAUUUCAUAAUGAACAUUGAAAUGAGAUGCUACAAGCAAACUUAUGAAAAGAAACAGAAAUACCAAAAAGACAAAUCAAUGUAGAUGGUUUAGAAAAUCUAAACAUUGCAAUUAUACUCCUUUGCCCAACUUCUAGGAGCAAACGUACACAAAGACCUUAUUGCUUCCAACUUUUCCAACAGAAUUUCAUAUGAAUUGCUCCAAGUGAAAUCCGUAUGAAAAAUCGGUAGUUGGAUUUUCAUCCUGCUUUAAUAUGAUUAUUUAACUUCUAACAAAAAAACUCUUAUUACUUGAGCAAGUAAAAUACUAUUCCAGGUUUCUCCUAGUUCUAUAUGCGCUUAUAAUUGGUAUACUCUAUAAAUACCAUAAUCUGAAUUUCUCUGUUUUGAUUACUUUAAUUUAUUACUUAUGUUUUAAUUAUUGUUUACUUAGUGAAUUAUUAGUAUUUAAGAGAAGGCCUUCCAUCGAUUAGGCACCACGUGUCUAUAAUAAGUAAAGCCGUCCGGCUAUACUUAAAAAAAAAAAAAAUUGUAGUAUAGCCGACCGGUAUAGCCGCGCGGCUAUACUAUUUAAUACAUUAUAUUUAAACGGUAUAGCCGCGCGGCUAUACUAUUUAAUAAAAUAAAAAACAAAAGAAAAAGAAAAAUUACCCUCCUAUUUCAUUAGUUUGUACUUUAUAGAUACUAGCCCCUUGACACAUGCUCACGCAUGUGCCAAUUGGUUUUCUUUUUCUUUUUUAUUUUUAUUUUUAGAAUUAAGAAAAAAUAACAGGAUAGUUAUGUUCCAUAAAAGUAGGACCUAUUAUCUUAUUUUGUUUUUAAUUUUAAUUUUUUUAAUAUUAAAAAAAUAUGAAUUUACGAUAUUAUCCUCAUUUAAUUAAUAAUUUCAAUUCUUAAUGUUUGAAUUAACAAAGGGCAUUUUCUGGUAUUUUGAAUGUUUCACCAUUCUCUGCCUUUUGCUUUAUAUAUAUAGAUUAAUUUGCCAGUUUCAAGAUAUCCAAAGUACAUAUUAGACUUUCACUAUAUAAAUUUCAAUAUAUAUUUUUUAUAACAUGUGUUGUUCUUAUUCAAUAAUAUGUGAGAAUUAUUUGUAUAAUACGUGAAUUUUGUGUGUCUUACUGAAUUUUUUUAAAUACGUGUAUUAAACGUUACAAAUACGUACAUAUAUGUACAACACGACUAUUGUAAGUUUGCUAUAUAAAAAAAAGUGAGAUGUAUCUAGAACACGAAUGUAUUAUCGAAAAAUAUAUAUGUAUGUAUAUAUAUAUAUAUAUAUGUAAAAGCCUAUAGCCUCUCACCUAUACUAUUUAUUAAAGACAAUUUAAAAAUUACAACAACAAAAAAACCAGUACAGCCACAAAGCUAUACUAUUUUAAAAAAAAAAAAUAGAAAAAAUAUCAAGUACUACACAGGGCAAAGGCCCAGUGUAAAAUAGUAUAGCCGUACGGCUAUACGUUUUUAAGAAGAAUUUAAAAAACUAAGUAUAGCUCACCGACUAUACUAUUUUUUAAUAUAAAAAAACAACCCCAUCCAUUAGGCGCCACGUGUCAACAGAAGUUUAUUUUUAAAAAAAAAAAUUAAAAGACAAGGAGUAUAGCCGGGUGGUUGUACUAUUUUUUUAUUUUAAAAAGAAGACAGUCCAUCGAUUAGGCGCCACGUGUCCAUAAUAAGUACAGCCGCUCGGCUAUAUGUUGGAUAUUUUGAAACUAGCAAAUUAAUAUCAAUAGCCGGUCGUAACCUAUGCUGUCCACGUCACUCAUGUUUUACCAGAGUUAAAGCAUCCACAAUGAGCUCCCCAAACCAUCUCUUUAGACAAAUUUUAGGGAGAAAUUGGAAAAGUACAACUCCAACCAUGCUCCCUAUCCACCAACUAAAAUAGGGAGACCUCUAGGAGCUCCUAAAUCUGAGGAGAGGGAAAGGACUCUUAGUGACUCCCUAUAAUUUAAUGUUGCUUUGUUUUAUGCAUAUUUUAAACUUUUAAUUAAAUCAAAUUAUUAUUUUAUAUUAUUUUGUAUACAGAUGGACCAAUUAUAUUAAAUUAAAAAAUAAUUAAAGUAUUUGUGACUCUCUAAACUAAGGAGUAUGAUUAGAGUUCAAAUUUUAUAAAAAGCUCUUAAAAUAGCUUUUGUGUGUUUUUAGCUAAAUUUUAACUAAAAAAUUUGAAGAUUCUUUAUUUGGGUUUCUUUCAAGACGAAAACCAUAUCCACAACAGACAUCUUUGGCUGUUCAUCACAAUUGAGAGACAAUGAAGAAGACAUAAGGGAGAGGCUGCCAAAUACUUAUCACCUUAGCCACCACCAACACCACAAGACCAAUAUGUGUAGGCCAGGAGGCUUUCCAAUUUUAAUAUAUAUAUAUAUAUAUAUUAAAAAAUAAAAUAAAAAUCAAUCUAUUAUCAUAUAUAUUAUAAAAUAAAGAUUAUUGCUCCAUCCUCCAUGCACUUGCGUGCCCUCUUACAAAGUAUGAAGUAGAUUUUGUUAGCUGGAUUUAUAAGAUCUUUUGUUUUUUGGAAAUUUUCUGAAAUAAGGAAAAUCAAGUAAAAUUAAUAAAGCAUAAAUUGGAAAGGGAAAAUAUCUAGAGGAUGCAUUGUAGGAUUGCUCAAGCCAAUAAUUGUACCCUCUAAAUAUAUAGGGACAUAUUUUUUUUGUUUUCAUGACAUGUCGUCCUAAAAUUAUUGUUCUUAGCGGGCUCUCCACCCCCUCUCGAUUGAAAACCUAUUGUGUAAAUCUUCAAUCCUGAAUUAGAAAAGUACAACUCCAACCAUGCUCCCUAUCCAUCUCCUAAAAUAGGGAUACCUCUAGGAGCUCCUAAAUCUGAGGCGAGAGAAAGGACUCUUAGUGUCUCUUUAUAAUUUAAUGUUGCUUUGUUUUAUGCAUAUUUAAACUUUUAAUUAAAUCAAAUUAUUUUUUUAUAUUAUUUUGUAUACAAAUGGACCAAUUAUAUUGAAUUAAAAAUAAAUUAAAGUAUUUAUGACUCUCUAAACUAGGGAGUAUGAUUGGAGUUCAAAUUUUAUAAAGAGCUCCUAAAAUAGCUUGUGUGUGUAGGGGUCUUUUUCUUCUGGCAACUACAGAUGGGUUGGGCUACCGUAAGGAGCAAACUGAAGAAAAUAUCCCCUGUGUCUGAGUUCAAAGAUUCGGCCCCAAAAUAUUUCGAAAAGGCAGUAAAGCCUUAGGAAACACCUUAGUUACCUUCACCAACGAAAAUGACGGCUGCUUACAGGUAGAUUCUUAGUGCUUACAGAUGAAUUCUUAGCUUAGCAUGAGGAGAUCGUGGCAUGGAAGCAAAGUUAGCAUGAGUUUAGCACUAAAGAGAAAAUUAUGUGUUCUUGGGAGGAAGAAGGGGUGUCCAGGUAAAUGGGAAAAGGUUUUGCAAGUAGAUUUGGCUAAGAGAGAAGGGAGAGAGAGAAGAGGGUGGCUAGAGUGCUUCUUCCGGCAGCUUGACAGUGACUCUGUCAAAUGUUAGAGCAAUCUGCCAUAAGAGGGAAAAUGGGGAAGAAGGAUGAACAGUGCACAAAAUUGCUAGGUUUUUGCAAGUAAGAGAGGAAGCUUGCUCUCUGGAUGUGGAUGAUCCGUUGGGUAGAAGAGGCCCCAUUUUAUAGCCGCUGGAAACUAUCAUUUCUCAAGAAACCCUAAUAGUUUCUACCCAAUUUGGUCAAGCUUUUCCCUUCCUUUCUCAUCUCCUCCCUUGACUUUUCCUAUCUUGGUGAAAUUUCCUCUGUCUAUUUGCACAAAAUCAGGAGCUCAAGGCCUCCCUUUCCCGCAACUGUUCAAUGGGAGACUCCAUUCUUAGCUAUUUUUCUUCUUCUUUCCUUCCUCCUUCCCUGACCAAAUCUGAUGAAGGAAAGCAAAUAGGUGCACACAUUGGUUUGAAGGGUGCUUCUCCUUCUAGCAGCUUACAUGCCAAUAUCCCUUGGGUCCUUGCAUGUUUUUUGCUUUGAAACUUGUUUCUUCCUUCCCGUCAACUCACGUGGUCUUCCAUGCUUCUUCAUGGCUUUAUCUUUCAGCCAAAAGAUGGAGUUUUUACUGCUUGCUACUUUUAAUUGUAUGGGUCUUCUAGGAUAGGAAGUCAACCUACCAAACAAAUGGGCCACCUUUAUCAAAUAUUGGGCUGUUGGGGUUAGUUUUAGUGGGCCAUUUUGACUGGGCUUUUUGGUUGGGUUAUUUAAGUUAUUUUCCCUUUUGUGCUCACCCAUGUAUUUAGGCCUAAGAAAUGGGCUUGGGCUCCGAGUCUCCCAAGCAACCCGGAACCUCCAUUUCUUGGCCCAUUAAUGGGCCUCAUGACAACCUAUUACCAUCCAUACCACAACCCACUCAAGCAAGCCCCGGGCAUUUGAAUGGCUUUGGCCCACUUUAGGCUUGUAGUGUGAUUGGGUGUGGCAUAACGAUUUCUCGCUUGGCAUGGCAUGUUGCUUGGCAUGUUUUUUCAUUACGAUGCUUGAUGGAUUUGUAGAGCUACCUAUUUUUAUGAUCUUAAUCUUGAUUCCUAGCAUGACAAAUUUAUUUAUUUGGCAUGGCAUGCGGAGCGUGACUUGUGCGUGGCGAGUUUUGUAUGCUCCAACUUGGGCCUUUCCUAAAUAAUGUAUCAUUUUGGGUUAUGAAUUCUUUCGGGCCCAACCGUGAAUUUUUUGGGUUUCAACAGUGUGUUUUUAGCUAAAUUUUAACUAAAAAAUAGGGAGCAUGAUUGUAGAUCAUCUUAUAUACCUUAAUUUGAAGAUUCUUUAUUUGGGUUUCUUUCAAGAUGAAAACCAUAUCCACAACUGGCAGACAUCUUUGGCUGUUCAUCACAAUUGAGAGACAAUGAAGAAGACAUAAGGGAGAGGCCGCCAAAUACUUAUCACCUCAGCCACCACCAACACCACAAGACCAAUAUGUGUAGGCCAGGGGGCUUUCCAAUUUUAAUAUAUAUAUAUGGAGUGAAAAAAAUAAAAUAAAGAUUAUUGCUCAUCCUCCAUGCACUUGCAUGCCCUCUUACAAAGUGUGAAGAAGAUUUUGUGUGCUUCAAGUCAUUGACUAGAGCUGAAACAUGGUUAGCUGGAUUUAUAAGAUCUUUUGUUUUCUGGGAAUUUUCAGAACCAAGGAAAAUCAAGUAAAAUUAAUAAAGCAAAAUGGAAAGGGAAAAGAUCUAGAGGAUGCAUUGUAGGAUUGCUCAUGCCAAUAAUUGUACCCUCUAAAUAUAUAGGGACAUAUUUUUUUUGUUUUCAUGACAUGUUGUCCUAAAAUAUUUGUUCCUAGCGGGCUCUCCACCCCCUCUCGAUUGAAAACCUAUUGUGUAAAUCUUCAAUCCUGAACGAUGCUCCUAAAACUCAAGUGUCCCAGGCCAAUUAUUGCUCUCAUACCACUUGUUGCAAUACACAUCCACUCAUUCUCAGGGAAAGAAACCCAUCGAUAUUAUCUCAAAUUUAACCACUUUAGUCUAUUAUGAUUAACUAUGUAUUUUAUGGAUCAAUGCAGUUGUGAGGUUUUAUACCCAAUUAGAUCGACCAAUACAGAGAUCACAUGUGGACUGAAAAGCGCCAUCGGUAGGGGAGUGUUUGGCACCCUUUACUGCCGAGUGCAACACAAGACCCCUUACCAGGAACUUAUCUACUAGGACACGUGAAGCCACCACAAGUAAUAUCAACAGUCCCACAUCGAAGUUUAACAUAACAUGUACACUCCCCAGGACUGAUAAAAGUGGGCACAAGUCCCAAAAAUGGGGGAACUUGGACUUUCAGCAAUUCAUCCAUUAUUAUGUCCAAAUUACUAUACACUCCGUACUUAUUCUUACUUAAGCAUUGGAGAGCCUUCGGCCGGUACCACACCAGUGCCUAAGGGCUUACCGAGCGUUCUCUAUCUUGCAUAUUGAUCGCUCUACUGAAGCCCAUAAAGAGUUAAAGGUCAAGACAUCACUAAGUUGAGCCCAAAAGUGCUGAACCACAUCAAAAAUAUGUAUAGAUUGAAAAAAUAAAAUAAAAAUCAAUCUAUUAUCAUAUAUAUUAUAAAAUAAAUAUUGGAUAAAUUACUCAAAUGGUCCUCAAACUUAUACUCGAUUUACAUUUUGGUCUCUCAAUUAAAUUAUUUGUUCAAAUGGUCCAUCAACUCUAUAUUAUUUCUGCAAAAUCUACAAAGUGGUGGGAGGCAGACCAACAAAAAAAAUUAGCGAAGGCUUAUAACUCUGGUAAAACAAGAGUUACUUGGAUAGAAUAAUGUUACGUCGUACUGAAGAUUUUUGGGUUUCUUUAAUUGGUUAAGUGAAGAUUCUUUAUUUGGGUUUCUUUCAAGAUGAAAGCCAUAUCCACAACCACAACCACAACUGGCAGACAAUCUUUGGCUGUUCAUCACAAUUGGGCGACAAUGAAGAAGACAGAAAUUGGAGUACUGUAUGUUAUCACCCACACCACAAGACCAAUAUAAGGAGGAUGGGGAGGCUGCGGAAUACUUAUCACCUUAGCCACCACCUACACCACAAGACCAAUAUGUUGUAGGCCAGGAGGCUUUCCAAUUUUAAAUUAGAUAAAUCGGAAACUGUUUCGAUAUCCAAUUGUAUUCUAUAAAAUCAAUGAACACGGUGCUUCAAGAAAGUAAUAAAAUUUCAAUAAUUCAAUUGAGUGGUCAAAUUCAAGUGAUUUUUUGUAGUGAUGAUCUUUGAAUGAGUAUCUAUAAAAGAGACGGUUUGGAUUAGUGAAAUACAAUAUGGAGUGGGCCCUACCAGCAAUCCACGACAAAAUGUCUGCAAGCUUUCGUAAUAUAAGGAGGAUGGGGAGGCUGCGCAAUACUUAUCACCUUAGCCACCACCUACACCACAAGACCAAUAUGUUGUAGGCCAGGAGGCUUUCCAAUUUUAAUAUAUAUAUAUAUAUAUAUAUAUAUAUAUAUAUAGGGAUGUGAUUUCUCUACUCCCCUUUUCUCUACUUAUACUCCCUUUUGCUUUUAAAUACUUUUUAAUCAAUUUUUUUUCCGCUUUCCUAUUAAUAUUCUACCAUUUCCCUACAUUAAUUUCUUUUUACUUCACUUUUAUAUUAGUUCUUUUUCUUUAUACUUAAUUUUUCAACUUGCACUCCAUUUUCAUUAUUUUUUUCCUAAUCGAGUAAGAAAUUAAGUUUUUUUUCCCCAUUUAAUACUGAAAAUGGAGUGUAAGUUAGAAAAUUAGGUAUAAAGAAAAAGAAAUAAUAUAAAAGUAAAGUAAAAAAGAAAUUAAUGUAGGGUAAAGGUAGAAUAGAAAAGAGAAUGAACAAAAUUGAUAAAUAAAUAAAAAAGGUUUAAAAAGCAAAAAGGAGUGUAAAUGGAGAAAAGGGGAAUGAGGAAAUCAGCUCCAUAUAUAUAUAGAUUGAAAAAAUUAAAAUUAAAAUCAAUCUAUUAUCAUAUAUAUUAUAAAAUAAAGAUUAUUGCUCCAAGGAAAUGACAUCUUUUGUUUUCUGGGAAUUUUCUGAACCAAGGAAAAUCAAAUAAAAUUAAUAAAGCAUAAAUUGGAAAGGGAAAAGAUCUAAAGGAUGCAUUGUAGGAUUGCUGAUGCCAAUAAUUGUACCCUCAAAUUAUACAUGGACAUAGGGGUGGGCAUUCAAAUAGGCAAACUAGAAAUCCGAGCUGAACCGCACCUAGGAAAACCGGAAAAAAAACCGAGUUGACCAAAAAGUCAACAACUGGUCAAAAAUCGAACCGGACCGAUUUGGACUGGUUUUGGAUUCAGUUUAUAUGCAAUGCUACAUUUUUAGUCUCAUAACUAAUAUUUAUCCAAGUUCAAUUUCAAAACAUCUUUCUUUUUUAGCUUUAAUAUUUAUUUUUAUAUGAAAUUAAAUAAUUUAUUAAUUUUCAAGUAAAUAAAAUAAAAUUUCAGUUGAAAUUUAUAUUAAAAAAAUAAUUUUAAUAAUCCAGUUCAAAACCAAACCGGACCAUCCAGCUGUGAGGUACAUUUCUCCCACAUGCCACAAUUGUAUAUUCACAAUUACGUCUGAUACAUCACAUCAUGCCACUUGCCUCAAAUGAAUUUAAGUGAGUGUGGCAGUGGAAAGUAAUUAAGCUCUAUAUUGGUGGGUGGACUGUUACUUCUGGGUUCCCCUCAUCAUUCGUCUAUAAAAUGGUGAAGGCAGUUGCUAUUGUUACCAUAAGAGCCAGCUCCGACUUCCUUUAAUUUCUUGCUUCAUAUCCACUAGCUACAUCUGUUACCAAGUUAAUUUCAGUCCUAAUGGGGUUUCAUCUCCCACUCAUCUUUGCUCUUCUCAGUGUAAGCUCUGCAAUUUGAUUAACUUUUCCAUUCUCUCUCAUUGUACUCUAUAUAAACGAAAGUUUUGUGUUCCUAUAAUUCUCUCCGAUUUUAUUUAGUACGUACUUAAGUGUCGUCCACUAAUUAAUUACACUUUGUGAUUUGAUUUUAAUUUGAGUUCGAAUUAAUGUUGCAGCUAGCAGCAGUGGCACUGGCAAACCAUGCUGCUCAACCAGCACCUCAACUUUACUGGAACUCCGUCCUGCCAAACACACAGAUGCCAAGAUCUAUCAGUGAACUUCUGCAUCCUGGUUUGUGUUGAGCUCUUUAGAAUCUUAGAUAUCUCUUCUACCUGCCAUUUUACUAAAAUAUGUUCCACCACAUAUUUAUCAGUUAACCACUGUUAUUACAUGAGUGACACAUAUUCACAAAUCGGCUGAUCACUUAUUUUCCAUUAUGACGUUGAUAUAUAAUUUGCAGACUCCACAAAUGAAGAAAAGAGCACAAAUGACGUUGGCAAACCUGAAACUUUCCCAUUGGGCAAUAAACAUUACUCCAGUCAAAAACAUUAUGGAAGAGGCAAACCUGAAACUUUCCCAUUGGGCAAUAAACAUUACUCCAGUCAAAGACAUUAUGGAAGAGGCAAACCUGAAACUUUCCCAUUGGGCAAUAAACAUUACUCCAGUCAAAGACAUUAUGGAAGAGGCAAACCUGAAACUUUCCCAUUGGGCAAUAAACAUUACUCCAGUCAAAAACAUUAUGGAAGAGGCAAACCUGAAACUUUCCCAUUGGGCAAUCAGCAUUACUCCAGUCAAAAAAAGUAUGGAAGAGGUGCUUCUCCAUCCGACAAUCAACCACCAAUUCCAUAGAAAUUCAAACACGGCUACUUUCUUGCCACGAGAAAGCGCUCAAUCGAUCCCCUUCUCCUCUAACAAACUACCAGAAAUUUUCAACCAUUUUUCAGUGAAGCCAACAUCUGAGGAAGCCAAAACAAUUAAGCAAACAAUCGAAGAGUGUGAAGCUCCAGACCUUAAGGGAGAGGAAAUAUAUUGCGCCACAUCUUUAGAAUCAAUGGUUGAUUUUAGCACUUCGAAGCUUGGAACAAGAAACGUUGAAGCAAUCUCGACGGAGGUAUUGGAAAAAGGAGCCACCAUGUCCAUCCAAAACUAUACAACAAUGCCGGGACUGAAGAAGUUGGCAGGUGACAAAGUCGUUGUGUGUCAUAAGCAGAACUAUCCCUAUGCUGUGUUUUUCUGCCAUGCAAUAAAACAUACAGCAGCUUAUGCUCUCUCCCUGAAAGGCGAUGAUGGGGAGAAGGUUAAAGCAGUAACCAUCUGCCAUCUAGACACAUCAGAAUGGGACCCAGAGCAUAUGUCCUUCAAAAUCGUCAACGUUAAGCCCGGAACCAUUCCCAUCUGCCAUUUCAUUUCCACUGAUGCUAUUGCCUGGGUUCCGAACCACAAAUCUGCAUGAUCAUCACUUAGCACUAGUACUGUGCGUAUAAUAUGCCUGUAUAAUUAUCUCCCUACUUAUUUCUGCCUGUUCAUCAUGUGGUGUAAGAUAUAUGUUGAGAUGAAGUUUUUGGGAUUAGUGGUCGAAAUUAACCCGAUCAUGUUUUCUCUUGUAACUAUAUAGACUUCAACUUGUACUCAUAAUAAAGCAUGCUAUAUUUAUGAAGAGAUAUUAAUCUUCAGGCAAAUAGAUAUUAUGAAAACAUAUAUAGCAAUUUAUCCAGAAGAAAUAUUAUGAAAUGAAAAGAAUAAAAAGUAAAAAAACAGAAGGAAAGGAAUUCGCACCUGCUAUGUAUGAAAGGACCAAGAUUGUUUUCCCUUUGGUUAAUGACUAGAAAAGCUCACUUGCAGAUUGCUUUCUCUGACCGUAGAUGCAACAGAAAUUUUCUCUUAAUAAUAGCACAAUGAUCGGGUAAUUGUAAGAACAAGUUGAUUUAAAAUUCCUUGACCCAAAAAAAAAAAAAAAAUCAUUUCAAAUUCAGGUCAACCCAUAGAUUUCUUGCCUUUUUCUUCUUCAUCACGUUGGGCUUGUCUUCUUCUUGAGGAUUGUAUAGGCCCAGGAAAUGCUUUGAGGUAGUUUUUGGCCUUGGAAGUUGGGACCCAACCCAACUUCACAAAAAGAAAACAGAUUUGCCAAAAAUCAAAUUUCAAGUCUCUCCUCAGAUCACUAAUACAGAUCAAAUUUUGGAUUUGAUGAACUAAAGUGGUUUUACUUUCUCUGUCAGUGUUUGAUGACUUAAUUUGUUAUUUACUUCUUUUUUUUUUUUUACUUGAUCUUUGUAGGGGUUUUUUUCUUCCGGUAACUUAAACGGGCUGGGCUGCCGUAAAGGGUAGAUUGAUGAAAUUGUCUCCUUUGUCUGAGUUCGAAAAUCAAGCCCCAAAAGCGCUUCGAAAGGGCAGUAGAGCCUUAGGAAGCGUUCUAGUCAUCUUCACCAACUAAAACAACAGCAACUUACAGAUGAUUUCUUAAGGCUUACAGAUAAAUUUUCUAGCUUGGCAUGAGAGGCUUGUGACAUGGAAGCAAAAUCAGCAUGAGUUUAGCACCAAAGAGGAAAAUAUGGCUUCCUAGGGAGAAAUGGGAGUGUUUAAGGUGAGGAAGAAGAGGUUUGCAGGCUGAUUUGGCUGAGGAGAGAGAAAGAAAGAACAAUGUUCUUCCAGUAGCUUGACAAAGCUUCUGACAGAUGUGAAAGUCGUCUGCCAUAAGAGGAAAAUGAAGAAGAAUGGUGAAUAGUGCAUGAAAUUGCUGGGUUUUUGCAGGUAAGAGAGAAAGCUUGCUCUCUGAAUUUGAGUUGGUUUUUGGUUGGGUAGAAGAGGCCCCCUUUUAUAGCUGCGGGAAACCAUCUUUUUUCAAGAAACCCUAAUGGUUUCUAUCCAUUUUGGCCAAGCUUUUCCCUUCAUUUCUCUUCUCCUCCCUUGACUUUUCCUAUCUUGGUGAAAUUUCCUCUGCCUAUUUGCACAAAAUUAGAGAUUUUGAGGAGCUCAAGACCCCUUUCCCGCAGCUGCCUCAGUGGAGAAUCCCCAUUUUCAGUCAUCUUUCUUCCUUCUUUUCUCCCAUCUUCCAAGGUUAGGUCUGAUGAGGGAAAGAAAUGGGUAUGCACACUGGUUUGAAGGGUAUUUUUGCUUGAAACUUGUUCUCUCCCAUGUGCUGGAGCUUCCCAGCAACUUACACACAUGGAUAUUUUGGCUUUCAUCGUGGCUUUUGUUUUCAGCUAGGUGCUGGAGAUUUCGCAGAUAUUUUCAUGAGUUGCUUGGGCCUUCUAGGACAAUAGGUUGGUUUAUCAAGUGAAUGGGCUAACUUCAUCAAUUGUUGGGCUAUUUUGGUUGAGUUAAUGGACUAUUUUGGUUGAAGUAAUGGGCUAUUUUGGUUGAAUUAAUGGGCUAUUUUUCUCUCUUUGUGCUCACCCACAUAUUUGGGCCUAAGAAAUGGGCUUGAGUUCCGGGGCUCCCAAGCAACCCCGGGACUUCCAUUUCUCGGCCCAUCAAUGGGCCUCAUAUCAACUUAUUACCAUCCAUAUCACAACCCACUCAAGCAAGCCCUGGGCAUCUUGCGUGGCUUGGGCCCACUUAAGCUUGUAGCGUGACGUGUUGCUUAUUUGCUUGGCAUGGCAUGUGUGCAAGCGCAUAUGACGAACUUUAGCGUGCCCAAAUUGGGUUUAUUCUCGGUAAGGUAUCGCAUUGGGCCGAGAAUUUAAUUGGGCAGAACUGUGGAUUUUUGGGCCUCAACAAUCUUAUAUAUAUUGGUUUUCUUUUUUUCCUUAAUAUUCACCACCUUUCUGUUGCAUAAGUAUUUCAGUCUUAACGGGUUUCCAUCUACCACUCAUCUUUGCUCUUUUAAGUGUAAGCUUUUUUUUUUUUUUUUUAAGCACAAGAUUAGAGGGGAGGGGGAUUUCUCAAUGUAAGCUUUGCAGUUUCAUAAUUAAUAUUUCCAAUAUCUCACUGUUAGUAAAAUAUGGAACAGGAAAAGUAUGAAUAAAAUACACACAUGUUUUAUUUAGCAAAAUUUUGACAAGAUACAACUGAAAAGUUUGGCCACUAUAUAAUAUUUUGAUAUAAUUUCUACACUUCUUCUCAAAAGAUUAGAUCACUUCACAUCUUGUGUAUGUGAAAACUAAUGUAAAAAGUUGAAACUUUAUCGUAAAACCUCGACAAAAAUGAGCUCUACUAGAAAAUGUUCAAUUUGGAUUCGUUGAUUUAAAUGGCAAUUUGACACUUGAUAGAAAUUUUUACAUACAUGUGUUAGUGUUUGAUCACUUCACAUGUUACUUACUAUAUUUAUUCCACUCAAGUUAGGUAAAUAUUAUUAUCAAACAUUUCAAUUAAUUUGUGAUUUUUUUAUUAUUUAAUCAAUUAUGAAUUAAUGGAUUCUUCUUGUUGUUUUGAAGACCAAUAAAAAAAAAAGGGUAAGGAUGGCUUAUAACUCUGAUAAAACAACAGUGACGUGGACAGCAGAUGUUACACCGUACUGAAGAUUUUUGAAGAUUCUUUAUUUGGGUUUCUUUCAAGAUGAAAACCAUAUUAUCCACAACCACAAUGAAGAAGACAGAAAAUGGAGUAAUUCAGAUGUUACCAGCCAUCCACGACAAACUGAAGUCUGCAAAGCAUUCGUAAUCUAAAGGGAGACUUUGGAAAAGCCCAAAGGAGAGAGAAAAUUUUUAAAAGAAGCAAAAAUGGACAAAAUUGCCCUUAUUUAUUUUUUGAUUUCCUAAGAAAUCCUUUACAUUUGCAUGUCUUUGGUUUGAAAGUUGAGAGGUUAUUCUGUCUUUUUUCAAAAAGCUUUGGCUUUUUCCAAAAGUGAAAGUUUUUUUAUGGGUAAAACCUAAAUUUACUUAAUCCCUAAAAAGGAUGGGGAGGCUGCGCAAUACUUAGCCACGUGUAGGCCAGGAGGCUUUCCAAUUUUAAUAUAUAUAUAAAUUGAAAAAAUAAAAUAAAAAUCAAUCUAUUAUCCUAUAUAAAAUAAAGAUUAUUGCUUCCAUGGGCAGUGCUAUGCACAGGACAGUGCCUGCCCAGCACAAAUUUUUUUUAAAUAAAAAAAAAAAAUCUACAUAUGUUAUAAGCUCAUCCAAAAAAAUAAAAUAAAAUAAAAGUAAAUUCUACAUAUAUGUUGCCCAUCUAGGUGGUUCCAUAUCUUCUCUCUCCUUCUCUUUUGGCUAUUAGACUUCUUGUUUCUCUCUCUCUCUUUGCUACCUCACAUCAGCAAGUUUCUCCCUCUCUUUUUUUGGGGUCAAAUUCUUCCUCUAUUGACAAAAUCUUCUAUUAUCUUGGGUGGGCAACUUGGCAACAACAUCUUCUCUUCUCCUUUUGUCAACAACAAGUAUUAUUCUCAUUCUCUCAUUUGCUAUAUAUCUUUAAUUAUAGUUUUAAUUUAAAAUUGAGUAUUCUAGGGUUUAAUUAGGGAUGAAUUAUAAUUUUAGAAUUUUGUUGAAAUUAAUUAAGGCUUCGAUUAGGGGUGAAUUAUUCUACUGCUUUGGUUUGGAAUUUUGUUAAAAUUGAGUAUUAUAGGGUUUAAUUAUGGAUGAAUUAUAAUUUUUGAUUUUGGUAUUAUUGAGAUGUUAUUAUGAGAAUUUGUUUCAUUUUUUUAUUGGUAUAUUUGAUUAAAAUUCUUUCUACAUAUUAUUCAUAGGCUAUCUUUUAUUAUGUCGGAUCACAAUCGGAAUCCCAAGAGAACAAAGAAUUUGAAUAGUGUUGUUUUGUAUUGCAUUGCAUUUACUUUUGGUUUUAGUUUUGCUUUUAGUGUAAAUUACUCAAAUGGUCCUCAAAUUUGUACCCGAUUUACAUUUUGGUCCAUAAACUAAAUUAUUCAUUCAAAUGGUGCACCAACUCUUUAUUAAUCAGUGCUUUGGUCCUACCGUUAUGUUUUCUAUUAAAUUUAGUCAUGUGAGCAGCACAUGCUACAUUUGUAGGGGUAAAUAAGACUUUUGACCACUUUAUCACCUAUGUAUCACCACUUUAUAACCUAUUUGGAGAACAUAGGUCAGUUAUGGACGGUUUUACAAUUAUAUUUGACGGCAACAUUAACAUAAUGUAACAGUGGGAUCAAUGGAGCGAUUAAUAUAGAGUUGAUGGACCGUUUGAACGAAUAAUUUAAUUGAGGGACCAAAACGUAAAUUGAGUAUAAGUUUGAGGACCAUUUGAGUAAUGUACCCUUCGCUUUUAUAUUUGUUGAACUUUUAUUUAUGGAUAGAUAUGCAUUUGAGGGUAAGACCCAUUAUGUUCCCCCUGACUUGGUGUAUCUUUUUAUGUUUAUUAAUGAAAUUCACUCGAACUGUUGAGUUUAGUAUGUAAGUUUUGCCUAACCGGCUUUUGAAUCCUAGAACCGCCACUGUUGCUCCAUCCUCCAUGCACUUGCAUGUGCUCUUACAAAGUGUGAAGUAGAUUUUGUGUGCUCCAAGUCAUUGACUAGAGCUGAAACAUGGUUAGCUAGAUUUAUAAGGACCCAUCUCUCUAUUUCCUAGACAUAUACCCAUCUCUCUAUAAAUCUAUAUGUAAAACUCAAUUUCAAACUUAAAUGACCAGUAAGAUAUAAGAGGUCAUAGUAUUCCUAUGUUUUUACAUCGUUGCCACCAGACUUCUUAUUUUAUUUAUAAUUUAUUUCAAGCAUUUCAUUAACUGCCAUAAUUGUAAUUAAUACUCCAUAUUAAUAGCAUAUCAAUCACCCCAUUUCUUUUGAUUGCCAUUCCCUCUAACAUAUCGCCCCUUAAAAUUGAAAACCAAAAAAAAAAAAAAUGUAAAUUACAUAUCCAAUAAUGUACCUAUGAAAAAUAUAAAUAUAAAUAUAUACGUAUAAAAAUAUAGGUUUAUUAUUUACCAAAUAAAAAAUAUAAAAAAACUAGGUCAGUUGCUUUGUAAUUGAAAUUUCUAUACAUUUUCCACAAAUUAAAAAUAGGUACACAAUAAUUUAUAGAAAAUAUAGGUGCAUUAUUUAUCCAUAGGUAAAAAUACCUAUAAAUGCACAUAGGUAAAUUAUUUACCCAUAUAUUAUUUUUUUGCUAAGGAUUUACCUUAGUUUUUAGUAGAUUAAUUUACCUACCUAGAGGCAUAGGUAGCUUAAAAAAAUUGUAGCACCUUAGUUGGUUGCAUACUAAUUUACCUACCUAGAGGCAUAGGUUGCUAAGAAAAAAUGUAGGUAAAUUCAUGUACCUAAACACAUAGGGGUCAAAUAGAGAAUAACAUGUUAUUUCCCUUCGAACAAAUUAAUUUCAAACCAUAACAAUAAUUGAAUUCGGAAAUUGGUAUAAAUAAAAGGAAAUAAAUAAGCUAUCAAUUUGAAAAUUAAAAUAAGAAAUGAUCAAGUAGUCAUAUUUGAAAAAAAAGAAAAGAAUAUAUUCUUGGUUUUUAUAGGAACAACGUGUAUAUUCAAACCAAAUGGCAGUAACUACACCAAGCUUUAAUUACUUUUUUUUAAGGCCAAAAGUCACUUUUGGUCUCUGUAGUUUGACACUUCUAUUACUUUUGACGCUGUAGUUUCAAUUCCGUCAAUUUUGCCAUUGUAGUUUCAUAUUUGUAGCAAUUCAAGGACAUGUUAAUAUUAAUGUCAAUUUGUUUAAUGAUGCAAGGGGUAAUUUCGUCAUCCCAAAAUCCUUGAGCAUAAAAGCUUGUCUGAAAUUCUCCCCAUUUCAUAUUAGGGCUCGAAAUUCAACCACUAAUCCCAAUUUUUGAAGAACCCUAUACCCAAAUGACCAAUUUCAAGCCCUAAUAACAAAUUAGGGAAGUUUUAGAUGAGCUUUUAUGCUCAAGGAUUUUGAGUUGAAGAAAUUGCCCCUUGCACUGUCAAAGAAAUUGAUAGGAAUACUGACUUGUCCUUGAAUUGCUACAAAUACAAAAAUACAGGGUCAAAAUUAACAGAAUUUAAACUAUAUGGUCAAAAGUGGUUAAAGUGCCAAACUACAAGGACCAAAAGUGACUUUUAGCCUUUUUGUUUAAAUAAGGAAAAAACUUACCUAUUAAAUCCUUGGAAUCUAUACAAAAUUGAAACACAGUUAAUCAGCAUUGAAUUGCAGCUAAUUUCUUAAACAAGGGUAUUAUAGGAAUUUAAAAAGUAUAACAUUUAAUCCAUUGAGCUUGAUUAGGAAUCUUGAUGAGUUGGAUCCUAGUUAUAUAGUUUCUCUUAUAAAAAUCGGGUUUUAUUUAUAGACAAAUAAAACAAUGGGUUGUAGGUAAGAAAAUAUUAAUUUGAAGGGAAAGUGUCACAUCCUGGGAUCGGCUCCGCCGUAGCACGAUAUUGUCCGCUUUGGGCCCCCCUCUCUGCCCGCACGGUUUUGUUUCUGGGAGCUCACGAGCAACUUCCCAGUGGGUCACCCAUCCUGGGAUUGCUCUGGCCCCCAACUCGCUUAACUUCGGAAUUCCUAUGACUCCGAAGCCAGUGAGCUCCCAAAAGGCCUCGUGCUAGAUGGAUGCGGGUGUGUACAUAUAAGACACAUCACCCCCUCUCCGUUGGUUGAUGUGGGAUCUUACAGAAAGAGUCAAAUUUACUAAAUUAAUAAAGCAUAAAUUGGAAAGGGAAAAGAUCUAGAGGAUGCAUUGUAGGAUUGCUCAUGCCAAUAAUUGCACCCUCUCGAUAUUGAAAAACCUAUUGUGUAUUAUUAUCUUCAAUCAUGAAUGAUGCACCUAAAACCCAAGUGUCCCAAGCCAACCAUUGCGCUCAUACCACUUGUUGCAGUACACAUUCACCCGUUUUUAAAGAAAGAAAUUCUACCAAUCGAUAUUGUCUCAAAUUUAAUCACAUAGGUCUAUUAUGGUUAACCAUAUGUACUUUUAUCGGCCAUAUAGAGGUACCUUUUUCCAACGUGCAACAAUUGUAUUUGAUUCACAAUUAUGUCUGAUAUACAUCACAUCAUGCCACUUGCCUCAAAUGAAUUUAAUUGAGUGAGGCAAUGGGAAGUAAUUAAGCUCUAUAUUGGUGGGUGGAGUGUUACUUCUGGAACCCUCAUCAUUCGUCCAUACAAGGGAACAAUUCCCUUCCUUCUAUAAAAUGGUGAAGCCAGUUGCUAUUGUUUGUUAGAGUUUUAGGAUCUGAGUGUUAGAUUUUGUGAGAAGAGAGAAGAGAAUUUAGUGAAAACUUCCAAUACUGCUCUGCUAUACGUGUAGCAGAGAGAACAUUCUGUUUUGUUAUAUAUUUUCAGUACAACAACACACACUUGGUGUGAGAAGAAAAAUGACUGUUAUGCACAGUACCAGCUGGAUGCUUUCCAUCAAAGUAAUCUCAGCCAUUCACUAUCUAACCAAUCAAGCUAUGACACCUGGACUAAGUAUAAAGAAAUACAACUAAGCAGAAAACAAGACUCUUAAUCCUGAAAUCAACUUAAGCACUUAUAAUUCAACACUCCCCUUUAAGUCUUGAGGUGAUUUCACUCCAAGCAUGCCUCUGAGAUAAUUGAAUCUGUCUUUGGCCAGAGGUUUGGUAAAAAUGUCAGCCAAUUGUUCAUUUGUAGGACAAUAUUCCAGAUUGAUUACCCCUUCUUGCAAUGCAUCCUUGAUGAAGUGAUACCUCCUGUCAAUAUGCUUUGUCUUCUGGUGGAAUACAGGGUUUUUAGUGAUUGCAAUUGCUGAGAUAUUAUCACAAUGCAAUGGAGUAGCUUCAGUUUGAAGCUCUCUAAAGUCUUCUAGCACAAAACGGAGCCAAAUAGCUUGAGUAGUAGCCUCAGCUGCACUGAUGUACUCAGCUUCUGCAGUAGACAGUGCAACACAGUUCUGUUUCACUGAGGCCCAAGAAAAUACUCCACUUCCAAAACUAAACGCAUACCCUGAUGUGCUCUUGCAAUCACCAACUGAUCCUCCCCAAUCACUGUCACAGUAACCAACUAGAAUUGAUCUUUUGCCUUUCACAUAUUCAAGACCAUAGUCCAGAGUUCCUUUGAUGUAUCUCAAAACCCUUUUAGCUGUUCCAUAGUGUCUAUUUGUAGGACAGUGCAUGAAUCUAGCUAGCAAGCUUGAGGCAUACAUGAUGUCUGGUCUUGUAGCAGUUAAGUACAGCAAGCUACCAACAAUGCUUCUGUAUUGUUCUUCAUUUGCAGCUCAACUCCCAUCAUCCUUAGCUAGUUUCUCAGUGGCAACAAGGGGUGUUGUCACAGGUUUGCACUCAGUCAAACCAAACUUGCUCAACAAGGUGCUAGCAUAUUUCUUUUGAUGUAGAAAUAUACUAGACUCAGUCUGAAUAACUCCCAUGCCAAGAAAGUGAUGAAGUAAGCCCAAAUCAGUCAUCUCAUACUUAGCCAUCAUGUCUUCUUUGAAUUCAGCCAACAAUGCUUGACUGCUCCCUGUAUACACAAUAUCGUCUACAUAGAUAGACACAAUUAGAAUCUCCUUAUCUCCCCUUACUUUGGUAUAUAAGGUUGUUUCACUUAAGCUUUUCACAAAACCACAUUGAGUGAAGUAGCUGUCUAUCUCUCCAUACCAAGCCCUUGGGGCUUGCUUCAGACCAUAAAGGGCUUUAUGCAAACGAUAAACCUUGUCUUCUUUACCUUUAAUUACAAAACCUUCAGGCUGACUGACAUAAACUUCCUCUUGCAGCACACCAUUAAGGAAAGCAGACUUCACAUCAAGCUGGAACAAUUUCCAAUCCUUUUGAGCAGCUAGAGCAAUAAGUGUUCUAAUGGUGUCCAAUCUGGCUAUAGGUGCAUAAGUCUCAUUAUAAUCCAGUCCAGGCUUCUGAGCAUACCCCUUAGCCACUAAUCUUGCUUUAUUCUUUUGCACUGAGCCAUCCAAAUUCAGCUUUGUCUUGUACACCCACUUAACUCCAAUCACUGGUUUUUCAGUUAGUCUAUCUACCAAUUCCCAUGUUUCAUUCUUUUCAAUCAUCUGCAGUUCAUCUUCCAUAGCCUUAAGCCAAGAUUCAUCCUGAGCAACAUCAGCAUAUUUUUCUGGUUCCAUGAUACACAAGUUACACUGAGCUAGAACAUCAUCUAGCCUUCUCCAUUUUAGAGGGGUGUGAUCAUAAGCUUGAGUUCUCCUUUCUUCACUGCUUAUAUCACCUGGAGUUGAUGAAAUGCUCUCUUGCAUAUCCAAAGUUUGAGGUGUACCAGUAGAAUUCUCAUUAGAACUGUCAGAUUUCAAGUCCAAAUCAACUUGGUUUUCAAUUGAGUAUGUUGUCAUAACUGAACCAUUUUUGUUUGUCCAAUGCCAAGCAUUUUCUUCAUCAAAUGUCACAUCCCUUGAUAGUAAAAGCUUGUUAGAAACAGGAUCAAAAACUCUAUAUCCUUUUUCACAAGUUGCAUAUCCCACAAACACUCCCUUUGUACUCUUAGGAUCCCGCUUGUGUCUCAAUUCAGUUGGCACAUGAACAUAACACAGAGAACCAAACACUUUCAGAUGUGCAAUUCCAGGCUUCCUUCCACUAUAUGCUUCGAAUGGAGUAAUGUUGUUGAGAGCUUUGGUAGGACAUCUGUUCAGCAAAUAGAUAGCUGUAUGCACAGCUUCUGCCCAUAGGAAAUAAGGCAUUCCCUUCUCAUGUAACAUUGAUUUUGCCAUCUCAAUGACAGUUCUAUUCUUCCUCUCAACUACUCCAUUCUGCUGAGGAGUAUAGGCCAUUGUAAGCUGCCUUUGAAUGCCAUUAGCUUCACAAAACUCCAAAAAAUCAGUAGACAUAAACUCUCCACCCCUGUCACUUCUUAUGCACUGAACCUUGUGUCCAGUUUGUAAUUCAGUCAUGGACUUGAACUUCUUGAAACAAAAGAAGGCUUUUGACUUGUUUCUCAAGAAGUAUACCCAAAUCAUUCUUGUGAAAUCAUCUAUAAUCAGCAUGAAAUAUCUGUUCCUUGCAACAGACUCAUUUCUCAUGGGACCACAGAGAUCCACAUGUAUUAGCACUAGUACUUUGCUUGCUCUUUGAGCUUGAUCUUUUGGAAAAACAUUUCUGUGCUGUUUUCCAAAUUGGCACCCGUCACACACACCACUUUGUUCUUCCAAUUUUGGUAAACCAUGUACCAUUUCUUUAUCACUUAGCUGCUUCAAUCCUCCAAAAUGCAGAUGACCAAAUCUCUUGUGCCAAAUCCAUGUGGAUUGAAGAAAACUAGUCUUCAUUAGUAACUGUUUUUCAGCUAGAAAAGAGACAGGAUAGCAUCUGUUACUCUUCAUUUGCACCUUUAUGAUGAGAUAAUCCAUGGAUGGGCUAUCAAAUACCCUGCACAUCCCUUCUCCAAACACUAGACAGUACCCAUGUUCAUCCAUCUGCCCAACACUUAGCAGAUUUUCUUUCAAUCCUGGCAGAUACAUUACUUCUCUGAUGUAUUUCCUGCCCUUUGCUGUAUCAAUACUCAGUGAGCCAAUACCAGCUACACUCACUAAUGCACCAGUUGGCAUUUGUACUCUCCCAGCUACAUUAGUUCUCACAUCAACCAGCAAAUCUAAAUUUCCUGUCAUAUGAUUGCUGCAGCCACUGUCAAUGUACCAUUCAUUGGUUUUGAUCUCAGUGGUUGAGCAAUUGGCAUAAAACAGGUUUCCUGUAACCUCCAUUUGAUUUACACAAUUAGCCUUCUGCACAUUUUUGCUCACUGUACAGUCUCUAGCAAGAUGUCCAACUCUGUCACAGUUAUAGCAUUUUGGUUUUCCCUUAUACCUGCACUCACCAAAAUGAUGCUUUGAACACACCUUGCAUUGAGGCUUUGUGUUUUCCUGAUUUGAGAACUGUGUUGAAGUGUGGUUCUGUGCAGAAUAAUUAUUCUGCUGUGUCUUGUCUUUUGCCUCCCAUGACUUCCCUUUAGAGUUCCAGCUUCUCUGUGACUUAGAUGAACCAGACUGAGAAGCAUUUUUGUUCUGACCCUUUGAAUUCACAGUGAAUGAGGCAAAUGCCUUCUCAGCUGUAUCAACACUAUGCAUUUCAAGCCUUUGCUCCCGACUCUUCAAAAUGGCAGUUACUUCCUGCAAAUCCACAGUUUCUAGUGUCUUUGUGUUUUCAAUCACAAUGCAUAUAGGGUCAUACUUCUUACUUAGACUAAUUAACACCUUCUGAACCUACCUCUCAUUUGACAGAACUUCACCAAAUGUUUUCAUUUGGUUAAUCAAUUCAGUUAGUCUAGUAAGAUAUUCAGAUAAGGUUUCACUAUCACGCAUCCUACUGUAUUCAAACUCACGUCUAAGGUUUUGAAGCUUUACCGAUCUAACAUGCUCUCCACCAUGAUAUUCUGAGUACAGCAGAUUCCAAGCCAUCUUUGCAGAGUCAGCAUUGGCAAUUCUGGGAAAAAUCUGAUCAGAAACAGCAUUUUGAAUGAUACCCAAGGCCUUCGCAUCCUUCAUGAGAAUCGCAGCUGUUUUCUCAUCAACUUCUUCUUCUGAACCAUCCUCAGAUUCCUGCUUCGUCUUUGAAUCUGGGAUUAAAAACCCCUUCUCUACCAAACCCCAUAAACCAUAUGAUCUGAAUAUGGUUACCAUCUUAAUCCUCCAAAAUUCAUAGUUCUCACCUGAGAAAAUGGGGAUUCUAGCCUCUGAACUUCCAGAUCCAGCCAUUACGAAUUUCAGAUUCGCCUGGAAACAAGAUGUUUUCAGAUUUGACCCUUGAUCGAGCUCAAUCAGCUUCGUGAGCUUAGAAUGAGCUCACCUCGAUCGAUUUUCUUCACAGAACAACGCCCAGCUUCAGAUAAUCAAACUUGGCUCUGAGGCCAUGUUAGAGUUUUAGGAUCUGAGUGUUAGAUAUUGUGAGAAGAGAGAAGAGAAUUUAGUGAAAAUUUCCAAUACUGCUCUGCUAUACGUGUAGCAGAGAGAACAUUCUCUUUUGCUAUAUAUUUUCAGUACAACAACACACACUUGGUGUGAGAAGAAAAAUGACUGUUAUGCACAGUACCAGCUGGAUGCUUUCCAUCAAAGUAAUCUCAGCCAUUCACUAUCUAACCAAUCAAGCUAUGACACCUGGACUAAGUAUAAAGAAAUACAACUAAGCAGAAAACAAGACUCUUAAUCCUGAAAUCAACUUAAGCACUUAUAAUUCAACAUUGUUACCAUAAGAGCCAGCUCCGACUUUCUUUAAUUUCAGUCCUAACGGGGUUUCAUCUUCCACUCAUCUUUGCUCUUCUCAGUGUAAGCUCUGCAAUUUGAUUAACUUUCCCAUUAUCUCUCACUGUACUCUAUAUAAAGGAAUAAGUGUCGUCCACUAAUUAAUUACACUUUGUGAGAUUUGAUUUUAAUUAGAGUUCGAAUUGAUGUUGCAGCUAGCAGCGGUGGCACUGGCAAACCAUGCUGCUCAACCAGCACCUCAACUUUACUGGAACUCCGUCCUGCCAAACACACAAAUGCCAAGAGCUAUCAGUGAACUUCUGCAUCCUGGUUUGUGUUGAAUAAAUAUAGUAUGUUACUGGAGUACGUAUGGCAACAUAUUCACAAAUGUGUCACGUAUUUUCCAAUAUGACGUUGAUAUAUAAUUGCAGACUCCACAAACGAAGAAAAGAGCACAAAUGUCAUGAAUGCUGUUGGGAAUGGAAAGCCAAUUGACCACAAGGGCAACCUGAAAAUACUGUACUACCACAGCUUGCACGACGCCCAUUUUCUUACAAGAGUGAUGAUCGUCCCACUGACAAUCAACUCCAUUAUAAAAACGUAGCUAUUUUCUUCUUGGAGAAGGACAUGCGCCCUGGCACAACAAUGAGCUUCCAAUUCCCUAGAAAUUCAAACACGGCUACUUUCCUGCCACCAGAAAGAGCUCAAUCGAUCCCCUUCUCCUCUAACAAACUACCAGAAAUUUUCAACCAUUUUUCAGUGAAGCCAACAUCUGUGGAAGCCAAAACAAUUAAGCAAACAAUCGAAGAGUGUGAGGCUCCAGGCAUUAAGGGAGAGGAAAUAUAUUGCGCCACAUCUUUAGAAUCAAUGGUUGAUUUUAGCACUUCGAAUUUUCGAACAAGAAACGUUCAAGCAAUCUCGACAGAGGUAUUGGAAAAAGGUGCCACCAUGUCCAUGCACAAGCAUACAACAAUGCCGGGACUGAAGAAGUUGGCAGGUGACAAAGUCGUUGUGUGUCAUAAGCAGAACUAUCCCUAUGCUGUGUUUUACUGCCAUGUAAUAAAACCAACAGCAGCUUAUGUUCUCUCCCUGAAAGGCGAUGAUGGGGUGAAGAUUAAAGCAGUAGCCAUCUGCCAUCUAGACACAUCAGAAUGGAACCCAAAGCAUUUGGCCUUCCAAAUCCUCAAAGUUAAGCCCGGAACAAUUCCCAUCUGCCAUUUCCUUCCCACUGAUCAUAGUGUCUGGGUUCCGAACCACAAAUCUGCAUGAUCAUCACUUAGCACUGUACGUAUAAUAAGCUUGCACCCCUGUAUAAUUAUCUCCCUACUCUACUUAUUUCUGCCUCUUCAUGUGGUGUAAGAUAUAUGAUGAGAUGAAGUUUUUGGGAUUAGUGGUCGGGUUGCCUUAAAAACACAGAUUACAGAAACUGCUUGAACUUAACCCGAUCAUGUUUUCUCUUGUACUCGUAAAGCAUGCUGUUGUGGUUCUACUUAAUUUCGUUCUCCCCAAUGUUUGAGUGUUUAAUUGUUACGUUGGAUAAUGCUUGUAGUUAGAGAAGCCUUCAUUUAUAUCAAAGUCCUCAACUUGUAAAGAUAUCAAUGGUCCUAGUGCUGCCACGUGUAAGAAGAUUGAAGAAUAAAGCUGUUGAGAUAUUGUUAGACCUGUUAUGCAGUUUAGGAAAACUGUUAGUAUUGAUAAGAGAAGGUUAGAGAUGUUAGAGAGGUUAGAAAACACGUGAACAAGGCUUUAACUCAGCUGAUAUAAAGUCUGUAGUUGUGCUCAGUUGAACUUAAUGAGAAAUACAACAAGUCUCUUCUCUAUCUCUGAAAUUCUCUCUGCUCUCUCUGCUUUACUUCUUUUGUCUCUGCUCUACAUUUUUUUUCAAUCUUCCUAUCUUAACAAAACUAUCAAGAAUUAAUGCAUCCAGAAACAUAUAUACCAAGACGCAAAACAACAUAUUUUUCAUGCUCUGUCUGUAACACCAAAGCAAACUUCCUUUAUCACAAAAGGAUCAAAUUCCAGUACUAAUCUAAUCCAUCAUGUAAAGCAUACAAUCUACAAGUGCCUCCCUUAAUUUGUCCAUUGGAUAUAUAUGUCACUUUUUGGUAAUUUGGUAUAGCAGCACCACGUAGUCUUGAAAUAGUAGUGCGGCUAUACCAAAUAUACCAUUUGCCCCUGCAUUUAACAGAAAAGUAAACAAAAUUGACGGUAGAACUAUUUGUCCUAACGAAACUGCAGUUGAAAGACCAUGAGAACGAUUUUGAAAAUUGAGGGACUCAAAUGAAAAUUGGGUCUAAGUUCAAGAACCAAUAAAACGAUUAACCCAUAGAUUUUGGAUCCAGUACCACAUCCCAAAGAGAAAACCACAAGUUUGCAAGCAAGUUUGUCCAUAAUAACACUACGUACAGUAUGGGCAGUGCGCUAGACUCAUCUCACUUUCUCAACCUAUCCUAUAGUUGUCUAAAAGAGUUUCUAAUUUAAUGUACUGAGAUUUACGAAAGAAAUAUCAGAGAAACAAUUUUCAGGCAAUAAAAAAAUGUCUUGGCAAGAAAAUGUACAAUUUGUUACAUAACUUAUUAAAUAUGAACAGUUGAAAGAAAAAAGAAUCUGGAUGAGGGAUUUGCAAAUUCCUAUGGCCCAAUUACCUUUUUUUCUUUGUUGUUUUUUUUUUUUUUUUUUUGGUUCUUUUGAUCCAGUAGCAUAUUCCAAAGAAUGAAAACCACAGGCAUGCAAUGCAAGCUCUUUUCCCACGUUUUCCUCUGUUUUUCUCCUAUCAUGGAAGUGAUUAAAACACACCUCUAAGCUUGUUUUGCGUUUGGUAGCCGAGUGUAAAAGCUCAAUGCAAGAUAGUUUGAGGUAGAAUUUUCUCCUAUUUUAUUAGGACAAUGAUAAUUAAAAAAAAGUGUGAUUCAUUGAAUAUUUGCGGGGUUUUGUUCAGACCUGACAAAGUUCUAAGUCAACACAUCAAAUUCCUUUUUCCAACAUGCAACAAUUGUAUUUGAUUCCCAAUUUUUUCUGAUAUACAUCACAUCAUGCCACUUGCAUCAAAUGAAUUUAAUUGAGUGAGGCAAUGGGAAGUAAUUAAGCUCUGUAUUCGUGGGUGGAGUGUUACUUCUGGAACCCUAAUAAUUCGUCCCUACAGGACUCUAGAACUCUCAAACUUCUUACAAGGACUACUUAACUCUAUAGCUUAAUGCAUAUAGCAUAUAUAUGCAAACACAAUUAGAAAUUCUACAACAGAAGCAAGAUCAAUCUCACUAUGCCUUCUAAACAAACAAACAAAUAAAACAAGCAUAUUAAUUGCUUUAAUCACUCUACUAACAUCAACACAGCACACUUAGUUUACUAACAGAUGAUAUAGAAAGGAAAAAAAAGGACCAAUAGGGAGAAAAUGGUGAACUAAGGAGAGACUAAUACUUCUGGUCCUUAGAAGGCAUAACAGAAAUAAUAGAGCACACUGCUUGAAUGCAAGUCAGUAUUAGGAGCAAAACAGCUGCAAUGAAAGAAAUAGUUGCCCAAGGUGUAUUGAAAUAAUGUUGCCUCAAAUUUGCCUUCCAUUUGUUCCAAGGCUUUCUGCAGUAGCUAUUAAGGCGCUCAGAAAGAAUAGCAAAGUAGAAGCUUUCACGAUACACUGCAAUUCCUUUUCCGAGGUUGUUAAUCAGAGUGCACACCUCAUUGUAGUCACCAAGCAUAUUUUUGACAAUCCCAUCCUUCAGAAGGAACUCCACAUCCUUUUCGGUGUUCACAAACUCAUCCAUGAGUGAAACAUAAUCACUUAUGUAAUUCUUACGGCAAUGGCACUAUUCAAAGGCAAUGAGGUUACGGAGUGUGAGCUCUGUGUAAUCGUGUAUUUUUAGUUUUGGAAUUUCUAGAAUCCCAUCGUUGAAUUGUGUUAACGCAGCUUUCCUUUCCUAGCCUACACGGAAGUCAACUUCACAAUCUCCUCCUAGCAAUUAGUCUUUCCUGCUGUAAAUCAGAUUUCCUACUGUAAAUCGGAUUGUAUUCAUGUCUAUAUUAUUUCCUACUUUAAGUAGAUAUCUUGUACUAGUAUAAAUAGGGACUUUGUGUAAUCUGUUAAAUACAAGGAAAUAUAUACUCUGCAUGGUAUCAGCCUAACCUAGGGUUCUCUCUCUCUCCCUUAUUCGAUCCUCUUCUCCUUUAGGUCCACCUCAUGGCUUUGUCUGAAUCCACCAUCUCCCUCCCAAGCCCCAACUCUUCUAUUUUAUCAAGCUUAUUGACUCCAACUAUCUUCUUUGGCUCCGCCAACUCAAACCCUUUUUAGUCGGCCAUGACCUCUGGAAAUUUAUCGAUGGCAUUCAUAAACAACCUUCUGCCCACACCUCCACCUCUACCACCGCAACACCCACAACCACCACCACUCUUACCCAAAUCAAUCAUGCCCAUGCUCAGUGGUACCAACAAGACCAACUCAUUGUUAGCUACAUCACCAAUACACUCUCUGAGUCCAUUCUCUUUCUCACUGUUGGUUGCACCUCUGCCCGGGAUCUCUGGGAGUGUCUCCAACGCCACUUCUCUCAAUCCAGUAUGGCCAGUGAAUCUACUCUUCGUUUUAAACUCAUGGAUUUGCAAAAAGGCUCUGAACCCACUUAUGCUUACAUUCGUCAUGCUAAGUCCUUUGCCGAUUCACUGGCUGCCAUCAAUGAACCUGUCUCCCCAAAAGAACUUGUCACUACUGUGCUUUGGGGUUUAAGACCCUAUUGCAACAUCCUCGUCACAGCAAUUCUCAAUUUCCCUCUGCUUCCUAACUUUGCUAAUCUUCGUGCUCGUUUGUUAGCAUUUGACGCACAGACUCCUUGAAUCUCUCCUGAUCAAAACACAGCGCAAAUGGCCACCCAAUCCUCUCCUCACACCACCGGUCAUACUUCCUUCCCUUCUCACCGUGGUGGUGGCUCUUCCAACAACAGGCGUGGUGGCCUCGGUGGCUGGCGCAAUAGCGGCCGGGGUGGCUGGCGCAGCUUCUCAUCUUCCUGGAGCAACCCGUGGAAUGGCUUCCAGCAGCUCCAAUGACCUAAUCAACCAUGGCCUCCUUUUGCUCCAAGUUCUGGAUCUCAAAGCAACUGGCCUUCCUUUCAGCCUCCUUGGGCCUAAUCUGCCGCUUCUAUCAAACACUUUGCCCGGCCCAACUCAGCUCCUGGUGUCUUGGGACCCGCUUGGUGCACUACCUGCAAUACCAAUCACAUACUACUACAAUAUGUCCUCAUCGCUACAAUGGCCCAGAAUCCUUUCUUUGCUAGGGCUCAAUUCAUGUAGCCACCUGACUCUACUUGGUACCCUGACACAAGUACCACUCAUCAUAUGAUUGGUAGUCCUUCUAAUCUCCAAAAUCAAUCCUUCUAAUCUCCAAAAUCAACAGCCAUAUCAGGUUCAUAAUUCUGUAUUUCUUGGUAAUGGAGAUUCUCUCCCUAUCUCUCAUACUAGCUCUCUCUUUUGUCUUCCAUCUCUUCGUACUAAUCUUCUUUUUGUUGCCCAUUUUACUUGUGAUAAUUUAGUUUUCUUUGUCUUUACUCUUGACUUUUAUCAAAUCUAUGACUUAUGUACUGGUUCGUUACUCUUUCAGGGCCCUUCUAAAGAUGGUCUUUACCCACUUUCCAUCUCCUCUCACUCAUCCAUAGUCCCCCAUGCCCUUACCACCGUGCACUCUCCUGCUUGGCAUCAUUGCCUUGGCCAUCCAUUCCAUCGUGUGCUCUCUCAUUUAGCGCCAUCUCUAGGCUUUAAAGUUUCUCAUGCUUUCUGUAAGGAUUGUGCACUUAGCAAAUCCACCAAACUGUCAUUUCUUAGUAAUAAAACCUUUGCCCCAUCUCCCUUUUAUUUAAUUCACUCUGAUGUAUGGAUGUCCUCGGUCAUUUCUGUCACUGGUUAUCGCUAUUAUGUCUUGUUUACAGAUGACUUUUCUCGUUACUCCUGGAUCUAUCAUAUGCACCGUAAAAAUGAGGUCUUUUCUCACUUUCAAACCUUUCUUGCUAUGGUUAAAAAUCAAUUUCACACCACUGUACAAAUUCUUUAAAGUGACAAUGGCACUGAAUAUGUUAAUAAUGCUUUCUCUGAUCUUUGCAGUCAACUAGGCAUCCACCAACGUUUCACAUGUCCCCACACUCCCCAACAAAAUGGCCUAGCUGAACAUAAACACAGACACAUUGCCACCAUGAUCUGUCCCCGGUCAUUUAUUCAACCAUCUUGACCUUUUGCUUGAUCAUUUUCCACAAGCAACCGUCCACGUACCCCAAUAAUUUAAAAGGGCUGAUGAUCUUUAAUUUGGUGAAAGCUUCUAUCUACCUACCGUGCUAUAUAUGAGCUAUGCAAUCGUGACCGUGUUACAUGACGUCCCAAUGUCGUAGGGAUAAAAAAAUAAUAGUCAUGGUUUUCUUAUUAAUGUCAAUACAUUCAUAGCAAAGAGCUUGUAGCUCUAGUGGUUAAGAGCAAUUACCCAUGCACUUGAGAUAUUUUGUGUUUAAAUCCCCUCUUCCCCAAUAUUUCUUGUAUAAAAAUAAAAAUAACAAUAAUAAUGACAUUAAUGUUGUAUUCUAUAAAGUGUUGGACAUGUUUUAUACCCCUUUCUUGCAAAUUACAGUUUGCCACGUGUACAAAAAUAAUAGAUAAGUGUUGGACAUCAAGAGCACUUACAUAUAGGUUUAAUAGGUAAGUUUUGAAUAUUUCUGUAUUUAGCUUUAAAUAUUGAAAAUCAACCUAUUAGCAUAUUAAAGAUUUGUCCAUAUUCGACGUACAUUCUCUUAUUUUUCUCUCAUUGAAGUAAAUACAAAACUAAGCACAUAGUGGGAAAGUGCGUCACGAUUAGGGGUGGGUUUAGUCUAGGUUGGUUCAUUUUUGGGCUCAAUUUGAACACCGAACUGUAAGCUUCGGUUUGGCUAUUUUGGAAACCGAAACCAAACCAUAAUUGAUGAAAACCGACCACUUCGAUUACCUUCUGGUCUUCCAACCAGAAGAAAACUCAAAACUUUAACCAUACCAAGUGCAACAGAAUUACACCAGGCUGGAUUCAAGUUUAUGAUGGUUAAAGAUAAAAACUUAUUUGACAUACAAUUUGAGAAUGGAAUCCUCAAAAUUCCACACCUGCGAAUACGGGGUUUAACAGAAAUUUUCUUCCGCAAUCUUAUUGCCUAUGAGCAGUGUGAGCUUCAUGAUCAUUACAUCAACGACUAUGUCUUCAUCAUGGACCGCCUGGUCGACAGUGCCAGGGAUGUGGAAUUGCUUGUGAAGAGUGGAAUUCUUGAAUCUAUGCUACCGGACAGCGAGGCAGCAGGGGAAUUUAUUAAUUCUCUUGACUUGGGGCCUAUUUUAGGCAAGCUUGAAACAAGACUAUUUCAGUUCACCAUGGGCUGGCCUGUCUAUUAUUGUAGCCGCUAUACUAGUUGUGCUCACAUUUAUUCAAACAGUGUGCUCCGUAAUGGCGCUGUAGGUUCUUCAUUUCCUCAAUUUCAUGUUUAGUGGUUGCAGAUUUGUUGCUCAUGUACGUGUUUAUCUAAAGUUAAAUAAGAGUGAUUGACUGGAUUGACUGUUAGUCUGUUAGUUUGUUUUUCUGGGGUUUUUCCCCCCUGUUCGUCAAAAAAAAAAAUAAAAGAGUGAUGGCUUGUGCCUAUGAAAAUUACUUAGGAGUAUGCUCCACAGAGCCAAAAUAAAUAAACUAGGGAAGUGGAGGUUCUUCUGUUUGUAUAUAAAUGAGCAAUUCAAACUCUCAGUGCCAAGGGAGUUACCCUUGAUACAUUUGUUAAAAAUUAUAUAUUUGGUCUUACAUCAAACAAAUAAUUUGAAGGGCUUUUUUGACAACUGCUGACAGCGUUUGGCAGAAAAGUUUAGAAGCGCUUCUACGCUUCUAGAUCAUAAAAGUGCUUUACCAAAAAGCACUUAGAUUUCUUAUGAAAAUUUCAACAUUUUUAUAAUAAAAGCGCUUGCUAGAAGCACUUAUAAGCAGAAGUGCUUCAUAGAGAAGCAGUCCCAAACGAGCUUGAUUUUCAAAUGUGCUGCUUAAGAAGAAAUUUAAUACGUUUUGAAAACAAAAAAAAAUACGAAAUUUAAUACGUUUGUUUUACAAAUUGUAUUAAUUGUUAUCAAUAAUACUUGUGCACACCCACAACAUACUUCUUUCUUUCUUUAUUUUCCUUCAGUACAGUUCUGCCUUUCUUUAAUUAUUUUUAACGAAUGCAAAGAGUUUGUCACAAAAUCAAGGAUUGAAAAAAAAAGAGAGUAAAUUAUGUGCUAGAGAAACUUUCCUGCAGAAAUUGAAGAACAACUCUAGUUUCUCUCUUUCGCCUUGUACUCCCGCACUGAGGUUAGUAUUGUUAUAAUGUGCAGAUUAUACGGUCACUCUUGUAUAAUGGCGAGAAGGCUCUAAUUAUAUUUUUGAACCUCUUUGACAGGACCCGCCCCGAAUUUCCCGAAACCCAAGACGAAUUCUGUGGAAAUUCCCUACAUCACCCCGAUGUUGGGCCCACUUCUAAAACUAUAUCAUUUUUCCUAAAAAGGAAUAAGGGCACGAGACUUUCUACCGAAAUUUCGGCAGAGUCUCUCCUGUAAAUUGAACAUUUCCCAAAAUUUCAACCUGCAUAAAACACAUUUUAUAUUACCCAACUGGCAGCAUGCACAAAAUAAUAACAUGCAAUUCACAUAAACGGCCUCUGGCCCUCCGGUAAUUCAGAGCAAUGCAAACUAGCAACUCUAAACCUAAUAAAACAACAUAAGUAACAUUUAGCCAGCGGCUGCACCCAGGCACUACCCUAGGCUACCUACGUACCCUUACUAAGGGAUCAAGCCACACGUAGUUCUUUCAUACAAAAUUUCCAAAUCCAUCAACAUGCAAUCAAUUACAGAAUCCCAAACAAAAUCUUUCUCAAACAUCAUUAGUUCCCAACUCAGUAUAAUAAUCCUUAAUUCAUCUCUGUAAUAAUCACAAUAUCUCCCCAUACGCCGGAACUACCAACACCACGUAUGGAGCCUGCCUGUACGCCAGAUAACCAACGACACGUGGGACCUCAUCAUCAUAUCACAUAAUCUCCCCAUACGCCGAAACUACCAACACCACGUAUGGGGUCUGUCAACACGCCGGAUAACCUACGACGUGUGACCUCAACAUCAAAUCACAAUAUCUCCCCAUACACCGGAACUACCUACGCCACGUAUGGGGUCUGUCCACAUGCCGGAUAACCUACGACACGUGGGACCUCAUCAUCAUAUCACAUAAUAUAUUAACGAUCAAGAAAUAUCACUACGGUCAUUUAAUCCUCCUGGGAAGGUAAAACUAUCUCAGGAGACUCACGGUCAACCAAGGGUCAAACUACCUCAUACUUGGACAAACGAGCCCACGGAGCCCACAACCUCCGUUUUACUAUCCAAGAGUUCCUAUAGGUUCUACAAGGUUUAGGAUACACGGCUUGCAAGUUUGGUCAAGAUCAGACGGUCGGAUCGCUCACGAUAGGACGGUUACUGCAAACCUAGCCCUAGGGUUGGCAUUUUCGGAGUAUCCGAAACUCCGUUUUACGAUCUGUCGAAUCAUAGACGAUCCUAAGGAUUUGCAGACUAACUAUAAUAAAUUCAAGACCAUCCAACGGUCUAAACCUAUCGAACCCGGAUAACGCGCAAUAGGCAAUAUCCAAAUUGAAAUCCGAGCACACCUACGCACUCGUGAGGACUAGGAGAUUACAUCGGGACAUAGUGCCCUUUUUCUACAGUGCCCAUGAGCCGCCGCACGCACCAGCAACGCGUGGGUGCCCAAAGCGAUUAUGCAUCGCCAAAAAAUCUCAAAACCACGGCUCAAGACUCCUACCCUAGGUAUAACACCCUAUUUGGAACCACUUUUGUUCUUGGACCUACCCCAAAAACUGAUCAGAAGUGGCCGGAAUGGCUGAAAUGUAAUUCAAAAAUCAAGCUACCAACGCUCAAAAUCGAUGCAAUCCUACCCAACCAUCAACUAGAUUAUGAAGAAUGGAUAAAUUUCCAUACCUUGAUCGCCAACAAUGGCGGCCGGAGGAGAGAGAUCUGAUCCGGCGAAGUUCGAGUGAAAACGGCCAAAAAUCAUCUUUUUCAGGCGGCUGGAGGGCGACCGAUGUCAGGGAAGGGCAGGGUCGUGACGCUAAGGCUGAGCCUGUCCUUUUGGCACCGGUCCCUUCCGCAGCCGUGUCCGGUGGCUGGAGUUUCGAAGAGAGAGAGAGAGAGAGAGAGAGAGAGAGAGAGAGAAAUCUGAUUUUUAUCAAACCUUUUUGCCAAAAUUACGGUUAUGCCACUGAGGGUAUUUUGAUAGUAUCUCUCUCGUUACAACUUCGAUUCGAGCCCACCACGUGUGUACGGACUCAUCUAACUGUGUUGUACGCAACGGUAUAGUCGAAAUUCCCAAAUUAUUUCCUUGUCAAAAAGUCAACUUUAAACAUUAUAAAAUAUUUUAGGGAAAAAAUGGUAUUUUCUCUCAAUAAAUUAGUAACUAAUUUAUUUAGGACUGGGUCAUUAUACUCUUUUUCGCUUCAAUGGAUGGGAAAAAAUUUUAUGUAAUAUCCCACAUCGACCAACGAAGAGGGGGCGAUGUGUCUUAUAUGUACAUGCCCGCCUCCAUCUAGCAUAAGGCCUUUUGGAAGCUCACUGGCUUCAGAGUCAUGGGAACUCCGAAGUUAAGCGAGUUGGGGGCUAGAGCAAUCCCAGGAUGAGUAACCCACUGGGAAGUUGCUCGUGAGCUUCGAGAAACAAAACCGUGAGGGCAGAGAGAGGGGCCCAAAGCGGACAAUAAGGCCUCGUGCUAGAUGGAGGCGGGCAUGUACAUAUAAGGCACAUCACUCUCUCUCCGUUGGUCGAUGUGGAAUGUUAGAAUGGAAUUGUUACCUUUGGUGUGGAGGUGUUCUAUCAUUUGAGCAAGAAAUUCCCACAUAUUCUUCAACUAUUUUUCAAGCAUGCAUAUUCCUCCCUAUCAAUCUUUGGUUUCUUCCUUUACUGUGCAUAGUAAGGAUCCAGUCAGGGACGGACCGUCGCUAUGACUAUCCUGGGCUAUAGCCCAGGCAAAUUAUUUUUUUUUCUAGUCUAAAAUAGCAAUCCCACCGCUUGCUGUAGUACUUGUUCAGUUCGUCACAAACAUGAGCAUAAUAGAAGUUAUCAACAUCUAUAUAGGAACCCCAAUGAAAAGGCUGUUAACUAAUAAUGAAGUUAACCCGUCAAUUUUUCCGCAUAUCAGAUAUCUCUCAGAAUAUGCGAUUCCAUAUUCAAUAAGCCACUCCACAUGCCCUGAGGUUUUCAUCAAACCACCCAUUAAGGAAACAUACUGACUCAUGUAAUUAUCAUUACUCAUCGGGUAAUGCAAUUGUUCAAAGGCAAGGACAUUUCUCAUUAUUUAUGUAGCGAACCCCAAUGGAAAUGGUGGGAUCUUCAGAACCCCAUCGGUGCUACUGAAUUGUAUGUCAAAUAUGUUUUCACCUUGUCACGCCUCAAACUUGACUCCAGCGUGCUGUAAUUCUGUCAAGCUGGGUAUGGAUGAUGGGAGUUUGAUGCAGGAGCAUAGGGGUGGAUCAAGAUAGAUAUUUACUAUUUAAUUAGUUAUUUCAUGAUAUAUUGUUAUUUUCUUAUUUAGGUAGUUUUAUGAUAUCUUUUAUUAUUUAUGUGUGAUUUUAUAAUUAAUUAGUAUACUUUUGGACCAAGUAGCCUUGGUGCUCAAGUCUUGUAAAGCCUAUAAAUAAGGCUAAUGUAAUAGUUGUAGAAUAGAUGUCGAUGAUUAAUAAAAUCGUUUAUUUGUGGCAUGGAUUUGCUACGAUAUAUGUGAGUUUGCACUAGCCCUAGAUUUCAGUGCUCGUGUAUGUGGUUGGUGACCUGUGUCCGGAUCCCGAUCCCCAUCAAUUGGUAUCAGAGCUAUGGCUCAAGAUCUGCUAUAUCGGGGAGGUUUUUGGAUGGAGGGUCGUUUUAACAACUACAACGACAUGGAGGAAAUUAGGAGGAUGCUACGGCAACUUAUGGAACACAUUGCUCGCAUUGAAGCUCGAACCCAGAUAGGUAAGAGUUCUGACGGGGAGGGAUGUGUGAACCCUUAUCUGAACCGAGUAGCUCGCAUCGACACUCUAAGCCGUGAGAGUCUCGACGGGGAGUACGAGGGAGAUAGCCCUUUUCAUUAUUGUGCUCCGCUGUGUGAGUCAAGUGAAGAGGGGCACGGUUAUUCUCAUUGUGUCUUUGAAGGUAUAAAUGAAUUUAGUAAUUUUGGUGCAUCUUGUUAUUCAUCAAAGUUAUUAAAUUUGGAUUUACCUCCAUUAUUUGAUCCUUGCAAUUGUGAAAAUUGCAAUAAAAAUUGUUUGGGUGUUCAAAGCAAUUUUGAUAAGCAAUUUAUUGACCAGAACAGUGAAGAGAUGAGAAUUGAGAAAACUUUCGAAGAUAUUAUUGAUUUUAUGGGCAUUAAUAUUUUCACUUGGAAGGUUGCCAAAAAUCUGGUUGAUUUUGUCAAUCGGUUGAAGAUUCUAGAGAGAAACAUUUGCAUUGCUAGAGGGAGUAAGAAGUCAAGAAUAACGAAAUAUUCCAAAUAUCUUUUUAUUUGGAAAGGAAGGUUUCAAUUGGAUGCUAAAAGAUCCAAAAUUAAUAUGCAGCAAUUGAAGAUUCUACUCGGAUUUUCCUUAAUCAAAGGCUUGAAUUCGAGGACGAAUUCUUUCCAACUAUGGGAGUCUGAUGCAGGAGCAUAGGGGUGGAUCAAGAUAGAUAUUUACUAUUUAAUUUGUUAUUUCAUGAUAUAUUGUUAUUUUCUUAUUUAGGUAGUUUUAUGAUAUCUUUUAUUAUUUAUGUGUGAUUUUAUAAUUAAUUAGUUUACUUUUGGACCAAGUAGCCUUGGUGCUCAAGUCUUGUAAAGCCUAUAAAUAAGGCUAAUGUAAUAGUUGUAGAAUAGAUGUCGAUGAUUAAUAAAAUCGUUUAUUUGUGGCAUGGAUUUGCUACAAUAUAUGUGAGUUUGCACUAACCCUUGAUUUCGGUGCUCGUGUAUGUGGUUGGUGACCUGUGUCCGGAUCCCGAUCCCCAUCAGAGUUCCCCUCCAGCUUUUGAUUCCAACGGUUGAUAGAGUUUAAAUAUUUUCCUGAAAAGAUCAAUAAUAUGUGCCACUGAUCUAAAAGUCUCCAAAUUGUCUUCCAAUUUGUCAACAGGCAAUAGAUGUUCGAAGAAACUGAAAGAAAUACAAAUUAUUGAAAGCCCCUCAGUAAUGCUGUUAUUGUCAGCAUUAGCAGGGAGUGUAAUUUUCUGUGGGUCGAAAAGAUCCUCGAGAAUGAAGAAUGGCAACUGAUUUUCAAGCAACCACGUAUCUGUCCAUGCAUCUUGCAACAUACCUGGUUUGUCAAAUAUGCGGUCAUUUUCGUCCCAAAAUUUGAAGUAGUCCUUCAAUAAGGGCUCAAUAACGAAGGCGGCGCCCACUAGAAUGAUUGUUACAAAUUCAUCACUGCUAAACUUGAUGGGUUCUCCAUAACAACGUCUCAAUCUUGCUUCGUGGUCCUUUAUUUUCUUAAUAUAAUCCUCCAAACUCACAUUGGUCCGACCUAUAAAAUCUUGCAGGUAUCUCUGUUUGUUCUCUUCCAAUACGACAUUCAAGCCUUCCUUUCCAUGGUGAAGUGGACCUAUAGAGACCGACUGCCUGAGGUGUGCAGAGCUUUUCAUUCACACAUACGUAGAUAAAAUGUCUGGGGGCUCAGAGAGUGAUGAAUGUGCAACAGCUAAUGGGAGGGUUUAUAUUCCUGAAGUAAGAAAUGAGGAAACACCAGCAGUUGGGAUGAAGUUUGACUCGCUUGACCUCGUUUACAAUUUCUAUAAUAGAUAUGCAUUCUUGGCUGGCUUUGGUAUUCGACUUCAUUCUAGCUUUUGGGGGAAAAAUAAGAAAGAGAUUUUGAGGAAAGAAUUUGUAUGUUGCAAACAAGGUGCAUACAAGAAGGAUGAAACUCGGGAGAGAAAAAGACAACGGGGAAUAAGUAGAUGCAAUUGCAAAGCAAAGAUUGUGGUUGUGAAGACAAAUGGGAGCAAGAAGUAUACCAUUUCUCUUUUUGCAGAGGGACACAAUCAUAAGAUGACACCCUCAGAAAGAAUGCAUUUAUUGAGAUCACACCGUCAUAUUUCAGAUUCUACAAAAGUACUCACAAAACAGUUGGGUUCAGUUAAUAUUCCCAUUCAUCAGAAGGUAAGUAUAUUCGAGGUGCAAUCCGGAGGAAUGGAUAAAAUCGGUUUUAUCAAAAAAGAUAUCUACAAUCUUGAAUGUAGUGUGAAUGGGAAGCUGAGGAACCACGAUGUUGAACUAGUGACCGAGUAUUUUAUGGCUGAACAGAAAAAAAAUGAGGCUUUUUAUUUCAAGAUUGAGGGAGAUGGGCAUGACAGGUUUAGUCGAUGUUUUUGGGCAGAUGCAACUUCUAGACGGGCGUAUGGGUUUUAUGGAGAUGUUGUUGUAUUCGAUACCACAUUCAACACGAAUCGAUACGACUUGACAUUUGCACCAAUGUUGGGAGUUAAUAACCAUGGUCAGACAAUUGUCUUAGCAUGCGCAUUUUUGAGCAAGGAAACGACUGAGUCGUUUGUUUGGAUGUUUGAGGAGUUUAAGAAAGCCAUGCCAGGUGGGGAACCUAAAACGAUCAUUACAGAUCAAGAUGCGGCAAUGGCCAUAGCGAUUUCAAUAGCCUUCCCGAGUACAUUUCAUCGACUUUGCAUAUGGCACAUCACAUCAAAGUUCUCUGUUAAGUUACCACGUGACGCUUAUAAGGAGUAUUGGCCUGAAUUUCAGAAAGCCAUAUGGGAUACUGACAAUAAGGAUGAGUUUGAUGCAAAAUGGAAUAUUGUGGUUAUAAAGGCUGGUUUGACUGACCAUCCAUGGCUAAGUUCAAUGUUUGAUUUAAGGGAAUCUUGGGUUCCAGCCUACGCACGACAAUUUUUUGCCGCUGGAAUGUCAAGCAGCCAAAGAGCGGAAGGUUCUCAUGGUUUUUUCAAGCAAUACAUAUCAAGGAGAAAUUCGUUGAUGGAUUUCAUAAUACGAUUUGAGAGGGCAUUUUCUCAUCAACGUGAAAAAGAGUUAGUUGCUGAUCACGUAGAUGCAUUUGAAGUGGCUCAAUGUCUUCUACCGAUGCCAAUGAACAAACAAAUGGCUACCUUGUACACAAGGACAAUGUUUCAAAAGUUUGAGCAAGAACUAAUACAAAGUACAGCAUGUUUCCUAGAGCUCAAAACAGAGGAUGCAUGUAAAGUUGUGUUCAACGUGAGCGAAAGGAAAAAUUGGGAAACAAGAGUGGCAGAAGUCGUAUAUGUCAAAGAUUCUGACCACGCAUCGUGUAGCUGCAAAAGAUUUGAAUUUGUUGGAAUUAUUUGCAAGCACAUCCUAGCAUUGUUCAGAAGGGACCAGAUUGAAUAUAUGCCCGAUAAAUAUAUUUUGAAGAGGUGGAAGAAAACUGCGAAAUGUGGAUUGGUGUCAGAUGCAAAUGGCAACGAAAUUAAAGACUGUGCAGAUCCUGGCCUUCUAAUAAAGCGGAGUACAAUGUCUCGACUUGCUUCAAAUGUGGUUGAGGAUGCAUUAAUGAGUGAAGAAGGAUGUGAGCUACUGUCAGAGACUCUAAAAAGUUUGCAGGUGAAGUUGAAGUUGCUGAAGGAUGGACCAAGUAAUAACGAAGUUGGAGGGUCCAGCUCUCAAACACAAUAUAUGAAAGACCCUAAGAGAGUGAGGUGCAAAGGAAGGUCGAAAGGAAUAACGGGAGCAAAGGAAAAGGCAAUGAAGCGAGGGAUUAGACACUGUCGGGAGUGUGGACACAUUGGUCAUGAUAGAAGACAAUGCCCAGCCUUGAACACACCGUAAGAUGCUACCACUAUUUGUAAUAAUAUCUAAAAUAUGAAAAGGUAAAAUUUUUAUGUGCUUGUGUUUGAUGUUUAUGCAGGACAUCACCGUCGAACAAUGACAAAUCAACUCCAAUACAUCGUAGUGACCCAUUAUUCGACGAUUUUGACAAGAUGCACAGACCAACUGAAUGAUUGAUAUUUGUAUUAGACGAAAUGUGGUUGUUAUGAAGAUUAAUGAUCAAGUGAAGUUUUAUAGAUUCAGUUUUUGAAUGUUAUUGUGUUUUUGUUCAUGUCCACCGAUGAGCUCUUACUAUGUCCACUGGUAAUUGAAAUGAAAAUUUUCUUGGUUUCAUUCUUCCAAGACAUUUGGAGACAUGUUAAUUUUACGUCUUCUCCCUAUUUAUAAAUUUUCAUAGACAUUUGAUCAAGUUUGAAAUUUGUAGUUAUGUGAAGAAGCAAUGACUCUUACCAUGUAAAAUGGGCAGUUUAGGGUGAAAUUUGUUUUAACAGAGAUUCAUUUUUCAAUUCCUCAGGGUAAUGCAGCAAUUACAGCAGCCAGCUGUUGUUUCCAUUACCAGUAAUCAUUUCCAGCAGCAGCCACUUUUUCCGACUGGUUAUUAGGGGCACGAUUUUGUACACUUUUGUAAGUGAAGGAUACUCGAAGCACUUUGUUGGAACAGAGCAAAUAGAAACCAGCGGGUAAAAAAAAAACAUAACAUUGCAGCUAAUUACAUUUCGAUACAUAGGUGAAAAAUAUUAAAGGGUACACUAACUUACAUAAAUACUCAUAAUUCCACACACAAAAGAACAUUUGAUUGCAAAACAUAUUAUGUGCUUCCUCAUAGCAAUACCACGAUCUCCCCAACCAACUGAACAACGGUAGCCACAAUCACUGGGUCGUACUCGUCAGCUUCUUCUUAGCAGGUCUCACAUGCUUAUGGCCACUCAUAUCCCUAGUGAUAUACACGAAAUAAAUCUUCAGCAAUAUUUGGAAUUUUAUUAUAUAUAAAUAAACCAUAAACCAUUCAGUAAACAAUGUAUAGCACAUGUUAUGUAACUUAUGACUCACGUGUCAGUUUUUUUUUUAACACAUUAGUACUCCAGCUCUUUAAUGUAAAUGGACAUGAUAAGGAGCAUUUACUGAUUCCCGGCUUUCUAUGAUAUUGACUGCUUCUUGAAUAAUAUUUCCAUAUUUGCAAAAUAUAAUGUUAGACAUUAUAACACAUGAUGACUUGCAAUACAUAGUCCCAAUAAUUAUAUAUCAAGCAAAUGAAACUGAUAUUUGUGUUAUUUUAAGUUAGAUAAUGACAUUAAGGGAGUAUAUGUGCAAUACCACGGUCACCCUCAACCAACUGAACAGCGGUAGCCGCAAUCACUUAGUCGUAUCGGUCGGCUUCUUCCGAGCAGCUUUGACGUGCUUAUGCUCAUUCAUGUCACCCCCAUCGUCUAGUAUCUCUCUCACAGCAUCAGGGGACACAUAGUUCCAAUCAUAACUUGUAUGAGUAGUUGCCGCAAAUGCUCGGAAUUUGUCGAAUCCUUCGUUGAAUGCCAACUCCAGUUCAGUAUGGUGCUCUUCGCAUCGCAUAUGGUUCAUCAAACAACCUUUGAUUUCAUCAUUCAUUACUGUAUCCAACUCCUCAGCUUUCAGCUUCCUGCUAUGACUCAGCUUCAAGUACUUGUUCUUUUGGGAUAACGCUUUGUUCACCCUAAUGUUAAGAUCAGCCAAAAUUGCCUCGUCUUCAACACAUUUCUCGUGCCAUGAAUUGAUCAGUCUGGAAUUAUAAUCCAGCUUGCCACUGACUGCAUGUAUUGCCUGUAAUGGAUCAUCGGAGUCCCCCUCACUCCCAAAUGAUGUUGAAAAAGGAAGGGGUCGGCGAGUACAAUGUGGAAAUAGAACCUGCCACUCCAAUUUGUCAUCUUCGAUUGUGUUGUUGGCGCCUGAAGAGGUUGACAUGCUUGAAUAAUCCUCUUUGUUUUGGGAGGAUGAGGAUUGCAUAUGCAAUUUCGUUUGAGAAAGGGAACAUAGGUUUAUAGACCAACAUACCAAAGCUUGUGUGUAGUCAACAUAUGUACUUUUUGGCGGGAAUUUUUUAAAAAUAGGUGUUAGGUUUUGCUUUUCAAGCAUGUCAACCUCACACUCUCCUGACACCACUGCUAGUGGUUGAAACAAAGUCAAUGGAAGUGACAUCUACUUAGUUAACUCAACCAAACUAGUUAGGAUUAAACUUAGAUUGUAUCAGACCAAAAAAUAAUUUCUACUUUGUCAACCAAAUAUUUUUUGGCGGGAACCCUUUUCUUGGUAUUACUAUCACCCCUUUCAUAUAAAAUCUCCUUCCACACAAAACUCACUCCUCCACCGAAUCUGUCUCCAUCUACCGAUACUCUCUCAAGCAAACAAACUCAUUCCCCCCAAAGAAUGAGCAUAAGCACAACCAAGUUUGAUGUGAGCAUAAUAAACACCCCUCCAAACAAAGACCGGCUUCGACACGCAAGUGAGUCACCGGACAAGCAAUGUCACAUUGCUAGACAGAAUGACCAUUUUGUUGGAAGUUUUGAGUCUGAAAGAGUUGUUGCUUUUUGGAAGGAGAGGCAUCUUCAACUUGGUGAUGAAAUCCAAAGGGCAAGGGCACGUUUGGAAUUUGUGGAAGGCCAAAUUGAAGAUGACAAAAGGCAGGCCAAUCUGGAUAGGGCGAAGUUGUAGCGCAUGAAGCGUAGACACAAACGACUUCGGAGUGUAGCUGUUCAAAAAUACAAGAACUCAUCUAAUGUAGUGGAGUCAAAGAAGCGUGUGAUGCAAGCUGGAUUCGACUACUUCCGAUCCUAUGCAAAACUCGUCGUACCCGGGUUUGAUUGGUCAUCUAUUACCGUUUCCGACGUCACCAAAUAUACUCAGCAAGGGAAGUAACCAUUUUGGUUCUCGUGUUUUAGCAGAGGCAAAUAAGUGGAAUUGGAAUUUUGGUUACACUCUGCUUCAAAGCUAUUUUGAUGCUAACUACUAUGGAAGAUUUAAACCUUAAUAUUUUGAUGUCUUUAAUUACGAAAACAGAAGAUGCAAAGAGCUCAUCUACUUCAGCCAUAUGUUGCUGCCAUGUCCAUUUGUUUUUGAUCACUUAUCAGAUUUGGACAUGGUUGCAUCAUAUGCAAUGUUGCCUUUAUUUAUUAUAUGUUAGGACAAGGUUUAUGGAAAAGCUUUUGUGAGUGCGUUUGUGACAAGGUUAUGGAAUUAUUAUGUACACUUUAUAUAUUGUUUUUUGUACUGGUUCAUUUCCUACUAUUUCUUGCUUUCUUUAUAUUUUAUGUUUGUGGAAUCCCUCUCAAAGUUAACAUAUACUGUGAAAAAAAUAUUAUGCAACUGAUUAUAUAAUCACUCAUAUAGACUAGGACAAAUAUUCACUAAGGGUUUUAAACUUGCUUCACUUGUGUGAUGUUAUUGACAAAAAGUAUGGCAUUAUUUAUGUGAUUUGACAUGAUUGAAAAUAUAUUACUGAUUCCCAAUGCGGCGUCAUAUGGACAACGUAUUGAAUACCUGUGACGUGUUAAUAACUCAAGGUGCAGUUGCAUGUGGACAACUUCUUGAAUACCUCUGACGUGUUGAAAACUCUAGGUGCAGUUGCAUGUGGACAACUUAUUGAAUACGAACUGACGUCUUCAAAGCUCUAGGCGUAGUUGCAAUGAUGGCUUCAAAGCAUGUGCAAUUAUUUUUUAUGUACAUUAUUAUAACAAAACAUAUUAUUGUAUAUAGUGAAACUAAAUAUUGUAUUAUUAGAAAUUAUAUUUCGAAUAUUAUCCGAAAUAUACGUGUUAACGUGAAUUUGGGUUAAGAGGAAAGUGAGUUAUGUACAAAUAAUUUUCAUUUUCUCAUUUUCCGGGCAUUUUUUGGAUUUUCGUAGAAUUUAUUACCUAUGUCCACAGAUUGUUGCACUAAAAAAGCCAAAAUAAUAGCAAGAGGACACCUGGAGCGAUCUCAGCCCGUCACUGAUGACUACUUGCACAAGUGUACGUCAGUCAACAUGGCCACACCCUCCCAUUUUACCCUAAAUUAUUAUUUUAUUACUUUUCCUUACAAAAAUCAGAACUAAUUACACACAAAAUAAAAAAAUUAUCCGAAAAUUGCUACGAACUCAUUGACACUCCAUCUCCGUUGCUGAAUUCUCCGAUUCAUUGUUACGUAUUUGUAAAAUUAAUUCCCAACAUUAACGGGAGAUGCUUGUUGAAGUAGGUUAUUCAAGUUGAAGUUAACAAACAUCAAUACUUAGGGUUAAGAGGAAAGUGAGUUAUGUAACACAAUUUGGAUUAUUUCAUUGCGAGACGAAUGAUUUAUAGGUUCUCCUAGUUUUAUGACGUCACAAGUAGGCCGGAGUAAUUUUUGGGGCAUUUUUACGAUUUUCCUACUAUUUUUUACCUAGUUUCAAAGAUUUUUGAACAAAAGAAUCCAAAAUGUAAAAGAAGAUGACACCUGGCGCGAUCUCAGCCCGUCACUUUUCACUACUUGCACAAGUGUACGUCAGUCAACAUGGCCACAUCCUCUCAUUUUACCCUAAAUUAUUAUUUUAUUACGUUUUGUCUUGGAAAAUUCAUAACUAAAUACACAAAAAUUCAAAAUUAUUUCUGAAAAUUGCUACGAACUCAUUGACACUCCAUCUCCGUUGCUGAAUUCUCCGAUUCAUUGUUACGCAUUUUUAAAAUUAAUUCCCAACAUUAACGGGAGAUGCUUGUUGAAGUAGGUUAUUCAAGUUGAAGUUAACAAACAUCAAUACUUAGGGUUAAGAGGAAAGUGAGUUAUGUAACACAAUUUGGAUUAUUUCAUUGUGAGACGAAUGAUUUAUAGGUUCUCCUAGUUUUAUGACGUCACAAGUAGGCCGGAGUAAUUUUUGGGCCAUUUUUACGAUUUUCCUACUAUUUAUUACCUAGUUUCAAAGAUUUUUGAACAAAAGAAUCCAAAAUUAACAAGAAUAUGACACCUGGCGCGAUCUCAGCCAGUCACUUUUGACUACUUGCACAAGUGUACGUUACCGAACAUGGCCACAUCCUCCCAUUUUACCCUAAAUUAUUAUUUUAUUACCUUUUUUCUUGGAAAAUUCAUAACUAAAUACACAAAAAUUAGAAAAACGAUCCGAAAAUUUCUACGAACUUAUUGCGAUUUCAUCUUCCUACUGCAUUCCCUGUUUAAUGGUUAUGCUACAUUAGUAUUUUAUUAUUAUUUAUCCACAAUUAUUAUAAUUAUUAUGAUAUUACUUUUUAGGCUGUCCAUUUGUUAAUUAUACCACAUCCAACUUGUUGAAAACAAUUUUAUUUUCCGUGCGAAUAGGCCAUUUGUAGUGCUUAUCGGUUUCUCUGUUCUUCAAUUUGUUAAUUUUUUUAUUUUUUAGGUUGAAGGGAUGUUUUGAAACAUAAUAUGGAAAUAUACAAGUCAUCCAUUGUACUCCUUCCACACAAAAAAAUAGUCUACGUCAUUCACUGUUCAACACCCUAGGUUAAGACACGUGUAACCAAAUCCGUUCGGAUAUGCUAAGUGGGAAAAUGUCAUUCCCAAGCACUGGUGAAAAGACACUUAUUUACUCCAUGCAUGACUUUUGGUUUACCAAAUAUGAAGAUUGGGGUCGGUGAGCAAAAUAUCUGUGUCAGUAAAAUGUCAUUCCUAGCCAUCUAUGAUGUAAGUAAUAAUUCCGCUAUAUAAUAAAUAUUAUACAUUUAUAUAUAAAACGGUUUAUGACAAAAUACCAACAUUUGAACAACAUUUAAACUGAGAUAGGUAUAACGUAGCCAGCCAACCUAGAAGUGAAGAGAAGCAAGUCCACAAUGCAUCAAAACUGUAAAUUCGUACUAAAACUAAUGCAAAAAUACGUGAUUCCCUCGCACAACUUACUCACGCAGGAUUUUGCACCAAAAAAUACUCUCACGGUGCCAUUUGCAUCGGUUGCAGCAAGUCCAAAACGCAGGAUUUAUCUUGUCUUCACUAGGCCACCCUGGAAUAACAAAAUACCAUUCAUUGUUGUUACAAGCGCUGCACCGAUUGAACUUAAUCUUCCCAUAGUCAAACAUAUCUACGAUAUGUCUUGCAACAAAUGCUCCGCGACAUCUUCCUGUUAAAGCAUCCCUGGUUCCUUUCAUAUCAAUGUUGUUACGUUGAUUCAAAGAACACAAGAAUUGUAAUGCAUCCUCUUUUGACUGACCAAUUCCGGACAUACCAAGUAGUCCAACUACAUAUGCCGCUUCCAUAUGGCCUGCCGUGGCUGCAAUGCGCAUCCCAUACAACGCUUCCACCUUACCGUCUGUGAAAAAACCUUCGAAUGCUUCUCUAAAUAUGGACUCAGGGUUAUCGCAAGCCCUGCAUUGUUGCAAGAAAUGCUGGACUGCAGGUUUGGCACGGUAGCAGAUAGGAUGGUGUGGGUACUUUGCCAUUGAAAUGGUGUUCCACACUUGUGGACUGUUUGCCAAAAUGUUGAACAAUCGGCACACACAUGCCAUACGGAAGAGAUCUUCCGAUGAUUCGGUUGCCACGUAUAACAUCACUUGAAACCAAGCGGACUCCGGGAUAAAGGCUUCGGGCAUAUCGAAAUGGAGAUGCUUCCUUCUCUUUCCUCCGACUGUAGUGAAGUGUUUCGAAUUCAUUGAAAAGUUUUUGGAAUGGAACGAUUUGAGGAGUGGCAGAGGGGAUAAAUGAUAAUAUUUGGGGUACACGUUCUACUUCCGAGCCUCUGUUUAUAGUGUUUUGAAAAGGUGUUUCCAGUUGGGGUUUUUCCAAGUUGACCCUUUUGAAAGAAACUGAAUCCAAGUGAAUUAAAACUUAAGACAAAAGAAGGGAAAACGUCAUAACGGUGCAUACAGAGUCAGACAGUUAAAAAGUUAAUUAAAUGGCUAUUUGCAUAGCCAUUUUUGGGUUUAUCCCACUAUCAAAUUCAUUGAUACAAAUGUGAUGGAUUACUGACUAGUGACAGAAGGUCCCAUCAUAUACUUUUUCAUUUUCGCACACCCAACUAUCCCUAGUAAUGUUAUUAAAAUGGAACCAAUAAUGACGGAUUCUUAUCCAACUAGUUGCCUUAAUGAAAUAUAAAUAAAUUAAUAAAAUUGAAGCAGUGUCCCGUCAUUAGUCAGAAAAUAUAUUUGGUAGUGAAGUAGUUUCUAUUGCUUUUCGGGCUAAAAGAUGUCACAAUGCUGACGGUACAGGUGUCGACAUCGUGACCAACCCACCAAAUGAUCCCAAAAAAAAGUAAUAUAACUCGAUUUGGGCAGAGAUGAGAGAGAGCUGAGUGACAAGUUUAGGGUUAUGAGUGAAGGGGUAUGAAUGACAACUAUGAGUGAGAAGGUAUGAGUCCGAAGAGGUUUCAGUGAGAAGAUUUGAGUGAGAAGAGGUACAACUGAGAAGAUUCAACAUGUCUUCGUCUUCAUCUCCUGCUCAAACAAAGAGGUGUCAGUAUUGUGGAGCUACAAUGGUGCUUCGGGUUUCAAAAUCUGAAAAAAAAUCGAGGGAAGCCAUUCUGGAAGUGUCUAACCUCCUAUGUAAGUUUUAAUUUAAAGAAUAUGUAUGUGGGUGAAAAAAAACCUAUGUCUAACUCUGACAGAAUUAUAUUCCAUAUAUGAUGCCUGCAAUUAGGGAGCCACCAGUUGCAAUGGAUUCGAAUGGGUUGAUGUAACCUCCGCUGAAGCAGAACAUCAAGAUGACACGUAUGAUGUUAGAGUGCUGAACAUGCUGAAGUCCAUUAAGGACUUGGUAUUAGUUUUAUUAGUUGUAUUAAUUGUCAUUUUAUUUGUUCUUUUAAUGAUCAUUUAACUGCACGGUUUAAAAGAUUGUGAAAGUUCUCUCGCACAAGACAUAUUGCACGCACCACCAAUGAGACCCUAAACCCAUUUUGUAAUAUUUGGUAACUGCAUGUAUUUCGCAUGUUAUUGAAUGUUUAUUGAAGGUUUAUUGAUAGUUUGCUGCAUGUAUAUGGAAUAUCAUUGCCCCAAAAUUGGAUGUUUAUUGGGGCCACAAGUAUCACUCAAGUAAGAAUGAAGGGGAGAAACGGACCUUAUUCUUUCUUAUAGUAGGAAGAACAACUGUUAAGUUUAAUAUCCUAUUCAAUACGACUUCCCUAUGGUUGGUGUACUUGGGGACUGAAGUAUAUUGCAUCAUUAUUGUGGGCAAGGGCAUGUCUAUUGUGUGUGUUAAGGGAGUAUUGUGUGGGCAAGGGCAUGUCUACUGUGUGUAUAUUGCAUGUCUACUGUGUGUAUAUUGCAUAUCUAUUCUCUGUAUAUGGCAGGCCAAGUUUGUGUAUAUUGUUUGUCUGUUGUGUGUGUAUUGCUUGUCGGUGCGUUUGUGAAUUGUGGUUCAUUUUGUGUAUAUUGUCUUUGUUUCUACUUUUAUGCUACUGAGCUGCGGAAAACCUCGCAUGUUUAGACACCUAUUAUGAUGCAACACAUUGCGAUUAAUGGUGGCUUGCAUCAACAAUGACAUAUCACUUUGCAAUGAUGUAAUACACUUAAAAAGCCGUCUUCAAAUCCCAAUUCACAUAUGCAGUCUUAAAAUUCUAAUUCAAUGCAGUUUGGUUAACAAACAUGUAAAUGUCAUGAAGGAGUUAGCGGUAGAAUUCGAUAAGGACCCGUACGUCUCUAUUGUGUAUUUACAUUAGUUUGAGAAUGGACAUUCCCAAAACCUUCUCAUGUACCAUUUGUCAUCUUCAACCAAUAUCAUGGGAAGUAAGCAUCUCCCCUUGUUAUCUCCGCAGCCAAUUUCAACCGAAAAAAAGGCAUGUUGUGCGAGGUGCAAGUAGCUAACGGAAGCUUAGCGCUGAAAAGCUCAAUGUACUUUAACACAAACAUGCCACAAUCGCCUCUGAAGCAAAACAAGAACUCGAUCAAUUCAACUAAUGACAUUCUAAUGUAAUUGACAAUUGAAAGUAAUAAAAUUAAAUUGCAAGUUGUGCUUACUCAUUAGACUGUUGUGGAACAUCCACACGCUCUAUUGGCCACGGACACCACCAAUCUCGGCUGCAAUUGUUUGCAUAAACACCUUCUUCAUAAAAGUCGAUGGUGUUGAGAAGAUUUGGAAGCGUAAUUGAUAGCGGGCCGAGUUCUUCCUUUACGAUGUCAUCUGGAAUUAGUGAAACCUUUGAAUCGUACACUUUGAUUCACACAAUACCAGAUCAAACANNNNNNNNNNNNNNNNNNNNNNNNNNNNNNNNNNNNNNNNNNNNNNNNNNNNNNNNNNNNNNNNNNNNNNNNNNNNNNNNNNNNNNNNNNNNNNNNNNNNNNNNNNNNNNNNNNNNNNNNNNNNNNNNNNNNNNNNNNNNNNNNNNNNNNNNNNNNNNNNNNNNNNNNNNNNNNNNNNNNNNNNNNNNNNNNNNNNNNNNNNNNNNNNNNNNNNNNNNNNNNNNNNNNNNNNNNNNNNNNNNNNNNNNNNNNNNNNNNNNNNNNNNNNNNNNNNNNNNNNNNNNNNNNNNNNNNNNNNNNNNNNNNNNNNNNNNNNNNNNNNNNNNNNNNNNNNNNNNNNNNNNNNNNNNNNNNNNNNNNNNNNNNNNNNNNNNNNNNNNNNNNNNNNNNNNNNNNNNNNNNNNNNNNNNNNNNNNNNNNNNNNNNNNNNNNNNNNNNNNNNNNNNNNNNNNNNNNNNNNNNNNNNNNNNNNNNNNNNNNNNNNNNNNNNNNNNNNNNNNNNNNNNNNNNNNNNNNNNNNNNNNNNNNNNNNNNNNNNNNNNNNNNNNNNNNNNNNNNNNNNNNNNNNNNNNNNNNNNNNNNNNNNNNNNNNNNNNNNNNNNNNNNNNNNNNNNNNNNNNNNNNNNNNNNNNNNNNNNNNNNNNNNNNNNNNNNNNNNNNNNNNNNNNNNNNNNNNNNNNNNNNNNNNNNNNNNNNNNNNNNNNNNNNNNNNNNNNNNNNNNNNNNNNNNNNNNNNNNNNNNNNNNNNNNNNNNNNNNNNNNNNNNNNNNNNNNNNNNNNNNNNNNNNNNNNNNNNNNNNNNNNNNNNNNNNNNNNNNNNNNNNNNNNNNNNNNNNNNNNNNNNNNNNNNNNNNNNNNNNNNNNNNNNNNNNNNNNNNNNNNNNNNNNNNNNNNNNNNNNNNNNNNNNNNNNNNNNNNNNNNNNNNNNNNNNNNNNNNNNNNNNNNNNNNNNNNNNNNNNNNNNNNNNNNNNNNNNNNNNNNNNNNNNNNNNNNNNNNNNNNNNNNNNNNNNNNNNNNNNNNNNNNNNNNNNNNNNNNNNNNNNNNNNNNNNNNNNNNNNNNNNNNNNNNNNNNNNNNNNNNNNNNNNNNNNNNNNNNNNNNNNNNNNNNNNNNNNNNNNNNNNNNNNNNNNNNNNNNNNNNNNNNNNNNNNNNNNNNNNNNNNNNNNNNNNNNNNNNNNNNNNNNNNNNNNNNNNNUUUUCCUCUCCCUCAUCUCUAUUAUUUGGCCCUUCACCCCCUUCAAUCCCUUCAUCUUCUUUUUCCUCUCCCUCAUUUCUGUUACUUGGCCCUUCAUCCCAUUGAAUGUCAUCCAUUUCCCCAUAUCCCUUAAAUAGAUGUGAGACGACACAACGAUUCGUCCUCUGUUUCAGUAAAGCUAGGUCCCUCCUUACUUCCUGCUCAAACUGAGGACCUAAACAUUGGUCCAAUAGUUUUUCCAUCCGUAUGACCUUUAAGUGAAGGACGUCUUUUUCCCGCUUUUCUUGAAACAACUCGGACCUCAACAAGCUUACCACCUUGUUCAACUCAUCAAGAUCACCACAUGAAGAAGGAAUUGACUCUGCCGAGACAACAGCAGGGCGAUCCUGUGGCCAACUCCAAUAUGGCUGUCUCAUUUCCUCUUCACUUAGACAUAGCGCCCGCAACUGAACUGACUGUUUCAGAAUACAGACAAGAGUCAUAUUAAAUCAUUCUACUUCAUAAUUUCAUUCAAUCUUAUCAAUAGUUCUAAGGGCUGCAAACCAAACCUCUUUGCUCUGGAAAAAAUAAUUGUUCAACUUUCUCAUCUCUGGAACAGACGUAGUAGUUCUCCAUCGCAAAAUACGCGGGACAGCGGUCGGAUCAACAACCUUGCAGUAAUUCAGGUCCGCCAUUCUAGGAAUUAAUUCAUAUACCCAAAUCUACACAAUUCACAGGACAAAAGUCAUUAUUUAUGUUUUAAAGAAAAACAAAACAUAACUGACAUGAACAUUAUUACCAUGUACCUGGAAAGCAUACGUGAAACCUUUAAAACUCCAGCCACUCCUUUGCGCUUCACUAUGCUUAUCCUUCUUGCCCUUCUCAUUUCUCCGGCUUGUUCCCGUUACCUUACUUUUCCCCUUCCCUCUUCCCUCUUCAUUUUCCAAGCUUUUCACAUACUUUGUUGGUGCAGAAAAUAGACUGUCUUGGGUUUUGUCAAAGGACACCGAACCCCACGGAUACCUGUUGAACGCAUCCAAGUCCUCUACAAGGGUCAGGUAAUUUAGAUUGAUGUUCAAAUGUUUGUCCCUUCCCAAAACCACUAACUCAGCAAAGUAAACAAGAGGUAGCUUGAAGAUGUCAUCUUCCUCUGUGCACCUCACAAAUGCUUCUUCUAAAGCAUUGCAUGUAAUUCCUUCGUCUAUAAAAUAUCUUUUCUGAAGUCUGAUUUCAUUACUCUCUCCACUGGAAACUUCAGGCACUUCCCCAAAACGAAGCCCUGUGAUCAAACAGAAAUCCUGACGAGUGAACUGAGCAACGUCACACCCUAAUAAGAAACUCAGUCCAUCCAAGUCUUUCACACCCUGCCCCGCUACUCUACGCAACACAACCCCAUGCACAAUCUGUCCGCUAAACUGAAUCUUAUCUAUAUUCAGAAGAUGGCCAAAGCAUGAUGUCUUGAAUUGUUCUAAUUGUUCCGCACUCAACUUCGCUCGAAUUGCAGCUAGAGAUGAAUUUGCAUGUGAGCAGUUGUUCACCCGUGAUGAAUAUACCUCUGCCUCUGGCCAUACCAGCUCCACGUUGGAUCCCAUUUCCUCAAAUACAAUGUGAAAUAACGUGAACAUAUAUACUACCACGUAUUUGCACAAUCACAACUAGUCAACCAGGCACAUUACAACUUUUACAAAGUACAUGAGCAUAUGGAUUACUCAUCACAGGCUUUAACAUCAUCAAAGCAAUAUGACAAUUUUUGUGCAAAUACCUGUUAAUGCAAUGAUUAUGUGAAUUACAAACAAUUUCACGUGUUUUAUUUAUGGAUCCAUACUCGUGUGAGUGCAAUGUAGGCAAGUUCUGCACUUCACACACAUGACAAUUAUUGUCAUCUCAUACACAACCCAAAAUAAAUAAAUAAGAAAUAUAGUGGAAGGAAGCAAAGCAAAGCAUGUACUCUGCUAUCUGCUUGCUAAGCAAUUGCCACAUCCUUCUUUCUUUCUACCUUUUUCUUCAGUCACCCACAAUCGUCAUAGAUCAACCUUCAUUUCAAAUGCUUUGCACUUUUAUUCAUGAGUUUAUUAUUAUCUGUUCUCAUUUCUCAUAGGCAAAUUUAGUAACAAAUGAAAUAAUAUUUAUUUCACAAAAUAUAUAAAUUCUAGUGCCAGAGAGGUACUCUUCACUCUGCACUGCUUCAAAUGUGGAAGGUUUUGAGAUGUUAUUGACAUGUGAUUGACUUUAUUUUCAUUCGUUUUUUAACAUAUACCCAAGCAAAAAUUAACAUGCAAUUGAAGCACAAAUAAGAGAUGCCAAAUCCAACAACAUUGAUGGUACAAAUUGGGGAAAACCAUUACUCUAACCCUAAACUCAAAUUCCUUACAUUACUCAUCAAAUGCUUUGCAGUUCUAUUCAUGAGUUUAUUAUUAUCUGUUCAAAUGUUUCUCAGGCAAAUUUAGUAACAAAGGAAAUCAUAUUUACUUCAUAAAAUAUAUAUAUAUAUAUAUAUAUUCUAGCGCCUCUUCUUAAUCUGCACUAUGCACUGCUUCAAAUGUGGAAGGUUUUGAGGGCCUCCUCCAAUUCAACACCAUUAUCUUAUUCAUAUCAUUAUUGACAUGUUAUUCACUUGUUAUUGACUUCAUUUUCAUUCUUUUUUUAACAUAUACCUAAGCAAAAAUUAACAUGCAACUGAAGCACAACGAAGAGAUGCCAAAUCCAACAAAAUUUAUGGUACAAAUUGGGGAAAACCAUUACUCUAACCCUAAACUCAAAUUCCAUAAAUUACUCACCAAAUGCUGGUUAUUGCAAGGUGUCUGUGUGGGGUCUUUCUGUUUCUUUGCUCCACAAAUGGAACCUACCACUUCCAACGAAUACAGCUUUUCCCCUUCCCCUUCCACUGCUUCGCCUCUUCACUGAUUUGGAAUCCACACCUUUGCCCCUUCUACUCCAAAUAAAUACUUUCUCGGGGUCUGGAGAACGGAGUGGCGAAUCGUUGCCUUCAACUGUCGUUAGCCGUUGCCUUCAUUGGGUAUCUCAGACCUCUGUGUUUUAGAGAGAUGAGUUCUUUCUGUUCAAACUUCGAACUUGCCUCUUCUUCUUCUUUUUCGGACGUGUUUCCCUCUUCUUCUUCUUUUUGGACGUGCUGGAUAUUCAAUUCGGGUUUGGGUUCCUUACCUACCCAAUUGUGAAACUUUAACUCAAUUCUCCCCAGCCCUUGGAUUAAUCUGAUGGCUAUAAAGUGAACCCCUUAUAACUUACCCCUUAUAACUUUCCACUCAUUAUAGUCUUGGCCAGGUAUGGCGGCCAUGCUAGUAAGUGUUGGGUCUUUGACCCAACUUAAGCUAAAUGGGUCAUAAGAUGACCGAUCAUCUUAUCUCAUAAGGAUAUAUAAGUCAUGUUAUGAUUUAGGAUUUUAUAGGGUUUCCUUUGUAAGAGGUAAGAGAGAAACAAGCUCUCUCUCUCUCUACACAAGGAGGUCAGCCAUAGCAAGGGAAAGGCUCCUAGCACUCUCCUCUCUCUUAUUAUAUCAUCCUUCCAAGGACAGCUUUGGUAUGGUAAAGUUGGAGGUUGCACACUUUGUGCACUUUGGUAAGAACUCAUCCAAGGGAGCCAAGAUUAAAUUGGUUAGCUGUUGGAUUAAAUUGGUUAGCACGAUUCAACGGUUAAUAGAUAAAACUUCACAUAAAAGUCAUAUAUAAGGCCCUCACUAUAGAAUGACUCGUUAGUUUAGUCUCUUGUUACAUAUCAAAUGUUAGAGAUAUUUUUUAAUAAGGAUCUGCCAUACCACAUAGUUGGAUAAGACAUUAUACACGGCUUUUGUAAGAGCAUCUCCAGCGCUCCAAACUAGCCCAAGCAGCAGGGGGGCCUAAGUCUAGGAAGCAGCUCCAGCUCGCAAGAUUCAACCCAGGCAAGGUGUGGAACCCACGAGGAGAUCUAGCCCGUCACCUUGCCUUUGGGUUUCAGUCAAGCUGAUGUCAACGAAAGAAUUUCAAAUUUUUUUUACCGUUACAAUGUACGCGCCAACGAUAAAUUUUCUUUGGAUUUCUUGCAUUGAUCCACAGCUACCAAAAACCAACAGCUACAAGCCACGUGGCUUCUCCAGGAGCCUCCGAUCCAAAAAUCAUGUCAAAUCUAACGGCAGUCCAUUUUUUGGCUAAAAAUAUCAAAAAAUUAUGGAAACAUGUUCUAUAAAUUCCUACAAAUAUUAUUCACUUCCCACACCAAAUCUUCAUACAAAUUCAUAUCCUUUCAAUAUUUUUCACUUUCCAUACAAGAUUUUCUACUACUAAGUUUCGUUUGUGUAAAAAUACAAAUGACCUCUUCUAUCGAAGCCGGAGGCGCGUGUACAACCGUGGAAGAUAUUUUGUUGCGUGAGUGUUGGGUCAAAGUUGGUCAUUCCCUGAUCACGGGCAAUGAGAUGAAGUCCUCUCGUAGGAGUUUCUGACAUCGCAACGAAAGUAAGAUGUGAUAUGAAAAUGUAAGGAAUUUGAUGAGAGGAAUGGGAUUUGAGGAGUUUGAUGUAGGAAUUGAUGUAGGAAUUGAAUUUGGGAGGUAUGUAUAUAAGAUUUGAGGGUAUGUGUUUAGGGAUUUUGAUAAGAGGAUUUGAGGAAUUUAGAUUUGAAGGAUUUGGAUUUGGGGAAUUUAAAUAUGAGGAAUUUGAUUAGGGUUUGGGUUUGAAUAUGUGAAAUUUGAUAUGAGAGUUUAGAGACAACAGAUGAUCGAUUGCUCUGAUACCAUGCUAAAAUAUGAUAUGGUUUGAAUACUUUAGGUUGAGUUUUAUUCUUUUCCAUAAAAAGGUAUAUAUAGGAGUUUACAUGAGUGCUUUACAAAGAAAUAGAUACAAUAAUCAAUUAGGAUAAUAUCUCCUAAUUAUACAAUAAUUUGUCAACUAUAUAGAAUAGGAAAGUAAAUUCCUUAAUUAAUCAAGAAAAUAAAUCUCAUUGAUUAAUUAGGAGACUAACGUCAACAUUUAUAAGCCAUAAAAGAGCAGAAAAAGAGGUACUUAGGAGAUUUUAUACGUCGGACUAAGGUAAGCUUAAAGGACUAUAUCAAAAAAAUAAGGGACCAAGAAGCAAGACAGAGAAGUUGUUAUGCAAACCCAUUAAGUUUAGCAGUGAUGAAUUUGUAAAAAUCAUUCUAGUGGAUUCUGCCUUCACUAUUGAGUUCUUAUUGAGGUUCUAUCUGAAAGGAUCUGGACAUGAAGGAGACCGCUUAUUAAACAAACCGUGGAUGUUUACAGCCUGACAUGUGGUUGCUUGAAAAUCAGCUCCCAUUCUUUAUUCUUGAGGAUCUUUAUCACACAUACAUAAUAACCGACUCUUUUAGGAAUUAUUACAGUACUCAUGAUCAUGAGAGGCUUUCAAUAAUUAAUAUUUCUAAGAAUUUCUUCACAGCCGGAAUAUUGAAUUUGGAGGGGAAGGGAGACAAAUGGAACAGAAUAUCAUCUUCUUCUAGUGUUGGAAAUUUUAUAUUAUUUAAUAAUAUUUAAUUUCUAUUGUGAAUGAAAAAUAAGUUUCUUUAAGAAACGUGUGUCUUAGGCCAGUUUUUCUAACUGGUCGGCUUCCUUAGAUUUGUGCCUAUUGCUUUUCAAAGUAUAAUGAUGCAAUGGUUGUAUCUCGUUCAGGCAAAUGGAAGGUAUAUAGCAAUUUAUAGAACAAUACAGUAAUCCAGAAGAAAUAUUAUGAAAUGAAAAGAAUAAAAAGUAAAAAAAGAGAAAGAAAGGAAUUCCCACCUGCAAUGUAUAUGUAUGAAAGGAAGGACCAAGUUUGUUUUAAAAUGGUAAGAACAAGUUGAUUUUAAAUUGGGUUCAGAUCAACUCAUAGAUUUCUUGCCUUUUCUGUUCUCCUUCCUUGGACAUGAACUGUUUAAUCUUGGACUCUUCCCCAUCAUGUUGGGCCUGUCUUCUUCUUGAGGAUUGUAUAGGCCUAGGAAAUGCUUCGGGGUAGUUUUUGUGUUUUGGGCAUUGGGACCCAACUUCACAAAAAGAAAACAAAUUUGACCAAAACACAAAUUUGAAGGACAUUGAAAUUGUACCCGUAGGAUAGAUUAAAACACUAUAAGGGAGGUAAAUAGUACGUUUACAGAGUUUAAGUGUAAUAAAGGAAUAAAAACAUGCCCAGAGAAUUGAUAAGUGAUAUCAAUUCUUGAAUAUACGUGAAAAUUAUUUUAUGUGGUUAAACCCCACCUCUGGGGAAAAUCCACGGAACUUCUUAGUCCAACUUCUAUCACUUAUCCUAGACACAUUCUAGAUAAUGUUUGCCAACCUCUUCGUAACUCAACUUCUGUCACGAGAUGAUCUUUCAACACUUUAUGUCGAACGCAAUACUGGUCACGAUUUCUUCAAGCUCGCCGGAGUUCUUCCAAUUCUCCUUAUAUUGAAUCUGAUACUAGUCACGAUCGAUUCAAGCUCAUCGGAGAAAAAUCGCCACAACAAUCUUGGUGCCCUCAACCGUAUGAGUCACUGAACAUGCAAAUGAAUACAAUAUGAAUGAUAAAAGUGUUUGAUAAAUCACCAAGUUAUGGAACACUUGAUGAUUUAUCUCAAAUAAAAAUUCAGCUUUCCAAAGUUUAUGAAUUGAAAAUAUGACCGUUAAAGCUCUCUAAACAAAGAAGACGAAGGUCUUAUUUUAUAGACUUUUACUUUACAAGAAAGAAAACACGUUGAAAACCAAAUCUCCAAUUUCCAAGGCUUGACAGAAAAUCACAAAAUUAUCUUUCCUAUUCUAGAGAUUGGUCACAUGAAGUCCAACCAAUAGGAAAUGAGAUAUUUAAGAAAGGAAGAUUUUGAUCAAUAUCAAUAUCAAAUGAAUUCUUAUACGCCUAGUCAAUUGUUAUGGGUAUCUUGACUCCUUGAUAUUGUGAUAUGAUUGAAACAUGAUUUCCACGUUAGAAAAUUAAGGGGAUGUUAAAACAUGAAGGUAAUAGGAGAAUCAAAUUGAUUUGGGCCAAAAUUGCCUAAAAAGAAAACACUCCUUAAUAAACUUCAAUUUACUUUUAAAAAUAGUAAAACGUGAUUGAAUCGUUCUUUAAAACAAUUCCCUAAUAUACAUGCAUGAUAGUGAUAUCACUUACCUUUGAAUCAGAUGGCUUUCACGGGUCAAGCCACAAGUUUUUGUCUUGGGGAUUGCUGAGCUUCAUCAAUCCUGCCAAUGUCAAUUUUGCCCCUAAGCUCUCUCAAAGCACGUUUACAACCUAUGCUAACAUAUAUUAGAGUUUAUGUUAGUAUCAAGAAAAUGCCAACACUAAUUUCGUAACACGUAGAAAUUGUUAGAGAUUGAAGUUUUUAUCAUUUUUUCUUCCAGACUCUCCACCACUCACUAAUAUAGUUUACUCAUGUGAUGAGUUUACAAAACCUAUUUCUCUACUCUCACAAAGACUAUACUUAGGGGGGUGUAUUCAAUUAGGAUUCUAAAGCGUUUAAAAAGAUUUUGUUUAAGUGCCAGCUUUCAUAGAACUUGAUGGAACUUUAUAAUUCGUAUAGAACUUGAUAGACUUUCAGAAGACUUCUGUAUAAUUUUUUAAUAAAACUUUCUUAAGCUUUCAUAGAACUUGAUAGGCUUUCAUUCCAAACUUAUGUAGAUGGUAUAUUUCAUUUUAUCCCCAUCCUUGACAUUUAAAGAAAGAAACUUGAAUUUUUUCAAUCAAAUUUGUUUUUGUUACCAAAGCAGCAAAAACAAAAAGUACUUGUUUGCGAUGGAAGAACAUAUGCACAGUUCAAAAUGAAAAGAAUAAGAAGCAAAGUACCUAUUUGACCAAUGAAUGCUGUGUCAACUAGAGAAGCAAUUGGAUCGGCUGUCAAAGCCAAUGCUGCAGGCAAUGCAUCGAUGGUCCAAAUUGCAAUAAAAAAAUAUUUUGAAUAAUGGCUCUUGCAGACAAAGACCACAUAAAUUCUGAACUGGUCUAGCUUGAAUAAUAAGGUUAGAUUAGCCAAUUGAUGAGAUUAAAAGCAAAGCAAGUUGAUGAAUUUAUCAUCAACUAUUUAAUAACCACAGUCCUGAUCUCUUGGACCCCUGUAGUCCAAGAGAUUUAUGGUCACCCACCGUUGGAUGUAAAUUCAACGGUUGACUUGAAUCGGGUAAUAAUCAUUUAUGUCAUAUUGCAUUUAUAUAUAUCAUUUUGAACCAUUGGAUUAAUAUCCAACGGUGGGUGACCACAAUCUCUUGGACUCCUGUGGUCCAAGAGAUCGGGACUGUUAAUAACCAAUAGAGUAUUUAAACAUAAACAACAAUGUUUGAUCAACAAAACAAAUAGUCCAAAUAUCAUCCAAAAAACAAUAACAAAAAAUCAAUCAUUCCAAACAAACUAGUCAUUCUCAAAAACUCUCAAAAAACCCACUCAUUCCAAAUUGUAGGAUAUCCAAUUUGAGCACUCCUCAGGAGACAUUUUCAAAAAUGCAUCCUUUUUUGUGUUACUAUGCAACAAAGAGAGUGCUUUAUAACGAGCAUGUUCAUCCAAAUUUGGGGUCUCCUUAAUGGCAUCCCAUAUAUAACUCCGCUGCUCUCUCUCUUUUUCCCUUUUUGCCAAUAGGUUAUGGACCUCCCGGAAGUCGAUGACAAUUGAAUCAAUGCUAAGGCUAAUUCUUCCCAUAGCUUGCUGGGUGGUCACAUUUGAGAUAGCAUUCCCUUCCAAAUAUGUUCUAGUUCGUUUCCUCUAGUAACAAGCAUAAAUCCUAGUAACAAGCAUAAACCCUAACCCCAACCUAUAACCUAAUAACAAGAAGAAAACCCAACGAGGUAUUGAUCAAAGAAAAAUUAGGGAGCAUACCUUCACAGAUGGAGGAAGGAAGCUGUUCGUCUUCGCAGAGAGAAAAUCUAGGGAAAGAGAAAAACGUCUUAUGAAAUACUUGGGGGGGAGGUUGGAUUUAUUUUGGUCUUUUUUAUUUAUAACUCUCCCCUUAAAACCUACGUAAAUUUAUCACUUAAUGAAAUCCUUCCAAAUAUAUGACCUUUCGAAUACACCUAGAUUUGAUUCAACUUUUUUAUAAUCAUAAUUGAAUACACCCAUAUUUGAAUGGACUUUUUAAAAGUUCAUAUAGGUCCGAAAUGAAUAUACUCAAACUUGUAAAACCUCUUUUAAAGUUUGUAUAAAUCCAAAUUGAAUACACCUGGAUUUUUAAAAUCUUUUUAAACACUUUAUAAUCCUAAUUGAAUACACCCCCCUUAUUCUCAAAAGACUAUAUUACUUUACCUCUAUCUCUGUGAAAUGUAAAAAGUUGAAACUUUAAUGUCAAACCUCAACAAAAGAUGAACUUUCAUCAGUUACGUUGAAUUUGGAUUUGUUGAACUUAAGUGGUUUUAUUUUCUUUGUCAGUGUUUGAUGACUUAAUUUGGUAUUUAUUUCUUCUUUUUUUUCCUUGGAAAUGUGUUCCACCAACGUGAGGAAGAAAAAUAUGCACAAAUUAAUAUAUUUAAUAGAAGCCCAAGAUUUCGGAUGCAUAUAAUUUCUACAAAAAUCUACAAAGUUUUUUACUUUACAAACUUCUUAUGUCUACCAAUUUCUACUAAAAUUAAUUUCUCUGUGGUGCUCAAAUUCAUCAUAUGUGUGUCGUUAAUUUUAUUGAAAAUUGGAAGUUCCCAUCAUUUUUGUUUUUUGGGAAUUUUCUGAACCAAGGAAAAUCAAGUAAAAUUAAUAAAGCCUAAAUUGGAAAGGGAAAAUAUCUAGAGGAUGCAUUGUAGGAUUGCUCAUGCCAAUAAUUGUACCCUCUAAAUAUAUAGAGACAUAUUUUUUUUGUUUUCAUGACAUGUGGUCCUAAAAUUAUUGUGUAAAUCUUCAAUCCUGAACGAUGCACCUAAAACUCAUCCACCCAUUCUCAGGCCAAUUAUUGCACCUAGUGGGCUCUCGACCCCCUCUCAAAUUUAACCACAUAUUUUAUGGACCAUCCAGCUGUGAGGUACAUUCCCCCCACAUGCCACAAUUGUAUAUUCACAAUUACGUCUGAUACAUCACAUCAUGCCACUUGCCUCAAAUGAAUUUAAGUGAGUGAGGCAGUUGGAAGUAAUUAAGCUCUAUAUUGGUGGGUGGAGUGUUACUUCUCGGUUCCCCUCAUCAUUCGUCUAUAAAAUGGUGAAGGCAGUUGCUAUUGUUACCAUAAGAGCCAGCUCCGACUUCCUUUAAUUUCUUGCUUCAUAUCCACUAGCUACAUCUGUUACCAAGUUAAUUUCAGUUCUAAUGGGGUUUCAUCUCCCACUCAUCUUUGCUCUUCUCAGUGUAAGCUCUGCAAUUUGAUUAACUUUUCCAUUCUCUCUCAUUGUACUCUAUAUAAACGAAAGUUUUGUGUUCCUAUUGUUCUCUCCGAUUUUAUUUAGUACGUACUUAAGUGUCGUCCACUAAUUAAUUAUACUUUGUGAUUUGAUUUUAAUUUGAGUUUGAAUUAAUGUUGCAGCUAGCAGCAGUGGCACUGGCAAACCAUGCUGCUCAACCAGCACCUCAACUUUACUGGAGCUCCGUCCUGCCAAACACACAGAUGCCAAGAUCUAUCAGUGAACUUCUGCAUCCUGGUUUGUGUUGAGCUCUUUAGAAUCUUAGAUAUCUCUUCUACCUGCCAUUUUACUAAAAUAUGUUCCACCACAUAUUUAUCAGUUAACCAUUGUCAUUACAUGAGUGACACAUAUUCACAAAUCGGCUGAUCACUUAUUUUCCAUUAUGACUUGAUAUAUAAUUUGCAGACUCCACAAAUGAAGAAAAGAGCACAAAUGACGUUGGCAAACCUGAAACUUUCCCAUUGGGCAAUCAACAUUACUCCAGUCAAAAACAUUAUGGAGGCAUACCUGAAACUUCCCCAUUGGGCAAUAAACAUUACUCCAGUCAAAAACAUUAUGGAAGAGGCAAACCUGAAACUUUCCCAUUGGGCAAUCAGCAUUACUCCAGUCAAAGACAUUAUGGAAGAGGCAAACCUGAAACUUUCCCAUUGGGCAAUAAACAUUACUCCAGUCAAAAACAUUAUGGAAGAGGCAAACCUGAAACUUUCCCAUUGGGCAAUCAGCAUUACUCCAGUCAAAAAAAGUAUGGAAGAGGUGCUUCUCCAUCCGACAAUCAACAACUCCAUUAUAAAGACUUAGCUAUUUUCUUCUUGGAGAAGGACAUGCGCCCUGGCACAACAAUGAAGUUCCAAUUCCCUAUAAAUUCAAACACGGCUACUUUCUUGCCACGAGAAAGCGCUCAAUCGAUCCCCUUCUCCUCUAACAAACUGCCAGAAAUUUUCAACCAUUUUUCAGUGAAGCCAACAUCUGAGGAAGCCAAAACAAUUAAGCAAACAAUCGAAGAGUGUGAAGCUCCAGACCUUAAGGGAGAGGAAAUAUAUUGCGCCACAUCUUUAGAAUCAAUGGUUGAUUUUAGCACUUCGAAGCUUGGAACAAGAAACGUUGAAGCAAUCUCGACGGAGGUAUUGGAAAAAGGAGCCACCAUGUCCAUCCAAAACUAUACAACAAUGCCGGGACUGAAGAAGUUGGCAGGUGACAAAGUCGUUGUGUGUCAUAAGCAGAACUAUCCCUAUGCUGUGUUUUUCUGCCAUGCAAUAAAACAUACAGCAGCUUAUGCUCUCUCCCUGAAAGGCGAUGAUGGGGAGAAGGUUAAAGCAGUAACCAUCUGCCAUCUAGACACAUCAGAAUGGGACCCAGAGCAUAUGUCCUUCCAAAUCGUCAACGUUAAGCCCGGAACCAUUCCCAUCUGCCAUUUCAUUUCCACUGAUGCUAUUGCCUGGGUUCCGAACCACAAAUCUGCAUGAUCAUCACUUAGCACUAGUACUGUGCGUAUAAUAUGCCUGUAUAAUUAUCUCCCUACUUAUUUCUGCCUCUUCAUCAUGUGGUGUAAGAUAUAUGUUGAGAUGAAGUUUUUGGGAUUUGUGGUCGAAAUUAACCCGAUCAUGUUUUCUCUUGCAACCAUAUAGACUUCAACUUGUACUCAUAAUAAAGCAUGCUAUAUUUAUGAAGAGAUAUUAAUCUUCAGGCAAAUAGAUAUUAUGAAAACAUAUAUAGCAAUUUAUCCAGAAGAAACAUUAUGAAAUGAAAAGAAUAAAAAGUAGAAAAACAGAAGGAAAGGAAUUCGCACGUGCUAUGCUAUGUAUGAAAGGACCAAGAUUGUUUUCCCUUUGGUUAAUGACUAGAAAAGCUCACUUGCAGAGUGCUUUCUCCGACCAUAGAUGGAAGAGAAAUUUUCUCUUAAUAAUAGCACAAUGAUCGGGUAAUUGUAAGAACAAGUUGAUUUAAAAUUCCUUGACCCAAAAAAAAAAAAAAAGUUCUUUUCAAAUUCAGGUCAACCCAUAGAUUUCUUGCCUUCGUCUUCUUCAUCACGUUGGGCUUGUCUUCUUUUUGCGUUUUGGGCCUUGGAAGUUGGGACCCAACCCAACUUCACAAAAAGAAAACAGAUUUGCCAAAAAUCAAAUUUCAAGUCUCUCCUCCGAUCACUAAUACAGAUCAAAUUUUGGAUUUGAUGAACUAAAGUGGUUUUACUUUCUCUGUCAGUGUUUGAUGACUUAAUUUGUUAUUUACUUUUUUUUUUUUACUUGAUCUUUGUAGGGGCUUUUUUUUUUCCGGCAGCUUAAACGGGCUGGGCUGCCGUAAAGGGUAGAUUGAUGAAAUUGUCCCCUUUGUCUGAAUUCGAAAAUCAAGCCCCAAAAGCGCUUCGAAAGGGCAGUAGAGCCUUAGGAAGCGUUCUGGUUACCUUCACUAAUUAAAACAACAGCAACUUACAGAUGAUUUCUUGAGGCUUACAGAUAAAUUUUCUAGCUUGGCAUGACAUGGAAGCAAAAUCAGCAUGAGUUUAGCACCAAAGAGGAAAAUAUGGCUUCCUAGGGAGAAAUGAGAGUGUUUAAGGUGAGGAAGAAGAGGUUUGCAGGCUGAUUUGGCUGAGAAAAGAGAAAGAAAGAACAAUGUUCUUCCGGCAGCUUGACAAAGCUUCUGACAGAUGUGAAAGUCGUCCGCCAGAAGAGGAAAAUGGAGAAGAAGGAUGAAUAGUGCACGAAAUUGGUGGGUUCUUGCAGGUAAGAGAGAAAGCUUGCUCUCUGAAUCUGAGUUGGUUUUGGUUGGGUAGAAGAAGCCCCCUUUUAUAGCUGCGGGAAACCAUCUUUUUCCAAGAAACCCUAAUGGUUUCUAUCCUUUUUGGCCAAGCUUUUCCCUUCCUUUCUCUUCUCCUCCCUUGACUUUUCCUAUCUUGGUGAAAUUUCCUCUGCCUAUUUGCACAAAAUUAGAGAUUUUGAGGAGCUCAAGGCCCCUUUCCCGCAGCUGCCUUAGUGGAGAAUCCCCAUUUUCAGUCAUCUUUCUUCCUUCUUUUCUCCCAUCUUCCAAGGCUAGGUUUGAUGAGAGAAAGAAAUGGAUAUGCACACUGGUUUGAAGGGUGUUUUUCCUUGAAACUUGUUCUCUCCCAUGUGCUGGAGCUUCCCAGCAGCUUACACACAUAGAUAUUUUGGCUUUCAUCGUGGCUUUUGUUUUCAGCUAGGUGCUGGAGAUUUUGCAUAUAUUUUCUUGAGUUGCUUGGGCCUUCUAGGACAAUACGUUGGUUUAUCAAGUGAAUGGGCUAACUUCAUCAAUUGUUGGGCAAUUUUGGUUGAGUUAAUGGACUAUUUUGGUUCAAGUAAUGGACUAUUUUGGUUGAAAUAAUAGGCUAUUUUUCUCUCUUUGUGCUCACCCACAUAUUUGGGCCUAAAAAAUGGGCUUGAGUUUCGGGGCUCCCAAGCAACCCCGGGACUUCCAUUUCUCGGCCCAUCAAUGAGCCUCAUGUCAACUUAUUACCAUCCAUACCACAACCCACUCAAGCAAGCCUCAGGCAUCUUGCGUGGCUUGGGCCCACGUAAGCUCGUAGUGGCAAUGUUGCUUAUUUGCUUGACGUGGCAUGUGUGCAAGUGCAUAUGACGAACUUUCGCGUGCCCAAAUUGAGUUUCUUCUCGGUAGGGUAUCGCAUUGGGCCGAGAAUUUAAUUGGGUAGAACCGUGGAUUUUUUGGGCCUCAACAAUCUUAUAUAUAUUAGUUUUCUUUUUUUCCUUAAUAUUCACCACCUUUCUGUUGCAUAAGUAUUCCAGUCUUAGCGGGUUUCCAUCUACCACUCAUCUUUGCUCUUUUAAGUGCAAGCUUUUUUAUUUUUAUUUUUUUAUGCACAAGAUUAGAGGGGAGGGAGAUUUCUCAAUGUAAGCUUUGCAGUUUCAUAAUUAAUAUUUCCAAUAUCUCACUGUUAGUAAAAUAUGGAACGGGAAAAGUACGAAUAAAAUACACACAUGUUUUAUUUAGCAAAAUUUUGACAAGAUACAACUGAAAAGUUUGGCCACUAUAUAAUAUUUUGAUUUAAUUUUUUUUAUUUUUUUAAUAUAUAUUAUUUUUAUUCAAUAAUAUGUGAAAAAUAGGUGUACAAUAUAUGAAAUUUGUAUGUAUUAUUGAAAAAUUCGUAAAAAAAAAACAUGUUAUUAAAUGUGAAAAAUAUGUACGUAUAUGUAUAAAACAUGUAUUGUACAUUACUUUUUAACAAACUUGUAUUUUACCUAGUCUUUAAACCGUAUAUGGAAAACGGAAGUAUUAUUGAAAAAUACAUAUGUACGUAUAUGUAUAAAACAUGUAUUGUACAUUACUUUUUAACAAACUUGUAUUUUACCUAGUCUUUAAACCGUAUAUGGAAAACGGAAGUAUUAUUAAAAAAUACAUAUGUACGUGUAUAAUAUGAGUAUUAAACAAAAAAAUGUGCUAAGUACUUAUCUUUUAAUUUAAUAAUUCAUUUCAUUUUGUGAUCUCAUACGUAGUAAUGAGAGUUCAAAUUAAUGUUGCAGCUGACAAUGGUGGCUCUGGCAAGCCAUGCUUGAUGCAGGAGUAUAGGGGUGGAUCAAGAUAGAUAUUUACCAUGUAAUUAGUUAUUUCAUGAUAUAUUGUUAUUUUCUUAUUUAGGUAGUUUUAUGAUAUCUUUUAUUAUUUAUGUGGGAUUUUAUAAUUAAUUAGUUUACUUUUGGACCAAGUAGCCUUGGUGCUCAAGUCUUGUAAAGCUUAUAAAUAAGGCUAAUGUAAUAGUUGUAGGAAAAGAGAUGUCGAUGAUUAAUAAAAUCGUUUAUUUGUGGCAUGGAUUUGCUACGAUAUAUGUGAGUUUGCACUAGCCCUAGAUUUCGGUGCUCGUGUAUGUGGUUGGUGACCUGUGUCCGGAUCCCGAUCCCCAUCAAUGCUGUUCUCCCAGUACCUCAACUUUACUGGAACUCUUUCCUGCCAAACACAAAUGCCAAGAGCUAUCAGUCAACUUCUGCAUCCUGGUUUCUAUUAAGGGACUUUUCGUGAGCUUAUCAUCUACCCAAAUUUUACUCAUCCGACGUAAUUUUAAAAGUGAUUUGAUCCUUUGGCAAAGUAAUCUUGAACUACAAAAAAGGAGGGCACUCGAAUAGGCAUGCCAUUUGGUAUUACCCACCUCUAAUUUCUUUUAAAAUUUUAGUAAUUGAUUUUUAAGAUUAGAAAAUGGGAAAGUUCAAAACCGAAAAAGUUGUUUCAGUUUUGGCAAGUAUCGGAAAAGACUAAAAUUUUCCGACUUUAUUAUUACUAGAAACAAAGUCGAAGUAUUCACCAAUCAUGUGGCCUUCCAAGUGCUCAAGGUUAAGCCAGGAACCGUUCCUAUCAGCCAUUUCCUUCCCAAGUAUGAUCAUGUUGUCUGGGUUCCAACCCACAAAUCUACAUCAGUACCUGAACUAAUCAGUUCUACAUGAAUAUUCAUUCAUGGCAACCUUGGGCUAAGUAUUUGAAUUUAUGCUCAUAAAGCUUUAAUGCUUUUGAGGGCCAAUCGUUGUCUACAUAUGGUAUUGUAGCAUCUUUAGAUGGAAGAGGUCAGGGGUUCAAUUCUUGUUUUCCACUUCUUUAUUUGUUGGUUUAUCGAGUGUAGAGUGGAGUUGCACCUAUAUGUUCGUCUCUCACCCCAUCAUUUACCAUUGAUAUAUAUUUAAUAGAAGCCUAAGAUUUCGGAAGCACAUAAUUUCUACUUUACAAACUUCCUGUGUCUACCAAUUUCUACUAAAAUUAAUUUAUCUGCGGUGCUGAGAUUCAUCAUAAUUUUAAUAGAAAUUGGAAGUUUUCAUCAUUUUUGCUUUAAGUCUCUACUCCACUCACUAAUAAAGAUUACUCAUGUGAGUUUACAAAACAUUUUUUUUUUCUACUCUCUCCUGAAGACUACACUUCUUCUCAAAAAAUUAGAUCACUUCACAUCUUGUGUAUGUGAAAACUAAUGUAAAAAGUUGAAACUUUAUCGUAAAACCUCGACAAAAAUGAGCUCUACUACAAAAUGUUAAAUUUGGAUUCGUUGAUUUAAAUGGCAAUUUGACACUUGAUAGAAAUUUUUACAUACAUGUGUUAGUGUUUGAUCACUUCACAUGUCACUUACUAUAUUUAUUCCACUCAAGUUAGGUAAAUAUUAUUAUCAAACAUUUCAAUUAAUUUGUGAUUUUUUUAUUAUUUAAUCAAUUAUGAAUUAAUGGAUUCUUCUUGUUGUUUUGAAGACCAACAAAAAAAAAAAAAAGGGUAGUGAUGGCUUAUAAUUCUGGUAAAACAACAGUGACGUGGACAACAGAUGUUACGCUGUACUAAAGAUUUUUGAAGAUUCUUUAUUUGAGUUUCUUUCAAGAUAAAAACCAUAUUAUCCACAACCACAAGCACAUCCGGCAGACAAUCUUUGGCUAUUCAUCACAAUUGGGAGACAAUGAAGAAGACAGAAAAUGGAGUAAUUCAGAUGUUACCAGCCAUCCACGACAAACUGAAGUCUGCAAAGCAUUCGUAAUCUAAAAAGGAUGGGGAGGCUGCGCAAUACUUAGCCACGUGUAGGCCAGGAGGCUUUCCAAUUUUAAUAUAUAUAUAGAUUGAAAAAAUAAAAUAAAAAUCAAUCUAUUAUCAUAUAUAUUAUAAAAUAAAGAUUAUUGCUCCCAUGGGCGGUGCUAUGCACAGGACAGUGCCUGCCUAGUCCAAAUUUUUUUUAAAUAAAAAUAAAAAUCUACAUAUGUUAUAAGCUCAUCCAAAAAAAAAAAAAAAAAUAAAAGUGUUGUAAAUUAUAAGGUGGAGCCCACAUGUUGGAAGGCUUUGCCUACAAAAGGGUUCACACCCUCCCUUUGUAAUUAGACAUUGAGAAUACUAAGGAAGACAGAAAUGAAUAGAGAGAAAACAUUCCCUUCUCUCCAUCUCAAUUCCCUCUCCAAUUCCUCUAGAUUUAUAACACGUUAUCAGCAGCACGAAUCGCUUUCAAACAAUACCAGCUGAAUUUUAUGAUGAAACCCAGAUCUCUCAUCCAUCUCUGCUGCUCCACUACUUCAAAAUAAAUCCCACAGAAAAAGAAAAAGCCUCAAUGCUCUCUCUCUCUCUCUGUCUCGCUUGGGAGACUUGGACAAUUCCUCAUCCCCGUUACUGACAAUUUCAACAGCUUCAGGGGAAGCUAGUUUAUCUUCCUCUGCUCACGAAACCAUGACUCUUUCAGAGCCAAACAACAACACAAUAGACAACGCAUGGAGACCAGACUGGAGCUCGUCGGCUAAGGCACCGACGAUCCGACCCUACCCGUAUGGACCUUCCGGAUGUGGUUCCUGGGUCUUGUCUCAUGUGCCCUCCUCUCAUUUCUCAACCAAUUCUACAAGCAGCAGAGCUUCAAAUCAAACAGAUCAUGGCAUCGCUUUCACACCUCCCCAUCUUCCUCUUCCUCCUGUUCACCGCUUUCUAUUCUACAGCUUCGCAGUCCUUCAUCGGCGCAUCCAAAGGCGACAUACCGGCGCUCGCCUCAGAUCCGAACGCGGCGGCUCAGUGGGUGAACUCGAAUGUCCUCGCCUUCUACUCGGCCAGCAACAUCGACCUCAUCAACGUCGGCAACGAGGUCCUUUUUCUCCAACGACCAGGGCCUCAUCUCGCAGCUCCUCCCCGCCAUGCGAAAUGUCCAAUCUGCCCUCUCCGCCGCGUCCCUCGGCGGCAAGGUCCGUGUCUCCACGGUCCACUGCCUCGCCGGAUCGGGAUCCUUCCUUCAAGUGUUUCUCUGUCUUCGACUUGAAAAAGAAGGUCAUGGCAGGCCUAUGUAAAAAUUGCGAAAAGGAAGGCAAUCUUCAACCUUUUCUCCUGUCUCUCUCUUGAUCAAUUCAUGGAAGGCACAUUUGGGUCUUCCGGGGGCUCAUCAAAUGAGUCAGCAAUGUCAAAGGUGGAGGUGGUGGAGCAAGACUACGUGGGGAUGUCAUAUGAGGCAACCUCAUACCCAGCUGAGGCAGAGCUUGUGCUGGGCCUGGGCCUUGGCCUGAGCCUUCGUGGUGGUGGUGCAGGGAAGCAGCCAAAGCCAUGUGCAUGGGGUGAGCGUGGUAGAAUCUUGACUGCUAAAGUUAGGUGCUGAGUUACACUGUGUUCUCUGCUACUGACCCUAAGAGGAGUGCUAGAAACUUCCAUGUUCCGCCAUCAUUUCGCUUUCACUGUUACAAGGCACUGGAGUAUGUUUAAUUGAAAAGUGAGAUACACAGCAAGUUGAUCAGCCUAGUGGAAAGCAAAGGAUUAUUGCCAGGGAUAUGAACACCCACCGAAAUAAAGGGAUAAGUACUCUUUUUCCCUUCGACCAGUUUUUUUUUGUCCCACUGGGUUUUUACUGGCAAGGUUUUUCACGAAACAUAUUCCGUAUCAUUUGUGGUCUCUAAGAGGGAGUGUUGUAAAUUAUAAGGUGGAGCCCACAUGUUGGAAGGCUUUGCCUACAAAAGGGUUCACACCCUCCCUUUGUAAUUAGACAUUGAGAAUACUAAGGAAGACAGAAAUGAAUAGAGAGAAAACAUUCCCUUCUCUCCAUCUCAAUUCCCUCUCCAAUUCCUCUAGAUUUAUAACAAAAAGUAAAUUCUACACAUAUGUUGCCCAUCCAGGUGGUCCCAUAUCUUCUCUUUCCUUUUCUUUUGGCUAUUAGACUUCUUGUUUCUCUCUCUCUCUUUGCUACCCCACAUCAGCAAGUUUCUCCCUCUCUUUUUUUGGGAUCAAAUUCUUCUUCUAUUGACAAAAUCUUCUAUUAUAUUGGGUGGGCAACUUGGCAACAACAUCUUCUCCUCUCCUUUUGUCAACAGCAAGUAUUAUUCUCAUUCUCUCAUUUGCUAUAUAUCUUUAAUUAUAGUUUUAAUUUAAAAUUGAGUAUUCUAGGGUUUAAUUAGGGAUGAAUUAUAAUUUUGGGAUUUUGUUGAAAUUAAUUAGGGCUUCGAUUAGGGGUGAAUUAUUCUACUGCUUUGAUUUGGAAUUUUGUUAAAAUUGAGUAUUAUAGGUUUAAUUAUGGAUGAAUUACAAUUUUUGGUUUUGGUAUUGUUGAGAUGUUAUUAUGAGAAUUUGUUUGAUUUUUUGUUGGUAUAUUUGAUUAAAAUUCUUUCUACAUAUUAUUCAUAGGCUAUCUUUUAUUAUGUCGGAUCACAAUCGGAAUCCCAAGAAAACAAAAAAUUUGAAUAGUGUUGUUUUGUAUUGCAUUGCAUUUACUUUUGGUUUUAGUUUUGCUUUUAGUGUAAAUUACUCAAAUGGUCCUCAAAUUUGUACCCAAUUUACAUUUUGGUCCAUAAACUAAAUUAUUCAUUCAAAUGGUCCACCAACUCUUUAUUAAUCGGUGCUUUGGUCCUAUCGUUAUGUUUUCUAUUAAAUUUAGUCAUGUGAGCAGCACAUGCUACAUUUGUAUGGGUAAAUAAGACUUUUGACCAGUGGCGGAUCCACGUUGGGACAAGAGGGGUCGGACGACCCCUUGGAAGGCUGGAAAUUUGGCAAGGGAGUCCAUGAAAGCCCCCUUGGACAGCUGCUGGAAGCCCCCUUGUAUGCACACAAUGUGCUCGACGAAAUGCCCCAACGAAAUGUCCUGCGCAGCUGUGCUGCGCCUUGCGCGUAAUUUUUUUUUAAAACCAGCCUUGCCAAACGACGUCGUUUGGUCAAGGCUCAGUCAAAUUUUUUUUUAAUUAACCUGGCCUCAAAACGACGUCGUUUUGGGCCAGGUUUAAAAAAAAAAAAACAGAACAGUACACACGCACAGCAGCUCUGCACAGAUUCAUUUUCUCCAAACCUUUCAUUCCCAAUUCCACAGCCCCUCUUCCCAUCCUCUCAAACCCUAACCUCCCAACCUCCCAACCUUGGACAACCUCCAUCAACUCUUCACCGGUGGCCCAAUGCCGAUCACCACCACCUUCUACCGCCGUCCGCCGCCCAUUUUUUAAACUACAAGUAAGUAAGCAUGGAAAAUCUGAUAUUAAUAAUUAUAGUGAUAAUAUAUAUUGUUGAUAUUGAUAUUUUUUUUUUAUGUAAUGAAAUUUAUGGAUAUGAAUCAUAUUGAUUGAUUGAGUUUAUGCUUGAAAUUUAUGGAUAUGAAUCAUAUUGAUAUUUUUUUUUAUGUAAUUAAAUUUAUGGAUAUGAAUCAUAGUGAUAAUCAUAUUAAUGUAGAUUGAUUGAGUUUAUGCUUGAUUGAUAAUAUGAAUUGAUUGGGUAUAUUAAAUAUUGAUUGCUAUUUGAUAUGAUAAUUUGGUAUAUUGAAUAUUGAUUGAUAUGGGUUUAGGGAGUAUAUUGAAUAUUGAGAGUGGGUUAUUGAAAUUUUCAUAUUCAUAUGAUAAUUAGGAUAAAAAUUAAUGAUUGAUUGAAUUAAUUGAUUUGUAGAUUUAUGGAACGAUUCUUUAAAAGAAAAUUAUCUACGGAUAGUUCUUCUCUGUCUAAUCCGGGUAGUUCAAAUGCAAGACCAAUUGAAGUAGAUGAGAUCUUAGCUAAUCUUCAAGCAGACCCUGGACUAAGAACUCGAAUGGCGGAUUAUAGUCCUAAUAUUAGGGAUGAGAUCCGAAGAGCAUAUCUACAAAAGGGACCUUGUCAACCUAGAAGUUAUAAAUUCCCACAAACUAAUCAAUCAGGAAUUAAUAGACGCUUCAUUGCUCAUUGGUUUGAUGAUCAUGAUUGGUUGGAAUAUAGUAUUGCUAAAGAUGCUACGUUUUGUCUUCAUUGUUAUCUCUUCAAAUCUAAUUUUGAUCAAGUGGGUGGUGAUGCAUUCACUGGGGUAGGCUUCAAUAAUUGGAAGAAGGCGAAAGAAAGAUUUAACCUUCAUAUUGGACCGGUUGGUAGUGUUCACAACCAAGCUAGAGAAGUUGCUUACAAUUUGAUGCAUCAAACUACACACAUUGAAACAAUUGUGCUCAAGCAAACAAGCCAAGCUCGCACGGCUUAUCGCACUUGCUUGAAUGCAUCACUUAAGUGCACUAGGUAUUUGUUGCGGCAAGGGCUUUCUUUUCGUGGUCAUGAUGAAAGUGCACAAUCAAGUAAUAAAGGGAAUUAUUUAGAGCUCUUGCAAUUUCUUGCGGAUCAUGAUGAAAAAGUUAAGGCCGUUGUAUUGGAAAAUGCUCCGGGAAAUUUAAAGUUAAUAGCUCCUUCAAUUCAAAAAGAUCUUGUCAAUUCUUGUGCCAAAGAAACCAUUGAUCUUAUCUUGAGUGAUGUAAAAGAUAGAUAUUUUUCAAUAAUGGUGGAUGAAGCACGUGAUGUUUCAAUAAAGGAGCAAAUGGCAAUGGUGUUGCGUUAUGUGAAUGACAAAGGACAAAUAAUUGAAAGGUUUGUGGGGGUUCAACAUGUAACCGACACUACUUCAAGUGCACUAAAGGAAACAAUUGAUGAAUUCUUUUCUUCCGCGAAUUUGAGCUUUUCCAAGCUACGAGGACAAGGUUAUGAUGGAGCUAGCAAUAUGAGAGGUGAGUUCAAUGGCCUUAAGAGAAAGAUUUUGAGAGAACAACCUUGUGCAUUUUAUGUUCAUUGCUUUGCUCAUCAACUUCAACUAGCUCUUGUUGCGGUAGCAAAGAAAAACAUUGAUGUCAACUCUUUUUUCACAACGGCUAAUAGUUUGGUUAAUGUGGUUGGAGCAUCUUGUAAGCGUCGCGAUGCACUUAGAGCACAAUACCAAGAAGAGCUUGUGAGAGCUUUUGAAGAUGAUUGUCUUAUAACGGGGCGGGGCUUAAAUCAAGAAAGGACUCUCAAACGUGCCGGCAAUACACGAUGGAACUCACAUUAUGGUACGUUGAUUAGUAUCAUUUCUAUGUUCCCAUCUGUGGUGAAUGUGCUUCAAAUGAUUGUUGAUGAUAAUCUUAAUGAUAGUUCGGGUGAAGCCUAUAAGUUAAGGAGAGAAAUACAAUCUUUUGAGUUUGUGUUUCACUUAUUUGUAAUGAAAGCUAUAUUGGGAAUAACAAACACUUUGUCUCUAGCAUUGCAAAAGAAAGAUCAAGACAUUGUGAGUACAAUGAAUUUAGUGAAAACAUGCAAGGAAAACCUGCAGUUGAUGAGGGAUAAUGAGUUUGAAGAAUUGGUUGGGCAAGCAUCCUCGUUUUGUUACAAAUAUGAUAUUAUAGUUCCUACCAUGGAUGAGGAAUAUGUAAUUCCAGGGAGAUCAUGGCGUAAUGCUCCAAUGAAGACAAAUUAUCAUCGUUAUCGUGUGGAGAUCUUUAUUCAUGUAAUUGAUGGGCAACUUGCGGAAUUAAAUGAUCGCUUCAACGAGGUAAGUACUGAGUUACUUACUUGUUUGGCAUGCUUGAGUCCAAAAAAUAACUUUGUGACUUUUGACAAACGAAAGCUAGUUCGUCUUGCUCAAUUUUAUCCUUAUGAUUUUUCGGAUAGAGACUUAUUGAUGCUUGAAGAUCAACUUGGUGUUUAUGUUCAUCAUAUGCGUUCGAGUAGUGAUUUUUCUCAAUUGGAAGGGAUUAGUAGUCUUGCGGAAAAAAUGGUGGAGAAAGGAAUGCAUGAAAUAUUUCCUUUUGUAUUUGCUUCUUACAUUGGCUUUGGUUUUACCGGUUGCAACUGCAUCAGUGGAGAGGGCAUUUUCCGCUAUGAAUAUUAUUAAAAAUCCACUUCGCAACAGAAUGGGAGAUCAAUGGUUGAAUGAUAGCUUGCUUGUUUACAUUGAGAGAGAUGUUUUUGCUUGUAUUGAUAACGAAAUUAUAAUGCAAUGUUUUCAGAAUAUGAAAACUCGUCGUGGACAAUUGUAACUUGUAUUAUUGGUUUUGUUAUGAAUUAUGAAUGAAAGUACUAUCUUUCUAUCUUUUUAGCAUUAUUUUCUUUGUAGAAAAAUUUCAGAACUUUUACACUAAGCCCCCUUGGCUACAUAAUCCUGGAUCCGCCACUGCUUUUGACCACUUUAUCACCUAUGUAUCACCACUUUAUAACCUAUUUGGGGAACAUAGGUCAGUUAUGGACGGUUUUACCCUUACAUUUGACGGCAACAUUAACAUAAUGUAACAGUGGGAUCAAUGGAGUGAUUAAUAUAAAGUUGAUGGACCAUUUGAAUGAAUAAUUUAAUUGAGAGACCAAAAUGUAAAUCAAGUAUAAGUUUGAGGACCAUUUGAGUAAUUUACCCUUCGCUUUUAUAUUUGUUGAACUUUUAUUUAUGAUAGAUAUGCAUUUAAGGGUAAGACCCAUUAUGUUCCCCUGGCUAGGUGUAUCUUUUUAUGUUUAUUAAUGAAAUUCACUCGAACUGUUGAGUUUAGUAUGUAAGUUUUGCCUAACUGGCUUUUGAAUCCUAGAACCGCCACUGUUGCUCCAUCCUCCAUGCACUUGCAUGUGCUCUUACAAAGUGUGAAGUAGAUUUUGUGUGCUCCAAGUCAUUGACUAGAGCUGAAACAUGGUUAGCUAGAUUUAUAAGGACCCAUCUCUUUAUUUCCUAGACAUAUACCCAUCUCUCUAUAAAUCUAUAUGUAAAACCUAAUUUCAAACUUAAAUGACCAGUAGGAUAUAAAAGGUCAUAGUAUUCCUAUGUUUUUAUAUCGUUGCCACCAGACUUCUUAUUUUAUUUAUAAUUUAUUUCAAGCAUUUCAUUAACUGCCAUAAUUGUAAUUAAUACUCCAUAUUAAUAGCAUAUCAAUCACCCCAUUUCUUUUGGUUGCCAUUCCCUCUAACAUAUCGCCCCUUAAAUUUGAAAACCAAAAAAAAAAAAUGUAAAUUACAUAUCCAAUAAUGUACCUAUGAAAAAUAUAAAUAUAAAUAUAUACAUAUAAAAAUAUAGGUAUAUUAUUUACCAAAUAGAAAAUAUAAAAACCUAGGUCAGUUGCUUUGUAAUUGAAAUUUCUGUACAUUUUCCACAAAUUAAAAAUAGGUACAUAAUAAUUUAUAGAAAAUAUAUGUACAUUAUUUAUCCAUAGGUAAAAAUACCGAUAAAUGCACAUAGGUGAAUUAUUUACCAAUAUAUUAUUUUUUUGCUAAGGAUUUACCUUAGUUUUUAGUAGAUUAAUUUACCUACCUAGAGGCAUAGGUAGCUUAAAAAAAAUGUACCACCUUAGUUGGUUGCAUACUAAUUUACCUACCUAGAGGCAUAGGUUGCUAAGAAAAAAUGUAGGUAAAUUCAUGUACCUAAACACAUAGGGGUCAAAUAGAGAAUAACAUGUUAUUUCCCUUUGAACAAAUUAAUUUCAAACCAUAACAAUUAUUGAAUUUGGAAAUUGGUAUAAAUAAAAGGAAAUAAAUAAACUAUCAAUUUGAAAAUUAAAAUAAGAAAUGAUCAAGUAGUCAUAUUUGAAAAAAAAGGAAAGAAUAUAUUCUUGGUUUUUAUAGGAACAACGAGUAUAUUCAAACCAAACGGCGAUAACUACACCAAGCUUUAAUUACUUUUUUUUAAGGCCAAAAGUCACUUUUGGUCCCUGUAGUUCGGCAUUUCUACCACUUUUGAUGUUGUAGUUUCAAUUCCGUCAAUUUUGCCAUUGUAGUUUCGUAUUUGUAGCAAUUCAAGGACCUGUUAAUAUUAAUGUCAAUUUGUUUAAUGAUGCAAGAGGUAAUUUCGUCAUCCCAAAAUCCUUGAGCAUAAAAGAUUGUCUGAAAUUCUCCCCAUUUCAUAUUAGGGCUCGAAAUUCAACCACUAAUCCUAAUUUUUGAAGAACCCUAGACCCAAAUGACCAAUUUCAAGCCCUAAUAUGAAAUUACGGAAGUUUUAGAUGAGCUUUUAUGCUCAAGGAUUUUGAGUUGAAGAAACUGCCCCUUGCACUGUCAAAUAAAUUGACAGGAAUACUGACUUGUCCUUGAAUUGCUACAAAUACAAAACUACAGUGUCAAAAUUAACAGAAUUUAAACUAUAGGGUCAAAAGUAGUUGAAGUGUCAAACUAUAAGGACCAAAAGUGACUUUUAGCCUUUUUGUUUCAAUAAGGAAAAAACUGACCUAUUAAAUCCUUGGAAUCUAUACAAAAUUGAAACACAAUUAAUCAACAUUGAAUUGCAGCUAAUUUCUUAAACAAGGGUAUUAUAGGAAUUUAAAAAGUAUAACAUUUAAUCCAUUGAAUUUGAUUAGGAAACUUGAUGAAUUGAAUCCUAGUUAUAUAGUUUUUCUUAUAAAAAUCAGGUUUUAUUUAUAGACAAAUAAAACAAUGGGUUGUAGGUAAGAAAAUAUUAAUUUGAAGGGAAAGAGUCAAAUUUACUAAAUUAAUAAAGCAUAAAUUGGAAAGGGAAAAGAUCUAGAGGAUGCAUUGUAGGAUUGCUCAUGCCAAUAAUUGCACCCUCUCGAUAUUGAAAAACCUAUUGUUUAUUAUUAUCUUCAAUCCUGAAUGAUGCACCUAAAACCCAAGUGUCUCAGGCCAACCAUUGCGCUCAUACCACUUGUUGCAGUACACAUUCACCUGUUUUUAAAGAAAGAAAUUCUACCAAUCGAUAUUUUCUCAAAUUUAAUCACAUAGAUCUAUUAUGGUUAACCAUAUGUACUUUUAUCUGCCAUCCAGAGGUACCUUUUUCCAACGUGCAACAAUUGUAUUUGAUUCACAAUUAUGUCUGAUAUACAUCACAUCAUGCCACUUGCCUCAAAUGAAUUUAAUUGAGUGAGGCAAUGGGAAGUAAUUAAGCUCUAUAUUGGUGGGUGGAGUGUUACUUCUGGAACCCUCAUCAUUCGUCCAUACAGGGGAACAAUUCCCUUCCUUCUAUAAAAUGGGAGCAAUUCUCUCACUGUACUCUAUAUAAAGGAAUAAGUGUCGUCCACUAAUUAAUUACACUUUGUGAGAUUUGAUUUUAAUUAGAGUUCGAAUUAAUGUUGCAGCUAGCAGCGGUGGCACUGGCAAACCAUGCUGCUCAACCAGCACCUCCACUUUACUGGAAUUCCAUCCUGCCAAACACACAAAUGCCAAGAGCUAUCAGUGAACUUCUGCAUCCUGAUUUGUGUUGAAUAGAUAUAGUAUGUUACUGGAGUACGUAUGGCAACAUAUUCACAAAUGUGUCACGUAUUUUCCAUUAUGACGUUGAUAUAUAAUUGCAGACUCCACAAACGAAGAAAAGAGCACAAAUGUCAUGAAUGCUGUUGGGAAUGGAAAGCCAAUUGACCACAAGGGCAAACCUGAAAAUACUGUACUACCACAGCUUGCACGACGCCCAUUUUCUUACAAGAGUGAUGAUCGUCCCACUGACAAUCAACUCCAUUAUAAAAACGUAGCUAUUUUCUUCUUGGAGAAGGACAUGCGCCCUGGCACAACAAUGAGCUUCCAAUUCCCUAGAAAUUCAAACACGGCUACUUUCCUGCCACGAGAAAGAGCUCAAUCGAUCCCCUUCUCCUCUAACAAACUACCAGAAAUUUUCAACCAUUUUUCAGUGAAGCCAACAUCUGUGGAAGCCAAAACAAUUAAGCAAACAAUCGAAGAGUGUGAGGCUCCAGGCAUUAAGGGAGAGGAAAUAUAUUGCGCCACAUCUUUAGAAUCAAUGGUUGAUUUUAGCACUUCGAAGCUUCGAACAAGAAACGUUCAAGCAAUCUCGACGGAGGUAUUGGAAAAAGGUGCCACCAUGUCCAUGCACAAGCACACAACAAUGCCGGGACUGAAGAAGUUGGCAGGUGUCAAAGUCGUUUUGUGUCAUAAGCAGAACUAUCCCUAUGCUGUGUUUUACUGCCAUGUAAUAAAACCAACAGCAGCUUAUGUUCUCUCCCUGAAAGGCGAUGAUGGGGUGAAAGUUAAAGCAGUAGCCAUCUGCCAUCUAGACACAUCAGAAUGGAACCCAAAGCAUUUGGCCUUCCAAAUCCUCAAAGUUAAGCCCGGAACAAUUCCCAUCUGCCAUUUCCUUCCCACUGAUCAUAUUGUCUGGGUUCCGAACCACAAAUCUGCAUGAUCAUCACUUAGCACUGUACGUAUAAUAACCUUUACCCCUGUAUAAUUAUCUCCCUACUCUACUUAUUUCUGCCUCUUCAUGUGGUGUAAGAUAUAUGAUGAGAUGAAGUUUUUGGGAUUAGUGGUCGGGUUGCCUUAAAAACACAGAUUACAGAAACUGCUUGAACUUAACCCGAUCAUGUUUUCUCUUGUACUCGUAAAGCAUGCUGUUGUGGUUCUACUUAAUUUCGUCCUCCCCAAUGUUUGAGUGUUUAAUUGUUACGUUGGAAUAGGCUGCUAAUGCAUGUAGUUAGAGAAGCUUUCAUUUAUAUCAAAGUCCUCAAACUAUCAAGAAUUAAUGCAUCCAGAAACAUAUAUACCAAGACGCAAAACAACAUAUUUUCCAUGCUGUGUCGGUAACACCAAAGCAAACUUCCUUUAUCACAAAAGGACCAAAUUCCAAUACUAAUCUAAUCCAUCAUGUAAAGCAUACAAUCUACAACUGCCUCCCUAAAUUUGUCCAUUGGAUAUAUAUGUCACUUUUUGGUAAUUUGGUAUAGCAGCACCACGUAGUAUGCAUUUAACAGAAAAGUAAACAAAAUUGACAGUAGAACUAUUUGUCCUAACGAAACUGAAGUUGAAAGACCAUGAGAACGAUUUUGAAAAUUAAGGGACUCAAAUGAAAAUUGGGUCUAAGUUCAGGGACCAAUAAAACGAUUAACCCAUAGAUUUUGGAUCCAGUACCACAUCCCAAAGAGAAAACCACAAGUUUGCAAGCAAGUUUGUCCAUACUAACACUACGUACAGUAUGGGCAAUGUGCUAGACUCAUCUCACUUUCUCAACCUAUCCUAUACUUGUCUAAAAGAGUUUCUAAUUUAAUGUACUGAGAUUUACGAAAGAAAUAUCAGAGAAACAAUUUUCAGGCAAUAAAAAAAUGUCUUGGCAAGAAAAUGCACAAUUUGUUACAUAACUUAUUAAAUAUGAACAGUUGAAAGAAAAAAGAAUUUGGAUGAGGGAUUUGCAAAUUCCUAUGGCCCAAUUACCUUUUUUUCUUUGUUUUUUUUUGGUUCUUUUGAUCCAGUAGCAUAUUCCAAAGAAUGAAAACCACAGGCAUGCAAUGCAAGCUCUUUUCCCAUGUUUUCCUCUGUUUUUCUCCUAUCAUGGAAGUGAUUAAAACACACCUCUAAGCUUGUUUUGCGUUUGGUAGCCGAGUGUAAAAGCUCAAUGCAAGAUAGUUUGAGGUAGAAUUUUCUCCUGUUUUAUUAGGACAAUGAUGAGCUAUAUGUGACAACAAAUUGCUUUAAUAAUGAAAAUUAAAAAAGUGUGAUUCAUUGAAUAUUUGCGGGGUUUUGUUCAGAGCUGACAAAGUUCUAAGUCAACACAUCAAAUUCCUUUUUCCAACAAUCGUAUUUGAUUCACAAUUUUGUCUGAUAUACAUCACAUCAUGACACUUGCAUCAAAUGAAUUUAAUUGAGUGAGGCAAUGGGAAGUAAUUAAGCUCUAUAUUGGUGGGUGGAGUGUUACUUCUGGAAUCCUAAUCAUUCGUCCCUACAGGACUCUAGAACUCUCACACUUCUUACAAGGACUACUUAACUCUAUAGCUUAUUGCAUAUAGCAUAUAUAUGCAAACCCAAUUAGAAAUUCUACAACAGAAGCAAGAUCAAUCUCACUAUGCCUUCUAAACAAACAAACAAAUAAAACAAGCAUAUUAAUUGCUUUAAUCACUCUACUAACAUCAACACAGCACACUUAGUUUACUAACAGAUGAUAUAGAAAGGAAAAAAAAGGACCAAUAGGGAGAAAAUGGUGAACUAAGGAGAGACUAAUACUUCUGGUCCUUAGAAGGCAUAACAGAAAUAAUAGAGCACACUGCUUGAAUGCAAGUCAGUAUUAGGAGCAAAACAGCUGCAAUGAAAGAAAUAGUUGCCCAAGGUGUAUUGAAAUAAUGUUGCCUCAAAUUUGCCUUCCAUUUGUUCCAAGGCUUUCUGCAGUAGCUAUUAAGGCGCUCAGAAAGAGUAGCAAAGUAGAAGCUUUCACGAUACACUGCAAUUCCUUUUCCGAGGUUGUUAAUCAGAGUGCACACCUCAUUGUAGUCACCAAGCAUAUUUUUGACAAUCCCAUACUUCAGAAGGAACUCCACAUCCUUUUCGGUGUUCACAAACUCAUCCAUGAGUGAAACAUAAUCACUUAUGUAAUUCUUACGGCAAUGGCACUAUUCAAAGGCAAUGAGGUUAUGGAGUGUGAGCUCUGUGUAAUCGUUUAUUUUUAGUUUUGGAAUUUCUAGAAUCCCAUCGUUGAAUCGUGUUAACGCAGCUUUCCUUUCCUAGCCUACGCGGAAGUCAACUUCACAAUCUCCUCCUAGCAAUUAGCCUUUCCUACUGUAAAUCGGAUUGUAUUCAUGUCUAUAUUAUUUCCUACCUUAAAUAGAUAUCCUGUACUAGUAUACAUAGGGACUUUGUGUAAUCUGUUAAAUACAAGGAAAUAUAUACUCUACAUGGUAUCAACCUAACCUAGGGUUCUCUCUCUCCCCCUUAUUCGAUCCUCUUCUCCUUUAGGUCCACCUCAUGGCUUCGUUUGAAUCCACCAUCUCCCUCCCAAGCCCUAACUCUUCUCAUUUUAUCAAGCUUACUAACUCCAACUAUCUUCUUUGGCUCCGCCAACUCAAACCCUUUUAGUUGGCCAUGACCUCUGGAAAUUUAUCGAUGGCAUUCAUAAACAACCUUCUGCCCACACCUCCACCUCUACCACCACAACACCCACAACCACCACCACUCUUACCGAAAUCAAUCCUACCUAUGCUCAGUGGUACCAACAAGACCAACUCAUUGUUAGCUACAUCACCAGUACACUCUCUGAGUCCAUUUUCUCUCUCACUGUCGGUUGCAUCUCUGCCCGGGAUCUCUGGGAGUGUCUCCAAUGCCACUUCUCUUAAUCCAAUAUGGCCAGUGAAUCUGCUCUUCGUUUUCAACUCAUGGAUUUGCAAAAAGGCUCUCAACCCAUUGAUGCUUACCUUCGUCAUGCUAAGUCUCUUGCCGAUUCACUAGCUGCCAUCAAUUAACCUGUCUCCCCAAAAGAACUUGUCACUGCUGUGCUUCGGGGUUUAGGACCCGAUCACAAAAUGCUCAUCACAGCAAUUCUCAAUUUCUCUCCGCUUCCAGACUUUGCUGAUCUUCGUGCUCGUUUGUUAGCUUUUGAUGCACAGACUCCUCGAAUCUUUCCUGAUCAAAACACAACGCUAAUGGCCACCCAAUCUUCUCCUUACACCACCGGUCAUACUUCCUUCCCUUCUCACCGUGGUUGUGGCUCUUCCAGCAAUAGGCGCGGUGGCUGGUGCAGUAUUGGCCGUGGUGGCUGGCACAACUUCUCAUCUUCCUAGAGCAACCCGUGGAAUGGCUUCCAGCAGCCCUAAUGACCUAAUCAACUGUGGCCUCCUUUUGCUCUAAGUUUUGGAUCUCAAAGCAACUGGCCUUCCUUUCAACCUCUUUGGGCCCAAUCUGCCGCUUCUAGCAAACACUCUGCCCGACCCAACUCAGCUCCUGGUGUCUUGGGACCCGCUUGGUGCACCACAUGCAAUACCAAUCGACAUACUACUACAACAUGUCCUUAUUGCUACAAUGGCCCAGAAUUCUUCCUUUGCUGGGGCUCAAUUCAUGCAGCCACCUAACUCUACAUGGUACCCUGACACAAGUGCCACUCAUCAUAUGACUGGUAGUUCUUCUAAUCUCCAAAGGAAAUUAAAUGAAGGAGUCCUACGAAGGCUCAAGGCUCGAAAGCACACGAUCCGGCUCUGCUGCGGAGCUCACUCAACUACUGGCUGAGGGGGCGCAAAACAGAAAAUUGUGAGUGGACAAAAAUAAAAAUUCAGUUCAGUGUAAACCAACGUAAUAUAACCCCACCGUUUAGAAAACCAUGCAAGAAAUCCAAAUGCAUCUCAAAACCAUCAUAAUCAUCAAAUCAAAAUCAAAUACUGGAUGCCAAGUCCGAAAUCCAUAAAGAAAGCUUUACAAACCCACCAUCCAAAUCUUACAAUCCCACAACUAAACUCUCGAAAGCGUACCCAUUGGCAGUACCAGCAAGGAAGUAUCCUCACCGAGAAACAAGAACAAAAGAAUAGCUAUAUAUAUAAUUAUAUAAUAUAACCACACCUAGUUGUACCGGGAAAACAAUCCAACCGGGGGAUUGUUUGACUAGUCACCAUGGCAGAGUCAAAGUAAACAAAUUCCUCAAUUCACCAUGUGACUAGGGAACGAGCUGUCCAACUGGGGGACCAACUCUCAGCCAGCAUGUACCGUCGAUAGCCUCAAAACCCGUACGUCUGUGACCAGUCCUACGCGUGCAGACUACCCAAUCAAGGGUUUACAGCAACAUCCCAUCAAGGAUGCCCUAGGUUCCCACAAUUCCAAGUAUCUCAAGUUUGCGUAUCCAAGUUCCAAAUCCGGGGAGGUACAUAGGGUAGUGCUUAUAGCACUCCAAAUUGACAUUCUAUACUCAUCACUUUCCACAAUCUCAUCUCAACAACCUAAGUACCCCACACAUAGCCAAACAUAUAUAGAAAUUCUCAAAAUCCAUAUAUACAUACUCAAGAUACUCAAAUAUGUCAAAAUCCAAAAUAUAUUUCCAAUGCAUCAUAAAAAUAUCACUUUUAACAAUUGAAUAAAUAAUAUAUAUCCAAUAUACCAAUUAAAACAUCAUGCAUAAUAUUUCCCAUCAUAAAAUCAUGCAUAAGAUUUGAAAACAAAGUCCACUCACAAGUAGUCCCACACUGCUUGACCUUGAGAGGGUCCCGCCUACUGCGUAUGCGUGGUUGGAGUACCUAUUUCAGAAUACGUAUACGAGAUUAAUAAGAAGCGUUUCGAACGAGAACUUUGAAUUAAAUAUCCUAAUUUCCCAGGUUUCUAGUAAGUGUACUAGGAACGAGACGUUCUAAGGUUCCACUACCCAAUUCGAACCAUGGAAGAGCUUCGGGAGACACUCGGUCAACCGGCGGUCAAAUUCCCAAAUCGGGUCAACUGGCCCACGGGACCCACGACCUCCGUUUUUAAAAUCCGUAAGUUCCUAAAGGUUUCACAAUGUCUAAGAUACUACUAUCACAAGUUUGGUCCGAAACGGACUGUUAGAUCGCUUACGAUCGCACGAUCAGACGGUUAUUGUAAAACGUAAACUUUAAGUUAUUGAAUCAGAACAUCCGGGGCUCCGAUUCACGAUCCGCGAAUUCCUACACGAUCCUAGGAAGGUCUAGAGUAACAUAUAUUGGAAUGGAGUCGAUCCAAAGGUCCGAACAUAUCGAACCUAGACCGGAUAACUCCUAAUAUGUGAGAUUCGUUCGGGGUUCGAACAUCAACCAAAUUGGAAUCCUAAGGUACCUACGUGCUCGUGACAUUAAGGGGAUCAAUUGGGACAAAAAUGCCCCUCUGCUACAGUGCCCACGUGCCACCACACGCGGCGGUAGAGAGUGGGUGUCCAAAGCGAUUUCUCUUCGCCGGAAAAUCUCCAAAUUACAAGCCACUCUCCUGGCUACAGGUUCUACUCAACGAGUGGAACACUUUAUUCAACUACAGCCAAGUCCAAUUCGGACGGCAAGUGGCCGGAAACUCACGGUUUAACCCGGAACUUCAUGGCUUGGAUUGGGCGACCAUCGUCACCAUUGUCGUGGCACAACCUAGGAAAUAGCUAAAAGGAGAGGAGGGCUACCUAUUCCAAGCGAUGGCGCAGCUCGCGGUAGCCGAAAAUGUAGCCGAUGACGUUGGCAGUUUUGGCCGGUUUUUCACGUCGUUGCCAUCGCCGUUUGUCGAGUUUUCGAUUGGAGAAAAGGGGUGGGGUGAGUAGAGGAGGAAGAGAGGAAGCUUUUGCAAGAAAUGACACUUGUCAGGGAGGGGGGGGUUGGGGGAAGAGAGAGAGAGAGAGAGAGAGAGAGAGAGAAAAAAAAAAAAUUUCAGAUUUUCAUCCAAACCCUUUUCGAAAUAUUUACAAGUUUGCCACUAAACUACUUUUGGUUGCCAAAUCUUCGUUAUAACUCCGAUUCAAGCCUACCACGUGUCUACGGAUUCGUCUCAAUACAACCUACCCAAAAAUACCAGUCACUGCCCCAAACUCUUUUUGGGUAAGAAAAUGACCAAAAUACCCCUACCCCAAGGGUAAAUUCAUAAUUUCACUUCAAUAAUUUAAUAAAGAAUUAAAUUUGGAGUCGGGGUGUUACAUUAACUACCUGUUUAGUAGGUGUGGGGUUUUAUACAAAAAGCAUCGAUGUUAUUGGGAGUGGAACCACUUAUUAUAAGUUGUGAUUUAUUUAGUCAAGUUUCCUAUGUGGGAUUUUCUAUUCUUCAACAAGCCCCCUCAUGUGGGACCACCACAUAGUGGGCCACAUGUAAAGCUAAGUCCACAUCGGAGUCAAUCAUUCAAGCCCAAUACCUAAACACCACGUAUUGUGUGAGGGGUAGGGGUAAACAUUCAAGCCCAACAUGUGAACCACCAAAUAUUAAGUAAGGGUAAAGGCUCAAUUCAGGCCCAAUCAAUGAACCCAUUAUGAUAUCAUGUUAAAUUUCAGAUAGACGGGACUGUGGCCCACCACUAGCAACAUUGAUAUUGUCCCCAACUUAACUACAUGUUUAGUAGGUGUGGAGUUCUAUACAUAAGGUCUCGAUGUUUUUAGGAGUGGAACCACUUAUUAUAAGUUAUAAUUUAUUUAGUCAAGUUUCCAGUCAACCUGACUUUGAUACCAUGUUAAGAUUUUAAAGGGACGAACUCUUGGCACUAUUAGUAACAUCGACAUUGUCCCCAACUUAACCACCUGUUUAGCAAGUGUGGGGUUUUAUCCUAAAGGCCUCGAUCUUAUUAAGAGUUGAGUCAUUUAUUAUAUGGAACUUUCUAUUUUGUUAACUCUGUGUAUUCUUCAUCAAUGUGAACACCCCUAAACCAAUCAUACCUGAUACGAAUUGAAACACAAGUUUGUUUUUUGCCUUUGGUAGAUGAGUAGCUAGAAAAGCUCAAUGCACUUGCUCUUCUGCUACAUUUCAAUAUAAGAACAAGGUUUGGAAGUCAGGUCAACUCCUCAUAGCUUCCUUGCCUUUGCUUUGACAUGUCUAUGCACUUCUUGGGGAAGUUUGAAUAAUCCAUUGCAGGCCCCAUGACAACUAAGGAACCAACAUUUUGUAGAAGGUUUUGUCUAUACCUUUUGACUAUAAGUAAAAUCUUUUGUAUCUGCUCUUAUGUUUCGGUGAAGUUUCUAUGUGUCCUUUGUGCCGAGUUUCUAUGCGUCCUUUGUUGAACCAAAAAAUGAGGUUGUUUCUUACUAGAUUCAAAUACUUAAAAGAAAAAAAGAAAUUGUUGUUUCUUAAUGGAUUUUAUGAUGAACAAUAUCAAACUCUCCUCUUAUACGUCUGUUGGUAAAUUUUAACAACAAUAUUAAAACCUUGCAAGUGCACAAAUCAAAUGAUAGUAUAGUAAGCAAGCAAGGGUCGAUCCCACGGAGAUUGUGAUCUAAAGAGAUGUUUAUCAAUGUCACGCAAUGAAAAUCAAAACAAAGGACUUCCAAACACACGCCAACACCAAGGGGGGUUUUGAUUUGUUUUUGUGAAUCAAACAAAAUAAGGAAAAGGAAACAAAAGAGAAUUUAAAUUAGAGUUUAAGAGAAAUUGGUUUAAAAUCAAUCAAGAUCAAUAGCUAGGACUUACUAUCCACCUCCAAACAAUCAAUCAAUCCAUAAACAACAAUAGAUAAUCAAUUUCUAGUAAGCACACUACUACAAAAAAGCAAAAAGACGACGGUAAAUCACCGUCGUGUAUUCGGUUUUUCAAUGGUCGUGGAAUCCACCGUCAUCUUUUCCCUCAUAAACCACGACGCUAAAUCACCGUCGUUGUUACAAUAUACAACGUCAUCAACAAAUACAAAACGACGUCUUUGUACUGCAAAAAGAUCUAAAAAAGCAAUCGAUGAUGAGAAAAGACGACCAACUCUCUAAACAAACCGUCGUUAAAAAGAAAAAAUAUGACACAUAUUAACAGAACAUGGCCGCAAGAUAGACAUACAACGACGAAAAUUAAAAUAAGACGCCGUUAAAUAUCAUUUUCACGACAAUAAAAAAUAUGUCGUCUUUAAAUACAUUAGAAGACGACGUUAUUGAUACCUACUACGUCGCCUAUAUAAAAAUAACCGUCGUAAAAUAAAUUUUCCACUUCGAUUUUUCUAUAAAAGAUGACGUGGAAAUAGUUGUCAGUGUCAUUAUUUACGACGUAUGUAUUUAUAGAGUAGACGUUGAACAACGAAACAACGUCGGUUACAAAUAUAUGAGAGUCGUAUUACAAAAUUUAUACGUCCUAUUUUCAGAAACAAACAACGACGAUAAAUAUUAGACGUUGUUAAAUAAAACAACGUCGAAAACAAAUAAAAACAGACGUGUUUAGUCUGCUAAAGUUCUAAAAAAUAGUCGAGGAUGAGAAUAGACGACCAACUCAAACAAAUCACCGUCGUUAAAAAGGAAAAAUAUGACACAUAUUAAAAGAACAAGGCCGCAAGAUAGACAUACAACGACGACAACUAAAACACUACGCCGUCAAAUAUAAUUUUCACGACAAGAAAAAAUAUGACGUCUUUAAAUACAUGAGAAGACGACGUUAUUGAAAUAUACUACGUUUCUUAUUUACAAACAACCGUCGUGAAAUAAAUUUUCCACUUCGAUUUUUCUAAAAAAGAUGAUGUGGAAAUAGUUGUCAGUGUCAUUAUUUACGACGUAUGUAUUUAUAUAGUUGACGUUGAAAUGCGAAACAACGUCGGUGGCAUUUAUAUAGUCGACGUUGUAUUUAUAUGUAUUCAUUACUCACGACGCACUUAUUAAUAUAGACGACGUUGAACUUCUAAACAACGUCGGUUCCAAAUAAAUGAGAGCCGUAUUACAGAAAAUAUAGAUGGCGUUGAUUAUGAUGAGAGCCGUAUUACAAAUAACGUCGUUUAAUUGAUAUUAGACGGCGGUUAUAAUGAAUUACCGUCGGAAUUCAUUUCGUUCCUCUUCGUUUAUAAAAGAACUUGCGACGUGGAAAAUGUAUGAUGACGUCGUAUUUUUUAACGUUCAGAUUAUAUAUCUCGUUUUUUAGACGUCGGUAUUAUGGGAUUGGAGUCGUGUUAUUUUGAAUUACAUGGCGGUUCUUAAUCCUUCCCCGACGUGAUAUCCUGAAUAAUUGCUUCAUAAUAGCGUCGUGGUUCUUCAUUGUUACGUUGCUUUAAGACGUCGGUAAAUAUGCUGAAUAACUGGUUCACAAUAACGUCGUGUUUUAUUUGAACGUAGAAAGUGAAGAAAUCACAUUACAAUAUAUUACAAAAUUAAUGUCAUACACUGCCAAUUACAUAAGCAUCAUUCAAUCCAUAUAUCUUCACACCCAUCUCGAAUAUUUUGACCGCCUAACUCACCCACCAGUUCAUCAAAUGUGUCAACAUUUGGCAUCCCUCUAGUAAAUGGCUCACACUCAAUUAUCACAUCACCUAAGACUUCAUCACCAAUAACAUUAUUAUAUUCUCUAUUAGGCAUUGAUAACACUACCGACCAACCACGAUGCAUCGGGUCGUCAACAAAAAAUAUUUGUUUGACUUGAGAAGCCAAAACAAAUUGGUCAUUCCUAUGUCCAAUUUUACUCAAAUCUACAAGGGUAAAUCCAAGUUCGUCGACUACAAGACCAGAACUAUCUAUCCAAUCACACCUAAAGACUGGGAUUGUAAACUUUUGGUAGUCAAGGUCCCAAAUUUCUUGAAUGACACCAUAGAAACCCAUAUUUGAGAGAAUUGAGUUUUUAUCCUUGGCACUAGCAACUUGCAUGGUAUGUGCAAGUAAAUAAACUCCACUAUUUUGAGUUGUCCGCACAUCAUCUUGUGCCUUGAUAUUGAAUUUAAUACCUUUAAUAAGAUAGCUCCUAUAUAAUGGCACAGCCAUGUUUGGACCAGCUGCUAGCCACCUUAAAUUUUCUGAUACGCCAUGAUUGUCUUCCUCAAGUUCACUUUGAACCUGCAAAUUAAUCAUAUAUCUUAAUGCAAUCUAACAUAGAAAUAAGAAGAAAAUUAAAAGAGAAAUAUGUUAUUCAACAACAUAUACCUUGAAGCGUAGCCAUUGAAUGAAAGUGUUAUUGUGCUUAUCCUGCAGCCACUUUGUGAUUUAAGGUAUGACAAUCAUGUGAUUUAAGGCCAAGAAGUCUUGAAUCUUGUAAAGAUACAAGAUUUUUAAUAUUUGAAGAAUAACCUUCAGGGACCUUCAUACCAUAGAAAGAAUUGCAAACCUCUCUCUUCUCUGCUCUUGACAAAUUCCAAGGCCCAGGAGGCAAACGAGUACGUCUUUCUCCAUACUCGGGUUGCAAAUCAGUUUUGACCCCCAUGUUCAAUAAAUCUAAUCGAGCAGCAAUCCCAUCUUUAUUUUUUCCAGGGAUCUCCAGCAAUGUACCAAUGAUACUAUCGCAAACAUUCUUCUCAAUGUGCAUAACAUCUAGGGCAUGCCUCACAGGAAGGUAUUUCCAAUACUCGAGAUCAAAGAAUAUUGAUUUCUUCUUCCAACAAACUCUGUCACCAUUUUCAACCAUGUGCAGCACUUCUUCUCCGGUUAAUGGCUCGGGAGGUAUGCCAUAUUCAGGUUUCCCAUUAAAAGCUGCACGUUGCCUCCUAUAUGGAUGAUUGAUUGGUAACCAUUUUCUAUGCCCAAUGUAACAAAUUUUGUGGCCAUUUUCAACCUGUGACUAGGUGUAUCAUCGCCGCAUAUUGGACAAGCUUUAUAUCCUUUAACAACACAACCAGAUAAGUUUCCAUAGGCGGGGAAAUCAUUAAUUGUCCACAUUAAUGCAGCUCUGAGUGUAAAGUAUUCUCCAUUAUGUGCAUCAUACACUCCUCUAAUCCCAUCCCACAAAGAUUUUAAAUCAUCAAUCAAAGGCUCCAAGUAGACGUCUAUAUCAUUUUCGGGUUGUUUAGGACCGGAAAUCAAUAAGGUUAACAUCAUGAACUUUCGUUUCAUGCACAGCCAUGGAGGGAGAUUAUAUGUAACUAAGAUAACCGGCCAACAACUAUAUCUGCUACUUAGAGAACUGUGGGGAUUGAAUCCAUCAGAUGAAAGAGCCAAUCUCAAGUUUCUCGGCUCAUUACCAAACUCAGGCCAUUUAUCAUCAAGAAGUUUCCAAGACGGGGAAUCCGCCGGAUGAGACAUCUGACCGUCAAUUGAUUUUCUAGCAGCAUGCCAAGUCAAACUCUUAGCUGUCUCAUGUGAUUGAAACAUCCUUUUAAACCUUGGAAUUGGAGGAAAAUACCACACCACCUUCGCUGGCACAUCCUCUUUCAAGAUUGAAUCUUUGCCUUCCUUCCACCUUGAGAUACCACAAGUAGGACAAUUAGUUGAAUCCUCAUACUCCUUCCUAUACAAGAUGCAAUCAUUGGGGCAUGCGUGCAUUUUCUCAUAACUCAGCCCCAAUGCACACAAAGUCUUUUUUGCCUCAUACAUAGAGGUUGGUAUUGUAUUUCCUUCUGGAAGCAAAUCGCCUUGAAGUAUCAAUAAUUCUGUAAAACAGACAUCACUCAUCCCAUGUUUUGCCUUCAAAUUAUACAACUUCACUAAUGCCGAUAACUUCGUGUACUUUCUACAACCAGGGUACACUGGUUGAUCUCCAUCCCCAAUCACAUUGGCAAACUCAUACGGAUCGGAACCAAAAUCACCAAAAUCAUUAUCAUCCAUAUCAAUUUCUUCAGACACAAAACUGUACCUACUAUGGCCAUCAUCUUCUUCAACAUUUCUACUAGCAUUAGUAGUUGCUUCCCAAGGUUCUCCGUGAAAUGUCCAAUUCUUAUAGCUUUGGUCAAUUCCAUUAAAGUAUAAGUGAUCCCUUAUAAUUCCAACCCCAAACAACUUCAAAUUAACACAUUUAACACAUGGACAACGGAUAUGUGUUGUAGUUAGAAGAUUUUCUACAGCAAAGUUCAAAAAUGCUUCCACCCCAAACUCAUAUGCCUUCGAUCUUCUAUCCGAGUGCAUCCAUGACUUAUUCAUCUCCGACACUAUAACCUAUUAUCUAUAAUAAAGUGAAAAUACAGGCAAUGACCAUCACUAUAGCAGAUUAUACAAAGAUCUAAUAGCAAGUAAUACAUAACAGAGACGACGGGUUUUAAACAAAAACAGACGUAUUUGGCAUAUAUAGACGACGGAUUUUCAACAGACGUCGUCUAAUAUAAGUAAUACAAACGACGGUUUAUGAAAAAACCGUCGUGUAUAAGUAAUACAACGACGGUUUUUUCAUAAACCGUCGUGUAAUCGUCGUCGUAUGCCUAAAAAGGCGUCGUGUCUCAGUUUAUUUUCAAGAACCCAAAACCCAUUAAGAACACAACAUAUAUAUGAAACCAAGCAAGAAACCAACAUAUACAUGAAGCCAAGCAUGAAAACAAUAAAUCCAUUCCCAAUUCAACAUAACAUAGGGUGAUUAAAAGAUCCGACAAAAUUAAAACCAUUCCCAAUUCAACAUAACAGAUAAUGUAAUCCAUGAACCCAUUAAACAGAAAAUCCAUGAACCUAUACCUAUAAGCACAUUAUUAACAGAUCGCAAAGCAUAUACCUAAAACCCUUUAACAAAACAACCUAAUAUCAUUCAAUGAAUUUACAAAGGGAAGAUAGGGUUUGUACUUACAGGUUGGACGAGCUCACAGAUUCGACGAAGCCUGGAGAGUGCAACUUUUAAUUAGAGCAGAAGUGAGAGAGCGAAUGUUAUGUUGCGCGAAAUCUGAAAAUUUUAGGGUUCAGGGUUAGAAGUAUAAGAAUAAGAGCCAAAUAUAAAAAAAUUUAGGGCGCGCGAAAAUUUUUAGAGCGCGCGCUCUUUAAAACGUCGAAAGAAAAACCAUGGCGAAAGUUCUACAAGAACCGACGUAAAUGUAAUAUUCCACGACGAAAACACUUAACGUAACGCCGUUUAUUUUGACGUUCAUUUUUCGGAUUAAUUUUAAAUUUAUUUUGAAUAUUUUGAUAUAAAGACGACUGAAAAACCACGUCGAAGUUAAGAAAUUGAAAACGUUGUAAAUUAUAAUAGACGACUUACAUAUUAAAAUGACGUCGUUUAAAGUGGAAACCAUGUCGGAUAUUUUACUGCACGACGUAACAUAUGUAUUCCACGACUCAACCACCGUCGUUAACAAUUAAUACCCUAAACCCUUAAAACUAAAUUAUAUAAUUUUAAAAAUUAAGUUUAUAAAAGGGUUUAUGGUUUUACAGCCUAAUAUAUACCCUAUACUACCCAAAAAUUAUACUUUAAAAAUAAACCCCAAUAAAUAACAACCCUAAUCUCUAAACCCUAGACUCUAAACCCUAAACCAUAAAACUAGAAGUGAUUUUAUGACUCAUCAAAACAAUUUUGUUUUGGAUGGUCAUUUUAAAUUUUUUUUAUUCAAAAUGAAUUUUUUCAAGGUUUAGGGGGAAGAAAAUAUAUCAAUGACUUCAUAGGAGUUGACUUUUCAUUUUUCUGAUUUAUUUUAAAUUUAUUUUGAAUAUUUUGAUAUAAAAAUAAUAAAAUAUUCUUAUCACAAUAACAAACCACGUCGGUGUUAAUAAAUUUUAGACGUUGUAAAUUGUAAUAGACGACUAAGUUGUUAAAAUGACGUCGUUUAAAUGAGAAACCAUGGCGGAUAUUUAACUAUCCGACAUAAAAUAUAUAUUCCACGACUUAACCGCUGUCGUUACAAAGUACUACCCUGAACCCUUAAGAAAUUGAAGACGUUGUAAACCAUAAACGACUCAAUUGUUCAAAGAACGUCGUCUAAAUAUCCUUUUACGUCGGAUUUGGUUAAAACGAAACAACAAAAAACGACGGCUUUUGACUUUAUUACGUCGUUGGAAAAGUAUUACACGUCGGUUACGCAAUUUGUAUGUUUGUUUUUUUUUUUAAUUUAAGAAAACCUCAACAAAUUUUUACAUUAUAUAUUAUAGACAAAAUUUGUACAUUAUACAUAAAUAUCAAGUGUUCAAUAAUUCCCCUAUUCCAGGUGAAGGCAAACAAACUCUGACCAUUCAUUCCGGACUUCAUCAAUUGCUUCUUGGGGGUAUGGCGCUUCCUGUUUUCCCUUGGCAUACUGCAUAAACAAUGACUAUUAGGGUUUAUAAAUAAAAAGAAAUUCAAUCACAGACGACGAUAUUUUUCAUAACCGACGUACUAUAUCUAUUCAACGACGGUAAUUUUACAUGACCGUCGUUGAUAAUACAAAAAACGACGUAAAAUGUAUGAAGGUAAUUUCUUCUUACCUUCUUCUCAAACCCCAAGGAAGGAUCCAUGAUGAUGUCCCUCAUGAAGCGCAUCACAUAAUACCCGCAUUCGACAUUGCUGGGUUGCUUUGGUGUCCCUGACAGAGUUUUCCAAAUGGCUGCCUUACGGCCUGGUCUGGCUAUGUGAGAAUUAUAAAUUUUUAUAGCACUGUUCACAAUGUUUUUGGCCUCUUCAUCGACCACACGAUUUCCUGGCAGAGGAUCCAGAAAAUAGACGGUUUCUCUCUUUGCUCUUACAAUCAGCAAGAUCCAAUGACGGCUGCACAAAAUUAAUAUAAAAACGACGGUUAUUUACAAUAACGACGUAUUAUAAUGUUUCACACGACGAAAUAAAGUAGCAAUCGACGACAUUUUACAUUUAUCACGACGAUAAAUAACUACCGACGUGGUUAGUAGUUUCAAACGACUCAAUAAAAUAAAACACCGACGUGGUUAGUUUAUACGCUGUAAUUUAUUGAAAAUCAUAAAAACAAAAUCCUGUUAAGGAGACUAACCCUGGAUUGUAAGGCAUCAGGAAAAUCUGUUCACCGUCAGUCUUUUGAAGUCGAGCUGCUAGUAAGCGUGAUCUGUCAGCUAUUGUGCCAGAGUUGGCACUAACUGUAGCAAGGUCGAUAAAGCCAACCAUAUUGCACAUAUUUGCUCGUUUCAAAACAUCGUGCAAGUGCCUAAAUAUAUAAAAUAAUAUAAACAAGUCAGCACAAAAAAACACACGACGGUUAUGUAUAACAAAACGACGUAUUAUAAAAUUUCACACGACGUACUGAAAUAGACAACGACGUUAUAAUAUAUUUAUCACGACGGUAAAUACUAACGACGUGGUUAGUUAGUUAAGACGACGUAAUAAAUAAACCAACGACGUAUUAUUUUAGAAUGACAAACCUCAUAUAUACAAAAAAACACGACGGUUAUGUAUAACAAAACGACGUAUUAUAAAAUUUCACACGACAUACUGAAAUAGACAACGACGUUAUGAUAUACUAACGACGUGGUUAGUUGGUUAAGACGACGCAAUAAAUACACCAACGACGUAUUAUUUUAGAAUGACAAACCUCAUAUAUACAGCAAUGACAGUGGCUCCUAUUUCUUCCAUGCCUGCAAAUUGUGUAAUAUCUUCAGGCAGGAGGAAGGUAUCGCGCUCUAGACCAAACACCUCCUUAUCAAUUGUAAAGUGCAGGGUCUUAUCCUGAGGCACGAGUGUCGUUUCCACAUAACGACAAAGGGAGUUUAAAGAAGAUGGCGCCUCCAUAUUUGAAUAAUCAACAACUUUAAUAACCUGUUUAAAGAAAUAUAAAAAAUGACGUGGUAAUUCAAUAAAAACGACGGUUUAAGGAAUAAAACGUCGUCUGAAAAGAAUUUAAACGUCGUCUGAAGAAACCGUCGUGGUGAAUAAUUUAUUACGUCUUAAAAAAAAUUCCGCCGUCUAAGUUGUAAACAAACGACGGUUUAAAGAAAAAUAUCGACGUCUGGAAUUUUGAAAAACAAAUAAAAAAGGCAAAGUUAUGUGAACAUACCUGGUCGUCAUCUUCUUUCUCCUUUUCAUCAUGUUUUUCUUCUGUCUUCCCUUCAUCUAUUACGUCGAGAAUGACUAACUCCGUCGUCUAAAAACCACAAAGUUUUAAAAUAACGACGUUUAAUGGCGUGUAAAACAAGUAAACUAAAUACGACGUGGUAUUGAAAUACAAACGACGGUUUAUGUUUAAAAUCGUGGUGGUAUGUAUUUCAAACGACGGUUUUAUUAAUAAUAACGACAUCUAAUGGUUUUUAAAAAAACAGAGAAUUCAAAGUUCAGAUAUGUUACCUUUUCUUCCUGAUGUUUCCCAUUUUUGGCAGUAUCAUCCUCAAAAUGCUGGGAUCUCACAUCACCUCCAGAGCAGCUUGCUUUGUCAGACAUUGGAUUUUUGGGACUUUGGCUAAUUCUGGGUUUAAGCAUGCUUGGAUCAAAAUUGGGAAUUAAUUGGGAAAGCUGACUCAGGAAAUGCUCCCUCUCAGCCUCUACCAAUUGUUUCGUUCUAGCCUCCAUCCUUAAAGCCUCUUCCCUUGCCUUAGCUUCCAUCUUUUUAGUCUCUUCUUGAAGGAGAACUCUUAAACUGUCCUUCAAACGGUCGUCAAAGCUCACUCUCUGUGGUUUGGGUAAAUUGAAAUAUUGCCUUGGUGAGAUCCCAGCACCUACUCCUCUCACUCUGCCUGGAUGCUCGGGGCCCAAAGCCAUGGUCAGCACAUCAUUGCUGCCAGAAACAGUGACUUUGCCUUCCGAGACUUGUUUUUGCAAUUCAUCCUAAAACAAAGAUAUAUAAAAAAGUAAGAACAAAAACACACGACGGUUAUUUAUAUACAAACGACGUAUUAUAUAAUUUCACACGACGCAAUAACAUAUAAAUCGACGUUAUUAUAAUUUAUCACGACGGUAGUUUUUAAACCGACGUGGUUAGUUUUUAAAACGACGAAAUGAAUAAACCACCGACGUCUUAUGCUUUAUUUACAGAUAACAGAGGGAUGAUUCAAUAUUCACACCUUUAACGACCUUGUUUAAAAUAUUUCGACGUAGUAAUUCAAUACAAACGACGCGAAAAUGAACCACCGACAUCUUAUGCUAUAAUUACAGAAAACAGAGUAGUGAUUCCUGAUUUAGACCUUUAACGAUGUGGUAAUAUCAUUCACACGACGCAAAAUAUAACAUAAGACGUAAUAAGAAUUAUUCACAGUUUAAUAAAAAUUUAAAACAGAGUGAGUAGGCUUACAAUUAAUUUUGCUUUCUCUGCCACCUUUGGAUCCGGGAUGUUACCAUGUUUGUCCUGUCUAGCUCUCUUCCAUAAGGUAGAUCGAUCAAUUUCUACCCCAGGCAUGGUUUCCUCCAAUUGAUCCUCCAAACCAGCAUAUCCUUUUCGAGACAAUCGAUGAUUGUACUCAAGUUUCUCCCUAAUCUGUGCAUGUUGAGAAUGCACAGACUCAAAAUCUUUGGAUAACCUUGAAGCUACAAAGGCAUCCCAUUGUGCUUUCUCUAUGAAUUUAUAUAUUUCAGGGGGUUGGCUUAAUCUCUCCCUGUCAUUAGUGUAUGGAAGGAUAUAUUGCCUCGUUAGUGUAGACUUGAAAUCCUUCCAUUUCUUGGCAGCAGAAGCUAACACAGAGCUCUUGCCCCCUUGACCUACCACAAAAGCAAUGUCAACUGCUUCCCAAAUCUGCUCCUUUAUAUCCUUGGAGAUUUGAGCCUAUUUCAUGUCCACAAGUGGAACUCUGGAGCGUGCCAACACACCAAUGUAGGACUGCAUCUCACUAUGUGCUUGGCCAAUUCCUUUCCCCCUUUUAUUGUACUCAACAAUUGGCCUCAGUUUCUGAAGUUUUCUCUUCACAACAUGAGGCAUUGUGCUCAUACCUCGACCAGACUUUGAAUCAUCAGAGAUUGUUGUCGUGCUGGUUCGUUCUGUCUCAGCAGAUGAUGAAGCAAACUUCAUCUUCUUCGAAGGCUUCACUUGAGGAGGUACCAUUCCAAGGUCCUUACCUCCAUUUUUCUUGGAGCCAGAAUCCUUACUUUGGUCUUAGUGAGAAACCAUUUUUACAGACAAAACUGCAAGUGAAAAUAUUUCAGGAAAAGAUUAAGAACACAAACGACAGUUAUUAAUAAAAUACGACGUAUGAUAUGAUUUUAAACGACGCAAUGAAAUAAUCUCAGACGUAAUAAAUGUUUAAAACCAAGGUAAUUAAACAACGACGAAAUAAUUAACUAUAAACGACGUGAUAAUUAACUAUAAACGACGAAAUAUUUAUAUAACGUCGUGGUAUUGAUGUUCACACGACGUCAGUCGUAAUAUACCGUCGUCUAUAUAAGGAUCCAAAACCCUUCUUUCUUUCUCUGUGAAUGUUUGAUUGCAGAUUUGAUUUUUCUGAACCAUGGUUUUUGUUUUCUAAUUUGAUAAAAUACAAGGCCAAGAAAGAAAGUUUUGGAAUCUUAUAUAGACGACGGUAUUUUAAUAUGACGUCGUGGUAUUAACAUUCACACGACGUAAAACAAUAAGAUACUGUCGUCUAUAUUAGAUACCAACCCUACUUUCUUUUUCUUUAUAUUUUAUCAAAUUAGGGAAAAACAAAAACCAUUGUUCAGAGAAAUCAAACCUGCAAUUAAACAAGCAAAUAAAAAAAAGACUAUAAUUUUAAAAACAACUUUGUCAAUUUUCAGACGACGCUAGAACGACUGACGAACCGUCGUGGUCUACAUAUUUAACCACGUACAUAAGAAGCUACCGUCGUCUUAUUUAGUUGAGGUAGUUGUCUUCAAAGUUGGAAACUUUCCCUCUUUGUCUGUAUAUUUUAUUGAACUUGGAAAGAAGUAAAAUGAUUUUGGCCAGAAAAAAGGUAAAAAGAUUUUUCAAACAAAAAACGUAUGAGCAUGCAAAACAACAACCAAAAUAGUGAAAAUGAAAGCUUACCUUUUGCGUGCAAUGAAAGCAAGAGGAAGAUUAUGUUUAAGUUCAGAGACGACGAAGAAGAAGAGAGGAAGACGAUGAGAUACUCUGACAGUGCUCUGACAAGGAAAAAAGUCUAAAAGUUUUCUCUGGGAGAUUGAACUUUUUAAUCGGGUUUGAAAACGGCGCAUGUGUAUGUCAGGUAGACGAAAAGUUGCUUACAUAUAAAACCAUUUCAAAAAAAUAAUACGGCGGUUACAUAUAACUACGACGUAUAAAUUACAAAAUACGACGGUACAUUUAACUUCGGACGUGGUAAAUAAAUACGACAGUAGUGUUGUAGGUACCGUCGUAGUAAACUCAAAAAUUAAAGUACAUAAGUAAUAACUCGCGUCAUGGUAGAUUAUUUAACACGUCGUUUUUAUUAAUUUACCGACGUGGAUUUCUGUAAUAUACGUCGAUAAUACCGACGUUGAUUUUACAAUUUAAACGGCGGUUUUUUUGUAAGGACCGCCGUUGGUUUUAAAAAUUUAUUCUAUAAAUUUGUCGCUUUCAUUCAUUUUCGGUUUACAUUUAAGGUUCCAAGUUCUUCCUCUCUCAGUCUCUCACGUCUCAAAGACAAUAAUUUGGAUGUCUUUCUCAAAGAGAAAUUGAGCUUACUCGCAUCAAAUAUAUGUCCACAAGAAGAAGCUUGUCAACUAGCCUUCUCACUUCCUUGAUCAAGCCUGAUAGGACACUUAGUGCUUCUGAAUACUCCUUGCUUUCCAUCAAAAGAGAUGCAAGCCUGGCCUCCACUCGCUGUCGAAGGAAAGUUCGCUUCUCAGGGAAAUCUUCUUGAUUUUCUUGGCUAAGAAGAUCCGUCAGAUUUGUGAUAGCCUCUUCCUUUAUCCGUAGAGCUUCAGAAGAAGAAGAUGGGUUUCAAGAAUGCGAUAAAGAAUAGAAAUGGCUUCAGAUGGCCUCUAAAGCAUGAGCAAUCGAAUCAGUAGUUGUUGGGAGAUAUGAUGAAGACAUUGUCAAUGCUUUGAACUAUACAAGUCCUGCAGAAAGAUAAAGGACCAAACUGUUAAAGAAACUGAAACAAUGGCGGUUUUCUGUUCUACCGUCGUCUUUUCUCGUCGUCUAUAUUAAGGUAAGAUGGCGGUAGAUUUAUAAUUACCGACGUAGAUUAUUUUGUUAAACGUCGUUAAGUGUACUACAACCGACGUGGAUUUUAUUUUUAAAUUAUAAAUAGAGUUUUUUUUCCCCUAUUCUUUCAGUUUUAGUUUUCAAUUACAAAGCGUGAUAAAUAGAUUUUUCUUUCCCGAGGAAAUUUAAAAUGAGGGAAAUUAAUGUUCUAGAAUUUGUAAACUAACACGACGCAAUAUUUGCAAAUCUGUGUCAUCUGUUAAGAUUAUGAUGUGGAACAGAGUUCCAUCUGGUAAGAUUUCGUAACCCUUGGGAUCUCAGACAAAUCUGAUUAUGUCGGCGGUUUUCUAUAUAAAUCGUCGUGGUUAUUUCAAUUCUUGUCAUUAAGUAGAUCUACCGACGUAGGAUAAGAAAAUCAAAGAAAAAAAUUGUUAACAAAAAUUCUUAUUAAGACGACGGUUAAAAUUAAAGGUACGACGUAUAAAAUGAAUAAAUACGACGUUAAAUUUUAUUGUACGAUUUAAAGAUAACGUCGUAGAACUAUAAGAGAAUGACGUCGAUAUAUUUAUAUUUUCCGUCGUUGUACAUUAAUUUAAUACGGCGAUAUUUUGUAUUUUAAAGCCGUGGAUUUGUUUGUAAUUAUACGGCGUCUUAUACGAAAACCUCGUCGUGUUAUUUUAUGAGUAAAAACGGCAGUUUUUAUUGAAAUCGUCGUCUUUACUUUCUACGUCGGUCGAUUCAUAACUUCUGCCGUUCUUUGUUGGCAUUGAUUUUACACUGCGAAAAUCUGUUUCAAAUAGACGUCGGUUGUUUAAUUAUGUACGUUGUUGUUUUUGAACAGCCAUUUGAAUCUCCAUUUUUUAGUUGUCUAAGGUUGUAUUACACGACGGUGUUUUUAGAACCGUCGUCUUUUUAAAAACCACGACGGUUUUCACUUAGACCGUCGUUGUUUUCUGGUCGUCUUUUUCACUUUUUGUAGUAGUGGCAUAUGAUGACGACACUCACAACAAGAUCAUGGCAUUUGACUCGAGUUGUAUGAUUCUCUCUUAAGUGUAUGUAAAGUGUAUGACAUUUACAUCAAUACGUGUAUUCUUAAUUGAAAUCUACUAUGGCAUUUACUCAAAUUAACAAUCAAGAAUCCAUUAAGAUCAAAGAGAAUAUGAGUGUCACAAAAACCCUAAAACAUGGCAUUUGUUAUUAGGAAUUCAAGAAUCGAUUUCUCAUAACUAGUUCUUAACCCAAUUAUUCGUUGCAAAUAAGAACACAUUCAAUAUGGCAAUUGACCUAUGUUCUACAACAAUUUAAUUCCAAUACAUGCUUCUAAGUUAGCUACUCAAAGAAACAAAAUAUCAGAAUUCACAUAACAUAUAGAAACCGAAAACAUCACGCUUGUAGAAACUAAAAAUCCAUUAACCUUGUUUAUAAAAUUGAAAUCAUGUUUAGGGCUUCAAGAUUAAGCCCUAACUAACAAGAAAUUAGUUACUCAUGGUCUUGGAUGAACUCAAAAAUAAAUACAUAAGAACUGAAAAUUAAAGAAGGAAGGAAAAGAAAGAACUCGUUCGCAGCUUUCUCCUCUUGCGCUGUUGAUCUCUUUAGGACGUGAAUCCUUUUUAUCAGCCUUGCCUCGUCUUUUAUAUCACUUAUAUCAGAGUUCUAAACCCUAAAAUUGACUGAAAAGUCGUCCAAGAAGUCUUGGUAAACAAGGAAUCCAAAUAGGAAAGUAAAAAUCACAAUUCCUAACUCCACUGGGAAAUACAGCUCAGCCCAAUGUUCACACGAUUUUGGGAUCUUCGACCUUGUAGAAAAAUCAUUAAAAAUAUAUUUUAGAAAGAUAAAUGUCUUAUCUUUCCAACCAUAUAUAGCACGUAACUUGAAAAAUUCGGAAAGGCUUCCGUUUCUUCACAUUCACGUAGCAUGUACGAAACUGUCCUGUCUGCACGUGGGCUAACUUUACUUGUAAUACUGUACCAAUUGGCUCGGUAGAAAAUUCUAGAAAAAUCAUAGAUUGAACUUCAAGAUGUUAGCUUUCAUCUCCAAUCAGGGGCGGCCUUGGGGAGGUGCAAGUGGCGCCACCGCACAGGGCCCCCGAAAAAAAAAAUAUUUAUAUUAUAUAUAUAUAUUAAUAUUAUAUGAAUCGUAUAUAUAAUAUAGCGUCUGGAUAUUUGCACAACAGCGUGUUCAGGGGAGUUGGAUGGAGCACAUCUCUCUUUGGCAAAAGGGCCCGAGUUCGAUGCUCCUUGAUGUCGUUCUACUGGCUAGCCUUUUGUGAUAUUAUUUUUGCAUUCAAACUUUACAUAAUUAUUGAACCAUUGGAUUAAUAUGCAACGAUGGGUGACCACAAUCUCUUGGACUCCUGUGGUCCAUGAGAUCGGGACUGAUAUUACAUGACUUAUUUUAUUAAAUUAUUAUCAUGUUGAUGAUUGGUUGUAUGAGAAUAUAGUUUGUAGAAAUAUUUAUCUAUUUCUUGUUGGGGUUUUCUUCCAGGUUAUAGGGUUUUGGAAUUUUUCUUUGUAAUCUAAACAUGCCACCUACUAGAAAAUACGUUUAUGGAUAUACAAAACGGCUUAGAAAAAGAAAAUUCGAGGAAUUGACUCAAUCUCAAAGAGGAGCUCUUGAUAGAUUCAUUGUUAGAGAAUCACAUGCUACAAUUGAUGAAAAUAUUUAAAUUUUUAUGAAUUUAAUUUCUGAUUUUCAUUGCAUAUUUAUUGAUGGUGAAUUUUAGUUAUAAAAAAAAAUUGUUUAUGACAUUAAGUUAUGGCAAAUUUUUAUAGUAUUUUCGUAUUAGAUUAUGCAAGGCCCCAAUUUAAGUUUCGCACAGGGCCCUCAAAAUCUCAGGGACGGCCCUGUCUCCAAUUGGUCUUGUGCUAAAAUUCCUCCGAAAAGUUGAUUUUCCCUUAAAAACCUUCUAAGAGUGCAGAAAAGCUGAAAAUCAGAAAAAUAAAGUAAUAAGCCAUUUUUAAAUCUAAUUCUCUUACAAAACCAAAGUAAAAAGAGUACAUAAAUGAGUAUAUUUAUGGACUUAUCAACGUCUUCUUCGUUGGACUUGGGGUUGUUUUCCUUAUAUGUCCCCUAUAUAUAUAUAUGGCCUUUAGUUGAGCCCACAAAUACCUUCAGUUAGUUUUUGGGUUUAGGGGCCUACAGAACCUGCACUAAACAAUAAAAGAAAAUACCUAAUUAGUUUAGUACGAAUUUAUAAUGAAGGCUUUAUUAGGUGAAGUUUUAUUUCUUAAUCGUUAGAUCAAAUUGGUUAGCAUCUGAAGUCGCCCAAAGAUUUGAGAGGGAUUCCACAAACAUAUAAUAUAAAGAAAGAAAGCAAUAGUAGGAGAUGAACCAGUACAAAAAACAAUAUAUAAAUAGUACAUAAUAAUUCCAUAACCUUGUCACAAACGCACUCACAAAUGCUUUCCAUAAACCUUGCCCUAACAUAUAACAAAUAAAGGCAACAUUGCAUAUGAUGCAACCAUGUCCAAAUCUGAUACGUGAUAAAAAAAAAAGGACAUGGCAGCAACAUAUGACUGAAGUAGAUGGGCUCUUUGCAUCUCGUGUUAUCGUAAUUAAAGACAUCAAAAUAUUAAGGUUGAAAUCUUCUAUAGUAGCAAGCAUUAAAAUAGGUUUGAAGCAGAGUUUAAAGAAAAUUCCAAUUCCACUGAUUUGCCUCUGCUCAAAGACGAGAACCAAAAUGGUUACUUCCCUUGCUGAGUAUAUUUGUUAACGUCGGAAACGGUAAUAGAUGACCAAUCAAACCCAAGUACGACGAGUUUUGCAUAGGAUCAGAAGUAGUUGAAUCCAGCUUGCAUCACACGCUUCUUUGACUCCAUUGCAUUAGAUGAGUUUUUGUAUUUUUGAACAGCUACACUCCGAAGUCGUUUGUGUCUACGCUUCAUGCGCUGCAACUUCGCCCUAUCCAGAUUGGCCUGCCUUUUGUCAUCUUCAAUUUGGCCUUCAACAAAUUCCAAACGUGCCCUUGCCCUUUGGAUUUCAUCACCAAGUUGAAGAUGCCUCUCCUUCCAAAAAGCAAGAACUCUUUCAGACUCAAAACUUCCAACAAAAUGGUCAUUCUAUCUAGGAAUGUGACAUUGCUUGUCUGGUGACUCACCUGCGUUUCAAAGGCGGUCUUUGUUUGGAGGGGUGUUUAUUAUGCUCACAUCAAACUUGGUUAGUAAAUCCAUUCUAUGGGGGGAGUGAGUUUCUGUGGAGGAGAGAGUUUCAGUAGAUGGAGACAGAUUCGGUGGAGGAGUGAGAUUUUUGUGGAGGGAGAAUUUCUAUGAAAUGGGUGAUAGUAAUACCAAUAAAAGGGUUCCCGCCAAAAAGUAUUUGGUUGACAAUGUAUAAAUUAAUUUUUGGUCUGAUACAAUCUAAGUUUAAUCCUAACUAGUUUGGUUAGUUUGGUUGAAUUCACUAACUAGAUGUCACUUCCAUUGAGUUUCUUUCAACCACUAUCAGUGGUGUAAGGAGAGUGUGAGGUUGACAUGCUUGAAAAGCAAAACCUAACACCUCUUUUUUUUAAAAUUGAAAGAAAGUACAUAUGUUGACUACACACAAGCUUUGGUAUGUUGGUCUAUAAAGCUAUGUUCCCUUUCUCAAACGAAAUUGCAUAUGCAAUCCUCGUCCUCCCAAAACAAAUAGAAUUAUUCAAGCAUGUCAACCUCUUCAGGCGCCAACAACACAAUCAAAGAUGACAAAUUGGAGUCGCAGGUUCUAUUUCCACAUUGUACUCGCCGACCCCUUCCAUUUUCAACAUCAUUUGGGAGUGAGGGGGACUCCGAUGAUCCAUUAGAGCUAAUACAUGCAGUCAAUAGCAAGCUGGAUUAUAAUUCCAGACUGAUCAAUUCAUGGCGCGAGAAAUAUGUUGAAGACGAAGCCAUUUUGGCUGAUCUUAACAUUAGAGUGAACAAAGCGUUCUCCCAAAAGAACAAGUACUUGAAGCUGAGUCAUAAAAGGAAGCUGAAAGCUGAGGAGUUAGAUACAGUAAUGAAUGAUGAAAUUAAAGGUUGUUUGAUGAAUCAUAUGCGAUGCGAAGAGCACCACAGUGAACUGGAGUUGGCAUUCAACGAAGGAUUCGAAAAAUUACGAGCAUUUGCAGCAACUACUCAUACAAGUUAUAAUUGGGACUAUGUGUCCCCUGAUGUUGUGAGAGAGAUACUAGACGAUGGUGGUGACAUGAAUGAGCAUAAGCACGUCAAAGCUGCUUGGAAGAAGCCGACCGAUACGACUAAGUGAUUGCGGCUACAGUUGUUCAGUUGGUUGAGAGUGAUCGUGGUAUUGCACAAAUUAGAAGUAUAUUCCCAUAAUGUCAUUAUCUAAUUUAAAAUAACACAAAUAUCAGUUUCAUUUGCUUCAUAUUGUAACACCCCGACCCCAAAUUUCCCCAAAAUUUACCCUCAUUUAAUUAAUUAAUUAUUUAAGGGUAUUUUAGUCAUAUUUUUAACCGGAGAGAGUUUGGGACCAUGACUUGUAUUUUUGGAUAGGUCGUACUGAGACGAGUUCAUAGACACGUAGUGGGCUCGAAUCAGAGUUGUAACGAGAGAGAUAUGGUCAAAAGAAACCCAGUGGCACAAUCGUAAAUAUUUCAAAAUGGGAUUUUUAUAAAAAUCUGGUUUUUCUCUCUCUCUCUCUCUCUCUCUCUCUCUCUCCCGCGACUUCUCUCUCUCUCCCGUCGGCUCUCUCUCUUUCUCUCCUUGUAUCUCCGGCCACCGACCACGGCUGUGGGCGGGGCCGGUACCAAACUGACCGGGACGACGUCCCCUUCCUUCCCCGACCAUUCCCCGCCGGCAACGCGGCCGUUGCUGGCCGGAAAAUGCAGAAAACCGCCGGGAGGUCGUCGAAACUUCAACGCCGUCGAUCUCCCUCCUCCGGCCACCAUUUUCGUCGACCCAGGUAUGGAUCUUGAACCUCUCGAGCUGUUCUAGCUGUUUGUUGGUUGGGUUUUGAUCGAUUCGAUCUCUAGAUCACUCGAUUUUCGAAUUGAAAAUUGGCCGAAACUUCGGCCGCCGUGAUCGGCCAUUUUCGGCCACUUUUUGUGGUAGGUCCAAGAACAAAAGUGGCUCCAAAUAGGGUGUUAUACCUAGGGUAGAAGUUUGGAGCCGAGAUGUUGAGAUUUUCCGGCGAAGCGUUAUCGCUUUGGGCACCCACGCGUGCGGCGGCGCGUGGGCACUGUAGAAAAAGUAGAUGUGUUCCGAUGAGAUCCUUAGGUUGUCACGAGUGCGUAGGAUUUGGCGGAUCUCAAUUCGGACGUCGUUUGACUAUCGAACGGAUAAUCGCAUAUUAUGCGUUAUCCGGGUUCGAUAGGUUGAGACCGUCGGAUGGUCCCAAAUUUAAUAUAUGUUGAUCUAGGUAUUUCUAGGAUCGUGUAGGAUUUCACGGAUCGUGAAUCGGAGCCCCGGAUGUUCCGAAUAAUAAUUUAAAGUUUAUAUUUUAUAUUAACCAUCAGAUUAUGCGAUCGUGAGAAAUCCGACCGUCUGAUCUGAACCAAACUGGCAGGAAAAGUGUCCUGUACCUGGUAGAACCCAUAGGGACCUUCGGAUCGGAAAUUGGAGGUCGUGGGUUCCGCAAGUCUGUUUGACCAGGGUUAGAGUAGUUUGACCCUUGGUUGACCGUGAGUCUCCCGGAGUAAUCUCACCCUUCCAGGGGGAAUUAUCGGGAGCUAGACUAUUGUGGAGGGUUACACAAUAUUAGAAUUAUUUAUAUAAUUAUAUAUGGUUGUACAAGGGUACAACAAAGUCUAGAAUGUCAGUUUGGAGUGCUAUACGCACUACUUUAGGUACCUCCUCGGAUUUUGGAUUCGCUACAAGCACCACCAAGUGAAAGUUAGGUCCCGCGUGGCGUAGGUUAUCCGGCGUUGGGACAGACCCCAUACGUGGCGUUGGUUGUACCGGCGUAUGGGGAGAUUUGCAAUAUGAUGUUCAGGUCUCACGUGGCGUAGGUUAUCCGGCGUUGAGACAGGCCCCGUACGUGGCGUUGGUUGUACCAGCGUACGGGGAGAUUAUGUGAUAUGAUGUUGAGGUCCCGCGUGGCGUAGGUUAUCCGGCGUUGGGACAGGCCCCAUACGUGGCGUUGGUUGUACCGGCGUAUGGGGAGUUAUAUGAUAUGAUAGUAUGGCAUGGUCGCACAUGGCGUAGGUUAUCCGGCGUGUUGACAGGCCCCAUACGUGGCGUUGGUUGUAUCGGCGUAUGGGGAGAAUAUGUGAAAUGCAGAGAAAGGAAAUAAGGUAUCACCGAUGUGUGGAAUUGGGUUUUAGGGAAGAACUACGUGUGGCUUGAUCCCUCAAGGAGGGUACGUAGGCAGCCUAAGGUUAUUGGGUGCAGCCGCAGACUAAAUAUUAGUCAUAUUUGGUAUUUGAAUUGUAUGGUAGUUGUUUGAGAAUUAUUGGAAGGCCAAAGGCCAUUUAUGAGAAUUUGCAUGAAAUUAUAUUGUGCAUGCUGCUAGUUGUGGAUAUUAAAUGUGUUUUUAUGCAGGUUGAAAUUUUGGGAAAUGUCCAAUUUAUAGGGGAGACUCUGCUGAAAUUUCGGCAGGAAGUCUCGGUUUUUAGUAAGUGGGCCUGGCAUCGGGGUGAUGUCAGGAAUUCCAAAGGGUUCGUCUCGGGUUUUGAGAAAAUUCGGGGCGGGUCCUUAAACAUAUAUAAUUAUUGGGACUAUGUAUUGCAAGUCAUCAUGUGUUCCUUCUGUCUAACAUUAUAUUUUGCAAAUAUCAAAAUAUUAUUCAAUAAGCAGUCAAUAUCACAGCAAGUUGGGAAUUAGUAAAGCCCCAUUAUCAUGUCCGUUCACAUUAAAGAGCUGGCGUACUUUUUCUCAAAAAACUGACACGUGAGUCAUAAGUAACAUAACAUGUGCUAUACAUUGUUUAGUGAAUGGUUUAUGGUUUAUUUAUAUAUAAUAAAAUUCCAAAUAUUGCUGAAUAUUUGUUUUUUCUAUAUCCCUGGGAACAUGAGUGACCAUAAGCAUGUAAGACCUGUUAAGAAGAAGCUGACUAAUACGACCGAGUGAUUGUGGCUACCGUUGUUUAGUUGGUUGGGGAGAUCGUGGUAUUGCUAAGAGGGAGCACAUAAUGUGCUUUGCAAUCAAAUUUUCUUUUGUGUGUGGAAUUAUGAGUAGUUCAAAUGUUAGUGUACCCUUUAAUAUUCUUCAACCGUUUGAAAUGUGAUUAGCUGCAAUGUACUUUUUUACACGCUGCUUUCUAAUCACUCUGUUCCAACAAAGUGCUUUAAGUAUCCUUCAGUUACAAAUGUUUACAAAAUCGUGCAUCUAAUAACCAGUCGAGCUCAGAUCUUAAUAACAAGUAAAACACUAGAACAUAACAUUCGGAAAAAGUGGGUGCUGCUGGAAAUCAUUACUGGUAAUGGAAGCAAGAGCUGGCUGCUGGAAAUGCUGCAUUAGCCUGUGAUAUAAUCAAUGAAUCUCUGUUAAAACAUAAUUCACCAUAAACUACCCAUUUUACAUGGUAAAAGUCAUUGCUUCUUCACAUAACUCAAAAUUUGAUACUUUAUCAAAUGUCUAUGAAAAUUUCUAAAUAGGGGAAAGACGUAAAAUUAACAUGUGUCCAAAUUUCAUGCAAGAAUGAAACCAAGCAAAUUUUUAUUUCAAUUAUCAGUGGACAUAGUAAGAACUCAUCGGUGGACAUGAACAAAAAAAUAAUAAUAUUAAAAACUGAAUCUAGAAAACUUCACCUGAUCAUUAGUCUUCAUAACAACCGAAUUUCGUCUAAUAGAAACAUAAAUCAUUCAGUUGGUCCGUGCAUCGUGUCAAAUUCAUAGAAUAAUGGGUCACUACGAUCUAUUGGAGUUGAUUCGUCAUUGUUCGACGGUGAUGUCCUGCAUAGACAUCAAACACAAGCACAGAAAAAAUUUACCUAUUCAAAUUUUAGGUGUUAUUAUAAAUAGUGUUAGCAUCUUACGGUGUGUUCAAAUUUCUUGCGCAUUGUCUUCUAUCAUGACCAAUGUGUCCACACUCCAGACAGUGUCUAAUCCCUCGCUUCAUUGCCUUUUCUUUUGCUCCCGUUACUCGUUUCGACCUUCUUUUGCACCUCACUCUCUUAGGGUCUUUCAUAUAUUGUGUUUGAGAGCUGGACCCUCCAACUUCGUUAUUACUUGGUCCAUCCUUCAACAACUUCAACUUCACCUGCAAACUUUUUAGAGUCUCUGACAGUAGCUCACAUCCUUCUUCACUCAUUAAUGCACCCUCAACCACAUCUUAAGCAAGUCGAGACAUUGUACUCCGCCUUAUUAAAAGACCAGGAUCUGCAGAGUCUUUAAUUUCGUUGCCAUUUGCAUCUGACACCAAUUCAGAUUUUGCAGUUUUCUUCCACCUCUUUAAAAUAUAUUUAUCGGGCAUAUAUUCAAUCUGGUCCCUUCUGAACAAUGCUAGGAUGUGCUUGCAAAUAAUUCCAACAAAUUCAAAUCUUUUGCACCCACACGAUGCGUGGUCAGAAUCUUUAACAUAUACGACGUCUGCCACUCUUGUUUCCCAAUUUUUCCUUUUGCUCACGCGAAAGACAACUUUAGAAGCACCCUCUGUUUUGAGCUCUAGGAAACAUGUUGUACUUUGUAUUAGUUCUUGGUCAAACUUUUGAAACAUUGUCCUUGUGUACAAGGUAGCCAUUUGUUUGUUCAUUGGCAUCGGUAGAAUACAUUGAGCCACUUCAAAUGCAUCUACGUGAUCAGCAACUAACUCUUUUUGACGUUGAUGAGAAAGUGCCCUCUCAAAUCGUAUUAUGAAAUCCAUCAACGAAUUUCUCCUUGAUAUGUAUUGCUUGAAAAAACCAUGAGAACCUUCCACUCUUUGGCUGCUUGACAUUCCAGCGGCAAAAAAUUGUUGUGCGUAGGCUGGAACCCAAGAUUCUCUUAAAUCAAACAUUGAACUUAGCCAUGGAUGGUCAGUCAAACCAGCCUUUGUAACCACAAUAUUCCAUUUUGUAACAAACUUAUCCUUAUUGUCAGUAUCCCAUACGGCUUUCUGAAAUUCACGCCAAUACUCCUUAUAAGCAGAAUGUGGUAACUUAACAGAGAACUUUGAUGUGAUGUGCAAUAUGCAAAGUCGAUGAAAUGUAGUCGGGAAGGGUAUUGAAAUCGCUCUGGUCAUUGCCGCAUCUUGAUCUGUAAUGAUCGUUUUAGGUCCGCCACUUGGCAUGGCUUUCUUAAACUCCUCAAACAUCCAAAUAAACGACUCAGUCGUUUCCUUGCUCAAAAAUGCGCAUGCUUAGACAAUUGUCUGACCAUGGUUAUUAACUCCCAACAUUGGUGCAAAUGUCAAGUCGUAUCGAUUCGUGUUGAAUGUGGUAUCGAAUACAACAACAUCUCCAUAAAACCCGUACGCCCAUCUAGAAGUUGCAUCUGCCCAAAAACAUUGACUAAACCUGUCAUGGCCAUCUCUCUCAAUCUUGAAAUAAAAAGCCUCAUUUUUUUUUUCUGUUCAGCCAUAAAAUACUCGGUCACUAGUUCAACAUCGUGGUUCCUCAACUUCCCAUUCACACUACAUUCAAAAUUGUAGAUAUCUUUUUUGAUAAAACCGAUUUUAUCCAUUCCUCCGGAUUGCACCUCGAAAAUACUUACCUUCUGAUGAAUGAGAAUAUUAACCGAACCCAACUGUUUUGUGAGUACUUUUGUAGAAUCUGAACUAUGACGGUGUGAUCUCAAUAAAUGCAUUCUUUCUGAGGGUGUCAUCUUAUGAUUGUGUCCCUCUGCAAAAAGAGAGAUGGUAUACUUCUUGCUCCCAUUUGUCUUCACAACCACAAUCUUAGCUUUGCAAUUGCAUCUACUUAUUCCCCGCUGUCUUUUUCUCUCCCGAGUUUCAUCUCUCCUGUAUUCACCUUGUUUGCAACAUACAAAUUCUUUCCUCAAAAUCUCUUUCUUAUUUCCCCCCCAAAAGCUGGAAUGAAGUCGAAUACCAAAGCCAGCCAAGAAUGCAUAUCUAUUAUAGAAAUUGUAAACGAGGUCAAGCAAGUCGAACUUCAUCCCAACUGCUGGUGUUUCCUCAUUUCUUACUUCAAGAAUGUAAACCCUCCCAUUAGCUGUUACACAGUCAUCACUCUCUGAGCCCCCAGACAUUUUAUCCACGUAUAUUAUUGAUCCACUUCUAUAUUAUUGCAUAGCAAAUAUUAAUUCAUUAAUAAAUCAUUACUGCAUCACAACAUAUCAAUGCAUUCCACUUACACAAAACAUUGCCCAAAUUGACACAAAACACGCAUAGCCUAACUUGUUGGAUUCCGAUUACACAAAACGCAAGCAAAAUUUAAUAAUAGUUACGUCAUCUCUUGUGAAAUAAUCUAGAAAAAAUAACAUUAGAACCAACAUGUUCAACUAAGAACACAAAUGCAAUUCAAACCAGCAAUCACAUAACUUCACCCAAUAUCCUCUCCAAAUGCUUACUCCUAAUGUCAUUAAGCCUAAGUUUAGGAUCUUUUACCUACAUUUCAUAAUUUUUCACCCCCACCAAAAAUAAUCAACUAAGUAUACUGAAUAUUCAUAAGGAAAUGACGCAUUAUUGAUGCCACAAAUGACGAAUUUCCUACCCUCACAAAAAACAAAUCAAACCCAAUUAAAUCAAUCCAGCAAGAGUGAACUUACCUCUCAAAAUCAAUCGGGAGCUCCGAAGUCAGUAAGCUUGAGAGAAUGUGGUGGACAUUAGAGAAGACUCUUUGGUAUUGGAGACUCCAUCUCUACCAAAAUCGAGGAACGAACUGCUGCUACGGCGUCUAGCUACAGAAAAAGAUAUGCUACUUUACUUUCAUCUGGAAUCUUGUUUGCUGAACGAAAAAGAGAAAGGGUUUUCACUUGAGCCAUAGAAUCAAAACAAGGCAACAUCUAGGUAAGAGCCAUUAAUCGUCAUAUCGAGGAUACCAUAGAUCGCAGGCCUCCCAAGGAGCUGAUGACAAUGGAGCGACUAUAGGGUUUGGGAGCUUUGGAUCCUUCUAAUUGUGGGUUUGCGUUACAUUCAAAAAAAGAGGAGUGUGUUGUUGAGUUUUUCACAUAGAGGGAAAGAGGGAAAGAUCUUCAACUGAAGUUGGGUUUCCAACGGGUCAAAUUUCAACCCGGUUCUACAUGCACCCUCUUUUAAAAACUCACCGUUGGAUUUCAUCCAACGGCUCGUACAUACCCCUCAAAAACACCCCUUAUAACUUUCCACUCACUAUAGAAGCUCUCCCCAGGAAAUGCUUCGAGGUAGAUUUUAUGUUUUGGGCCUUGGGACCCAACUUCACAAAAAGAAAACAAAUUUGACCAAAAAACAAAGUUGAAGGACAUUGAUAUUGUACCUGUAGGAUAGGUUAAAACACUAAAAGGAAGGUAAAUAGUACGUUUACAGAGUUUAAGUGUAAUAAAGGAAUAAAAACAUGCCCAGAGAAUUGAUAAGUGAUAUCAAUUCUUGAAUAUAUAGAACGUAAAAUAAAGGAAUACGUAGAAAAUUAUUUUAUGUGGUAAAACUCAAUCUAUGGGGCCACGGGACUUCUUAGUCCAAAAAAAAUCCAUUGAACGAUGAUUACAAGAAGUACUCACACACUUAUCCUAGACACAUUCUAGAUAAUUUUUACUAACAUCUUUGUAACUCAACUUCUGUCAUAGGAUGAUUUUUUGACACUCCUUAUGUUGAACGCAAUACUGGUCACGAUUUCUUCAAGCUCGCAGGAACUCUCCUUAUAUUGAAUAUGAUACUAGUCACGAUAGAUUCAAGCUCAUCGGAGAAAAACAGCCACAACGGUCUUGGUGCCCUCAAUGGUAUGAGUCACUGAACAUGCAAAUAAAUACAAUAUGAAUGAUAAAAGUGUUUGAUAAAUCACCAAGUUAUGGAACACUUGAUGAUUUAUCUCAAAUAAAAACUCAGCUUUCCAAAGUUUAUGAAUUGAAAAUAUGAUCGUUAAAGCUCUCUAAACAAAGAAGACGAAGAUCUUAUUUUAUAGAAUUUUUCUUUAUAAGAAAGAAAACACAUUGAAAACCAAAUCUCCAAGGCUUGACAGAAAAUCACAAAAGUAUCUUUCCUAUUCUAGAGAUUGGUCACAUGUAGUCCAACCAAUAGGACAUGAGAUAUUUAAGAAAUGAAGAUUUUGAUCAAUAUCAAUAUCAAAUGAAUUCUUAUACGCCUAGUCAACUAUUAAGGGUAUCUUGACUCCUUGAUAUUGUGAUAUGAUUGAAACAUGAUUUCCACGUUAGAAAAUUAAGGGGAUGUUAAAACAUGAAAGUAAUAGGAGAAUCAAAUUGAUUUCGGCCAAAAUUGCCUAAAAAGAAAACACUCCUAAAUAAACUCAAUUCACUUUUAAAAACAGUAAAACGUGAUUGAAUUGUUCUUUAAAACAAUUCCCUAAUAUACAUGCAUGAUAAUGACAUCACUUACCUCUGAAUCAAAUGCCUUUCAUAGGUCAAGCCACAAGUCUGUGUUUUGGGGAUUGCUGAGCUGCAUCAAUCCUGCCAAUGUCAAUGCUGCCCCUAUGCUCUCUCAAAGCACGUUUACAACCUAUGCUAACAUAUACCCUAAACCCUAGUAUCAAGAAAAUGCCAACACUAAUUUCGUAACACGUAGAAAUUGUUAGAGAUUGGAAGUUUUUUUUCUUCAAGUCUCUCCACCACUCACUAAUACAGAUUGCUCAUGUGAUGAGUUUACAAAACCUAUUUCUCUACUCUCACAAAGACUAUACUUCUUCUCAAAAGACUAUAUCACUUUACCUCUAUCUCUGUGAAAUGUAAAAAGUUGAAACUUUAAUGUCAAACCUCGACAAAAGAUGAACUUCCAUAAGUUACGUUGAAUUUGGAUUUGUUGAACUUAAGUGGUUUUACUUUUCUGUCAGUGUUUGAUGACUUAAUUUGGUAUUUACUUCUUCUUUUUUUCCUUGGAAAUGUGUUCCACCAACGUGAGGAAGAAAAAUAUGCACAAAUUAAUAUAUUUAAUAGAAGCCCAAGAUUUCGGAAGCACAUAAUUUCUACAAAAUUCUACAAAGUGUUCUACUUUACAAACUUCAUAUGUCUACCAAUUUUUACUAAAAUUAAUUUAUCUGCAGUGCUCAAAUUCAUCAUAUGUGUGUCCUUAAUUUUAGUGAAAAUUGGAAGUUUCCAUUAUUUUUGUUUUACGGGAAUUUUUUGAACCAAGGAAAAUCAAGUAAAAUUAAUAAAGCAUAAAUUGGAAAGGGAAAAUAUCUAGAGGAUGCAUUGUAGGAUUGCUCAUGCCAAUAAUUGUACCCUCUAAAUAUAUAGGGACAUAUUUUUUUUGCUCAUACCACUUGUUGCAGUACACAUUCACCCGUUUUCAAAGAAAGAAAUUCUACCAAUCGAUAAUGUCUCAAAUUUAAUCACAUAUUUUAUGGACCAUCCAGCUAUGAGGUUUUAUCUCAAAAACCUUCGGUACAUUUCUCCCACAUGCCACAAUUGUAUAUUCACAAUUACGUCUGAUACAUCACAUCAUGCCACUUGCCUCAAAUGAAUUUAAGUGAGUGAGGCAGUUGGAAGUAAUUAAGCUCUAUAUUGGUGGGUGGAGUGUUAGUUCUGGGUACCCCUCAUCAUUCGUCUAUAAAAUGGUGAAGCCAGUUGCUACUGUUACCAUAAGAGCCAGCUCCGACUUUCUUUAAUUUCUUGCUUCAUAUCCACUAGCUACAUCUGUUGCUCUUCUCAGUGUAAGCUCUGCAAUUUGAUUAACUUUCCCAUUAUCUCUCACUGUACUCUAUAUAAAGGAAUAAGUGUCGUCCAUUAAUUCUCUCCGAAAGUGUCGUCCUGAUUUUAAUUAGAGUUCGAAUUAAUGUUGCAGCUAGCAGCGGUUGCACUGGCAAACCAUGCUGCUCAACCGGUACCUCAACUUUACUGGAACUCCGUCCUGCCAAACACACAGAUGCCAAGAUCUAUCAGUGAACUUCUGCAUCCUGGUUUGUGUUUGAGCACUUUAGAAUCUUAGAUAUCUCUUCUACCUGCCAUUUUACUAAAAUAUGUUCAACCACAUAUUUAUCAGUUAACUACUGUCAUUACAUGAGUGACACAUAUUCACAAAUCGGCUGAUCACUUAUUUUCCAUUAUGACGUUGAUAUAUAAUGUUGGGAAUGGAAAGCCAAUUGACCACAAGGGAAAACCUGAAAAUACUGUACUACCACAGCUAGCACGAAGCCCAUUUUCUUACAAGAGUGAUGUGGGGACCAAAUCUCAUGUAUCAUAGCUUAACCCAUAUGCCACAACUAAAAGACGUGGGAUGAUCGAACAGCAUACCCACAUGGUCAUGGAUCUCUUCAGAUAAUCAAUAUUAAACAACCCAUAAACUUCUCCCUUUGAAGAACAAAUUAAAACCAAUUUCUAGAGGAAGGUUACAAAACAUUUUAGCCCGUGAAGAACAAAUCAAGACAAUAUAACCCAUUUGAUAACAAAAUCAAAAUGAGAUUUACCAAUACUAGAUGACCACGGCGCCAGUAUAAUGGUACGACGGCGGCGUUAUUGUAACGGUGGAGAAGUGGAUGGUAUGACGACGGUGUUAGUGUGACGGUGGAGGAAACGAUAUUAUGAAGGAGGCGUUGCUAUGUUCGGUGGAGGAGUCGUGUGUUUCACAGUUCAAUAUAUCCUUUUUAGUCAUUUUAUAUUAGGGUAAAUCAGUAAUUCAAUAAAUAAUUUGAUAGUAUGGUGUACUCAGUUAAUAUUAGGGUUCAUUUAACAGCACUCAAAUUAACUAGUGUAGAGUCUAUCUAUAUUAUUAAUACUAAAAAUAAAUAUAUGACUAAAUAACUCAAAAAAAAAAUAAAUCUACAAUCUUUUUUUUAAAAAAUUUUUUUUAUAGAAUUUUAUUAGAUUAAUAGGCACUACUAAAAAAUCUCCUUAUAAACUACAAAUACACGCAUAACUUAUACUAAUGUGAGCUACUGACACCACCUGCCACAUGACAGUUGUCCAAGCAUAGUGUUGUCAUUCAUUAUUCCCCACAGCAACUAACAUCCAAUAAAGGGUUGGGGCCCACCCAUACUCCACCUCUCUGUAUGUAGCUCUUUGAGAAUACAGAAGAAAUAUUUUUUAGGGAAAUAGCUUAAAAUGAUACCCAUUUCAUAAUUUUAAUUAAAAAUACCACCCCUUUCCAAUUUUUGUACAACUAUCACCUAUAAAUAUAAAAUUAUUGUCCACUUAUUGCUGAUUUUUCACAAGUUCAGAAAUUUUGGAAAGAAGAAGCUCACACAGCUCUCUCUCUCUCUCUCUCUCUCUCUCUCUCUCUCUAGCACAACUCUCUUUCUUUGGUAUCUGUCUAUCACAGCUCUCUGUGUCUCUCUUGGCUCUCUCUAUCUUGGCUCUCUCUCUCUCUAGCACAACUCUCUGUCUCUCUCUUUGCUCUCUUUCUCAUAGCGCAGCUGUUUCUCUCUCUAGCUUCGUUAUGUCUCUUUCUCCCCUAUUCGAUCUCUUGCUUUCUGUUUGGAAUCGCGAACCCCUCCCUUUAGCUAUGUCUUCUGAAUAGCUGCUUGCAACCUUGAAGCUCUAGUGGAUUGCCGACCUCGAAAAGGUAGUGUUGAUGGUUAUUUUCUUAAUAUCAGUGGGAUUAUGUGAAAUGGGUUAUAGUUUGAUUGUUUGGGUUUGUGUUAAAUUCGUUUUGGCUUUAAUUUCUUUGGGUUAGGUUUUGUUGAAUAUUCAUACUCAUUCAUCUGGGUUUGUACCAAUUGCAUUUAGAUUGGUCUGGAUAUGUGAAUCUUGAAACUUGGGAUUUUCUAUUUGAUGUAGUAGAUCUGUAUAGUGUGAUUCUGUUGUGUUCCUCUUAUUUUACAGUCGUAUUGCUGUUAUAUUGUCAUUAUAUUGCUUAUAUAUUGCUGUUAUAUUGUGGUUAUAUUGCUAUUGUAUUGUUUGGUUAUUGUGGUUAUAUUGUGUUAAUGAAAUGUUGUUUUGUCAUGGUCAGAAAUGGAGACAAUUGUUAUUCUCGUGUGCUACAAUGGAAAAUGGGUCACCUCGAAGAAGAUGUGCAAAUACGAAGGGGGUGACUCAAAAGGCUUAAUAGUUCCACGGACCAUCAAAUUUGUUGAACUGUUGGACCGUGUGCAUUAGAUUGGUAAUACAAACAGCAGGGAAGACAAGGUUUGCUUAAAAUUCUCAGUUUUGGUGGCCUCGAAUGAGUGGAAGCACAUAAAUAUUGAGGACGAUGAUGAUAUCAAUUUUUUUAUGAAGUACAAUUCCGAGGUAACACCUUCAAAACUAGCUCCCUUACUCGUGAGUAUAGAAGAUAAAGGAUUGACAAAUGAUGUAGUUCAUAGUAUGCAUAUCACGACAGAUAGUAGUCGGAUGGGUCAUUCUUCAGUUGCCAUUGUUGAAAGCAAUGAAGUAACUUGGAAUAAUACGAAUGUCACUGAUGUGGGAGGUGAAGUAGGGACAGAUUUUGUGGAUAUGAUUGAUUUUAGCGAGGUGUAGGAGAUGCAUGGUGGUGAUAAUAGUACUGAAAGAAAUGAAGUGUCAGUGUACUCUGCCCCUCCUAAUUUGGGCUGCUUCAACAUAGCUGCCCAGUUGCCAAUAAUGCGUUUAGGAGGAGAAUCUGAACCCACUCGUCAACAUUAUUGGAGUCAAAUAGGUGAACAAAAUCGGUACAAUGCAGCCGGUGUAAAUGAUGAAGAAGCAUAUUUGGACAGCGGGUUUUCACGAAGUGAUUGGAAUCCGAAAAUUACAGUUGGGCAAAUUUUCUCUAGUAAGAAAGCAUUGUUGACGGAGUUACGGUUGACGGCAUUAAGAGGCCACUUUGAAUUUAAGGUGCAAUUCUCUUGCACUAAAAGGUUGCUUGUGGUUUGUUGUCAACGUCCAUGCCCAUGGCGGGUCCGAGCAUCGAGAAUUGGAGAAUACAGCUUCAUGAUUGUGAGGUGUACAACUGUCCAUGAAUGUGAUUUGAGGUUCGUAAGUGACAAGCAUCGUCAAGCAACCGCAGCACUUGUAGCCACUUCACUUAAAAGGAAGUGACAUUAUGAGAGAUGUGAAACACAACUUUGGUUGCACCAUCCAUUAUUCGAAAGCUUGGAAAGCAAAGGAGUUAGCUCUAUUGUCCAUUAGAGGAUCAGCGGAGGAGGCAUAUUAUAUCCUUCCAGCUUAUUGCUAUGAAUUGGAGCGUAUGAAUCCCGGCACAAAAACACACAUCCAAACUGAUGAGAACAAUCACUUUGUGUAUUUAUUUAUGGCGGUUGGCGCAUGUAUUAGAGGGUUCCGUUCUUCCAUGCGCCCAGUGAUAGCCGUGGAUGCCACUCAUUUAAAAUCCAAGUACAAGGGUGUUAUGUUUGUAGCAAAUGCAUUCGAUGGUAAUUGAAAUAUAUAUCCUCUUGCUUUUGGGAUCGGGGAUUUGGAGACGGAUGCAUCAUGGCAUUGGUUUUUCACUAAACUUCAUGAAGCCAUUGGUGAGUGUCCCAAUCUUGUUAUUAUUUCUGAUCGCAAUGUUAGCAUAGAGAAUGUGUGGAACAAAAUUUUUCCAACUGCACAACGUGGCAUAUGCUUUUAUCAUAUGAAGGGGAACAUGAAACGCACUUGCUAGUUGAAAAAGCGUGAUCACAUACUUAUGCACUUUGAGCAGGCUGCGAAAUCUUAUUCCAUUGCUGAAUUUGAUUGUCAUUUUUGCAAGAUCAAGCGAAAGGAACAUGUUGCUCAAUAUCUUGAAGAGACAGGGUUACAUAAGUGGUCUAGAGCUCACAUGGAUGGACGCCGCUACAAUGUAAUGACAACAAAUAUUGCAGAGUCAAUCAACUCAGUCCUUAGGUUUGCAAGGAUGCUGCCAGUGGUUCAUUUGAUAGGGGAAAUUGUUAAUCUCCUUGUGAAAUGGUUCACCGAACGUUGUGAGUUGGUUUUGAAUUGCACAACAACAUUGUGCCCCAAUUUUGGAGAGAAGAAGUUGAGGAACAGGUUGGAGGAUGCUGCAAGGAUGAAUGUGGUUAAAGUAAAUAAUGCACAGUUUAAUGUUUUGGACGGUGAUAUGGACGGCCUCGUAGAUUUGGCGAACAGCAGUUGUAGUUGUAGAAAGUUUCAGCUUGAGCAGCUACCUUGCAAGCAUGUAGUUGCAGUUUGCCGCUUCUUGAAAGUAAAUGUAUACGCAAAGGCUUCUCGGUAUUACACUCAGAAAACCUGGAUGAUGCUUAUUCGGAUAGCAUCUACCCGGCACAACCUCACGGAAUGUGGGAUAUUCCUGAAGAUGUUCGAAGUCGAGUUGUGCUGCCUCCCAUGGCAAGGGUCAUGCCAGGCAGACGAAAGAAGAUCAGAAUUCCCUCGCAAGGAGAGGGCACCAUUAGAAGAAAGUGCUCAAGGUGCGGUUCCGCAGGCCACAAUAAAAGCACAUGUAAAAACAAUAUUCCAUUGCGCAAUGUAUCUUAGACAAUAUGAUUUGUGUUGCUUUGGUAGGUCAUGUAAACUCUACUUUUAUUUGUGGUGGGUUUCGUGUUAUGUUGAAUGGGAAUUCUUUUAAAUUUGCAUAAUUUGGGUUGCAUUGCUACAGCAUGCUGUAUUGCUGACAGAUUGCUAUUAUAUUGGACUUUUAUUGUACUGGUAUUGCUUCCAGAUUGCUAUUAUAAUUUGAGUGCGAAAUUAAAGGGACUGGAAUGUAAUUCCAAAUGGAUCCAAAUCAUUAAAGUUCUUAGAAUUCCUAUAUUACACAGUUACUGUGAUACUCCGACUAUACCUUCUUUUAUGAUUACAAAUUCGGCCAAUGCAUAGGCCAGAUGUGGGGCAAAUACAAGGUGAAAUGUCCUAUGUGUUUGACUACAUAUACUUGUUGAAGGAGCAUUACGAAUGCUAACCUCAAUAGAUUGCUCAUGUCUUGCCAAGAACACUCUUGAAUUUAUGCAAUGUGCCCAAGCCAGUCCCAAAGCUGGACUCACCCGUCUGCCUGAUGUGUCCAGGGACUCCAAGUUUCCCAACCUCACCUCAUUCACUUUAUCAUGUGGCCCAAUAAAAUCCACCACUUGGUUGGUGACAACCACCGCCAACCCAAACUUAUUUGCUAAACCCUUCAAUGUCCCAGAUAUGUUGAAAAAUAUUUCAAACCGCCAUUUCAAAUCUGCUGGUGUUGUCUGAUACUGUGAUCGGAACAAUGCAGCAAUGGAAUCAAUGACAAUGAGUUUCACAGGUAGGUGGGUGUGAUCAAUGGCAAUAAAUGCUUCUAUGUCUCCAAGGACAUGGAUGAGUUGUUGAGCAUCAUGAACACCAUGAACAUAUAUGUCUUCCAAUGGCUCCAACCUUAUUAAGUUGGGGUAUGAUGCAUGAUAAAGGUUGCCUAGUUGUUGCAAUCGACGAAAUGGGAAGCUGAAUUCUGUGAAUAUGUAGACGGUGGAGCCCUCUAGUCCGCCAUGUGAGGGUGGGAGCUGAGCUGGUACCGUAAGUUGGAGACAAAGUUGCGUCUUCCCAGAACCACUCUCCCCUACCAAUUCUGUUAUAGAGUUGCAGGGUAUCCCACCCCCCAAGCAGUCAUCUAGUAUUGGGCAUCCAAUGGAUAAUUGAGGGGUUGAAAGAGGAAGGAGCAUGAGGUUUUAGGGUGUCAUAUUUGUGUAAUUUAGGGGGGGAUGUGAUGGUGCUACAAGGCAUGCAUUAUAUAUAUAUAUAUAUGUAGAGUUCAUUUUGAAGGUCUGUAUUGUAGGCCAUAUGUCUUUUAAGGGAUGUAUAAUCCAUCCUUUUUUCAGGUUGUAAUUAAUUUUUUGUUUAUUUAUUAGUAUUUUUUUGGACCAAAUAAUUUAAAAAACAUUAUGAUGCAGUACGUACUGUAAUAGGAUCAUAUUGUAACUCUAUCAUCACUCUAUUGUACUCUUAUUGACAUAAUAUUGCCGUUAUAUGCAUGUUUAUUAUAUAGUUAUUACUGCUAUAUCGCCACUGAACUGGACACCGAUAAACUGUAUACGCACAAAUACAAAAAGAGGCUUCAUCAUUCCAUAAAAUCCUAUUUCCAAACUUACAUAAUACAACAACAGGCCACCCCAUCGUUACAUAAUACAAAAAUACGCCACCUCAUAGUUCCAUUUCCCUACUGUUGACAAAUUCGAAGUUGCAUACUCUUCAAGUGCGGUGACCGCGACGCAUGAAAUUCAUGACCCCGGCCACAGUGAUGUUGGCCUAGUUUCCUGCCGGAUCCACUAUUUUUGCAAACUUACGAAAUAGUUCGAAUCCGCUUUCCACUUCUUCUUGCUUCAACUUGGCCGUUGCUUCUGAUUCCUUGAAUACCAUAAUUGCAGUGGUAGGGGCAAUUUCAAUUUUUGCUUUCAUUGUCUUUAUAUGUAGGAGAUGCAUGCGCGCAUGAUAACGAGAGCGAAUUGUGCGGUUUUUUAUGACACCCCAUCUAGUUUGGCCCUCCACAAUUUUGAAACUAUGUCUGCAUGAAGAUUUUUCCAAAACAUGGUAUUGCCUCGACAUUGCUGCAUGCCAUGGACCAAGUCUGCAGGGAGUGAAUUGGGUGACUUGGCUUGUGUUUCAGUCUUCUCUCCUUCAGUAAUUGAAAGUGUUGGGUGUGGUGUGAGGUUAUGGUCCAUGGUCUUCGAUAUUUAUUGUAGCCUAGUGUACAACUUAAUUGGAAAAAAAGGGGACUAAAUGCGAUGGGAGUGAAAUCAGUGGGGAAGGUAGUGGCUGUAAGCAGGAGUUAAUGUGAUGGAAGUUUUCAUUUCAAACAACUGGGUUGAUUAAUAUAGGCAAGUUUUAAUGACCUGGAGUAACUCAGAGAGUUAUUGGUGGGAGGGAUUAGAGGGAGUAAUUGGCGGGAGGGAUUGGCGGGAGUCUUAGGCGGGAUAGUAUUGGGCGGGAGUUAUUACCCAGUUGACUGUAUGCCUUUUUGUAAUAUAUUUGUAUGUUGGACGUUCCAAACUUGGUAAUUUUCCCAUUAUGUAAUUCAAAUAAGGGAUUUGCCUAUUUGCCUAAUUGACCAACUCAUUCAAAUUGACCAAUAUGGUUAUUGUCUUAUUUCUCAUUUCAGCAAUCUCAAUUCGUUUCCAUUUUUCCAUUCUUCAUAUUUUCCUAUUUUCCAUGUGUCAUCCAAUUUUCCAAUUUUCCAAUUUUUCAUUAUUUUUGCCUAUUUUUUCCUAUUCCCUAUUUUCCUAUUGUGCAAUUUCCCAAGUUUCCUUUUGUUGUAUUUCUAGUUUUCCAAUUUUUCAAUGUUCCCAUUUUCCCAUUAUGUAAUUUAAAAAAAGUUGCCUGCUUUGCCUAAUUCAGAAAGUAAUUAAAAUGGUCCAAUAUGGUAAUUGUCUUAUUUUCCAUUUCCACAAUUUCAAUUCGUUUCCAAUUUUCUUAUUUUCCAUGUGUCCCUAUUUCCUAUUUCCAUUUUUCAAAUUUUAAGUUUUUGUCCAAUUAUCCAAUUAUCUUUUUUCCAAUUGGACUAUUUUCUAAGUUUCCUUUUUUUCCUAUUUCCAAUUUUCCAAUUUUUCAAUUUGCUAACUUUCCUUUUGUUCUAUUUCCAAUUUUGCUAUUUUCCAAGUUGCCUUAUUUCCUAUUUUUCAAUUAUCCAGUUAUCCAAUAUUCCAAUUUUCCAAUUAUCCAAUUUUCAAUUUUCCAAUUUGCGAAUUUGCCUAUUUUCCAAGUGUCCUUUUUUCCUAUUUCCUAUUUCAAAUUUUCCAAUUUUCAUGUUUUCAGAGUUUCCUUUUUUUUUCCUAUUUUCCAAGUUUCCUUUUGUCCAAUUUCAAAUUUUCCAAUUUUCCAAGUUGCUUUAUUUUCCAAUUACCCAAAUUUCCUAUUUUCCAAGUGUCCUUUUUUCCUUUUUCCAAUUUUCCAAUUUUCCAAGUGUCAUGUAAUCCUAUUGCCUAGUUUCCUCUUUCCAAUUUUUCCUUUUUUCCUAUUUCCAAUUUUCAAUUUUCCAAAUUUCCCAAAUUUCCAACUUUCCAUUUUUUCGUAUUUCCGAUUUGCCAAUUUUCCUUUUGUUCUAUUUCCAAUUUUCCAAGUUUCCUUAUUUCCCAUUCUCCAAGUUUUCACUUUUCCUAUUUUUCAAUUUCGCUAUUUUCCAAUUUUCUGUUCUGAAAUUCGCAAUAAAUGCUUAGUUACACAGUCCUAUUUUGGGUUGAAAUCCACAAUUUUCAAUUUCCCAUUAAGGUUUGCUUUUUUGUCGUUUGGAAGCCAAUUUUAUUGUUGUUAAUGUAAUGUUGUACUGUUGUAAAUUACAGCCAAUGAGUUAAUGAUGUAGUUUGCAAUCCCAUCAAUUGAAUGCACCAACUAAAUACCCAAUAUACUUCAUAUAAGUUCGUACAUAUAACUCAACCUUCCUAUACAGAACUGCAACAGAGGCACCUUCUUAACGGGAAAGGUAAUUAGUCUUACUAAAACGCAAAUAUUCUCCACUACAGCUAACCAAUUGUCGUUUACAACUGGAGACUGAAUCUACCUUUAUUUGUUUUGUUGCAGGCAACAGCUGUGAAUUGUCCCCGGCAAUACUUAAAGAUGUCGGAUGUACGCCCUCCAAAUGAGCAUGUCACAGUUACCCGGGGGACCAGCCGUGGCAUGUGCCAUUCCCAUCUCCACCUCGGACUCCCAAUCAUGAUCCCACUUCAUCUGGAAGUGAGGCUGAGAGCAAUGAUCCGCUUGACAAAAUCUCUGCCGUCAAGCACCACCUCCAAUAUAUGUCAAAGGCAACGGAUUGGUGGGAGAGUAAGUGCGAUAUUCAUGGCCAAGUUAUGGGAAACUUGGCCAACAAGUUGAACAAAGCAUACGCUGGAGAGGUGAAGCAAACUCUAAAAGCAAAAAGUCGGAGCAAAGAGUUAGAGUCCUUGAAGUUGAAAUUGGAAGAGAGAAAGAAAAAUGCUGUCGAAAAAUUCACACAAUCUGAAGAAUAUAACCAUGAAAUGGUUGAAUGUUUCAACAACGGCUUUGAAAUGUUCCGAGAUUAUGCUUCGGUCAUCUCACCAGACUACAAUUGGAGUGAAAUUGAUGUAGCUGGUGUUUGGCAGGUGCUGAAUAUGGGUGCUGAGGGAAUGGCUCAUCAUAGCCUCGUGCAUGCAGCAAGGAGAAAGGACAAAGACUUGGAUCUUUUGAUGGACCUGUAGUAACAGUGAGUGCUGCUUCAGUUCAACUCACCUGAGUACAUGGAUCUUUUGUUGCCUUCAUUUUCCCUUCGCAGGCUAGUAUUGUUAAGGUUCGGUGGCGAUUUCUUUUGCAUGUGUAAAAUGUUGUCUGUAAUGUGUAUGUAUUGUAUGUAGAUUGACUUAAUAUUGUAGUUCUAUUGUAUGUAUAUUGCCUUAAUAUUGCCUUUGUAUAGCAUAGAUAGUGUAUGCAUAUUGCCACCGUAUUGGAUGUAUAUUGUAAAACUAUUGGUAUCGUAUUGCCCUUAUAUUGCUCUAAUAUUGCCUCUAUAGUGCACCUAUAUUGACCUAAUAUUGCUCUUAUAUCGUAUGUCAAUGGCAUGUGCUCUAAUAAGUCUCCAGUUCGUUGAAAGUAAUCCUGAAUUCAAAUAUGAUGGACAAGACAAUUGUUAUCCAUCCUUAUAUUACCAUGAAUUGAUUUGGACCUUUCAAAUGAUAGUUGGAGUUGCACAUGGAUUCAUAUUCAAAAGGAAAGUAAUUCUCUCCCUCAAUGAAUUGUCGUUCAAAAGAAGGCAGCUAUCAAAUUUUGGGUACAAAAAGGCAACAUCCACGGUAAAUUAAUUGGGCACAAACCACAUAUUACAAAACCAGGAUGAUUUUUGGCAUGCUUCAAAAGAGAAGGGCCAAAUACAACAGAAAAGAAAAUCCAUUCAAGCUUGUACAAUAGAAUGCACAAUAACCCUUUUACAUGUCCUUCCAACACCAGUGUUUUGCCUACUUUAGAGUCGCAGGAGGAGAGCUUAUUGCCAUUGUGCAAUUCGAGGGGGCAGUCAAUUUGGAAUGGUGGCAUAAACAUGUUUACUCCACGGAUCACCUAUAUGGGACAGAGCUUCCUUCUUCCCUUGUCGUCUGUAGGUUUCAACUUCACACUUUUUAUAUACAUGUAUGAGAACUUGUGGCUAUUUAUUUAUGGCCUUCUAACACUUGUUCUGCCAUUCCAAAGUGGGUUGGAGACUUUUUGAGUUGAAUGACUGGAAAGACUUCAGAUGACAGAAACUAGAGAGUUUGAAGAAAAAGGGUUACCAAGAACAGCAGUCAUGCCCACGACAUAAACUAAACAUGCUAUAAGCUCCACAGUAAUAUUUACUUCAUCUCCAUAAUCAGAAUAUUGGGAAAAAAAUACCACGGAGAAAUACGUGAAAUGAAAAACAACUCGGCAGUUACUGUGAGAUUGUGUACAUAAAACUUGGAACAACCAAACCAAUUAAAGCUAAGCCAUCUCAUACGUAUACCUACAUCAAAUAACAGUGUAUGGUCAUCUUGUUUAGAAUAUUGCAAUCAACACUUGGUUGAGACCGACCUGCAAAAACAACUGGGUUAAGUACAGAUGAAGCCAUUUAUGAAGGGCAGUUCCAGAAUUAAGACCUACGUUAAUUUGUAACUGCCACCGAAUCAGUUCAUAGUGCCAAAUGCAUCUACCAAGCACACAGAUAUGACCAGCCAAAAGAAAAAAAAGCAAAGUAAAAAAGAUAAAAGAGGCAUGCCAUAAAUGGGAACCUCAGCAGAAAUCAUCAGAUAUGCAUACAAGCAGAUUGAGUAACAUCUCACUAAGUAGAGGUCAUGUUGGUAAUCGCAUGUUGUGUUUGCACACAGACAUUUGGUUUUUGCAAACACAACAUGCAAUUGCAUUCCAUGAUGUGUGUGUUGUGUUUGCACACAGACAUUUGGUUUUUGCAAACACAACAUGCAAUUGCAUGAUGUGUGUGUUGUGUUUGCACACAGACAUAUGGUUUUUGCAAACACAACAUGCAAUUGCAUAUUGUGUGUGUUGUGUUUGCACACAGACAUAUGGUUUUUGCAAACACAACAUGCAAUUGCAUAUUGUGUGUGUUGUGUUUGCACACAGACAUUUGGUUUUUACACACACGAUAUGUAACAUUUAGUUUUACCCUUUUAUUCUUAUUUUCUUCGUUCAAACAUGGUGGUGAGAAAAGCACCAAACCAUCCCAUCAUAUAAAGCAAAACUCAUACAAUAUUUUAGAUGCAAAAGUUAUAUAUUUUAUAUAAAUGCAUCAUCCGCAUGGCUUGAAAUUACAAAUUCACGUUCACAUAUUACUUUUCACAAGCGCACAGACUAACAAUAAUAAUAAUCAACCAAGUAGUUGCGACAUUCAUCCUAUUACGUCCAUAUUGAUAAUGUCAGAAGUUUCAUCGAUAAGCCUCAUCAAACUACAAGUUUUUUAAUUUGAAUUAUGAAUUCAGAACUAAAAGCUCAUGAUAUGCAGAAAAUGACAUACAUUGUCCACAAUCGACUUUUCGAUAUAUUUCUGCUCUAGCAAUUUAUCGUCCAAAUUCUGGACUCUCUGUGUCAGGUGCUUCUUUGUGUUCUAUCCAGCAUAAGAAUAUUUAAUAGUGUGAUUUCAAUUGUUUAUACAAAUUCUAUAAGUAAUAUUGAUGAGUGCUGUAAAUCUAUUUGAUAUUGGGAACAAACAUGGUCCCACUAACAGAAACUCAAACAAAACAGGAAUUUUUUUUUAUUUUUUUUGGCAUAGACAGCCGAAAAGAAACUUACAGCAAUAGCCUCUGUCACGCUCUCCAGACGUUUAUGCAAUUUUGAAACAGCAGCAUUCAUACUACGCUUUGUCACAUACAGAAGAUCUGAGAAUUUUAGACCCUAACCAUUUGUGAAGAGCAAAUAUUAGAUUUGCUUAAAGAAGACAACAACUCACAGAACCAAUGGAUGAAAUAAUAUGAACAUAAAUAUAUCAUUUGGAUACCUUCCACCACAUGUAACCAUAACCCAAUGCCCCCAAGGUAGCUGUUGGCAUUAUUAGUGAUGUCAAACCUAUUAAAAAAAUCAAAAAAAAAAAUAUAACCAAGUAUAAAAUGUUUCUAUUGCAUUAUGAAAUACAUACGUGUAAGGAAUUAAUCGUUUUACAACUUAACCAAAAAGUCAAGGCAGGAGCAUGCAUUCAUUGAGUGGUUAUAAGCAAGAGGAAAAAGCACAAAGCAUGCUAAGAAUUCAUUUGAACACAGAAGAGAAAGUAAGCUACCUUGGAAUUUGGCUGUCAUUCCCCUUCAGGACGGCUCUCUGUAGUGACGAGUCUAGUUGUCGGACCUCAGCUGCCAGUCGGCGCACCUAAAACAAAGUAACACAGGAAAAUUGAUAUCCAUUACAAAAAACAAAAAUUGAACACGAGAAAGCAUCCUUCGACACUAAAUUUAUAGCAGUUUUUCCAAUACCUGUGAUGCGAUCGCAUAAAAGUCACCUUCUGAUUGUUCUCCGGUUCCAUUGAACAAAGGCUGCAAACAAAACAGAAAUAGACACAAAUCCAUCAAUUUUUUGAGCAACAAGACACAAGCUCCGAAAUAAAUAAACUAUCUAACUGAUCAAAACCCUAGUUUACCAAAUGCAUUACAAAAUUAAAAACUCAUACAAAAAUAACACCAAAUACAAAUGUUCUGCGAGUUCCACUAGCAAAGCAGAGUACAAAUCAUGAAAAUGGUACCUGAAGUUCACCGAUCAAUUCAGAUAAUUGACCAUUCUUACGCAGGAUGGUGCUCGUAUACCCUGUAGAAAGAGAACAAUCACUCAGAUCAAAUGUAGCUAAAUACACAAGGAAACUAAUCCAGUAUGCAAGAUGAAAGAGGAGUGAUUGGUACCUACUCCAGCGAAGAUCAGCAAACACAGUAUGAGGUUCCAAAUUCAAAUAACAACAUAAUGCUAAGCAGAGAAGUAGAAUUGCUGCCGAAAUUAUUUAAAACGAACUAAGUCAAAACUAAAUGGAGAAAUGUUAACAAAGUUGUAUGCUUCAGUAAGUCCAGUAACAGAUUCCCAAAACCACAGAGACAAAAUGUGAACAAUGGCUACAAAAGCAUCCAUAAAGAGCAACUAUGUUUAUAUAUGGAGGUGUACAAAAUAGUUAACCUUCAAAAUCGAAACAGUGUGUGUGCCAUGUAAGGCAAUUAGCCACUGCUUCUAGACUAUACAAUAUUACACCUCACAAUAAUAACUAAACCAACUAGCUCUAGCAAAAAGGCAGGAUGACCAUAUAAAGUACCCCCAGCAAAGCAUCUACGUCUGCAUCUUCAUAUCAAGGAGUUCCUGACAUAAGUAAUGAGCAAAGUGAAUUCCCAAGUCAUAAGUCCAGAAUGAGGUGAAUUCACGGACAUUAAAACAUUUACCUCAUAAAUAUGCCUCCCCCCUUAAACCCUCAAUUGCAAGCCUCAGCCGGUAAUAUUUGAUCUUCAAAGGGUCAACUUUAUCUACCGAAAUCCCAGCACUGAGAUGCUCGAUGAAUUUGACGGUCAUGAUUCCGCAAGACGUACUGUGAGACCAAUAAGUUGGGAAAUUAGAACUGCAGUUAUGUAAGAUUUGGAUAAACUGCACUAAAUUCACAAAGCUUACCCAUCUCGUUGUUGUGGCACAUCUGCAAUGCUGCAAACUGAGAAUGGCGUAAACGUCAACAUCUUCAGCCCCUUUUGCUUAACCUUUUCAACCUCAGAAUCUUCAUAAAAGUGCAUAUCGUACAGCACUCGUGCCAGCGUAUCGCUAAUAGGGUGCAGAAGUGUAACCAGCUUCGAACAUUUGGUAAAAGCAACAUAUGAGUCAUACACAGUUGCAGUAUGUCAGACGAAAUCAAUUUCGAUUGCAACCCAGUAAGACCCUUUAAGAUUAUAUGGAAUAUAGACCUUCCGGACUUUUGUCCAAGCUUGGCCAUACCCGUGUUGCCACGUACCGCGUACAAAGUAAUGUAUAUUCUGCAGCUUGCUGGGUGGAAGGUCAACGGUGUUUGAAGCAACUGCCUUCUUCGAUCCACGUUUCUUGGCAGUCGGUUUGAACGGAUCUAGAAAUUGCUGCAUAAAUUGAAAUGAAGGCAUAUUAGAAAAUCACAACCGAAAGCAAAUGAAGCAGCGAAUGUAACAUGGUAACAUGUUUACCUGCAAGCAACAAUCUGCUGUUGUCCAGUCAGUUCCAAAUACCAACGGAUGAGAGAGUUGCCUUUUCCAGAUAAGAAAGGUUGCCAUGUCCAGGUGCUGAAAGUUGACACACAUAAUAUCAGCACAAUUUCAUACAACUGUACACUUAAAAAAGGUGAGAAAACAAUUUAAUUAUCGCAAUAAAGUAGAGCUUUGUGUAUUCUUACCCUUGAGCUAAUCCAUUCCGUUUCAUCGAUAAGUCUGUAGAAAAAAUCAGCGCCCACUGAAAAUAAUUCCAGCUGCACCUCCGCACUACAAAAGGCAAACUUGCAAUGGUUACUUUUAUAGUCAUCUCAUAAUUCUGACUUUGUUGAUGACAAAAAUACACAUGUAUAUUAAAGCAAACUCUACGUUUUCUCAUUAGUCUAUGACUACAUACUAGAAUAGGAUGAAGAUUGGAAUUCAAAGGUAAAGAAUCCUAACCUGAUAUCGUUUUUCCAGGCAGUACAAAACUCUAUUACUGCCUUCACAUCUUCAAUGGGCACGGAUUUUGAUGGAUCAAAACAUGGCGGGGUUGCAGUCGCAGCCAACACACUCAUCGUCCUCUUCUUCCUCAAAGGAUCAGUAAAUGGGCUCAACAAUGUCUGCGCCGGGCGCUUCUGUCUGCACCCUUUACCUUCCACUUCUUUUUUUUCCACACUCGAACUACCUUCUUCAUCACCAGCCAUACUAACUGUGGGUAGACUUGGAGGAUUCAUCGGACCUCCCGAUGGCAUACUCUUAGUCACUUUCCAAUCUUCUAACAGAGACAACACUUUUUGGCAGAUUUCGUCACACCCGGCCACAUCUUCCGGGGUAGGCAGCUUCUCGGAUUGUGCCUGCUCAGCUGCUUCAUGCACUUGUAAGUGAGGAACUGAAGCGGCCAUUUCUGCCUCUUCGACUACCAUGGCUGCGGAAGGUUCGGCUCCAUCACCGGGAACUUGUGUUUCCAUUACCGCCGGUUCUGUAGGCGGACUAACAUGGUCAUGUAAUGGCGACAAGUGAUUGUCGCCUCCUUCAUUCAUAUGAGGACUACUGAGGUCCUCAUGUCCUUUCCCACCUUCAUUCACCCCACCAUUUCGUUUUUUCAGCUGCUCUAUCUCCACAUUAAAAUAAUGCUCCAUUAAAGCCAGGGUGUUGCGGAAAUCCUCCACACACUUUUUAUUUUUUUCGAACUCUCUUUCAACUUUCAAUGACUCCUUCCGUACCAUGUCUUCCAACUGAUGCACUCUGUUGCGAAGCGCUCGAUUUGAUAUGGCAACUUUGGCCAAUUCAUCCUUUGUCCUUUGAAAGUCACGCUUCAAAGUGCGUAACUCUCUGGACGCGACUGUACCCUGCAUUCAGUUAUAAUGCAAGUGUUACAAUAUUUUCAAAAUAUAUUGCAACAAUACAGCAGUUAUUUUCCUAUUGUAUUAUGACGUAUAUCUUGGAAAAAAAUGUAAUGCUUGCCUUAGAAGACGACGGAAGGCUAGCAGUUUCGUCAAUGUCCUUAUCUUUUUCUUCUACAGAGGCAGAAGUGCUGGUUUUUUGUUCAGCGUCAUCGCCAAACAACUGAACAAGUUCUUCAGUGUCGUCAACACUGUCACCCCAAGUCCAAUACGGCUGCUGCUUGUCGAUUACAGAUGGCCGGAGAAGUUGCACAUCAACCUGCAAUUUACACAUACAAUAUACAUAUCAGUAAACUUAUUAUAUUAUAUUUUCAUAUGCCUAACAUUAUCAUUAAAAACUUAACUAACCUCACGGUUCUCGAAUACUUGGCUCAUUAGCUCAUAAAAACACGGCGAACUAUUGCUCCUCCAAUGUAGUAAACGAGGGAUGUAGGCAUUAUCUUCGUGCACCACCAAAUGUAGUGCAGCCAACGCUGGAAAAACCUCAUAAGCCCAAAUCUGGUUUGAGGAAUAAAACGUGAGUCACUGUAAACAAAUGAAAUUUAACUUCAACAUGAAUGGAAAUUUGCUCACCUGAAGUGCAUAGGCAAAACCUUUGAGGUGGUACUCUCUUGGUCUACCAGUUGCCGUUGUUUUUGCUUUCUUUUCAGAUUUUUUUGUUUUUGCAGCUUUUUUGGGCACUUUCACUCGCUGGUAAUCUGUACAAAGUGCCCUCAGAAGUGACACAAUUGUCUUGGCAUAACACACAGCACCCCAUGGAUACUUCCCAAACUCUUCAAGGUCUUCCACCAACUUCAAAUAUCGCAUGUCAAUCUGGACAUGUUUUUCACUGCCCAACAGCACAAACACAGCAAAGUAUACAAAUCUGAGCUUCAAUACAUCGUCCGCAUCAACGCAUUUGAGGAAGGCCUUUUCUAAUUCCAAAACAUUGACAGUUUUAUAGUUGCCAAAGUACUUCCUUUUCAAUGAGCAGUUCUCAUUAGUGGGAAUCGGAAUAAAGGGAAGGUUUCCAAACCUUAGCCCUGUCACGAUGCAAAAUUGCUGCGCCGUGAAUUGGAUCACCUUAUUGCCAACGAUGAAUUUGAUCCCGUUGAGUUGGGAAACUGUCUUUGGAUCAGCUUUCCUCAGCAGCAAGCCGUGGACAAUUGGCGAAGUCCACUUGAGGUCCUCAAUCAGUAGGAGAUGCCCAAAACAACUCUCUUCAAACCUUUGUAGCUGUUGUUCACUGAAUUUCUCCUUUAUCGUGCUGAUUGCAGUCUUCGUAUGGGAUAGGGACAAUGCUUUUCCUUGGAACUUUUCUUCCUCUGCAAUCAUCAACUUCAUUUGAGCAACCAUCUUUCCCUGCAUGCCAAUAUUAUAAAAAAAAAUUCAGUCCGUUGCAAUCUAGACAAUAACAAGCAAUAAACAAUCAGCACUUAUCUACAGCCUAUUAUAGGAUAUUAAGUGAAAACAAAAAAACAAAAAAUACAGGGCAUAAACAAAACCCCAGCUAUUUACAACUGACCUACUAAUUCAAUAGCUCAAAGCCACAUCCCAAGACACCCAGUACUCUACCACUCUUGCAUAAUAUAAUAUCUAAAGACACAUCUCAACACACCAGAUAAUCAUGACACAGCUUCAGCUAGAAUGGGAAUGUGCGGUAGCACAAGCCUAAUUGAGAACAAUUCAAGACUAACGAUAGAAAUCUAUCUGACUAGAAAGAGUUUUAAAAAAACAAGAAGACAUCGGGAAAGAAUUGAUUGACUUCAAGGUAUAAUGUAAUGGAACAUCCUAUGAAUUAGUGGCAACCAUAAUAAUGACUCCACUAUGGCCCUCCUUUCAAAUGUAAGAAAAUGAAUGAAAUUGGCACCAUCCCUUCAGUUUUUUCUUAACAAAAUAAGAGAUUUGUAUGUAUUCUCUGCUUUAUCGAUAUCAAAGAUAAAUUAAUAAAUAAACCAUCAAAACUGUAUAAAAUGUUUGUUAGACAUGUACAAUUACAAAAUUAUAAGUUCUCCUCAGAAACAAAGUUCUCUAAGUACGCAAACAAGAAAAGCAAAAGCUUAAAGAGUUAGCUUAUAGCAAAAUCAAUGUCCCCAUUUCUCUAAACCACACCUGCUGGUGGUAGGUUCCCAUCUUCACUCAUUUCCCGCUUUCUUUUAAACAGACAAUGAUCAAGCACAAAAGAGCAAACUUUUAAAUAACUCAUAUUACACCACAAAUAGUUCUAAAGAAAACUUAUUCAUAUCCAAUAUGCAACCCCUAAAGUUAGUAAACAGAGUUAUAAAAAAAUAUGUCAAAUUAACAAGCAUUAUUCUCAAACAAAAAGUAUGAUAUGGUUGGGAGUUUACAAGUUCAAAAUGAUAUACACAGGUUAAUUGUCUUAGACUUUAGAUAUCAUCUUCAACAAAGAAAAUAGAUACCGAUUAGACUUGUAAGAAGGUUAAAUGCAAUGGUCAUAAAGACCCAUAGUAAGCCACCAAAUACCAAUCAAUAACUGCUAUAAAAACCAUAAUAAAACCAUAAUAAACUAAAAAUACAACAGCACUAAAAUGCCAACACAACAUCACUACAUUAGCAAUAUAGUAGCAACAAAACCACAAUACGACAUCAAUAGCAACAGCAAAACAACAGCAGUGCAAGCAUCAGUCCACAAAGAACAAACCCAUUCACUGUUUCAAACAAGGAAUCAUCAUACUAAGAUCAUUUCAGAGAAACCCCAAAACCAAUUUCAGUGAAACCCCUAAACCAAUUUCAGAGAAACCCCUAAACCAAUUUCAGAGAAACCCCUAAACCUUCAACCAAUUUCGAACAAAUCCCUGAACCAAUUUCAUAGAAAUGCAUAAACCCUAAACCAACUUCAAAGAAACCCUAAACUGUAAGAAAAUGACGAUGAACAGUACCUGUUCAAGGUGAACGAUGGAGUUGAGCUUCGAUGAACAAAUUUCGCUCGGAGAGGAAGAGAGAAGAGAGAGUCAGAGCUGAGCGACGAGAGAUUAAGGGCUGAGCGACGAGAGAGUGAGAGCUGAUCGACGAGAGAUGAGAGAGUGAGAGCAAAGUGACGACAGAGUGAAGAGAAAUUGAGAGAAGGAGCCAAGAGAGAGAGCUGAGAGAGAACUUCAGCAAAACUGAUAGAGAACUUCAGCAAAAGUGAUAUGUGUACAAUAAGGGGACAAUAAAUAUAUAUUUAUAGGUUAUAGUUCCAAAUUUUUUUAAAAAGAGUGGUAUUUUCAGUUACAAUUAUAAAAAUGGUGGCAUUUUGAGCUAUUUCCUUAUUUUUUAUUCAACAUGGACGCAGAAACUGUUGCUAAACUGCAAACUUCUUAAAAUAUUUGUCUCACUUUCUCAACCCUAUAUUUGUCUAACUUUCUAGAUCCAUGUACUGAGAUUUAUUAGGGAAAUAUUGUAGAAACUGAUUAUUUUGAAAUAUUAAAUGUGAAAAACUGAACAAAAAUUUGAUGGGUUACAUAUUUCAACUCAUUUCAGCAGCUUAGAUUUUGAAGACCUCGGAAGAGGCCAUGCAGUGAGCCUAGCUAGUGCACUGUUGAUCACUUCAGUGUCUACCGAUCUGUAAUUUUUCCAGAUUGGUUAUAUUUUCCUUUACAUAUUCUUAUAUUAUUCCCAGCUGUAAGUGUUUUACACACUUGUCUAUUAGAAAAGGGGAGACUUAUAAAUAAAUCCAAAAUGGGUACAGUAUUUAUAAAGAAUGACAAAAUUAAAGUGUUUGGGCAAUAAUGCCCUUAUUCAUUUUGAGAUUGCCUAAGGAAUAUUUUUUCUGAUUUUCAGAAGAUGCCAAAGGACCGUUGUUUGAUGAUUGCCGUAAGGAGCUAAGAAAACUUGCUUUGAUAGUUUUGGACAGAUGCAUGCUACUGUUGCUGGGAUGAUCUCUUCACGUGAAAUGAGGAUGAUGAUGCUUCUACACUACACAAUCCAACGAAUUCACAUGUCUAUUUCAGAUACAAGUAUAAACUAACAAGGCUUUAAAAUAUGGGCUGAUGCACUGUUGUUGAUGUUGCUGACACUGUUACUGUGUUGUUGAUACUGUCACUGCGUUGCUGUUGGAAAAAGCACAAGGACUUCACAUGUUGCUUUCGUCUUUUGUGGAGGAGAGAGACCUAGGACUUGCAUGUCUUAGAUAUUUAAGAUAAGGGGCUUUCGUUCCAUUUUGAAAAUACUUUGGGUGUUUUUGAAAGGUGAUUGUUUCUUUUGGGUUUCUCACUAAAUUUCGCUUUAGAAGGGAAAAUAAUAAUAAUAAUGUCAAACAAAGUAGGGUAAAUAUUCAGAUAUGCUCAUAUUAUUAUUCUUCUCCAAUAUUGAGGUAUUUAUACAAGUACAAAGAUGUGUUAACCCUAAAUAAAAUAGGAAAUAUAUCUAAAUUAUAAUAGGCAGUAAAUCUCUAUUACAAUAGGACUAAAUAAUAAUUGGUAAGUAACCAAAAUUCUAAUGAAAUAAGGAAUCAAAAUCCUAACUAAGUAAGGACUCGCCAACACUCCCCCUCAAGUUAGGGCAAACAUAUUUCGCAUGCCUAACUUGACAAGCGAGUCAUAGAACACCAUACUUGAGAAGCACCAAUUGUAGAGAAGGUCUUUUCGUCAACCACGAGUGAAACAAGUGACAAACUAAAGCAAAGUUCGCAGCGGAAACACAAGAGCGAAUCCUAAAAAAUAGGGCACAUAGCAGAACACAAAAAUCCUGGAGCACGACAGUAGAUAAGGCAGAACACAGAAACCCUGUUAGCACGGCAAUAGGUAAGGCAGAAAAAGUCAAGAGCAAAGGCAAGGUCAACAGGCGUGACCACAACGAAAACACACCAGCAAAGACAUGAGCAACAAUAUUAGCACCAUAAUAGACAUGAGCAACAAUACUGGUACCAACAACAGCAAUACAAGGCACUGGCACCAGCAAGAGCAACAAGGCAUGGACAUAACAUGCAUAAUCAAUAGUAAUCAACAUUGUCCCCAACAAGAGUCAUAAUAGGCAUGAGCAAUAACAUUGUCCCCACUAAGAGACUUAACAGGUAUGAGUAACAGUACUGGCACCAGCAAAGGGCAUAGUAGUCAGCAGCAAUAACAAUGACAAAUACUUCUAUUAUUGCAGAGACAACUUCUCUUCACUCCCCAUCUCCCCUUGAAGAGAAGGGGUCAUCGGAACCAUAAGAAAAGUGGCACUUAAGAAACAGAAGUUGACUGACGCUCAAAUGUAGAAGAAUCAGCCAUGGCAAAUAGGUAGCUGAAUUGCAGCGGAAUAGAUGAGCAGCGGUGUCACUCCCCCUCAUAUCUGAUAAUGUAUGAGAGUCGAGAUUUGGAGAAAGCAAUAUCGAAAAAUAAAGUUGCAGAACCCAAAUAAAGUUGCAUCUAUCUCCCCAUCAAAUCCGACACUGGUAAAGGGUCGAGAUUUGAAAGAGGAGAAAUUGAAAUAAUAGUAAAGAGACUCAAACAUGCAGUCUCAUGGCAGAAACAAAUGCAAGAGGGGAAGAUGGUAGCAUACGGUUGUCCCAUGAAGAAAAAACUUCAGAAAAGGAGAAUAGUAAGGGAGGAAACCUAGCAAAUCAUGAACAGAGACAAAGACAAAGAUGCUCAAACUGAGAAGCGGAAAGGCAACUCAAGAGAGCAACCGAAGAAGACAGAGGCCCGCAGAACAGUCAAAGUUAAGGCUCGGCGAGUGGUGACGAUGCUCGCGGAGGAAAGCAACGGCUCGGUGAGCGGUGAUGAGGCUCACGGAGUAAAGAGACUUGUUAUGAAGUUUCAAAGAUAGAGAAGCUGAGACAUCAAGAAAGACCAUCUGGCAUACAAAGAUGAAAAAUAAAAAUUUUGGAACAGUAGCAAAGAAGCAUGUGAAGGCUGGUGCGGUGAAAACACAUAUGAAAGGAUGAACAAAAGAAGAUGACUAUACAAGAUGAAGACCCAUGAUGGGUUAGGAAUGAGGAGUGCCAACGACUCUCAAUUUGGCAGAGGUUAUCGCAGGUUAGGAACCUGGCUCUGAUACCAUGUCAAACAAAGUAGGGUAAAUAUUCAGUUAUGCUCAGAUAUGCUCAUAUUAUUAUUUUUCUCCAAUAUGGAGAUAAUUAUACAAGUACAAAGAUGUGUUAACCCUAAAUAAAAUAGAAAAUAUAUCUAAAUUACAAUUGGAAGUAAAUCUAUAUUACAAUAGGACUAAAUAAUAAUUGGUAAGUAACUAAAAUUCUAAUGAAAUAAGGAACCAAAAUCCUAACUAAGUUAGGACUCGCCAACAAAUAAUAGUACAACUCUUAUUAGCAACAGGUUACAAACUUCUUCUACAACACACCAACAUGAAUCUAGCCCUGAUCCACUCUUUUACAUACUUGAAAACAAAACAAAACACGAAAAACAAAAAACAAGAAACAAGAUAGGGAGAAAAUGGCUACGGAGAGACUUCCUGCUAAUCAGGGGCGGCCCUGGGGUGGUGCAAGUGGCGUCACCGCACAGGGCCCCCGAUUCUUAAGGGCCCCCAAAAAAUAAUUCUUUAUAUUAUAUAUAUAUAUAUUAAUAUUAUAUGAAUCGUAUAUAAAGUAUAGCGUCUGGAUGAUAAAGAGACUCAUUAUCAUUAUCUUAGUCAUAAGAUUCAAAAUGAAUUGAUACUUUUGUUAGCUUCUGAGCUCAAAAGUGCAAUCAUUAAAAAGAUUGAAGAAGCUAAAUAUUUUUCUGUGAUUCUUGAUUGUACUCCAGAUGCUAGAAACCAAGAACAAAUGAGUUUGAUAGUAAGAUGUGUGGAUGUCUCUACUAAUUCAAUAAAGGUUGAAGAAUUCUUUUUGGAAUUUUUGAUUGUGAAUGAUACAACAGGACAAGGACUUUUUGAAGAGUUGCAAACGGUGUUGCAAAAACUUAAGCUUGAUAUUGAUAAUGUGAGAGGACAAGGCUAUGACAAUGGAUCAAAUAUGAGUGGGAAAUAUCAAGGUGUCCAAAGAAAAUUUUUGGAUGUAAAUCCUAGAGCAUUGUACACACCUUGUGGUUGUCAUAGUCUUAAUUUAACACUUUGCGAUAUUGCAAACUCUUGUGGAAAAGCAAAAGAUUUUUUUGGAAUCAUACAACGUAUUUAUACAUUGUUUGCUAAUUCUACAAAGCGGUGGAAGAUAUUGAAAGAUAAUGUUAAACACUUAACUCUGAAAUCAUUGUCAGUUACACGUUGGGAAAGUCGUAUUGAAAGUGUGAGAGCAAUAAGAUUCCAAGCUGCAGAUUUAAGAGAAGCUUUACUUCAGUUAGCAGAAAGUGACGGUGACUCCAAAAUAACAAGUGAAGCUAAUUCUUUGGCAACAUAUGAACUUGGAAAUUUUGAGUUCUUAUUGGGCAUGGUUAUUUGGUAUGAUAUAUUAGGUGGUGUCAAUGUAGUGAGCAAAAACUUACAAUCUGAAGACAUGCUUAUUGAUGUUGCUAUUGAUAAAGUGAAAGGGUUGAUUACUUUUUUUUUGAAAAGUAUAGAGAAAAUGGGUUUACAGAAGCUAUGUGUACUGCUAAAAAAAUUGCUACUGACAUGGGAAUUGACCCGGUGUUUCCUGAGAAGCGAAAAAUUCGUAGAAAAAAACAUUUUGAUGAGAAUACUUGUGAGCUAUCCCAAUCAGUUCCUGAAUCAACUGAAGAAAAGUUUAGAAUUGAUUAUUUCUUGUAUUUAGUGGACCAAGCUAUUGGUUCUUUACGAAGAAGGUUUCGACAAUAUCAAGAGUAUGAGAAUUUUUGGGUUUUUGUUUACUUCAGAGAAGUUAAAUUCAUUGGAUGAUUGCGAUUUGAAGAAUAGUUGCAGUCAUCUGGAAAGCAUUUUGAAAAAUGACAAGUUUUCUGAUGUCGAUGGGGAGGAUUUAUUUGUUGAGUUGAAAGUUUUACAAGAGCUUUUACCAAAAGUAAAUACCACAGCUACUGCAAUAUUAAAUUUCUUGAAAAGAUUAAAUUGUUUUCCAAAUGCAUUCAUUGCAUAUAGAAUCCUAUUGACUAUUCCUGUUACUGUUGCAUCUGCGGAAAGAAGUUUUUCAAAAUUAAAAUUGUUAAAAUCAUACUUGAGAUCAACUAUGUCGCAAGAAAGAUUAAAUGGACUAGCUUUGAUUUCAAUUGAAAGUGAACUUCUUGAAAAACUUGAUUAUGAACAUUUGAUUGAUGAUUUCUCUUCUAAAAAUUCAAGAAGAUCAAUUUUCAGACAUUAGUAUUGUACUAGCUGUGUUUUUUUUUUUCUUCUAGGGUAAAAGCUCUCAUAAUAAUUUUAAUUCUUCAAAUAAGACAGCAAAUACAAUGUGAUGAAUUUUGGAUAAUCAGGUAUGUUUUUGUUGUUGCUUUUGUGUUUAAUGCAAUAUAAUCUAAUUUUUUUAAUGACAUUUGUGUGCAACUACUCUUUGAUUUGUGAUUGCCAAUUUUUUUUUCUUUCUAUUAAACACAGAUUGCUUAUUGGAGGCAGCAAGAGACCUUAUAGGGGCACAAGGAGCUUAUUUUUGUACAAAACAUUUAACUUUAUCAAAUGGAAACAUUUAAAUUUUUAUGAAUUUGAUUUCUGAUUGUCAUUGCAUAUUUAUUGAUGGUGAAUUUUAGUUAUAAAAAAAAAAUUGUUUAUGACAUUAAGUUAUGGCAAAUUUUUAUAGUAUUUUCGUAUUAGAUUAUGCGAGGUCCCAAUUUAAGUUUCGCACAGGGCCCUCAAAAUCUCAGGAACGGCCCUGCUGCUAAUACUUGAUCAAUAACAGAGAUAAUAGAGCACACUGUUUGUAUGACAAUGAGUAUCAGAAGAAUAAUAGCUGCAAAGAGAGAAAUAGCUGCCCAAGGUGUGUUGAAAUACUUUUGUCUCAAAUUUGCCUUCCGUCUGUUCGUGGUCUUCUUGCAGUACUCGUUUAGUUUGCCAGCAAGAUCACCAAAAUAGUAGUUUCCGUGGUUCGGAGCAACUUUACUGCAAAGCUUGUUAAUCAUAAUGGAAACCUUAUUGUUGUCACCUAGCGUGUUUACAACAAUUCCAUUGUCAACAAGCAACUCUACAUCCUUUGGGGUGUUUACAAAUUUAUCCAGGAUGAAAACAUAAUCGCUUAUGUAUUUAUCCACGCAAUGGCCUUGUUCAAAGGCAAUGAGAUUUCUAUGUGUAAGCUGUGUAAUCAUGUAUUUCAAUUUUUGGAAUUUCCAAGGUGUUUUUCUUGAACUGUAUAUCGAAUAAGUUCUUGCUUGAUCCCACGUUAAACUUAACUCCGGCCUGGUGUAGUUUUGUCAUGCUGGGUGUACUUUGGAGCCCUCCAUUUUUUUUUCUUUUGGCAGAUGUAAAGUUCUAAUAAAAUCAACAAAAUGUAAAGGUUUUUUAGGAUCAGGAGGCAUAAAAGACUUACGGAAGGCUGGUGAGUUCUCCAAGUUUUCUAAACGCAGUGCCUGUUGGAAGAACUUGUAAGAGAGUUCAAUUAUUGAAGGCUCCCCAGUCUGAGCACCUGUGAGAUUGUAAAGAUCCUCGAGAAUGAAAAAUGGCAGCUGAUUUACGAGCAUAAGCAUGUCAGGCAAUAUAUUUUGUAGCACCCAUGGUUUUUUAAAUAUCCAAGCAUCAUCAUCCUGCAAUUUUUCUUCCUGAAAUUUUUCUUCGGAUUUAUUCCUCAACAAUAGCUCAAUGACAAAGGCGGCAUCAACUAGAAUGAUAUUCACAAAAGUAGCAAUGUUAAACUUCUUAGGGCUAGUUUGGCGGCGUUGUGCUUUUAAAAAAAUAUGCUUCUGCUGUGCUGUGAAAAUAAUUAGCUGUGAAAAAAAGCUACUAGGCGUUUGGUAAACUGUUUUUGAAAAACUGCUGUGAGUAGUCAAAGUGUUUGGUAAAUUUUUAUCAGAAGUACUUUUAGUGUGUAUAAUGACCAAAAAGGACAUGAUGAUGAAAUUGUUUGUUAUUUUCUUCAUUCUUUUUCUACUUUAAAAAAAAAAAAAACCCAAUUUCACUACAUAAAUUUUUAUUCUUUUUUAAUUCACACCUUUUUAUCAAAAAAUUUAAUCUACAAUUAACAUACAUAUUUUACCAUAAAUUAUAAAUUACUAUUAUAACAAAAGUAAUUCUAAAUAUUGUUAUAUUAAUAUGGGCUUCGGACAUGACAAAAAUACAAAAAUUGUUCAAUUUUAAAAUGCCCCAAUAGAUCACUACAAUAUAAAAGAAGCUAAUUAGAUGCAUUCAUUAAACUUGUAGCGAUGCUAUUUCUUAAUGCAUUCAUUAGCUUCUUUUUUUGGUUUCCAAUGGUUCUCUAACAAUUUUAACUAAAAAAACAACCAUAAUGCUUUGUGAACAAUAAAUUCAAGUCCAAAUCUGCUAUUGCCCACACCAUACAUAUAUACAUAAUUGUUCCUUUCAUAAAACUUGAAGAUUCAAUAGUAAUUACACAGUUUACCAAUCUUGAUUCCAACUAUAUCCAUAAAAUUAAACUAUAAUUAGAAAUAGAGGAGCUACAUGUGAUUACUCAUAAAUGCUUCCCACUCUCAUCAUCAUCAUCAUCAUCAUCUUCCUCCUCUGUACUUUGCCUUUCACAAAUGGACAAGACCAGAUGGUAACGUACACGACAUGGUCCACAUAUAGAUAAAUUUUGGGUUCACUGGAGAACAUAAAAGAGUUUUUACACGAAUACAAAGUUAGUUAAGUAGUGAAUAAAGUAAAACUAUUCUGUACAAUUCUAGCUGAUGCAGUCCAAAAAGAAUAUAUGUCUAAUAACUUAAAUAACAAUAAAGAGAAACAAAAGCCUCAUGAAAAAUGCUAGAGUAAAAGUUACAUAACUGAAUCGAUGGACAGAGAACUCCACAGGCAGAGAAACAGCAACAAAAAUUGUCAAAACAGUAGCAAGACCAUGUUGGAGUCAAGGCCAAAGAUCAUAUUUCCUGUGUAUCUUCUUCCAUUCUGAAUUAUUCUCGUAUUCAAAUACUGUAACUCUAUUUCAAGUGCACCCCAAAAUACUUAUCUAAGGCCAGUACAUAGGACUUCAUAAAGGGUGCGAUAAAAAAUAUUGCCCCUUAAUUGAUAAACAGAACCAAGAUCCCAACAGCACACCAAAACUAUACCAACCACACCUACAUAAUAUGGACAGAAAAUCCUGUUGUUCCGAUCUCUAACCACACCAAUGACAUUCAUUAGGAAAAUACAAAAGAUGGGUACCCUGCAUUUCUAACAUUUAAGAUAAAAUUCACUGCCAGCUAAUCACAAAUUUGAAAAGAUGGCAAGAAAAUUGGCUAAGCUUUAACAAAAACCAGAGCAGUCCUUGCAUAGACCUGACUUUUUGCUCCAAGCUUUAGCAGAUCACUUACUGGUAGAGAGCAGAGAACAUGUAUGUGAAUAUCUGAAGUUGGAAGGGUAAGCCAUCACAAACACCAAGAGAUCUGAUUCUCAUCUCUUGUUACAACAACAAAUCACAAACACCAAUACAUCUGAUUCAGAAUCUCAUAAACAAUGGAGGAACAAACACAUAUUCACACACAUAUAAAUCCCUAAACAGAAAAAAUAAAAAAUAAAAAAAAAACCAUGAAAGUCAUAGGAGAAUCAAAUUGAUUUGGGCCAAAAUUGCCUAAAAAGAAAACACUCCUAAAUAAACUUCAAUUCACUUUUAAAAACAGUAAAACAUGAUUGAAUCAUUCUUUAAAACAAUUCCCUAAUAUACAUGCAUGAUAAUGACAUCAUUUACCCCUGAAUCAAAUGCCUUUCACUGGUCAAGCCACAAGUCUGUGUUUUGGGAAUUGCUGAGCUGCAUCAAUCCUGCCAAUGUAAAUUCUGCCCCUAGGCUCUCUCAAAGUGCGUUUACAACCUAUGCUAACAUAUACUAGAGUUUGUUUUAGUAUCUAGAAAAUGCCAACACUAAUUUCGUAACACGUAGAAAUUGUUACAUAUUGGAAGUUUUUAUCAUUUUUUCUUCCAGUCUCUCCACCACUCACUAAUACAGAUUACUCAUGUGAUGAGUUUACAAAACAUAUUUCUCUACUCCCACAAAGACCAUACUUUUUCUCAAAAGACUAUAUCACUUUAUCUCUAUCUUUGUGAAAUGUAAAAAGUUGAAACUUUAAUGUCAAACCUCGACAAAAGAUGAACAUCCAUCAUCAAUUACAUUGAAUUUGAAUUUGUUGAACUUAAGUAGUUUUACUUCUCUGUCAGCGUUUGAUGACUUGAUUUGUUAUUUACUUCUUCUUUUUUCCUUGGAAAUGUGUUCCAUCAACGUGAGGAAGAAAAAUAUGCACAAAUUAAUAUAUUUAAUAGAAGCAAAAAUUAAUAUUUACAAAAAUAUGCACAAAUCAAGUAAAAUUAAUAAAGCAUAAAUUGGAAAGGGAAAAUAUGUAGAGGAUGCAUUGUAGGAUUGCUCAUGCCAAUAAUUGUACCCUCUAAAUAUAUAGGGACAUAUUUUUUUUUGUUUUCAUGACAUGUGGUCCUAAAAUUAUUGUUCUUAGCGGGCUCUCCACCCCUCUCGACUGAAAACCUAUUGUGUAAAUCUUCAAUCCUGAAUGAUGCACCUAAAACUCAUGUUGCAAUACACAUCCACCCAUUCUCAGGCCAAUUAUUACUCCUAGUGGGCUCUCCACCCCCUCUCAAAUUUAAGUGGUCCAUUAUUAUUAACCGUAUAUUUUAUGGACCAGCCAGCUGUGAGGUUUUAUCUCAAAAACCUUUCUCCCACAUGCCACAAUUUAUGUCUGAUACAUCACAUCAUGCCAGUUGUCUCAAAUGAAUUUAAGUGAGUGAGGCAGUGUUACUUCUGGGUACCCCUCAUUAUUCGUCUAUAAAUUGGUGAAGCCAGUUGCUACUGUUACCAUAAGAGCCAGCUCCGACUUUCAAAAUAAAAAUUCCAACAACGGUCUUAGUGCCUUCAAUUGUAUGAGUCAUUGAACAUGCAAAUGAAUAAAAUAUGAAUGAUAAAAGUGUUUGAUAAAUCACCAAGUUAUAGAACACUUGAUGAUUUAUCUCAAAUAAAAAUUCAGCUUUCUAAAGUUUGUGAAUUGAAAAUAUAAUCGUUAAAGCUCUCUAAACAAAGAAGACGAAAGUCUUAUUUUAUAGAAUUUUUCUUUACAAGAAAGAAAACAUGUUGAAAACCAAAUCUCCAAUUUCCAAGGCUUGACAGAAAAUCAAAAAAAUAUCUUUCCUAUUCUAGAGAUUGGUCACAUGUAGUUCAACCAAUAGGAAAUGAGAUAUUUAAGAAAGCAAGAUUUUGAUCAAUACCAAUAUCAAAUGAAUUCUUAUACGCCUAGUCAACUAUUAAGGGUAUCUUGACUCCUUGAUAUUGUGAUAUGAUUGAAACAUGAUUUCCAUGUUAGAAAAUUAAGGGGAUGUUAAAACAUGAAAGUAAUAGGAGAAUCAAAUUGAUUUGGACUAAAAUUGCCUAAAAAGAAAACACUCUUAAAUAAACUUCAAUUCACUUUUAAAAACAGUAAAACAUGAUUGAAUCAUUUUUUAAAACAAUUCCCUAAUAUACAUGCAUGAUAAUGACAUCACUUACCCCUAAAUCAAAUUGUCACGCCCCGGACCUGGGGGUCAGUGGAAACCCCACGUUCGGUGCGUGAGAAAAUAAAAAGUAAAAUAAAAUAAAAAGAAUGCCGAAACAAGGGUUUAAAAUAAACUUCUCUUAUAAAAAUAACUCCAAAAUCUUACAACUUUACAAGAAAUAAAUAAAGCCCUAUCAUUCUUAUCUAAUUCAGCCUCAACUGGUUUAGUCCUUGUCUUGCCCACUAAUUCAUCUAAAAAAUGAAGAGUGUUGCUAAACGAACCCUAAAAUUAAUUGAGUACACCCUACUACCAAACGAUUUAUUGAAUUUGUCACAUCUCGGGAUCAACUCCGCCGUAGCACGAUAUUGUUCGCUUUGGGCCCUCCCUCUCUGGCUCGCAUGGUUUUGUUUCUGGGAACUCACGAGUAACUUCCCAGUGGGUCACCAAUCCUGGGAUUGCUCUAGCCCACAACUCGCUUAACUUCGGAGUUCCUACGACUCCGAAGCCUGUGAGCUCCCAAAAGGUCUCGUGCUAGAUGGAUGCGGGUGUGCACAUAUAAGGCACAUCACCCCCUCUCCGUUGGUUGAUGUGGGAUCUUAUAGAAUUACUAAUUUAUCCUAAUAUAAAAUGACCAAAGAAGAUAAAAUAAUAUUGGUAUCUAUUGCUUUGAAUCCAUGCCUUCAAACAAAUUGACUUAAUUUUUAACAAACAACACGGAGUCCAGGAGAAGUGUAUUGAUCCAAGUUGAUUUUUGUAUGCGUAAAACUUAAACAAUCAAUAACACAAAGCAGUUCAUGCUGAAAUAUUGGAAACCCACACCCAAAGAGUUCUCCGCUGCGAGGUUGAAGGCAGGAGAGAUGGGUGACAGAUUUUACUUCCACUGCGAAGUUGGAGGCUAGGAGAGUCUGUGACUGCCAUGGUUGAGGGAGAAGAUGCGUUCAAAAUGCCUAUUGAUAUUUUACAUUAUUGGCUUUUUUCAAAAGUGAAAGUUUUUUUAUGGGUAAAACCUAAAUUUACUUUUUCUAUACAAGUUAACAGUGUUUGUGUAUUGUGAAAAGGUGGAGAGACGUGUCAAAAUUUUAGACAAAGGACAGGAGGAGAUAGGGAAUUUGGGGACAGCAGAUCUCAACUCCCUUGAGACCCUAUUCUCUACGCCACCCCUCCCCCUCAACAACCCUAGUCACCAUUUCUCCUUCAACUCCAACGGCAACUCAUUAAAACCCAAUUCUCAAAUGCAACAAUCUAAUCCCAAUCCCAAUUCAGAUGUUUCUAAAAAACCCAUUGUCGUGGUGGAGAACUGCAAUUCCAGGUGGUGGUGGUGGUACCACAUGGGAGAGAGAAAAAAGAAGAAGAAGAAGCAGGAGAGAGAGAGUUUUUUAUUUUAUUAUUAUUUUACUGUAAUUUUUUAAUUUAAAUAAUUAAAAAAAUUAAAAGUUAAAGAGGAUGUACCAUGGGUAUUUUUGGUAGUUAAAUAAGGUGUACUUAGGGUCAGUUUGGCAUUGCUGUGCUGUGAAAAUAAUAGCUGUCAGAUUUGCUGUGAGAGAAAUCAGCUGUGAGAGAAAUCAGUUUGGCGUUUGAUAAAAUUUUUGUUAAAAGUGUGUUGAUAUUGAUUUUAUGCUUAAUCCGAAAAUGAUUGCUGCAUAAUCAUUAAACCCAGCGCCUCUUCGAAACUGAUUCCUAUAUAAUCAGAAAAUGAAAGCACCUCAUUAGCUGCUUUCCUUUAUAGCUUUCUCUCACAGCAAUUUUUAACAAUAAGUGAUUUUCUCACAGUUUACCAAACGGGUUGGGCUUCUCAAAAUUUUUUAAAAAUCACUUAUUACCCCAAAUAAGCAAUACCAAACGGGCACUUAGUUAAUUUUACAUUUUAAUUUAAACAUUAGGGUGUACUCAGUUAAUUUUAGGGUUCGUUCAGCAGCACUCAAAAUUAAACAAGGUGAGGGAUGAGCAAGUAGGGACAUGAGACAUUGCCACAGUAGAUUGAUAUAACUAAAUAUUAUUAUAAACAUAGAAAUAUAUAAGUAUUAUUAUAAUAGGAUUCAUAAUAAUUAAUAUAAAAGUAUAACAACAAUAUUUACAUUUAUGUACCAAGAUAAUUACACAUAUAAAUAUAACCAAUAUAUAUUUUUAUAUAUUUUAAAAUAUAAGUCUUUACGUAAAUGCCUUUCACGGGUCAAGCCACAAGUCUGUGUUUUGGGGAUUGCUGAGCUGCAUCAAUCCUGCCAAUGUCAAUUCUGCCCCUGAGCUCUCUCAAAGCACGUUUAAAACCUAUGCUAACAUAUACUAGAGUUUAUGCUGUAUCUAGAAAAUGCCAACACUAAUUUCGUAACACGUAGAAAUUGUUAGAGAUUGGAAGUUUUUAUCAUUUUUUCUUCCAGUCUCUCCACUACUUAUUAAUACAGAUUACUCAUGUGAUGAGUUUACAAAACCUAUUUCUCUACUCUCGCAAAGACUAAACUUCUUCUCAAAAGACUAGAUCACUUUACCUCUAUCUCUGUGAAAUGUAAAAAGUUGAAACUUUAAUGUCAAACCUCGACAAAGUGUUCUACUUUACAAACUUCUUGUGUCUACCAAUUUGUACUAAAAUUAAUUUCUCUACAGUGCUCAGAUUCAUCAUAUGUGUGUCCUUAAUUUUAGUGGAAAUUGGAAGUUUCCAUAAUUUUUGCUUUAAGUCACUCUUCUGAAGGAAGUUGAGGUUCCACUUCAUAAUCCAAAAUGUCAGGUUGACUUAUGGCAAACAAUGUAAAUAUGUAGGAGUACUAUGACCUUUUAUAGCAUUUUUAGUUUGAAUUUGGGUUUUAUACAUAGAUUUCAAAAUUAAUAGGUUGAUGCCUAGGAAAUAGAAAUUGUAAGGGCCUAUAUUAGAGUAGCCCUCUUAAAAAUAAUAUUAAUUAAUGAAUAUUUGUUCUUCUUGUUGUUUUGAAGUAGUGGUGGGAGGCAGACCAACAAAAAAAAAAUAUAGUGAAGGCUUAUAAGAGCAUUUACAAUCAUGCUCCCUAUUUUUUAGUUAAAAUUUAGCUAAAAAUAGAAAAAAAGUUAUUAUAGGAGCUCUUUAUAAAGCUCCUUUAUAAAAUUUGAACUCCAAUCAUACUCCCUAGUUUAGGGAGUCAAAAAUACUAUAGUUAUUUUUUAAUUCAAUUUGAUUUUGGUUAAUCUCUAUAAAUAUGAAAAAAUAGUUAGCAUUAAUUAAAAGUUUAAACUAUGCAUAAAACAAAGAAACAUUAAAUUAUAGGGAGCCACUAUGAGUCAUUACUCUCUCCUCAGAUUUAGGAGCUCCUAAAGGUCUCCCUAUUUUAUGAGGUGGAUAAGGAGCAUGGUUGGAGUUGUAUUUCUUCAAUUUCCUCCCUAAAAUUUGUCUAAGGAUGUGGUUUAGGGAGCCCAUUGUGAAUGCUCUAACUCUGGUAAAACACGAGUGACAUGGACAACAUAUGUUACGUCGUACUGAAGAUUUUUGGGUUUCUUUAAUUGGUUAAGUAGCAUCCACACAGCUUCCUAAAUCAUCUCCUUAGACAAAUUUUAGGGAGGAAUUGGAAAAGUACAACUCCAACUAUGCUCCCUAUCCACCAACUAAAAUAGGGAGACUUCUAGGAGCUCCUAAAUCUGAUGAGAGAGAAAGGACUCUUAAUGACUCCCUAUAAUUUAAUGUUGCUUUAUAUUAUUUUGUAUACAGACGGGUCAAUUAUAUUAAAUUAAAAAAUAAUUAAAGUAUUUAUGACUCUCUAAACUAGUGAGCAUAAUUGUAGAUCAUCUUAUAUACCUUAAUUUGAAGAUUCUUUAUUUGGGUUUCUUUCAAGACUUAUCACCUUAGCCACGCCACCUACACGUCUGCAAGCUUUCCUAACAAGGAAGGGGAGGCUGCGCAAUACUUAUCACCUUAGCCACACUACACCAAAUUGACGUCUGCAAGCUUUCGUAAUCUAACAAGGAAGGGGAGGCUGCGCAAUACUUAUCACCUUAGCCACACCAACACCACAAGACCAAUAUGUGUAGUCCAGGAGGCUUUCCCAUUUUAAUAUAUAUUAUCAAAUAAAAUAAAAAUCAAUCUAUUAUCAUAUAUAUUAUAAAAUAAAGAUUAUUGCUCCAUCCUCCAUGCACUUGCAUGCCUCUUACAAAGUGUGAAGUAGAUUUUGUGUGCUCCAAGUCAUUGACGAGAGCUGUAACAUGGUUAGCUGGAUUUAUAAGAUCUUUUCUUUUCUGGGAAUUUUCUGAAUCAAGAAAAAUUAAGUAAAAUUAAUAAAGCAUAAAUUAGAAAGGAAAAAUAUCUAGAGGAUGCAUUGUAGGAUUGCACAUGCCAAUAAUUGUAUCCUCUAAAUAUAUAGGGACAUAUUUUUUUGUUUUCAUGACAUGUGGCCCUAAAAUUAUUGUUCCUAGCGGGCUCUCCACCCCCUCUCGAUUGAAAACUAAUUGUGUAAAUCUUCAAUCUUGAAUGAUGCACCUAAAACUCAAGUGUCCCAGGCCAAUUAUUGCUCUCAUACCACUUGUUGUAAUAAACAUCCAUCCAUUCUAAAGGAAAGAUAACCAUCGAUAUUAUCUCAAAUUUAACCACUUAAGUUCAUUAUGAUUAACUAUGUAUCUUAUGGACCAAUCCAAUCAUGAGGUUUUAUACCCAAUUAGAUCGACUAAUACAAAGUUCACACGUGGAUUGAAAAGCGCUAUCAGUAGGGGAGUGUUCGGCACCCUUUACUGCCGAACGCAACACAAGACCCCUUGCAUGCCUUCACUAAGUUGAGCCUAUCUAUUUUUUAGCAUUAACAAUAUAUAUAGAUUGAAAAAAUAAAAUAAAAAUCAAUCUAUUAUCAUAUAAAAUAAAUAUUAUUGCUCCAUCCUCCAUACACUUGCAUGCCCUCUUACAAAGUGUGAAGUAGAUUUUUUGUGCUCCAACUCAUUGACUAGGGCUGAAACAUGGUUAGUUGGAUUUAUAAGAUCUUUUCUUUUCUGGGAAUUUUCUGAAGCACGGAAAAUCAAAUAAAAUUAAUAAAGCAGAAACUGUACCCUUUAAUUAUAUAUGGACGUAUGUUUUUUUGUUUUCAAGUCUUAGAUGACAUGGGGACCUAAAAUUAUUGCUCCUAGUGGACUCUCGACCCCUCUCAAAUUUAAGUGGUCCAUUAUUAUUAACCACAUAUUUUAUGGACCAUGCAGCUGUGAGGUUUUAUCUCAAAAACCUUCGGUACAUUUCUCCCACAUGCCACAAUUGUAUAUUCACAAUUACGGCUGUUACGUCACAUCAUGCCACUUGCCUCACAUGCAACAAGUCUGUGUUUUGGGGAUUGCCGAGCUGCAUCAAUUCUGCCAAUGUCAAUUCUGCCCCUGGACUCUCUCAAAGCACAUUUAAAACCUAUGCGAACAUAUAUUAGAGUUUAUGAUGUAUGUAUCUAGAAAAUGCCAACACUAAUUUCGUAACAUGUAAAAAUUAUUAGAGAUUGGAAGUUUUUAUCAUUUUUUCUUCCAGUCUCUCCACCACUUAUUAAUACAGAUUACUCAUGUGAUGAGUUUACAAAACCUAUUUCUCUACUCUCGCAAAGACUAAACUUCUUCUCAAAAGACUAGAUCACUUUACCUCUAUCUCUGUGAAAUGUAAAAAGUUGAAACUUUAAUGUCAAACCUCGACAAAGUGUUCUACUUUACAAACUUCUUGUGUCUACCAAUUUGUACUAAAAUUAAUUUAUCUACGGUGCUCAGCUUCAUCGUAUGUGUGUCCUUAAUUUUAGUGGAAAUUGGAAGUUUCCAUAAUUUUUGCUUUAAGUCACUCUUCUGAAGGAAGUUGAGGUUCCACUCCAUAAUCCCAAAUGUCAGGUUGACUUAUGGCAAACAAUGUAAAUAUGUAGGAGUACUAUGACCUUUUAUAGCAUUUUUAGUUUGAAUUUGGGUUUUAUACAUAGAUUUCAAAAUUAAUAGGUUGAUGCCUAGGAAAUAGAAAUUGUAAGGGCCUAUAUUAGAGUAGCCCUCUUAAAAAUAAUAUUAAUUAAUGAAUAUUUGUUCUUCUUGUUGUUUUGAAGUAGUGGUGGGAGGCAGACCAACAAAAAAAAUAUAGUGAAGGCUUAUAAGAGCAUUUACAAUCAUGCUCCCUAUUUUUUAGUUAAAAUUUAGCUAAAAAUAGAAAAAAGUUAUUAUAGGAGCUCUUUAUAAAAUUUGAAUUCCAAUCGUACUCCCUAAUUUAGGGAGUCAUAAAUAUUAUAGUUAUUUUUUAAUUCAAUUUGAUUUUGGUUAAUCUCUAUAAAUAAAUAAAAAUAUGAAAAAAUAGUUAGCAUUAAUUAAAAGUUUAAACUAUGCAUAAAACAAAGAAACAUUAAAUUAUAGGGAGCCACUAUGCCAAUAAUUGUAUCCUCUAAAUAUAUAGGGACAUAUUUUUUUUGUUUUCAUGACAUGUGGCCCUAAAAUUAUUGUUCCUAGCGGGCUCUCCAACCCCUCUCGAUUGAAAACCAAUUGUGUAAAUCUUCAAUCUUGAAUGAUGCACCUAAAACUCAAGUGUCCCAGGCCAAUUAUUGCUCUCAUACCACGUGUUGUAAUAAACAUCCAUCCAUUCUAAAGGAAAGAUAACCAUCGAUAUUAUCUCAAAUUUAACCACUUAAGUUCAUUAUGAUUAACUAUGUAUCUUAUGAACCAAUCCAAUCGUGAGGUUUUAUACCCAAUUAGAUCGACCAAUACAAAGUUCACACGUGGAUUGAAAAGCACUAUCAAUAGGGGAGUGUUCGGCACCCUUUACUGCCGAGCGCAACACAAGAUCCCUUGCAUGCCCUCACUAAGUUGAGCCCAACUAUUUUUUAGCAUUAACAAUAUAUAUAGAUUGAAAAAAUAAAAUAAAAAUCAAUCUAUUAUCAUAUAUUUUAUAAAAUACAUAUUAUUGCUCCAUCCUCCAUACACUUGCAUGCCCUCUUACAAAGUGUGAAGUAGAUUUUUUGUGCUCCAACUCAUUGACUAGGGCUGAAACAUGGUUAGUUAGAUUUAUAAGAUCUUUUGUUUUUUGGGAAUUUUCUGAAGCAAGGAAAAUCAAAUAAAAUUAAUAAAGCAGAAACUGUACCCUUUAAUUAUAUAUGGACAUAUGUUUUUUUGUUUUUUUGCUCUCGACCCCUCUCAAAUUUAAGUGGUCCAUUAUUGUUAACCACAUAUUUUAUGGACCAUCCAGCUUCGGUACAUUUCAAAAAGCUUCGGUACAUUUCUCCCACAUGACACAAUUGUAUAUUCACAAUUACUUCUGGGUACCCCUCAUCAGUCGUCUAUAAAAUGGUGAAGCCAGUUGCUACUGUUACCAUAAGAGCCAGCUCCGACUUUCUUUAAUUUCUUGCUACAUCUGUUGCUAAGUUAAUUUCAGUCCUAAUGGGGUUUCAUCUCCCACUCAUCUUUGCUAUUCUCAGUGUAAGCUCUGCAAUUUGAUUAACUUUUCCAUUCUCUCUCAUUGUACUCUAUAUAUAUAAAUGAAAGUUUUGUGUUCCUAUAAUUCUCUCCGAUUUUAUUUAGUACGUACUUAAGUGUCGUCCACUAAUUAAUUACACUUUGUGAGAUUUGAUUUUAAUUAGAGUUCGAAUUAAUGUUGCAGCUAGCAGCGGUUGCACUGGCAAACAAUGCUGCUCAACCAGCACCUCAACUUUACUGGAACUCCGUCCUGCCAAACACACAGAUGCCAAGAUCUAUCAGUGAACUUCUGCAUCCUGGUUUGUGUUCAGCUCUUUAUAAUCUUAGAUAUCUCUUCUACCUGCCAUUUUACUAAAAUAUGUUCGACCACAUAUUUAUCAGCUAACUACUGUGAUUACAAGAAUGACACUUAUUUUCCAAUAUAAUUUGCAGACUCCACAAAUGAAGAAAAGAGCAAACCUGAAAUUUUCCCAUUGCAGGGCAAUAGAGUUUACACUCAAAGCCAUUAUAAAAAACGUCCUCCUCCUCCAUCUGACGAGGGCAAACCUGAAACUUUCCCAUUGGGCAAUAGCCAUUACACUCAAACCCGUUAUAAAAAACGUCCUCCUCCUCCAUCUGACGAGGGCAAACCUGAAAAUUUCCCAUUGGGCAAUAGCCAUUACACUCAAACCCGUUAUAAAAAACGUCCUCCUCCUCCAUCCGACGAGGGCAAACCUGAAAAUUUCCCAUUGGCCAAUAGCUUUUACACUCAAACCCGUUAUAAAAAACGUCCUCCUCCUCCAUCUGACGAGGGCAAACCUGAAAAUUUCCCAUUGGCCAAUAGCUUUUACACUCAAAGCCAUUAUAAAAAACGUCCUCCUCCUCCAUCUGACGAGGGCAAACCUGAAAAUUUCCCAUUGGCACGUUCUCCUCCAUCUGACAGUCAACUAAAGCAUUACAAAGACUUAGCUAUUUUCUUCUUCGAGAAGGACAUGCGCCCGGGCACAACUAUGAAGUUCCAAUUCCCUAGAAAUUCAAACACGGCUACUUUCCUGCCACGCGAAAGUGCUCAAUCGAUCCCCUUCUCCUCUAAGAAACUACCAGAAAUUUUCAACCAUUUUUCAGUGAAGCCAACAUCUGAGGAAGCCAAAACAAUUAAGCAAACAAUCGAAGAGUGUGAAGCUCCAGGCCUUAAGGGAGAGGAAAAAUAUUGCGCCACAUCUUUAGAAUCAAUGGUUGAUUUUAGCACUUCGAAGCUUGGAACAAGAAACGUUGAAGCAAUCUCAACGGAGGUAUUGGAAGAAGGAGCCACCAAGUACAUGCACAACUAUACAACAAUGCCGGGACUGAAGAAGUUGGAAGGUGACAAAGUCGUUGUGUGUCAUAAGGAGAACUAUCCCUAUGCUGUGUUUCUCUGCCAUGCAAUAAAACAAACAGAAGCUUAUGUUCUCUCCCUGAAAGCCGAUGAUGGGAUGAAGGUGAAAGCAGUAACCAUCUGCCAUCUAGACACAUCAGAAUGGGACCCAGAGCAUUUGUCCUUCCAAAUCCUCAACGUUAAGCCCGGAACCACUCCCAUCUGCCAUUUCCUUACCACUGAUGCUAUUGCCUGGGUUCCAAAACACAAAUCUGCAUGAUCAUCACUUAGCACUGUACGUGUAAUAAGCUUGGUCGGGUUGCACCCUAGGCCUGCAUAAUUAUCUCCCUACUUAUUUCUGCCUCUUCAUCAUGCGGUGUAAGAUAUAUGAUGAGAUGAAGUUUUCUCUUGUAACUAUGUAGACUACUUCAACUUGUACUCAUAAUAAAGCACGCUGUUGGGGGGUUCUACUUAAUUUCGUUCUCUCCAAUGUUUGAGUGUUGAAUUGUUACGUUGGAAUAGGCUGCUAAUGCAUGUAGUUAGAGAAGCCUUCAUUUAUAUCAAAGUCCUCAAACUAUCAAGAAUUAAUGUAUCCAGAAACAUAUACCAAGACGCAAAACAACAUAUUUUCCAUUCUCUGUCUGUAACACCAAAGCAAACUUCCUUUAUCACAUCAUUUAAAGGAUCAAAUUCCAGUACUAAUCUAAUCCAUCAUGUAAAGCAUACAAGUGCCUACCUAAAUUUGUCCAUUGGAUAUAUAUGUCACUUUUUAUUUUUUGAUAGAGAUAUAAAUGUUGAAAAAAUUAGAGUACACAACUCUUAUAGACACUACUACGAUUUACUAUUUGCGCGACGGAAGUUUGCGCGACGAACAUUGUUUCGUCGCGCAAAAAGCACUAUUGCGACGAAAAAAAAAUACCGUAGCGCAAACAACAUAACACAAGCGCGACAAACAGUUUCGUCGCGCAAACAAUCUAUGCGCGACCAAUAUUAAUUUCGUCGCGCAAAGGUAGGGGAAAAAAACCCGGUUUUUUUUUUUUGGCGCCAUAAUCUUGCGCGACAACAACAAUCGUCGCGCAUGACAAUAUUGCGCGACAAUUCAAAGAAUUCGUCAGGUAAAGAUGGACAGAAAAUUGUCUCAUUUUUUUGGCGGUAAAAAACUUUGCGCGACGAAAUUUUUCGUCUCAAAAGACAACUUAGCGCGACGGAAAUAUGUACCGUCGCGUAAAAAAACGAGGGAUACUUAUUUUUGGCGCCAAAAUGCAGGGUGGAUAAAAAAAAUUUUGCGCGACGGAAUUACCUUCGUCGCGUAAAGUGUAAUGCCGGUGCUUUCUUGCGCGACGAAAUAAAUAAUUUGCGCGACGUAAUUUAAACCUUGCGCGACGAAAAGUAUUAUUUGCGCGACGAAAUUUUGUGCGACGAAUAAUAUGUUUCGUCGCACAAAAAAGCAGAUGUCGACAGGUAAUUGCGCGACGGAAAUGUUGUUUUGUGCGAUGGAAAAGUGGGUUUUCGCGACGGCAUUUUGCGCGACGGAUAUUGGUGUUCGUCGCGCAAAGUCCUUCUUCUUCAUAUUAGUAUCUGCCAUUGCAGAGGCAGAAUGCAGAAAUUGCAUUCUGCCUCUCUCUCACUCUCCCUGCCGCUGCUCUGCUGUGAAUUCAAUACGUUCAUUGGGUAUGUAUUUUUUGUCGUUAGUUUAAAUGUAUUAAUGUAAAUUCGUAGUAACGCUAUUAAUUUUGUUAUCGUUAGGGAUAUUUGUGAUUAGUGAUUGGUGGAGAACGAUUGAGAAGGUAUGUUAUUGUAAAAGUUUGUUUGUUAUGUUUGUAAUUUUUUUGUGAAGUUAUAUGUAUAUAAUGUUGUGAAAUUGUGCGUGACAUAGCACAAUGUGUUGUGAUGUACGAAGUUAAUUGAAAUUAACUUCGUACUUUUAUUUUUAUGUUUAGUAACACGUAGUUUCCCGUUCGAGAUUAGUUGGAUUUCGUGCAUGGAUGAGUAAUGCAUGACUGCGGUCCAAUUAAUUCUUGAAUUGUCCCAUUAUUUGGACAGUUUGGUAAUGCAUAGUGUUGUCACAUAAUCUUCGGCUACAGGAUUAGGUUUCGAUUGUGGAGAUUUCGGUGUCAUCUCGGUACGUUCUUCGAGUGGUACGUAGGUAUUUAUACCUAUGCCCACUUCAAGAACUGUGUCGAGAUGCUGCCGAAAUUAAUCCACGUCGAAAUCUAAUCUCAUGUAGCCGUAGGUUACGUGACAGGACUAUGCAUUCCCGAAUGGGAUAGGGCCCUUACCGGAGGCAUAAGGUGACAUUAUAACUUCGUAUGAAGUUGUUGUGAUUGUUGUGUCGUGAUUGUGGUUUCAUGAAUUAUGAGCAGAAGGUGGAUACAUAACCCGAAUAGAUGCGCAGACGAAUACUUGGAUGGAAUCGAGGAUUUUAUUGAGUUUGCACAUAGACACAACCCGGGUGCAAGUAGAAUCCGUUGUCCUUGUAGGAGGUGUAACAACACGUUGUGGGAGACAAUUGAAAAUGUUGGAUUUCAUUUAGUAAGGAAUGGAAUGAUUGAAACAUAUAGCAUUUGGAACCUUCACGGCGAACAUGUAGGCCAUGCUUCGUCUUCAAAUGCCCCAAGAGUGGACAAUGUUGAACCUAUUGUGGAUCCUAAUGAUCAAGUCAUGGGUAUUAUACAGGAUGCUUUUCCAUUCGCAUCGACCAACAUCAAUCAGGAAGGGGAAGAUAACGUGCCUACACCAAUAGACAGUGCGGAGUUUGAACAGUAUGAAAAACUGUUAAAAAAUGCCAACCAAGAGUUAUACCCGGGGUACGAGAGCUUUUCCGUUCUCACUUCUAUUGUGGAGCUAAUGCACGGAAAAAUAAAGUAUCGUAUGUCGAACUUGUGUUUCGAUUACUUUUUGGGGGUUUUCAAGAGAAUGCUUCCGACGGAUAAUUAUUUGCCGAAAGACCAGAAACAUGCACAGAAGGUGUUGCAUGGUCUUGGAUUGGGUUAUGAAAAAAUCCACGCUUGCAAAAACAAUUGCAUGUUAUUCUACAAAGAGCAUGAAACGUUGGAUACAUGCCCUAUAUGCAAUGAGUCGAGGUUCAAAAUGACAUCCCAGAAUAGAACGACUAAGAUACCACAAAAAGUCAUGCGUUAUCUGCCCCUUAAACCUGGGUUGCAGCGAUUGUAUAUGUCGACGCAUACUGCCACAGACAUGAGAUGGCAUAAGGAAAAACGGGUAGACGAUGAUGUGAUGCGGCAUCCUGCAGAUGGGGAGGCAUGGAAAGAGUUCGAUCGAACGUUCCCCGAGUUUGCUGCUGAUCCCCGAAAUGUAAGAUUGGGACUUGCCACUGACGGAUUCAAUCCGUAUGGGGUUCUAAACCAACACCACAGCACUUGGCCGAUUUUCGCAUUCCCAUAUAAUUUGCCGCCUUGGAAAUGCAUGAAAAAAGAAUACAUGAUGAUGACUGUUUUGAUAACUGAGGAUCCUGGCAGGUCAAUUGAUGUGUACUUAAGGCCUCUGGUUGAUGAGCUGAAAGAUUUAUGGACAAACGGUGUUCGCACGUACGAUAAAUCAACUGGGAGGAUGUUCACUUUGCGAGCAGCAAUUAUGUGGACUGUGAAUGAUUUUCCAGCAUAUGCAAUGGUUUCUGGGUGGAGCACAAAAGGUUAUAUGGCAUGUCAUGUAUGCAAGGAAGAUGUAACUUCUGGUUGGCACGCGGGAAAAGUUUGUUACCUUGGUCAUCGGAGAUGGUUGCCAUGGGACCACGAGUGGCGAGAAAAAGAUAAAGAGUUCAACGGGAACACAGAGCGUCGCCUCAGACCUGGAGAAUGGUCCGGUGAUGAGAUCUUGGAACAGCUGAACCGUUUGGAUUUUGGUCCGUUCGGAAAAACAAUUAGUCGGACCAGACCUUCUACACAUUUGAACUGGACGCACAAGCCUAUGUUUUUUGAGCUCCCAUAUUGGUCGAAACUGAAAUUGAGGCACAAUCUAGAUGUGAUGCAUGUUGAGAAAAAUGUAUUCGACACAUUGGUGGGCACGAUUCUAGAUAUCGAGGGGAAGACGAAGGACACGAUCAAAGCUCGUCUUGAUUUGGAAAGAAUGGGCAUACGAAGGGGUUUAUGGAUGAAUAGGGACAGUGAUAAAGCUAGAAGGGAUCUUGCAUUCUUUUCUAUGAAACCGAAUGACAAAAAGGAGUUUCUAAAGUUUGUAUCGUCUGUCAAAUUUCCCGAUGGGUAUGCUUCUAAUAUCGCACGUUGCGUGAAUGUCGAUGGGGGUAAAUUUACUGGACUUAAGAGCCAUGACUGCCAUGUUCCUGUGGGUAUUCGACACCUACUGCCGGAAGAUGUGGUGAAGCCAAUCAUGUUGUUAUCCAGAUUUUUUUCCCAACUGACGGCAAAAACAUUGCGAAGGACAGACAUGUUUCAGUUGCGCCAUGACAUUGUCCAAGUCCUAUGCAAGUUUGAGAUGAUAUUUCCUCCGGCUUUCUUUACAAGUAUGAUGCACGUAAUGGUUCACUUGCCAGAAGAGGCAUUGCUUGCUGGUCCUGUCAACUAUCGCUGGAUGUAUCCAAUAGAAAGGUAUAUAAUCUUUAUCAUUUGUGUAUGCAUCAUUAUCGACACUUUGCUAAUUUGUAUCAUAUCGUUUUAUUUUGGCAGGCUUCUCGGAGAGCUGAAAAAAAGUGUACGCAACAGGGCAAAGCCCGAAGGAUUAAUUAUAGAGGCUUGGGUUCAAUAUGAGUCGCUUACUUUCUGUGGAAUGUAUUUAAAAGAUGUGGAGACGGUUUUCAAUCGUCCUCAACGCAAUAAUGACGGAGGUAUGAGAAAUGAAAAACUUUUUGUUUUUGCCCAAAGCGCAUGACCAUUUGGAGAUCCUGGACGAGGAGAGUCGUUUUCUAGAAAUGACAUGGAGGUAGCGCAUUGGUUCGUACUGAACAAUUGUGAUGAGAUAAUGGCCUACUUAGAUGAGCAUGAACAGAUGAUGAAGCGAGAACAUCCAUCACAUUUGGUUGCCCGGAAACAUCGUGAAUUAUUUCCACAAUGGUUUUUGGAUUCUGUAAGUUAUAACUGUUUUGUAAUUGACAAAUAUAAAUUGUAGUAUUUAAUUUUGUCAGACUAACAUGUAAAUGAUUUUGUAUACUAUUAGGUGAAUAAAUUGAAAUCAUCGAAUUCCCCCACUUACAGUGAUGAGUUAUAUAACUUGGCGUUCGGCCCAAUUCGUGCUGAGUUGUUCUCGGGUUGUAAUGUUAACGGCGUCAAAUUUUUGGGGGCCGCACGAGAUGACAAGUUGUGUAUGCAAAACAGCGGUGUCCAUGUCCCAGGUGGAGGCGAAAGUACGGACAUUGAUUUCUAUGGCAAACUGACAACUGUCGUGCAAUUGCUUUAGAAAGAUCGAUACCAAGUCAUCAUGUUUAAGUGUCGAUGGUUCGAUACCAACCCAAAUAGGGCGGGAAGUGUUAAAAUCGACCAUGGAGUACUGUUUGUGAACAUGGCGUCCCAAAUUGUGUAUCUAGAUGACCCUAAAGCCGGGAGCGGGUGAAAAGUUGUGCAGAAGAUGGAUCAUAGGAACGUGUAUGAUAUACCAGAACUAGACCCAAGUGACAACGACGUCGACAAUGUGGCUGACCAACGUUUAGAAUCUUCAAUGGAAAAUGAUGCGGAAACACUUCGAGAUACAAAUGUUAUACAAGAACCGUUUCAAAUAGAAGGAGUGUCUUCAGUAGAAAUACCGAUUCAGUCAAUUACAAUUGACCUCGGUGAUCUUCCCCGAUACGAUGUUGCAGUGGGUCCUAGCAACGCCGAUGAUGCAGUUAUAGAGGAGGAGGAGGAAGAAGAUUGGGAGACCGAGAGUGAUGAUAGCGAUGAUAACGAAAGUUAUUAUAGUUCAGAUGAUGAAUAAUGAAUUUAUUUGUAAAGUUAUUAUGUUAGUGUAUUCAUUUUGUGUAAUACAAAUCUUUGAAUAUAUGUAGUUGUCCAUAUGUAGUUGUGUAUUCAUUCUCCAUAUUUCAUCACAAACUUCAUUGGAAUGUCAAUACUUUAGUCAAUACUUAUUACGACCCCAUGCUUGUCGAUUGGUUUUUAUUUAUUUAUUUAUUAAUGUCUUUAACUCUUCAAUUAUUAUUUUUUUCUUUUGAGAUAUAGUUAUUUCUUCAUGUUUAAACAAAAAAUAUAAGUUAUUUCUCCAAUAUUAUCUGUGUGCCACUUAUUUUUCUUCACUUUGGUUCAUGAUUAGUGGCAUCAAUCUAGUCAAACCGAUAAAAUCGGUCGAUUCAAAUCUUAAUUAUCAAUUUAGUUUGGUUUUGAUGAAGAAAUACAAAGCCUUUCCAAAAAAUACAGAGCAUAAAAAAUGAUGAAUACAAAACCUUUCCAAAAAAUACAAAGCAUACACAAUUUGAAUUAAAUGAGGAUUUAUGGCGCCAAAUCCUUGCGCAACGAUAAGGAGCCCUUCGUCGCGCAAAUAUAUAUUAGGUAACGUUAUAGUAUAAUAUAUACCCACAUAUAUAUUUAAAAUUGGCGAUCGAAGUAGUUCAUUGUAUUCAUAUGAAGUGUAGGACUGUAGCUGCAAAAAAUCAUCAACAUCGGAGUUAAAAUAACCGUUCAAUCAUCACUUUUUAUUUAGAACCGUCGAAAAGUUUUACCCCGUUACUUAAUCUCUGAAUGUUUUUUUUGUCUGAUUUUUGCUGUCUAUGAUCUCGAAGUAUAACAAAACAAGUUUGACGGCUGGAUGACUGAAGCUAGUUUCGUAGACUGCGUGUGCUAUCAAAAUCAUAUAUUCACCAAAAACUCAAAAAUUUGUUCAUACAUUUGUGAAAAUGUAACUUAAUGUUUAUGUGGUAUCCCCUAGUGUAAAAAUAUGAAAUUGAAGAUCAAAUUCAGUCAUUGUAUUCAUAUAGGGUCAACAAAUGUUGCUGUAAAAAAUGAUCAAAAUCGGAGUUAAAAUAACCGUUAAAUCAUGACUUUUCAUUUAUAACCGUCAAAAUAUUUUGUCCUGUUCCCUGAUAUCUGAAUGUUUGGUCGUUUUGAUUUUUGGCGUAUACGAUCUCCAAGUAUAAACAAAUAAGUUUGCCGGUUGGAUCAUUGAAACUAUUUUAGGGUUUAGGGUUUAGGGCUUAGGGCUUAGGGUUUAGGGUUUACAUUUUAGGGUUUAGGUUUUGCGCGACGAAUAAACAUUCCUUUCGUCGCACAAAGUGAAAGUGACAAAGAUUGCGCGACGGAUAAGUCUUCCAUUCGUCGCGUAAUCUGGGACACACAUUUCACCCCUCCAUACCCUUUGAACACUUAGUGAAAAUUUCAACCGAAUGAAAUUCUUGAACCCGCGCGACGAACAAAGCAAAUACGUCGCGUAAAGUGGACGUGAACAAGAUUGCGCGACGGAUAAAUCUGGUAUUCGUCGCGCAAUCUGGGCCACACUUUCACCCUUCCAUCCCCUUUGAACACUUAGUGAAAAUUUCAACCGAAUGAAAUUUUUGAACUCGCGCGACGAACAAAACAAAUACGUUGCGCAAAGUGGACGUGAACAAGAUUGUGCGACGGAUAAAUCUAAUUUUCGUCGCGCAAUCUGGGCCACGCUUUCACCCUUCCAUCCCCUUUGAACACUUAGUGAAAAUUUCAAGCGAAGCAAAAUCUUCAACUCGCGCGACGAAUAAAAGUAUUCGUCGCGCAAAAGGCACAGGCCUCUGAUUUUUGUUAGCAAACAUUGCGCGACGUUUACUGUCUUCGUCGCGCAAAAGGCACAGACCCUUCAGUUUCAGCCUCCCGCUAAACCCAAAAUUUUCCCAAAAUUUUGGCGGAACGACAGCGUUUUGCGCGACGAACAUAUGACUUUCCGUCGCACAAGGUUAACCUUGCUCGACGUUUACUAUCUUCGUCGCGCAAAAGCACAAACCCUUCAGUUUCAGCCUCCCGCUAAACCCUAAGUCCCAAAAUUUGGGCGGAACGACAUCGUUUUGCGCGACGAAUAUAUGAUUUUCCGUCGCGCAAGGAGAACCUUGCGCAACGUUUACUAUCUUCGUCGCGCAAAAUCACAGUUUCAGCCUCCCGCUAAACCCUAAAUCCCAAAAUUUUGGUGGAACAACAGCGUUUUGCGCGACGAACCAUGUAUUUUUCGUCGCGCAAAAGGCACAGACCCUAAUCCCCAUUCAAAAUUUGGCGUUCUGGGAGACCUUGCGCGACGGAUAUUUCAUCGCGCAAGAUUCAUUAAUACCAUUUUGCACGACGCAUUCUGUUCUUCGUCGCGCAAAGUCGAAUAAAUUUGCAGAAACGGCCCGAUGCCUCCUUCUUCCCCAUUUUCUGGUUUCUCUCCGUUUCUUCCUCUCUCUCCGCCGUCACCUUAGCCCUCUCUCUCUGCCAUCACCUCAGCCACCUCCGCUCGUUCCGUAGCCUCCCUGCCGUCACCGUCGAGCCUGCCGUCGCAAUUUCGUCAGUUUUUCCCGAUUCUUCGCCGGCCGAUUUCUCUCUCCUCCGGCCACCAUUUUCGACGCCUAAGGUAUGAUUUCUCGACUAUUUUUUGUGCUCUAGCUGAUGGUUGGUUAGGAUUUCUUGAAUUUUCGCUAUAGGAAAUAGGAAUUAAAACCCUAGGUUUUGGCCGCUUUGGGAAUUUCAAAUCCGGCCACUUCCGGCCAUUUUUCGGGGUAGGUCCGAGAACAAAAGUGGCUCCAAUUAAUGUUUUCAACCUAGGGUAGGAACCUUGGCCCUUAGUUUUUAGAAUUUUCCGACGAAUGUUAUCGCUUUGGACACCCACGCGCUGCCGGCGCGUGUGGUGGCGCGUGGGAUGUUGUGGCAGUGGGGCAUUGGGUCCCAGAGCAAUCCCCUGUUUGUCACGAGCGCGUAGGUUUGCUCGGAUUUGAAUUUGGUUAUCGUUUGAGUCUUGAUCGGAUUUCGGCUAUUGUGCGAUUUCCAGGUUUGAUAUGUUCGGACCGUUGGAUCGAACUCAAACUCACGUAGUUGUACCUUUGUGUUUCUACGAUCGUUUAGGAUUCGACCGAUCGUUGAUCGGUGUCCCGGAUACUUCGAAAUUCCAAACCCUAGGUGAAGCUAUGCUUUUAAUUAAUUAGUUUAAAUUCUUAAUGAAAUUAUAUGUGCAGAUGUCAGAUUUGAUUAGACGUGGUAGGUCGAUGAUGACUGCACCGAGUUCGGAUCCCCCUGCUCAGUCGGCAUAUGCUGCCACUGCUCCAGCUUUGAUGGAGCACGUGCUGGUUGGUCCCGGGGCGUCCCAGGCGCCUGCGUCAUCUGCGUCAUCCGUCGCGCAGCCAGCUAGUGCUAGGCGGCGGCACCGGCCCGCCGACACGACAUCGACCGACGGUACUGGUGCCUCGGGAUCACAGCCAGAUAUAACUACCAUUUUGUAUUGUUAAUUUUAUAUUGAAAUUUGACAAUGUUGUUUAUUUAACAUUAAUAUCUUUUUUCUUUGCAGCGAAGAAGAACACCUGAGGGCCGUGUCGUCAGCUGAAGACGGCGAAGGUCACCCGGGUGACCAACAGUCGUAUCAGCAUCGGAUACGACGAGCGCCAUCGGGCUGCACCGACGGCGGAGUUGCAUAGCUCCUUGGCCCACGACAUUGGCCACGUCGUGCGGACCCAUUGCCUGAUGCAAUGGAAGUCUUGGAGGGUCAUGCCUGACGAGAUCAAGGUGGAGGUUCGCGGCCAGUUGUCGGUAUGUACCUUACAUUUUCAUUAAUUUUCUUUAAAAUUGUGUAUAUUUCUAUUACUUAACGUAUCUAAUUAAUUGAUUGCAGACGAACUAUAACUUGGAGGAUCUCGACGAAGAGUCGUUGGCGUACGUCAACAGACUCUUCGCUGAGAGGUACAAGCAGUGGAAGAGCGACUUGCACCAUCAUUUUCAGGCCUUUGAUGAUCCGCAAGUCGCUCUUCAGGAGGGUUGCCCGAAGGAGCUUGAGGGGCGGGAGGAUAGUUGGGAGUGGCUCUGCGCUCAUUUUCAAGCGUCCGAAUAUGUGGUAUUUUUUUAAUAAUAUUUGUUUAAUUAUUACUUAUUUCUUAUUAAUGUUUAUUUCAUUUUUUUUAUUUCAUUAUUAUUUAAUUUGUUAUGUUUUAACUAAUACGUUUCAUUUUUUGUAUAACAGAAUAAGGCCCAAGUGAAUAAGGGUAAUAGGAAGAAGAAGACCCUUCUCCACCAUUCCGGCUCCAGGCCCUUUUCGUAUAGGAUGGAUGCCCGGCGACGGGUAAUAAUCACAUAAUUUAUAUUUCAUUUUUAAUGUCAUUUUUAUUAAUUUAUUUUUUUCAUACUAAUAUUUUUCUUCUCUUGUUCAAUUUAGGAGGGGUCCAAGUUCCCAGAGAUCGACGUCUUUGGUGACGUUUAUGUUCGACCCGGGAAUGAGUUGGCCGAGUCCCUUCAUGUAAGUAUUAUUUAAUUUUAAUUCUUAUGUUACGCAUUCAAUUUAUAUGCAUGUUUAAAUUUAUAUUUUAUGUUAUGUUCAACAGACGACGAUGGUGGAGAGGAGCCAGUUGGUUCUUCAGGAGUCCGCCUCCCAGCUUCCUCCCGAGACUCCGAUCGAGUCUGUGGCUCCUCCACAGGAUGCUGGAUUUCAGAUCUUGACGGAGACGUUGGAUCAGACUCUCGGGAGGAGGCCGGGGACAUAUUGUCGAGGGAUGGGGAAUGCCCGGCGGAGGGAACCUAGACCUCGUUCAUCGGCCCAGUCAAACAGUCAGGUGACUGCUUUGACAGCACAGGUGGCCGAGCUUCAGGGUCAGAUGUCGGUGAUUCUACAGUCCCUCGCACAGAGCGGCUUUCCAAUCCCGCAGUUUCGUGCGUCAACCUCCCAGCCCGUCCACCCCGAGUAUGCCCACCAGACCACUGCCCCGGUGGACGCCCAGACCUCCGAGCCGCAUACUGGCGACGACCCGAUUGAUUUUGCUUCAUUAUUUGAUUAGUGUAUUUAUUUUCAUCAUAAACAUUUAUUUUAUUUGUAAUACAUUUAUUUUAUUUUAUAACAAAAUUUUGUUCUAAUUUAUUUUUAUUGCAAUUUCAUUGUUUAAUCAAUAAAAAAACCAAUUUUAUUUAAAAAAAAUAAAAAUAAAUAAAAAACAAAAACAAAAAAAACAAAAAAAAAUUGUAAUAUUAUUUUUGCGCGACGGAAGACAUUUCGUCGCGCAAAACCACAUGUAACAAAAAAAAUUAAAAAAAUCAAUUUUUUAUUACUUUAAUUCUUGCGCGACGAAUACAUACGUCUCGCAAACAUUUUUUGCGCGACGAAAUGUUUCGUCGCGCAACAGCUUUUGCGCGACGACUGAAAUUUUCGUCGCCAAAUAGAUGAGCGACGAAAACUUUCUCAUCGCGCGAAUAGUUCUGCGACGAAUAUAUACGUCUCCCGGACUAGUUUUGCGCGACGAAUUAUUUUCGUCGCGCUAUUCGUUUCGUCGCGCAAAUAUACGUGCGCCGAAUACUUUAUCGUCGCGCAAAUAUUUAUGCGACGAACAGUUGUUUCGUCUCCACACCGUUGGUGCAACGAUGGUUUACCCGUCGCACAAUUAUGCGCGACGAAGUGUUGUACCUCGUCGCGCAAAGGCUUUCUUCACGAUCUUCGCGCGACGGAAGGUGCGCGACGAAUUUUUUGUCGCGCUGAAAUUAGGGCGACUAAAUAAGACUUUGCGCGACGUUUUGUUAUUCGUCGCGCAAAGAGUAAAAUGUAGUAGUGAGACUUGUUGGAGACAAAACAGGUAAACAAAUUACUUGUAUUAGACUCACAAAAUAUUACAACAAGACAACUCUCAAAGAAAAGACAAACUCUCACACUUCUCACAAGGACUACUUAACUUUAUAGCUUAUUGCAUAUAGCAUAUGCAAACACAAUUAGAACAUACCUACGUACACUAUGGGAACACUCGUGUAUAUUUCAACACAAGAAAACAUGUGCACCGUGCACGGUUCACAUGAAGUAAGAAAUGAAGAGGAAAUAAAGAAGAAGAAUACAAAAGAAAAUGGAGAUGAGAAAAAAAAAAAAACCGAAUAAUGAAAAAUGAAUUGACAAUUAUAUAUGGUUGACAUUAGAUCUAAUAUUAUAUGUAACAACUAUUGAUCUAAAAUAAACAUUAAAUCAAACAAUAAUUAAAAGAUUUGACAAUAUAAAAAUUUAUUGAGGACAAAAAAAGGCAAAAACUUAUGAAAAAUGGAAACAAUAAAUAUGAACUGAGUCAUCAACUCACCAUGGUAAGUUUGCUGACGUAUAAAAAUAGUCAAUGGACAUCGAAAAGUAAUUGGCUUACAUCAAAAAUUAAAAUCACGUGGGUUAUUCCUAAGAAACCUUAAUAUUUGCCUUCCAUUUGUUCCAGCAAAAUAAAAGUCAUUGCUACUUAUUGUAACCCCUUUUCCAAGCUUAUUAAUCAAAGUAGACACCUCACUGCUGUCACCUAGCCAAUUUUCAACAAUGUCAUACUUAACAAGCAACUCCACAUCCUUUGAGGUGUUCACAAAACGAUCCAUGAGACUAACAUAAUCACUUAUGUACGUCUCCUCGUAGUGGCAUUGUUCAAAUGCGAUGAGAUUUCUAAUUAAUACCUCUGUAUGAUCGCUUAUUUUCAAUCUUGGAAUUUCAAGAGUCCGGCCAGCAAAUCUAAUAAGGUAUUCAUUGAUCCCUCAUUCAACUUGAACCCUGCCCUGUGUAGCUCUGUGAUGCUGGGUGUGUUUAUAGUUAUGAGUUUCCCGUCAUUAGUUUUUAGGGUUAUUCGUUAUAUGAGUCCCUGAACUUAGACCCGAUUUGCAUUUUAGUCCCUCAAUUUCCAAAAUCGUUCCAGUGGUCCUUCAACUUUAGUUUCGUUAGGACAAAUGGUCCUGCCGUCAAAUGAUUAUAAAGUGGAAAAAACAAGAACAAAAAAGGAAGUGAGUUAAAUUUGCACCUGCUAUGUUCAAACGACAAAGUUCGUUUCCGUUUGGUCGAUUACAAGAGAAGCUCAAUGCAGCUUACUUGGUUCCUCUUGGUAGAUGGAAAUAUAAUUUUUCUCCUAAUAACAAAGGUUUAGUGCAAUCAAUGAUGGGCUGUAUAGAACAACUUUUUUGUUUUAUAUGUUUAUGUGAGACAAGUUUUGCCAGAUUGAAUUAAUGUCUUCUAGCUAUGUACCUUAUCUUUUUGCCGGGCCAUGAGUUGAAUGUAGAGGCAGAGCAUGGCCUUGGGUUUGUAAAAGACAAAAGACUGAACCAGACGUAAUUAUUUAGAUUUUGGAUCCAGUUCCACAUCCCAAAGAGAAAACCACAAGUUUGCAAGCAAGUUUGUCCAUAUUAACACUACGUAGAGUAUAGGCAGUGUGCUACUCAUCUCACUUUCUCAACCUACCCUAUAUUUGUCUAAAAGAGUUUCUAAUUUCGUGUACUGAUUCACUACUACAUUUUACACUUUGUGCGACGAAGAGAAUUUCGUCACGCAAAAUACAUUGGUCGCGCAAAGUUUAAAAAAAAUUUUAAAAAAAUAAAAAAUUCCCGCGUCCAAUUUUUGGUACUUGUCCAAAUUUUUUGAGUUUUGCGCGACGAAUACUAACAUCGCGCAAAUAUUUGCGCGACGAAAUAUUUUUUGUUUUAAAUUUUUUUAAUUUAAAAUAAACUAAUUUAAUAGUUUGCGCUACGAAAUAUUUUGUCGCGCAAGGUUUUUGACUUUUUGUUUUAUUAUUUCUUUAAUAUGAAUUUAUUUAUAUGAAUUUUUUGAAAUUUUUACUUUUUAAAUUUAAUUUAAUUGUAUGAUUUCUUUUUAAAAUUACUUUAAUUUAAAUUGAUAUUAAUUUUUACUUUUUAAAUUUAAUUUAAUUGUAUGAUUUUUUUUAAUUACUUUAAUUUAAAUUGACAUAUUCAAAAUAAAAUUACAUAUGAAAAAUAGUGAUUAAAUUAUCCAAUAAAUAUAUAUAUAUAUAUAAUAUUCAAAAUGUACACAUAAAUUAACAAAGCACAAUAAUAAAAUCCUAAUACAAGCGUAUUGUGGUGGUAGUGUCGGAGGAUAUGUUUUGAUAGCUUCCUAAUCCUCAACUUUAGCCGUCAAAGUCUCGAUGAUUCCCUACAAAAAAAAUAAAUAUGGUCAAAUAACCACAAACAAAAAAAAAAAAAAAAAAAAAGGCAUAAUCUCCCCUAAAAUUGUUAUACCACAAAUCCAACCCAAACUCCAAUCCCUCCCCUUUACUCAACCCCAAAACCCACACAAACUCAAAAUUAACUCCAAAAACACAUAUUAAUGAAAAAAAUUUAAAAUUUGGAGAGAAUAUACCUUUUGGCAAGAUUGAGAGUGAAUGAGAGGGAGAAGUGAGUGUGAGAGAAUUAGAGAAGAUAGUGAUAGAGAGAUGAGAGAGAUGAGAGAGUGAGUGAGAGAGAGUGAGAGAUAGUGAAGAGAGAGAUGAGAGAUUAAGUGAGAGGAGUGAGUGAGAGAAAUGGUGGGAUUUGGGGAGAGGGAAAGAGAAAGGAGAGGUAAGAGUAGAGAAAGGCAUUGAGAAAAUGGUGGAUGAGUUAUUUCGGUUUUAAAAACCGUAUCACUUUGCGUGACGAAAAAUAUUGUUGGUCGCGCAAAGGUUUGCGCGACGAAAAAUAUUGGAAUAUUGAUCGCGCAAACUUUUGAGCGACGAAACAUAUUGGUCGCGCAAAGUCUAAAAAAAUUAUUUAAAAAAAAUAAAAAUCCCCGCGUCCCAUUUUUGGUACCCGCCAAAAUUUUUAAAUUUUUGCGCGACGAAUAUAGGAAUAUUGAUCGCGCAAAGUCUAAAAAAAUUAUUUAAAAAAAUAAAAAUCCCCGCGUCCCAUUUUUGGUACCCGCCAAAAUUUUUAAAUUUUUGCGCGACGAAUAUAGGAAUAUUGGUCGCGCAAAGUCUAAAAAAAUUAUUUAAAAAAAUAAAAAUCCCCGCGUCCCAUUUUUGGUACCCGCCAAAAUUUUUCAAUUUUUGCGCGACGAAAAAUACAUAUUGGUCGCGCAAAGUCUAAAAAAAUUAUUUAAAAAAAUAAAAAUCCCCGCGUCCCAUUUUUGGUACCCGCCAAAAUUUUUAAAUUUUUGCGCGACGAAAAAUACAUACUGGUCGCGCAAAGUCUAAAAAAAUUCCCGCGUCCGAUUUUUGGUACCCGCCCAAAUUUUUGCGAGACGAAAAAUAUAUAUUGGUCGCGCAAAGUUUUGAGCGACAAAAAAUAUUGGUCGCGCAAAGUCUAAAAUUUUUUUAUUUUUUUUUUAAAAUCCAGCGUCCCAUUUUUGGUACCCGUCCAAAUUUUUAGAGUUUUGCGCGACAAACUGUUGGUUGCGCAAACUUUUGAGAGACGAAAAAUUGGUUCGUAACACAAUAUUUAUAAAAAUAAUUGUUAUGAAUAAUAAAAAUAAAAUUAUUUUAUUUUACAAUUUAAAAUAUAAAUAAGGUUAAAGCUGCUUAAGAAAUAUAUAUACUAUUCAAUUUCUUAAGUGUUAUACGUACAAAAUAAAUAAAUUUAAAGGUACUUAAUAAAUAAAUAUAUAUACACACACCAUUCAACGAUCCAACCGUCAGACUUAUUUGUAUAUACUUCAAGAUCGUAUACCCCAAAAAUCACAAAAAACAAACAUUUAGAGAUCUAGUAACGAGACAAAACUUUUCGAUGGUUAUAAAUGAAAAAUUACGAUUUAACGGUUAUUUUAACUCCGAUUUUGAUGAUUUUUUUUUACAGCUACACUCCUUGACCAUAUAUGAAUACAAUGACUGAAUUUGAUCUUCAAUUUAAAAUAUUUACACUAGUGGAUACCACAAAAUCUUAUGUUAUAUCUAACGAACGUAUAAAUAACCUCUUAAUUGUUAGUGAAUAUAUUGUUUUGAUGGCAUAUGCAUUCACCAAAACUAGUUUCAACGAUCCAACCAUCAAACUUGUUUGUUUAUACUUCGAGAUCAUAUACGCCAAAAAUCAGAAAAAAUAAACAUUCAGAGAUCAAGUAAUGGGACAAAAAUUUUCGACGGUUAUAAUGAAAAAUCACGAUUUAACGGUUAUUUUAACUCCGAUUUUGAUGAUUUUUUACAGCUACACUCCUUGACCCUAUAUGAAUACAAUGACUGAAUUUGAUCUUCAAUUUAAAAUAUUUACACUAGUGUAUACCACAAAAUCUUAUGUUAUAUUUAACGAACGUAUAAAUAAACUCUUAAUUGUUAGUGAAUAUAUUGUUUUGAUGGCAUAUGCAUUCACCAAAACUAGUUUCAACGAUCCAACCGUCAAACUUGUUUGUUUAUACUUCGAGAUCAUAUACGCCAAAAAUCGGAAAAAAUAAACAUUCAGAGAUCAAGUAAUGGGACAAAACUUUUCGACGGUUAUAAUGAAAAAUCACGAUUUAACGGUUAUUUUAACUCCGAUUUUGAUGAUUUUUUACAGCUACACUCCUUGAACCUAUAUGAAUACAAUGACUGAAUUUGAUCUUCAAUUUAAAAUAUUUACACUAGUGGAUACCACAAAAUCUUAUGUUAUAUUUAACGAACGUAUAAAUAAACUCUUAAUUGUUAGUGAAUAUAUUGUUUUGAUGGCAUAUGCAUUUACCAAAACUAGUUUCAACGAUCCAACCGUCAACCUUGUUUGUUUAUACUUCGAGAUCAUAUACGCCAAAAAUCGGAAAAAAUAAACAUUCAGAGAUCAAGUAAUGAGACAAAACUUUUCGACGGUUAUAAUGAAAAAUCACGAUUUAACGGUUAUUUUAACUCCGAUUUUGAUGAUUUUUUACAGCUACACUCCUUGACCCUAUAUGAAUACAAUGAACUAAUUCGAUCGUCAAUUUAAAAUAUAUAUUUUCUAACAAAAACCCAAUCUGAACAACAAUAAUAUAUUUUUCUAACAAAAAUCCGAUCCGAUCUAAAAUAAUAAAUUUAAAGCUACUUAAUAAAUAUAUAUACUGUUUAAUUUCUUAAGUGUUAUGCAUACAAAAUAAAAAACAAAAAUAAAUUAGUAUAGGCGACAAAAUGUUUGGAUUACGUCAUGCAAAGAUUUUAAAAUAUAUAUAUAUAUUAUUUUUAUAAGGACUUUGCGCGACGAAGUUCAUUGUUUCGUCGCGCAAAGUCACUUUGAGCGACGAUGUAUUGUUGUCGCGCAAAAGUUUGUCGCGCAAAGUUACUUUGCGCGACGAAUUUUUUUUCAUCGCUCAAAAUUUGGUCGCGCAAGACUUUGAGUGACGAUGUAUUGUCGUCGCGCAAAAGUUUGUCGCGCGAAGUGACUUUGCGCUACGAAUUGUUUUUCGUCACGCAAAAUUUGGUCGCGCAAGACUUUGAGCGACGAAGUUUUGAGUUUCGUCGCGCAAAGUGACUUUGAGCGACGAAUAGUUUUUCGUCGCGCAAAAUUUGGUCGCGCAAGGGGUUUUUUUUUACUAGUAUGAGUUUUAUAUACAAUUUAUAACAAUAUUUUCAGGCAAAAAAAUGUCUUGGCAAGAAAAUGUACAAUUUGUUACGUACUUAACUGGAACGAUUACCUUCAAAUUCCUAUGGCCAAUUACCUUCUUUUUUCUUCCUUUUUUUUUUUUUUUUUUUUUUGGUUGUUGUUGUUCUUUUGAUCAAGUUGCAUAUUCCAAAGAACGAAAACCAGUACAGGCUCUUUUCCAAUGCAAGCUCUUUUCCCAUGUUUCCCUCUGUUUUUCUCCUAUUUUUCUUAUAUGGAAGUGAUUAAAAUACACCUCUAAGCUUGUUUUGCGUUUGGUAACCGACUGUAAAAGCUCAAUGCAGAUAGUUUGAGGUAGAAUUUUCUCCAAUUUUACUAGCACAGUGAUAAGCUAUACUAUAUGUAACAACAAAUUGCUUUAAUAAUGAUAAUGAAAAAAGUGUGAUCCAUCGAAUAUUUGCGGGGUUUUGUUCCAAGUCAACACAUCAAAUUCUUUUACACCAUGAAAUUAAAAAAAAUUUAUUCAACCAUCUCGACCUUAUGCUCGAUCAUUUUGCACAAGCAACCGUCCACGUACCCCAAUAAUUUAAAAGGGCUGAUGAUCUUUAAUUUGGCGAAAGCUUCUAUCUACUUCUACCGCGCUAUAUAUGAGCUAUGCAAUUGUGACGGUGUUACAUGACGUCACAAUGUCGUAGGGAUAAAAAAAUAAUAGUCAUGGUUUCUUAUUAAUGUUAAUACAGGCAUAGCAAAAAGCUUGUAUUUCUAGUGGUUAAGAACAAUUACCCAUGCACUUGAGAUAUUAUGUGCUUAAAUCCCCUCUUCCCCAAUAUUUCUUGUAUAAAAAUAAAAAUAAAAAUAAAAAUAAUAAAGAUAUUGAUAUUGUAUUCUAUAAAGUGUUGGACAUGUUUUAUACCCCUUUACUGCAAAUUACAGUUUGACACAUGUACAAAAAUAAUAGGUAAGUGUUGGACAUCAAGAGUACUUACAUAUAGGUUUAAUAGGUAAGUUUUGAAUAUUUCUGUCUUUAGCUUUAAUUAUUGAAAAUCAACCUAUUAUCAUAUUAAAGACUUAUCCAUGUUCAACGUACAUUCUCUUAUUUUUCUCUCAUUGAAGUAAAUACAAAACUAAGCACAUAGUGGAAAAGUAGGUCACGAUUAGGGGUGGGUUUGGUCUGGGUUGGUUCAGUUUUGGGCUCAACCCGAACACCGAACCGUAGACCUCGAUUUGGCUAUUUUGGAAACCAAAACUAAACCAUAAUUAAUGAAAACCGACCACUUCAAUUACCUUCUGGUCUUCCAACCAGAAGAAAACUCAAAACUUUAACCAUACCAAGUGCAACAGAAUUACACCAGGCUGGAGUCAAGUUUAUGAUGGUUAAAGAUAAAAACUUAUUUGACAUACAAUUUGAGAAUGGAAUCCUCAAAAUUCCACACCUGCGAAUACAGGGUUAAACAGAAAUUUUCUUCCGCAAUUUUAUUGCCUAUGAGCAGUGUGAGCUCCAUGAUCAUUACAUCAACAACUAUGUCUUCGUCAUGGACCGCCUGGUCGACAGUGCCAGGGAUGUGGAAUUGCUUGUGAAGAGUGGAAUUCUUGAAUCCAUGCUACCGGACAGCGAGGCAGCAGGGGAAUUUAUUAAUUCUCUUGACUUGGGGCCUAUUUUAGGCAAGCUUGAAACAAGACUAUUUCAGUUCACCAUGGGCUGGCCUGUCUAUUAUUGUAGCCGCUAUACUAGUUGUGCUCACAUUUAUUCAAACAGUGUGCUCCGUAAUGGCGCUGUAGGUUCUUCAUUUCCUCAAUUUCAUGUUUAGUGGUUGCAGAUUUGUUGCUCAUGUACGUGUUUAUCUAAAGUUAAAUAAGAGUGAUUGACUGAUAGUCUGUUAGUUUGUUUUUCUGGGGUUUUUCCCCUGUUCGUCAAAAAAGAAAAAGAGAAAGAGUGAUUGCUUGUGCCUGUUUGGGCCUAAUUUGACACACCCAAUCCAAAAUCAAAAAGUCCAUGUCAAUUUUGGACAGCCACCAGCAUUCCCUUUGUAAUUAGGCCAAAAACUGCACACCCAACCUAGCACUGGAGCCUAGAACAAACAAGGUAAACUCAGGACCCAAGCAGUUUGAUUUUUUCAUUUAAAUUGGAAUCAAGGGCCCCAAGUCAAAAAAGCCCAAGCCCAAGGCAGAUUUUUUACCAAAAAGACCCAAGGAAGCCCAGUGCAUGCGAAUUGCUUAGCCCACAAUCCCAAAACUCAAAACUAAGUUUGGCAUGAUUAAAUAAAGAUAGAGAGAAGCCCAAAAUUGAAGAAACCCAAAACAGUUUUAUCAAAAUUGUCAGCUCUCUACCCAAGACCUAAAAAGGGUCAAAAAUACCACUAUUGGCAAAAUUGACGCACUCAGCCUUGGAUCACAAAGAAAUCCACGUGACUAUUUGACUUUGAGAAGUCAACAAUUUCAACUAGUCACAAGAGAAGUUGAUUGGAAUUAAUGUAGGCAGGUCAUUACAGAAAAGACUUCUUUGAAACUCUGUAGCCAAAAGAUCAAAAUCCCUUUCUAUAUAAUUCUGCAUCAGAGUAGGUGGUCUUUCCAAGAGAUAAGCAGACUACGUUUUCAAGAGAUAAGUAGAGAAUGAGGGAGUUGUUCAACAAGAAAAGCAAACUAACCAUCAUGAUAGGUUGUGUUCUUUCUCUCUACAAAAAACAAUAGGGAACAAAGAAGAGUUGGUUUUUCUUUCAGAAAAAGGAAGGAAAAGACCUACAUGAAAACUAAUUAUUGAUGGUUCUUCUCUGCCAGAACAGAUAACUUCUCAUUUUCUUUGACAUUUAAAAAUGAAAGGUCUCGCUUUUACAAAAUCUGCCGCCCAUUAUUUAAAGAUUAGAAAACCCACUCCAGCAUUUCCUAUAAAUAUGAGAGGAGGUGAUGUCACAUCACGGGAUUGGCUCUGCCGUAGCACGAUAUUGUCCACUUUGCGCCCCCCUCUCUACCCUCACGGUUUUAUUUUUGGGAACUCACGAGCAACUUCCCAGUGGGUCACUCAUCUUGGGAUUGCUCUAGCCCCCAGCUCGCUUAACUUCGGAGUUCCCAUGACUCCGAAGCCAAUGAGCUCCCAAAAGGCCUCGUGUUAGAUGGAGGCGGGCAUGUACAUAUAAGGCACAUCACCUCCUCUCCGUUGGUCGAUGUGGGAUGUUACAGGUGAACAUAUCAAAGGACAGCCAAAAAAUCAAUCAAAGACAAAAACUCAAAAUGAUCACUUGAUCUCAAAAGCCUUCAAAACACUGAAGCAAGCAAAGCUCAUUGAGCCACAACGAACAAGUCAGCUAGAAUUCAGAAUCUUUAGAGUCAGUUCAGUUUCAGAGAAAUAAUCAAAGAAAGCGAGAUCUCUCUCGUUACAAAUUUGGUUCAGCUUAAAGCCAAAACAAGCAGAGUUCAGGUUCUUACAAAUAUGAAAACCUCAAUAAAUUUAUGGAGAGCCCUGAUCAAGCAAAACAGGUACUACAGUGCAGUUCUAGCUUAGUAAUAAUCAAAUCCACCCACUUCUGCCCCUUCCAGAUUGAGAAGGUCCCAAUUCUGCCCAUUCAAAAAGCCUUCCAAGACUUGAAAUAGAUUAAAGCUCUGCCAAACUCAAAUGUUGGAAUCAAUUCGCAGCUGAAACAUGACAGUUGAAGGUGUUGAUAGUCCAGUCCAGCACAGACAUACCCAGUCUAGCCCAGAUCAGAAGCAUUCACCGAGGCAGAAAUUGAAGUCCAAAGCUCUUUUUGUCUUUUUAGAGUUGGUCUUCCUUUUCUGAGCUUUGUAAAAGGCAAUUCUGCCUAAAACAGUUCACUUUCUUAUCAUUUAUUCUGGCCAGAACUACCAGUUUUGUACUGUGAAAAAUUAUGAAGUCCUCACCAGUCUAAGGCAAGAAAAGAACUUACUUGGGAGAUAUUCCUCACCAAAUUCACAACCGUUUGUUUAGAAAUCAGUAACUUGGUGUAACGACCCGGUCCUAAAUAAAUUGGUAAUUAUUAAUUUAUUCAGAUAAAAGACCAUUUUGCCCAUAGAAUAUUUUAAUAGGUUUACAUGUUGACCCGGGAGGCUUCGGUGAAAUUGUUACAUCUCGGUCCGAAAAAGUGUUAAAAUAAUUAAAGUAGAGUGCUGCUAAAAGAACCCUAAAAUUAACUGAGUACACCCUAUGAUCUAAGUACACCCUAAUAUUUUAAUUAAAAUAUAAAAUUAACUAAGUACACCCUAUAAAACUAUCAAAAAUAACACUGAUACACCCUAAUACUUGUAGCAUUAUUUUAUAGUUGAUUAUUUUAAUAGUGUUUAUAAAUCUUUGACUUUUCAUAUGGAUUUAUGCUUCUACUAAAAUUGUUGCCACUUUUUUUCCAAUUCCAAGUUCUUGCAAUCACCACAUCUUUCGUUAAAAACACAAUAGGACAAGCAAUCUCUUGAUUAGGGUUGAAUAUGGUUAGUAGGGUGUACUUAUUAAUAUUAUAUUUGUUUCACAAUUCCAUAUAUCCUUUUUGGUCAUUUUAUAUUAGGGUAAACCAGUAAUUCAAUAUAUACUUUUAUAGUAGGGUGUACUCAGUUAAUUUUAGGGUUCGUUUAGCAGCACUCUUAAAGUAAGAGAGAAUAAAAUGAAAUAAACAUUAAAAUAAAAUGAUUUGAAUUAAUUAAGGUUUUUGAGAAAUUAAAAUAUUAUUUAAUAUUAUAAGGGGAAAAAGAUCAUUUUAAGUUUGGGAAGGAAUUUGGAAAUUCCAAUUGUACCGUUGUGUAGAGCAUGUCGAAACGAGUCCGUAGACACGUAGUGGACUCGAAUCGUAGUUAUAACGGAGAAAUGGCGAUCAAAAGAAGUUCAGUGGCAUAGCCAUAAAUAUUUCGAAGUUCAGUUUUUUUAAAACCCAAAUUUCUUCUCUCUGGGGAGUGGGAGAGCCAACUUCAAAUGGUGAUUUCUCCCAACUCCGACCACCACACUUCCCUCUUCCUUCAGUUUUGGCAUCAUGAUGGGUUCCAUCCCGGAAUGACACAUUUUCGACGCUAAGGACGUCACAAAUGGUAUUUGAGAUGCUUUGUAAAUUUGUAACCAUGGAAAACACAAUGAACUUUAUGUUCGGAGUUGCAAGAGAACAUUAAGGGGAAUAUGGAGAGUGGGAAAAUAGUAAUAAGUGGAGAUCUGUAUGCUUACUUACUACUGAACUUCCGUCGUGGUGGUUAGUAUGAAAAAGUGUUAGAGAUUAUAGAUUUUAUGGAGGAACAUGGUUGUACACUGAUAAGUAGUCGGUAGGAGUUGAUUUAAGUUCCAAGAGAAAUUCAUUAUGAACUGGGAUGAAUUACUGCAAGAUUCUUGCUGUUUUGAAGUUAUUGAUUUUAGGGGCAUCACCUCUGAAUGAUCAUAAUAACCAUGCGUGGGCUCUGCAUGAGGUUUCUUUGACAUUGUUUGAUUUUGUGUAUUGAUAAUUACACUUAGGGGUGUCACGUUUCUAGAAACGUGUCUAUCCAAAUUGUUGUAUCUCAAUAUCCUAUGGAAGGAAAGCUGAGAAGCUGAAAAUACUGGAUUUAUGGUGGUGAGAUAAAAAUUGUCAGGAACUUUCAAAAGUCAAAUUAUUUCACAAAGGGAAAUACUGGAGAGAAGUAUUAGAGAAUUUUCUUUGGAUAAGUUAUAUAGGAGUGGAGGAGUUGCGAGUUUAACCAAGGAGGGUUGUGACAAUUUAAAUUGAGAAGUAGUGGUGUUGGGUGAAGUAUUAUUUCAUUCGCGUGGGCUUGAAUGCCGCGAUUGACAGGAAUGGAACAUUAGGGUUCUUCUUCCUUGCUCUCUCACGCGAGCUCGCCAUAGAGAGUAUUUCUUGGCGUGGUACUGGCUUCGUCCGACCUCCGAUUACUGUGAUUUUUGAAAGGACCCGGCCCAAAUUUCUCAAAAUCCGAGGCGAAUCCUGUGAAAUUCCCGACAUCACUCCGAUGCCAGGCCCACUUACUAAAGACCGAGACUUUCUGCCGAACUUUCGGCAGAGUCUCCCCUAUAAAUUGGACAUUUUCCAAAACUACCACCUGCAUAAAACACAAUUUAUAUCCCCAACUGGCAGCAUGCACAAGAUAAUUUCAUGCAAAUCACAUAAUCGGCCUGCGGCCUUCAAAUAAUUCAAAACGAAACCACCAAGCACACUAUCAAAUUAAUUCCUACCUUAAACAAGGCAAACAAUAAAUUUAAAUAUGAAUUAUGACUACUAAAUUUCAACAUACGAGGUUUUAACCUCCUAACACAAUCACAUCUAUGUCCGCGGCUGCACCUAAUAACCUUAGGCUGCCUACGUACCUUCACUGAGGGAUCAAGCCACACGUAGUUCUUCCGUAAAACCCAAUUCCACACAUAGGCAAUACCUUUAUUCAUUUCUCUGUAUUUCACAUAAUCUCCCCAUACGCCAGUACUACCAUUGCCACGUAUGGGACUUGUCAACAAGCCGGAUAACCUACACCACGUGCGAUCUCAACAUAAUAUCACAUAAUCUCCUCAUACGCCGGUACAACCAGCGCCACGUAUGGGGCCUGUCAACACGCCGGAUAACCUACGCCACGUGCGACCUCAUCAUACUAUCACAUGAUCUCCCCAUACGCAGGUACAACCAACACCACGUAUGGGGCCUGUCUCAACGCCGGAUAACCUACGCCACGUGAGACCUGAACAUAAUAUCACAUAUCUCCUCAUACGCCGGUACAACCAAUGCCACGUAUGGGGCCUGUCAACACGCCGGAUAACCUACGCCACAUGCGACCUCAAUAUACUAUCACAAUAUCUCCCCAUACGCCGGUGCAACCAACGCCACAUAUAGGGUCUGUCUCAAAUUGGAUAACCUACGCCACGCUAGACCUCAACAUCAUAUCACAAUAUCUCCUCAUACGCCGGUACAACCAACGUCACGUAUGGGGUCUGUCCGCAUGCCGGAUAACCUACGCCAUGUGGGACCUAACUUUCACAGAGUGGUACUUGUAGUGUAACCAAAAUCUGGGGAGGUGCCUAAGGUAGUGCAUAUAGCACUUCAAACUGACAUUCUCUCACUUAUCUAAACUAAUACUAGAGGUCUUCCCAUUUUAAUGGUACCAGUCUAUAGUAGAUUGUAACGUAAUUUAAUCAUAAAAAUAAUAUUAUUUCUAGACCAACGAUUAUUCACAUAAACAUGAAUUUCAUAAUUUCACUAUUUAAAAUAAUAUCUAAAAGUUUCCUAUAAUACAAAUAAACACUCUAAAGAUCCCAACUUAGUCAACACAGCUCAACAAUGCUCAAGACCUGUCAUUAGGGUCAUUAUGAUCCUUCUAGGAAGGUAAAACUACCUCGAAAGACUCAAGGUCAACCAAGGGUCAAACCACCCACAAUUGGUCAAACGGGCCCACGGGGCCCACGACCUCCAAAUUCCAAUCCGAAGGUUCCUAUGGGAUCUACAAGGUAUAGGACACUCGUCUUGCAAGUUAAGCCUAGAUCGGAUGGUCAGAUCGCUCACGAUCGCACAAUCUGAUGGUUAAUAUAAAACAUAAACUUUAAAUUAUUUAAUCGGAACAUCCGGGGCUCCCGAUUCACGAUCUGUUCCUACACGAUCCUAGAAAUACAUAGAUUAACAUAUAUUAAAUUUGAGACCAUCCAACGGUCCUAACCUAUCGAACCCGGAUAACGCGCAAUAGGCGAUAUUCGUUCGAUAGUCAAACGACGUCCGAAUUGAGAUUUACGAAAUCCUACGCACUCGUGACAACCUAAGGAUCUCAUUGAGACAUAUUGCUAUCCCAAAACCGACCGAAAUCCAAUUCGAAAAUCGAGUUACUUACGUUAAGAAUCGACCGAAUCCUACCCAACAGGCAGCUAGAGCAUGAAAAGUAUGUGAGAAACCAUACCUCACUCGUCGAAAUCAGUGGCCAAAGGAGGGAGAUCGACGAUAGAGAAGUUCGGACGAACUGACCGCUUCUUCUCCAUUUUUCAGCGAAACCACGGUAGCUGGUGGCGGGACCUAGCUGGGGUUGGAAGAGGAUGACGCCCCGGUCAUUUUGGUAUCGGCCUCGUGGUCAUCGGUGGCCGGAUGAGAAAACAGCCGGCGAAAAUGUGACCGGCUGCCGUUGCGCACGCGAGAGAGACCACGAGAGAGAGAGAGAGAGAGAGAGAGAGAGAAAUCUGAUUGUGCCACUGAGAUUCUUUUGACCAUAUCUCUCUCGUUACAACUCCGAUUCAAGCCCACCACGUGUCUACGGACUCAUCUCGGUACGACCUAUCCAAAAAUACCAAUCACUACCCCAAAUACUUUUUGGAUCAGAAAGUGACCAAAUUACCCCUACCUCAAUGGUAACUUUGUAAUUUCACUUAAAUAAUUUAAAUAAGGGAUUAAAUUUGGAGUCGGGGUGUUACAAUUUUUGUUGCUAAAUGUUGUCAUCAUUUCUCCUCUACAUCACUCAGUGAUCAUUCACUCCCAUUUCUCUAGUUUACACGGUGAAUUUUAUUUCUAAAAUUUCUUAAAAUUCCGGCCACUGUGAGUUUGACCAGCGACUUGGGUUACUUUUGCCCAUCUUUUUGGAAAUGGAACCGAUUUGAGGAAGAUUAGGAGGAAAGAUACAUAGGCCGCUGAGGCAGAAGUAAAGCCGGAGCUUUACCAUAGACAGAAGUUGUUUUAGAAGUCCUGGAAGAUUGUGAACAGGAAUUGGAAGUUUGCAUGGGGUGAUAGGAUUUUUAGUACUUGUGCAAACAGUGUUAAAAAUCACAUAAAAUACUUGCAAGAAUACAAGGCUAUUGUAGUCUAGAUGCUCAUGCAAGGUCGUUUUCCUCAAGGACUAAUUAGCAAUUUAUGUAAAAAUAAAUUCCAAUUACUACUUAAAAUAAAAAGUCAAGAAAGAUGAUUAUAAAUUUGGUUGAUUCUAAAAAACAAAUAUUAAACAAAAACAAAUACGAUUGAAAGAAAGAGUUUUGAAUAUCAAUUUAUAAAAACACUAGGGUUUCACCAUCACCUAGCAAUCCUAUGAACUUUUACCAAUUACUUAUGAUUUGCACAUGCCACUUUGAAGGUUAGGUUUUCCUAAUGUAUAUUCUACUUAGAACCUCCAACACAGAAUGUAUAUCCAACAUGCAACCCGUCCGGACGUUCGGAUCAAAUCUGAACAUGAAAGACUCAUUAAGUUUUGUGAAAACCCUUUGAAAAACCAUGCAACCCUUAAGACGUGGUGUUCAUCUUAAGUGAAAUUACAAUUAUUAAUCAGAAGAAGCUAGCAUCAAUUUCAGGGAACCUUCCGACCAAAAUUGCAUCCAAUUACUUUUCUAAAGAUCCUAAUGGUGAUCAGGCAUUAAGACAAUUAGAUAGUUUAAAACAGUGAUUAACAAUUCAAAAUACGCAUGCACUCAUCAUAAGCAAUUAAAUAAAAAUCACAUAUUCAUGCUAAGGUUCAAGGCUUCACCCUAGCAAAAGAAAUUUAGUUACGCAUACUCAUAAUUGAAAUCCAAGAAAAUAUCAUUAAGAAGAAAAGAACGAAAACACCUGAAAGUUGUGAAAACCCAAAACCCUAGCAAUUGCUCUCCACAAUGCAAAGUUCAAAAGUGAAAAGGGAGUCCUCCAUUCCUUGUGAGAAAGAGCUUAAAUACCCCUUAAAACCUAGCUGCCAAUGUACAGCUUUUCUAUCCCCACAAGGAAACUAAUUAAAAUAAAAUAAUACUAGGAAAUAAAGUCCAAAUUGGAAUAGGAGAAUCUGCUCAAAAUCUGCCCAGCCACGUUUUGGCCCCAAAUCUCCUCCAAAUCUGGCCCAAGAUAGCUUGUUUUAAAGAUAAAAAAUGUUCUGAACACUUCUUUAGAAGGCCACGAACCCAUCCGAGGUCAUCUUGGGCUCCAAAAACGCAAUAAAAGCCCAACACGUCACUAUUCCAGCACCGCGCACUGCUCCUUUAUUUUGUUGCCAGAAAAUAACCGCUUGGAAGAAAAAUCUGAAAUUUUGAUACGAUCAAGCUAAGUGACUCAAGAACGUCCUCCAACUGGAAUUACUCCAAAAUUCCUCAAUUUGAUUAUGUUUUGCUCCAGAGAGAUUCGAAAGUCCUAUAUUGGAAAUAUAAUUCAAAGUAUCAAAAGUCUUCCAAAAUAAUAACCAAAAUAUACUAAGAAUGAGGUUAAAUAUAUAAUAUAAAAUAUGUCCAUCAAAAUACCCCCAAACUUAGCUUUUGCUUGUCCUCAAGUGAAACAAGACUCAAACAAAAAUAAAAACUUAACAGAUUAGACAUCUGGCUAACACUUAACUAGGACAAAAUUUCCACCUUCAAGUUGCAAUCCAUAGAAAAUUUUAAAAACUAGAACAUCCUUUCAAUAGAUCUAAGUAAUCCCACCACAAAGUCUAAGCUAUUUAGACUCAAUUAGAAAAGAAUUCACAAACUUCUUUCGGUGCAAAGUGAACCAUUAUGGUUAUGGAGACUUGACUAAAACCCUUAACUCUCAUCCCUUUUAUUCAUACUUCACACACUCCACACUUUUUGUUUUUUUUGUUUUUUGUUUUUUGUUUUUUUGUUUUUUUUUCUUUUUGUUUUUAUAGUAACAGUAGUGGUUGUGCAAUGUUGGUUCCCUUAAGCUUUCAAUCCAACCGUGUAGCCAGCUUUAGGUCAAUGUCUCCCAAACCACUCGGGUUUUAGGGCACUAGGUGUAGAACACCCCUAAGGACUUAUUAACUCAAGCUGAAAAGGCUACGAAACCAACUAACCACCCUGCCUCAUGCCAAAACUCUACCUUUUGUCUCGAGAAUCACUGCUGAUUAGGCAGGAUUGACCCGGUUACUAGCAAAGCUUCGGGUGAGGUAAUUAUUACUUUAUAACACAAACUAACUUUAUUUAUAUUGAACAUAAAUUAAAACACAUUUGGACAAAAAGUAAGUAUUCCAAUCUCACUCCCCAAAAACCAUGUUGGUGUGAUGUGCAAAUUUCAAAGUAUAAUUCAUGAAUUAAUGUCUAAGCAACAAUAAAUAGAAAAUACUCUACCGUGGGAUUGAUUUUCACCAUGUCCAUUUGUUCUAACGUUUAAAAUAAUCUAUGGAUAUUGACUGAAAAACGAAAAUUUGUAAACAAGACUCAAAAAAUGAAAAAUAAAAAAAAUUACGUUCCCACCCCCUAACUUAAAUCACACAUUGUCCUCAAGGUGGGGUAAAUAAUCAAAAGAAACAAGAGCAGAAACAAAACGACUAAAACUUAGAAAAUGGAAAUCAAAAAUAAAGAAAAUACUCUAAGAAAAGAAAUUAGGAAGGCAAAGGAUGAGAUCCAGAUGGAUCUGGUAAUCCUAUCCGUAGAGAUGGAAAGAUUCUAUACACGCCAUUGAGACUGGAUUUGGAGAUGAGGAUUUGACCCUACCUUGUUCGACGAAUUCCCUCAAGGGGAAUUAUAGCAAUAAAAUACAUAUGCUUCUACAAACAUUUAAUUGCACUGCUACGACGUGGAAAGAGUGCUUUGGGGUCUCAUCUCAUGUGAACCCGUUCGAGUAGAAAUCUUUCAUUAGAAUCAGAAAUGGGUCAUGGUAAAGAGAGGUAGAUGAUGAUUACAGUUCGGUAAAAAUGAUCAUUUCUGACAUUCCUCUCAAAGAACCGUGUUGGCAAUGUCGUUUAUCGAUUCUAAAGAAAGAAGAAAAAUAUCAACAAGUCAAAGAACGUGGAUUUCUUUUAAGGGGAGAGCUAGAACAAAAUCAAAUCACGAAUGGAAGAGUUUAGCUUUCAGAGGAAGAUUGAGCAUUACAGCAGCUAUUAAAGGAUAUUUUUAGUUGAAGAAUGAGAUUUUUCUUCCUCUGAUUGUUUAGCUAGAGCUUUUGGCUUGACUGCCAACGUGGUUGUGGAGGAAGAAACUUGGGAACCCGAGUAGUAGAUGCGAGCCCACUACCCAUACCCCUUUUGAGUGACAGGUAUGAAAUUUCAAGGAUGAAAUUUUUAUAAGAGGGGUAGAUUGUAACGACCCGGUCCUAAAUAAAUUGGUAAUUAUUAAUUUAUUCAUAUAAAAGACCAUUUUGCCCCCAUAAUAUUUUAAUAGGUUUACAUGUUGACUUGUUGACCGGGGAGGCUUUGGUGAAAUUGUUACAUCCCGGUCUGAAAAAGUGUUAAAAUAAUUAAAGUAAGAGAGAAUAAAUUGAAAUAAACAUUAAAAUAAAAUGAUUUGAAUUAAUUAAGGUGUUUGAGAAAUUAAAAUAUUAUUUAAAAUUAUAAGGGGCAAAAAGAUCAUUUUAAGUUUGGGAAGGAAUUUGAAAAUUUUGAUUGUACCGUUGUGUGGAGCACGUCGAAACGAGUCCGUAGACACAUAGUGGACUCGAAUCGGAGUUGUAACGAAAAAAUGGCGAUCAAAAGAAUUUCAGUGGCAUAACCGUAAAUAUUUUGAAGUUCAGUUUUUUUAAAACCCACAUUUAUUCUCUCUGGGGAGUGGGACGUGCCAACUUCAAAUGGUGAUUUCUCCCAACUCCGGCCACCAAUUCAAGUAAGACCGGCCCCGUUAGAACCACCACACUUCCCUCUUCCAGUCCCAGCCCAUCUCAGUCUCGAUCCGCCGUCGUAGUCGCCGAAAAUCGCCACGAAACAAGGUGGUUUGGAUAGUUUUUGUCGAAAUUUCGUGGAGCUCGUUCUCCCUCCUCCGGCCACCGUUUCAGGCGAGUGAGGUAUCAUUUCUCACCUAUUUUCUAUGAUAUAGCUGAUGGUUGGAUAUGAUUUGAUAAAUUUUGAGCGUUGAUAGUUCGAUUUUCGAAUCAAAGUUUGGCCGAAUUUCGGGAUGAAAUUCCGGCCACUUUCGAUCACUUUUUGGGGUAGGCCCAAGAACAAAAGUGUCUUCAAUUGAUGUCCUGAUCCCAGGGUAAGAGCAUUGGUCGAAAAUUUUGAGAUUUUCCUGCUGGUGGUAUCGCUUUGGGCACCCAUGCGCUGAUGGCGCGUGUGGCAGCGUGUGGGCACUGUAGCAGAGGGCCAUUGUGUCCCAAUGCGACCCCCUUGUUGUCACGAGUGCGUAAGGGUGCUCGGAUUCCAAUUUGGUUGAGGUUUGAACCCCGAAUGGAUUUCGUAUAUUGUACAUUAUCCGGGUUUGAUAGGUUUGAACCGUUGGAUAGUCUUGAAUUUAAUAUAUGUUAGUCUAGACAUCCCUAGGAUCAUAUAGGAUUUCGCGGAUCAUGGAUCGGAGCCCCGGAUGUUCUGAUUUAAUAAAUUAAAGUUUGUGUUUUACAAUAACCGUCCGAUCGUGCGAUCGCGAGCAAUCCGACAGUCCGAUCCGAACCAAACUUGCAGGACGGGUAUCCUAAAUCUUGUAGAACCCAUAGGAGCUUUCGGAUAAGAAUUUGGAGGUCGUGGGCCCGGUUGACCAAGAUUAGGUAGUUUGACCCCUCGGUUGACCAUGAGUCUUCCGAGGUAGUUUCACCCUUCGAGGAGUACUAGAAUGACCUUAUUACAUAGUCUCGACCUUUAAUUGAGCUAUGUUGACUAUGUUGAGAUUUUUAGAGUGUUUAUUAUUAUCGUAUGAAAACUCUUGGAUAUUACUUUUAAUAAUUGAAAUUAUGGAUUUGAUGAGCGUGGGUAAAUUGAUUUGAUGAGUGGUGAAAAGAAGUCGUGGGCUUGGCUAUGACUAUUAGGAAGUGAGGGGACAUUUAUGUUGAAUAUGCAUUAAUUUCAACAAUUGAAAGAACAUGCAUGGAAUGGGUAUAUAUAUAUAUAUAGAUAAAUUGGAUUAAAGAUUGAGAAAUUAAUAAGUUGAGAUAUUAGUAAUAUUUAAUUGAGAAAUGGAUUUUGAGGUGGAAAUUGGAAGGUUGAAUUUGGGGAAUUUUGGAAUUGAGAAUUAUGGGUUAAUACUGAAAGAUGUAGGAUUAUACUAUGUAAGUACCAUCCCCUAGUUACUAGGCUUCCCAUACGUGGAGUUGGAAUUUCUGGCGUGUGGGAAGGAUAUAUGAUUAUUAGAUCUCACAUGCCGUUGGAUUUUCCAGCGUGAGACAGACCCCAUACGUGGGGUUGGAUUUUUCGGCGUAUGGGGAGAUUAUGUGAUGGUUAGGUCACACGUAGGGUGGGAUUUUCCAACGUGUUGACAGACCCCAUAAGUGGCGUUGGAUUUUCCGGUGUAUAGGGAGAUUAUGUGAUGGUUAGGUCACACGUGGCAUAGGAUUUUCCAGCGUGUUGACAGACCCCGUACGUGGCGUUGGAUUUUCAGCGUAUGAGGAGAUUAUGUGAUGGUUAGGUCCCAUGUGGCGUAGGAUUUUCCGGCGUGUUGACAGACUCCAUACGUGACGUUGGAUUUUCCGACGUAUGGGGAGAUUAUCUGAUGGUUAGGUCACACGUGGAGUAGGAUUUUUCAGCGUGUUGACAGACCCCAUACGUGACGUUGGAUUUUCCGGCGUAUGGAGAGAUUAUGUGAUGGUUAGGUCACACGUGGCGUAGAAUUUUCUGGCGUGUUGACAGACCCCAUAUGUGGCGUUGGAUUUUCCGGCAUAUGGGGAGAUAAUGAGAUGGUUAGGUCACACGUGGCAUAGGAUUUUCUGGCUUGUUGACAGACCCCAUAUGUGGCGUUGGAUUUUCGCGCGUAUGGGAAGGAUAUGUGAUUAUUAGGUCUCACAGGUGGCGUUGGAAUUUCCGGCGUAUGAGACACUAACAGUGAGAAGAGAAUGAGAUUAUUUUUCUAUAUCAGAGAAAGGUUAGAGUAUAAAAAGAAAUAUGUUUGGUGUGUGGUAAUUUAAAUUAAAACAGGGAAAGAUAACUUACCUGUACUACUGAAACAGUUGUGUAACAUUUGGAGCAUGAUUAUGGAGUGAAAGAACUACGUGUGGCUUGAUCUCUCAGUAAGGGUACGUAGGCAACCUAGGUGCAGUCGUAGACUAAACGUUAUUUAUGUUGUUUUAUUGAGAUUGGUUCUGACCCUGUCGUUGGUCCUGAAAUUCGGUUGAAAACUAGAUGCGAGUAAAUAAUUGUUCAUACUCCCGUUUCGUUGAGGGAGGAUUGUGUAAAUGUGUUCUGGUCAAGACAGGUAUAAGAACUCGUUUAGGAUUGAUGUACGAUUUGGGCUAAGGCCUUAAACUACUUGUUGUUGUAUUAGGAGAUUAAAACCUCGCAUGUGGGAUAAUUGGGAAAGUUAGAUGAUGUAAAGUGCACUUAGGCAUUCAUAUAUAUGUUUAAAUUUAUUAUUUGUCUUGCUUAACGUAAUUGUUUGACUUAUGGGCUUUAUUGGUGAUUUGCUUCAGAUUAUUUAAAGGCCGAAGGCCGUUUAUGUGAAUUGCAUUUUGAUACAUUGUGCAUGCUACUAGUUGUGGAUAUUAAAUGUGUUUUAUGCAGGUUGAAAUUUUUGGGAUUGUUCAAAUUACAGGGGAGACUGCCAAAAUUUUGAUAGAAAGUCUCGGUCAUUAGUAAGUGGGCCCGGCAUCGAGGUGAUGUCGGAAUUUACACAAGAUUCCUCUCGGGUUUUCAGGAAUUCGGGGCGGAUCCUGUUACUUGGGGUGCAAAUUAUCCAUUUGUUCACCCGUUUUCGUGUUUUACUUCUGAGGUGGAAGGGCGAAGUUUCCCACUGGCUUGGAGACCACUUGUUGGUCGACAAGUCAGCUUUCUUUGGUGUGUGUGAGCGUGCCACUGCUAGCAAUGUAAAUUCUAGCAGACUUAUUUUUUAGAGUGGAUAACUUGCGCCUCAAGUUACUGACUUCUAAAACAAAUGAUUGUGAAUUUGGGUGAGGAAUAUCUCCCAAGUAAGUUCUUUUCUUGCCUCAAACUGGUGAGGACUUUCACAAUUUAUCUCAGUAUCAAAUGGUUGUUCUGGCCAGAAUAGAUAAUAAUAAAGUAGACUGUUUCAGGCAGAACUGCCUUUUACAAAAUUAAGAAGGGAGAAAUCAACUCUAGAAAGGAAAAAAGAUGGCUGGAAUCCCAUUUCUGCCUGGGUAGAAACUUCUGAUCCGGGCUGGACUGGGUAUGUCUAUGCUGGACGGUGCUGUCAACAACUUUAGCUUGCUCGGCUUUAGUUGUAAAUCGAUACCAAAGUUCAAUUUUGGCAGAGCUUCAAUCUACUUCAAGCCUUGGGAGACUUUUGAGUGGGCAGAACUGCAGCUUCUUCAGUUUGAAGGGACAGAAGUGGCUAUUCUCGAGGAUUUAGCAAGCUGGAACUAUGCUAUAAAAUUUGUUGAGGUUUUCAUAUUUGUGAAAACUCAAACUAUGUUUGUCUUGGCUUUUGCUGAACCAAAUUUGUAACGAGAGGGAUCUUGUUUUCAGAAGACUUAUUUUCUAAGUCUGAACUUUGGAAUUCUGAUCUAAAGCUGUUUUCUUGUUUGUUUUUUUUUGAUUGACUGAUGAAUUGAGUGUCCUUUGUUUCUUUGCCUUCUUUCGCUUUUAUAAGAGAUCCUCCUAAGGAGGUCAUUUUUAAUCCUAAACAAUGGGCGGCAAAAAGAUCUCUUAUAAUGUAAAGUAAGAAGGGUUUCUUAUCAAUCAAGGCAGAUAGGUUCUGAGCAGUCACCUCCUAAAAACAGUCCAUUCCCUGGUUUCCUGGGUGGCAGCUUUCUAAUUCAACCAACGCCACCGUCUGUGUGGGCUUUUUAUGGCAGUUUUGGCUCUUUUCUUUUGUAUUUUCUGAGUGGUUCCCUGUUUCCCGUUCUAAUUUAGAAAGCGUGAUUCGUGAAUUCCUUGGGAGAUGGUGUAUUGAUUUGGAGCAAAAUCUUGAACACAGAUGGGUUUUUGAUCUUCAAUUGGCAGUGUUUCAGAGACGUCCCUCUCACAUUUUUAAACUUUAGUUGGAAUUGCUGACUUUUCCAAAGUUGAGGCAAUCACGUGGGUGUGUCUUUGAUCCCUUGGUUUUGAAUCUAUCGAAAAUUACGGGCUGAUCUUUGAAGCCCAUUUCGAAAGUUUCCACAUCUGGGCUUUCUUUGGGCUGAGGCUUUAUUUCCAACAUUCUUGGUGUGAAGCCCAAACUGUCUGGGUCUUAUUUUCGUUUUUCUCAAGUCUCUGGGCUGGGCAGGCAAUUUUAUCAUGGGCCUGUCUUCUGGUCUUGGGCGUGCCGAAUUUGGGCCCAAACAAUGCCCCCUAAGUCUGAAUCGUUUUGGAAUGGUUUCAGACUUAAUGUUUUGCCAUUUAAUUCACGUGCCAGUUUCUUCCGUGUUUUCGCCCACGUCUGCCACGUUUGCCUGCUACGAACUAGAGUUCGUGGGAAAACGGCUAGUUAUUAUCUAGUUACUAGCUAAUAAUCAUCAGGUGCCGUCCCAUCUUCUUCUUCCCACGUUUUCGAGCCCCUCUUUAAAAGAAAUUCAAAUUCAUAGCUUCUGAAAAAAGAAACCCUAAACCUUCCAGCUCUUGUUCCUGCGAGUUCUUUCUUCGAGAUUUCCAAAGCCUUCUUUAGACCUUCCUUUCUUCUGCUUCUUCCCUUGAAUCAGAAAUGUCUUCCCCAAGGUCCCGCGCUCAGUCUUCUUCCGCUUCAGUUCCUCCCGAUUAUAUCACUGGGAGCGGGAUUGAUGCUCACGCGAUAGAAAUCAGGAGCAAGCUUCAUCCCUUUGCCCAGAAGAAUCUGGACGAGAAUGUCCUCCAUUUGUUUGAGAACACCCUGGUGUUAGGGCCUCACUGGUUUGGUCCUGUUCCAGCUGAGAUGGCAGAAUUGCUAAAAAAGGAUGCCGAGGCUCCUUUGUGUUUUGAGAGCUCUUCUGCCCUGGCUUCUUAUUCUUGGGUUAGCAAGAAUUUGAGCCGGUCCUUCCCGUCCAGCGAGGUGAGGAAUAGUCUGGUCAAAUGGGCAGACUGGAUUGAUAGACUUCUCCCGAGAUAUGGGGGUCACUGGAGGAGAGCUGGGAUUUAUGACGCCAUUUUUCUGUCCAAACAAUCGAUUAACAGAGAUGAGAAUCUGCUUGCUGCUGCUUUAUGCUUCUGGAAUUCUGCCAGCAAUACAUUUGACUUCCGCGUGGGUCCUAUGGCGCCAACCUUGCUGGAUAUGGCUCAGAUUUUUGGGUUCAGGCCCCAUGGUAGGCCUGUUGAUGCCAUUGGAGAUUAUCACAGGCGAAGGAAUCAAGAGAAAGUGGCCACCCCUUUUACUAUCCCUCCAGCCGUGAUCAACCAGAACUGCUCUUUCUCCAACUAUCUGAAGAAGUUCAGUGCUGAUAAGGACAAGGAUCAGCAACAUAUGUUGUUCCUUCUGUAUUGGCUGAAUUGGUUCGUUCUCCCCAAUCGGUCUUCUGCAGUUCUGCUAGAGUACAGACACUUGGCAGAAGCACUCCACAAUCACACUGAUGUGGGGCUCGGGCCUACAGUUCUGGCUCACCUUUUCAAGAAUCUGCAUACUUCCACCCUGGAGAACCCAUUGAACCUGUCAGCCCCUGGCGCAUUCUGGAUGAUCCAGAUCUGGCUGCAGGUUUAUUUUCCAGAACUAAGGUUCCCAGACAUAGUUCUGCCUGAAGAUCAAGUCCUGGCUCUUCCUCUGAUGUCGGCAGAAGUGCCCAAGCAUUCUAUUGAGGAGUAUUUGAUGCUCUUCAGGCAUUGUACAAAGAGGUCGGCAGCUCAGUGGCAAGUGGUGAUCAGGAGGACCUAUCCUUGGUUCCAGACCGGAUUUCGGUUGUUUGAGAAGGAGCCAGAAGAUGAAGCUGCCAGAACAGAUUUCAGGAGGAAAUUUCUGAGCAUUACUCUGCCCAGAGAUCUACCCCAUGGUGGGGGCAAACCUCCAAACUAUCAUCUGGGGGCAGAAGUCUACCAUCCCAACUUCUGCGCGAGGCAGCUUGGUUGUCCCCAACUCAUUCCGCUGAAAUCAUAUCGGAGUUGUAACCGGGCCUCUUCUUGGAGGGAUGCAGAUGAUCUGGAGGUGCACAAGGAUGCCCGGUGUGCAGUGAACAAAAUCAACAACAGCACGGAUGCCCUCUAUCCCUCGUGGGAGCUGAAUUCCUGCAGUUCUGCCGACUUUGACGCAUGGUGGAAAGCCAGAUUCCAAAGUCUGCCUGCUUCUGUCACUGCCCUCAAGGUGCUGUUUGAUGGUUGGGAAAACUGGGUCGUUUUUGCGAAUGGGGAUGCCAAGACGCAUAUGAUCCAGACCAUCAAGGAUAUUAACGCGCAAAUUAUAGAAGGUAGAUUUCUGAUUCUGUAUGGGGUUCGUUCUGUCCUGAUGAUUGAUUUCUAAUGUCUAUUCUGCCUGUAUCAGAUCCUUCUUUGACCAGCGUAGGUGGGCAGUCUGUUCAUGCUGGGGAAGUGAUUGGUAAGUCUUUUCUUUUAAUUCUAUUCUGUCUUUUCCUGCUGGAUUGGUCUCUAAUGUCUAAUGCCUUGGUGCAGUCUCUUCCGUUAUUGCUGCCGGGGACUUGGAGCUCCCUUCUGCGGAUGAAGGAGAUGAGGUCCAGACAGAACAAACACCUACCGAGGCCGCUCUUUCUGGCAGAAGAAAAAGGAAAGGACCUGCCCCUCCUUCGGAUAAUCCCACGCGGCCUGGUAUUUCAGGUAAGCUCGUGAUGUUCCAACCAUUCUCUUUAAAUUUAUUAUGUCUUGCCUUCUUUUCCCUAAUACUGCUUUUUGUUCUGUGCAGCUGGAAGUCCUUCCCCUCCUCCUACCAAGUUGAAAAAACUUAAAAAGAGGAGUGAGGAGGAGUAUGUCGCCGCGGAAGAGACGGCAGCAAUUCCCACCACUACCUCCGGGACGGAUGAAGAGCUGCGAGAGGCUUUUGAGGAGGUGGAGCAGGAAAAAGAAUUGGAAGAGCUGGAAGAAACGCCUCAGGAAAAAACGGCAGUGGCGGAAGGAGAGGUAAGUUUUAUUUCUGUGAUUCGCAUCAGUUCCCUUCUCGCCCUGUUUCUUCCGUUCUGACCCUUAUUUUGUAGGAGAAGAUCCCUGCUGAGGUGAUUGCAGAGAGCAUUGCCUUGGCGCAGAAGCAACAAGGGGGUCCAAGGGCUGAGCGGACUAGCUCAGAACUAGCCCUAUUUGAGGAUGCUGAGGCAGAGCAUUCUACUGCCGUUCCAGCGGCUGAGGAUCAGGCGGAACGGUCUGCAUCAGAGCCUGUGGAUCAGGCAGAGCUGUCUGUUGUGGUUCCGGAGGCUGAAGUGGAAACAACCGCCGCUGCCCCUGUGGUUGUGGUAACUUUCUUUCUUUAUCUGUCCACACUCUCCUGCAUUUCUGCCUUGUUCUUUAUUUUUAACUGUUGUAGCCUUUUCAGGUAGAAGUGCCUAAAGCUGUUGGCGUCCUGGCAGCGGUUACCAGUCCCCAGAAGCCUCCCAUUGUUGCUGUAAGUUUUCAUAACUUUUGGGCCUUUAUUUUCCACUUUCUGCCUGGUCUUACCUUAUGCUUUCUUCUUGCAGAUGCCAAUUCAUUCCCUUCCAGGAUCAUCUGCCACGGCUUCUUUUGCUGAUCCAGAACUCGAAGAGUUUGAAGCCAUGGAUCUGGAUGCCCAAUUGGACAGAUUGGAGAAACUCAGCUCUCCUCCAGGCAAGGCAAAAUCUAGGGCAGUGGAGGAGGCCAUGGAGAGGUUGAAAAUCUGGCAGUCUAAUGAGCUGGAGUUUGAUCAAGACAAUGAAGCCUUAAAUCAGCUGAUGAAGGACCUGGACCUGCUUCACAGACAGAACAUGGCUCCAAAACCUAUCCUUGAGAUGGGCCUAAGCUUGGCCAGAGAUGUGCUCAAUCUGCAUGAUCGCUAUGAGGAUCUCAGGCCUACUUUCAAGACUUCUGAAUUCUGCAAGGCCACUCAUGAAGCCAACCUGGCUGAUUUUGCAAAGCAGAAAGCAGAACUGGAUCAGAUGGUGGCCGGAUAUAAGGAAGCCAGGGCCACUGCGGACAAGCUGGAGAAGCCGAUGGAAGAGCUCCAAAAACAACUGGCAGAAUGCAGGGAGGUGCAGAGCAGGCUUGGGGCUGGACUGAGUUCUAAAACUAAGGCCACUUUCCUUGUGCAAAGUAUGGUUGCAGCUUCCAGGACAGCCUUGGAGAUUGCAGAGGCUUCAAUUCACCAGGGGGUGCUGCUCCAGAAAGAGCUUUCUGUCAAGAAAGCGAACCUGCAGGAGACUCUUAGAAAACUAGGAUUUUAGCUUCUUCUUUCCUUUUAUUGUUCGAAUAAUUUGCCGCAAAGGUGGCUAUUUUUAUAUAAGCUUUCAAAGCAUUUUACUGCUUUUCAUUUAUUCUUGAUGCAAUAACUGGAUACGGCUUUGAAAGUAAAAAACAGAACAACUUUAAAGCAAAAAUAAAUCUAAACAAAAUUCUUUUCAAGAAACAAAAAGGUCAAACUUGUUCCUCUUCUAUCCCGGGAUCUGUUUAUACAGCCUGCGAAUCCCACGUGGUUGGAUAGAACUUCUUUAACCAUUUACCAUUGAUUGGGGCAAAAUGAACAACUCCAUCUCGGUCCUGCAACCUGUAUGCCCCCAUUCCGAGGAUUUGGUUAAUUAUAAAAGGGCCUUCCCAUGUAGGUGACCAUUUCCCAUAUCCAGCUAUGUGUGCUCCAAGGGGCAGAAUUGCCUUCCAGACUAUCUCUCCCUCUUCAAAACUCUUGUUUUUGACUCUUUUGUUGUAGGCCCUUGAUACAGCCUGUUUUCCUGCUAAGAGUUUGUUGAGGGUGUCAAUUCUGCUUGCAUCCAAUUCUUCCAAUUCCAGCAACAUGGCUUGAGAGUAAUCCUCCCCAGUGAGACCAUGCUGGUGAGCAAUUCUAAGAGACUGGACCGCUAUCUCCAUGGGAAGAAUUGCAUCGUGGCCGUAGGUUAGAGCAUAGGGGGUCAUGCCAGUUGCUUCUCUCUUUGAAGUUCUGUAUGCCCACAAAGUUUCUGAUAACUUCUCAUGCCAUUACUUUGGAUUCUUCUCUAGCAUCUUUUUGAUGAUAUUGAUAAUCACCUUGUUACUUGAUUCCACCUGUCCAUUAGCUUGAGCAUAGUAAGGAGUAGAUUGAAGCAGUUUGAACUUGAACGUUUCUGCCAUAUCUAGCAUGUCCCUAGAUAUGAAAGAAGAACCCCUAUCGGUUGUGAUUGAUUCUGGAAUGCCAAACCUUUGUAUGAUCUGUUCUUCUAUAAAGGUGAUGAUCUCUUGAGAUGUUGUGGUUUUUACUGGCUUGGCCUCUACCCACUUGGUGAAGUAAUCUGUGGCAACGAUAAUGAAACAGUGCUGCUGGUUGCUGGCUGGAUAGAUUUUGCCAAUGAGAUCCAUUGCCCAUCCCCUGAAAGGCCAUGGUUUUACUACUGGAUUCAUGGGAACCGAAGGAGCCUGCUGGAUUGGGCCGUGCCUUUGACAGGCUUCACAUCCUUUGGAGUAGUUGAUGCAAUCCUUCAUCAUGGUUGGCCAGAAGUAGCCAUACCUUCUGAUUAACCAGCACAUCUUUCUUCCCCCUUGGUGAGCUCCACAGAUCCCCUCAUGGGUUUCUCCCAUGGCUUUCAUAUAUUCUGUCUUCCCGAGGCACCUUAAUAGUACCUCAUCCUUACUUUUUCGGACCAAAUCUUCAUUCCACAUGAGGUAGUUUGUAGCCAUGAUUCUGACUCUUUUCUUAGAGGGCAGAGUGGGAUAUCGUAAGUAAGUCAUGAUAGGCUCCCUCCAAUCAUCUUCAGUGAUCAAGGCAGAAUUGACUUCUAUCUCCAUUCCUCUCGUCAAAACAGAUGGUAGACUUUUCCUUCCUAUCUUGAUGAUCCUUUGGACGCAGUCUUCGGGCAUUUGUAUGCCUGAUGCCACCUGAGCCAGUUCAUUGGCUGCAAAGUUUUCCUCCCUUGGGAUGUUCUCCCAAGUAGCUUCUCUAAAUUCUGUUAGCAGAUUUCUAGCUGCUACUAGAUAUACAGCCAGAGAAGGAUUCAGACACUUAUAUUCUCCAGCAAUCUGUUUUAGGACAAGCAUGGAAUCUCCCAAGAUCUCCACGGACUGGACUCAUAAUUCUACCAACAUCUCGAGCCCUAUAAUCAAAGCCUCAUACUCGGCCAUGUUGUUGGUGCAUUGGAAAUCUAGCUGGAAGGAAUAGCAAUGUCUGACCCCUAAUGGUUCUUCCAGAACAAUCCCUGCUCCUGAAGCCUUGUCUGUCUUUGAUCCAUCAAAAUAUAACUUCCAAGGUGUGAGAUGAAUCGAGUAGAUUGGAUUGUUAAGGCAAACAUGAGCUCUAGUUAGCAGAUCUGCAUUUGCUAUGUCCAAAGAAUCCAUGUUUUCAAUUUCCUCUCCCGAGUGAUCUACCAAGAAGUCUGCCACAGCUUGCCCUUUGACAGCUUUCUGGGGGACAUACCUGAAGGUGAAUUCUGUCAAAGCCAAAGUCCAUUUCCCAAUUCUGCCCCUCAGCAUUGGUCUUGUUAGCAUGUAUUUGAUUAAGUCUGUUUUGGCAAUGAUGUAGAUAGUAUGUGGCAGCAUGUAGUGCCUGAGCUUUACAGCAGUGAAAUAUAAGGCCAGGCAAAGCCUUUCUAUUGCGGAAUACCUUCUUUCCACUUCUGUCAAUGUUCUGCUUAGAUAGUAGGCUGCCUGUUCUUUUCCUUCUUUGUUAUCUUGAACUAUUAGACUUCCAAUGGAUACUUCUGAUGCAGAUACAUAAAGCUUGAGGGGUCUGCCCCUUUUUGGUGGGGACAGAACUGGUGGAUUUGAGAGGUAAUGCUUUAUUUCCUGGAAAGCCUGUUGGUGCUGUUCUUCCCAUUUGAAUGUCUGUUCCUGCUUCAGUCUUAACAGGGAAGAAAAAGGUUGGAUUUUUCCUGCAGAAUUGGAUAUGAAUCUCCUUAGAAAAUUGAUUUUUCCUAAGAGACUUUGAAGUUCCUUCUUGUUCUGAGGUGGUAGAGCUUCUAUGAUGGAUGUUGCUUUAUUUCUGUCAACCUCUAUACCUCUCUGGUGGACCAAGAAUCCUAAGAAAUUCCCUGCUUGGACUCCAAAAACACAUUUUUUGGGGUUCAUUUUCAGUUUGUGCUGCCUCAUUCUUAGGAAUGCCCUUCUCAGGCUUGCUACGUGAUUUCCUUCCUCAGGGGAUUUAAUCACCACGUCAUCUAUGUAUACUUCCAAGGAAUGUCCUAUCAUAUCAUGAAAAAUAGAAUUCAUUGCCUUUGGUAGGUGGCUCCCGCAUUUCUCAAACCGAAAGGCAUUACAGUAUACUCGAAAGCACCUAUAUGUCCUGGACACAUAAAGGCUGUCUUGUGGAUGUCCUGUUCUGCCAUCAUGAUCUGGUUAUAACCUGCAUUGCCGUCCAUGAAAGAUAGCAUCUGGUUAUGAGUGGCUCCAUCCACUAGCAUGUCUGCCAUUGGCAUAGGAUAUUCGUCUUUAGGAGAUGCCUCAUUCAGAUUUCUGUACAAUAUUUGCUAACCAAUCGGAAUAGACGGCUGGCCUGAUGAAUCCUGCCUUGAGCAGCCUUUCUAUCUCUUCUUUGACCUUUAGUUCUGUGUCCAUAGACAUUCUUCUUCUGGCCUGUUUGACUGGAAGGUAGCCAUCUUUAAUUGGCAGCUUGUGCUCCACUCACUGCCUGUCCAAUCCUGGCAUUUCGUGGUAAUGCCAGGCAAAACAAUCUCUGAACUCCUGUAAAAGUGCCAUGAGUUCAGUCUUGAGUGGUUCCUUCAAAAGUGUGCUGAUGAAAGUAGGCCUUGGAUCUUCUUCUGUUCCUAAGUUUAUCUCCUGUAGAGGAUCCUCUACUUCUGGCAGGGAGUCAUCCAGUGCUGCUGGUGCAAAAUCUAAUACUUCCUCCUGUAAAAUUUCCUCCUCUUGCUCUUUUGUGCUUUCAUGGGUGAAUUCUGCCAUAUUGAUGGCUGGAUUCUGUAUGAAAAGCCUCCUUUCUCCCCAGUAUAUCAACAAUCUUUUUGUGAUGGAUCGGAUUGUUGCAGCUCGAUCCUUGUCUAGUUGAUUCGGACUAAACAUCAGAGUUCUGGAAGUUCAGCACAAAAAGGUCUAUUCCAGUCCUCUAGAGAACUGGCUAAACCUUCUUCAAUGAGUCUUUGGGCCGUGACACCAUGUGGACGGCCGUUCUGAUUGACUCCAAGGAAAGUGAAAGGACCGAGGUCAUCAUGAUAAUACCUUGUUUCAAAGCACAUGGCAGAGGGCAGGAAUGGCCGUGGAUCAGCCUCUAUAAUCUCCAUGCAGCCUUCUUCAUUCCAUAGUGCUAACUGCGGGUGGAGGGUGGAAGGAAUACAAAGGCUCUGGUGAAUCCAAUCCCUGCCAAGUAGUGCAUUGUAGGUGGUGGAAGUAGUGUCUAUAACAAAGAAUGCUAUUUUCAACUCUUUGCUUCCGAUUAUGACAUCCACAUCUAAGAUGCCAUGUAUUUUGGUGAUGCAACCAGAAGUUGGUGACGGUCAAUCGUGUUGGAAUCAGAUCUUUCUCUGUCCUGCCCAGCUUGGUCAGCAUUCUGUGGGGUAAUAGAUUAAUGGCUGCACCUCCAUUUACCAUGAUCUUGGAAAUAGGAAUACCCCCAAGAUUUGCCGUUAUAAACAAAGGUCUGAGGUGAAACAAGGUUGCUCUGUAGCUGGUUUAUUGGCUGUUCUGCCUGUCUUGGGGUUUUCUGCUUGUGGUUCUGGUGGCUCCUCUGCUUCUGCCAAUCUACAUUCAAAGCUUUCCUGAGAGAAAACAUCCCCUUCCAGAGUGCUUUCUUGUCCUUCGGCUGCCCUGAAUUUACUUGGUAGGAUGAAUACCAUGUUAAUUCCCAGAUCACCCUGUAGGAGGUCUUCUAAUUCUGCGCCAAAAGCUUCUGUUUCUGGGUCCAAUUCUACACCAAAUUCCAUUAAUUCUUCCCCGUAUUCUUCCGUCCAGUCAUCCUGUUCUGCUACUUCGAGGGGCUCUUUCUGAUCAUCUGCGGAAGGUUCAUAGUCCAAUUGCUCUUCUUCAUAUUCCUCAGUGUAGUCGUCUUCUCCUUGUAACGGGGUAGACCCAGAUUUCUCUGGUGUCUGCGUGGUGUCAGGACGGCUGCUGGACGACGAGGCCACAUGGAUAGGAGACCUGGCUGGGGGUUCUGUUUUCAGCAAUUCCCUUGACUGGCAAGCUUUCUGUUCUGUCUGGGGAAGUGUUUCAGGAUUUUUUCCUUUCCUAGCAGAACUGGGUUGUGAACGUACCUGCGUAUUAUCUUGGCUCUUAAGAUAUGUGCAGUAUUGCCUCUGGAUUCUCCUUUUCUGGGUUCUGGUUAGCUCCAGAGUCGGUCUACCGCUUCUUCCUACGGAAUACCAUCUCCCUUCUAUGAUCGUUGCCAAGGAUCUUUCGUUUCUGGGCAUCUUGACUGGUAUUUCCUUUCUGGGUUGCUCCAUCCUCCUCUCGCUGUAUUGUGUAGGCCUAAGACAGCUCUUCUGCCUUGUUUUGUCUCGGGAUGAGGUUCCAAUUCUGUCAAAGACACUAGGUGUGGGCUGAUUUUGUCUGUCUAGAACCACCUCUAGCUCUGUUUCACAUUUGCACCUACUGCAGAGCACUACCCCAGCCGAGAUGGUCGCUCUUGGUAUUUGACUGGUCUCCCUUAUGAUUCUUCUGCCUCUGCUGCAACCAGCAUCUGUGAUUGGCUCGGUUUUCCUCUGUUCUGGCCAAUUUAAGUUGACCAUAUUGACUUGUGGUUGAGGAAAAGGAUCCGUUGUGACGGAUGGUGGUUUUUCUGCCAGUUUCAACCUUCCUGCCGUUAUCCCUUCUUGUAUUACGUCCCUGAAAACAACACAACUAUUGGUAGAAUGGUUCCAAGAGUUGUGCCACCUGCAGUACUGUCUGCCCUUGAGUUCUUCCGGCUUCGGUAUUCUGUGAGGCGUCUCUAUUGCCUUCUACAGUAGCAUUUCGUGGAACAAGGCAUCAACCUUGGUUAAGUCAAAAGAGUAAACCUUGUUUUACGUUGGUUUGUUUGGAACGAAUCCUCCUGUGAAUGGUGGUGGCUUUUGGUCUUUAGGUGGCUUUGUGAGGGCUUUGCAACUAAUGGGAUGUUUUAGUUUUGCCAUUUCUGCCACUGAAACCUCUUUCUCUUCUGAUUCUUCUGCAUCUUCUUGUGAUUCCACCUCGAUCAGGUGGACUGAAGAAGAAGGGGUUUUAUAGUAUGUACCUUUGGAGGAGUUCCUCCUUUGCUGUUCCUCCCUGAGUAACUCCUCAUAUUUGGAUGCCUUAUCAGCCAGUUCUGCCAGAUCUCCGAACAAUAUCCCGUCGAACCUUUUCCUGAGAGAGAUUUUAAGGGCAACUUGGGCCAUCUGGAUGAAGUGUCUUUCUUCCAUCGGGAUUCGGCACUUCAUUUUGAGCUUUCUGAACCUGGUUAUGAAAUCUUGGGCCGGUUCAUCUUCACUUUGCUUGAGGGCAGCUAGAUCACUGAUGGUGACUUCUGGCUGAAUCCUGUAAUAGUAGUCAUGGAAGACAUUUUCCAUCUGUUCCCAGGUUUGAACAGAGUUAGCUGGCAGGCUGGUGUACCAGGUAAAAGCUUGCCCAAAAAGAGAGUUGCCGAAAAGCCUUAAUUUCAGCAGAGGGUUGCUUUCUAUAGCUAUGCAUUGGACGGAGAACCUGCCUAUAUGUUCAACUGAGGAAGAAUGGGGGUCUUCCCCAUUGAACAAAGUGAAGUUUGGCACUUUGAAACCUGGAGACAACAGUAUUUGAUCGAUAUAGGCUGGGUAUGGCUUUCUGUAAGUAGGCCUUUCCCCUAUUCUAGCCUCGGGUUCCAUGAUUUCUCUGAUCAUUCUUUGCAACGCUCCUAUGUCAUUCAAAGCAUUGACUGGGGGAAGAUUUUGUCCCUGUUCUGGCUGAACGUAAUCAAACCUGGGCUCUGCUCUGUGUGGUCUGGGUGGAACUUCCUCCCUGUGUUCUUCCUGCUCUUCGACUUCUGGAUGAUUCCUCCAGUUUGCCCCCGGUCUAUUCCUGUCAUGAUUAGCAAAAAGGUUGUUCCCUCCUCGGCCUCUCCUCCUUCUUGCAAGUGGAGGGAAUGGAUUAGGGUCCAUCCUUCUGGGUCUAUAUGGCAAUACUGCCGGUGGUUCAGGCAGAAGCGCCAAAGGUUGAUCAUGUGGGAGCACAUGAAGUGGAAUGGGCUGAGGUUCUGGCUGGUUCUGAGCCAGUGCCAGGUUAUCUGGUUGAGCUGGGGCUUCAUGUUUUUGAUUAGGAAGGGCUCCUUCCCUCGGACCAGCCUGAAUUUCUCCGUGGUCUGGCACUCCAGCCAUCUGUGCAACUAGGAAAUUUUCCUGGUAUGGCCAUAUUAGUCCUGGCGGAGGGCCAUAAGGGAGAUCCAACUGCUGGAUUACAGGAUCUGGGUUUGGGUUUCUGGCCAUGGCGGAUUCUCGGUCCUUCCGGAACUGUCUGUUUACCUGCCAUUACAUCAUGGCUGUCAUGUUAUUGAGAGUGUCCUGGCUCCUUCGUACUGUGAUCUCUUGUCGGAGUACUGACUCCUGUAUUUGAUUCAUCCUUUUGGAGCCAGUCCUGGAACGUCUACUUCCUGUACUGCCGUGGGCAGAUUGCCUAGCAUCGCUUUUUUCUGAUUCGAGGCCUUCCCUGAGAACCAUCUUGUUUUUCUCCAUAUCUGGUGUGGGUUCUGACUAGAUCUUCCGGUAUUUGUGAAUCUGUGAAUGAUUCUGUCAGAGUAUAUAUACUGAGAAGUCCCACUGGGUGUGCCAAAUUAUUCACCCGUUUUCGUGUUUUACUCCUGAGGUGGAAGGGCGAAGUUCCCCACUAGCUUGGAGACCACUUGUUGGUCGACAAGUCAGCUUUCUUUGGUGUGUGUGAGCGUGCCACUGCUAGCAAUGUAAAUUCUAGCAGACUUAUUUUUUAGAGUGGAUAACUUGCGCCUCAAGUUACUGACUUCUAAAACAAAUGAUUGUGAAUUUGGGUGAGGAAUAUCUCCCAAGUAAGUUCUUUUCUUGCCUCAGACUGGUGAGGACUUUCACAAUUUAUCUCAGUAUCAAAUGGUUGUUCUGGCCAGAAUAGAUAAUAAUAAAGUAGACUGUUUCAGGCAGAACUGCCUUUUACAAAAUUAAGAAGGGAGAAAUCAACUCUAGAAAGGCAAAAAGAUGGCUGGAAUCCCAUUUCUGCCUGGGUAGAAACUUCUGAUCCGGGCUGGACUGGGUAUGUCUAUGCUGGACGGUGCUGUCAACAACUUUAGCUUGCUCGGCUUUAGUUGUAAAUCGAUACCAAAGUUCAAUUUUGGCAGAGCUUCAAUCUACUUCAAGCCUUGGGAGACUUUUGAGUGGGCAGAACUGCAGCUUCUUCAGUUUGAAGGGACAGAAGUGGCUAUUCUCGAGGAUUUAGCAAGCUGGAACUAUGCUAUAAAAUUUGUUGAGGUUUUCAUAUUUGUGAAAACUCAAACUAUGUUUGUCUUGGCUUUUGCUGAACCAAAUUUGUAACGAGAGGGAUCUUGUUUUCAGAAGACUUAUUUUCUAAGUCUGAACUUUGGAAUUCUGAUCUAAAGCUGUUUUCUUGUUUGUUUUUUUUUUAUUGACUGAUGAAUUGAGUGUCCUUUGUUUCUUUGCCUUCUUUCGCUUUUAUAAGAGAUCCUCCUAAGGAGGUCAUUUUUAAUCCUAAACAAUGGGCGGCAAAAAGAUCUCUUAUAAUGUAAAGUAAGAAGGGUUUCUUAUCAAUCAAGGCAGAUAGGUUCUGAGCAGUCACCUCCUAAAAACAGUCCCUUCCCUGGUUUCCUGGGUGGCAGCUUUCUAAUUCAACCAACGCCACCGUCUGUGUGGGCUUUUUAUGGCGGUUUUGGCUCUUUUCUUUUGUAUUUUCUGAGUGGUUCCCUGUUUCCCGUUCUAAUUUAGAAAGCGUGAUCCGUGAAUUCCUUGGGAGAUGGUGUAUUGAUUUGGAGCAAAAUCUUGAACACAGAUGGGUUUUUGAUCUUCAAUUGGCAGUGUUUCAGAGACGUCCCUCUCACAUUUUUAAACUUUAGUUGGAAUUGCUGACUUUUCCAAAGUUGAGGCAAUCACGUGGGUGUGUCUUUGAUCCCUUGGUUUUGAAUCUUUCAAAAAUUACGGGCUGAUCUUUGAAGCCCAUUUCGAAAGUUUCCACAUCUGGGCUUUCUUUGGGCUGAGGCUUUAUUUCCAACAUUCUUGGUGUGAACUGGACUAAACAGUUAGUCGGACCAGACCGUCUACACAUAUGAACUGGACUCACAAGCCUAUGUUUUUUGAGCUCCCAUAUUGGUCGAAACUCAAAUUGAGGCACAAUCUAGAUGUGAUGCAUGUUGAGAAAAAUGUAUUUAACACAUUGGUGGGCACGAUUCUAGAUAUCGAGGGCAAGACAAAGGACACAAUCAAAGCCCGUCUUGAUUUGGAAAGAAUGGGCAUACAAAGGGGUUUAUGGAUGAACAGGGACAGUGAUAAAGCUAGAAGGGAUCUUGCAUUCUUUUCUAUGAAACCGAAUGAUAAAAAAGAGUUUCUAAAGUUUGUAUCGUCUGUAAAGUUUCCUGAUGGGUAUGCUUCUAAUAUCGCACAUUGCGUGAAUGUUGACGAGGGUAAAUUUACUGGACUGAAGAGCCAUGACUGCCAUGUGUUUAUGCAACGCCUACUUCCUGUGGGUAUUCGACAUCUAUUGCCGGAAGAUGUUGUGAAGCCAAUCAUGUUGUUGUCCAGAUUUUUUUCCCAACUGACGGCAAAAACAUUGCGAAAGACAGACAUAUUUCAGUUGCGCCAUGACAUUGUCCAAGUCCUAUGCAAGUUUGAGAUGAUAUUUCCUCCAGCUUUCUUCACAAGUAUGAUGCACGUGAUGGUUCACUUGCCAGAAGAGGCAUUGCUUGCUAGUCCUGUCAACUAUCGCUGGAUGUAUCCAAUAGAAAGGUAUAUAAUCUUUAUCGUUUGUGUAUGCAUCAUUAUCACAGACUUGCUAAUUUGUAUCAUAUCGUUUUAUUUUGACAGGCUUCUCGGAGAGCUGAAAAAAAGUGUACGCAACAGGGCGAAGCCCGAAGGAUCAAUUAUAGAGGCUUGGGUUCAAUAUGAGUCGCUUACUUUCUGUGGAAUGUAUUUAAAAGAUGUGGAGACGGCUUUCAAUCGUCCUCAACGCAAUAACGACGAAGGUAUGAGAAAGGAAAAACUUUCUGUUUUUGCCCAAAGUGCACGACCCUUUGGAGAUCCUGGACGAGGAGAGUCGUUUUCUAGAAAUGACAUGGAGGUAGCGCAUUGGUUCGUACUGAACAAUUGUGAUGAGAUAAUGGCAUACUUAGAUAAGCAUGAAGAGAUGAUGAAGCGAGAACAUCCAUCACAUUUAGUUGCCCAGAAACACCGUGAAUUGUUUCCACAAUGGUUUUUGGAUUCUGUAAGUUAUAAGUGUUUUGUAUUUGACAAAUAUAAAUUGUAGUAUUUAAUUUUGUCAGACUAACAUGUGAAUGGUUUUGUAUUAUAUUAGGUGAAUAAGUUGAAAUCAUCGAAUUCCCCCACUUACAGUGAUGAGUUAUAUAACUUGGCGUUCGGCCCAAUUCGCGCUGAAUUGUUUCGGGUUGUUAUAUUAAUGGCGUCAAAUUUUUGGGAGCCGCACGAGAUGACAAGUUGUGUAUGCAAAACAGCGGUGUCCAUGUCCCAGGUGGAGGCGAAAGUACGAACAUUGAUUUCUAUGGCAAACUCACAACUGUCAUUCAAUUGCUUUACAAAGAUCGAUACUAAGUGAUCAUGUUUAAGUGUCGAUGGUUUGAUAGCAACCCAAAUAGGCCGGGAAGUGUUAAAAUCAACCAUGGCUUACUAUCUGUGAACAUUAACAGAACUUGGUAUGAUGACGACCCUUACAUUUUGGCAAACAUGGCAACACAAAUUGUGUAUCUAGAUGACCCUAAAGCCGGGAGCAGUUGGAAAGUUGUUCAGAAGAUGGAUCAUAGGAACUUGUAUGCUAUACCAGAACUAGACCCAACUGACAAUGACGUCAACAAUGUGGCUGACCAACGUUUAGAAUCUUCAAUGGAAAAUGAUGCGGAAACACUUCGAGAUACACAUGUUAUACAAGAACCGUUUCAAAUACAAGGAGUGUCUUCAAUCGAAAUACCGAUUCAGUCAAUUACAAUUGACCUCGGGGAUCUUCCAAGAUUCGAUGUUGCAGUGAGCCCGAGCAACGAAGAUGAUGUAGUUAUAGAGGAGGAGGAGGAGGAUUGGGAGACUGAAAGUGAUGAUAGCGAAGAUAACGAAAGUUAUUAUAGUUCAGAUGAUGAAUAAUUAAAUUUUUUAUAUUUUUAUUAUGCUAGUGUACAGACUUUGUGUAAAACAAAAGUUUGAAUAUAUGUAGUUGUGAUAUCCAAACCUUAUAUAUGUGGACAACUGAAACAUUAUUAAAAUAAAUUUAGUUAUAAAACAUCGGUAAAUCAAUAUAUCCAAACCCUUUUAAUAUUCAUUUAAAAUUUUUUUUUUUGACAAAAACGUUUACAAAAUGAAAAUGAUAAAAUAUUUGUUAUAAAACAUUGAUAAAUAAAUAUAUCCAAACCAUUUUCAUACAAAGUUUGAAAAUUAUUGACAACAAACAUUUUUCAAAAAUGAAAAUCCUUGCGCGACGAAGUACACCUCGUCACGCAAAGUUUGCGCGACCCAGUAAACAGUCGUUGUGUAAAGUUAAAACAUUGCGAGACAAAUUAUCAUCCGUCACGCGAUAGAAUUUUGCGCGACGAAUAUUUACUCUCGUCGCGCAAAUGUAUAUUCUUUUAUAAUAUAUUUUAUAUACACAUAUAUAUUCGAAAUUGACGAUCGAGUUAGUUCAUUGUAUUCAUAUAGGGUCAUGGAGUGUAGCUGUAAAAAAUCAUCAAAAUCGGAGUUAAAAUAACUGUUAAAUCAUGACUUUUCAUUUAUAACCGUUCAAAAAUUUUGUCCCGAUACUUGAUCUCUGAAUGUUUUUUUUUUCCGAUUUUUGGGGCCUAAGAUCUCGAAGUAUAAACAAACACGUUUGACGGCUGGAUUAUUGAAACUACUUUCGUAGAAUGCGUAUGCCAUCAAAACUAUAUAUUCACCAACAAUGAAUAGUUUACUUAUACUUUCAUUAAAUAUAACAUAAGAUUAUGUGGUAUCACCCUAGUGUAAACAUCUUAAAUUGAAGAUCAAAUUCAGUAAUUGUAUUCAUAUAGGGUCAAGAAAAGUAGCUAUAAAAAAUCAUCAAAAUCGGAGUUAAAAUAACCGUUAAAUCAUGACUUUUCAUUUAGAUUCGUCGAAAAGUUUUGUACUGUUACUUGAUCUCUUAACGUUUUUUUUGUCAGAUUUUCGGCGUAUACGAUCUCGAAAUAUAAAAAAACAAGUUUGCCGGUUAGAUCAUUAAAACUAGUUUCGGGUUUAGGAUUUCUGCAGUUUAGGGUUUAGGGUUUGCGCGACGAAGCCAUUUCGUUGGUCGCACAAAGCCUGCAAAGAACAGUCUUGCGCUACGAAACUAGGAUUCUUUGUCACGCAAUCUCAACCAGCCCUUUCACCCUCUUCCUCCUUGGACACUUAGCCAAAAAAAGUUGCGAGUUUACAGAAAGCGGCUUUGCGCGACGCUGCCGGUAUUCGUCGCGCAAUAUGUAUGCCAAUAAAACCUAAAUCCCAAAUUUUGGCGAAUUACAACUUUGCGCGACGAAUAUGGGAAGCUUCGCGCAAAGUUUUCAAUCUUUCCCGCUAAACCCUAAGUCCCAAAAUUUUGGCGGAUUGACAACAUUGCGCCACGAAAGAAGGUACUGUGCGUCGCACAAAGUUUUCAAUCUCUCCCGCUAAACCCUAAGUCCCAAAAUUUUGGCGGAUUGACAAUAUUGCGCGACGAAAGAAGGUACUGUGCAUCGCGCAAAGUUUUCAAUCUCUCCCACUAAACCCUAAGUCCCAAAAUUUUGGCGGAUUGACAACAUUGCUCGACGAAAUAUGGUACUGUGCGUCGCGCAAAGUUUUCAAUCUCUACCCAAUAUUUUGCCGGAUUGACAACAUUGUGCGACGAAAGACGAUACUGUGUGUCGCGCAAAAACUACCCUGAUACCAAAUUUUGGGAUUAACAAUAUUGCACGACAGAAGUUAUACUUAUGUCGUCGCGCAAGUGUCAAUUAAAAUAUUUUGCGUGACGCUUUUGUUUGUUCGUUGCGCAAAAUCGAAUAAAAUUGCAGAAACGACGCGAUAGCCUCCUUCUUCCCCAGAUUUGUUUUUCUACCCUAACUCUCUCUCUCUCUCUCCGCCUUCAGCUCAGCCCCCUACCCCAGUGGAUUUUGGACGACGGCGCCACAACAGUGGUACCCCGGAGGUUUCCCGCCGUCACCGUCGAGCCAGCCGCCCUAAUUCCUCGAUUUUCACCGAAUCUGCGCCGCCGUCGUUCUCUCUCCUUCGGCGACCAAAUCCGACACCUGAGGUAUGGUUUCUGUCCUAUUUUUGAUGCUUUAACUGAUGGUUGGGUAGGAUUUGUGUAAUUGUUGCAAUAGGGCAGUGGAUUUGAAACCCUAAAUUUCGACCGAUUUUUGAAUUCCAAUUCCGGCCACUUCUGGCCAUUUUUCAGGGUAGGUCCGAGAACAAAAGUGGCUCCAAUUGAUGUUUUGAACCUAGGGUAGGAACCUUGGCCCUUAGUUUUAAGAAAUUUUCGACGAUUGGUAUCGCUUUGGACACCCACGCUCUGCCAGCGCUUGUGGUGGCGCGUGGGGUACUGUAGCAGUCUUGCAUUGGGUCCCAGUGCAAUCCCAUAUUUGUCACGAGCGCGUAGGUGUUUUCGGAUUGGAAUUUGGUUACCGUUUGAGUCUCGAACGGAUUUUGCCUAUUGUGCGAUUUCCGGGUUUGUUAUGUUCGGACCGUUGGAUCGAACUCAAACUCACGUAUGGUGUACCUUGUAUUUCUUGGAUCGUCUAGGAUUCGACGGAUCGUGGAUCGGAGUCCCGAAUACUCCGAACUCGCAAACCCUAGGUCAAGAAUCUUAAUAAAAUUGUAUGUGCUUUCAAAUAUUCGUAUGUUUUAUUAAUUUGUAUGUGUAUUAAUGAAAUUGUGUAGAUGUCAGACCUGAUUAGACGUCGUAGGGCGGUGACGACUACGCAGAGUUCUGAGCCCCCGGCUCAACUGACAUCUGCUGCCACUGCGCCAGCACUGAUGGACCACUUGGCAGUUGGUCCCGCGGGGUCCCAGGCUCCUGCUUCAUCAGCUUCAUUAGUGGCACAACCUGUUAGCGCCAGGAAGCGUCAUCGGCCUGCCAGCACCACCGACACCACAUCCACUGAUGCGUCGGGGUCACAGCCAGGUAUAGAUUUCCUUAAACUCCAGUUAUUUAUAUUUUUGUUUUUGUUUUUAUUUUUGUUUUUGUUUUUGUUUUUGUUUUUAUUUGUGUGUGUAUUUUAUAGUUAAAUUUGUUAUUUAUUUAACAUUAAUGUCAUCUUUCUUUGCAGCCAAGAAGAACACCCGAGGGCCGUGUCGGUAGUUGAAGACGGCGAAGGUCACUCGGGUGACCAACAGUCGUAUCAACAUCGGAUACGACAAGCGACAUCGGGCUGCACCGACGGCGGAGUUGCAUAGCUCCUUGGCCCACGACAUUGGUGAUGUCAUUCCGAGCCAUUGCCCGAUGAAAUGGAAGUCUUGGAAGGUGAUGCCUGACGAGACCAAGAUGGAGGUUCGCGGCCAGUUGUCAGUAUGUAGGCCUUUUAAUUCUUUUUCUUUCAAAUUUUAUAUUUCUAUUAUUUAAAUGUAUUUAAUUAAUUUAUUGCAGACGAACUACAACUUGGAGGACCUGGACGACGAGUCGUUGGCGUACAUCAACAGACUCUUCUCUGAGAGGUACAAAUAGUGGAAGAGCGACUUGCACCACUAUUUUGAGGCGUUUGAUGAUCCAGAAGUCUCUCUUCAGGAGGGUUGCCCGAAGGAGCUUGAGGGGCGGGAGGAUAGUUGGGCGUGGCUCUGCUCUCAUUUUCAGGCGCCCGCUUUUGUGGUAAUUUGUAAUAUGAAUUUCAAAUUUAUUAUAUUUUUCUUACUAAUGUUUUUUUAAUGUUUUAUAUUUAAUUUCAAUUUCAACUAAUACGUUUUAUUUUUUGUAUAACAGAAUAAAGCCAAAGUCAAUAAGGGCAAUAGGAAGAAGAAGACUCUUCUCCAUCAUUCGGGUUCCAGGCCCUUCUCCUAUAGGAUGGAUGCAUGGCGGCAGGUAAUCAUAAAAAAAAUUUUAUUUAAUUUUUAAUAUUUAAUUAUUCUUAAUUUAUUUUUUUGUACUAAUAUUUUUCUUCUCUUGUUCAAUUUAGGGGGGUCCAAAUUCCCAGAGAUCGACGUCUUUGGCGACGUUUAUGUUCGACCUGGGAAUGAGUUGGGCGAGUCCCUUCAUGUAAGUAUUAUUUAAUUUUAAUUAUUAUGUUACGCAUUCAAGUUUAAAGGUUAUUAUAUGAAUGUUUUAAUUUAUAUUUUAUGUUAUGCUAAACAGAUGACGAUGGUGGAGAGGAGCCAGUUGGUUCUUCAAGAGUCCGCCUCCCAACUUCCUUCCGAUACUCCGAUCGAGUCUGUGGAUCCUCCACAGGAUGCUGGGUUUCAGAUCUUGACGGAGACAUUGGAUCAGACUCUAGGGAGGAGACCGGGGAUAUAUUGUCGAGGGAUGGAGAAUGCCAGGCGGAGGGAAGCCAGACCCCGUUCAUUAGCGCAGUCAAGCAGUCAGGUCACUGCUUUGACAGCACAGGUGGCCACUCUUCAGAGUCAGAUGUCGGACAUUCUGCAGUCCCUCGCACAGUUCGGCAUUCCAGUCCCGCAUUUUGAUGCGCCGACCUCUGAGCCCGUCCAUCCUGAGCAUCCCCACCAGACGACGGCCCUUGUAGACCCCCAGACCUCUGAACCGCAUGUGCCAGACGACAAUGUAGAUUUUGGAACAUUAUGAUUAGUUUUUUUAUUUUCAUAAUUAUUUUUUAAAUAUUUCUCUUGCAGCAUACAUUUAUUUUAUAUAAUAAAUAUGUUCUUUACAAUUCUUUUUUUUAUUGGAAUUUCAUUUUAUUACCCAAAAAAAAAAAACCAAAUUUAUUUUUUUAUAAAAUAAAAUAAAAAGUAAUAUUAAAAUUAAAUAAUAAUUAUAUAUAUUAAUUUUGCGCGACGAAAUCUUUCUCGUCGCGCAAAUUUAUAUAUUACGAAAUAAAAAUGUUUCAUUUUUUUAAAUACAUAUAAUUUAUUCUUGCGCGACGAAUAUUUUCGUCUCUCAAAAAGGAUUUGCGCGACAACAGUUUUUCGUCGCGCAAAAUGUGUUGACACGAAUUGCACGACGAAGAUAUCUUUGUGCCGCAAAUAUCUACGACACGUAUUGCGCGAUGAAAAUGUUCGUCGCGCAAAAAACGUAUGCGCGACAACAAUGUUUCGUCGCGCAAUACGUGUAGACAUGAAUUGCGCGACGAAGAACUCUUGGUGCCGCAAAUGUGUACGAGACGUAUUGUGCGACGAAUAUUAUUCGCCGCGCAUCGUUGUGGCGACGAACCCGCUUUCGUCGCGCAUAAGUUUGUGCGACGAACUAUUGCAUCGUCUCUGAACCUUUUGUGCAACGAAGGGUAACCGUCGCACAAAUUUGCGCGACGAGUGAUACAAUCAGUCGCGCAAAGUCUUUCUUCACCAUCUUUGCACCACAGAUUACGCGCGACGAAUUUUCUGUCGUGCUUGAGUUUGUGCGACCAAAUUUAACUCUGCGCGACGAAAUUGGCUUCGUCGCGCAAAUCGUAAAAUGUAGUAGUGGAAGUUAUCAACAUCUAUAGGAACCCCAAUGAAAAGGCUGUUAACUAAUAAUGAAGUAAACCCCUCAAUGUUUCCGCGUAUCAGAUAUCUCUCAGAAUAUGCGAUUCCAUACUCAAUAAGCAACUCCACAUCCCCUGAGGUUUUCACCAAACCACCCAUUAAGGAAACAUACUGACUCAUGUGUAAUUAUCAUUACUCAUCGGGUAAUGCAAUUGUUCAAAGGCAAGGACAUUUCUCAUUAUUUCUGUAGUGAACCCCAAUGGAAAUGGUGGGAUCUUCAGAACCCCAUUGGUGCUACUGAAUUGUAUGUCAAAUAUGUUUUCACCUUGUCGCGCCUCAAACUUGACUCCAGCGUGCUGUAAUUCUGUCAAGCUGGGUAUGGAUGAUGGGAGUUCCCCUCCAGCUUUUGAUUCCAACGGUUGAUAGAGUUUAAAUAUUUUCCUGUAAAGAUCAACAAUAUGUGCCACUGAUCUAAAAGUCUCCAAAUUGUCUUCCAUUUUGUCAACAGGCAAUAGAUGUUCGAAGAAACUGAAAGAAAGACUAAUUAUUGAAAGCCCCUCAGUAAUGCAGUUAUUGUCAGCAUCAGCAGGGAGUGUAAUUUUCUGUGGGUCGAAAAGAUCCUCGAGAAUGAAGAAUGGCAACUGAUUUUCAAGCAACCACAUAUCUGUCCAUACAUCUUGCAACAUACCUGGUUUGUCAAAUAUGCGGUCAUUUUCAUCCCAAAAUUUGAAGUAGUCCUUCAAUAAGAGCUCAAUAACGAAGGCGGCAUCCACUAGAAUGAUUGUUACAAAUUCAUCACUGCUAAACUUGAUGGGUUCUCCAUAACAACGUCUCAAUCUUGCUUCGUGGUCCUUUAUUUUCUUAAUAUAAUCCUCCAAACUCACAUUGGUCCGACCUAUAAAAUCUUGCAGGUAUCUCUGUUUGUGCUCUUCCUAUACGACAUUCAAGCCUUCCUUUCCAUGGUGAAGUGGGCCUAUAGAGACCACCUGAGGUGUGCAGAGCUUUUCAUUCACACUUCGUAGUCGUUGAGGAACUCUGUAGAUACAGCACUUGGAGGAUGGGGGAGACAAGCUAUUGAACCCUUUUCUCAUCGAAUUUGCUAAUGAAAUGUAUGGGUUUUCUAUGUCAUUUUGAGCAGAUUGAUGGCUUCCUGCCAUUUUCCAGCUCCUGACUAUAUGUGGUGUUCCGAUUGUAACAGAUUACAAUAAUGAUGAGUAUGGAUAACUGAAUUACUGAUAAAACAAUCAAGAAACAUUUCGUUAUUUUCCAUUCCCAAUAACGAAAUCAAAAUGUUCAAGGAAAUAUAAUCAGGAUAUUGCAAUUAUAUAGCCAUUCAUAAGCUGCCUGGCAUGGAAUAAGAGGUGGAAACCAAAUCUACUUAUUGGCCAAAGUUCGAAUUCACUAUAUAUAGAUAUAUAUUUUGCCAAAAUCUAAAACUGACCAACCUUAGAUACAAAAACACGGUACAGCCCGGUUAAAGUAAUUCCAAGUGCGAAGAAAGAAAGGAAUUGAGCGUUUGUACCUCUACAGCUAGCCAAAUUUUCUAUUGAUUCUUUAAAUUUUAGAGAGCAAUUACUCUUAAUUUGGUAGGUGUAGGACUGUGCAACUUCAAGCUUUAAUGAAAGAAGCCAAGUUUAUUCUAAGGGGACAAGUCAGAGACAACGAAAUUUUGCUCAGCUUCAUUUUCAAAUUUGCUGCUUAAGAAGGAAAUUUAAUAUGUUUGUUUCACAAAUUGUAUUGUCAUCAAUGAAACUCGUGCACACCCAACGAAAUUUGCAUGGCUUAUUUUCAAAGGAGUACUGCUAUUUCCAUCCUCUGUCCUAUUUUUCCACUCACCUUAUCUUCAAAAUUUUAAAGACAAAAAUAAACCCCUUUGUAAAAUGCUUAAAAAGAAAUUUAAUAUGUUUGUUUCAAAAAUUGAUAUUGUCAUCAAUGGUUAAAGAAUUGCUGGUGACAACAUAUACUUCUUUUCUACUGUAUUAAUUUCUUUCUUUAUUUUUUCUUCAGUAUAGUUCUGCCUUUCUUUUACAUGUUUAUGCGCAUAUUUGACACGUUCAAGUAUACUUAUAUAACAAAUGCAAUGAGUUUGUAGUCACAAAAAUCAAGGAUUGAAAACAAAAAGUAAUAUUAUGUGCAAGAGAAACUUACCUGCAGAAACUGAAGAACUCCUCUAGUUUCUUCUCUGUCGCUAUGUACUCCCGCGUUCAAGUUAUUAUUCUUACAAUGUACAUACACUAUUAUAUAAUGGCGAGAAGGCUCUGAUUAACCUCCUUUUUGCUUCAUUGGAUGGGGCAAGAAUGGAAUUGUCACCGUGGGUGUGGAGGUGAUCUACCAUUUGAGCAAGAAAUUCCCACAUAUUCUUUAACUAUUUUUCAAGCAUGCAUAUUCCUCCCUAUCAAUCUUUGGUCUCUUCUUUUACUAUUUUUCAAGCAUGCAUACUUUGAUUUUAAAUCAUCUUUUCCGCACUAAUUUGCUUCAAUCAAGAAACAGUUAAUAUAUUUUGUAUCAUCAUUAGAGAACACUUGAAACUGCAUAAGUUAAUUUUGAAGAUGAUGGCAGAACCAAAAUGUGUAUAGCUUAUAACUAUAAUUUCUUGAUUACAACAAGAGGUUUCAAGUUUUCAACAACACAAAUAUGAAUCUCCCAAGCAAAGAUAAACAAUAAAGCAAGCAUACGGAUUGUCAAAUUGCCUUCAAUCACUCUAAAAUACUUCAUACCGUCCGACACUGGCUUCAAUUACUCUACAAUACUUCAAUUCAUAUAUUGUCCUAUUUUCACAUGUACAUCCUGCUUUUACUUAAGGGUUAAUUGUUGAUUUACCCCUUGAACUUGUACUCUACUUUCAAUUUGCACCCUCAACUUUUUUUUUUGAAAAUUAGGUGCAUGAACUAAUUUUUAUUGCCAAUUCCCCCUACCAACAUGUCAUCUAAUAGUCUGUCAAAUCAUUAAAAAAUAUAAUAUUUUUGGAAAAAAUUAAAGAAAAAAAAAUUCCUAAGGACCCACAGACCCAGAACCCACCCUCCGUUGCCCCCGCUUGCUGUUUUCUUCUCCUCCCAGUCCCCCAUGACCACCACCCUCCACUGCCACACCAAUCCCCUACCCAACAGACCCCUCACCCCUUCUUUUUUUUCACCCCCGAACCCAGCAUGAGUUAUUGGUUAAUACCAUUUUCUUAAUUGCCAAAUAAAAAAAAAAAACAGAGUUAACCCUCUGUUAAGCUAGCUGACUAGUGGGGCGAAAUGGAGGAAAAUCAAUAUGGAGACAGCGGAUCCGGUCCCGUGUAAGUGUAUCUGAUGGAAUAAAAGAAUGAUAUUAUUGGUGGUGGGUACGGUUAUGUGGAAGUAAUAAUGGGUAAGAGAAGAAACUUGUUCUCUUGUGAUAAUCAAAAGACAGAAAGUAGUGGGAAAAGACAGAAAGUAGUGGGACACUAUUUUAGAUAUGAUAAUGUUCCUUCCUUGAUUGAUGCAAAUGAAGAGAAAAGGGUGGCUUUAUAUAAUAGCCACUACCGACCUAACACAUUAAAAACACAACUAACACCAAACAUAGUUAAUUCAACUAACUUCUACCACACCAUUAAUUUAACACACAACUACUAACAAACUGCCAACUAUUUCAAAGUUACCAGCCGACUAUUAAUGAAGUCUAGAUUACUUUAACAUCCUCCCUUAAGCUAGACUUCAUUUACGCCAAUUAAUUUUCUCAUCUUGAUGAGCGGCUCUUUCUUCAACGGUUUGGUGAACAAAUCUGCCAGCUGAUCUUGGGACUUGCAAUACAGAACCUCAACUUCUUUAUCUUUGAUUAGCUCUCUGAUGAAAUGGAACUUGAUCUUGAUGUAACACCCCGACCCCAAAUUUUCCCAAAUUUUACCCUUAUUUAAUUAUUUAAUUAUUUAAGGGUAUUUUAGUCAUAUUUUUAACCGGAGAGAGUUUGGGACCGUGACUAGUAUUUUUGGAUAGGUCGAGCUGAGACGAGUUCAUAGACACGUAGUGGGCUCGAAUCGGAGUUGUAACGAGAGAGAUAUGGUCAAAAGAAGCCCAGUGGCACAAUCGUAAAUAUUUCGAAAUGGGAUUUUUUAUAAAAACUCAAAUUUUUCUCUCUCUCUCUCUCUCUCUCUCUCUCUCUCUCUCUCUCUCUCGCGACUCCUCUCUCUCUCUCCCGUCGGCCUCUCCUCUCUCUCUCUUCGUAACUCCGGCCACCGGCCGCGGCUGCGGACGGGGCCGGUGUCAAAAGAACCGGCUCGACCUCGGCAUCACGACCCAGCCCAUCCCCGCCAUCGGCCGCCGCUCCAGCCGCCGGAAAAUGGCGAUUUUCGCCCAGAUGUCGCCGGAACUUCAACGCCGUCGAUCUCCCUCCUCCGGCCACCAAUUCCGUCGACCCAGGUAUGGAUUUUGAACCUCUCGAGCUGCUCUAGCUGAUGGUUGGGUAGGAUUAGAUCGAUUCUUAGCGUAGAUCACUCGAUUUUCGAAUUGAAAAUCGGCCGAAACUUCGGCCGCCGUGAUCGGCCAUUUCCGGCCACUUUUUGGGGUAGGUCCAAGAACAAAAGUGGCUCCAAAUAGGGUGUUAUACCUAGGGUAGGAGUUUGGAGCCGUGGUUUUGAGAUUUUCCGGCGGAGCGUUAUCGCUUUGGGCACCCACGCGCUGCUGGCGCGUGCGGCGGAGCGUGGGCACUGUAUAAAAAGUAGCGAUGUAUUCCGAUGAGAUCCUUAGGUUGUCACGAGUGCGUAGGAUUUUGCGGAUCUCAAUUCGGACGUCGUUUGACUAUCGAACGAAUAAUCGCAUAGUGUGCGUUAUCCGGGUUCGAUAGGUUGGGACCGUUGGAUGGUCCCAAAUUUAAUAUAUGUUAAUCUAGGUAUUUCUAGGAUCGUGUAGGAAUUCACGGAUCGUGAAUCGGAACUCCGGAUGUUCCGAAUAAUAAUUUUAAGUUUAUAUUUUAUAUUAACCAUCAGAUCGUGCGAUCGUGAGCAAUCCGACCGUCCGAUCUGAACCAAACUUGCAGGACAAGUGUCCUACACCUGGUAGAACCCAUAGGGACUUCCGGAUCGGAAAUUGGAGGUCGUGGGUUCUGCAGGUCCGUUUGACCAGGGUUAGAGUAGUUUGACUCUUGGUUGACCGUGAGUCUCCCGGAGUAAUCUCACCCUUCCAGGGGGAAUUAUCGGGAGCUAGACUAUUGUGGAGGGUUACACAAUAUUAGAAUUAUUUAUAUAAAUUAUGUGGUUGUACAAGGGUACAACAGAGUCUAGAAUGUCAGUUUGGAGUGCUAUACGCACUACUCUAGGUACCUCCUCGGACUUUGGAAUUUCUACAAGUACCACCAAGUGAAAGUUAGGUCCCACGUGGCGUAGGUUAUCCGGCGUGUCGACAGACCCCAUACGUGGCGUUGGUUGUACCGGCGUAUGGGGAGAUUUGUGAUAUGAUAUUGAGGUCCCGCGUGGCGUAGGUUAUCCGGCGUUGGGACAGGCCCCAUACGUGGCGUUGGUUGUACCGGCGUAUGGGGAGAUAUUAUGAUAGUAUGGCAUGGUCGCACGUGGCGUAGGUUAUCCGGCGUGUCGACAGACCCCAUACGUGGCGUUGGUUGUACCGGCGUAUGGGGAGAUUUGUGAUAUGAUAUUGAGGUCCUGCGUGGCGUAGGUUAUCCUGCGUUGGGAUAGGCCCCAUACGUGGCGUUAGUUGUACCGGCGUAUGGGGAGAUAUUAUGAUAGUAUGGCAUGGUCGCACGUGGCGUAGGUUAUCCGGCGUGUUGACAGGCCCCAUACGUGGCGUUGGUUGUACCAGCGUAUGGGGAGAAUAUGUGAAAUACAGAGAAAUGAAAUAAGGUAUUGCCCAAGUGUGGAAUUGGGUUUUAGGGAAGAACUACUUAUGGCUUGAUCCCUCAAGGAGGGUACGUAGGCAGCCUAAGGUUAUUAGGUGCAGCCGCAGACUAAAUAUUAGUCAUAAAUUGUAAUUGAACUGUUUGGUAGUCGUUUGAGGAAGUAUUGAAAGGCCGAAGGCCAUUUGUGUGAAUUGCAUGAAAUUAUAUUGUGCAUGCUGCCAGUUGGGAAUAUUAAAUGCGUUUUUAUGCAGGUAUAAAUUUUGGGAAUGUCCAAUUUACAGGGGAGACUCUGCCAAAAUUUCGGCAGGAAGUCUCGGUUUUUAGUAAGUGGGCCUGGCAUCGGGGUGAUGUCAGGAAUUCCAAAGGGUUCGUCUCGGGUUUUGAGAAAAUUCGGGGCGGGUCCUUUCACUUGAUAUGCUUACUCUUGCUGUGAAACAUUGGAUUUUUGGAAAGACAAAUAGCUGAUUUGUUGUUGCAGAACAGCUUUGUAGGUCCUUCUUGAACUUGACCCAUCUCUUCUAAAAUACUUUUCAGCCACCUAGCUUGACAACCUGCUGAUGCAAGAGCAACAUACUCAGAUUCUGUAGUUGAAAGUGCCACUAUAGAUUGCUUUUUGGAGGACCAUGAAAUCGCACUUGAGCCAAUGCUAAAGACAUAACCAGAUGUGCUUUUGCAAGUAUCAACAUCUCCACCCAAGUCACUGUCACUGUAGCCAGUCAAAUUUAGAUUCUGAAUAGGAUAAUAAUGCAAACCAUAAUUGAUAGUUCCAACCACAUAUCUUAGGAUUCUCUUUCCAAGCUCCCAAUGAACAUCUUUUGGUGACUCCACUAAACGGCUGAGGAAGCUUACUGCAUAUGUAAGAUCUGGCCUUGUUGUAGUUAAAUACAAGAGGCCACCCACUAGACUUCGAAACAAAGUUUGAUUUACCAUUGUGCUUCCAUCAUUCUUACCUAUCUUAACACCAACCUCCAUUGGAGUAGCAAUUGACUUUGCAUUUUCCAACCUGAACCUUUUCAACAAUUCCUUUGCGUAUUUCUUUUGAGAAAUAUAGAUACCAUUCUCAUUUUGUUUGACUUCAAUUCCAAGAAAGAAAUGAAGCAAACCAAGGUCUGUCAUUUCAAAUCUUUGUGACAUAAUCAUCUUGAAAUUAUCACACAUUUGAGCAUUACUUCCAGUAAAUAUUAAGUCAUCCACAUAUAAGCAGACAAUCAAAAUCUCACCUUGAGAGUUCUUCUUGGUGUAAAGAGUAUGCUCAUAUGGGCAUUUGUGAAACCCAUACUCUUGGAAGAAUGCAUCAAUCCGACUGUACCAAGCUCUUGGAGCUUGUUUCAAACCAUAUAAAGCCUUCUUCAAUCUACACACUUUUGUUUCUUCAUUUCCCUGCACAUAACCUGGAGGUUGAGCAACAUACACUUCUUCUUCCAAAAAACCUUGCAAGAAUGCUGGUUUAACUUCCAUUUGAAAGACUUUCCAACAAUUUUGGGCAGCAAGAGCUAACACCAUUCGGAUGGUGUCAAAGCGUGCAACUGGAGCAAAAACUUCAUUGUAAUCAAUUCCAUAAUUUUGCUUGUAGCCUUUAGCUACCAAGCGAGCUUUGUAUUUCUCAACUUCUCCUUGAGCAUUCAGCUUGGUCUUAUACACCCAUUUUACUCCUAUAGGCUUCUUUCCUUGAGGAAGAUCAACCAGCUCCCAUGUGUCAUUUUUCUUAAUGGAAUCAAUUUCUUGAUCCAUAGCCUUCACCCAAUUUUCAUCCUUUGAAGCCUCUUCAAACAUAAUUGGGUCUGCAUCUACAAAUAGAGCAAAAUUUGUGCCACCAUUAGUGAUCAAAACAUAAUCACUAGAUGGGUACCUUGUGGAUGGUUGAUGAGCUCUUGUUGAUCUCCUUUGUCCUCUGCAAAUUUCUUCUUCCUCACUGCUAUCACUAGAAGAAGUUGAUGAUGACCCUUGUGAUGAAGAUUCCUAUGAUGAUAGAGUUGUUGGUGGAGUUAAAUCUGGAUUUUCAAGGCCAAUGUCCAACAGUAUUGGACUUUGAUUUUCAGCUUCACUCCAAUUCCAUGCUUCUUCUUCAUUGAACUUGACAUCACGACUAACAAUAAUCUUGUUAGUCAAUGGAUUAAACAACUUAUAUGCCUUGGCCUUUUCACUAUACCCAACAAGAAUGCACUUUUCUGAUUUGUCAUCCAAUUUUCUCCUUGUUUUAUCAGGAAUAUGAGAAUAAGCAAUGCUGCCAAAUAUCCUUAAGUGACUAAUACAUGGCUUGAGGCCACUCUAAGCUUCUUGAGGAGUCUUGCCUUCCACACUAUUGGACGAUGCACGGUUCAAGAGAUAUACAGCACAUGCCACUGCUUCUGCCCAAAAACGAUUAGGCAUUGCUUUUGCCUUCAACAUGCUUCUUGCCAAUUCCAUAACGGUCCUAUUUUUUCUCUCGGCCACACCAUUUUGCUGUGGGGUGUACCGAGCUGUGAACUGAUGCUUAAUCCCAUUUUCUUUUAGAAAAUUUUCGAACACAUUGGAUGAGAAUUCUCCACCUUGAUCAGACCGCAAGGUUUUCAAUGCAAAUCCACUUUGCUUCUCAGCCAAAGCUUUGAAAACUUUAAAGUAAUCAAACACCUCUGAUUUAUAUUUGAGAAAAUAGACCCAUGUCUUUCUGCUAUAAUCAUCAAUGAAUGUAAGAAAGUAGCGGUUACCUCCUGUUGAUGUUGUGUUCAUGGGCCCGCAUACAUCUGAGUGCACCAGCUCAAGAGGAUGGGAUGCUCUCCAAGAAUUUCCUGUAAGAAACGAAUUUCUCUGAUGUUUUCCCAGCACACAUGCUUCACAAACUUGUGUUUGAUGCUGUAUCGUUGGUAGGCCUCGUACCAUAUGUUGUUUCCCCAUCAAUGAUAGUGUAUUGAAACUCAAAUGCCCAUAGCGUAGAAGCCACAACCAUGAGGAAUCCUUGAUAAGUGCACUUAAGCAAGCAAAAGAUUCAUACUUUAUGUUCAGAGAAAACAUAUUGUCUCCUGACAUCUGCACCUUUGUAAUUAGAGAGUUGUACUUGUCUCUAAUUACACACUGGUCUUCCCUGAACUGAAUAUUAUGGCCUUUAUGAAGAAGUUGCCCCACACUAAGGAGAUUGUAAUUUAAAUCUGGAACAUAUAACACAUCAGAGAUUCUUUUUUGUUCUCCAGACUUGGAUAGAAAAAGAAUAUCUCCACAUCCUUUGGCCACUAGCUUUCCACCAUCACCAAUCCUUACUUCUGAGUUGUUGGUAUGCUUGAAAUUGACAAAGGCACUUUUGUUGCCUGUCAUGUGAUUACUACAUCCGCUAUCAAGAUACCAUUUUUCUGCACACACGUUUCCUUCCCUGGCAGCUGCAUAUGCAAGUAGAACCACAUUAUCAUUUUCCCUUUCAGAAGCUUUUUCAUGCACAAAGCUUGAUUCGGCUCCUCCAUUUGUUUUGUUUUUGCAUGUUGACUUGAUGUGCCCAUAUUGCUUGCAAUUGUAGCACUGAAUAUUAGAAAGAGAGGAACCUUGUUCUCUUCCUCUUCCUCUUGAAUAACCACCAUAAUCUCCUCUUCCUCUUGGAUAACCAUAAUCUCCUCUUCUUCUUGAAUAACCAUAAUCUCGUGCAGAGCCUUCAUCAUUAGUUUUUUUUAGGUCAUUUGCAUAGCCACGUCCUUGAUUAUUUCUUCCUCGUCCACGAGUAAAGCCGCCUCUUCCUCUUCUAGAACUUCCUCUGAAUGAGACUUGAGAUUGAAAAGCUUGCUCAACAGGGCCAGAGUCAAACUGCUUCAGUCGUAACUCAUGGGAUUGAAGAGAACCCAUUAAACUGUCAAGAGACAAAGUAGACAGAUCUUUGGAUUCUUCAAUUGCCACCACAAUAUAUUCAAACUUUCGGGGACAUACUUCGAAGAAUUUUUUCAGCAACUCUCUGAUCUUCAAUUUUUUCUCCAUUAAUUCUCAGUUGGUUGACUAGAGAAAUGACACGAUUGAAAUAGUCUUCAACAGAUUCUGACUCCUUCAUACGUAACAUAUCAAACUCACCUCUUAGAGUUUGCAGUCUUGCCAUCUUCACUUUAUCUUCUCCUUUAUAUGAUGCAAAGAGAGUGUCCCACGCCUGUUUUGAUGUAAUGCAUGAUGAGAUUCUUUCAAAGAUAGCUUCAUCCACUGCUUGAAAGAUAAAGAAUAAAGCUUUUUUGUCCUUCUUACGUGUCUCCUUCAGCUCUGUGAGUUGUUGUUGAGUGAGGACUGCUUGAUCAUUUGGCUCCACAAAGCCAUUUUCAACCACCUCCCACAAAUCUUGAGCAGCAUACAACACCUUCAUUUGGAUGCUCCAUUGACUAUAAUUCUUCCCUGUAAACUUUGGAAGCUGGGGCUGUAACAAGUUGUUGUUUGAAGCCAUAUGAUUCUGAGUUUCCAGCUCUGAUACCACUUUGAUGGAAUAAAAGAAUGAUAUUAUUGGUGGUGGGUACGGUUAUGUGGAAGUAAUAAUGGGUAAGAGAAGAAACUUGUUCUCUUGUGAUAAUCAAAAGACAGAAAGUAGUGGGACACUAUUUUAGAUAUGAUAAUGUUCCUUCCUUGAUUGAUGCAAAUGAAGAGAAAAGGGUGGCUUUAUAUAAUAGCCACUACCGACCUAACACAUUAAAAACACAACUAACACCAAACAUAGUUAAUUCAACUAACUUCUACCACACCAUUAAUUUAACACACAACUACUAACAAACUGCCAACUAUUUCAAAGUUACCAGCUGACUAUUAAUGAAGUCUAGAUUACUUUAACAGUAUCGAAUCUAGCUUUAAUAUGUAUUGGGUCCUCUGGACAAGAAUUCUAUCCUUUUCGUCCUAACUAAUAUGUAGGGGAAAAACAAUACAUCAAUUAUCCUUUUCGUCCUAACUAAUAUGUAGGGGAAAAACAAUACAUCAAUUAUGAAUUUUUUUUAUCUGGGUUCGAAAUUAAAUAUGAAUGGAGUUUUGGAGGCUUAAAAGUUAUAAGCUCAAGAAAGGAAGGAAACUAUAUGUACAUUUGGGUCGGAGGCAAAGGUCCAGUCAUCUACCGUCCAGGAUAUACAGUAUCAAAAAAGGCUUAAGAAUUGUAAUAAGGUGACAUACGCCCACAUACGGCCAACGCUAGCAUAUUUCGUAAGUGUAUUAUAUGUCUUCUAAGUAUAUCAUAGUUAUGUGUCAAUUUUAGAUCCAAUUGCACACCCAAAAUACAGAAACAAAAUCAUUGAGAAUACACUUUUUUUCACUUAUAUUUUGAAUAUGCAUUGCCUGUAUUUCAUGUGUAUGAUAUAGGGGCUUCACUUAUAGUUUUUGCACAAAACCUCCCUUGAUGAAGGAUGUCUUAGAUUAAUGACAUCAAUGAUUUGUUACAUUUGGAGUACCCAACAUAACAGCUCUCUGAUUAACAAUAAAGUUAUAAAAUUUCAACAGUUUCAUACCUAACAAGCAUAGAGAAACAAAUAAAACAACCACAUUGCUUCGAUCACUGUACAUGCACACAGCUCACUUUCACUAACUACAGAGGCUAUAUUUUCUACAUAUACACUAACUUUUUCUUUCUCCAGCUCUCUUACACCACCAGGCUGGUGACAAACCCAGCUCGCGUCAUGUGGAGGACCAAAAGGAAAUGACAAGGAGAAAACGGCUAAGGAGAGACUUACUCUCAACACUUAGAAGGCAGAGCAGAGAUAACAGAGCACACUGCUUGUAUAAAAGUGAGUAUGAGGAGAAAAAUAGCGGUAGCAAUUGAAAUAGUUGCCCAAGGUGUGUUGCAAUAGUUUUGUCUCAAGUUUGCCUGCCAUUUGUGCCAAGACGUUCUGCAGUACUUGUUGAGGUCUGCACAAAGAAUAGCAAAAUAGAAGUCAUUAGAGUCCACAAUGACCCCAUCUGCAAGGUUGUUGAUCAGAGUAGACCCUCCACUACUGUCACCGAGCAUAUUUUCGACGAUUCCUUGCUUAACAACCAACUCCACAUCCGUUGCGGUGUUCACAAAGCGAUCCACGAUGACAACAUAAUUGUUUAUGUAAUUCUCCAUGCAAUGGCAUUGUUCAAAGGCAAGGAGGUUUCUGAUUGUAAGCUCUGUCUCAUCACUUAUUGCUAAUUUUGGAAUUUCUAGAAUCCCAUUAGCGAAUUGUAUGUCGAAUAAGUUUUUGGGUGAUCCCACCUUAAACUUGACUCCUGCUCUGUGUAACUCUGUGAUGCUGGAUGUGUUUAAGAGUUUCAAGUCGCCCCUUAGCAGGUGGUUUCAAUGGUAGAGGUAGAUACAAAUUUCUACAAAAAUCUACAAAGUGUUCUACUUUAGAAGUACAUAAUUUCUCCAUAUUGCCAUCCGUUCCCUCUAUGUGCAUUAGAGUUUUGAAGAAAUUGUGGCAAAGGUUAAGCAUCGAAAGCCUCUCAAUAUUGUUAUUGUUAGAAGAGACUUUGAUUUUUUCGGGGUCAAAAAGUUCCUCAAGAAUGAAGAAUGGCAGCUGAUUUUCAAACAACCGCAUGUCAGGCCAUACGUCUGGCAACAGCCAUGGUUUGUUAAAUAUGCGGUCAAUUUCAUCCUGCAAUUCAUCGAAACGAUACCUCAACAAGACCUCAAUGAUGAAGGCGGCAUCCACUAGAAUGAUUCUCACAAAUUCAUCACUGCUAACCUGAAUGGUUUCUGCAUAACAACUGCGCAGUUUUGCUUCUUGGUCUUUUACUUUCUGUACAUAAUCGGCUAGGCUUACCCUGGUCCGACGUAUAUAAUCUUGUAAGUACCUCUUUUUGUGAUCUUCCAUGGCUUUUAGGCCUUCCUCGCCAUGAUGAAGUGGGCCUAUAGAGACUACCUGAGGUGUGUAGGCCUUUUCACUCACACGCCGUAGUCGUUCAGGAACUCUAUAAAUGCAACACAAGGAGGAGAGGGAAGACAAGCCAUCCAACUCCUCACUCAUUGAAGUUACUAAUGGAAUGCAAGGGUUUUCAAUAUCAUGUGGAGCUUGAUCGCUUCCUUCCAUUUUCCGCUGAUGUGUUUGUUGUUGUCAAUCAUAAUGGAUGAUAAUGAAAUGAUAGUCACUGACACAACAAUAAACAAAUUUUUCAAGAUGGCUGAGAAAAUUAAUACAAACAUUGCAAUUAUAAGACCAAACACACAAAGACUUUUGAUCCUUGUAACUCUUACAUACCACACUAGUGCCUUAAGAAUUCGAUUUGAAUGCACCAAAUUCAUUCAAAACUCUUCUGGUCAACUCUGUUUCUUGUAAUUAUUCUUGGAAGAUUCUAAUACAUUUUUGAUUGAAAAAUUCCUACUAAUCAUGUGAAUCAGUACCAAAGUUUAUUUCAAAUUAACAUACAAACCCCACUUUUUUUUUCCUACAUAUAUACUUCUUUAUUUCCCCUCAACUUAUUGGAGCUUCUAAUAAAGCAAAUUCUUUCUGUGAUGAUAUCAGAUAGUAGAUUAUGCUUCCAGUCAAAACAUAGACAAACCAAAAUCCCAUUAGAAGAGAAGAAAAUAAUAUACGACAUUCACAUAACCUUCUGCUCAAUUCCAAUUUCCAACUACAAUGAAACAUAAGACACUUAAAAGCUUCAAGAAAUUGGAUGUGCAAGCAAACAUAGCGAAAUUAUGAAAGACAGAGAAAGGUGUUGGGCAUUGAAAACAUACCUGAUACGUAUUGAAACACAAUUUUUUUUUGCCUUUGGUAGAUGGAGUAGCUAGAAAAGCUCAAUGCACUUGCUCUUCUGCUACAUUUCAAUAUAAGAACAUUGUUUGGAAGUCCGGUCAAUUCCUCAAAGCUUCCUUGCCUUUGUUUUGACAUGCCGAUGCCCGUCUUGGGGAAGUUUGAAUAAUCCAUUGCAGGCCCCAUGAUAGGAUUUUUAGUACUUGUGCAAACAGUGUUAAAAAUCACAUAAAAUACUUGCAAGAAUACAAGGCUAUUGUAGUAUAGAUGCUCAUGCAAGGUCGUUUUCCUCAAGGACUAAUUAGCAAUUUAUGUAAAAACAAAUUCCAAUUACUACUUAAAAUAAAAAGUCAAGAAAGAUGAUUAUAAAUUUGGUGGAUUCUAAAAAACAAAUAUUAAACAAAAACAAAUACGAUUGAAAGAAAGAGUUUUGAAUAUCAAUUUAUAAAAACACUAGGGUUUCACCAUCACCUAGCAAUCCUAUGAACUUUUACCAAUUACUUAUGAUUUGCACAUGCCACUUUGAAGGUUAGGUUUUCCUAAUGUAUAUUCUACUUGGAACCUCCAACACAGAACGUAUAUCCAACAUGCAACCCGUCCGGACGUUCGGAUCAAAUCUGAACAUGAAAGACUCAUUAAGUUUUGUGAAAACCCUUUGAAAAACCAUGCAACCCUUAAGACGUGGUGUUCAUCUUAAGUGAAAUUACAAUUAUUAAUCACAAGAAGCUAGCAUAAAUUUCAGGGAACCUUCCGACCAAAAUUGCAUCCAAUUACUUUUCUAAAGAUCCUAAUGGUGAUCAGGCAUUAAGACAAUUAGAUAGUUUAAAAUAGUGAUUAACAAUUCAAAAUACGCAUGCACUCAUCAUAAGCAAUUAAAUAAAAAUCACAUAUUCAUGCUAAGGUUCAAGGCUUCACCCUAGCAAAAGAAAUUUAGUUACGCAUACUCAUAAUUGAAAUCCAAGAAAAUAUCAUUAAGAAGAAAAGAACGAAAACACCUGAAAGUUGUGAAAACCCAAAACCCUAGCAAUUGCUCUCUACAAUGCAAAGUUCAAAAAUAAUUAAGAAGUCCUAAAUUCCUUGUGAGAAAGAGCUUAAAUAUCCCUUAAAACCUAGCUGCCAAUGUACAGCUUUUCUAUCCCUACAAGGAAACUAAUUAAAGUAAAAUAAUACUAGGAAAUAAAGUCCAAAUUGGAAUAGGAGAAUUUGCCCAAAAUCAGCCCAGCCACGUUUUGGCCCCAAAUCUCCUCCAAAUCUGGCCCAAGAUAGCUUUUUUUAAAGACACUACUACAAAAAGUGAAAAAGACGACCAGAAAACAACGACGGUCUAAGUGAAAACCGUCGUGGUUUUUAAAAAGACGACGGUUCUAAAAACACCGUCGUGUAAUACCACCUUAGACAACUAAAAAAUGGAGAUUCAAAUGGCUGUUCAAAAACAACGACGUACCUAAUUAAACAACCGACGUCUAUUUGAAACAGAUUUCCGCAGUGUAAAAUCAAAGCAAACAAAGAACGGCAGAAGUUAUGAAUAGACCGACGUAGAAAGUAAAGACGACGAUUUCAAUAAAAGCCGCCGUUUUUACUCAUAAAAUAACACGACGAGGUUUUCGUAUAAGACGCCGUAUAAUUACAAACAAAUCCACGGCUUUAAAAUACAAAAUAAUCUUAACAGAUGACACAGAUUUGCAAUCAGAGAGACAAUUUUUUGGAAGUUGAUCAACGUCGUUGAAAAUUUGCAAUCAGAGAGACAAUUUUCAACGACGGUUAUAUUAUACCUAACGACGUUUAAAAACAAAUCAACGUCGCUCAACAAAUAUAUUACGUCGUCUUAGUCUUACUUAAGACGACGAAAAACGACGACAGUAGUAAAAAAACAGUCGUUGUUUUUAUAUUCUUAUUUUAUUUAAAUCUGUCGUGUUAGUUAAAAACGACGGCAUAACAAAAAACCGUCGUUUUGUUUCAAACUGAAUUAAUUUAAAAUUUCUUCAGGAAAGCAAAAUCUAUUUAUAAUUUCCUCGGGUUAGUAAUAUUGUGUCGUGUUAGUUUACAAAUUCUAGAACAUUAAUUUCCCUCAUUUUAAAUUUUCUCGGGAAAGAAAAAUCUAUUUAUCACGCUUUGUAAUUGAAAACUAAAACUGAAAGAAUUCUGGAAAAAAAACUCUAUUUAUAAUUUAAAAAUAAAAUGCACGUCGGUUGUAGUACACUUAACGACGUUUAACAAAAUAAUCUACGUCGGUAAUUAUAAAUCUACCGCCAUCUUACCCUAAUAUAGACGACGAGAAAAGACGACGGUAGAACAGAAAACCGCCGUUGUUUCAGUUUCUUUAACAGUUUGGUCCUUUAUCUUUCUGCAGGACUUGUAUAGUUCAAAGCAUUGACAAUGUCUUCAUCAUAUCUCCCAGCAACUACUGAUUCGAUUGCUCAUGCUUUAGAGGCCAUCUGAAGCCAUUUCUAUUCUUUAUCGCAUUCUUGAAACCCAUCUUCUUCUUCUGAAGCUCUACGGAUAAAGGAANNNNNNNNNNNNNNNNNNNNNNNNNNNNNNNNNNNNNNNNNNNNNNNNNNNNNNNNNNNNNNNNNNNNNNNNNNNNNNNNNNNNNNNNNNNNNNNNNNNNNNNNNNNNNNNNNNNNNNNNNNNNNNNNNNNNNNNNNNNNNNNNNNNNNNNNNNNNNNNUUUUUUUUGGGGUUGGUUUUUUAUAGUAACCAGUUAUAACAGUAGUGGUUGUGCAAUGUUUGGUUCCCUUAAGCUUCGAUCCAACCGUGUAGCCAGCUUUAGGUCAAUGUCUCCCAAACCACUCGGGUUUUAGGGCACUAGGUGUAGAACACCCCUAAGGACUUAUUAACUCAAGCUGAAAAGGCUACGAAACCAACUAACCACCCUGCCUCAUGCCAAAACUCUACCUUUUGUCUCGAAAAUCACUGCUGAUUAGGCAGGACUGGCCCGGUUACUAGCAAAGCUUCGGGUGAGGCAAUUAUUACUUUAUAACACAUACUAACUUUAUUUAAAUUGAACAGAAAUUAAAACACACUUGGACAAAAAGUAAGUAUUCCAAUCUCACUCCCCAAAAACCAUAUUGGUGUGAUGUGCAAAUUUCAAAGUAUAAUUCAUGAAUUAGUGUCUAAGCAACAAUAAAUAGAAAAGACUCUACUGUGGGAUUGAUUUUCACUAUGUCCAUUUAUUCUAACGUUUAAAAUAAUCUAUGGAUAUUGACUGAAAAACGAAAAUUUUAAACAAGACUUAAAAAAAACUAAAAAUCUAAAAUUUACUUUCCCACCCCCUAACUUAAAUCACACAUUGUCCUCAAGGUGUGGUAAAUAAUCAAAAGAAACAAGAGCAGAAACAAAACGACUAAAUCCUAGAAAAUGAAAAUCAAAAAUAAAGAAAAUACUCUAAGAAAAGAAACUAGGAAGGAAAAAUAGAAGAAUAAUAAAAUAAAAUAAAAUAAGAAAGAAAAGGAGAAAAACAACAAUAGAAAAGAAAUAGGAAAGAAAAUACCCAAAAAUGAGACACCUUGGGGAUUCAAAGGCAGGACCAGGCGGAGUGUUGCGAAAAAGCGCUGACCAACUCAACCACGUCCACACUGGCAUCAAAUAGGAGCGACAGCUACAAUAUAACCUGCUGUAGCUGCUGCAUCUGUCAUUUGAAAAAUAUUGGAUUCCCUUCUCCUACCCCGAGCUCAGAGCCGAAAGGCUCUCUUCUGUCCAUUCCCAUUUUGCAGAAGAAAAAAGAAUAUUGCUGGAUAAACCAAAGCCUCCGCUGUGUCCAGAGAAUCAGAAAAGGUCUCUGAUUUCUCUCUUCUCAAGGCCAUCCAUCUCCGCCUUCACUCUUCUUCAUUCUCUCCAACACUCACGAUCCUUUCCUCUCUUUCAACCCAAUUACACCAGCGUUUUCAUCUGCGUGAGGAGGCCACAUUUGCAGCAAACACAACCAGUGAGGUUGAAUUAUCUGAUGCACCUGAAUUUUUGGAUGGUUUUGGAGUCCCUAGAUUCCUCAAAUUCAGAUCUGUCUCCAUCCAUGUCACCAGAUGCUAACUUGUUCCAAGAUGAAAACAAGCUGAAGCCGAACAAGAGUCUAUUCUCCACCAGUAAGGACCCCAGAUCUGUGCAUCCCGUAGGUAAACUUUCGAACCCCAGAACUGGUUUUUUUUUUUUUUUUUUUCCGUUUUUUUUUUGUUUUGAAAAUAAAAGAAGUAAAGAGUUUAGAAAAAUUGGGUUGCCUCCCAAUAAGCGCGCUAUUUUAAGUCUGUAGCUAGACUUUGCAGAAGCCUGGUGGUCAAAUCACUGGUUCCUUCAGAGUCAAAGACUCGGCUGCAAUGUCAAAGGGUGUCUCCACGUAGGGUUUUAGCCUAUGACCAUUCACCUUGAACGUGUUGCCUUUAUCUUCAUUAGUGAUUUGAACUGCUCCAUGAGGAAAAACUUGAGUCACUAGGUAGGGUCCAGUCCAGCGAGAUUUUAAUUUCCCUGGAAACAACUUGAGCCUUGAACUAAAUAACAGAACCUUUUGCCCUGGCUGAAAUUCCUUCCGUAAAAUUUGACUGUCAUGAAAUGCCUUAGUUCUUUCCUUGUAGAUGCGAGAACUAUCAUAAGCACCUUGACGAAUUUCCUCUAGCUCAUUUAACUGCAAUUUCCGCUUUUCCCCAGCUGAGUCAUAUGCAAAAUUUAACUCUUUAAUGGCCCAGUAAGCUUUAUGCUCCAGCUCCAUAGGUAGAUGACAGGCUUUCCCAUAAACAAGUCGGAAUGGUGACAUCCCAAUAGGAGUUUUAUAAGCUGUCCUGUAUGCCCACAAAGCAUCAUUUAGUUUGAAACUCCAAUCCUUGCGUGUAGAGCUCACUGUUUUCUCCAAAAUACGCUUUAUUUCUCUGUUUGAAACUUCAACUUGACCAGAUGUCUGUGGGUGGUAUGGUGUAGCCACGCGAUGAUUAAUCCCGUAUUUUGCCAGUAGGUUAGCAAAUGGUUUAUUAAUAAAAUGCUUCCCCCCAUCACUAAGAAUAACACGCGGUAUUCCAAAACGUGGAAAUAUAACCCCCUGGAGGAACUUCAGGACCACUGAUCCUUGAUUAGUUGGUGCUGCAAUGGCCUCGACCCAUUUUGAAACAUAUUCCACAGCCACUAAAAUAUAUUGGUGCCCAUUAGAAGAUGGGAAUGGCCCCAUGAAAUCAAUACCCCAAACAUCAAAUAGUUCAACAAUUAGGAUACUUUGUUGGGGCAUUUCAUUCCUUCUGGAUUGAUUGCCGACCCUUUGACACCGAUCACAUGCCUUGCACCAAUUCUGUGAAUCUCUAAAAAGUGUUGGCCAAAAUAACCCACUCUGUAGGAUUUUCUCUGCUGUCCUUUUCUGCGCAAAAUGUCCUCCUCAAGCAUAGUGAUGAGCAAACUUUAAAACACUUUCUUGUUCAGCCUCCGGAAUACACCUGCGAAUAAUCUGGUCUGCACAAUACUUGUAUAAGUACGGUUCAUCCCAGAAAUAGUGCUUUACAUCAGAUAAAAACUUCUUUUUCUGCUGGUAGGAAAAAUCUGGAUGCACCACACCCUUAGCCAAAUAAUUGACAAUAUCUGCAAACCAAGGUGUGUCAAUUUUGACAGCAAAUAGCUGUUCAUCUGGGAAACUUUCACUCAAUGGUAGAGAAUCUGCCUCUGUAGCUGCUGGAAUAAUUAAUCUAGAUAAAUGAUCAGCCACAACAUUCUCACUGCCCUUCUUGUCUUUAAUCUCUAAGUCAAAUUCUUGAAGUAAGAGAACCCAACGAAUCAAUCUAGGCUUUGCAUCCUUCUUAGACAACAAGUAUUUUAGUGCAGCAUGAUCUGUAUAGACAAUUAUUUUAGCCCCAACCAAAUAAGACCGAAAUUUCUCUAGUGCGAACACAACUGCCAACAAUUCCUUCUCUGUAGUUGCAUAGUUAAGCUGUGCAUCAUUUAGAGUACGACUUGCAUAAUAGAUGACAUGGGGAAGCUUAUCUUUUCGCUGCCCUAAAACUGCCCCGACAGCAUAAUCUGACGCAUCACACAUUAGUUCAAAUGGUAAAUCCCAAUUUGGUGCAGCAAUGAUGGGUGCCGAAGUUAGGAGUGCUUUCAACUUGUUGAAUGCUUCUAAACAGGCCUUAUCAAAAUUAAAUGGUGCAUCCUUAGCCAAUAAAGUGCACAAAGGUCGACUAAUCUUGGAGAAAUCCUUGAUGAACCGACGAUAAAAACCUGCGUGUCCUAAGAAGGACCUCACACCUUUUACUGAUGUAGGAGGUGGCAGCUUUGCAAUAACUUCAAUCUUUGCCUUGUCAACCUCGAUGCCUUUGCUAGAAAUUGAAUGACCCAAGACAAUUCCCUGUUCAACCAUGAAAUGCCACUUUUCCCAGUUUAGCACUAAAUUUGUCGCUUGACAUCUCUGAAGAACUAAUGAUAAAUUCUGUAAGCAUUGAUCAUAUGAAUCCCCAAAAACAGAAAAAUCAUCCAUAAAAACUUCCACAAUAUUUUCGACCAAGCCAGAAAAAAUACUCAUCAUACAACGUUGAAACGUAGCAGGUGCAUCGCAUAAUCCGAAUGGCAUCCUCCGAUAAGCGUAAGUACCAAAUGGACAAGUGAAAGUAGUCUUCUCUUGAUCCUCUGGUGCUAUUGGAAUCUGAUUAUACCCAGAAUACCCAUCAAGAAAACAGUAAAAAGCCCGCCCAACCAACCUUUCUAACAUCUGGUCAAUAAAAGGCAAUGGAAAAUGGUCUUUUCUCGUCCCUGUGUUAAGCUUCCGAUAAUCUACACACAUUCUCCAACCCGUAGUCAAUCGUGUAGGAACUAACUCAUUAUUAUCAUUUUUCACCACUGUAAUACCGGUCCGUUUAGGCACAACUUGAGUCGGGCUAACCCAUUUACUGUCAGAAAUAGGAUAAAUCAUACCUGCAUCAAGUAAUUUCAUAACCUCUGUUCUAACCACCUCUUUCAUAAUUGGGUUAAGGCGGCGUUGAGCAUCAACUGUUAGCUUUACGUCGUCUUCCAUUAAUAUUCUGUGCAUACAUAGUGCUGGGCUGAUUCCCUUGAUAUCCGCAAUUGUCCAUCCCAAUGCAUCUUGAUAUUUUCUCAAUACACGAAGCAAUUUAUCCUCCUCUGUCGGUGUUAAAUCUGCUGCAAUUAUAACUGGCAACGUCUCUGCAGCUCCUAAAUAUGCAUAUUUAAGAUGUUGUGGUAAAGGCUUCAGCUCCAAUUUUGGCGGCUGCUGUCUGGAUGGUUUAAGGGGCUGUUUGGGCUCCCCUAAACUCUCAUACACAUUCCUAAAUUUUGGCAACACUGUGGGCAGACUGUUCAAUGCGUGUAUGUACUCAUGAACACCUUCAUCUUCAAAAUCUGUCUCAAAUGCCCCCUGUAAAACAUGCAACAACUGAUCUGUUUUUGAAUUAGCAUAAAAUCUGUCCUGCACCAUACUGUCUACCAUGUCAAUACGCAUACAAUCUAGCUGUUCAGCAGGACGUUUUGUUGCCGCAAACAAAUUAAACACCACAGAUUGGUCCUGAACCCGUAAAGUCAAUGUUCCAGCUUCCACAUCAAUUAAGGUCCUAGCUGUUGCCAUAAACGGCCUCCCCAAAAUAAUAGGUGUUUGAAGGUCUUCAUCCAUGUCUAAAACCACAAAAUCUGCCGGUAGAUAAAGAUUAUCAACCUUAAUAAUUAGAUCUUCAAUAACACCUCUUGGAUAAGUGAUUGAACGGUCAGCUAGUUGAAGUAUAAUUGAUAUAGGCUUUAAAUCUCCUUGCCCCAAUCGCUGAAAAACAGAAAAAGGCAUCAAAUUAAUACUUGCACCCAAAUCAAUUAAAGCACUCUUAAAAUUAGAAUUUCCAAUAGUGCAAGAAAUAUUAAAACUCCCUGGAUCUUUUUUCUUAGGUGGUAGUUUGUGUAGCAAAACUGCAUUGCACUGUUCUGUCAAAAUAACUUUUUCCAAAUCUGAAAGCUUCUUUUUGCUGCUGCAAACUUCCUUCAAAAAUUUGGCAUAUGAUGGAAUUUUCUUGAUUGCAUCCAGUAAGGGAAUGUUGAUUUGAACCUUGGAUAAUGUCUGCAUAAAGUCCUUGAGUUGCUGAUCUUUUACUUUUGGCUUCAAACGUUCUGGAUAUGGAAUUGGGGCCUCAUAAACACGCUCAGGUACUUGUUUUGGAACAGUUUCUAGAUCUGCCAUAUUAUGUUUUUCUACAGGUUUGGCAGGUUCUGCUGCUGCAAAAUUUUCUGUAUGAUCCUCCACUGCAUGCUGCUCCUUUUCAAUGUUAUUUUCACGAUUGUCAUAGCUUUUUCCACAUCGUAAAGUCCGAACAACUUUGCAAUCUUCACGUCCAUUUGGAUUAGGAAUUGUUUGACUAGGAAAUUUGCCCUUUUAUCUGUCUGAAAUCUGUGUAGCUAGUUGUCCAAAUUGUUGCUCCAAACUUUUAAUAGAUGCUUCAACAUUUUGAAAUCUUUGAUUGUUGCCCUCGAUGAAUGAUUGAGUUGUUGCUGCCAGUUUAGCAAGUUGAUCUUCCAUAGAUGGUUUGGAGGGAACAAAAGGUUUUUGUGCAUGCUGGAAUGGUUUGGCAUUAGUCUGAUUGUCACCCCAUUUGAAAUUAGGGUGAUCCCUCCAUCCAGGAUUGUAAUGAGUUGCAUAUGCAUCAUUCCUAGGCCUUUGAUAGCUGUUCAUCAUAUUGACAUGUUGUUCAACAAGCUCUGGGUAAGAGUCUCUAUGUGGGCAGCCCAUUAUGUCAUGUGUAGCCAUACUGCAUAUAGUGCAAACUGUUGAUGUAGGUGGCUGCUGUGUAGAACUUGCUAUAUGUUGUAGAAGCAUAUCAAACUUUGCAUCAAUUUUCUUAUCCAUUUUUUCCAUUUGUGCAGACAUGUUGGGAGAACCUACUGAUAACUCAAAAAUGCCCCUUUUCUGUGAAUGUUCUGCUGCCCAUUGCUGAGAUUCUGUAGCCAUCAUAUCAAACAGUUCAAAUGCCUCUCUUGCAGAUUUAUUUGAUAAUGAUCCUCCAGCUGAUGCAUUCACAUGGCUCUUAGAUGUAGGAUUAAGCCCAUCAAAGAAAAUAUUCAUUUGUGUAUCUGAAUCAAUUUUAACAUGUGGACACUUUAUGUACAUCUUUGUAUAUCUCUCCCACGCUUCAUGAAACUCUUCAUUAGGCUUCUGUGUGAAUGUCAAAAUCUCCCUCUUGUAAUUCAAUGUCUUGGAUGCUGGAUAAUAUUUGUUCAGGAAUUUUGUGUGUAACUGCUGCCAAGUAGUAAUGCUAUUAGCUGGUAGAGUGAAUAACCAAGUUUCUGCCUUGUCCUUCAAAGUGAAAGGGAAAAGACGUAACUUAAUAGCCUCAGCAGAAAAACCCCUAAUCAAAAUAUUCUUGCAACCCACAAUAAAUUUUGCAAUAUGUAUGUUUGCAUCUUCAUUAGGCAAUCCCCGAAAAGUAGGUAGAAUUUCAAGCAUAUGGUGCCUGAUCUCGAACGAAUCACCCUCUUCUUGUUCAGGAUACACAAUGCAAUUGGGAACAUCAGUGGCACGGGCUUCCAAUGACUCCCUGAGUGGUCUACCUGCCGCAGGUAAUUCUAACGCCAUGUUACUCUCGUUUGCAAACAGAUCCUGCAGAAAAGUGCCCUGCAGUGAACAGUCCCAAGCCCAAGUAACUUCUCUCCGCUGUCUAUGCAGUGUGCGCUCUGGUUCUGGAUCAAAUUGUACAAUCUGUGUAGUUCCUGAUCUGGUCUGGACCAUGCAGUCUGCAAAAUCUGCAACAGAAACAAAAUUGUUCAAUUUCAAUUUUUUUUUUUGGACGAAAAUUAAAAAUAAAAUAAAAUGAAAUAAAUCAGAAAAAGGUUAAACAAAAAUUGUCUAAAAUAGUCCCCAGCAACGGCGCCAAUUUCUUGAUAGGAUUUUUAGUACUUGUGCAAACAGUGUUAAAAAUCACAUAAAAUACUUGCAAGAAUACAAGGCUAUUGUAGUAUAGAUGCUCAUGCAAGGUCGUUUUCCUCAAGGACUAAUUAGCAAUUUAUGUAAAAACAAAUUUCAAUUACUACUUAAAAUAAAAAGUCAAGAAAGAUGAUUAUAAAUUUGGUGGAUUCUAAAAAACAAAUAUUAAACAAAAACAAAUACGAUUGAAAGAAAGAGUUUUGAAUAUCAAUUUAUAAAACCACUAGGGUUUCACCAUCACCUAGCAAUCCUAUGAACUUUUACCAAUUACUUAUGAUUUGCACAUGCCACUUUGAAGGUUAGGUUUUCCUAUUGUAUAUUCUACUUGGAACCUCCAACACAGAACGUAUAUCCAACAUGCAACCCGUCCGGACGUUCGGAUCAAAUCUGAACAUGAAAGACUCAUUAAGUUUUGUGAAAACCCUUUGAAAAACCAUGCAACCCUUAAGACGUGGUGUUCAUCUUAAGUGAAAUUACAAUUAUUAAUCACAAGAAGCUAGCAUAAAUUUCAGGGAACCUUCCGACCAAAAUUGCAUCCAAUUACUUUUCUAAAGAUCCUAAUGGUGAUCAGGCAUUAAGACAAUUAGAUAGUUUAAAAUAGUGAUUAACAAUUCAAAAUACGCAUGCACUCAUCAUAAGCAAUUAAAUAAAAAUCACAUAUUCAUGCUAAGGUUCAAGGCUUCACCCUAGCAAAAGAAAUUUAGUUACGCAUACUCAUAAUUGAAAUCCAAGAAAAUAUCAUUAAGAAGAAAAGAACGAAAACACCUGAAAGUUGUGAAAACCCAAAACCCUAGCAAUUGCUCUCUACAAUGCAAAGUUCAAAAAUAAUUAAGAAGUCCUAAAUUCCUUGUGAGAAAGAGCUUAAAUAUCCCUUAAAACCUAGCUGCCAAUGUACAGCUUUUCUAUCCCUACAAGGAAACUAAUUAAAGUAAAAUAAUACUAGGAAAUAAAGUCCAAAUUGGAAUAGGAGAAUUUGCCCAAAAUCAGCCCAGCCACGUUUUGGCCCCAAAUCUCCUCCAAAUCUGGCCCAAGAUAGCUUUUUUUAAAGACACUACUACAAAAAGUGAAAAAGACGACCAGAAAACAACGACGGUCUAAGUGAAAACCGUCGUGGUUUUUAAAAAGACGACGGUUCUAAAAACACCGUCGUGUAAUACCACCUUAGACAACUAAAAAAUGGAGAUUCAAAUGGCUGUUCAAAAACAACGACGUACCUAAUUAAACAACCGACGUCUAUUUGAAACAGAUUUCCGCAGUGUAAAAUCAAAGCAAACAAAGAACGGCAGAAGUUAUGAAUAGACCGACGUAGAAAGUAAAGACGACGAUUUCAAUAAAAGCCGCCGUUUUUACUCAUAAAAUAACACGACGAGGUUUUCGUAUAAGACGCCGUAUAAUUACAAACAAAUCCACGGCUUUAAAAUACAAAAAUAAUCUUAACAGAUGACACAGAUUUGCAAUCAGAAGAGACAAUUUUUGAAGUUGAUCAACGUCGUUGAAAAUUGCAAUCAGAAGAGACAUUUUCAACGACGGNNNNNNNNNNNNNNNNNNNNNNNNNNNNNNNNNNNNNNNNNNNNNNNNNNNNNNNNNNNNNNNNNNNNNNNNNNNNNNNNNNNNNNNNNNNNNNNNNNNNGGAAGUUGAUCAACGUCGUUGAAAAUUUGCAAUCAGAGAGACAAUUUUCAACGACGGUUAUAUUAUACCUAACGACGUUUAAAAACAAAUCAACGUCGCUCAACAAAUAUAUUACGUCGUCUUAGUCUUACUUAAGACGACGAAAAACGACGACAGUAGUAAAAAAACAGUCGUUGUUUUUAUAUUCUUAUUUUAUUUAAAUCUGUCGUGUUAGUUAAAAACGACGGCAUAACAAAAAACCGUCGUUUUGUUUCAAACUGAAUUAAUUUAAAAUUUCUUCAGGAAAGCAAAAUCUAUUUAUAAUUUCCUCGGGUUAGUAAUAUUGUGUCGUGUUAGUUUACAAAUUCUAGAACAUUAAUUUCCCUCAUUUUAAAUUUUCUCGGGAAAGAAAAAUCUAUUUAUCACGCUUUGUAAUUGAAAACUAAAACUGAAAGAAUUCUGGAAAAAAAACUCUAUUUAUAAUUUAAAAAUAAAAUGCACGUCGGUUGUAGUACACUUAACGACGUUUAACAAAAUAAUCUACGUCGGUAAUUAUAAAUCUACCGCCAUCUUACCCUAAUAUAGACGACGAGAAAAGACGACGGUAGAACAGAAAACCGCCGUUGUUUCAGUUUCUUUAACAGUUUGGUCCUUUAUCUUUCUGCAGGACUUGUAUAGUUCAAAGCAUUGACAAUGUCUUCAUCAUAUCUCCCAGCAACUACUGAUUCGAUUGCUCAUGCUUUAGAGGCCAUCUGAAGCCAUUUCUAUUCUUUAUCGCAUUCUUGAAACCCAUCUUCUUCUUCUGAAGCUCUACGGAUAAAGGAAGAGGCUAUCACAAAUCUGACGGAUCUUCUUAGUCAAAAAAAUCAAGCAGAGGAUCAGGCACAUCUGAUCUUCAGAUUUCCCUGAGAAGCGAACUUUCCUUCGACAGCGAGUGGAGGCCAGGCUUGCAUCUCUUUUGAUGGAAAGCAAGGAGUAUUCAGAAGCACUAAGUGUCCUAUCAGGCUUGAUCAAGGAAGUGAGAAGGCUAGUUGACAAGCUUCUUCUUGUCAACUAGCCUAAAUGUAAGCUCAAUUUCUCUUUGAGAAAGACCUCCAAAUUAUUGUCUUUGAGAUGUGAGAGACAGUGUCUCUGAGAGAGGAAGAACUUGGAACCCUAAAUGUAAACCGCGAAAAUGAAUGAAAGCGACAAAUUUAUAGAAUAAAUUUUUAAAACCAACGGCGGUACUUACCAAGAAACCGCCGUUUCAAUUGUAAAAUCAACGUCGGUAUUACUGACGUAUAUUACAGAACUCCACGUCGGUACAUUAAUAAUCACGACGUCUUAAAUAAUCUACCAUGACGCGAGUUAUUACUUAUGUACUUUAAUUUUUGAGUUUACUACGACGGUACCUACAACACUACUGUCGUAUUUAUUUACCACGUCCGAAGUUAAAUUUACCGACGUAUUUUGUACUUUAUACGUCGUAGUUAUAUGUAACCGCCGUAUUAUUUUUUUGAAAUGGUUUUAUAUGUAAGCAACUUUUCGUCUACUUGACUUACACAUUAGUUGUUUUUAUAUUCUUAUUUUAUUUAAAUCUGUCAUCCAAAAAAGAAACUUUACAUAUUGCAGAAUAUUAAUUUCCUUCGUUUUAAAUUUCCUCCGGAAAAAAAACUCUAUUUAUAACGCACUGUAAUUGAAAAAUAAACUGAAAGGUCACGGGAAAAAAAAUUCUAUUCAUAAUUUAAAAAUUAAAAUCCACGUCGGUUAUAUUAAACCUAACGACGUUAAAUGAAAUGAUUCCACGUCGAACGAAAAAUAUUUCGUCGUGUUAGUUAAAAACGACGUAGUUAAAUGUAACCGCCGUAUUAUUUUUUUGAAAUGGUUUUAUAUGUAAGCAACUUUUGGACUUACACAUGCACUGUUUCCAAACCCGAUUAAAAAUUUCAAUCUCCAGAGAAACCUUUUCGUCUUUUUUCCUUGUCAGAGCAUUAUCAGAGUUUCUCAUCGUCUUCCUCUCGUCUUCUUCGUCGUCCUUGAACUUAAACAUCGAUCAUCUUCCUCUUGCUUUCAUUGCACGCAAAAGGUAAGCUUUCAUUUUCACUAUUUUGGUUACUGUUUUGCAUGCUCAUACGUUUUUUGUUUGAAAAAUCUUUUUACCUUUUUUCUGGCCAAAAUCAUUUUACUUCUUUCCAAGUUUGAUAAAAUAUACAGACAAAAAGGGAAAGUUUCCAACUUUGAAGACAACUACCUCAACUAAAUGAGACGACGGUAGACCACGACGGUUCGUCAGUUGUUCUAGCGUCGUCUGAAAAUUGACAAAGUUGUUUUUAAAAUAAUAGUCUUUUUUUAUAUGCUUGUUUAAUUGCAGGUUUGAUUUCUCUGAACAAUGGUUUUUGUUUUUCCCUUAUUUGAUAAAAUAUAAAGAAAAAGAAACUAGGGUUGGUAUCUAAUAUAGACGACAAAAUAUCUUAUUGUUUUACGUCGUGUGAAUGUUAAUACCACGACGGUGUAUUACUAUUAACGUCGUAUGAACAUAAAUACCACGACGUUAUAUAAAUAAUAGUUUACCACGACGGUGUAUUACUAUUGACGUCGUGUGAACAUAUAUACCACGACGUUAUAUAAAUAAUGGUUUUAAACAUUUAUUACGUCUGAGAUUAUUUCAUUGCGUCGUCUAAAAUCAUAUCAUACGUCGUAUUUUUUUAAUACCGUCGUUUGUGUUCUUAAUGUUUUCCUGAAAUAUUUUCACUUGCAGUUUUGUCUGUUAAAAUGGUUUCUCAACAACAAACUAAGGAUUCUGGCUCCAAGAAGCUUGGAAUGGUAGCUCCUCAAGACAAGUCUUCGAAGGAGAUGAAGUCUUCGAAGAAGAUGAAGUUUGCUUCAUCAUCUGCUGAGACAGAACCAACCAGCCAGACAACAAUCUCUGAUGAUUCAAAGACUGGUCGAGGCAUGAGCACAAUGCCUCGUGUUGUGAAGAGAAAGCUUCAGAAACUGAGGCCAAUUGUUGAGUACAAUAAAAGGGGGAAAGGUGUUGGCCAAGCACAUAUUGAGAUGCAGUCGUAUAUUGGUGUGUUGGCACGCUCCAGGAUCCCACUUGUGGACAAGAAAUGGUCCCAAAUCCCCAAGGAUAUAAAGGAGCAGAUUUGGGAAGCAGUUGACAUGGCUUUUGUCGUAGGCCAAGGGGGCAAGACCUCUGUUUUAGCUUCUGCUUCCAAGAAAUGGAAGGAUUUCAAGUCUACACUAACGAGGCAUUAUAUCCUUCCAUACACCAAUGACAGGGAGAAAUUAAGCCAACCCCCUGAAACAUAUAAAUUCAUAGAGAAAGCACAAUGGGAUGCCUUUGUAGCUUCAAGGCUAUCCAAAGAUUUUGAGUCUGUGCAUUCUCAACAUGCACAGAUUAGGGAGAAACUCGAGUACAAUCAUCGAUUGUCUCGAAAAGGAUAUGCUGGAUUGGAGGAUCAAUUGGAGGAAACCAUGCCUGGGGUAGAAAUUGAUCGAUCUACCUUAUGGAAGAGAGCUAGACAGGACAAACAUGGUAACAUCCCUGAUCCAAAGGUGGCAGAGAAAGCAAAAUUAAUUGUAAGCCUACUAUCACUCUGUUUUAAAUUUUUAUUAAACUGUGAAUUAUUCUUAUUACGUCGUAUGUUAUAUUUUUCGUCGUGUGAAUGAUAUUACCACGUCGAAAAGUUUUUAAAAACGUCGUUAAAGGUCUAAAUAGGAAUCACUACUAAUUUUCUGUAAUUAUAGCAUAAGACGUCGGUGGUUCAUUUUCGCGUCGUUUGAAUGAUAUUACCACGUCGAAACUUUUUUAAAAACGUCAUUAACGGUCUAAAUAGGAAUCACUACUCUGUUUUCUUUAAUUAUAGCAUAAGACGUCGGUUGUUUAUUCAUUUCGUCGUUUUAAAUAAAUAACCACGUCGGUAUAACUACCGUCGUGAUAAGUUAUAAUAACGUCGGUUUAUACGUUAUUGCGUCGUGUGAAAUUAUAUAAUACGUCGUUUGUACAUAAAUAACCGUCGUGUGUUUUUUUGUUUAUCUUUGUUUUAGGAUGAAUUGCAGAAACAAGUCUCGGAAGGCAAAGUCAGAGUAGAUGGCAGCAAUGAUGUGCUGACCAUGGCUUUGGGCCCCGAGCAUCCAGGCAGAGUGAGGGGAGUUGGUGCUGGUGUUUCCCCAAGGCAAUAUUUCAAUUUGCCCAAACCACAGAGGGUGAGCUUUGACGACCAUUUGAAGGACAGUUUAAGAGUUCUCCUUCAAGAAGAGACUAAAAAGAUGGAGGCUAAGGCAAGGGAAGAGGCCUUAAGAAUGGAGGCUAGGACAAAACAAUUGGUAGAGGCUGAGAGGGAGCAUUUCCUGAGUCAGCUUUCCCAAUUAAUUCCCAAUUUUGAUCCAAGCAUGCUUAAACCAAGAAUUAGCCAAAGCCCCAAAAAUCCAAUGUCUGACAAAGCUAGCUGCUCUGGAGGUGAUGUGAGAUCCCUACAUUUGGAGGAUGAUACUGCCAAAAUGGGGAAACAUCAGCCAGAUGAAGAGAAGGAAGAAGAAAAAAGAGAUGAAGAGAAGGAAGAAGAAAAGGAGAAAGAAGAUGAAGAAAAGCAUGACGACAAGGUAUGUUCACAUAACUUUGCCUUUUUUAUUUGUUUUUCAAAAUUUCAGACGUCGAUAUUUUUAUUUAAUCCGUCGUUUGUUUAAAACUUAGACGGCGGACUUUUUUUAAGACGUAAUAAAAUAUUUAAACGACGGUUUUUGCACCGUCGUUUAAAUGGUUUCAGACGACGCUUUAUUCAUAAAAUCGUCGUCUUUAUUGAAUUACCACGACAGUUUUUUCACCGUCGUUUAAAUACUUUUAAGACGACGUUUUAUUCCUUAAACCGUCGUCUUUGUUGAAUUACCACGUCAUUUUUUUUAUUUCUUUAAACAGGUUAUUGAAGUUGGUGCUUAUUCAAAUAUGGAGGCGCCAUCUUCUUUAAAAACCCUUUGUCGUUUUGUGGAAACGACACUCCUGCCUGAGGAUAAGACACUCCAAUUUACAAUUGAUAAGGAGGUGUUUGGUGGUGAGCGCGAUACCUUCCUCCUGCCUGAAGAUAUUACACAAUUUGCAGGCAUGGAAGAAAUUGGAGCUACUGUAUUGGCUGUAUAUAUGAGGUUUGUACUUCUAAAAUAAUACCUCGUUGGUUUAUAUAUUGCGUCGUCUUAACUAACUAACCACGUCGUCUUAACUAACUACCGUCGUGAUAAAUAUAUUAUAACGUCCUCAUCUAUUUCAGUACGUCGUGUGAAAUAUUAUAAUACGUCGUUUUUUUAUACAUAACCGUCGUGUUUGUUUGUGCUGACUUGUUUAUAUUAUUUUAUGUAUUUAGGUACUUACACGAUGUUUUGAAACAAGCCAAUAUGUGCAGCAUGGUUGGCUUUAUCGACCCUGCUACAGUUAGUGCCAACUCUGGCACAAUAACUGAAAGAUCACGACUGGUAGCAGCUCGACUUCAGAAGACAGACGGUGAACAGAUUUUCAUGAUGCCUUACAAUCCAGGGUUAGUCUCCUUAGGAUUUUGUUUUUAUGAUUUUCAAUAAAUGACAGCUUAUAAACUAACCACGUCGGUGUUUUAUUUUAUUUAGUCGUUUGAAACUACUAACCACGUCGGUAUUUAUUUAUCGUCGUGAUAAAUAUAUAAUGUCGUCGUUAUCUACUUUAUUUCGUCGUGUGAAAUACUAUAAUACGUCGUUUUUGUAAAUAACCGUCGUUUUUAUAUUCAUUUUGUGCAGCCGUCAUUGGAUCUUGCUGAUUGUAAGAGCAAAGAAGGAGACCGUCUAUUUUCUGGAUCCUCUGCCAGGUCAUCGUGUGGUCGACGAAGAGGCGAAAAACAUCGUGAACAGUGCUUUAAAAAUAUAUAAUACCCACAUAGCCCGAGCACGACGUAAAAAUGUAAUUUGGAAAACUCUCUCAGGCACACCAAAGCAACCCAGCAAUGUCGAAUGCGGGUACUAUGUGAUGCGCUUCAUGAGGGACAUCAUCAUGGAUCCUUCCUUGGGGUUUGAGAAUAAGGUAAGAAGAAAUUACCUUCAUACAUUUCACGUCGUUUUUUGUAUUAUCAACGACGGUCAUGUAAAAUUAACGUCGUUGAAUGGAUAUACUACGUCGGUUAUGAAAAAUAUCGUCGUCUGUGAUUGAAUUUCUUUUUAUUUAUAAACCCUAAUAGUCAUUGUUUAUGCAGUAUGCCAAGGGAAACCAGGAAGCUUCAUACCCCCAAGAAGCCAUUGAUGAAGUCCGGAAUGAAUGGGCAGAGUUUGUUUUCCAAAUUAUUAAACAGGGCAAUUAUUGAACACUUGAUAUUUAUGUAUAAUGUACAAAUUUUCUCUAUAAUAUGUAAUGUAAAAAUUUGUUGAGGUUUUCUUAAAUUAAAAAAAAAACAAACAUACAAAUUGCUUAACCGACGUGUAAUACUUUUCCAACGACCUAAUAAAGUCAAAAACCGUCGUAUUUUGUUGUUUCGUGUUUUAAACAAAUACGACGUAAAAAUAUAGUUAGACGACGUUCUUUGAACAAUUGAGUCGUUUAUGGUUUACAACAUCUUCAAUUUCUUAAGGGUUCAGGGUAUCAUCGACGACGUUUAUGUAACGACAGCGGUUAAGUCGUGGAAUAUAUAUUUUACGUCGUAUAGUUAAAUAGCCGCCAUGGUUUCUCAUUUUAACGACGUCAUUUUAACGACUUAGUAGUCUAUUACAAUUUACAACGUCUACAAUUUAUUAACACCGACGUGGUUUGUUGUUGUGGUAAGAAUAUUUUAUUAUUUUUAUAUCAAAAUAUUCAAAAUAAAUUUAAAAUAAAUCAGAAAAUUGAAAAGUCAUCUCCUAUGAAGUCAUUGAUAUAUUUUCUUCCACAUAAACCUUGAAAAAAUUCAUUUUGAAUAACAAAAAUUUAAAAUGACCAUCCAAAACAAAAUUGUUUUGAUGAGUCAUAAAAUCACUUCUAGUUUUAUGGUUUAGGGUUUAGAGUCUAGGGUUUAGAGAUUAGGGUUGUUAUUUGUUGGGGUUUAUUUUUAAAGUAUAAUUUUUGGGUAGUCUAGGGUAUAUGUUAGGCUUUAAAACCAUAAAACCUUUUAUAAACUUAAUUUUUUAAAUUGUAUAAUUUAGUUUUAUGGGUUUAGGGUAUUAAUUUUUAACGACGGUGGUUGCGUCGUGGAAUACAUAUUUUACGUCGUACAGAAAAACAUACGACAUGGUUUACGCUUUAAACGACGUCAUUUUAAUAUGUAAGUCGGUUUAUAUAAUUUACAACGUCUUUAAUUUCUUAACACCGACGUGGUUUUUCAGUCGUCGUUAUAUAAAAAAUUCAAAAUAAAUUUAAAAUUAAUCCGAAAAAUGAAGCUUCAAAAUGAACGGCCUUACGUUCUUAAUCCGAAAAAUGAAGUUUCCGUCGUGGAAUAUUAAAUUUACGUCGGUACUUGUAGAACUUUCGCCUUGGUUUUUCUUUCGACGUUUUAAAACGCGCGAGCUCUAAAAAUUUUCGCGUGACCUAAAUUUUUUUAGAUUUGGCUCUUAUUCUUAUACUUCGAACCCUGAAACCUAAAAUUUUCAGAUUUCGCUCUCUCACUUCUGCUCUAAUUAAAAGUUGCACUCUCCAGGCUUCGUCGAAUCUGUGAGCUCGUCCAACCUGUAAGUACAAACCCUAUCUUCCCCUUGUAAAUUCAUUGAAUGAUAUUAGGUUGUUUUGUUAAAGGGUUUUAUGUGUAUGCUUUGCGAUCUGUUAAUAAUGUGCUUAUAGGUAUGGGUUCAUAGAUUUUCUGUUUAAUGGGUUCAUGGAUUACAUUAUCUGUUAUGUUGAAUUGGGAAUGGAUUUAAUUUUGUCGUAUCUUUUAAUCACCCUAUGUUAUGUUGAAUUGGGAAUGGAUUUAUUGUUUUCAUGCUUGGUUUCAUGUAUAUGUUGGUUUCUUGCUUGGUUUCAUAUAUAUGUUGUGUUCUUAAUGGGUUUUGUGUUCUUGAAAAUAAACUGAGACACGACAAAUUUUAAGGCAUACGACGACGAUUACACGACGGUUUUUUUAAACUACCGUCGUUGUAUUACUUAUACAAGACGGUUUUUUCAUAAACCGUCGUUUGUAUUACUUAUAAUAGACGACGUCUGUUGAAAAUCCGUCGUCUAUAUAUGCCAAAUACGUCUGUUUUUGUUUAAAACCCGUCAUCUCUGUUGUGUAUUACUUGCGAUUAGAUCAUUGUAUAAUCUGCUAUAGUGAUGGUCAUUGCCUGUAUUUUCACUUUAUUAUAGAUAAUAGGUUAUAGUGUCGGAGAUGGAUAAGUCAUGGAUGCACUCGGAUAGAAGAUCGAAGGCAUAUGAAUUUGGGGUGGAAGCAUUUUUGAACUUUGCUUGAGAAGUACUUUCCCCCUUCAUUCUUUGAUAUCAUGGUUCAUCUAGUAGUACAUCUUGUCAGAGAAGUUCGUCUAUGUGGGCCAGUAUAUUUUAGGUGGAUGUAUCCGUUUGAAAGAUAUAUGAAAGUGCUGAAGGGGUAUGUUCAGAAUCGUACUCGUCCCGAAGGUUGCAUUGCUGAGCGGUAUAUAGCUUAAGAAGCGGUAGAGUUUUGUACUCAGCAUUUAUCUGAUGUUAGUACAGUUGGAGUGCCUUCAAGCCAAAAGAUGGGACUUUCAAAGCCAUUAUCAGGUUGCACAGUGAGCGUAGUUGAUCAGGACCUGUUGAAUCAAGCACAUCUAUAUGUCUUGGAGAAUACGGAGGAAGUCCUACCUUAUAUCGAGUACGUAUGAGCUUUAUUCUUUAAGUUUCCAUUUUAAAUUAUUUCUUAUGUUUAUCUUCUAUAUUUGGGACCGUAAUGCUUGAAUUUUUCGUGUCAUGUAGGCAACAUAUGAUCCACAUCAAGAUUGCUUAUCCAAAAUUUAGAAAGAGAACAAAGUGGCUGCAGGAUAAGCACAAUAGCACUUUCAUUCAAUGGCUACGCUUCAAGGUAUAUGUUGUUGAAUAACAUAUUUCUCUUUUAAUUUUCUUCUUAUUUAUAUGUUAGAUUGAAUUAAGAUAUGAUUAAUUUGCAGGUUCAAAGUGAACUUGAGGAAGACAAUCAUGGCGUAUCAGAAAAUUUAAGGUGGCUAGCAGCUGGUCCAAACAUGUCAGUGCCAUUAUAUAGGAGCUAUCUUAUUAAAGGUAUUAAAUUCAAUAUCAAGGCACAAGAUGAUGUGCGGACAACUCAAAAUAGUGGAGUUUAUUUACUUGCACAUACCAUGCAAGUUGCUAGUGCCAAGGAUAAAAACCCAAUUCUCUCAAACAUGGGUUUCUAUGGUGUCAUUCAAGAAAUUUGGGACCUUGACUACCAAAAGUUUACAAUCCCAGUCUUUAGGUGUGAUUGGAUAGAUAGUUCUGGUCUUGUAGUCGACGAACUUGGAUUUACCCUUGUAGAUUUGAGUAAAAUUGGACAUAGGAAUGACCAAUUUGUUUUGGCUUCUCAAGUCAAACAAAUAUUUUUUGUUGACGACCCGAUGCAUCGUGGUUGGUCGGUAGUGUUAUCAAUGCCUAAUAGAGAAUAUAAUGAUGUUAUUGGUGAUGAAGUCUUAGGUGAUGUGAUAAUUGAGUGUGAGCCAUUUACUAGAGGGAUGCCAAAUGUUGACACAUUUGAUGAACUGGUGGGUGAGUUAGGCGGUCAAAAUAUUCGAGAUGGGUGUGAAGAUAUAUGGAUUGAAUGAUGCUUAUGUAAUUGGCAGUGUAUGACAUUAAUUUUGUAAUAUAUUGUAAUGUGAUUUCUUCACUUUCUACGUUCAAAUAAAACACGACGUUAUUGUGAACCAGUUAUUCAGCAUAUUUACCGACGUCUUAAAGCAACGUAACAAUGAAGAACCACGACGCUAUUGUGAAGCAAUUAUUCAGGAUAUCACGUCGGGGAAGGAUUAAGAACCGCCAUGUAAUUCAAAAUAACACGACUCCAAUCCCAUAAUACCGACGUCUAAAAAACGAGAUAUAUAAUCUGAACGUUAAAAAAUACGACGUCAUCAUACAUUUUCCACAUCGCAAGUUCUUUUAUAAACGAAGAGGAACGAAAUGAAUUCCGACGGAAAUUCAUUAUAACCGCCGUCUAAUAACAAUUAAACGACGUUAUUUGUAAUACGGCUCUCAUCAUAAUCAACGCCGUCUAUAUGUUCUGUAAUACGGCUCUCAUUUAUUUGGAACCGACGUUGUUUAGAAGUUCAACGUCGUCUAUAUUAUUAAGUGCGUCGUGAGUAAUGAUGAUAGAUAUAAAUACAACGUCGACUAUAUAAAUGCCACUGACGUUGUUUCGCAUUUCAACGUCAACUGUAUAAAUACAUACGUCGUAAAUAAUGACACUGACAACUAUUUCCACGUCAUCUUUUUUAGAAAAAUCGAAGUGGAAAAUUUAUUUCACGACGGUUGUUUGUAAAUAAGAGACGUAGUAUAUUUCAAUAACGUCGUCUUCUCAUGUAUUUAAAGACGUCAUAUUUUUUCUUGUCGUGUAAAUUAUAUUUAACGGCGUAGUAUUUUAGUUGUCGUCGUUGUAUGUAUAUCUUGCGGCCUUGUUCUUUUAACAUGUGUCAUAUUUUUCCUUUUUAACGACGGUGAUUUGUUUGAGUUGGUCGUCUAUUCUCAUCCUCGACUAUUUUCUAGAACUUUAGCAGACUAAACACGUCUGUUUUUAUUGUUUUCCGACGUUGUUUUAUUUAACAACGUCUAAUAUUUAUCGUCGUUGUUUGUUUCUGAAAAUAUGACGUAUAAAUUUUGUAAUACGACUCUCAUAUAUUUGUAACCGACGUUGUUUCGUUUUUCAACGUCUACUCUAUAAAUACAUACGUCGUAAAUAAUGACACUGACAACUAUUUUCACGUCAUCUUUUAUCGAAAAAUCGAAGUGGAAAAUUAAUUUUACGACGGCUGUUUUUAUAUAUGCGACGUAGUAGGUAUCAAUAACGUCGUCUUCUAAUGUAUUUAAAGACGUCAAAUUUUUUAUUGUCGUGAAAAUGAUAUUUAACGGCGUCGUAUUUUUAUUUUCGUCGUUGUAUGUCUAUCUUGCGGCCUUGUUCUCUUAAUAUGUGUCAUAUUUUUCCUUUUUAACGACGGUUUUUUUAGAGAGUUGGUCGUCUAUUCUCAUCCUCGACUGCUUUUUUAGAUCUUUUUGCAGUACAAAGACGUCGUUUUGUAUUUGUUGAUGACGUUGUAUAUUUUAACAACGACGGUGAUUUUGCGUCGUGGUUUAUGAGGGAAAAGAUGACGGUGGAUUCCACGACCAUUGAAAAACCGAAUACACGACGGUGAUUUACCGUCGUCUUUUUGCUUUUUUGUAGUAGUGAGAUAAAAAUGUUCUGAACACUUCUCUAGAAGGCCACGAACCCAUCCGAGGUCAUCUUGGGCUCCAAAAACACAAUAAAAGCCCAACACGUCACUAUUCCAGCACCGCGCACUGCUCAUUUAUUUUAUUGCCAGAAAAUAACCGCUUGGAAGAAAAAUCUGAAAUUUUGAUACGAUCAAGCUAAGUGACUCAAGAACGUCCUCCAACUGGAAUUACUCCAAAAUUCCUCAAUUUGAUUAUGUUUUGCUCCAGAGAGAGUCGAAAGUCCUAUAUUGGAAAUAUAAUUCAAAGUAUCAAAAUUCUUCCAAAAUAUUAACCAAAAUAUACUAAGAAUGAGGUUAAAUAUAUAAUAUAAAAUAUGUCCAUCACCCCACAACAACUAAAGAACCAACAUUUUGUAGAAGGUUUUGUCUAUACCUUUGACUGUAAGUAAAUCUCUUGUAUCUGCUCCUGUGGUUCGGUGAAGUUUCUUUGUGUCCUUUCUGCGGAGUCUCCCAUGCUUGUUCCAUGAAAAUGUUCUAGGAGAAAAUACGGUUGUUUCUUACUAGAUUCAAAUGAUUAAGAAAAAUAAAAACGCAAGAAAAAAGGUAUUUUCUUGAUGGACUUGGUGAUGAAAAAUAUCACUCUCUUUAUAUGUCGUCUUCCUUGGACUUUGAGACCUUGGGUUUCGAUUCUUCUUGAGGAUUGCAUAGGGUUUCUAGGCCCAAGAAUACUUUGAGUUAGUUUUUGCGUUUUGGGCUUUGAGACUUUGAGACUAUAAUGAGUGGAAAGUUAUAAGGGGUAAGUUAUAAGGGGGUCACUUUAUAGCCAUCAGAUUAAUCCAAGGGCUGGGGAGAAUUGAGAUAAAGUUUCACAAUUGGGUAGGUGAGGAACCCAAACCCGAAUUGAAUAUCCAGCACGUCCAAAAAGAAGAAGAAGAGGGAAACACGUCCGAAAAAGAAGAAGAAGAGGCAAGUUCGAAGUUUGAACAGAAAGAACUCAUCUCUCUAAAACACAGAGGUCUGAGAUACCCAAUGAAGGCAACGGCUAACGACAGUUGAAGGCAACAAUUCGCCACUCCGUUCUCCAGACCCCGAAAAAGUAUUUAUUUGGAGUAGAAGGGGCAAAGGUGUGGAUUCCAAAUCAGUGAAGGGGCGAAGCAGUGGAAGGGGAAGGGGAGAAGCUGUAUUCGUUGGAAGUGUAGGUUCCAUUUGUGGAGCAAAGAAAUAGAAAGACCCCACACAGACACCUUGCAAUAACCAGCAUUUGGUGAGUAAUUUAUGGAAUUUGAGUUUAGGGUUAGAGUAAUGGUUUUCCCCAAUUUGUACCAUAAAUUUUGUUGGAUUUGGCAUCUCUUCGUUGUGCUUCAGUUGCAUGUUAAUUUUUGCUUAGGUAUAUGUUAAAAAAGGAAUGAAAAUUAAGUCAAUAACAAGUGAAUAACAUGUCAAUAAUGAUAUGAAUAAGAUAAUGGUGUUGAAUUGGAGGAGGCCCUCAAAACCUUCCACAUUUGAAGCAGUGCAUAGUGCAGAUUAAGAAGAGGCGCUAGAAUAUAUAUAUAUAUUUUAUGAAGUAAAUAUGAUUUCCUUUGUUACUAAAUUUGCCUGAGAAACAUUUGAACAGAUAAUAAUAAACUCAUGAAUAGAACUGCAAAGCAUUUGAUGAGCAAUGUAAGGAAUUUAAGUUUAGGGUUAGAGUAAUGGCAUCUCUUAUUUGUGCUUCAAUUGCAUGUUAAUUUUUGCUUGGGUAUAUGUUAAAAAAUGAAUGAAAAUAAAGUCAAUCACAUGUCAAUAACAUCUCAAUAACAUGUCAAUAACAUGUCAGUAAUGAUAUGAAUAAGAUAAUUGUGUUAAAUUGGAGGAGGCGCUCAAAACCUUCACAUUUGAAGCAGUGCAGAGUGAAGAGUACCUCUCUGGCACUAGAAUUUAUAUAUUUUGUGAAAUAAAUAUUAUUUCAUUUGUUACUAAAUUUGCCUAUGAGAAAUGAGAACAGAUAAUAAUAAACUCAUGAAUAAAAGUGCAAAGCAUUUGAAAUGAAGGUUGAUCUAUGACGAUUGUGGGUGACUGAAGAAAAAGGUAGAAAGAAAGAAGGAUGUGGCAAUUGCUUAGCAAGCAGAUAGCAGAGUACAUGCUUUGCUUUGCUUCCUUCCACUAUAUUUCUUAUUUAUUUAUUUUGGGUUGUGUAUGAGAUGACAAUAAUUGUCAUGUGUGUGAAGUGCAGAACUUGCCUACAUUGCACUCACACGAGUAUGGAUGCAUAAAUAAAACACGUGAAAUUGUUUGUAAUUCACAUAAUCAUUGCAUUAACAGGUAUUUGCACAAAAAUUGUCAUAUUGCUUUGAUGAUGUUAAAGGCUGUGAUGAGUAAUCCCUAUGCUCAUGUACUUUGUAAAAGUUGUAAUGUGCCUGGUUGACUAGUUGUGAUUGUGCAAAUACGUGGUAGUAUAUAUGUUCACGUUAUUUCACAUUGUAUUUGAGGAAAUGGGAUCCAACGUGGAGCUGGUAUGGCCAGAGGCAGAGGUAUAUUCGUCACGGGUGAACAACUGCUCACAUGCAAAUUCAUCUCUAGCUGCAAUUCGAGCGAAGUUGAGUGCGGAACAAUUAGAACAAUUCAAGACAUCAUGCUUUGGCCAUCUUCUGAAUAUAGAUAAGAUUCAGUUUAGCGGGCAGAUUGUGCAUGGGGUUGUGUUGCGUAGAGUAGCGGGGCAGGGUGUGAAAGACUUGGAUGGACUGAGUUUCUUAUUAGGGUGUGACGUUGCUCAGUUCACUCGUCAGGAUUUCUGUUUGAUCACAGGGCUUCGUUUUGGGGAAGUGCCUGAAGUUUCCAGUGGAGAGAGUGAUGAAAUCAGACUUCAGAAAAGAUAUUUUAUAGACGAAGGAAUUACAUGCAAUGCUUUAGAAGAAGCAUUUGUGAGGUGCACAGAGGAAGAUGACAUCUACAAGCAAGCUCUUGUUUACUUUGCUGAGUUAGUGGUUUUGGGAAGGGACAAACAUUUGAACAUCAAUCUAAAUUACCUGACCCUUGUAGAGGACUUGGAUGCGUUCAACAGGUAUCCGUGGGGUUCGGUGUCCUUUGACAAAACCCAAGACAGUCUAUUUUCUGCACCAACAAAGUAUGUGAAAAGCUUGGAAAAUGAAGAGGGAAGAGGGAAGGGGAAAAGUAAGGUAACGGGAACAAGCCGGAGAAAUGAGAAGGGCAAGAAGGAUAAGCAUGGUGAAGCGCAAAUGAGUGGCUGGAGUUUUAAAGGUUUCACGUAUGCUUUCCAGGUACAUGGUAAUAAUGUUCAUGUCAGUUAUGUUUUGUUUUUCUUUAAAACAUAAAUAAUGACUUUUGUCCUGUGAAUUGUGUAGAUUUGGGUAUAUGAAUUAAUUCCUAGAAUGGCGGACCUGAAUUACUGCAAGGUUGUUGAUCCGACCGUUGUCCCGCGUAUUUUGCGAUGGAGAACUACUACGUCUGUUCCAGAGAUGAGAAAGUUGAACAAUUAUUUUUUCCAGAGCAAAGAGGUUUGGUUUGCAGCCCUUGGAACUAUUGAUAAGAUUGAAUGAAAUUAUGAAGUAGAAUGAUUUGAUAUGACUCUUGUCUGUAUUCUGAAACAGUCAGUUCAGUUGCGGGCGCUAUGUCCGAGUGAAGAGGAAAUGAGACAGCCAUAUUGGAGUUGGCCACAGGAUCGCCCUGCUGUUGUCUCAGCAGAGUCAAUUCCUUCUUCAUGUGGUGAUCUUGAUGAGUUGAACAAGGUGGUAAGUUGGUUGAGGUCCGAGUUGUUUCAAGUAAAGCGGGAAAAAGACGUCCUUCACUUAAAGGUCAUACGGAUGGAAAAACUGUUGGACCAAUGUUUAGGUCCUCAGUUUGAGCAGGAAGUAAGGAGGGACCUAGCUUUACUGAAACAGAGGACGAAUCGUUGUGUCAUCUCACAUCUAUUUAAGGGAUAUGGGGAAAUGGAUGACAUUCAAUGGGAUGAAGGGCCAAGUAACAGAAAUGAGGGAGAGGAAAAGGAAGAUGAAGGGAUUGAAGGGGGUGAAGGGCCAAAUAAUAGAAAUGAGGGAGCACAUAAGGAAAAGGAGGGGAUUGACGGAGAGGAAAAGGAAGAGGAGGGGAUUGAAGGGGGUGAAGUGCAAGGAAAACCAAGUGAGGUAGAGGAAGGGCAAAGGAAAAGAAGUGAAGGAGAGCAAGUGCAAGUAAAAAGUAGCAAAGGAGAGGAAGCCCAGAGACAGAGCAGUGAGGGAGAGGAAGUGAAAAGAAAAAGCAGUAAGGGAGAGAAACUGCAAAGGAAAAAAAGGGAGGGCAAGGAAGUGAAAACACAAACAAGUGAGGAAAAGGAAGUGCAAAGAAACCAAUGUGAGAAAGAAGAUAAUGAAGUUAUGUUGCUUGGGGGUGACAUUGGCGAGAGCACGGAGGGGACACUGCUUGAGUUUACUGUCGGGGACAUUGAUUUGGAUGAACCUACAGCUGUGCUAUCUCAGUUGAACGUGUGGUUGAAUGAUAAAGGUAAAGCUCUGGCACAAGGGGUCCAAUUACGGAAAAGGAAGAGGAUCAUUCCUUUGUGGAAGAUCAUUGAAGGCAGUGAAUUGGUUCCAAAAAUUGGGGCACAGACAACCGGACUGAAGAUGUUAGACCCAAUGAAGGCGAUUUCGCAUGAUGAUCUGGUGAAAUUGCUGAAACUUUGUUGGGAAUGGCGCCAGGACCCAAAGUAAGUCCCUUGCAAUUAUAAGAUACAAGCAUGACUGUAUAUAAUUUUUUAUAUACAGUGUUCUAAAACUGUUUUAUAUUCAUAGUUUGGUGAUGCAAUUUGGCAACGUGGAAGCUGAGAUUGAAUUCUUCGCUUCCCUCGUGAAAGCUGAUGGUUGGCUGAAAGGAGAUGUAAGUGUAAUUGAUUAUGCAUUUGUUUUAAUGUACAUACAUUAUGAGAUUGACAAGAAAAACAUGUUGCAGCACAUUGAUUUGGGGUUGUAUCUCAUCCGGAAGCGACAACAACAGUUGGAGACAGAUUCGGUAGAAGUAGCGGACUGGACAACGACCGAUGUUUUUUUUAUGGUAUGUCAUCGGCCUUGACCAAGUGCCGUUAAUAAUUACACAUUUUCCAUACACACACUAGUGGAGGUGUUUAACCAUUGAUUGUUUUGUAUUUCACAGAAUCACAUUCGUACUUGCUUUGCGGAUAAUAAAAGAAAAAAACAGCAGCUUGGGUGGAAAAUCAGGAAAAGUUUACUAACCGUUGUAAAUGGGAAGGUUCCUCCGUGUGGGUUGGAUUGGCAGACCGUCUAUAAGGUGUAUACCCCAUUUAUGUUGACGAAGUACAAGCAUUGGGUGGCUGUAAUGAUUGAUCUGGUAUUGUGUGAAAUCAAAGUGUACGAUUCAAAGGUUUCACUAAUUCCAGAUGACAUCGUAAAGGAAGAACUCGGCCCGCUAUCAAUUACGCUUCCAAAUCUUCUCAACACCAUCGACUUUUAUGAAAAAGGUGUUUAUGCAAACAAUUGCAGCCAAGAUUAGUGGUGUCCGUGGCCAAUAGAGCGUGUGGAUGUUCCACAACAGUCUAAUGAGUAAGCACAACUUGCAAUUUAAUUUUAUUACUUUCAAUUGUCAAUUACGUUAGAAUGUCAUUAGUUGAAUUGAUCGAGUUCUUGUUUUGCUUCAGAGGCGAUUGUGGCAUGUUUGUGUUAAAGUACAUUGAGCUUUUCAGCGCUGAGCUUCCGUUAGCUACUUGCACCUCGCACAACAUGCCUUUUUUUCGGUUGAAAUUGGCUGCGGAGAUAACAAGGGGAGAUGCUUACUUCCCAUGAUAUUGGUUGAAGAUGACAAAUGGUACAUGAGAAGGUUUUGGGAAUGUCCAUUCUCAAACUAAUGUAAAUACACAAUAGAGAAGUACGGGUCCUUAUCGAAUUCUACCGCUAACUCCUUCAUGACAUUUACAUGUUUGUUAACCAAACUGCAUUGAAUUGGAAUUUUAAGACUGCAUAUGUGAAUUGGGAUUUGAAGAUGGCUUUUUAAGUGUAUUACAUCAUUGCAAAGUGAUAUGUCAUUGUUGAUGCAAGCCACCAUUAAUCGCAAUGUGUUGCAUCAUAAUAGGUGUCUAAACAUGCGAAAGGUUUUCCGCAGCUCAGUAGCAUAAAAGUAGAAACAAAGACAAUAUACACAAAAUGAACAACAAUUCACAAAUGCACCGACAAGCAAUACACACACAACAGACAAACAAUAUACACAAACUUGGCCUGCCAUAUACAGAGAAUAGACAUGCAAUAUACACACAGUAGACAUGCAAUAUACACACAAUAGACAUGCAAUAUACACACAAUACUCCCUUAACACACACAAUAGACAUGCCCUUGCCCACAAUAAUGAUGCAAUAUACUUCAGUCCCCAAGUACACCAACCAUAGGGAAGUCGUAUUGAAUAGGAUAUUAAACUUAACAGUUGUUCUUCCUACUAAAAGAAAGAAUAAGGUUCGUUUCCCCCCUUCAUUCUUACUUGAGUGAUACUUGUGGCCCCAAUAAACAUCCAAUUUUGGGGCAAUGAUAUUCCAUAUACAUGCAGCAAACUAUCAAUAAACCUUCAAUAAACCUUCAAUAAACAUUCAAUAUCGUUUCUAUAACAUGCGAAAUACAUGCAGUUACCAAAUAUUACAAAAUGGGUUUAGGGUCUCAUUGGUGGUGCGUGCAACAUGUCUUGUGCGGGAGAACUUUCACAAUCUUUUAAACCGUGCAGUUAAAUGAUCAUUAAAAGAACAAAUAAAAUGACAAUUGAUACAACUAAUAAAACUAAUACCAAGUCCUUAAUGGACUUCAGCAUGUUCAGCACUCUAGCAUCAUACGUGUCAUCUUGAUGUUCUGCUUCAGCGGAGGUUACAUCAACCCAUUCGAAUCCAUUGCAACUGGUGGCUCCCUAAUUGCAGGCAUCAUAUAUGGAAUAUAAUUCUGUCAGAGUUAGACAUAGGUUUUUUUUCACCCACAUACAUAUUCUUUAAAUUAAAACUUACAUAGGAGGUUAGACACUUCCAGAAUGGCUUCCCUCGAUUUUUGUCAGAUUUUGAAACCCGAAGCACCAUUGUAGCUCCACAAUACUGACACCUCUUUGUUUGAGCGGGAGAUGAAGAUGAAGACAUGUUUAAUCUUCUCAGUUGUACCUCUUCUCACUCAGAUCUUCUCACUGAAACCUCUUCGGACUCAUACCUUCUCACUCAUAGUUGUCAUUCAUACCACUUCACUCAUAACCCUAAACUUGUCACUCAGCUCUCUCUCAUCUCUGCCCAAAUCGAGUUAUAUUUCUUUUUUUUGGGAUCAUUUGGUGGGUUGGUCACGAUGUCGACACCUGUACCGUCAGCAUUGUGACAUCUUUUAGCCCGAAAAGCAAUAUAAACUACUUCACUACCAAAUAUAUUUUCUGAAUAAUGACGGGACACUGCUUCAAUUUUAUUAAUUUAUUUAUAUUUCAUUAAGGCAACUAGUUGGAUAAGAAUCCGUCAUUAUUGGUUCCAUUUUAAUAACAUUACUAGGGGUAAUUGGGUGUGGGAAAAUGAAAAAGUAUAUGAUGGGACCUUCUGUCACUAGUCAGUAAUCCAUCACAUUUGUAUCAAUGAAUUUGAUAGUGGGAUAAACCCAAAAAUGGCUAUGCAAAUAGCCAUUUAAUUAACUUUUUGACUGUCUGACUCUGUAUGCACCGUUAUGACGUUUUCCCUUCUUUUGUCUUAAGUUUUAAUUCACUGGGGUUCAGUUUCUUUCAAAAGGGUCAACUUGGAAAAACCCCAACUGGAAACACCUUUUCAAAACACUAUAAACAGAGGCUAAAACAAAACGUGUACCCCAAAUAUUAUCAUUUAUCCCCUCUGCCACUCCUCAAAUCGUUCCAUUCCAAAAACUUUUCAAUGAAUUCGAAACACUUCACUACAGUCGGAGGAAAGAGAAGGAAGCAUGUCCAUUUCGAUAUGCCCGAAGCCUUCAUCCCGGAGUCCGCUUGGUUUCAAGUCAUGUUAUACGUGGCAACCGAAUCAUCGGAAGAUCUCUUCCGUAUGGCAUCUGUGUGACGAUUGUUCCGAACUUUGGCAAACAGUUCACAAGUGUGGAACACCAUUUCAAUGGCAAAGUACCCAGACCAUCCUAUAUGGUACCGUGCCAGACCUGCGGUCCAGCAUUUCUUGCAACAAUGCAGGGCUUGCGAUAACCCUGAGUCCAUAUUUAGAGAAGCAUUCGAAGGUUUUUUCAGGCACGGUAAGGUGGAAGCGUUGUAUGGGAUGCGCAUUGCAGCCACGGCAGGCCAUAUGGAAGCGGCAUAUGUAGUUGGACUACUUGGUAUGUCCGGAAUUGGUCAGUCAAAAGAGGAUGCAUUACAAUUCUUGUGUUCUUUGAAUCAACGUAACAACAUUGAUAUGAAAGGAACCAGGGAUGCUUUGACAGGAAGAUUUCACGGAGCAUUUGUUGCAAGACAUAUCGUAGAUAUGUUUGACUAUGGGAAGAUUAAGUUCAAUCGGUGCAGCGCUUGUAACAACAAUGAAUGGUAUUUUGUUAUUCCAGGCUGGCCUAGUGAAGACAAGAUAAAUCCUGCGUUGUGGACUUGUUGCAAUCGAUGCAAAUGGCACCGUGAGAGUAUUUUUUGGUGCAAACUGAUGCGUGAGUAUGUUGUGCGAGGGAAUCACGUAUUUUUGCAUUAGUUUUAGUACGAAUUUACGGUUUUGAUGCAUUGUGGACUUGCUUCUCUUCACUUCUAGGUUGGCUGGCUACGUUAUACCUAUCUCAGUUUAAAUGUUGUUCAAAUGUUGGUAUUUUGUCAUAAACCGUUUUAUAUAUAAAUGUAUAAUAUUUAUUAUAUAGCGGAAUUAUUACUUACAUCAUAGACGGCUAGGAAUGACAUUUUACUGACACAGAUAUUUUGCUCACCGACCCCAAUCUUCAUAUUUGAUAAACGAAAAGUUAUGCAUGGAGUAAAUAGGUGUCUUUUCACCAGUGCUUGGGAAUGACAUUUUCCCACUUAGCAUAUCCGAAAGGAUUUGGUUACACGUUUCUUAACCUAGGGGGUUGAACAGUGAAUGACGUAGACUAUUUUUUGUGUGUGGAAGGAGUACAAUGGAUGACUUGUAUAUUUCCAUAUUAUGUUUCAAAACAUCCCUUCAACCUAAAAAAUAAAAAAAUUAACAAAUUGAAGAACAGAGAAACCGAUGAGCACUACAAAUGGCCUAUUCGCACGGAAAAUAAAAUUGUUUUCAACAAGUUGGACUAAAUAUAAUUAACAAAUGGACAGCCUAAAAAGUAAUAUCAUAAUAAUUAUAAUAAUUGUGGAUAAAUAAUAAUAAAAUACUAAUGUAACAUAACCAUUAAACAGGGAAUGCAGUAGGAAGAUGAAAUCGCAAUAAGUUCGUAGAAAUUUUGGGAUCGUUUUUCUAAUUUUUGUGUAUUUAGUUAUGAAUUUUCCAAGAAAAAAGGUAAUAAAAUAAUAAUUUAGGGUAAAAUGGGAGGAUGUGGCCAUGUUCGGUAACGUACACUUGUGCAAGUAGUCAAAAGUGACGGGCUGAGAUCGCGCCAGGUGUCAUAUUCUUGUUAAUUUUGGAUUCUUUUGUUAAAAAAUCUUUGAAACUAGGUAAUAAAUAGUAGGAAAAUCGUAAAAAUGGCCCAAAAAUUACUCCGGCCUCCUUUUGACGUCCUAAAACUAGGAGAACCUAUAAAUCAUUCGUCUCGCAAUGAAAUAAUCCAAAUUGUGUUACAUAACUCACUUUCCUCUUAACCCUAAGUAUUGAUGUUUGUUAACUUCAACUUGAAUAACCUACUUCAACAAGCAUCUCCCGUUAAUAUUGGGAAUUAAUUUUACAAAUGCGUAACAAUGAAUCGGAGAAUUCAGCAACGGAGAUGGAGUGUCAAUGAGUUCGUAGCAAUUUUCGGAUAAUUUUUUUAUUUUGUGUGUAAUUAGUUCUGAUUUUUGUAAGGAAAAGUAAUAAAAUAAUAAUUUAGGGUAAAAUGGGAGGGUGUGGCCAUGUUGACUGACGUACACUUGUGCAAGUAGUCAUCAGUGACGGGCUGAGAUCGCGCCAGGUGUCCUUUUGCUAUUAUUUUGGCUUUUUUAGUGCAACAAUCUGUGGACAUAGGUAAUAAAUUCUACGAAAAUCCAAAAAAUGCCCGGAAAAUGAGAAAAUGAAAAUUAUUUGUACAUAACUCACUUUCCUCUUAACCCAAAUUCACGUUAACACGUAUAUUUCGGAUAAUAUUCGAAAUAUAAUUUCUAAUAAUACAAUAUUUAGUUUCACUAUAUACAAUAAUAUGUUUUUUUUAUAAUAAUGUACAUAAAUAAUAAUUGCACAUGCUUUGAAGCCAUCAUUGCAACUACGCCUAGAGCUUUGAAGACGUCAGUUCGUAUUCAAUAAGUUGUCCACAUGCAACUGCACCUAGAGUUUUCAACACGUCAGAGGUAUUCAAUAAGUUGUCCACAUGCAACUGCACCUAGAGUUAUUAACACGUCACAGGUAUUCAAUAAGUUGUCCAUAUGACGCCGCAUUGGGAAUCAGUAAUAUAUUUUCAAUCAUGUCAAAUCACAUAAAUAAUGCCAUACUUUUUCUCAAUAACCUCACACAAGUGAAGCAAUUUUAAAACCCUUAGUGAAUAUUUAUCCUAGUCUAUAUGAGUGAUUAUAUAAUCAGUUGCAUAAUAUUUUUUUCACAGUAUAUGUUAACUUUGAGAGGGAUUCCACAAACAUAAAAUAUAAAGAAAGCAAGAAAUAGUAGGAAAUGAACCAGUACAAAAAACAAUAUAUAAAGUGUACAUAAUAAUUCCAUAACCUUGUCACAAACGCACUCACAAAAGCUUUUCCAUAAACCUUGUCCUAACAUAUAAUAAAUAAAGGCAACAUUGCAUAUGAUGCAACCAUGUCCAAAUCUGAUAAGUGAUCAAAAACAAAUGGACAUGGCAGCAACAUAUGAUUGAAGUAGAUGGGCUCUUUGCAUCUUCUGUUUUCGUAAUUAAAGACAUCAAAAUAUUAAGGUUUAAAUCUUCCAUAGUAGUUAGCAUCAAAAUAGCUUUGAAGCAGAGUGUAACGAAAAUUCCAAUUCCACUUAUUUGCCUCUGCUCAAACACGAGAACCAAAAUGGUUACUUCCCUUGCUGAGUAUAUUUGGUGACGUCGGAAACGGUAAUAGAUGACCAAUCAAACCCGGGUACGACGAGUUUUGCAUAGGAUCGGAAGUAGUCGAAUCCAGCUUGCAUCACACGCUUCUUUGACUCCACUACAUUAGAUGAGUUCUUGUAUUUUUGAACAGCUACACUCUGAAGUCGUUUGUGUCUACGCUUCAUGCGCUGCAACUUCGCCCUAUCCAGAUUGGCCUGCCUUUUGUCAUCUUCAAUUUGGCCUUCCACAAAUUCCAAACGUGCCCUUGCCCUUUGGAUUUCAUCACCAAGUUGAAGAUGCCUCUCCUUCCAAAAAGCAACAACUCUUUCAGACUCAAAACUUCCAACAAAAUGGUCAUUCUGUCUAGCAAUGUGACAUUGCUUGUCUGGUGACUCACUUGCGUGUCGAAGCCGGUCUUUGUUUGGAGGGGUGUUUAUUAUACUCACAUCAAACUUGGUUGUGCUUAUGCUCAUUCUUUGGGGGGAAUGAGUUUGUUUGCUUGAGAGAGUAUCGGUAGAUGGAGACAGAUUCGGUGGAGGAGUGAGUUUUGUGUGGAAGGAGAUUUUAUAUGAAAGGGGUGAUAGUAAUACCAAGAAAAGGGUUCCCGCCAAAAAAUAUUUGGUUGACAAAGUAGAAAUUAUUUUUUUAGUCUGAUACAAUCUAAGUUUAAUCCUAACUAGUUUGGUUGAGUUAACUAAGUAGAUGUCACUUCCAUUGACUUUCUUUCAACAACUAUCAGUGGUGUAAGGAGAGUGUGAGGUUGACAUGCUUGAAAAGCAAAAGCUGACACCUAUUUUUAAAAAAUUCCCGCCAAAAAGUACAUAUGUUGACUACACACAAGCUUUGGUAUGUUGGUCUAUAAACCUAUGUUCCCUUUCUCAAACGAAAUUGCAUAUGCAAUCCUCAUCCUCCCAAAACAAAGAGGAUUAUUCAAGCAUGUCAACCUCUUCAGGCGCCAACAACACAAUCGAACAUGACAAAUUGGAGUCACAGGUUCUAUUUCCACAUUGUACUCGCCGACCCCUUCCUUUUUCAACAUCAUUUGGGAGUGAGGGGGACUCCGAUGAUCCAUUAGAGGCAAUACAUGCAGUCAGUGGCAAGCUGGAUUAUAAUUCCAGACUGAUCAAUUCAUGGCACGAGAAAUGUGUUGAAGACGAGGCAAUUUUGGCUGAUCUUAACAUUAGGGUGAGCAAAGCGUUAUCCCAAAAGAACAAGUACUUGAAGCUGAGUCAUAGCAGGAAGCUGAAAGCUGAGGAGUUGGAUACAGUAAUGAAUGAUGAAAUGAAAGGUUGUUUGAUGAACCAUAUGCGAUGCGAACAGCACCAUACUGAACUGGAGUUGGCAUUCAACGAAGGAUUCGACAAAUUCCGAGCAUUUGCGGCAACUACUCAUACAAGUUAUGAUUGGAACUAUGUGUCCCCUGAUGCUGUGAGAGAGAUACUAGACGAUGGGGGUGACAUGAAUGAGCAUAAGCACGUCAAAGCUGCUCGGAAGAAGCCGACCGAUACGACUAAGUGAUUGCGGCUACCGCUGUUCAGUUAGUUGAGGGUGACCGUGGUAUUGCACAUAUACUCCCUUAAUGUCAUUAUCUAACUUAAAAUAACACAAAUAUCAGUUUCAUUUGCUUGAUAUAUAAUUAUUGGGACUAUGUAUUGCAAGUCAUCAUGUGUUAUAAUGUCUAACAUUAUAUUUUGCAAAUAUGGAAAUAUUAUUCAAGAAGCAGUCAAUAUCACAGAAAGCCGGGAAUCAGUAAAUGCUCCUUAUCAUGUCCAUUUACAUUAAAGAGCUGGAGUACUAAUGUGUUCAAAAAAAACUGACACGUGAGUCAUAAGUAACAUAACAUGUGCUAUACAUUGUUUACUGAAUGGUUUAUGGUUUAUUUGUAUAUAAUAAAAUUUCAAAUAUUGCUGAAGAUUUAUUUCGUGUAUAUCACUAGGGAUAUGAGUGGCCAUAAGCAUGUGAGACCUGCUAAGAAGAAGCUGACGAGUACGACCCAGUGAUUGGCUACCGUUGUUCAGUUGGUUGGGGAGAUCGUGGUAUUGCUAUGAGGAAGCACACAAUAUGUUUUGCAAUCAAAUGUUCUUUUGUGUGUGGAAUUAUGAGUAUUUAUGUAAGUUAGUGUACCCUUUAAUAUUUUUCACCUAAGUAUCGAAAUGCAGUUUUUGAAUGUUAUGUUUUUUUUUACCCGCUGCUUUCUAUUUGCUCUGUUCCAACAAAGUGCUUCAAGUAUCCUUCACUUACAAAAGUGUACAAAAUCGUGCCCCUAAUAACCAGUCGGAAAAAGUGGCUACUGCUGGAAAUGAUUACUGGUAAUGGAAACAACAGCUGGCUGCUGUAAUUGCUGCAUUACCGUGAGGAUUUGAAAAAUGAAUCUCUGUUAAAACAAAUUUCACCCUAAACUGCCCAUUUUACAUGGUAAAAGUCAUUGCUUCUUCAAAUCUUUUGCAGCUACACGAUGCGUGGUCAGAAUCUUUGACAUAUACGACUUCUGCCACUCUUGUUUCCCAAUUUUUUCUUUCGCUCACGUUGAACACAACUUUACAAGCAUCCUCUGUUUUGAGCUCUAGGAAACAUGCUGUACUUUGUAUUAGUUCUUGCUCAAACUUUUGAAACAUUGUCCUUGUGUACAAGGUAGCCAUUUGUUUGUUCAUUGGCAUCGGUAGAAGACAUUGAGCCACUUCAAAUGCAUCUGCGUGAUCAGCAACUAACUCUUUUUCACGUUGAUGAGAAAGUGCCCUCUCAAAUCGUAUUAUGAAAUCCAUCAACGAAUUUCUCCUUGAUAUGUAUUGCUUGAAAAAACCAUGAGAACCUUCCGCUCUUUGGCUGCUUGACAUUCCAGCGGCAAAAAAUUGUCGUGCGUAGGCUGGAACCCAAGAUUCCCUUAAAUCAAACAUUGAACUUAGCCAUGGAUGGUCAGUCAAACCAGCCUUUGUAACCACAAUAUUCCAUUUUGCAUCAAACUCAUCCUUAUUGUCAGUAUCCCAUAUGGCUUUCUGAAAUUCAGGCCAAUACUCCUUAUAAGCGUCACGUGGUAACUUAACAGAGAACUUUGAUGUGAUGUGCUAUAUGCAAAGUCGAUGAAAUGUACUCGGGAAGGCUAUUGAAAUCGCUAUGGCCAUUGCCGCAUCUUGAUCUGUAAUGAUCGUUUUAGGUUCCCCACCUGGCAUGGCUUUCUUAAACUCCUCAAACAUCCAAACAAACGACUCAGUCGUUUCCUUGCUCAAAAAUGUGCAUGCUAACACAAUUGUCUGACCAUGGUUAUUAACUCCCAACAUUGGUGCAAAUGUCAAGUCGUAUCGAUUCGUGUUGAAUGUGGUAUCAAAUACAACAACAUCUCCAUAAAACCCAUACGCCCGUCUAGAAGUUGCAUCUGCCCAAAAACAUCGACUAAACCUAUCAUGCCCAUCUCCCUCAAUCUUGAAAUAAAAAGCCUCAUUUUUUUUCUGUUCAGCCAUAAAAUACUCGGUCACUAGUUCAACAUCGUGGUUCCUCAGCUUCCCAAUCACACUACAUUCAAGAUUGUAGAUAUCUUUUUUGAUAAAACCGAUUUUAUCCAUUCCUCCGGAUUGCACCUCGAAAAUACUUACCUUCUGAUGAAUGGGAAUAUUAACUGAACCCAACUGUUUUGUGAGUACUUUUGUAGAAUCUGAAAUAUGACGGUGUGAUCUCAAUAAAUGCAUUCUUUCUAAGGGUGUCAUCUUAUGAUUGUGUCCCUCUGCAAAAAGAGAAAUGUUAUACUUGUUGCUCCCAUUUGUCUUCACAACCACAAUCUUUGCUUUGCAAUUGCAUCUACUUAUUCCCCGUUGUCUUUUUCUCUCCCGAGUUUCAUCCUUCCUGUAUGCACCUUGUUUGCAACAUACAAAUUCUUUCCUCAAAAUCUCUUUCUUAUUUUUCCCCCAAAAGCUAGAAUGAAGUCGAAUACCAAAGCCAGCCAAGAAUGCAUAUCUAUUAUAGAAAUUGUAAACGAGGUCAAGCGAGUCAAACUUCAUCCCAACUGCUGGUGUUUCCUCAUUUCUUACUUCAGGAAUAUAAACCCUCCCAUUAGCUGUUGCACAUUCAUCACUCUCUGAGCCCCCAGACAUUUUAUCUACGUAUAUUAUUGAUCCACUUCUAUAUUACUGCAUAGCAAUUAUUCAUUCAUUAAUCAGUCAUUACUGCAUCACAACAUAUCAAUGCAUUCCACUUACACAAAACAUUGCCCAAAUUGACACAAAAUACGCAUAGCCUAACUUCCGAUUACACAAAACACAAGCAAAAUUUCAUAAAAGUUACGUCAUCUCUUGUGAAAUAAUCUGGUCAAAAUAACAUUAGAACCAACAUGUUCAACUAAGAACACAAAUGUAAUUCAAACCACCAAUUACAGAACUUCACCCAAUAUCCUCUCCAACUGCUUACUCCUAAUGUCAUUAAGCCUAAGUUUAGGUUCUUUUACCUACAUUUCAUAAUUUUUCACCCCGACCAACAACAAUGAACUAAGUAUAUUGAAUAUUCACAAGGAAAUGACACAUUAUUGAUGCCACAAAUGACGAAUUUCCCACCCUCACAAAAAAUAAACCUAACCCAAUAAAAUCAAUCCAGCAAGUGAACUUACCUCUCAAAAUCAAUCGAGAGCUCUGAAGUCAGUCAGCUUGAAAGAAUGUGGUGGACAUUAGAGAAGACUCUUUGGUAUUUGAGACUCCAUCUCUAUCAAAAUCGAGGAACAACUGCUGCUGCGGCUUCUAGCUACAAAAACAGAUAUGCUACUUUGCUUUCAUCUAGAAUCUUGUCAGCUGAAUGAAAAAGAGAAGGGGUUUUCACUUGAGCCAUAGAAUCAAAACAGGGCAACAGCUAGGUAAGAGCCAUUCUUCGUAAUACCCAGGAUACCAUAGAUCGCAGGCCUCCCAACGAGCUAAUGACAGUGGAGUGACUAUAAGGUUUGGGAGAUUUGGAUCCUUCUAAUUGUGGGUUUGCUUUACAUUCAAAAAGAAAGGAUUGUGUUCUUCAGUUUUUCACAGAGAGGGAAAGAGGGGAACAACUGAAGUUGGGUUUCUAACGGGUUAGAUUUCAACCCGAUUCUACAUGCACCCUCUUUUAAAAACUCACCGUUGGAUGAAAUCCAACGGCUCUUACAUACCCCUCAAAAACACCCCUUAUAACUUCCCACUCACUAUAGAAGCUCCCCCAACUAAAUCCCAAAAGGGAAACAGAUUUGAACAACAUACAAAUUUGAAGGACACACAAAUAUGAAUCUCAGCACCGGUGAGAAAUUAAUUUUAGUUGAGGUUGGUAGGUAGGCAUUGGAAGUUUUUAUUGUUUUUGCUCCAAGUCCCUCCUCCACUCACUAAUACAGAUUACUCGCAAAUGAACUAAAGUCUGCAGGGAUAUAUGGACUCCCCUGUCCAUACGAAUGUUGGAAGAAAUGUGUGUUAAAUUUUAGAGAGACGGGUCUGUGACCCACCACUAGCAACGUUGAUAUUGUCUCCAACUUAACUACAUGUUUAGUAGAUGUGGGGUUUUAUACAAAAAGUAUUGAUGUUAUUGGGAAUGGAACCACUUAUUAUAAGUUAAAAUUUAUUUAGUCAAGUUUCCUAUGUGGGACUUUCUAUUCUUCAACAAGCCCCUUCAUGUGGGACCACCACAUAGUGGGCCACACGUAGAGCCAAGUCCACAUCGGAGUCAAUCAUUCAAGCCCAAUACCUAAACACCACGUAUUGUGUGAGGGGUAGGGGUAAACAUUCAAGCCCAACAUAUGAACACUGUAACAUCCCAACUCCAAAUUUAAUCCCUUAUUUAAAUUAUUUAAGUGAAAUUACAAAUUUACCCUUGGGGUAGGGAUAUUUUGGUCAUUUUCUUACCCGAAAAGAGUUUGGGGCAGUGACUAGUAUUUUUUGGUAGAUCGUACUGAGAUGAGUCUGUAGACAUGUAGUGGGCUCGAUUCGGAGUUGAAACGAAGAAGUUACGAGCAAAACAUCACCAAUGGCAAAACCGUAAAUAUUUCAAAAUGAAUUUUUAAUAAAAAAAACCUGAAAAACCCUCUCUCUCUCUCUCUCUCUCUCUCUCUCUCUCUCUCUCUCCUGCGCACAGCCCCUUUCCCCCCUUCGUUUUUUCUUUCCGUGGCUUCCAAGAGCCACCAUCGCCACCACGAAUCACCACCGGCCAUGAGGCCGGACUCGUUCGAACUGCCGCCGCAUCCUCUUCCUGUUCCGGUCGCUCCCAGUCGCUGCCAUCCGCUGUGCUGGCCGGAAAUCGAAGAAAACCAGCCGAUUUUUGUCAAACUUUCGGCCGCUCGUUCUCCCACUUCCGGCCACCAUUUUGGCCAUCCAGGUAUAGAUUUUGAACCUCUCGAGCUGUUCUUGCUGCCUGUUGUGUUAGAUUUGGGAGAUUUCCGCGUUUUGAAGGUCGAUUAAACGAUGGAAGUUUGGCUGGUUUUUGGCCUCCGAUUCCGGCCACUUUCGGUCACUUUUUGGGGUAGGUCCAAGAACAAAAGUGGUUCCAAAUAGGGUGUUAUACCUAGGGUAGGAGUCUUGAGCCGUGGUUUUGAGAUUUCUCGGUGAUGCGUAAUCGCUUUGGACACCCAUACGCUACCGGCGCGUGUGGUGGCGCGUGGGCACUGUAGAAAUGGGGUAUUGUGUCCCGAUGCGAUCCCCUUGUUGUCACGAGUGUGUAGUGUGCUCGGAUUCCAAUUUGGUUGACAUUCGAACCCCGAACGAAUUUCUCCUAUUGCACGUUAUCCGCGUUUGAUAGGUUUGAACCGUUGGAUAGUCUUGAAUUUAAUAUAUUUAAUCUAAGCAUUUCUAGGAUCGUGUAGGAAUUCACGGAUCAUGAAUCGGAACCCCGGAUGUUCCGAUUUAAUAAUUUAAAGUUUAUGUUUAUAUUAACUGUCAGAUCGUGCAAUCGUGAGCGAUCCGACCUUCCGAUCCGGACCAAACGUGCAGGACGUAUAUCCUAAACCUUGUGGAACCUAUAGGAACUUUCGAAUCAGAAUUUAGAGGUCGUGGGCCUAGUGGCCCCGUUUGACCAAGUGUGGAUAGUUUGACCCUUGGUUGACCUUGAGUCUUCCAAGGUAGUUUUCCUUCCUAGAAGGAUUAUAAUGACCCUAAUGACAGGUCUUGAGCGUUGUUGAGCCAUGUUGACUAGGUUAAGAUUUUUAGAGUGUUUAUUAUUGUCGUAGGAAACUCUUGGACAUUAUUUUAAUAAUUGGAAUUAUAAAAGUGAGUUUUGGGUUCGGCUAUGACUUUAGUGAAUGGACUUUAUUUUUAAAUGAAUAGCAUGGCUUUGUGAUGGAAUUUUUAGGCAUGUGAAUUUAAUGGUUUAUUGAAAUUCAUUUUUAUAAUUAAUAGUUAAUUUAGCAGUUUUGGUAAAGUAUUAGUGAUGUGUGGGGUACUUGGGAUUUUGUUGAGGUUUAUACAAUAUUAGAGAUUAACUUAUAUAUUUAAAUAUAGGUAUGAAUGUAUGAAAAGAGUUUAGAAUGUCAGUUUGAAGUACUAUACGCACUACCCUAGGUACCUCAUCGGAUUUUGAUUACACUAUAAGUACCACCCUGUGAUUGUCAGGUCACCCAUGGCGUAGGAUUUUCCGGCGGAAUGACAGACCCCAUACGUGACGUUGGAAUUUCCGGCGUAUGGGGAGAUGAUAUUAUGAUUGUUAAGUCACACGUGGCAUAGGUUAUCCGGAGUGCUGACAGACCCCAUAUGUGGCGUUGGAAUUUCCGGCAUAUGAGGAGAUUAUGUGAUUGUUAAGUCCCACGUGGCGUAGGUUAUCCGGCGGGAUGAUAGACCCCAUACGUGGGGUUGGAAUUUUCGGUGUAUGGGGAGAUGAUAUAAUGGUUAGGUCACAUGUGGCGUAGGAUUUUCCGGCUUGAUGACAGACCCCAUACGUGGCAUUGGAAUUUCUGGCAUAUGGGAGAUUAUGUGGUUAUUAGAGAGAUGAAUUAAGAUUAUUAUACUGAGUUGGGAACGAAUGAUGUUUGAAAAAGAUUUUGUUUGGGAUUUCUGCAAUUGAUUGCAUGUUGAUGGACUUGGAAAUUUUGUAUGAAAGAACUACGUGUGGCUUGAUCCCUUAGUAAGGGUACAUAUGCAGCUUAGGGUAGUGCCUAGGUGCAGCCGUGUGCUAAACUUUACUCAUGUUGUGUGAUGGAGAUUCGUUCGGACCUUGUUGUUAGUCCUGAAUUUUAGGUGAAAAUGAGAUGCAGUCUUGUUAGGAGGUUUAAAUUUUCUACGUUUAAUAUUUGGGAAUUUAGAUGAUGGAAAUCGCAUUUGGCGUUCAUAAAUGUGUUUGAGUUUAUAUUUGCAUUGUUUAGAGUUAGUUGGUGGUUUCGUUUCGAAUUAUUUGAAGGCCGAAGGCUGAUUAUGUGAUUUAUAUGAAAUUAUCUUGUGCAUACUGCCAGUUGUGAAUAUCAAAUGUGUUUUAUGCACGUUGAAAUUUUUAGGAUUGUUCAACUUACAGGGGAGACUGCCGAAAUUUCGGCAUAAAAUCUCGUGCCCUUAUUCCUUAUUGGGAAAAAUGAUUUAGUUUUAGAAGUGGGUUCGACAUCGGGGUGAUGUCGGGAAUUUUCACAGGAUUCAUCUCGGGUUUCGGGAAAUUCGGGUCGGGUCCUGUCAAACACCACGUAUUAGGUAAGGGUAAAGGCUCAAUUCAGGCCCAGUCAAUCAACCCAUUAUGAUAUCAUGUUAAAUUUCAGAUAGACGGGCCUGUGGCCCACCACUAGUAACAUUGAUAUUGUCCCCAACUUAACUACAUGUUUAGUAGGUGUGGAGUUCUAUACAAAAGAUCUCGAUGUUUUUAGGAGUGAAACCACUUAUUAUAAGUUGUAAUUUAUUUAGUCAAGUUUCCAGUCAACCUGACUUUGAUACCAUGUUAAGAUUUUAAAGGGACGAACUCUUGGCCCACCAUUAGCAAUAUCGACAUUGUCCCCAACUUAACCACCUGUUUAACAAGUGUGGGGUUUUAUCCUAAAGAACUCGAUCUUAUUAAGAGUGGAGCCAUUUAUUAUAUGAAACUUUCUAUUUUGUUAACUCUGUGUAUUCUUCAUCAAUGUGAACACCCCUAAACCAAUCAUACCUGAUACGGAUUGAAACACAAGUUUGUUUUUUGCCUUUGGUAGAUGAGUAGCUAGAAAAGCUCAAUGCACUUGCUCUUCUUCUGCUACAUUUCAAUAUAAGAACAAGGUUUGGAAGCCAGGUCAACUCCUCAUAGUUUCCUUGCCUUUGCUUUGACAUGUCUAUGCACUUCUUGGGGAAGUUUGAAUAAUCAAUUGCAGGCCCCACGACAACUAAGGAACCAACAUUUUGUAGAAGGUUUUGUCUACACCUUUUGACUAUAAGUAAAAUCUUUUGUAUCUGCUCUUAUGUUUCGGUGAAGUUUCUAUGUGUCCUUUGUUGAACGAAAAAAUGAGGUUGUUUCUUACUAGAUUCAAAUACUUAAAAGAAAAAAAGAAAUUAUUGUUUCUUAAUUGAUUUUAUGGUGAACAAUAUCAAACUCUCCUCUUAUACGUCUUCUUCGUUGGACUUGGGGUUGUUUUCCUUAUAUGUCCCUUAUAUAUAUAGGGCCUUUGGUUGAGCCCACAAAUACCUUCAGUUAGUUUUUGGGUUUAGGGGCCUACAGAACCUGCACUAAACAAUAAAAGAAAAUACCUAAUUAGUUUAGUACGAAUUCUAUAAUGAAGGCUUUAUUAGGUAAGAUUUUAUUUCUUAAUCGUUAGAUCAAAUUUGACAGGACCCGUUCCUGAAUUUCUCGGAAAUCAGAGCGAACCCCGUCCUUGUUUCGACAUCACCCCGAUGCAGGGUCCACUUACUAAAAACCGAGACUUUCUACCAAAAUUUUGAUAGAAUCUCCCUUGUAAAUUGAGCAAACCCAACAAAAAUUUCAGCCUGCAACAUACAUAAAAAUAAUCCCAACCAGCAGCAUGCUUACAACAUACAACAAAACGUACUAAAUGGCCUCCGGCCUCACAAGUAAAAUUUAACAUGGGUAAUCUACUGAUGUAAACGAUUCGGCCUUCGAACACUGCUUGCAACCUUCCUGAAGCGACUACUGGCUAAGGGGCGCAAAACAGAAAACAUGUGAGUGGACAAAAACAAGAUUCAAUUAAAACAACAUAGUAACCCCACCGUGUAAAAAUAAUGCUCAAGACAUGUAGGUUUACAAUUCAUAAUUAAAUAUUCAAAAACAAAUUUCAUUUAAAAUUCUUUAAAACCACAAAUCACUCCAUCCAUAAAACCUCAUGCCCACAAUUUUACUGCUCCUACCAACCCACUGUAUAGACUCUAAUUUCUUCACAAUCACAACUAUAUAUAAAUAUAUAAAUUGUAUCAUACAACAUACUCCUCACACUACUUAGGUACAGGGGAAACAAUCCAACCGGAGGAUCGUUUAACUAGCCCGCAGGAUUUUCAGGUGCUAUCCUGAGUCUAGGAAUGAGUGGUCCAACCAGGGGACGAAACUCUAUAGCUCACACACCGGAACAUCCAACGCCACGUGUAGCUCCAAUACUAAGUCCUACAGGCACAGACUGGAUCACCACACACCGGAACAUCCAAUGCCAUAUGUGAUAAUCCCAAGCAAUAUACAGAGUCUUCCCAUACGUCGGAACAUCCAACGCCGCGUAUGGAAAGUGUUCACACGCCGGAACAUCCAACGCCACGUGUGGGAAGCCUAUUAACUGGGGAAAGUACUUACAUAGUGUAAUCAUACAAUUUCUCUCAACAACUCCUCAUACUCAAGUUCUUCCACAAACUCACCUCAACAAUCCCAAGUACCCCACCUAUAGACAAUAUAUAUAUAACUUCCCCAAAAUCUAUACAAAACAUACUCUCGAUAUCCAAAUAUGCCAAACUCACAAUAUAUUGCCAAAGUGCAAUACAAACAUCAAAAUCAACACAUGAAUAUAAUAUAUAUUCAAUAUACCAUUUAAAACAUUAUGCGUAAAUCUUUCAUCAAUAAAACCAUGCGUAUGAUUGAAAACAAAGUCCACUCACAAGUAUUCCUACGCUGCUUGACCACGAGAGAGUCCUGCCUGCUGAGUACGUGCAGUAGGAGCACCUAUUUUGAGAUACAAACCUUUAAUUAAUAUAAAAUUACUUCAAAACGGAAAACACAAAUUAAAUACUUAAAUCCCCAAGUUCCCAGUACAUGUACGUUGAACGAGGUAUCCUAAGGUCUAGUUACAAGUUUGGGAAUCGCUCACGAUUGGACGGUUAUCGCUAACCCACAAAUUUUGAAUUAUUGAAUCGGAACAUUCGGGGCUCCGAUUCACGAUCCGUGAAGUCCUACGUGAUCCUAGGAAUACCUAAAACAACAUAUUUUAAUUGGAAAACGCACAAUAUGCGAAAAUCCGUUCGAUAGUCAAACGAUGUCCGAAUUGAGAUUCGCAAAAUGCUACGCACUCGUGACAACCUGAGGAUCUCAUCAGGACAAAGUGCAACUUCACCACCCUCACCCACGCGCCGGCAGCGCGUGGGUGUGUAGAGUAAAUUCCGGCGAUGGAAAAACUCCACACCUACUUGAGGUCAGGAUCUCAUCACUCAACUACAGGGAGGUUCAAUUAGGACGGCAACUGGCCGGAAUUUCACUUUGAAAUCCAGCCAAAACUUAGGUUUUCUAAUCGGUUCCUAGACAACAAAUCGAUCUAAACCUAUGCAACAGUCAGCUAGACUAAGGAAAAAGAGGAAGAAACCUCACAUUUUUCACUGGAAUCGGAAGGGAGAGGCGACGGGGCGACGUCGGGAAGACUCGGGUUUGAACCAGUCGAUGCCGUUGACGAUUCUCGCAUUUUUCGGGGGGACUUUGGGUGGUUCGGGUUAGUGGCUUCACGACGAGUCGAACGGGACCGGUCUCGGGGGCUGGGGUGGUCGGGUGUGGUGGCGGUGUGGUGGUUUUCGUCUCGGUGAACAGUAACAGGGGAGGGUUUCGCACGCGCAGAGAGGGACUCGGGAGAGAGAGAGAGAGAGAGAGAGAGAGAGAGAGAGAGAGGAGAGAAAAGAAAAAUUAGAUUUUUACUCUCCUCUUUUCAAAAUAUUUACAAGUUUGCCACUAAUGAUGUUUUGAUCGCCAUUUUCUUGUUACAACUCCGAUUCAAGCCUACCGCAUGUCUAGGAAUUCAUCUCAGUACCACCUACCCAAAAUUACCAGUCAUGGUCCCAAACUCUUCCCGUAACAGAAAAUGACUAAAAUACCCCUACCCCAAGGGUAAAUUCAUAAUUUCACUUAAAUAAAUUAAAAAUAGGAAUCAAAUUUGGAGUCGGGGUGUUACAAAAUUGGUUAGUACGAUCCAACGGUUAAUAGAUAAAACUUUACAUAAAAGUCAUAUAUAAGGCCCUCACUAUAGAAUGACUCGUUAGUUUAGUCUCUUGUUACAUAUCAACUGUUAGAGAUAUUUUUUUAAUAAGGAUCUACCAUACCACAUAGUUGGAUAAGACAUUAUACACAACUUUUGUAAGAGCAUCUCCAGCGAGCCAGGCCAGCCCAAGCAGCAAGGGGCCUUAAGCCCGGUAAGCAGCUCCAGCGCUCAAGAUUCAGCCCAGGCAAGGUGUGGAACCCACAAGGAGAUCUGGCCCGUCACCUUGCCUUUGGGUUUCAGUCAGGCUGAUGUCAACGAAAGAAUUUCAAAAAAAUUUUGCCGUUGCAAUGCACGCGCCAACGAUAAAUUUUCUUUGGAUUUCUUGCGUUGAUCCACAGCUACCAAAAACCAACGGCUACAAGCCACGUGGCUUCUCCAAGAGCCUCUGAUCCAAAAAUCUUGUCAAAUCUAACGGCUGUCCAUUUUUUGGCUAAAAAAAUAUCAAAAAAUUAUGGAAACAUUUUCUAUAAAUACCUACAAAUAUUAUUCACUUCCCACACCAAACCUUCAUACAAAUUCAUAUCCUUUCAAUAUUUUUCACUUUCCACACAAGAUUUUCUACUACUAAAUUUCAUUUGUGUAAAAAUACAAGUGGCCUCUUCUAUCAAAGCCGGAGGCGCGUGGACAACCGUGGAAGAUAUUUUGUUGUGUGAGUGUUGGGUCAAAGUUGGUCAUUGCCCGAUCACCGGCAAUGAGAUGAAGUCCUCUCGUAGGAGUUUCUGACAUCGCAGCGAAAGUAAGAUGUGAUAUGAGAAUGUAAGGAAUUUGAUGAGAGGAAUGGGAUUUGAGGAGUUUGAUGUAGGAAUUGAUGUUGAAUUGGAUUUGGGAGGUAUGUAUAUAUGAUUUGAGAGUAUGUGUUUAGGGAUUUUGAUAGGAGGAUUUGAGGAAUUUAGAUUUGAGGGAUUUGGAUUUGGGGAAUUUAAAUAUGAGGAAUUGAUUUAGGGUUUGGGUUUGAAUAUGAGAAAUUUGAUAUGAGAGUUUAGAGACAACUGAUGAUUGAUUGCUCUAAUACCAUGCUAAAAUAUAAAUAUGGUUUGAAUACUUUAGGUUGAGUUUUAUUCUUUUCCAUAAGGAGGUAUAUAUAGCAGUUUACAUGAGUGUUUUACAAGGAAAUAGAUACAGUAAUCAAUUAGGAUAAUAUCUCCUAAUUAUACAAUAAUUUGUCAACUAUAUAGAAUAGGAAAGUAAAUUCCUUAAUUAAUCAAGAAAAUAAAUCUCAUUGAUUAAUUAAGAGACUAACGUCAACAUUUAUAAGCCAUGGAAGAGCAGAAAAAGAGGUACUUAGGAGAUUUUAUACGUCGGACUAAGGUAAGCUUAAAGGACUAUAUCAAAAAAAUAAGGGACCAAGAAGCAAGACUGAGAAGUUGUUAUGCAAACCCAUUAAGUUUAGCAGUGAUGAAUUUGUAAAAAUCAUUCUAGUGGAUGCUGCCUUCACUAUUGAGUUCUUAUUGAGGUUCUAUCUGAAAGGAUGUAGACAUGAAGGAGACCGCUUAUUAAACAAAUCAGCUCCCAUUCUUUAUUCUUGAGGAUCUUUAUCACACAUACAUAAUAACCGACUCUUUUAGGAAUUAUUACAGUACUCAUGAUCAUGAGAGGCUUUCAAUAAUUAAUAUUUCUAAGAAUUUCGUCACAGCUGGAAUAUUGAAUUUGGAGGGGAAGGGAGACAAAUGGAACAGAAUAUCAUCUUCUUCUAGUGUUGGAAAUUUUAUAUUAUUUAAUAAUAUUUAAUUUCUAUUGUGAAUGAAAAAUAAGUUUCUUUAAGAAACGUGUGUCUUAGGCCAGUUUUUCUAACUGGUCGGCUUCCUUAGAUUUGUGCCUAUUGCUUUUCAAAGUAUAAUGAUGCAAUGGUUGUAUCUCGUUCAGGCAAAUGGAAGGUAUAUAGCAAUUUAUAGAACAAUACAGUAAUCCAGAAGAAAUAUUAUGAAAUGAAAAGAAUAAAAAGUAAAAAAAGAGAAGGAAAGGAAUUCCCACCUGCAAUGUAUAUGUAUGAAAGGAAGGACCAAGUUUGUUUUAAAAUGGUAAGAACAAGUUGAUUUAUAAUUGGGUUCAGAUCAACUCAUGGAUUUCUUGCCUUUUCUAUUCUCCUUCCUUGGACAUGAACUGUUUAAUCUUGGCUCUUCCCCAUCAUGUUGGGCCUAUCUUCUUCUUGAGGAUUGUAUAGGCCCAGGAAAUGCUUCAAGAUAGUUUUUGUGUUUUGGGCAUUGGGACCUAACUUCACAAAAAGAAAACAGAUUUGGCCAAAAAACAAAUUUGAAGGACAUUGAAAUUGUACCUGUAGGAUAGGUUAAAACACUGUAAGGGAGGUAAAUAGUACGUUUACAUAGUUUAAGUGUAAUAAAGGAAUAAAAACAUGCCCAGAGGAUUGAUAAGUGAUAUCAAUUCUUGAAUAUAGAGAACGUAAAAUAAAGGAACACGUAUAAAAUUAUUUUAUGUGGUAAAACCCCAUCUCUAGGGAAAAUCCACGGGACUUCUUAGUCCAAAACAAAUCUAUUAUAGAACGAUGAUUACAAGAAGUACUCACACACUUAUCCUAGACACAUUCUAGAUAAUGUUUACUGACCUCUUCGUAACUCAACUUCUGUCACAGGAUGAUCUUUCGACACUUCUUAUGUUGAACGCAAUACUAGUCACGAUUUCUUUCAAGCUCAUUGGAGAAAAACCGCCACAACAGUCUCGGUGCCCUCAAUCUUAUGAGUCACUGAACAUGCAAAUGAAUACAAUAUGAAUGAUAAAAGUGUUUGAUAAAUCACCAAGUUAUGGAACACUUGAUGAUUUAUUUCAAGUAAAAAUUCAGCUUUCCAAAGUUUAUGAAUUGAAAAUAUGAUCGUUAAAGCUCUCUAAACAAAAAAAACGAAGGUCUUAUUUUAUAGACUUUUUCUUUACAAGAAAGAAAACACGUUGAAAACCAAAUCUCCAAUUUCAAGGCUUGACAGAAAAUCACAAAAGUAUCUUUCCUAUUCUAGAGAUUGGUCACAUGAAGUCCAACCAAUAGGAAAUGAGAUAUUUAAGAAAGGAAGAUUUUGAUCAAUAUCAAUAUCAAAUGAAUUCUUAUAUGCCUAGUCAACUAUUAAGGGUAUCUUAACUACUUGAUAUUAUGAUAUGAUUGAAACAUGAUUUCCACGUUAGAAAAUUAAGGGGAUUUUAAAACAUGAAAGUAAUAGGAGAAUCAAAUUGAUUUGGACCAAAAUUGCCUAAAAAGAAAACACUCCUAAAUAAACUUCAAUUCACUUUUAAAAACAGUAAAACUUGAUUGAAUCGUUCUUUAAAACAAUUCCCUAAUAUACAUGCAUGAUAGUGACAUCACUUACCUCUGAAUCAGAUGCCUUUUACGAGUCAAGCCACAAGUUUGUGUUUUGGGGAUUGCUGAGCUGCAUCAAUCCUGCCAAUGUCAAUUCUGCCCCUAGGCUCUCUCAAAGCACGUUUACAAUCUAUGCUAAUAUAUACUAGAGUUUAUGCUAGUAUCUAGAAAAUGCCAACACUAAUUUCGUAACACGUAGAAAUUGUUAGAGAUUGGAAGUUUUUUUCAUUUUUUUCUUCCAGACUCUCCACCACUCACUAAUACAGUUUACUCAUGUGAUGAAUUUACAAAACCUAUUUCUCUACUCUCACAAAGACUAUACUUAGGGGGGGUGUAUUCAAUUAGGAGUCUAGAGCGUUUAAAAAGAUUUUGUUUAAGUGCCAGCUUUCAUAGAACUUGAUGGAACUUUAUAAUUCGUAUAGAACUUGAUAGACUUUCAGAAGACUUCUGUAUAAUUUGUUAAUAAAACUUUCUUAAGCUUUCAUAGAACUUGAUAGGCUUUUAUUCCAGAAUUAUGUAGACAGUAUAUUUCAUUUUAUCCCCAUCCUUGUCAUUUAAAGAAAGAAACUUGAAUGUUUUCAAUCAAAUUUGUUUUUGUUACCAAAGCAAAAACAAAAAGUACUUGUUUGCGAAGGAAGAACAUAUGCACAGUUCAAAAUGAAAAGAAUAAGAAGCAAAGUACCUAUUGGACCAAUGAAUGCUGUGUCAACUAGAGAAGCAAUUGGAUCGGCUGUCAAAGCCAAUGCUACAGGCAAUGCAUCGAUGGUCCAAAUUGCAAUAAAAAAUAUUUUGUAUAAUGGUUCUUGCAGACAAAGACCACAUAAAUUCUGGACUGGUCCAGCUUGAAUAAUAAGGUUAGAUUAGCCGAUGGAUGAGAGUAAAAGCAAAGAAAGUUGAUGAAUUCAUCACCAAUUAUUUAAUAACUGUAACAUCCCACAUUGACCAACGGAGAGGGGGUGAUGUGCCUUAUAUGUACAUGCCCACUUCCAUCUAGCAUGAGUCCUUUUGAGAGCUCACUGGCUUCGGAGUCAUGGGAACUCUGAAGUUAAGCGAGUUGGGGCUAAAGCAAUCCCAGGAUGGGUGACCCACUGGGAAGUUGCUCAUGAGCUUUAGAAACAAAAAUCAUGAGGGCAUAAAGGGAGGCCCAAAUUGGAUAAUAUCGUGCUACGGCGGAGCCGAUCCCAGGAUGUGACAAUAACCAAUAGAGUAUUUAAACAUAAACAACAAUGUUUGAUAAACAAAACAAAUAGUCCAAAUAUUAUCCAAAAAACAAUUCUAAAACCAAUCAUUCCAAACAAACUAGUCAUUCCCAAAAACUCUCAAAAAACCCACUCAUUCCAAAUUAUAGGAUAUCCAAUUUGAGCGCUCCUCAGGAGACAUUUUCAAAAAUGCAUCCUUUUUUGUGUUACUAUGCAACAAAGAGAGCGCUUUAUAAUGAGCACGUUCAUCCAAAUUUGAGGUCUCCUUAAUGGCAUCCCACAUAUAACUCUGCUGCUCUCGCUCUUUUCCCCUUUUUGCCAAUAGGUUAUGGACCUCCCGGAAGUCGGUGACAAUUGAAUCAAUGCUAAGGCUAAUUCUUCCCAUAGCUUGUUGGGUGGUCACAUUUGAGAUGGCAUUCCCUUCCAAAUCUAUUCUAGUUCGUUUCCUCUAGUAACAAGCAUAAAUCCUAGUAACAAGCAUAAACCCUAAUCCCAACCUAUAACCUAAUAACAAGAAAAACACGAUGAAAAAAAAAUCAUGGAAAAAGAAAACCCAACGAGGUAUUGAUCAAAAAAAAAAAUAGGGAGCAUACCUUCACAGAUGGAGGAAGGAAGCUGUUUGUCUUCACAGAGAGAAAAGCUAGGGAAAGAGAAAAACGUCUGAUGAAAUACUUUGGGGGGAGGUUGGAUUUCUUUUGGUCUUUGAUAUUUAUAACUCUCCCCUUAAAACCUACAAAAAUUUAUCACUUAAUGAAAUCCUUCCAAAUAUAUGACCUUUCGAAUACACCUAGAUUUGAUUCAACUUUUUUAUAAUCCUAAUUGAAUACACCCAUAUUUGAGUGGACUUUUUAAAAGUUCAUAUAAGUCCGAAUUGAAUACACCCAGACUUGUAAAACCUCUUUUAAAGUUUGUAUAAAUCCAAAUUGAAUACACCCGGAUUUUUAAAAUAUUUUUUAAACGCUUUAUAAUCCUAAUUGGUACAUCCCCCUUAUUCUCAAAAGACUAUAUCACUUUACCUCUAUCUCUGUGAAAUGUAAAAAGUUGAAACUUUAAUGUCAAACCUCGACAAAAGAUGAACUUCCAUCAGUUGCGUUGAAUUUGGAUUUGUUGAACUAAAGUGGUUUUACUUUCUCUGUCAGUGUUUGAUGACUUAAUUUGGUAUUUACUUCUUUUUUUCCUUGGAAAUGUGUUCCACCAACGUGAGGAAGAAAAAUGUGCACAAAUUAAUAUAUUUAAUAAAAGCCCAAGAUUUCGGAAGCACAUAAUUUCUACAAAAAUCUAGAAAGUGUUCUACUUUACAAACUUCUUAUGUCUAUCAAUUUCUACUAAAAUUAAUUUCUCUGUGGUGCUCAGAUUCAUCAUAUGUGUGUCCUUAAUUUUAUUGGAAAUUAGAAGUUUCCAUAAUUUUUAUUUUUUGGGAAUUUUCUGAACCAAGAAAAAUCAAGUAAAAUUAAUAAAGCUUAAAUUGGAAAGGGAAAAUAUCUAGAGGACGCAUUGUAGGAUUUCUCAUGCCGAUAAUUGUACCCUCUAAAUAUAUAGGGACAUAUUUUUUUUGUUUUCAUGACAUGUGGUCCUAAAAUUAUUGUUCCUAGCGGGCUCUCCACCCCCUCUCAAAUUUACGUGGUCCAUUAUGAUUAACCAUAUAUUUUAUUGACCAUCCAGCUGUGAGGUUUUAUCCCAAAAACCUUAGGUACAUUUCUCAAUUAUGUCUGAUACAUCACAUCAUGCCACAAUUGUAUAUUCACAAUUAUGUCUGAUACAUCACAUCAUGCCACUUGCCUCAAAUGAAUUUAAGUGAGUGUGGCAGUGGGAAGUAAUUACUUCUAGGUGCCCCUCAUCAUUCGUCUAUAAAAUGGUGAAGCCAGUGGCUAUAAGAGCCAGCUCCAACUUUCUUUUAUUCGUCUAUAAAAUGGUGAAGCCAGUUGCCAAGUUAAUUUCAGUCCUAAUGGGGUUUCAUCUCCCACUCAUCUUUGCUAUUCUCAGUGUAAGCUCUGCAAUUUGAUUAACUUUUCCAUUCUCUCUCAUUGUACUCUAUAUAAACGAAAGUUUUGUGUUCCUAUAAUUCUCUUUGAUUUUAUUUAGUACGUACUUAAGUGUCGUCCACUAAUUAAUUACAGUUUGUGAGAUUUGAUUUUAAUUAGAGUUCGAAUUAAUGUUGCAGCUAGCAGUGGUUGCACUGGCAAACCAUGCUGCUCAACCAGCACCUCAACUUUACUGGAACUCCGUCCUGCCAAACACACAAAUGCCAAGAUCUAUCAGUGAACUUCUGCAUCCUGGUUUGUGUUGAGCUCUUUAGAAUCUUAGAUAUCUCUUCUACCUGCCAUUUUACUAAAAUAUGUUCGACCACAUAUUUAUCAGUUAACUACUGUCAUUACAUGAGUGACACUUAUUCACAAAUCGGCUGAUCACUUAUUUUCCAUUUUACAUGAGUGAUAUAUAAUUUGCAGACUCCACAAAUGAAGAAAAUAUCGUGAAUGCUGUUGGGAAUGGAAAGCGCAAACCUGAAAUUUUCCCAUUGAGAAAUAUAAAUUACGUUCAAAGCCAUUAUGGAGUGUUAAAUAGAAAUUACGUUCAAAGCCAUUAUAAAAAACGUCCUCCUCCACCUGAAAAUAUCCCAUUUGCAAAUCGAAAAAAGUACGCACUAGGUUCUCCUCCAUCUGACAAUCAACUACUCCAUUAUAAAGAGUUAGCUAUUUUCUUCUUCGAGAAGGACAUGCGCCCUGGCGCAACAAUGAAGUUCCAAUUCCCUAGAAAUUCAAACACGGCUACUUUCCUGCCACGCGAAAGUGCUCAAUCGAUCCCCUUCUCCUCUAACAAACUACCAGAAAUUUUCAACCAUUUUUCAGUGAAGCCAACAUCUGUGGAAGCCAAAACAAUUAAGCAAACAAUCGAAGAGUGUGAAGCUCCAGGCACUAAGGGAGAGGAAAAAUAUUGCGCCACAUCUUUAGAAUCAAUGGUUGAUUUUAGCACUUCGAAGCUUGGAACAAGAAACGUUGAAGCAGUCUCGACGGAGGUAUUGGAAAAAGGAGCCACCAUGUCCAUGCACAACUAUACAACAAUGCCGGGACUGAAGAAGUUGGCAGGUGACAAAGUCGUUGUGUGUCAUAAGGAGAACUAUCCCUAUGCUGUGUUUUUCUGCCAUGCAAUAAAACAAACAGCAGCUUAUGUUCUCUCCCUGAAAGGCGAUGAUGGGGAGAAGGUUAAAGCAGUAACCAUCUGCCAUCUAGACACAUCAGAAUGGAACCCAGAGCAUUUGUCCUUCCAAAUCCUCAACGUUAAGCCCGGAACCGUUCCCAUCUGCCAUUUCAUUUCCACUGAUGCUAUUGCCUGGGUUCCAAAACACAAAUUUGCAUGAUCAUCACUUAGCACUGUGGUGUAAGAUAUAUGAUGAGAUAAAGUUUUUGGUAUUAGUGGUCGGGUUGCCUGAAAAACACAGAUUACAGAAACUGCUUGAAAUUAACCCGAUCAUGUUUUCUCUUGUAAGACUUCAACUUGUACUCCUAAAGCAAGUUAUAUUUAUGAAGAGAUAUUAAUCUAUAUAUAUUUUAUGUAUAUAUAUAUAUAUAUAUAUAUGCUUUGGCUUUGUGGUUCUACCCAGUGUUUGAGUGUUGAAUUGUUACGUUGGAAUAGGCUGAUAAUGCGUGUAGUUAGAGAAGCCUUCAUUUAUAUCAAAGUCCUCAAACUAUCAAGAACUAAUGUAUCCAGAAACAUAUACCAAGACGCAAAACAACAUAUUUUCCAUGCUCUGUCUGUAACGCCAAAGCAAACUUCCUUUAUCACAUCAUUUAAAGGAUCAAAUUCCAGUACUAAUCUAAUCCAUCAUGUAAAGCAUACAAGUGCCUCCCUAAAUUUGUCCAUUGGAUAUAAAUGUUGAGAAAAUUAGAGUACACAACUCUAAUAUGAUAGUUGUACACAACUCUAAUAUCAUAAAGCAAACAAAAUUUCUAAGUUAGUUUGCUUUAUGAUAGUUGUUUUUUGAAGGGGUCCUUAGAUCCUAUCUCAAAAAGUUUGGCUUUUAUUAGGUUUAACUCUGGUUUUUAUCUCUACCCACUAACUUUUAUCUCUCAUUUUUAUUACCCAUUUUACCCUUUAAAAUAAAUAGGGCAAUAAACUAAAAAUUCUGAUUUAAUGCAUGUUUUACUCAUAAGAGAACUAAAAACUAAAAAUUCUAUACUCUAACACAAAAAAUGAAAACUAAAAACUAAAAUUGAAAUGGUUUCAAGCAAUUGCAUGUCAGGCGCUAUAUAUAAUGUAUUAGCCAUGGUUUGUUUAAUACGCGGUCAUUCGUCAUUUUCCCAUUCAAAAUAUUGAAAUUACGAACUACAUACCAUGAAAGAUAAGAAACUAAAAGCUUCAAGCAAAUAGAAAUGUGCUACAAACAUAGUAAUGAAGAUGUGGAAGCAUUAUCUCAGACGAAUGAUUCUGAAGUGGAAAAAACAAGAACAAAAAAGGAAGUGAGUUAAAUUUGCACCUGCUAUGUUCAAACGACAAAGUUGGUUUCCCUUUGGUCGAUUACAAGAGAAGCUCAAUGCAGCUUACUUGGUUCCUCUGGUAGAUGAAAAUAUAAUUUUUCUCCUAAUAAUAAGGGUAUAGUGCAAUCAAUGAUGGGCUGUAUAGAACAACUUUUUUGUUUUAUGUGUUUAUGUGAGACAUGUUUUGCCAGAUUGAAUUAAUGUCUUCUAGCCAUGUACCUUAUCUUUUUGCCGGGCCAUGAGUUGAAUGUAGAGGCAAAGUAUGGACUUGGGGUCAAGUUUGACUUGUAAAAUAAUUAGGAAUUGAAUGGCUCCUACGUUCAAUUAUUUUAAUUUUUUUUCCCGAGCCAUUCAAUUCCUAAUUAUUUAGAUUUUCGAUUUAGUGAGCAUCCACAAUCAUGCUCUCUAUUUUUAAGUUAAAUUUUAGUUAAAAACAUAUAAAAGUUAUUUAGGAGCUCUCUAUAAAAUUUAAACUUCAAUCGUUUUCUAUAGUUUAGGGAGUCAUAAAUGUCAUAACUCUUUUUUGAUUGGUCCAUCUCUAUUAAAAAAUAAAAUAAAAAAUAGUUAGCAUGAAAUAAAGGUUUGAAAUACUCAUUAAAUAAAGCAGCAUUAAAUUAUAGGGAGCCACUAAGAGUCCUUUCUCUCUCCUCAAGUUUAGGAGCUCCUAGAGGUCUCCCUAUUUUAAGAGGUGGAUAGGGAGUAUGGUUGGAAUUGUAUUUUUACAAUUCCUCCCUAAAAAUUUUCUAUGGAUAGGUGGUUUUAAGGAACCCAUUGUGGAUGCUCUGAUCUCAAAGAAAGAAAACCUCGAGUUUGCAAGCAAGUUUUCUACGUAUGUAUAUAUGAAAAACUGACAUUUAUGAAAAUAAUAAAUCCAUAUUUUUAUGUAAGCCAACUUUCUAAAUCCAUGUACUAUAUUUAUUAGGGAAAUAUUGGAGAAACUGAUUAUUUUGAAAAAUUAAAUGUGAAAAACUGAACAAAAAUUUGACAGGUUACAUAUUUCAACUCAUUCAGCAGCUUAGGUUGUGAAGACCUCAGAAGAGGCUAUGCAAUGAGCCUAGCUAGUGCACUGUUGAUCACUUCAGUGUUUACCGAUCUGUAAUUUUUCCAGAUUGGUUAUAUUUUCCUUUACAUAUUCUUAUAUUUUUCCCAGUUGGGGAGACUUAUAAAUAAACCCAAAAUGGGUACAAUAUCUAUACAGAAGGACAAAAUUAAAGUGUUUGGACAAUAAUCCCCUAUUCAUUUUGGGAUUGCCUAAGGAAUUCUUUUUCUGAUUUUCAAUGAUGCAAAGGACUGUUGUUUGAUGCUUGCCGUAUGGAGCUAAGAAAACUUGCUUUGAUAGUUUUGGACAGAUGCAAGCUACUGUUGUUGGUAGGGGUGGGCACGGUCCGGAUUGGUUCGGUUUUACUCUCAAACCACAGCUGAACCAAUAAGAAAAUAACGGUUCGGUUUGGUUCGGAUUAGCCUAAAAUCAUAAUGGAAACCGAACCAAUCCAAACCACUUGUAAUCGGUUUGGUUCGGAUUGGUUCGGCCGGUUUGUGCCUAACACAAAACCAUGCAUUUUUCAACCUGCUCUUACAUUAUAAUGCUAACAUUUUGCCAUUAUAUCAUUCCAUUCCAUUCCAUCAAAGGCUAAUACAACAUCAUUCCAUUUAUUCAAAGGUUGUCCAAUGUCUAGCAUGCAUCUAAGUUCACAAUUUCCAUCAAAACAAACAUAUACAUAAUUUGCAUUAACCAAGUAGCAUUACAUUUACUCAUUGCAUUCAUCACAAUUCAUAAGAGAUGAGAACGAAUCAAUUUUACUUUAACAUAUUAAACAAAUGCAUUCUUUGUAAUAGUUAAACAUUCUCACAUCAUGAAUAUCGGCAAGCUUAUAAAGCUGCUGCACCAACUUGCUAAUUGAUUCGUCUGUACCAGGAACAACAGUAGUAAUGCGAGAGAACCCCUCAACUUCUGCAUGGCCAACAGCUAAACUCUGGAAACGAGAAACCAGCUCAAUUAUAACAAAUGCCUAAAACUUCUACCUUAACAGAAGACAAAGGAGGAAAUAACAGCAGAAGGAAACCAAAUUUCUCAAUUUAAUAACUGAUAUUUCCAAAGGAUUCUUAAGUCUAAAAUUCGACCAAGACUUGAUUAACUAUUCCAAUGUCUAGCAUGCAUCUAAGUUUAUAACUUUGUUCCUUCUUUAACAAAAAGAACAAGGAGAAAAAGCUAAUAAUAAGGUAUCCUUCUUUAACAGGCAUCAAGCAUAUCACAUAAGCAACAUUUUAUAUACAUUAUUCUAUGAACAAAACUAAAUCAAAGCAAGGUAUGCUACAGUCUUUUUGUACAAUAAAAUAGAUUAACAUAUUUUAUAACCAUAAAAAUGAAAAAUUAGGCCUCAUAGAAAAUACCAUUUUAUUUUUCAACUCUCUAACUUUUUAUAUAACCAGUUAUUGGAGACAAUACAAAAAAUAAAGUAGUAGACAGAACUAGCAUAUUUUACAAACCCAGCUGAUGAUGACGAUCCACCACCAACAAUAUUCCCAUAAUCAAUCCUUGCAUAACCUGAUGGUCGAUGAUGGAACUUGGGUUUUGUAGAGAUGGAUUUCGCUGAGGACAAAUGGGUGGGUUUCGCCGAGUUCGAAUCAUGUUGGCUUGAGUUAGCGUCGAGGGAGAGGGAGAGGGAGAUGUAGCAGAGAGACAAAGAGAGAGGGAGAGGUAGCAGAGAGAGAUGGAGAAAUAAUGAGAGGGAGUUGCGGCUAGGGUUAAGAGACGAAGGAAGGGAGAUAGGAGAGAGGCUCUUCUGAGGGAGAGAGAAUGGUUAGAUAACUUAGAUGUGUCCGUGAGUUGUAGUUUUGGAGUCCAAUCAAGUGUUGCAGGGUACAUGGUACACUCUUAAAUAACCACUCAAACCUUGCCACAUGUAAACUAAAUUAAAUAAAUAAUAAAUUGAUUUAUAAUCGGUCCGGUUCGGUUUAGGACAGUUUUUAAAACUCUCAAACCACAGCUGAACCAAACCAAACCGGUUCGGUUCGAUUUUUCAAAAUGUUGACUUUUUCUUUGGUCAAAACCAAACCAAACCAAUCCAAUAUAAUCGGUUCGGCUGGAUUGACCUGAUCGGCCAGAUUGAUGCCCACCCCUAGUUGUUGGGAUGAUCUUUUCACGUGAAAUGAGGAUGACGAUACUUCUACACUACACAAUCCAACGAAUUCACAUUUCUAUUUCAGAUACAUGUAUAAACAGACAAGGCUUUAAAAUAUGGGAUGCUGCACUGUUGUUGCUGCUGCUGACACUGUUACUGUGUUGCUGCUACUGUUACUGCGCUGCUACUGGAAGAAGGACAAGGACUUCACAUGUUGCUUUCGUCCUUUGUGGAGGAGAGAGACCUAGGACUUGCAUGUCUUAGAUAUUUAAGAUAAGGGGCUUUCGUGCCAUUUUGAAAAUACUUUGGGUGUUUUUGAAAGCUGCUUGUUUCUUUUGGGUUUCUCACUAAAUUUCGCUAUUAGAAGGGAAAAUAAUAAUAAUAAAAAUACAGCUCUUAUUAGCAACAGGGUUACAAAUUCUUCUACAACACACCAACUGUUGUAAAAGUUUGAAGGUGGAGCCCACAGAGGAAGUUUCCUUGCAUCUUCCAGGAACUUUCCCUUCCCUGUAUUUAUCAAUUCAGGAAGUUUCCUUGCAUCUUCCAGGAACUUUCCCUUCCCUGUAUUUAUCAAUUGAGGAAGUUUCCUUGCAUCUUCCAGGAACUUUCCUUCCAUGUAUUUAUCAAUUCAGGAAGUUUCCUUGCAUCUUCCAGGAACCUUCCCUUCCCUGUAUUUUACCAAAACCUUAGCCUAUAAAUAGGCUUGCUCAUUCACUUGUAAUACACACCAAAAUGAAGAGAAGAAUGAGUGAGGAAAGAAAGAAAGGAAGAGAAGGAAGAAAGAGGGUGAGUAAGUAGAGAGAAAAAUAGAGUGGAGAGAAAUUAGUGAGCCACAUAUAUUGUAAACACUAAAGUUGUAGCCCUAUUAUUUUACAUAGUGGAAAAGUUACUACUGCUGCUCUCCGGGGACGUAGGCAUAGCCGAACCUCGUUAAAUACUGUGUCUCAUUUACUUUACGUGCAGCUCAAUAUUCAUACAUAUUCCAGGUUAUUUUUAUAACACGUUAUCAGCACGAGAAGCUCUCAGGUAUAAUUUUUGUGCUGCACUAUUAUCUAUACUACUAACCACUAACAAAAAUGGACCCUUGGUAAUACUAAACAUAUUAUCAGUGGGAGACCGUUACUAAUACUAACUUUUUCUUAUUUUAUUCGGUGGUGGUUUUAACCCCACAUUUAUUUACUGUAUGGUGUAGGUUUAUUACCCAUACAUGCACCUUUACUUUAUCGCAAAUUUAUUUUACCGCAUAUUUAUUUUAUUUACUGUAUGGUGUAGGUUUAUUACCCAUACAACAGUAUUUAUUUAAAAGGGUGGUGCGAGUUUAUCGUCCACGCCUUUGCUUUUAUUUAAAUGUAUGGAGCAGAAUUAGUGCCCAUACAAGCACAAUUUACUUUACCGCACAUUUAAUUUUAUUUAAAGUAUGGUGCGGGAUUAACGUCCAUACAGCAAGCAAUUUAAUUUAUGAAUUUAAUUUACCGCACAUUUACAUUUAUUUAAAAGGGUGGUGCGGGUUUAUCGUCCACGCCUUUACUUUUAUUUAAAUGUAUGGAGCAGAAUUAAUGCCCAUACAAGCACCUUAACUUUAUGAAUUUAAUUUACUGCACAUUUACAUUUAUUUAAAGUGUGGUGCGGGUUUAUCGUCCAUACCAGUAAUUUAUUUAUCAGCAAUUUAUUUUAUGGAUUAAUUGUUUAUUUAUCAGCAAUUUAUUUUAUGGAUUAAUUGUGCUGUAUGAUGAGUUUUUCCAGUAUGCAGAUCAGGACCAGAAGUUCCUUGAUCCUCAUCAUACAAUUACAUCAGGACUUGAAGAUCCUUGAUGAUGAUAUUAAAAUGAGAGCUGGCAGUCUCACCGGUACUGUAUUUGUAAACAUGUGAUUGGACUUAAAGGUCCUUGAUCCCUGACAUGUAAAUAAGGACCUAGAGUUCCUUAAUGAUGUAACAGUACCGUAUUGGUUCAUAGUGCCGUACACAUUGAUGAUAACUGUACUGGCAGAUGAAUAGAUACGUAUUCAUGACUUGAUGAAUAGUACUAUUCACAUGAAUAGUGACGUAUGCAUAAAUAUUAACCAUUUUGGGUAAACCGUCACUAUAUACAAAAGGGAACCUGCAGUUCCUUAAACUCAUGGAUGAGCAAUUAAAUGAGAUGCCAGAAGUUCCUCAAAAUAUGGACAAUUAUGUAAGGGCUUGAAGUCCCGAAAUAUGUACAGAAAAUUGUAAAAAUGUCCAUACCAUGAGAAUAUGUGGCUUUGGCCUGAAGUUCCAAAUUUAACAGUGUUGAGAACCUGAAGUUCCAACAAUUAAAUGGACAACCCUUGAGGUAUUAUUGCAAAUUGUGGUAUGCCACAUAUUUCUUUGGCAUAAGAAGAUGAUGAAUUUAAUAAAGUUCGAUUUUGUUAUAAUCGACACCUCAAGGAAGAAAUAUAUUUUGUGAAUUCCGGUUGUUAAGAAUACACCGCGAAAUGGAUAAUAUUAAUAUAAACCUCAAAUAAUGAAUUGAGACUCCCCACAUAUUUUGUUAUAUCUGGGCCGGAAGCCCAUGGAUCCAAAUAUAUGAGAGAUCCUAAACUUGAAGUUGUGGGUAUAUAGUAGUUAAUGCUCUUCACUACUAUAUUGCGAUAUUAUCAUGGCUUUUACUCAAUUCAUAUUUCAUGUCCAUUUGAAAAGGGCAAAUAAAUUCUGAGUUUGUGCCCAGGCCAUAAGUUCCGGGCUACCAUACGUUGAAAUAUGAAAUUUGGGAGAGUCGAUGUGGUUAUUUGAACCUAUAAGGCACAAGGUUCCAAAUCGUCAUUUUGAAAAGACGUAAAAACCAAAGGUGCAAGUUUAAGAAUGUGCGCAAUUAUUAUUACAGGAACAUACAACAGAUAGAUUUUUUCCACUUGCAAUGAAGGUGCAGGCCCUGUAAAAUCUAUAAAAUUACAUUAUGUUCUGGAAGCCUCUGAAGGAAGAGGACGGCGCCUCUUAAGCUUAGCCAUGAGCUUCUCAUGGUCUCCCAAAAUUCUUUCAUUGGAGACCUGCAGCAUGUCUAGCCUUCUCAGUGUAUCAACAGAGUACGAACUCACCAGUUUCAACAAGGAAUUAUUCUCUCCUUUAAGUUUCUCAACCUCCUGUUGAGACUCAUGAAGCAUUCUUUGGAGAGACGAAUUUUCAGUUGUUAAAUUCUCAACCUCGUUUGCUCUGGCACGCAAACGAUCAGCCAUGUUAGAAACAGAAACAGCACUCUGAAUGCUAAAAGCCAUUGAGUCAUCAAUAGCCUCUUCCUCUGAUCUCCCCGUCAACAACAUUUCAUCCAUUGGAGUAAUGAAAUUCCUAGCUACUAUGACAGCAGUAGCAUCAUUCAUCAUCACAGAAUCAUUAACUGUGAGAUGACGAUUUUUGGAUACAAAGGAUGGACGCCAAACUUGGGCGUCACUGGUAGUUGUGGGAGUAUCAUUUAAAUUGAAAUAAUUUGGGCAGGAAGAAGAGGAAGCCAUUUUUAAGAAGGUUUCGAAGAAAGCCUUAGGAAAACUAAAGUUUCAUAAAAUGAAGGAAGUUAAGUUGAAACGCAAUUGCUCCAAUCAAGUUUUGCAAAGGCAAUAUCUAUAGACGAAAAUAUGGCAAUAUCUUCAGGAUUCCAAUAUCUUCUCGAAUCCCCAUAUUAUCUUUUUCUUUCCCAGAGUCCAAAACUUCACGUGGCCUCUAAUAAUGCCUGUCGGCACUUUCGGCGUUUUUCAAAGUAUUAUUUUCAAAGCCGAUCUUGCUUUACGGAUUUCACGGAACUACUUUUUCAAAAGUAUCCCGAGAAUCUCGCAAUUUUCCUAUGGUUAAUUUGAAAUUCACCGGUUCUACCUAUUUAUUGUAUUUAUGUAUAAAUGUGUUACUAACGAAAUUUUCUUUGCAAAAGACAUCCAGUUUUCUCCAUACCUAGUGAUGCGAUAUCUACUUAUUUUUCUUAUCAGUGAGCACUUAAUAUGCCUGAGAAGCAAGACUAUCUCUGAUCAUACAUUCAGGAAGCAAGACUAUCCCUGAUCAUGUUUCCGCUACAUUAGGGAACUGUGAAGGUGACCUUAUGCUCCAAUCUCCUGAGGUCUUUCUAGACUAGGAGAAAUGAGAGCUUGUUGUUUGCUCCCACCAGCUUCCUUCCUUGAUUGCUUACCUUACCUUGCAAUCAAUAUCACAAUCUUUUUGCAUUUUUUCUCUUUUUAUAACUCUCUGUUCAUAAGAGAUUUUAUUUCUUUAGAAUGAACAUCUGAAGAAUGAAUCCAUGAAGUAAUCCUAACUAUGAGGGUUAUUUGUUUUGACAGAGGCAAAAGAGUUGUGAUUUUUGCUCUUGCAGGAUAUAACUAGAUCAUCAAGCGCUACAUUAUAUUUACUGGGCUGAUAUGAGCUUGAAUGAUACUUGAGAAAAGUUUCUCCCACCUAAGGAUGUAAGCAAUACUUGUGUUAUUUUAUGCUUAUAUACCUAUUUGAUAUUUUAUCUUGAAAGGUAACUAAAUGGGGAGAUAAGUCCGUUCCAAAAGAAUGACUUGUAUGUAUCCAUGAAUUAUUAAUGCAAAUUUUACAGAUUGCAAGUUGGAUACAUUGAUAAUACACUGCACAGAUUAAAGUCCCAUAAGAACAGAAUAUGGGUAUAGCAGUGAUCAAUAUGAUGCACGCCUAUUGCGUAGCAAAUGAUAUGGAUUGAAGUCCCGAAAGGACAAUCCUUUGACAUUUCAAUAUUGAUAUUAUGCACGCCUAAUGCGUAGCAAAUUAUAUGGGUUAAAGUCCCAUAAUAUGGGUUAAAGUCCCAUAAAUUAAUUGACAUGUAUGUAUUAAUCUGUGGCAUGCCUGCAGCAUGACAGAUAUAUGGGUUCUAAAUGUUCCAACUCCCUAAAUGGAGAUUAUCCACGCCCUACUAUAAAAUAACGCUCCAUUGGAGGUUAUAAUCCACAUUCUCACAUAAUAAAAGCCCCCUGCAGUGGCUUGGGUACCCAAAAGCAAAGAAAUGCUUAUAAUUGAUGCAUGCGCAUGCACAUGAGAAUGGUGGGAUCAUGAAUUGAUGAAUGACAAUUUUUGAUCAUGAAUUGAUGAAUGACAAUUUUUGGUUUUAGAGUAGCUACUCAAAUCAUCAAUGGGCUGUGUUGAUUGGAACCACGUUCAAUUAUUAAAUGUCGACAAUAUCAUUGGCCAAAAUGGAACGAGGUAAUUCCAUUAUAAAUGAGAAUGAACGUGAAAGAACAAACCCACAAUACGAACCCCAAAAUUUGUUAAUACUAAAAGUUAUACUUGGGUGUUCGGAAUAAAAGGAAAUAUAUCUACUUUGUAUGACACACUGUUUCUGGCAGAAACAAGGAAUGUUGGGUUUUCUCCAUAUUUACAGAUUCAAUUGUGCCCCCCUUAUUACACAAUUACGGAGACCAACAUAUUAUCUUUAAGGGUUAUUAAUGCACAGAGCAUAUCGCCAGAAGCGAUUUCCUAAAGAUGUAUAAAUAGCUGGGUAAAAGCUAUAUAAUGUGUCAUAAAGUUUAAUCCCUUUUAACCAAAAUCUGUUGAGAGGAUUGAUAUUGCAUAGAGCAAGUCCCUAAAGAACAUGUGCUUGAAGCACAAAAUUUGUACUCAAUAUUAAUAUGCAUAAAUUACCUCAGUGAGUACAUUGAUUAUAAUGUGAUUGCAACACAUUAAAGCUUCUGCAGAAUUCAUGAAAUAUUUGUCUCGAUCGAGCAUUAUGCCAACGAGAUUCUUGCUUAUACUAAGAAAGUAUUAAAGUAUUUUUAUGAGGAUUAUCCGUUGGACACUUUAAUGAUUUUCCGGAAGUAUAUUGGACCGGACAUCAUAUUUUCCAGAUAGGGCUCAACUCCAUCACCAUCAUUUUGGGAUGAUGUGAGGUAUAUUUGAUGCUAUCUAAGCAUAACACCAUAUAGGGGCAUAUUUUUUUAGUGAACUUAUAAAUAGCCCAAGUGUUCUAAGAUAUGCGGACUCAGGAAAUCUCUAUGGUCGCUUACUGGAAAAAGCUAGUCAUGAAGUUUUCAGGGGGAGAUAUUCAUCAGGGAGAGCAUGGUAUUAAUAAAGACCUUCAUACACUAUUGACUCACAGCAGCAGUGUCAACUAUGAUAUUCAGACAGAUGAUCAACAGUAUGGCUUAAAGAUAUUUUGCCAAGCAUCAGGGGGAGCGUGCUGUCAAUACAGACCCUUACCCACUGUACUCUUUUUCCUUCGUCCAGGUUUUUAUCCCACUGGGUUUUUCCUGGCAAGGUUUUAACGAGGCAGUGUCGCACGCGCGUCAAUAUACACAGAAUUUUAUGUUACACGUGAUUAUGUACUCUUUUUCCCUUCGACCAGUUUUUGUCCCACUGGGUUUUUACUGGCAAGGUUUUUAACGAGGCAUAUUCCAUAUCAUUUGUGGUCUCCAAGGGGGAGUGUUGUAAAAGUUUUAAGGUGGAGCCCACAGAGGAAGUUUCCUUGCAUCUUCCAGGAACUUUCCCUUCCCUGUAUUUAUCAAUUGAGGAAGUUUCCUUGCAUCUUCCAGGAACUUUCCUUCCGUGUAUUUAUCAAUUCAGGAAGUUUCCUUGCAUCUUCCAGGAACCUUCCCUUCCCUGUAUUUUACCAAAACCUUAGCCUAUAAAUAGGCUUGCUCAUUCACUUGUAAUACACACCAAAAUGAAGAGAAGAAUGAGUGAGGAAAGAAAGAAAGGAAGAGAAGGAAGAAAGAGGGUGAGUAAGUAGAGAGAAAAAUAGAGUGGAGAGAAAUUUCUCCAAGAGAGAAAAAUUAGUGAGCCACAUAUAUUGUAAACACUAAAGUUGUAGCCCUAUUAUUUUACAUAGUGGAAAAGUUACUACUGCUGCUCUCCGGGGACGUAGGCAUAGCCGAACCUCGUUAAAUACUGUGUCUCAUUUACUUUACGUGCAGCUCAAUAUUCAUACAUAUUCCAGGUUAUUUUUAUAACACCAACAUCAAUCUAGCCCUGAUCCACUCUUUUACAUACUUGAAAACAAAACAAAACACGAAAAACAAAAAACAACAGGGAGAAAAUGGCUCCGGAGAGACUUACUGCUAAUACUUGAUCAAUAACAGAGAUAAUAGAGCACACUGUUUGUAUGGCAGUGAGUAUCAGAAGAAUAAUAGCUGCCCAAGGUGUGUUGAAAUACUUUUGUCUCAAAUUUGCCUUCCAUAUGUUCGUGGUCUUCUCGCAAUACUCGUUUAGUUUGCCAGCAAGAUCACCAAAAUAGUAGUUUCCCUGGUUAAUCAUAAUGGAAACCUUACUGUUGUCACCUAGCGUGUUUACAACAAUUCCAUUGUCAACAAGCAACUCUACAUCCUUUGGGGUGUUUACAAAUUUAUCCAGGAUGAAAACAUAAUCGCUUAAUUAUUUAUUAACGCAAUGGCAUUGUUCAAAGGCAAUGAGAUUUCUAAGUGUAAGCUCUGUGUAAUCAUGUAUUUCAAUUUUUGGAAUUUCCAAGGUGUUUUUCAAGAACUGUAUAUCGAAUAAGUUCUUGCUUGAUUCAACGUUAAACUUAACUCCGGCCUGGUGUAGUUUUGUCAUGCCGGGUGUACUUUGGAGCCCUACAUUUUCUUUUAGGGUUGGAUCUGGCAGAUGUAAAGUUCUAAUAAAAUCAACAAAUUGUACAGGUUUUUUAGGAUCAGGAGGCAUAAAAGACUUACGGAAGGCUGGUGAGUUCUCCAAGUUUUCUAAACGCAGUGCCUGUUGGAAGAACCUGUAAGAGAGUUCAAUUAUUGAAGGCUCCCCAGUCUGGGCACCUGUAAGAUUGUAAAGAUCCUCGAGAAUGAAAAAUGGCAGCUGAUUUUCUAGCAUAAGCAUGUCAGGCAAUAUAUUUUGUAGCACCCAUGGUUUUUUAAAUAUCCAAGCAUUAUCAUCCGGCAAUUUUUCUUCCUGAAAUUUUUCUUCGGAUUUAUUCCUCAACAAUAGCUCAAUGACAAAGGCGGCAUCAACUAGAAUGAUAUUCACAAAAGCGGCAAUGUUAAACUUCUUAGUGUCUUCAUAAUAAUGACGGAGUUCAACUUCUCUCUCCUUUAGGUACCUGAGUUUGUGAUCUUCCAUGGCUUCUAAGUUUUUGCUGCCAUGGUGAAGUGGGCCUAUUGAGACUACUUGUGGUGUGUAGGCCUUUUGUUUUACGUUCCGUAGUCGCUCAGGCACCCUGUAGAUACUGCAGGCAGGGGACAGGGCACGGAAGUUUGUCAACUGAUUUUCCAUGGAAGUUGCUUGGUUUUCUAUGUCAAAAGAAGCUUCAUUGCUGCUUUCUUCCACUUUCUUCCUCCGCAUUAUGUGUUGUUCUGAUUGUAAGUGACGAGGAUGGUGAUGAUUCUAGACACCAUAAUCAACAAAUGUUUCAAUCAUAAUUGACAUUUCAAGAUGCUCCGACAAAAAAUUAGAAAACAUUCAUCACAAAAUGCGAACUCAUACAACAGAUGGGUUGAGAAGAUCCACACAUUGCAAUCAUACAAUCCAAUUGAACAGGGAUUACUCCCUAUUCUCCUCUCUCUCUAAAAAAGAUUUUCAUAUCGAUAACAUCUUAUUGCAAGGGACUUGUACAUCAAGUGGUGAAGAACAGAAAUUCAUAUUCUUUCAAUCAACAAAUUUCGAAGAAGUUUGUUUGUUUUAUUUUUGGGGGAAAAAAAUCUGAGCAUAUAUAGAUGCAUAUUAUACGUAGACCUAAGGUGAAAACAUACCAGAUUUUUACUCCAUUUUUCAUGAGGUUUAAGUUCUUGAUGUAUAUAUUUAUCUCAAGUGUAACAUCCCACAUUGAUCAACGGAGAGGGGGUGAUGUGCCUUAUAUGUACAUGCCAGCCUUCAUCUAGCACGAGGCUUUUUGGGAGCUUAUUGGCUUUGGAGUCAUAGGAACUCUGAAGUUAAGCGAGUUGGAGCUAGAGCAAUCCCAGGAUGGGUGACUCACUGGGAAGUUGCUUGUGAGUUCCCAGAAACAAAACCGUGAGGGCAGAGAGGAGGGCCCAAAGCGACCAAUAUCAUGCUACGGCGGAGCCGAUUCUGGGAUGUGAUAAUUUGGCAUCAGAGCUACUCUGCCGUGUGGUGUGAGUGUGCCGACGAGGACGCCGAACCCUUGAGGGGGGUGGAUUGUAACAUCCCACAUUGACCAACGAAGAAUGGGUGAUGUGCUUUAUAUGUAUAUGCUUGCCUAUAUCUAGCACGAGGCCUUUUGGCAGCUUACUGGCUUCCGAGUCAUAGGAACUCCGAAGUUAAGUGAGUUGGUGCUAGAGCAAUCCUAGAAUGGAUGACCUACUGGGAAGUUGCUCAUGAAUUCCCAGAAAAAAAAAGCUGUGAGGGCAGAUAGGGGGGCCCAAAACGGGCAAUAUCGUGCUACGGCAGAGCCGAUCUUGGGAUGUGACAUCAAGAAUUUAUAUCCUCCCUUUUCAGAUCUCAUGUUCCAGUCAAUACAUAACGAAACAUAAGAAACUAAAGUCUUGUUUAUACCCAUCCUCCCACCCACCCACGGCCAUCCACCCCUACCCCCUAUCUCCAUUAAAUCUACAAGUAGCUCAUCAAUUUCUCCACCAUCCCAAGUUCAAUAUACCACCCAACAACCAUCUUACCCAUCUUCUCAUUGAUCUUCCACCCAACAUCCAACACUAUCUUCAUAAACUCUUUAGCUUAAUCUCUCUGUUGCUUUUGUUUUUUGUUUUUUAGAAAUUAAAUUUUUUAGUUUAUUUUUUUGUUGGUACAAAUUCAAUGAUAAAGAACAUCGAACUCGUCGCAACAUCCUGUUCUAGAUCCAAGCUCUACCACCAUCACAACCCUCUCUUGACCUCCGACCAACCUUAACACCCAACUUCAAAUCUAGGUUGUUUGAAACCCAGCCCCCAACAACCCCCCCAAGUCAUCCCAUUGCAACUGACUUGUAGAUGAAGUAGUAAAGAACAAAAAGUCAUAUUCUUCCAAUCAAAACGUAUCAAGUCAAACAAAAUUUCUAGUUAGUUUGCUUUAUGAUAGUUGUUUUUUGAAGGGGUCCUUAGAUCCAAUCUCAAAAAGUUUGACUUUUAUUAUGUUUAACUCUAGUUUUUUGCAAUUUUUUUUUAUCUCUACCCACUAACUUUUAUCUCUCAUUUUUAUUACCCAUUUUACCCUUUAAAAUAAAUAUAGUAAUAAACUAAAAAUUCUGAUUUAAUGCAUGUUUUGCUCAUAAGAGAACUAAAACCUAAAAAUUCUAUACUCUUACACAAAAAAUAAAAAAUAAAAACUAAAAUUAAAAUGGUUAUCAAACAGACCCUUAUAUUACAAAAAACCUUAACUGACCACCUUAUAUGGCAACUGAUNNNNNNNNNNNNNNNNNNNNNNNNNNNNNNNNNNNNNNNNNNNNNNNNNNNNNNNNNNNNNNNNNNNNNNNNNNNNNNNNNNNNNNNNNNNNNNNNNNNNUAGCAUUCUAAAAAAAGUGGCCUCAUGGCAGCAUUCAUUAAUUGACAUGGCAUGACACAUCAGUUGCCACAUAAGGUGGUCAGUUAAGGUGGUCAAUGUUGUGUGUCCAAAUAGCAUUACUAAAAAAAAAUCAAAUAUUGAACUCAUCAUAAGAGAACACAGAAAAACCUCACUGCUUGCAACUCUUACACCACCACUACACGAACAGAACAACUGCUAAUUAAAAUGAGUCACAUGUCACAUGUCACAUGUGGUACUUAACUCUAAAAACUUAUUUAGAUUAUAUAUCCAUAUUUAUAUAUCCUACUCCUCGAUCAAAACAACCAUGAAACAUAAGUGACUUAAACCUCUAGGCAAAUGGACGGUAUAUAGCAAUUUAUAGAACAAUACAGUAAUCCAGAAGAAAUAUUAUGAAAUAAAAAAAAUAAAAAGUAAAAAAAGAGAAGGAAAGGAAUUCCCACCUGAUAUGUAUAUCUAUGAAAGGAAGGACCAAGUUUGUUUUGCCUUUGGUUAAUGACUAGAAAAGCUCACUUGUAUAUUGCUUUCUCCGGCCGUAGAUGCAAGAGAAAUUUUCUCUUAAUAAUAGCACAAUGAUCGGGUAAUCGUAAGAACAAGUUGAUUUAAAAUUCAGGUCAACUCAUAGAUUUCUUGCCUUUUCUAUUCUCCUUCCUUGGACACGAGCUGUUUAAUCUUGGAAUCUUCCCCCAUCAUGUUGGGCCAGUCUUCUUCUUGAGGAUUGUAUAGGCCCAGGAAAUGCUUGGAGGUAGUUUUUGUGUAUUGGGCCUUGAGACCCAACUUCACAAAAAGAAAACAGAUUUGACCAAAAAAACAAAUUUGAAGGACAUUGAAAUUGUACCUGUAUGAUAGGUUAAAACACUGUAAGGGAGGUAAAUAGUACGUUUACAGAGUUUAAGUGUAAUAAAGGAAUAAAAACAUGCCCAGAGCACUACUACAAUUUUUCCCUGUCCUGGCAACCCUUUGUGAUCGGUAAAAACACCAUUAUUGACGGAACUUCGUCAGUAAUUGCUUCUUGACGACUGCAGCGACGAAAAUGAGUAUAGUCAGUAAAAGUCCCGUCAGUGUUACUAUUACUGACCAACUUUUGCAACUUAUUCGUCAGUAGAGGUGUGUCUCUGACACAAGUCAUGAAGUGACUCUAAAUUAUUACUGACAAAACAAAUAGCCACUAUUAAACAAGCUUUUGUCAGGAUUAUUAUUUUAGGAUGGAGUACUAGUGGCAAAGAUUUGUCAAUAUUGUUUUCAACAAAAAAAAAAAUUCAGUCAAUUUGCUUCUGAGCUGAUGCGCCUUUAGAUAUCCUUUUCUGAAAUGUCUUUUGUUUUCUAAUAUAAUGGAUGUUUUUCUUUAAUAAAAAUUUAAUGGAUUCUGAAAAUGUAAUAACAAUUAUAAAUACUCAUAGAUUGAACCAUUCAACCCCCAUCCUUAUAAAUAUAAACUACCAAUGUCGAUUACAAUAGCCAAAUAUUACAAAGUCUGCCUACAUCAGUAGAGUUCAAAAACUUUAGGUGCCCUUACUAUACAAAAGUAUGCAAUUCCAAAUAUUCAACAAAUACACUACAAAAGCAUGCAUACCCCAAUAGGGUCCAAAAUACAACGUCAGCAACUAUAUAUACCAAAAAUGCAUAACACUAAGUAACUGCAUCUAUUCAAGUCCAUGAGUACCUUGAUCUGAUUCUAAAAAGUCUGUCUCACUUGGGUAUGCAUCCCCCCUCAGCAAUCCAGUUAACCCACCAAUAGGAGUAACUGACCUGGCUUGAUAAGGCAUUUGAUGGAACAUCUGCGGCGAGUAAUAUGACAUAUGGAAUGGGUUUGGCAGCUGCUGGUACAAUGGGUGAUGCGAAGCUGACGAGCACGAUAACAUCUGCCUCAUUUCCUCAAUCUCUUGCUGGUUAUGCUUCAGCAACUCUUGCGUCGCCUUCAAUUCAGAACGCCAAUGAUCCUGGUCAUGUUUGUACCUUUCUUGUAACUCUACAUACUGUGACUCAAGGUGAACAUAGUCGUGCCCUCGCAAUCUCUUGGAUGACCCUGCUUUCGUUUGAAUCCAAGGCACCUGAUGGGGUUUCACCCCAAGUCCUUCACCACGAACACUAUUAUUUGUCUCAGGACCCAUUGCCUCAACAUAAGCCCUUCUUCGUGUCUCUAAAUUAUCAGGACAUUCAUCUUCAACCAAUUCCUUCAACUUUUCCUGCAUUUCAGCCUAACAAAAACAAAAUAUAUAUCCUUCUCCAUCAAAUUGUGGUCAUCAUAGAACUAGCCCAAUAAACUCUACAAUGAUGAAUUGCAUUAUGUAAUAAAAAUUUAGGCCAAUUAGUCUUCUGGACCUCUACUGUUUUGUUUUUCAUAUGCUUAAACAAAUAAAAGAACAUAAAGAAUAGUGAACAAGAAAAAAAAACUACCUCCAAACAACUUUCCAUAUGCUUAAAAAAAAAAAAAAAAAAAAGUCAACCAAAACAAAAUAAGAGAAACAUCCUGGACUAUGGCUAACAAUUCCUCAUGAAAAUGAACUUAUAUAUAAUUAUUCCAAUAUAUAGUCCAUAUGCUUACAUAUUUCUGCUCAGCCACCAAGUUAACCCAUGAUCGAUCUUCGUCACGCCGUGUAUGCUUAUCUUGGAAAAACCAAAUAGGAUCGGGGUCUUCACCAUGUUUCUUAUUCUUAGCAUGCAAUCAAUAAAAUAAAAUAAGAUAAUCAAUUAGCUAACACGACCUCAUAUGCUCAAUAUUUGAAUAUAGUAAAGAGUAAACAUUCAAGUGCAUCAUCAAAACUGACAUAUUGUGCUUUGCUGCGAGCAUAAGACUUUGUUCUAGAUGUGUGAUUCAAUGUUUGUUUACUCCGAUUUUCAACAUUUCUUUUAGCUUGCUCCUUUUAUUAGCAAAAACAAAACAUACUUAAUCAUUGCACAGAUUAUAUAUACUGAGUGUUGUGUAAUAAUACGUACUGCAAUCUCAUCUUUUUCCCAAUGUUCAACCAACACCCUCCAUUGAUCUGGGUCUACACGAGAAUCCCCACAUUGCCACCGUCUUUUACUUCCUGUGAAAGGCUUAUAAUAAGCUUUCUUCAAAUCACUCUUGAAACUUCUCCACAAUUUUUCAAUAUUCUUCAUUGUUACAUCCUUGAAGACAUGAAUCAUAGGUUGUUGUUCAGGACGAAAUUCAAUGGUGCCCUGCAUCCACAAUAAGGUAGUCUUACAUCAAGUUGAAAUAUACCUAUUAAACUCAAUUUCAUGCAAUAAGUAUUCAAUAAUUUUAGGAAAACCAAACCCGUAGAGUGUCCCAGACAUCAAGUUUGCAAGAGUCUGGUACUUUUUCCCAUUUUAAAUACUUGAUCGGAAUUAGAUUGGCAUCCCGCGCCAAAAUACCCAUGUAUCUAGAAAAAUGGGGACUAUUGUCACUAAUAACUCUGCCAAAUGGAGAUAAAUCAACUGACUCUUUUUUGUUAUUUAGAAACCAGUUGCAUUUCCCUUGACCUCGACCUUGCUUCGCCUCCUUGCCUACAUGAAAAGUUAAUUUUAACUGAUCAAUACAACAAGAAAAUAAUAAGAAACUGUAAGGUAAUAAGUUUCUCACACAUUAUUCAAAUGAAAAAUUAGCAUAGCUAUUUGGAGAUGAUGUGAUCGUGAAACAUCCCAUAUUCAAUACAUUUGUAUAUGAUUAAAACAUACCAAUUUAUUAAAAGAAAAAGGAAAAGAAAACCAACAUACCAGUAGCACUUAUAGAACCAUCUCCCUCUAGACUAUCCCUAAAGUCAGCGUUGGGCCCUUCUUGUGAACUAUCUUGAGAACUGCUCAUCUAAAAAAUUUGAUAUGCAUAACAGUGAAGGGGUAACAAAUUAAUCAGACAUCAUUGGUAAAAGAAACUAUUACUUCAACAUUCUAAUACAAAACAAUCUACUAAAGAAAUUCUUGUACAAUAUUCUUAAAAUUACGUAGUCCAUUUAAGCUGACAGCUCAUCAAAAUACAUGAAAAAUUCAAUACUCCAUGUCAUCAUAAAGCUCAUCCUCGUUUUCAGUAGAGAGAUCGUCUGAAGACUGUUCAUCUUCUUCAUCCUCAUUUCCGGGCUCAUGCUCAUCUACCAUCUCAUCCAUAUCAACCCUAAUAUGAAAUUCCUCAUUGUCUAGCAGCUGAUCAUCAAGAUUCGGAAUGGCAUAAUUAUCAGUAGCACUUAAAAGGGUUAUCUAUAGUUGGAGCUAGAUCACUAUCUUCUAGCACAUCAAAAAAAUCUCUUGGUUGAGUUUGGGUUGGCACAUGCCAAUGACUGUCUUCUGGAUCUACAACAUAAAACACUUGUGUAGCUUGAGAAGCCAAUAUGAAAGUGUGUCUUUCGUUUGUCGCAACCGAUUGAAACUAACCAAAGGGAAACCAUACCCAUCAAACCUCAUCCCCCUAUCACUAGCAGUAUCAACCCAAUCACAGUUAAAUAAUGUAAUUUUCCGACCAUUAUCAUUCUGUUCUAUUUGACCCCCGUAAUUAAGUUCAUAAAUCUCUUUAAGAACACCAUAAUAAUCAACAUUGCCAAUUACUGGAUUGCGAUCUCUUGCGCUUGAGUAACUAGAUGUCUCUGCACAUUGAAAUACACCACUAUUCUGAUUCUUCUUUUUAUCGUCUACUGAUUUAAUCCGGAACCUACACCCAUGAAUUAUGUGAUUCUUAUACUUGUUCACAAAUCUACUAGGACCAAUUGAUAGCCAACGCAAGUCCUCAGAUAUUGACAGAUCAUGGGCUGUGUACAAUUUAGUAACCUAUAAUUUAAAACAACAACUAAAGUAAAUAACUUUAAUUAAAAAUAUGGUGCAGCAACAUAAAAUGAAUCAUAUUACAACUAAACAUACUUACAUGAUCCUUGAACCAAGUUGGAAAUAUCUUAUUUCUCAUCCCCUCAAUUUCCUGUAUGGUCUUCCGUCGAUUACUUUGUCUCAAUUCUUGGAAGCAUUUUCUGUUUUACAAUAUAAUAUAAUGACUUGUUAGUUAUUAAUUCAUAAUUGAGGAUUGAAAAAAAAAAAUAUCAACAACUUGCUUGUUUUUAUUCAUAAAUAUCUUACUCUAAAAAAGGGGAAACUUCAUCGCAAUUGAACAAGACCACUCUGCGACAUUGGUCCCAAACAUCUUUGUCAAGAUAUAUUUGUUCAGCUGAACCCUUAGAAUGACAUGAAGAGUCAAAAACUUUUAGCUCCCCAAUGACACCACGACCAAUACCAUCAGCAUUUCGACCCUUUCGAUUCCUUCGAGUCUCAACGUUGCUAAGAUACAUGGUACACAUAGCUAAUCCCUCGUCGACAAGAUAUCCUUGUUCCAUACUUCCUUCAGGAUAACUCUUAUUCUGAACAUAUUUCUUUAAUGUUUGUAGGUAUCUAAAGAUAUGGCAAAAUUGAACAUGUUAAUUUACAAUUAAAAUGGAAAACUAGAAAUAAUAAAUAAGAUUUGAACUAAUUACCUUUCAAUGGGAUACAUCCACCGGUAUGGGGCAGGCCCUGCGAUUGCAGCCUCAUCUGCCAAAUGCAUGAUUAAGUGUACCAUCACAACAAAGAAGGAAGGAGGGAAUAUCUUUUCCAUCUGGCAUAAUGUCACUGCAAUCCGAGGUUUUAAAGCCAUGUAUGACGCUUCAUAUUCCUUCUUACUACAUAACCGUCUAAAAAUUGCACUUAGCUCAAGCAAAACAAUGGUAACAGCUUUUGGUAAUACUCGUCGUAUUGCAAGGGGCAGCAGCUGUUGCAUUAUAAUAUGAUAGUCAUGACUUUUCAAUCCGUGUAUUUUUCUCUCAUUCACAUUAACACAUCUAGACAGAUUUGCAGAAUACCCAUCAGGAACUCUCACAUUUGCCAAGACUUCGCAAAACAUUGUUUUUUCCCUUUUCCUCAUGUCAAAAAGUGCUGGAUCAAAAACUUCCUUACCUUUCCCAUUUAUAUAAGGGUGCUGUUUUCUCCUUAUAUUCAAAAUUUGAAGGUCCUUACGAGCUUUUAUUCCAUCCUUUGUCUUCCCAGGAAUAUUUAACAGUGUACCUAAAAUGUUUUCACAAACAUUCUUUUCAAUAUGCAUUAGAUCAAGGUUAUGCCGUAUCAAAAGAUAUUGCCAAUAUGGUAACUCAAAGAAUAUGCUUUUCUUCUUCCACUGAACUUUGUUACUAUUUAUAUUCGUUGUGGGAUAGGUAUUUGUAUUCCUAAUGGGACAAGAACAUUUUUUGGGUUUUCCUUGCCCAACAAAAACAGCUGACUUCUUUUUGGGUUUUCGAAAUGUGAAUGUCAAACUUGACAAUUUUUCUAAACACUGUGAACCUGUCAAGGGAAUAGGUGGAAGAGCAUGUUCUUCCUUACCGUUAAAGGCUGCUUUAUCUCUUCGAAACCUAUGUUGUAUAGGUAGAAAUCUCCGAUGACCCAUAUAACACAUCUUACUACUAUUUGCCAAAUGCAUUGAGACUGUAUCAUCCAUGCAAUGCGGACACGCUUUCUUCCCCUUCGUGCUCCAUCCUGAAAGAAUUGCAUAUGCGGGAAAGUCAUUAAUCGUCCAUAACAAUGCAGCCUUCAUUGUAAAAGUUUGGUUGGCAAACACAUCAAACGUCUUAAUACCAACCUCCCACAACUCUUUCAACUCAUCGAUUAAAGGCUUCAAAUACACGUCAAUAUUAUUGCCAGGCCCAUCAGGACCAGGAAUUAUUAACGAUAACAAUAAAUUUGGUUGCUUCAUACACAUCCAUGGAGGCAAAUUAUAAACUGACAGUACAACAGGCCAUGUACUAUGGGGUUUGUUCAUAUUUGAAAAGGGAUUAAACCCAUCACUUGCAAGCCCCAAUCGCACGUUGCGUAUCUCCGAAGAAAAUUCAGGGUAUAAGGAAUCUAAAUGCUUCCAUGCACGAGAAUCUGAUGGGUGCCUCAUGAAUCCAUCUUUAGGACAUUCGGUUGCAUGCCAUCUCAUAUCUUCAGCGGUAUGCUUCGACAUAAACAAUCUUUGCAACCUUGGUUUUAAUGGAAAAUACCGAAGAACCUUGGUUGGAACCUUAGCUGAUGUGUUCUUACUCAAAGAACCUCCCACAAUAUUGACUUUGUACCUUGAGGCACCACAAAGUGCACACUCAGUCAAGUCUGAUGUAUCUUUCCAAAACAGCAUACAAUCAUUGGGGCAAACAUCAAUCCUCUUGACUGUAAGUCCCAACUCCCUAAUGAUUUUUUUAGCAUCAUAAUUAUUUUUUGGUAAACAAUUCCCCUCUGGCAACAAUUGUUUAACCAAUUGUAACAGCAUUGUAAAGACAUUAUCGCUUCCCUAAACAUUUAAUCUGGAACAGUCUUACAACAGAAUACAAUUUCUUAUAUUUACACCUAGGGUACAACUCCAUAUCUGCUUCUUCAAGUAACUUAUAAAAUAUUUCAGCCUCAGGUGUUUGGCCAUCAAAGAUAGGUGGCUCUGUCGAAGUCCCAACAGUUUCUCCAAUUAUUGGUUGCACAAAGGCUUCAUUGAGAAAAUCAUGAAUGUCAUCUAUACAAACUUCUUCAUUAUGAACUGAUUCUAUAUCCUCUUGGAAUGGUAAAUUUGUCAUGGGCUCCCCAUGAUGCCUCCAAGGGCCAUUCAUAUAUGUGGGAUCCAUUCCUUUUUCUAUAAGAUGAAGCUGGAUGAUGUUUCUUUCAUAGUGAUAACGGUUACAACAUUUUUUGCAAGGACAUAUGACCCUCUCUCCAAAACCCACUUUGGCAAAGACGUCAUCUAAAAACAUUCUCAUUCCGUCUGCGUAUUCCUUACAAUUUCUCCUUAAAUGUACCCAACUUUUAUCCAUAGUUCACCUAUAUUGAGUGCAAGGCACCAAAUACAAUUAUUCAGCACAGAUCAUCCCUCAUACUUAUUGUCUAUAAAUUCCUAUCAGGUGGGUCAAUUUAUUAUCCAUUAGAUGACCCUCAUGACCAUCUACAUCAAUUCACAAGAAAAACCAAAUUAAAAUAACAAAAACCUGAGUCUAAAGAAUAUAUUAACUAAGAAAUUGCACAUUCAUUCAACUGAAGAAAAGAACUAUAACACCAAACAACUAGACCCACUUAAUAGCUAAAGAAACUCACGUCAUAACAACAAAGUAUACAUAUUAAACAACAUAUCAACUCAUAGAUAAAAGCCCGAUAAUCUCAAUACUAUGAACAAUCUUAUUCAAAAAUAAUAAGAUAACAGCAACAUAAUAGAAAAAAGUAAAGGGAAACACACCUGGAUUCUAAGUUUCCAACAACAAUUCAACACUCCUGCAGUAGAUUAAUACAUACAUACCCACAUAUCAAACUUCACCAACAAAUAAUAAAAAAUUAAAACAAGAGCUUUGAAAAAUCAAAGGAUUCGUGUCACAUCCCGGAAUCGGCUCCGCCGUAGCACGAUAUUGUCCGCUUUGGGCCCCCCUCUCUGCCCGCACGGUUUUGUUUCUAGGAGCUCACGAGCAACUUCCCAGUAGGUCACCCAUCCUGGGAUUGCUCUAGCCCCCAACUCGCUUAACUUCGGAGUUCCUACGACUCCGAAGCCAGUGAGCUCCCAAAAGGCCUCGUGCUAGAUGGAUGCGGGCAUGCACAUAUAAGGCACAUCACCCCCUCUCCGUUGGUUGAUGUGGAAUCUUACAAUCCACCCCCCUUAAGGACCCGACGUCCUCGUCGGCACACUCGCACCACACGGCAGAGUGGCUCUGAUACCAAAUUGUCACAUCCCGGAAUCGGCUCCGCCGUAGCACGAUAUUGUCCGUUUUGGGCCCCCCUCUCUGCCCGCACGGUUUUGUUUCUAGGAGCUCACGAGCAACUUCCCAGUAGGUCACCCAUCCUGGGAUUGCUCUAGCCCCCAACUCGCUUAACUUCGGAGUUCCUACGACUCCGAAGCCAGUGAGCUCACCCCCUCUCCAUUGGUUGAUGUGGGAUCUUACAAUUCGUUUAUAUCUUGGAAUAAAAUCAGUAUUCUAAUUUUUAUAUCUAAUUGGAAGGAUUCAUGGGUCAUUACCUACACUAAAAUACUUGAAAAAAUAAAAUAAACAAACAAAAUAAGAACAAAAAUUUCACCAGAACAGAGGCACAAAAAUCUCACCAAAACAGAGGGCCUCUUUAAUGAAGGACAACCAAGUCAGCCCCAAUUGAAAAGAGCAAAGAACCCCCAGAUUUAAUCUCUCUCUCAAUCUGAAUCAGCAACCCCAAUUGAGAAAAGCAAGGAAAACCCCCCAAAUUUAAUCUCUCUCUCUCAAUCUGAAUUAGCAACCCCAAUUGAGAAGAGCAAGGAAAACCCCCCAAAUUUAAUCUCUAUCUCUCUCAAUCUGAAUGAGCAGACACGAAAAUCACUACCACACAUGACUCCAACUCCAUUAGCUAUGAGGAAGAAUACAAUUCAUUCUUCAAUGAAAAGAAGAGGGAAGAGAUGGCCGGUUUGGAGGAAGUAGAAAAGCUCAAGUAAACAAUUGAAGUUUUUUAUAUAUCAAUAGGAAAAUUUUGAAGUUAAAAAUUAUAUUUAAGAAUAGUAUUGGCAAUCGAACUCGUCAGAAAAAAAGUUGGCUUCCUGGUGUCUGAAAAUUUAGGCGCUUAUGUUUUCACUUCCCGCGUUAAAAGAGACUGGCGCAGUGUCUCGUCAGUAAAGGUAGUAAUGACAAAAGACUUUGUCAGUAUUAUUUACUAGUGAAAAAUCACUUUAUUUUGCUAGUAUUUGGUCUCAGUACUGACUAAGCUGCUCUUUCAUCAGUAUUAGUCCGUCAGUAUAAGCUAAAAUUGUAGUAGUGAGAGGAUUGAUAAGUGAUAUUAAUUCUUGAAUAUACAGAAUGUAAAAUAAAGGAACACGUAAAAAAUUAUUUUAUGUGGUAAAACUCCAUCUCUGGGGAAAAUCCACGGGACUUCUUAGUCCAAAACAAAUCCAUUAUAGAAUGAUGAUUACAAGAAGUACUCACACACUUAUCCUAGACACAUUCUAGAUAAUGUUUACUGACCUCUUCGUAACUCAACUUCUGUCUCGAGAUGAUCUUUCAACACUCCUUAUGUUGAACGCAAUAUUGGUCACGAUUUCUUCAAGCUCGUCAGAGUUCUUCCAACUCUCCUAAUAUUGAAUCCGAUACUAGUCACGAUUGAUUCAAGCUCAUCGUAGAAAAACCGUCACAAUGGUCUUGGUGCCCUCAACCGUAUGAGUCAUUAAACAUGCAAAUGAAUACAUAUAUGAAUGAUAAAAGUGUUUGAUAAAUCACUGAGUUAUGGAACACUUGAUGAUUUAUCUCAAAUAAAAACUCAGCUUUAAUGCUUUCUAAACAAAGAAGACGAAGGUCUUACUUUAUAGACUUUUUCUUUACAAGAAAGAAAAUAAGUUGGAAACCAAAUCUCCAAUUUCCAAGGCAAAAUCACAAAAGUAUCUUUCCUAUUCUAGAGAUUGGUCACAUGUAGUCCAACCAAUAGGAAAUGAGAUAUUUAAGAAAGGAAGAUUUUGAUCAAUAUCAAUAUCAAAUGAAUUCUUAUACGCCUAGUCAACUAUUAAGGGUAUCUUGACUCCUUGAUAUUUUGAUAUGAUUGAAACAUGAUUUCCAAGUUAGAAAAUUAAGGGGUUGUUAAAACAUGAAAGUAAUAGGAGAAACAAAUUUAUUUGAACCAAAAUUGCCCAAAAAGAAAACACUCCUAAAUAAACUUCAAUUCACUUUAGUAAAACAUGAUUGAAUCGUUCGUUAAAACAAUUCCCUAAUAUACAUGCAUGAUAAUGACAUCACUUACCCCUGAAUCAAAUUUGUUAAUGUAUGCAUUUUGAGUUUUUUUUUCUUUUGGCUUCCCUUGACAAUUUUGUAAUAGGAAAAUCAUUGUAGUUUCUCAAGCUCUAAGUUUAGAUUAAGAAUUACUUCUCUAGGUGUUCUUAUCUGCCUACAUUCUGAUGGAAAACAAUGCGUUUGACAAAGGUAAAUUCUGCAUUACACUACAUUGCAUUCACUAAAUUUCUUAAGAUUAUGACUAGUCAUCUUUCUUUCGUAUGACUAGUCAUCUUGCAUUCGUAUGACUAGUCAUCUUUCCUUCGUAUGACUAGUCAUCCUUUGUUUCAAUUAGGAUUUCCAGCUCACUGUUUCCAGCUGGGGCUUAAGCAUUUUUUUGUCCUUUUCUACGAAUUUCUCAGCUUCCAUGUGUCUAUUCUGACCUAGGAAUUUUUGGUAAAAGCCAUAGAAUUCCUCAUUUGGCAGCCGUCACUUUUGGGGACAAGUUGUGGAAAGUUUCAUAGCAAACUUUCGCUUCUUCUUCCUCAAGAGUAACCUUCAUAUUUUUCAUCUUUGAGUUCUCUAAAUUGUUUCUUUUUGAAAACUGCAUUUGAAAUAUGAAAACUUCAUCUUGCUAGAUCAAACACUCUAUCAUAUACAUCUAGGUCAGAUUCAAGAUUGAUUUCUUCAAGAGUAUGGUUUCUUGAAGAAAUUGGUCAUUUUCUCCAUGAAUCCAAAUUUCAUUUCUGUCUGAGUUAGAGCUUGCAAGCUGGUGCCAUGGGAUGAAUGAGCUGAAGAAGGAGCUGCCAUUGCCAUGAAGAACUGAGCUUCAAGCUUUGCUAAGUUGGAGAAGAAGAUUGCACAAAGGAGAUAUAGCAUCUUCCUAAAUAGACCUAGGAAUUUCUUGAGCUUGCUAGUGUUCUUUGUAAGAAUCUUUUUGCUUAGUGGAUUGCCUGGUCGGUUGAUGACCCCCAGUUUUUCCCAAUGGUGGGUUUCUGGGUGAACAAUAUCUGGUUUCCAUCUCUGUAGAUUUUUUGGGUUUGUGUUCUUGAUAGUUGACUAGUCAUCUGAAUUUGUGUGGUUGACUAGUCAUCUUUUUCUGCUGUUUGGUGUUUUCUUGAUUAUGUUGUCUUCACACACUUUUACCAUAGUUGUUGCUAGCACAAGGGAUGCCUAGAUUGAUGGGUCCUUCUGAGUGCCUAGGUUGUCACUAGUAAUUCUCUAGGCCUGCAGGUACAUCUUGGUAUGCUUUGUGUAUGUUAUUGUUUGGUUUAAUUCAUAUCUAACAGUUGACUAGUCAUAAGAGUAUUUGGUCAAGGUCUAGAGUGUGUGAAGUUUGUUGCGUUCUUGAUUGAAUAUCUUUUAAAUUUACCCUUCGUCACCUAAUUACCAAUUUGCAGACUCCACAAAUGAAGAAAAGAGCACAAAUAUCGUGAAUGCUAUUGGGAAUGGAAAGGGCAAACCUGUUCAAAAAGGGUAUGGAGGGGGCGUUAGACUUUACGUUCAAAAAGGGUAUGGAAAACGUCCUCCUCCAUCUGACAGUCAACUACUCCAUUAUAAAGACAUAGCUAUUUUCUUCUUCGAGAAAGACAUGCGCCCUGGCUCAACAAUGAAGUUCCAAUUCCCUAGAAAUUCAAACACGGCUACUUUCCUGCCACGCGAAAGUGCUCAAUCGAUCCCCUUCUCCUUUAACAAACUACCAGAAAUUUUCAACCAUUUUUCAGUGAAGCCAACAUCUGUGGAAGCCAAAACAAUUAAGCAAACAAUCGAAGAGUGUGAAGCUCCAGGCAUUAAGGGAGAUGAAAAAUAUUGCGCCACAUCUUUAGAAUCAAUGGUUGAUUUUAGCACUUCGAAGCUUGGAACAAGAAACGUUGAAGCAGUCUCGACGGAGGUAUUGGAAAAAGGAGCCACCAUGUCCAUGCACAACUAUACAACAAUGCCGGGACUGAAGAAGUUGGCAGGUGACAAAGUCGUUGUGUGUCAUAAGGAGAACUAUCCCUAUGCUAUGCUAUGUUUUUCUGCCAUGCAAUAAAACAAACAGCAGCUUAUGUUCUCUCCCUGAAAGCCGAUGAUGGGGAGAAGGUUAAAGCUGUAACCAUCUGCCAUCUAGACACAUCAGAAUGGAACCCAGAGCAUUUGUCCUUCCAAAUCCUCAACGUUAAGCCCGGAACCGUUCCUAUCUGCCAUUUCAUUUCCACUGAUGCUAUUGCCUGGGUUCCAAAACACAAAUCUGCAUGAUCAUCACUUAGCACUGUACGUAUAAUAAGCUUGGUUGGGUUGCACCCCUGUAUAAUUAUCUCCCUACUUAUUUCUGCCUCUUCAUCAUGUGGUGUAAGAUAUAUGAUGAAAUGAAGUUUUUGGGAUUAGUGGUCGGGUUGCCUGAAAAACACAGAUUAUAGAAACUGCUUGAAAUUAACCCGAUCAUGUUUUCUCUUGUAACGAUAUAGACUUCAACUUGUACUCAUAAUAAAGCAUGCUAUAUUUAUGAAGAGAUAUUAAUCUAUAUAUGCUUUGGCUUUGUGGUUUUACCCAGUGUUUGAAUGUUGAAUUGUUACGUUGGAAUAGGCUGCUAAUGCAUGUAGUUAGAGAAGCCUUCAUUUAUAUCAAAGUCCUCAAACUAUCAAGAACUAAUGUAUCCAGAAACACAUACCAAGACGCAAAACAACAUAUUUUCC